rnacentral:lncRNA from 1 species
AAUGUUUUCAAAACUGUUUUUAUUGAGUCAAGAAGGGGAUAAUGAACUUAUUAGAUUCAUGCUUGUUAUCUAACCACUCUUUAGCUCCAUUCUAGACUUACUGAUUGCAGAUAGUACUAAAGAUACUAAAGUGGAUCAACCUGUCAACUAUGUUCACACUUGCUGAGAUUAUUUGAAGGAACCAAAGCUGACCUCCAACCUAAUUUGACUUAACUGCUUGUCUUGGGGCUUGGUAUACACUGGAUCGGAUUCCUCCCUCAGGUCUGAAAGGUAAAAGUCUAAGUGAUUUUGGUUUCCUUAUCUCCUCCCUUUGGCAUCCUAAUAAAAUAAAAUAAAAGAUUGAGAUGAUUUCUUGCGGUUUAGAGGGGUAGGUACAUUACCGAUGACCCCAUUAUUCUACUCUAAUAUAAUGAUCACACAUUGUUGGAAGUGAGGGGUAGGUACAUACCGAUGACCCCACUAUUCGCCUACACUUUGUCAACAAAAGAAAAAAAAAAAAUAAUAAUAAAAAAAUCGAAAAGAAGGUGAAUAAGAUGGAAUGCAUCAGCAUCUUUGUUCAUUGGAAUUGAGAUAAAAAGGAUUCAGAGAAGGGAGAUAUAGAGUAAAAGAAACCAGAACAAGACUACCUGUUUAUCAGAUACCUGUUGGGGUAAGAGUCCAUGUGUCUUGUGAUCGAUACUCCCAAGGUAAAGCAUACACAUUUAUUUAUGUUAAGAAAUGAGGUUGGUAGAGGGGAAUGUCAGACAUGAUUUACUAAGAUGUUGGCUAGGUGAAUUUGGUUGCUAAGCUAGGAUAUUGUAUAAUGUGCUUCUGUGAUUAGGACUUCUUAGAUGUGGAUUGCAAUAUUGGAGAGGUGAUGAUUCUAAGUUUUAAAUCAUGUGAGUCCCCGCUGUUUUCAAAACCUCUUUAAGAGAGACUGCCCGUCUGUUUUGCUUGAGGAUAAGCAAAAGGGUAAGUUUGGGGUAGUUGAUAGACCAUAUAUUUUAUCCAUUUUUAAUCAUGGUCUAUAAGUGUUUUAAAGUGUUUUAAGAUACAAUUAUUAUGUUUUGAAGUCUAUUUAGAGUAUUAACAGGUUCAGGGACGUUUAAGAGAAAUAUGGUGAUUUUGGAGUCUUUUGGAGCUUUUGGAGGUGCAGAGUUGCACAGACGCGUCAGAUGUUUAGCAAUGGAUGGAGACCUUCCGACCGUUAUAUUGAGCCCAUAUUUUGAAAAAAGAUAGAUCUUUGAGUUAGAUUUCCAAUGCCACCGGUCUCAGGUCAAUCAGCAUCUCGUAGCAGAAGUUAUGCCUGUUUUACUGAAGAGUGGUCAGUCUGCCUCGCGAGAAGAAGCUGCCGAGAAGAGGAAGCCGCGUCGAUCGAUGCAGCACUCUGCACGUCGAUCGAUGGAGAUCCCAGAUCGUGGGCCUUCUAUAUUUUAUGACCAGAAGUAACCACAAAUUACCAGAAUGCCCUUGGACGACCAGAAACCCUAUUUAUGUUAUUUCUAAGCCAUUGUUGACGGCUAUGCUUUAUUGACGCUUUCAUUUUCAUUGUUUCUCUUAGAGGAGAGAAGGGAGGAAAUCCUAUCAGAGUCCUCCUGGAACUCCAUUGGUUUCCUUAUCUAUUCUAUUUCAAUUUUAUAUCUAUUCAUCUAUGAUUUCUGUUUUCAUGUCUGAGUAGAUCCACCUGUUAGAUCCAGGGUUCAGAUAGGUUUGUGGGAUUAGCUCCAAACUAUAGAUCUGCCUUGUUAUGAUAUUCAUGAUAGAUUUGUAUUCAUUGCUUGUUUUAGAAUAAUUAACUAGAACUUGAUCAUAGGAUUGCAUACUCAAGCACCCUUGUUAUCCCAUCCUGACAUCUAUCUAUCAUAUUAGGACUGCUAGAGAGGGCUAACCGCCAAUUUAGUAUCUUAAUAGGGCAUAUCAUACUCGCGCAUAGGCCUGGCUAGAACCCGUCGAUCGAUGUCCUCAACUGACUAUCGGUCGACGUAGGCAAAGGUGUAUCGGUCGAUGUCCCAAUAGGACCAUCGAUCGACACUCUUUCGUUGUCAACAUACUAACCGUUGAGACACGAGAUCUAGCUUGUUAACCAAUGAAACAUGCGACAGCUGAUCACUGAGUUAAGCGGUUGAGCUCUAACAUAUCAUGCAUGCAACAAAUAGGUACCUAUAGGAAUUAUAAUAUCCAACACCUGAAUAGAAACCCUAGAUCUAUCAACCAUCCUUCCAUCAAACUACUACUUGCCAAGCUGAACAAUUACCUUGUUCAUCUUGUUUAUUGCUUUAUUUAUUACUUGCUUUAUUUACUGCUUUAAAACCUAUUAGCCUAGCUUAAUCAUAUAACUAUUAGAUCUAAUCGGUUACCUAGCUCCUUGUGGAUUCGAUCCCUAAGUACUAUAACUCGACCUCUUUUGAUAAGAGUAACACUCUUUAAGAUAAUUUGAGUGAUAUCAACAACCCAACCCGAUUGUGAGCCACAUUUUCUGCACGAAAGCGAUCAUCUAGGAUUCAUCUUCGAUCUCUUUUUUUUUUUCAUCUUCGAUCUCUGUCUAGCUUAAGCAACAAUGGUGUCUUCGAGAGGAUUCUUCAUGGUGAAUCUCUGAACCAAACUCUGUUCGUUCCAUUUCUUCUGAGAUUCAUCUCUAUGAACCGUUACAGAAUGUAAUGAUUCGUUGCCAUUAAUUACUGUCUUAACUUCUUUGACCCAAUCCAAACACGAUUCUUCAUUCAAUGUAUCUUCGCUCUCUACAAGAUGGUGGCUCUAAUCUAUAAAAAGGUUAGAUUUUAUCAUGUAAAUAUCAUCCUCGCAAAUCCUAAAGAUACUAGAAACUUCUCAUUGUUUACGCAUCCCUUGCCAAAUCUCAAUCUCAUGUCUCUCCAAGAUACCCAAAUUCUUGCAAUCAUAUCUUCGGUAUGAUUUCACCUCUUUUCAUUUCGGAAACUGUAGAUCUCGACUGUUAAAAGAUUAGUCAUUCGAUAUUGAUAUGCUGAAUACCUUUUAGGCUUGCACCGUUUUACUAACAUCCAAGGAAAUUAAAUCAUACCUUCUCUCUGCUUCGGUUGAUUUCAGAAGCUUUAAUAUUGUGAUUAGCAAUUAUUGGUUCUGAAAAGUUCCAGAAUCUGUGUUCACUGUAAUUAUGAGUUUACCAGGAAGUAAAGGAUGUGGAGGAAGAGUCUUGAUGGAUGAAUCUAAUAAAAGAGUAUACCAAAAUUUUAAUUGAGAAAAGUGAAACGCCUAAAGCUACAAACACGGGAGCAUUGGCAAACCAGGCAGGAACCGUUCUUCAAGAACCAAGUCACUUGGUAGAUAUAAAAGCAAAGCAGAGAGUUGCAUGUGGGUUCCAAAACGUCUGAUAGAUGAUCAAUUAAGAUGAAAAUGCGUACUUUCAGAGCUUUCAUGUCAUCAAACACAGAAAAAAAAGUCCUUCGGAAGGAAAACUUUCAAGAAAAGUACUGGAGUUGCAAGCUAAUCCUACUGUGCUUUCUAAGUUAGAAAACUACUAAGAAAGCUCAUAAAAAGAUGGAAAAAUAUGUGAUUGCUUUGGGUUCAGUCUUGCGUUCCAAGAAAACAGUUAAACUUUUUUUUGUACAUAUAGCUUUAUAUUUGAUGCUUGACAGAAAGAGGGAGAAGUCAGUUUUUGGUUUGUGGAGUGAAAGUUUGUUGUAUCAUAAAUUGGAAAACCAUAAAGUAAGAUUUUCUUAGGCAAGAUUAGAAUCUAAUUUAUGUCAUCACUAACCAUUGUUUUCACAUAUAAAAUCAUACAUCCUGUGGGAUUAAGCUUGAAGUAGAGUAAGAAGCAAGUUACCUAAUCAUAAAGAGUUAUGGAAAGAUAUAAUGAUUAGGAAAUAUAGACUUAUGUUAAACGUAAUGAGUUUAGGAAGUUAUGAGUUAUAUAUAAGGAGAUGCUAAUGUGUAGCAUAACUUAAUGAGUUGUGAGAGCUUUGGUUUUUGAGAUAGUUUUCUAAAGCAUUGAGGUUAAUAAGAAGAGUUCUUAUUUUCGUGUGUGUCAUCUCAUAAUCAAAGAGGUUACAAUUACAAUAUUUGGUAUCAGAUCCAAAACGAAAUCAUGAGUGAUUUAGUUCCAGCAACCGUGAAGGUAAAAGGAGGAGGAGCUUCUUCCUCGAUACAAUGUCCCAUGCUUACAUCAACUAACUAUACUGUUUGGGCCAUGAGGAUGAGAAUUGCUCUUAAGGUUCAUAAAGUCUGGGAAGCAAUAGAAGAAGAUGCAACAACCGGCGAGAAGAAUGAUAUGGCAGUAGCGCUAUUAUUCCAAUCGAUACCAGAAGCACUUGUGUUACAAGUAGGAGAGUUUGAGACAGCUAAACAAGUUUGGGAAGCCAUUAAAACCAGGCACAUAGGGGCUGAGCGAGUUAAGGAAGCGAGACUUCAGACUCUGAUGAAUGACUUCGAUUGGUUAAAGAUGAAAGAUACCGAAAGCAUCGACGAUUUUGGUGGUAAACUAUCGAAGCUUGCAACAAAGUCGGCCUCUCUUGGAGUUCACAUUGAAGAAGUGAAACUUGUGAAGAAAUUCCUUUCAAGUCUCCCGCGUAAGAAGUUUAUUCACAUAUUAGCCUCGCUUGAAUAAGUGUUGGAUCUCAACACAACAAGCUUUGAGGACAUCAUGGGACAUUUAAAAGCAUAUGAAGAGCGCAUCAAGGAUGACGAAGAAGUAGAAGAUGAUCAACCGAAGCUGAUGUACACGCCUACUGAUGGACAACUUAAUCUAAACCGGCCUUCUCAAGCCCAACAAAGUCGAUCGAGUCAAGAACAAGGCUACAACCGAGACUAUUACGGAAACCCGUAUAGAGGUAGAGGCAGAGGAGGUCGUUACGGAAGUUACAGAGGCCGAGGCAGAGGACGCUCAUACGAAGGACGAGAUGCGUCAAGAGUCACCUGUUACCGGUGCGAUAAAGUCGGUCACUUCGUAGCUUAAUGUCCAGAGCUCAAACUUAAGUUACAAGAGGCUCAAGAGAAUGACAACACUGAGACACAGGAAGCUGAUGAGCUUAUGAUGCACGAGUUCGUAUUUUUAAACGAGAAGAAUGUCUUACCGGAUAAAUAUGAAACAAAUACGGAGGAGAACAUGUGGUAUCUCGACAAUGGUGCUAGCAAUCACAUGACCGGGUAUAGGAGAUAUUUUUCAACGAUCAACAACACCAUUACCGGUAAAGUACGCUUCGGUGAUGAUUCUCGUAUAGAUAUUAAAGGAAAAGGGACAAUAUCUUUUUUCGAUAUGAACGGAGACUCAAGAAAGAUGACAGCCGUGUACUUCAUCCCUGACCUUAGAAGCAACAUCAUAAGUUUGGGACAAGCCACAGAGGCGGGCUGCGAUAUCAGACUGAAAGGAGAUGAACUAAUUAUGCAUGAUAAGCAUGGAAAACAUCUUGUCAUAGCCACGAGAUCAAGAAACAGGCUCUAUAAGGUUCACAUGGGUCUAAAGGCAGAAGCAUGUCUUCACACUUCUACAGAAAACGAGUCAAAGAGAUGGCACUGAUGCCUAGGGCAUAUAAACUUCGACUGUCUUAAGGCUAUGAUACAAAAGGAGCUAGUUAUUGGGAUUCUGAAACUAAGCGUUGAGAAAGAACUAUGUGGAUCGUGCUUACUUGGUAAACAAGCAAGGAGGGUAUUCCCAAAGGCAACUACAUACCGAGCAAGUGAGACACUAGAACUCCUACACGAGGAUCUUUGUGGGCCUAUAAGACCAAACACACUUGCAGGAAAGAAGUAUAUAUUUGUUGUGAUUGACGAUCAUACGAGAUACAUGUGGAGUAUGUUACUAAAGGAGAAAUCAGAAGCAUUCGAAAAGUUUAAAAGGUUGAGAAAAACGGUGGAACAAGAGACUGGGAAGAAGAUUAUUACUUUCAGAACGGACAAAGGAGGAGAGUUCGUAUCAAAAGAGUUUAAUGAUUAUUGCGAGAGCGUCGGGAUAAGGAGACAUCUUACAGCUCCAUAUACACCCCAACAGAACGUGGUGGUAGAACGCAGGAAUCGCACUCUGAUGGAGAUGACGAGAAGUAUAAUGAAGCAUAUGCACAUACCUAACUACAUGUGGGGCGAGGAUACACGGCAUUCAACAUACAUAAUAAAUAGGGUCGCCACCCGAUCUCUGAAAGAGGUGACGCCUUAUGAAAGGUAUCAGAAGAGAAAGCCAAACAUUGAGCAUAUACGGAUAUUUGGUUGCAUAGCGUACGCCAAAGUCGACGCAAAAUUACUAAGAAAGCUGGAUGAUCGUACGCGCAUGCUGGUCCACUUAGGGACUGAGCCAGGAUCAAAAGCUUAUCGCUUAUUUGAUCCCAAUACUCUGAAGAUUAUAGUGAAUUGAGAUGUCGUCUUUGAUGAGGCUAAAAGUUGGAACUGGAACACUGACAAGACAGGCGCAGAUAAGAACUUCGUGGUUACGCUAGGAAGAUUCGGUAACCAUGGAAUAACUACCAAAACAUUGCAAUUGCGUAUAGUCAAGCAACCAGUGAAAACGCAGAAGAAGCACCCGACGUCGAUGUCUCAGAUAACAAUGAUAAUGAAGUUGAGAUCUUUGAACCAGAGACACAAGCAUUAAAAAGAUCAGGAAGAGUACACAUCAAACCUAAGUACCUCGACGAUUACAUCUUGUUGUCAGAAGAGCUCGGAGAAGAGAUACUAAUGUUCCUCAAUAACGAACCGAAGAACUUUAUGGAAGCUAAGGAGUCAAAGGAGUGGACGCGAGCGUGCAUAGAGGAGAUAGAAUCCAUUGAGAAGAAUGAGACUUGGAUUCUAUCUGAUCUUCCCUGUGGAGUAAAGCCUAUAGGAUUAAAAUGGAUAUUUAAACUUAAGCGCAACGCAGAUGGAAGUAUCAACAAGUAUAAAUCGCGUCUGGUGGCUAAGGGAUAUGUACAAAGGUACGGAGUAGAUUUUGACGAGGUCUUCACCCGGGUCGCAAGAAUUGAAACCAUACGGCUCCUCGUUAACCUUGCUGCGACACAUGGAUGGGAAGUGCAUCAUCUAGAUGUAAAAACUGCGUUCUUGCACGGAGAAUUAAAAGAAACGGUUUAUGUCACACAGCCAGAAGGCUUUGAGAAGAAGGGGGAAGAGAAUAAAGUCUAUAGACUCGAGAAAGCGUUGUAUGGACUGCGAAAAGCGCCAAGAGCAUGGAACAACAAACUCAACGCCAUUCUCUGCGAAUUGAAGUUUACAAAAUGCGCAAAAGAACCUCCCGUGUAUCGAAAGUUAGUCAAUGGAGACUUACUUGUGGUGGCCGUUUAUGUGGAUGAUUUGUUUGUGACAGGAACCAAUUCACAAGUCAUACAAGAGUUCAAAGCAAACAUGUUGGGAAAGUUCGAUAUGAGUGACUUGGGUCGACUAACAUAUUAUCUAGGUAUCGAGGUCAAUCAACAUGAGAGUAGGAUAACUCUCAAUCAAAAGAGAUAUGCAUCGAAGAUCUUGGAGGAAGACGAGAUGGACAAGUGAAAUGCUUGUCAUACUUUGAUGGAGAUGGGUCUGAAGCUUUCGAAAGCUGAAACUGAGAGGGAGAUAGACGCGACAAGGUACAGAAGGAACGUUGGAUGUUUACGGUACCUGCUACAUACUCGACCCGAUUUUUCAUUCUACAUAGGAGUCCUUAGCCGAUAUAUGCAGAGCCCGCGAGAGCCGCACGGAGUCGCCAUGAAGCAGGUUUUGCGCUACUUGCGUGGCAGUCUUGCAUAUGGUCUCUCGUUCCCGAGGUCAACAACAAAGAUACCAAAGCUUUGUAUAGUGACAGCAAUCAUAACGAAGAUCCAGAUGAUGGUAAGAGUACAACGGGUCACAUAUUUUACCUUGGAGAUAGCCCGAUAUCCUGGUAUUCACAAAAGCAAGAUACAGUUGCUUUGUCGUCAUGUGAAGCUGAGUUUAUGGCGGGGACAGAAGCUGCAAGACAAGCAAUAUGGUUACAAGACCUACUAAGCGAAGUAACAGGAGAGCCGUGUGAAACAGUGAUGAUUCGGAUUGAUAAUCAGUCAGCUAUUGCAUUAACAAGAAACCCAGUUUUUCGUGGCAAGAGUAAACACAUACACAAGAGAUAUCAUUUUAUCAGAGAGUGUGUAGAAAACGGGCAAGUAGAAGUAGAGCAUGUUCCUGGAGAAGAACAAAAGGCUGACAUCUUAACAAAUGUAUUAGGAAGAAUCAAAUUCAAGGAGAUGAGAGACUACAUUGGCAUGGUCGAUUUGGAGAAUAGAAGCUUCAAGCUUAAAGGGAAGAAUGUUGGAUUCAGCUUGAAGUAGCUUAAGAAGCAAGUUACCUAAUUUUAAAGAGUUAUGGAAAGAUAUAAGGAUUAGGAAAUAUAGACUUAUGUUAAACCUAAUGAGUUUAGGAAGUUAUGAGUUAUAUAUAACGAGAUGCUAAUGUGUAGCAUAACUUAAUGAGUUGUGAGAGCUUUAGUUUUUGAGAUAGUUUUCUAAAGCAUUGAGGUUAAUAAGAAGAGUUCUUAUUUUUGUGUGUGUCAUCUCAUAAUCAAAGAGGUUACGAUUACAAUAUUUGGUAUCAGAGCCAAAACGAAAUCAUGAGUGAUUUAGUUCCAGCAACCGUGAAGGUAAAAGGAGGAGGAGCUUCUUCCUCGAUACAAUGUCCCAUGCUUACAUCAACUAACUAUACUGUUUGGGCCAUGAGGAUGAGAAUUGCUCUUAAGGUUUAUAAAGUCUGGGAAGCAAUAGAAGAAGAAGCAACAACCGGCGAGAAGAAUGAUAUGGCAGUAGCGCUAUUAUUCCAAUUGAUACCAGAAGCACUUGUGUUACAAGUAGGAGAGCUUGAGACAGCUAAACAAGUUUGGGAAGCCAUUAAAACCAGGCACAUAGGGGCUGAGCGAGUUAAGGAAGCGAGACUUCAGACUCUGAUGAAUGACUUCGAUUGGUUAAAGAUGAAAGAUACCGAAAGCUUCGACGAUUUUGGUGGUAAACUAUCGGAGCUUGCGUCAAAGUCGCCUUCUCUUGGAGUUCACAUUGAAGAAGUGAAACUUGUGAAGAAAUUCCUUUCAAGUCUCCCGCGUAAGAAGUUUAUUCACAUAGUAGCCUCGCUUGAACAAGUGUUGGAUCUCAACACAACAAGCUUUGAGGACAUCAUGGGACGUUUAAAAGCAUAUGAAGAGCGCAUCAAGGAUGACGAAGAAGUAGAGGAUGAUCAACCGAAGCUGAUGUACACGCCUACUGAUGGACAACUUAAUCAAAACCGGCCUUCUCAAGACCAACAAAGUCGAUCGAGUCAAGAACAAGGCUACAACCGAGACUAUUACGGAAACCCGUAUAGAGGUAGAGGCAGAGGAGGUCGUUACGGAAGUUACAGAGGCCGAGGCAGAGGAUGCUCAUACGAAGGACAAGAUGCGUCAAGAGUCACCUGUUACGAUUACAAUACAUCCUACAACCAAUCCAUGUUAUUCAGUGCUCAGAAUCAAAAGAGCGACGCUUUCUGAUUUAGAUAUUUUUCCAAAAUGGUAAGAAAUUGUUCAUAUAGAGUUUGAAAAAAGUUUGUUUUCAAAACAUCUUGAAAAAUGAUUUUUAAUGGUUUCCUUCAUAUUCCUCGAAGAGAUGUUACAUUAAAUUAAGUUUCUCUCUAAUUCAUUCCAAGUAUUCUUAAUUUUUAUUAAUUAAUUUAUUGAUAAAAAACUUCUUAUUCAAUUCGAUUAACAUUUUCUACAAAAUUAUAAAAGUCUAUUAUUUUUUUUUUUUUUGACAGCAAGAAAAUCACAGACUCAUGAUGACUCUGUAAACCAUGUUGGUAACUCCGCAUCCAUGUGAACGACAAAGGACAGUUGCUUCCUUGCACUACGUGCUAAGCUAUCCGCCCGAAGAUUCGCCAUCCGAGAUACAUGAACGAUGUCUGAGUUGAGGAAACUUCUUUUGAGAAGCUUGAUAUCUUCCAAAUAACUUUCAAAUGCUGGCCAUUCUUCUGGUUCCGAAACCAUCUUCACCAAUUGAGAACAAUCCGUUGCAAACGUAACCUGGAACUGUCGUAAAUUCUUCAUGCAUUCCAUUGCCCAAAUCAAAGCCUCUACCUCCGAAUGAAGGGGAGAGAGGCAUGCCCUUACAUUCCUUGCCCCCAGUAGACCAUCAAAACCCGGUAAAGUACUAUACCAGCCUUGCCCUGACAUUUGAUCCUUAUCCUUCCAUGAACCAUCAACAAAACACCAUCGACCUGAUAUCUCUAAAGGAGUAAUAGCUUGUACCGAGAGCCCCCUCGUUUGUUCAUUUCCUACUUGUGCCUCUGUCCAGAGUGAAGAUUCUACCUCCGCUAAUUUUAGAGUGUCACGUGGAUCAAUAUCCAAAUUACUAAAGACUUUGUUAUUUCGGGCUUUCCAAAUAUACCAUAGAAUCCAUGCAAACUGAUGGUCAUCCAUCUUCGGUUGCACUCUCCAAAAAAGAUGAUCCAUAUUAGCAAAUAAAGAGCUGAUAGGAAAGAUAUUAGGCGAUGACGGAAUCUUGGAAAGUGCCCACACUUGACGUGCAGGGGGACAUUCAAAGAAUACAUGAUUUAUUGAUUCUUCGGGGUCUCCACAACGAGCACAUCAUAUAUCUCCUCUUAUCCCUCUUGCCUCUAAAUUUUUCAUUACCGAUAUACAUCCUGAGACCAGUUGCCACAAGAAAUGUUUAAUCUUCGGUGGGCACCGCAAUUUUCAGCAGAAAGCUUUCAAGGUAUUUACUGUAGGGCCAUAAAAGAUUGGAGGUUUUACCCUAUCAGGGUACAUGCGUUCAACCUGAUAACCUGAUUGUACCGAAUAUUUUCCAUUAUUAGUAAAAUGCCAUCCAUUCUUAUCCUCGAGCUGGUUCCUACUUAAAGGGAUACUUUCAAUAAUUUUUGCGUCAUUCGGAUCCACUAGAGUCCUGAUUGCCUGCACAUUCCAUGAACGGGAUUCCUGAUUGAUUAGGGAAUCCACUGUGAGGUCCGGAUAAAUGUUGUGAGAAUUUUUGUUUGCUGGUCUCGGGCGAGUGGUUGGGAUCCAAGGAUCAUUCCAUACAGAAAUAGAUGAUCAUGUUCCCACCCUUUUAAUUAGUCCUUUACAAACCAGAGAUCUAGCAGAAAUAAUACUCCUCCAGCCAUAUGACGGGGAGGAAGAUCGGAUCGGUUCCAGGGGUGAAGCAUUCCUAUAAUACCGUCCUUUAAAAACUCUUGAGAAAAGAGUAUUUGGUUUCUCAAUUAGCCUCCAUAGUUGCUUACCAAGCAUUGCUGUAUUAAAAUCCAUGAGAUCCUUAAAACCCAAACCACCAUUAUCUUUGGUUUCACACAAUUUAUCCCAUGAUUUCCAGUGCAUACCUUUUGUACUACUUCCUGGGCUCCACCAAAAUUGUGCUACAGCACCCGUUAGCUUCUUAACUGUAGCUUUCGGUAACCUAUACACAGACAUUACAUGGUUUGGUAAGGCCGUAAUCACCGAUUUAAUAAUCACUUCCUUUCCACCUUUUGUAAAAAAACGAAAGGUCCAUCCGUUAACCCUUUUAUUCAACCGUUCUUGAACAAAUCCAAACACUUGGACCUUAGAGCCGCCCAGACUUUCCGGUAAGCCUAAAUAAGUUCCCAUUCCACCUAGAGUAUGGAUUCCCAAGAUAUCUCGCAACUCUUGCCGAAUAGUGUCAUCAAUCUUGUGUCCAAAUUGAAUUGACGAUUUCUGGAAAUUAAUCAGUUGCCCUGAAAUAGUCUCAUAUUCCUUUAGAAUCCUAAGAAUAGUUUGACAUUCUUCCUUGUUUGCCUUACAGAAAAACAAACUGUCAUCUGCAAAUAGUAGAUGAGAAAUUGCAGGACAAGCCCUUGCCACUUUCAUUCCAGUUAGUAAUUUCUCCCUCUCCGCCUUUUUAAUAUUUGAAAUUAACGCCUCCGUACACAUAAUAAACAGAUAAGGAGAUAAAGGAUCUACUUGACGUAAUCCUCUCUGAGGGAUUAUCAUUCCCCGAGGCUGCCCAUUUAGAAGAACUCUAUAUUGGACUGAAGAUACACAUUCUCUCAUCAUUUUGAUCCAAUGUGAAUCAAAGCCCAUUUUUUGCAGGAGGGCCUCAAUAAAAUUCCACUCUAUCCGAUCAUAUGCCUUACUCAUAUCAGUUUUUAUAGCCAUAAACUUAUCCUGGCAAGACUUAUUUGUUCGUAGGCCAUGAAACAUUUCCUGCGCAAUGAGAAUAUUAUCCGAAAUUAACCUUCCUGCCACAAAAGCCGAUUGUGUUUCCGAAAUUAACCUGGGAAGGCACCGUUUCAAUCUUUGGCAUAAAACCUUCGAAAUUAUCUUGUAACCAACAUUACAAAGACUUAUCGGCCUUAGUUCCGUCAUCUUUGUAGGUCUCUCUACCUUUGGAAUCAUACAAAUAUUAGUUAAAUUUAGUCUUGGAUCCAGAAUUCCUGUGACCAAAAACUCAUUCACCAAUUCCACCACAUCUGUUUUAAUUACAUGCCACGAAUGUUGAAAAAAAAGAGCUGUCAUUCCAUCCGGUCCUGGAGCUUUCUCCGGAUGCAUCAUAAAUAAAGCUUGUCGGACCUCUUCUUCCGUUGCUACCCGCAGUAGCAUUUGAUUCAUCUGUGGGGAGAUUGAUGGUCUUAUCUCUUCCAGAAAACUAUCAAACUCAGUAGGGAUGGUAGAUUUAAACAAACCCUCAAAAUAAUCUACCGCCACCUUUUCCACACCAUUCUCAUCCGUGACCCAAUUACCCAUUUCAUCAUGAAGGUCCACUAUUUUAUUCCGAAUCCGACGUUGCUUUGUCAAAGCAUGAUAAAACUUUGUAUUAAGAUCCCCAGAUGAAUACCACAUAUUUCGACUCUUCUGAUGCCAAUACUCCUCCUCGUCCUUGUAGGCCUCUUGUAAUUUCUUAGAAAUCUCAAUAAUAUCCUCCUGUGAUCUAUUGUUAUCCAUUUGAACCUCUUCUAAUGCUUGUUGAAGAUUUUGAAUCUUUUCCUUUCCAUAUGGUUGGUUGUCUUUUCGCCAGGAGGAUAUUUCAUGACGGCAAUUACUAAUUUUAGAUAUAAAAUCCUCUGGUUGACCUGCCCGAGUUUCUGUCCAGCCCGACACUAUUGACUCCAUAAACCCCUCUUGGCCUAUCCAUCUUUUAUCAAACCUGAAUUGUCCCUUUCGUCUCUUUGUCGGUUUCUCAUCCAAAAAAGCUACCACGGGACGAUGAUCCGAACCUACCAUCUUCAAAUAUUCAGUAUAAGAGCAUGGGAAAAGUGUAUGCCACUCCUCAUUAGCCAACGCUCUAUCUAGUCUGCAACGGACCAUUACCGCACCCUUUCCUUUACCUCUCCGUCCUUGCCAUGACAUUUUAUUUCCACGAGCCGGAAAUUCUAAUAAACCGCUAUUUCUGAUCAUAUUGUUGAAAGGGAUAAACGAUGUCGCACUUCUCAAAGAACCCCCAUCCUUUUCAUGAUUCCCAGUGAUCUCAUUUAGGUCUCCUAUAAUAAACCACGGUUCCGAUCUGGCUAAACCGUACCGGGUUAAUCUCUCCCACACCUGAUCCCUUAAUGUCUGAUCUGGCUCUCCAUAUACAAAUGUAAGGAAAGCUUGUUUCCCAUUAACCACCGCCUCCACAUCUAUCAUUCUAUUACUAGAAUAUAAGAUUUUAACAUGAUAUUCAUUAUUGUAAUAAAGAGCCAACCCGCCACUUCUCCCAACUGGCUCCACCGUAACCAGACUAUCAAAACCAAAAUGUGAUUGAAAUCGUUGUACAAAUCCAAACUCUUGCUUCGUUUCAGAUAAAAAUAAAAAAUCUGGUUUAUGAUUAUGCCAUAUCUCCCUAAGAUAACUUAUGGUCCAGUGGCUUCCAACACCUCUACAGUUCCAACUUAAUAUUUUCAUAUAUAAAAUUCUUGUGUCGCUCCUUCGAGCCGGAAGAUCUGAGUUUAAUGAUACUCAGCAAUCUUAUGAUCCCAAAUCCCCGUAAUCCCUGCAAAACACGCUUAAGCCCCAUAAAAUCUCCAUCAAUCUCCUGAGAAUCCUUACGUCGCCAGUUAGGCCCGUUCAGCCAACAUACUAACGUCAUAUUACCAACAUUCAAAAAACCCGUAAUACCAAUAGACAUAUACUUAUUAUUAAUUGAGCGCUCACGGUUCGCUCUAAAAAAUGCAUAAAGAUUAUGAAAAUAAAAUGAAGUUCUCAAAGUCUUAGAAUCCUGUCUAUUCUUAUAAUAUAUACCGGUUAGCCCAUAGAACCAUUUUAAAAUAUUUUCCAAAUUUCUGCACACCAAAUUCCCUCUGUUACUGUAAACCCAUGUUGACGCAUGUCGAGAACCUUUACAUAGCAAAUGAACUCUAUAUGAAACAAAAUCUAUAAGUUUCCAACAAACCCAUCUCAAGGAAAUAUAAAGAAAGGCGAGUCCAAUAAGACACGUAUACUCCAAAGGAAACACAUAAAUCCAUGCACUUAAUUCACGUAUCAUAACUCGUACAAAAUGGAACCCUUUAUAUCCAAAGCCAAAGCCACAAUAGCUAUUCCAAAAUAUACCUUUCAUAUCCCAUCUCCUCAGACACCAGCUCACAUAAUCCUUUCCAACCAAUGAUCCAGGGGCAAGCAGGAUACCAAACCAAGAUAGUACCAAUACGUUACUUGAGAAGCUAGUAAUGAUCCACCCUCCACACCCGUAAAUCCAAACCAAAAAGACCAAAUAUUUUCCCCAAAGUAAAACAGUUCCAAGUACACCACAAGAGCACCACAAAACCAAACAUCCAAUUUUAUUCCAGAUCUUAAUAAGACAUCUUAUUUUAAUAAUUAAGAACCCAUCCUCAUCACCUAAUUCCCUUUUACUUAAUUUUAUUAUUAUUAAGCCGUGAUACAUAAAUUUAGAACUUGAGAUUCGACUGCUUCGGGUAUGAAGGCCCCUUACUCUCCACCGGUUUACCGUUAUCUCCGGGACGAGUUCCCACCUUUGCAGCAGCUCUUUUGCGUGGAGAGAGAAGCGCACUUGCCGUCCUCAUCUUGUUACUUCCCACAAUGCUACUAGUAGGCUUGAACAGCCUCUUGCGAUUACCCUGUCUCUUCGCCAUCUCUUCUGUCGCCGUGUCUUUGCUGCUGUCAAACUCACCACUCUCCAUCCCUUCCUUCUCCUCCGAGUAUUCUUGAACCCCAAUAACCUCAGAAUCUUUCUCCGCUUCCUCCUCCGAGAGAGUCUGGAACUCCUCUUCUGUUGUCAACUCCACCCCUCUCUCCAAUAAAGAAGCAUUGAUAGCCUCUAGUUCCAUAUCAAUAGCCUCUAAUUCCAUAUCAUCUUGGUUCUCCUUCAUUCCCUGUAACUGGAGUAACCCCAUCUCCUCCUUUGUAGCCUCCAUAAUCGCUUCUGAGCCCUCUGCCUGCGUCUUAGCUAGUUCGAGUUGAAACUCUUCAGUAGCUGUAGUGGCAUCUACCGCAUCAGUGCCCUUAAUCUCUCCUUCUUCACGUACCUCCUGACCUAUGUUCUGCUGUCUUUGUUCAUCUCUCAGCUGUUCCAUAGAAGGCCUACUACGUGCCUCGUGAACCCCAGCUCCCUCACCCUUAGCUCCGCUGCUUCCCUCGUCUCUUCUGGAGGUUCUGAACCGUGAACCCUCGCCACCACCUCUGUAAUUACCGUGGUGAGAAGGAGCCACUCUAGAUCCCCCUCUCAUCAACCUUAACCCACUUGGAUCCACCUGCAUCAGAUGCCUUCCCCUUCCCCUUCCCAUAAUACUCCCGAACAUCUCGCUUUUUAUUCUGUUGAGUUGUUUGACCAUUGAUAACAACACCUUUAUAGCUACGAGCGCCUCCUUCAUGCUUAGCCCCAUCAGACCAUGCCCAUUGCCUUCUCUGAUCUCCCUCCUUCGUUCAGGACUCGGCUUAGGUUUCUUCUCAUUCAACGGACAUAGCUCAUCCUUGUGGCAAAGACUGGCACAGAGCUUGCAAUACCCAAAUAAUUUCUCAUACCUCAGAGACACCGCCACCUCCUCUUCCUCAUAAAAUUCUCCUCCUUUGAAAUCCACCGUCGUCUCGAAGCAUAACUCCUUAAAAGCGUCAAUCACUACUUGAACCCGGUUAUGCUUCACAUCAACCGCAACAACUCUCCCCAAGGCUCCACCAAUACUCUCGAAGGUCGGGACCGUCCUGAACUCCAGAGGAACCCCCAAGACUCUUAUCCAGAACAUGAUCUCUGAGGGAAAAAGCUUGGAUUGUUUUGGUUGCCACCUUGCCAAAGCCAGCAUCCAGUAGUCAAAAUGGUAAGGCUGUUGCUUCAACACCGCUUCAAGUUCCUCCUUCGUCGUGAAGUCGAACUGAAAUUUACCAAAGCCCAGAUCAGUACCCGUUACCCUCUCUUCCUGUUUCCAAAUCUUUGGGAGAUUUGUGAAAAGCGCAUUCAUCUCCUGCUCCACUGGAUUCAUACAUCUCCCGAUCAAUGUCUUGGAAUAGGUUUUGAUCAGCGCAGAAUUGUCGAAGUGCGCCACUGAAAUCUUCAAUCUCUUACGCAUGCCUGCACCGUUCCUCAGCUCCUCACCGUGAUUCAACAUCUGACUCUGCGUCAUGAGUAUCACAAAGAAGAAGCACGAUUGAAGCAUAUAAUGGCAAAAUGAAAAAGCAAUGAUGUGCCAAAGAGACUCAAUAAACUUUUUCUUAUAUUGACCCCAGUUUUCCAAAAAUUCCCAUACCAAAUAUCCCACAAUUAACCCGUAUCUCCUUAAUUUGAUAGUCUCUGAUCUCAAUCCCGAAAGAUACGACGACCCCCAAUCCUCCAUAAGGUAAAGCAAAUCAAUCGCUACUAGAUGAAAGUGGAAAAUUAAAUAAUCAUAAUCUAGAUUACAACCUGUAGAGAUAUUGCAAUCCACCUUGAUAGCCUCUGAAAUCCCUCGCCUUUGUCCCCAAAUCUGCAGUAUCCAUAAGAUCUCACAGAACUCCUUCGCUAUUCCCAUAACGGUCCCCAAACUAUCCAAACGCAGACCUUGAAAACCACAAUCCGUGAAUUGAUCAUGAAAGAUCGGAAAAACCCAAUCCCCAUCUCUAAUUCCCGGAUCCCAUCUUCUUGAAAUCAUGAAACCCUAAAUCGCCAAAAGCAUCGCCUCCAUAAAAGUCUAUUCAGUUAUUGUAAAAAAUUAUUUUGUUUACUAAACUUAUGAACUUAUUUAAAAACAUGUAUAAAAUAAUAAAUUGACAUAACUAAGUAAAAUACAUAUACUCUCGAAUUGGUGACAGAAGUUCUAUUUAGUUUUAAGUUACAAAAAAGAUCUAUUUAGUCGACUAAAACUAAAAAAAACAACUAAGAAAAAAAAAUAUAUACCUCCCGCACCGAUAGUAAAAUACAGAGACAGAAAAAGGUUUUGAAAAUCGGACGGGACCGGCCGGUCGAACCGGUCUGACCGUGACUCGUUAAAGAAGCCGAGUCCGGUUCGGUGUAAAAUUCGGAUUUGAGAAAAACCGGUGAAACCGGCUAAAAACCGGUAAAACCGGUGAUCCGGUUAAACUUUGAAACCGGUUCAAUAGAAAUCAACAUAUAAUUAAUGUAUUUUUAAUUAUUAUUAAAAUAUAAUAUUUCAUAAUUAAUGUUUAACUUUUACUAUUUAAUUAGUUUUCUAAUUGAUUUUUUUUUUAAAGAUGUUUUUUAAAAAAAUCUCUUUUUGACUCUCAUAUUUUAUUCUCAUUUUUCUAUAUUCAUAAAAUUUAAGACUUUUAGUUGUAAAAAUAAGUAAAUAUGUAAUUUAAAUGGUUAUUCAUUUUUUUAAUCAAUUUUGGUUGAUAUAGUAUUCACUUGUAUAUAUAACUAAACUUAUGGUUAUUGUUUAUUAUCUAAUUAAUAAAAGAGAACAUAGAACAUAUUAUAUGUAGAACUACAUUUUAGGUCUAUAUAGUGUAAAUAUAUGAUUAUUUACAUUUAUUUAUUUUUAAAUAGAAAACCCGGUUCGACCGGUUGAACCGGUCCGACCACAUAACCAGUAGCUUUACCGAGCCGGUAUCCGGUCCGGUUUUAAAAACAUUAACAGAAAGUAAAUUUUUUUUGGUAAAAUACAUAAAAUAAGUUGUUAAUGGGGGUGAUUGAUUGGGCUGUAGCUUUAGAAAAUUUACUUUAAAAUUUAGUCUGUAGGAUUUUUUUAUUUAGCUUUAAAGAAAUGUAGCUUUAAAGUUUUCUAUAGAUAAAAAGAUGGGGCUUUAGAAAAUAAAAAUUUUACAACUAUUUUUUGUGUUUUUUGGCUGUAGCUUUAUUUUUUUGGCUGUAGCUUUAAAAAUCAAUAUAAAGCAUGAUUGGUAAUAUUUAAGGUUGUAGAUGAAAAUUAAAGCUAAAGUUUCCUCCUACAGCCCAACCAAUCACCCCAAUGUCUUACUUUCUUUAGAGCGCUAAAAGUUAAAACAGAUUGAACUUUGCUCCAGUGCUGAGCUCCACUAACAAAAUUCCUAAACUGUAAAGAUCAACCAUCAAAUACCUUGGGUUGACAUUUCUAGGGUCAUCCUGCGGCGUUGGAUGGAACUUGGAAUGGUUACCGUAGAUGGAUGGAUCUAGAUCCGGCUGCGUUGGGCCUUCCAGGAAAUAACAGGGCUUGAAUCACUUCAUCUCGAUGGUGGCGAAGAGUUUCGGCUUAAUCUUCUAUUCAUCCCGGUGGUUUCGCGCCGUUGAUUGAGCUUCGCCCUACCCAAGCAGCGGUGCUUCUAUAUUUCACUGAUUCGUCGUCUUCUCAAGCAGAGACCGACAAUUUAGAUAUCUAUGCCCCGCCGCUCACUCUUACGGGACAUUGACUUUUCCUACCUCUCAAUAAUGAGAAGCAGCAAAAUGGAAACGUCUGGGUGAGACCACUACGAGUGUUCAUAGUUCAUAGUUCUUCAUAGUUCUUGGUACUUUAUAGUUCUUCUUCUAUUUCUUACAACACAGUGACUGGUUUGUCAGUGGGAGGAUUUCACCAUUUUUAAAGGCUUCAAUGAAAGUGGCAGUGCUUCAUAUUCAACUUACUUUCUCAAAGAAUUAAUUACGAGUAAGCUUUGCUUACGAGUUCACUACUGUUUCCAAACAGGUUUGUUUCUACUUUCUAUCUGUCUAUCUGAUAUACUAUGAUUUUCACCCGUUUUUAUACAUGGUAUAUAAAAGUUUUAAGAUGUAUUAAUCAUAUUUUAGAGUCUUUUCAAAGAAAUUACAGGUUUAUUCACCUGAUGGAAGGAAAUGAUACUUUUGGGACAUUUUGGAAUGCUUUUACGCAAGAAAAAUCGAUCGACGCUUGAAGAGCAACAUCGGUCGAUCAUAAUCACUUACCAUCGAUCGACAAACAUACAUGUGCAUCGAUCGAUGCCCAGUCAUACGAAUGAGAUCGCAAAUUAGAAGAUUUCAUUUCCCAGAAGAUAUAUUAUUUGCAACUUAAGUCCCUAGCCGCCUGUUAGGCUAUAUGUACUAGGGUUUUGUAUCAUUUUAGGGAGACACUUGCAAAAGACCUAGUUUGGAAAAGUAGCAUUUUGGCUACCAUUAGAAGAGUUUAGGAUUUGAGAGAUAGAUCUGGGACUGCAAAAACAGAGAAAAUCUUGAACUCCUAUAUUUCUAUUACUCUAUCUAUUUGUGUUCUAUGUUUCAUUUGAGUUUAUUUCAUGCCAUCAUGACUUUUUCUCUCAUGAAUAUGUUUGAGUAAACCAAUUGUUAGAUUUAGGUUUCUCACCAUGGUUGAAAUUAUAUACUGCUAAUAUGACUAUUAAAAAGGUGUUUUGAUUGUUCUUUCAUUUGCUUGUGAACUUAAUGCUAAAAUUGAGAUUGAUCAUCUUCAUUUUAGAUCUUAGGAUUAAUUGAGUCCAACUAACUGUUUCCCCUCAAUACCUGAACCCACUUGCGUGAUCUAACUAACUCAGGCGCAACGACAGUUGGUCUGAGAAGGUUAGAGAACAAGUUAAACCUGUUCGCAAAAGCUCGCUAGAAUACGACAGUUGAGAUCCGAGAUCUAACGAAAAUAACCUAUCCGGUUAAACCAUUGUUUAGUUCAAAAACCAUCAAACCCUUUAGUCUAAACUAAGUGCAUGUAUUUCAUACCUGAGAUUUACCUGAAUCUAGCUGCUUUCCCAUUCUUGAAACCACUUCAAUUCAAUCUAUCGUUUCACUUUUGUUUUCGAUUUAUCAUUUACUACUUUUAAAACUAUUAAAACCUUUUAGGCUAUCUUCAUUUCUAAUUAUUUAAGUCUGUUGAGUAAUCCUAGAGUCUAUGUUGAUUUGAUCCCUAAGUACUACAUCUGAACCUCUGUUGAUGAGAGUAACACUCUUUAGGGUAAUUUGAGUGAUAUCAAAUUUGGCGCCGUUGCCGGGGACUCUUUCUUAUUACCAUUAGAUUUAAUUGAGAAUUUAGUAUAGACUUGUUACGAAAAACUUGCUAAAGUUUUCUUUCUUAAUCUGUUACGCAGACACAAAGAAUGGAGAACACAGAGUGCGACCAACCAUCGAUCGACGGAGACACGUUUCCAUCAAGCGACGUUGAGUCAGAAAAAAUGAACGAUACGGAGCUGCCGACAUUGAUCGAUACCGCCCAGCCGGAAGCAGGUAAGUUUUCUCUUACCAAGCCCGCUAAUGAGAAAGUAGUUCAAACUGAAAAAAAUGGUCAAACGAGCAAUGAAGCUAGCCAAACUAAACAAGGGACUGAAAUCCCUGUUAAGGAAAAUUCCACCUUAACUAAAGGUGAAGAUAUAAAAUUUUCCAUACAAGACUACCUUGAUCCUGGUAAGACCUAUUCCAAUAGGUCCGCUAUCAAAAUACCAGGAGACGAUACCAAGAAAUCUAAGUUUUAACGCAGAUUACUACUGUAUGAUUCGUCAAAACCCAUUCCGUGGAUCCCUCCCAGAGCACCCACAAGAUCAUAUUGAAACUUUGGAAGAAUUAGUACCAGAUGAAUAUGAUCGUUGCAAAUUAUUCUCAUUCUCCCUAGAAGGAGAAGCCCUCAGGUGGUUAAACUGUUUAGCAGCAGGAUUACUCACUUGUUGGGAAGAGAUUAGAAGUGCCUUCCUUAGAGAAUUUUUCACUGAUGAACGCUACUGGAAAGUAAGAAAGCAAAUUUUUACAUUUCGCCAAGGUCCACGCGAAUCGUUUAAAAACGCCUGGGGAAGAUUCAGAGGCUAUGAACUUGAAUGUCCCCAUCAUGGUUAUUCAGAACCACAACUUCUUAACAUCUUUUAUGGAGGUGUUAAUUUGAGCUAUAAAACCACACUCGAUACAGCGAGUGAUGAAAAUUUCAUCACUAGGAAUCCCGAAGAAUCUAGACGCCUUAUCAAGAAUAUGACAACGGGAAGAUCCUAUGAAAGGAUGGAUGAAGAGAUAGGAAAUUUCACAAGUCCAAAAGACAAUUCUGAUUUGAUAGAAAUUAAGAAUUCCCUUAAAUCCCUUCAUUCAUUUCUUCAAAACAAACACCGAUCUGAUAUAGCCCAGAUCGACGACAACGCUUUGUCUGACACCGAUGAUUAUUUGGACGAAGGAACGAACUGUUCCGAUCUCUAUGCUGUGCUUAAUGUCGAUAGCUUUACCCAAGCUUAUGACACUGCUGUAAAAUCACGUACCGGAAGAGAGAGGUUCAAUAUCAGACAAGCUCUUACUGGCAACCGUAGGACAAAAUCGGAGUUUUACGGAAAAAUAAAUAUGGUUUACGGAGAAUUAAUGGAGAAAGCAGAUUCUUUGGGAGAACUAAUCCGAAAAUUAGAAGGUCAAGUAGCGGAGAUUGCAACUGCCAUAAAAAGAGAUGUCGGAUGUCUUCCCGGGAGAACUGAUUUAAACCCAAGAGAGACGGUCUACUCAACCCGAACCCAUAAUUGAAAGAGUCUAUAGAACUUUACCCCCUUUUGCUCCUAAAACGCAAACUAAGAAAUCAUUAGAGAACGCGAUCUACAAGAAAGCCUUAGAUAAGAUUUCUGUUGAGAUGUCCCUUAGUGAUGCUAUAAAAAUAGCACCUUCGAUUAAGAAGUAUAUAAAGGACGUGACAUCUCCAAACUACCCAAUUGCAGAACAUAGCGUGAUGAUUAUUUCAGAAGAAGUAAGUGCUAUGAUUAAAGGAGAAACUCCAACAAAGAGACCAGAUCCUGGUAGUUUUGUCCUAGAUUGUAAAAUAGAAAACACGCGUUUUCCUAGAUCAUUAUGUGACCUCGGCUCUAGCGUGAACUUUAUGCCUUACUCUGUUGCAGUAACUUUAGGAUAUAAAGAGUUUAUGUCAACUCCGAUCACCCUGGUCUUAGCUGAUAGAUCUAUUAGGGUACCCGAAGGAAUUCUCGAAGAUGUUCCCAUAAAGAUCAAUGAUUGCAUCGUGCCUACGGAUUUUGUUGUGUUAAAAUACAGACAAGAACCCAAAGACCCCCUCAUUCUGGGUCGGCCAUUCCUAGCUACAGCUGGAGCAAUCAUUGACGUCAAAGAAGGACGAAUUAAUUUGAACAUAGGGAAUAUCUCGAUGACUUUUGAUAUGGAAAAACUGAAUAAGCGACCCCUAAUAGAUGACCAGGCCUUCUACGUGGAAAACGUUUCUGAGGAUGAAAAAGACUCUUUCAUAAACAUGUUUUCAGACAACCCCUUAGAAGACACCCUUAACCACGUGGAAAAUGAAAUUUUCAGCAUAUCAGAUAUGACAGAUGAUUACAUGCGACUGAUGGACGCUAGCAUCGAAGUUGCAAACGUAGAAGAAAAUGACGACUCAGAUGUUGUCAUCGAUCGAUACCUUCAAGAUACCGUCGAUCGACAUACUCCCUCGCAAUCAAAUUUGUCUAAAGAUAAAGCACCAAAGGUAGAAUUGAAACCUCUACCCAGCGGUCUUAAGUACGCUUACCUUUAUGACCAGUCCUACCCUGUUAUCGUCAACGCCAAUCUCACUAGCGGAGACUUGCUUUAUUGCUGAAUAAAUUACACAAGUACAGGAAAGCGAUCGGGUAUUCUCUCGAUGACAUUCCUGGAAUCUCUCCCGAUCUUUGCAUGCAUCGGAUCAACUUGAAAGAUGAUGCUAAAACGUCAAUAGAGCAGCAAAGGAGAUUGAAUCCGAAUCUGAAGGAAGUAGUUAAAAAGGAAAUUAUAAAACUCUUUGAUGCUGGAGUUAUUUACCCUAUUUCGGAUAGCAAAUGGGUAAGCCCCGUACAUGUUGUACCCAAAAAGGGAGGUAUCACUGUAGUGAAGAAUGAAAAGGACAAACUCAUUCUGACUCGUACCGUUACUGGUCAUCGGAUGUGUAUUGAUUAUAGGAAAUUGAAUGUCGCUACUAGGAAAUACCAUUUUCCCCUUCCCUUUAUUGAUCAGAUGCUGGAGAGAUUAGCUAAUCACCAGUAUUACUGUUUUCUUGCUGGAUAUUCCGGAUUUUUCCAAAUUCUUAUACACCCGGAUGAUCAAGAAAAGACAACGUUUACAUGCCCCUAUGGAACUUUCGCAUAUCGCAGAAUGCCAUUUGGUCUUUGUAACGCUCCCGCCACUUUCCAACGUUGCAUGAUGUCAAUCUUUACAGAUAUGACCGAGGACUUCAUGGAAGUAUUCAUGGAUGACUUUUCAGUCUACGGAUCAGAUUUUAAGAGUUGCCUCGAUAAUUUAUGCAAAUUAUUGGAAAGAUGCGAAGAAAAGAACCUUGUCCUCAACUGGGAAAAAUGCCAUUUCAUGGUUAACGAUGGAAUAGUGUUAGGACAUAGGGUUUCUGCUGCUGGUAUAGAGGUAGAUAGCUAAGACUGAAGUAAUGAUCAGUUUACCUCCACCCAAAAAUGUUAAAGACGUGCGAAGUUUUCUCGGACACGCCGGAUUUUACAGGAGAUUUAUACUGGACUUCAGCAAAAUCGCUAGACCUCUAAAUAACCUUUUAUGCAAGGAUAUUAAAUUCGAUUUUACCCCUAAAUGCAUGAAAGCUUUUGAAGAUUUAAAGAAAUCCCUUAUCACUGGCCCCGUCGUACAAGCCCCCGACUGGAAUCUUCCUUUCGAAAUCAUGUGCGAUGCGAGCGAUUUCGCAAUUGGAGCAGUUUUAGGCCAAAGGAAAGAUAAAAAGCUACAUGCCAUUUACUAUGCCAGCCGCACGCUUGAUGAAGCGCAACGGAAUUACGUAACAACAGAAAAAGAACUAUUAGCUGUAGUUUACGCUUUUGAAAACUUCCGUCAAUACUUGAUUGGCUCACGAGUGAUAGUUCACACUGAUCACGCUGCCAUCAAAUAUUUAAUGCAAAAGAAAGAUGCUAAACCUCGACUCAUAUGCUGGAUUCUACUAUUCCAAGAGUUUGACAUUGAGAUUAAGGAUAAGAGAGGAGUAGAUAAUGGAGUUGCUGAGCAUCUUUCCCGGAUAAGAAUAGAGGAUGAUGUCCCUAUAGACGAUUUCUUCCCCACAAAGAAUGUUGCACACAUAGAUACAUCUUUCGUCGGUCAAAUAUCUCUCACAUCUGAAGAUCAAUCGAUCGAUGAGAGAGAUGGCAUAUCGGUCGAUUCACGUAGUGAUACAUCGAUCGAUGAUGAGACUGAUGUAACUUCUCAACUCUCCAAUAACCAAGAUCACGAACCCCCGUCUAUUAAAAUCAACUUCGAUUUACAAGUUAAUGUUUCCGGUGAUGAGAUUAAUCGCACACCUGAGGACUUAUCACAACGGGAGGUAGACGCGAUUGGUAGAAACUCGAAUAACCGACCCUGGUAUGCCGACAUAGUUAACUAUUUGGCAGCUGAGGUUGAGCCAGACGAACUCAAGGGAUAUAUGAGGAAGAAAUUUUUCAGAGAAGUAAGACGCUAUCAUUGGGAUGAGCCUUACCUCUAUAAGUAUUGUUCUGAUGGCAUAUACAGACGAUGCGUAUCCGAAGCUGAAAUUACGGACAUUAUCUACCAAUGUCACAGAGCUGAUUAUGCAGGACAUUUCGCUACCUUUAAAACGGUUUCGAAAAUUCUCCAAGCAGGAUUUUGGUGGCCGACCACUUUUUGCGAUGUCCACGCAUUUAUAACCCAAUGUGACAGAUGCCAAAGACGCGGAAAAAUCAGCAAAAGACACGAAAUGGAACAGAAGUUCAUUCUUGAAGUUGAAGUCUUUGAUUGCUGGGGUAUCGAUUUUAUGGGACCCUUCCCGUCUUCAUAUGGAAACAAAUAUAUACUAGUCGCUGUAGACUACGUAUCCAAAUGGGUCGAAGCAGUAGCUUCUCCUGCCAAUGACGCAUCUGUGGUUAUUAAACUCUUCAAGAGUAUAAUCUUUCCGAGAUUUUGAGUUCCAAGAGUAGUCAUUAGUGACGGUGGAACUCAUUUCAUUAACAAAAUCUUUGAUAGAUUGCUUAAAAAGAAUGGUGUUCAUCAUAGAGUAGCUACACUUUACCACCCACAAACCAGUGGACAAGUAGAAGUCUCUAACCGACAAAUUAAGGAAAUCGUAGAGAAAACCGUAGGAACCUCCAGAAAAGAUUGGUCUAGGAAACUAGAUAAUGCACUUUGGGCCUACAGGACCGCCUACAAAACGCCGUUAGGAACAAUACCAUUCCACCUCCUUUAUGGCAAAUCAUGUCAUUUACCAGUCGAACUGGAACACAAAGCAGCUUGGGCUACCAAACUUUUGAACUUUGAUAUCAAACAAGCUGCAUCCAGCUUAACAAGCUUGAUGAAAUCAGACAUUUAGCUUUCGAAAAUUCGAAAAUUUAUAAAGAAAGGACUAAAGCUUAUCACGAUUUCGAUGAGAGCGUCGCUUCCUACACGGUCCCACCUUUCCCACACCUCGAGAGAUUCUGGGACAUCGUCGGCACAGGAGUUUGGGACACAAACAGGGCCGUGCUAUCAGACAUCCACCAUCCUGCACUUCGCUACUUCCUACGGCUCCUUGCAAACACACUGGUUUGCAAGAUGGAGCCCAACAAGGUCAGGAUAAAGGAGCUCACAUUACUUUUCUGCGCAGUGAAUGGCGUGGUGGAUUUGGUUGAGUUGGACGAGGACGGCGAAGUAAGCCCGCUGAACCUCGGAGCUGUCUUUGCCGCGCACUUGGUGGAGUUGAAGAAGAAGCCCUUCAACAGCAAGGGUAAGAAGAAGGAGACAGUUGGGAGUCUUCUGAUCCCGAUUUUCCAGUACCUCGGCAUCCGCCUUGACCCUCAUUCUGCCGACCGCGACCACGCCUUCCUCGACGAGCAGCACUUGGUGCACUCGCUAUGGCUCGAGGAAGGGAAACUCUGGCGUUUCAGGAUCCGCGAUGAGCAUCGCCUUCUACCCCUACCGGAUAGGAGGAUCACUGAUUUCGGAAACAGCGUGGAGCAGCUUCGAUGCAUGCCAGACGAGGCAUUCCUCCGCAACCCCCAGAACAUGUCACGCCGACCUCCCAGCAUUCGCUGUACCAGAGCUCAGGACGCACAGGCACCGCCUCUCCCCGACUUCCCGAACAUACCGGACAUCCCCAUUCACGACCAGGGAGACUUUAGAGGUUCGUGGUGGACGCUCUUCAGACCAUCUGGGCUAGAGUGUCUUGUCGGAGCAGGAGAGCUACAUGAGCGCAGGCAACAGCACUAGCAGCAGCACGUAGGGACCCUUCCCAGGAGGACGACGAGGCGACUGAUGAGGACACCGACUAGUCCUCAUAUUUCUAUCUCUUAUCUUCCUAUUAUGAACUUGUUUAUUUAUUUUCUGAACUUCUAGGAUUUAUGUUCUUAAAACUUAUAUUUGAUGUCUGAGAAUGCUUAUUAUUUCUUAUGCUUGGUUGUCAAACAGAGCUAACAUUAGGCAGGAACUUCAAGUUCGACUCCAAGCACAUGCAAAAUUUAUGUGCUUCGCCAUCGAUCGAUAUGGAGAGGGUUACAUCGAUCGAUUCUCGGCGAGUAACAUCGAUCGAUAUGGAGAGGAUUACAUCGAUCGAUGUGUAGUACGGAUAGGUACUUCAUUUUUACUCUAACAUUCUCAAACUUCUAACUUGUUUUUAACCUACCCUUGGGCACUUUGCACUGAGACGGUGCAAUUUAGGUCUGGGGGAGGUAGUUACUAACACCACUUUCUUGAGUUUUUGUCAAAAAUCUUUUCAAAAAUAAUUGUAUUGAGUCAAAAAGGGGAUUUUGAACUAAUGAUUUCUACUUGAAUGUCUAACCACUUUCUAGCACCAUUCUAGAUUUACUGAUUGCAGAUAAUACUAUAGAUGCUAAAGUGGAUCAACCAGUCAACUAUACACACUUGCUAGCUUGUUAGAAAGAACCAAAGCUAACCUCCAACACUAACCUGACUUCACUGCUUGUCUUGGGGUUUCGUAUACAUGGGAUCGGAUUCUUCAGACAAGUCUGGAAGGUAAAGCCUUGUGUAGAAUUAUAUAUCACAUUCAUCUCUCUAAUUUUGACCCUAGAUUAGUAAGUAACUAAUAUUUCUAUUCUAGAGUUAAAAAAAAUAAAAUAAUAAUAAUAAUAAGAUCUAUUGUUUAUUUAGGAUGAGUCUGAACAGGACUUGGUGGCUAAAACCAUUAAGGCUUGAUUCAUAAAAGACACCAAUAAAAGAGUUCGAAACAGGACUUGGAGGCGGCAAUCUUCAAGGAUCGCUUUCGCAAAGAACUCUUGGAUAUAGGUCAAAAAGAAGUGAACAGAGCUUGGUGGCAACCACCAUUAAGUUUUGAUUCAUGGAAGCCUGUCCAAUCUUGGUCAUUGAUCCUGCAAUGGAAGCAGACUUUGACUCAAGAGAAAAAUUAGAGAGAGAAGAAUUAAGAACUAACUUUUACCUGCAGUUCCAGAUACUUGUCUGAAUUCUUUGCAUCCUAUGAUCGAUACUCCCAAGGUAAAGCUUACACUUUUUACAUUGAGAAAUGAGAUUGGUUAAGGAGAUUGAUAAUAAGAUUAGUUAAGAUUGUUGGCUAGAUGACUUUGGUUGCUAAGCUAGGAUAUUGCAUAAUGUAUUUCUGUAAGAAGGAACUUUUAGAUGUGGAAUGCAAUAUUAUAGAGGUGAUAAUUUCAAUGUUUCAAAUCUGUGAGUCCCUGAUGUUUUCAACCCUCUUCCAGAGAGACUGUCCGUUGGUUUGACAUGAGGACAAGUCAAAAGAUAAGUCUGGGGGAGUUGAUAUACCAUGAUUUUCACCCGUUUUUAUACAUGGUAUAUAAAAGUUUUAAGAUGUAUUAAUCAUGUUUUAGAGUCUUUUCAAAACAAUUACAUGUUUAUUCACCUGAGGGAAGGAAAUGAUACUUUUGGUACAUUUUGGAAUGCUUGUACGCAAGGAAAAUCGAUUGACGCUUGAAGAGCAACAUCGGUCGAUCAUAAUCACUUAGCAUCGAUCGACAAACAUACAUGUGCAUCGAUCAAUGCCCAGUCACACGAAUGAGAUUGCGAAUUAAAAGAUUUCAUUUCCCAGAAGAUCUAUUAUUUGCAACUUAAGUCCCUAGCCGCCUGUUAGGCUAUAUGUACUAGGGUUUUGUAUCAUUUUAGGGAGACACUUGCAAAAGACCUAGUUUGGAAAAGAAGCAUUUUGGCUACCAUUAGAAGAGUUUAGGAUUGGAUAGAUAGAUCUGAAACUGCAAAAAUAGAGAAGAUCUUGAACUCCUUUAUUUCUAUUACUCUAUCUAUUUGUGUUCUAUGUUUCAUUUGAGUUUAUUUAAUGCCAUCAUGACUUUGUCUCUCAUGAAUAUGUUUGAGUAAACCAAUUGUUAGAUUUAGGUUUCUCACCAUGGUUGAAAUUAUGUACUGCUAAUAUGACUAUUAAAAAGGUGUUUUGAUUUUUUUUUUUCAUUUGCUUGUGAACUUAAUUCUAAAAUUGAGAUUGAUCACCUUCAUUUUAGAUCUUAGGAUUAAUUGAGUCCACCUAACCGUUUCCCCUCAAUACCUGAACCCACUUGCGUGAUCUAACUAACUCAGGCGCAACGACAGUUGGUCUGAGAAGGUUAGAGAACAAGUUAAACCCGCUCGCUAGAAUAACCAUCGAUCGACGCAACUAUCGUUCUGUCGGUCGAUCGUUACAAAGGUGUAUCGGUCGAUGAACAUAAAGUCACAUCGAUCGACACUCUCUCGAGAUUAAAAUACGACAGUUGAGAUCCGAGAUCUAACGAAAAUAACCUAUCUGGUUAAACCAUUGUUUAGUUCAAAAACCAUCAAACCCUUUAGUCUAAACUAAGUGCAUGUAUUUCAUACCUGAGAUUUACCUGAAUCUAACUGCUUUUCCAUUCUUGAAACCACUUCAAUUCAAUCUAUCGUUUCACUAUUGAUUUUGAUUUAUCAUUUACUGCUUUUAAAACUAUUAAAAUUUUUUAGUCUAUCUUCAUUUCUAAUUAUUUAAGUCUGUUGAGUAAUCCUAGAGUCUCUGUGGAUUCUAUCCCUAAGUACUACAUCCGAACCUCUUUUGAUAAAAGUAACACUCUUUAGGGUAAUUUGAGUGAUAUCACUAUUCCUAUUUCAACAUGCUGCAAGUGGAUGUUCAGACUCAAAAAUCUAUGUGUCCAUGGCGCAUACAUAUCUCUGUCUCUGCAGAGCAUGAUCAAUAUGCUAAAGCAAGAAACAUGGAAGAAUGAUAAAGAAGUUGGGAGUGUCCGAAGGAAUAUUCCUCAUGCAUUUUGAGAAGAUGCAUCACCAAAAAUAAAGGACGUAUAAUAAAUCUGUAGGAAAGUGAAGGCCAACCUUAUAAGAAACAAGUAGUGAGAAAGAAAAAGAAGGGGACUUUCGCUUAGUGAAUGUCACACUAUCAAACUUUAGAGUACACACCAAGGAACAAGCCUAUAGAUCAUUCAGCGAGGCACAUAUUAUAUUUGCUGCGACAAAAAUUUAAUAACAUAACAAACAAAGAAUUGGUUUGAGGUGUGAGAGAGCUUCUUGAGUAUGAAUGUUAUGCUCAGCAACUUGGGAUGAUGUAUAUGUAUUGCAGCGAUAGUAAUGUGGAUGCUCUAUUCAUAUGCUAAAAUGAAUUUUCAGAAUAUAGUUUCUUUAAAGUAUUUGGGAGUUUUUUGUUGAAUUAGUUGUUCACUUUGUUUUCGUUUUAAAUAAAUAAAUACAUUUUUGGUUUAAUUCAUUUUAAAAGAAUCUCUUCAACACACAUACACAUUGCCUUGAUAUCAAUGCUUAAACCGAACCAGUUUGGUUUUGGUUCAUACUGGAUAAUAAGUCUGGUUCAAUUUGAAAUGUAUUUAUUUAACAAAUUUGAUGGUACAGUCUGUGAAGUUCUUACUUUAUCUGAUAAUAUUUGGUAGUAAGAAUAUUCAACCGAUAACCUCGAGGUUCAUUUUAACGACACAAAAUAAUGAAAACGUAAAUAAUUUCUAAAUAUGAUAGAAAUGAUAUAAACUAAUAUUCGACAAAUGAAUAAAUACAAUAAAUUCAUAAAUUCGCUAAAGUAACAAUAAUAAAAAUUUAUAUAAAUAUAUGGUCUCAUUAAAUAAUGACUACUAUAUAUAUAACUUUUAUAUAAACAUAAACAAAGCUUUUCUAAUAAAAUGAAUUACAUAUUUAUGGCAAGAUGUUUAGACUUUUGUUAUUGCUACCCCUAAUGCAUACAUCUGUAUUCUCAAGAGCUGUUCACCUUUUUUUUUCUAUAAAAUAACUGAGCGCCGUUUAGUCAUCUCUAUUACUAAACAGUUCACGGGAGGUUUUCUCAAGUCAUAUUUCUCUGUUCAAAGACAUUUAUUUUCGGAUACUGUUUGCUCUAUAUUUCUCAUGUGCAACUGCAAAGUGCUUCUUAACGUCCUCAUCGAAGUGUUUUUACAUGUUAUAUACAGAUUCAUCUCUUAUAAUUUGUUUAUGGAUCCUCACAACAGAGGUCCAAAUCUUCAUGUUUGUUCCUAAAGUUGUGAAGUCAUCCCAACAUUAUUAUACUCCUUUCCACCAUUUCUAAAUCUGAACUAUAUAUUAAAUUUGUUAACAGUUAAUUCAAUUAUUAAUCGCUACUUUACGUACAUAACCAUAAUUAUAUAUAUAAUGAGACCAGUGUAAAAACUUAUAUUACAAAAGGAAAUUAAAAAUAAUAUAAUCACUAAUUAUACCUUGAAAACUAAACAACAAUAUUUGUUUUAAAAAGUCCUAAUUAUUUUGGAUGAUAUGGUUUAUUUGAUAAUCUUAAAAUAUGUAAAUCUUUAAACAGUAAUGUGUUAUGACUUAAGUUGAUUAAAAAUGAUAGGUAGAGUUUACUUUUAUGGAAUCUAAAACAACAGUAGAUUUCACAGAUAAUGUAAAAAAUAAACUGCAAAUCUGAAUAAUACCAGUAUUGAAAAAUGUAGAAUAAGUACGUAAUAAAAAUGAAAUCUCUUUAUUAGCUAGAUUUUUUUUUGAACACUAAUUUCAUUAAACUCAAACAAGCAAGUUAGGUAGAAGCAAUAAAACUCUCAACCAAUCAAAGGGCUUUAUUUUUUACAUCCAGACAUUAGGUAUAACAUGAUUGUAUACAACUUAAAGUAAAAGGAACAAAUAAAAUUAGAUUUUCUAUUACAAAAAACAACUAAAAUAAAAUUAGCUUUUCCAGCAUUAAAAAAACACUGUUUCUCUUUUGAACCAUUUUAAAUACUGUAUUAUAGAUUUAGCCAAAUACAACGACUCUAAGAUCCAAUCUCCUCACGUUUAACAAAAAAUGAUUCCUUAAAAUUUAUUAUUCACAUAUAUAACCAAACAAUAGAACUAAAAAAAACAAAUAUCAUUGAAAUAACUAACAAACAUAACCAGUUUUUAAUUAAAAUUAACAAUAUAACCUAAGAAUUAUAUUUAUUUUUUGUUACUCUACAAGAUCAUCUUUAACCUAAGAAUUCGAUUUAUUAAUUGUUACUCUAUAAUAUCAUUUAUAAUCUACACUGAUUUUUUGAAUGGUUCAUAAAUUAAUAUAUAUAUGUAUAAUAGUUUUAAGGUAUCUUCCCGUCCGUAGGGCGGGCCAUCCUCUAGUACAAUAUAUGGAGUAUUAUUAUUACUAUUAAUAUUAUAUCCUUACUAACAUAAUGAUUGUUACAAUACAUUGUACGGUUAGAGCAUCUCUAACCCAACCUCAAAUCCUCAAAUUUUAAGGUUUCUGUCAUUUCAAUCCAACCUCAAAUUCUCAAAUUUUGAGGUUUUGAAUAGUGACACCUCAAAUUUGAAGUUUCAUUAUUCAAAACCUCAAAACCACUAUUCAUUUUCGUUUUAGUCCUUACAAUUAUUUUCUUGUAUAUAUGUGUGUUGUUUAUAUAUAUAUAUAUAUAUAUAUGAAAUUUAUAUUAUUUUUAUUAUAUAAUAUUGUAAUAUUUUGUGUUAUAUAAUAUAUACAAAGUAUGUUUUAUAUGUAUUUGUGAAGUUUUAUCAUUAUUAGUAGUUUUUGUUGAUGUCAAGGACUAUAAUGCAAUAUGAAUAGAUUUUAAAGGAUUUUUUUUUGAGGAUUCAUGGUUGGAGUAAUCAGCCCUCAAAUCCUCACAAUUAGAUCUUUCUUCAGCUCUCUAAUUGGCUUUUACAUUUAUCACAUGGAUCACGAUCUCAGCUAUAUAGAUUUGACAAAAUCAACAGAUCCGAUCUUUUGGUUUUAUUCCGAUCCCUCCCUUCCUUCUUUUUGUAAAACGUUAUUUUUUUUUUUGAAACACGUCCCUCCCUUCCUUCUACUCUUCCACAUUGUCUAUGUCUUCCUUUCAUUCAAUCCUAAAUCCUAAACUAUACCAUAUACCACUUUUUCAUAAAUAAUUAAUGUUUAAGGUGAUCUGAAUUUUAAUGGAGUUUUAGAUGAUUUCAAUAAAUUGCAGAGAUUUAGGUGAGUUUUGUUAAACCACUUUAGAAUAUAACCUAAAACCAUGAGAUUUAGGUUUUAAAAUUCAUGUUUGAAUAACACUAGAUUUGUCAUUUUAAUAAAUAUCACCUAAAGAUUAUAACUCUCAGUUGAAUACACCCUUAUUUUCUACUCUGCGUGUUUUAUAAUAGUCAACAAAACGUAAUAAGUGCUACACCUACUGACUAUGAUUUAUGGAUCUCUUAUGUACUGCUUACUAACUAAUAAAAUUAUGGAUCCUCUAAAAUAUAACCUAAAACCAUGGGAUUUGGGUUUUAAAAUUCAUGUUUGAAUAACAGUGGCUUUGUCAUUUUAAUACAAAUCACCUAAAACUCUCAGUUGAAUACACCAUUAUUUCCUCUUCUGCGUGUUUCAUAAUAGUCAACAAAACAUAAUAUUUUUUACAGCUACUGACUAUGAUUUAUGUACUGGUUACUGAAUAAUAAAAUUAAGAAACAAGUUGUUUAUUUUCUCAAGGUGUGUAAUAAUGACAUCUUUAGAAUUUUUGUGAUACCGAUGUAGUGUAAGUCGGUUGGUUGGUUUAUUCAACCAAACCUCAAAUCAUUCUCAUUUUGGUCGGUUUAAAAAUGAAAUUUGUUUUAUAUCAUGUGAUACAGUUAAACCUUCAAUUUGGUCGGUUUAAGUAUGAAAUUGGUUAUAUUGUUAACCGACCCAAAUUUGUGUUAAAAAAAUGUUAACCGACCUAAACCAUUAUACCACGUGCAAGUGGAGGAUUUGUAGUGACAACCUUUCGUCGUCACAAGGACGUGAAUCGAUUUAACUGCAUUGUAUAUUAACUUUUCGGGUCCUAAAAGUCGGCCAUCGUCACUUCCUGUUGGAUACACGGCGAUUUUCAGUGAGUUCCGCAGAGUCGGGUUCCAUAAGAACCUAUCCUGGAUUAUGGUGGAGUUGUGCGGCUUGUUCCGCAUUGCCCGAAGCCAACUGACACUCCCUUCCUGGGGACUUAUACAUGCCCUUCAGGUCCUUUCAGACCUGUUUGGUGUAGAAAUAACUGGUAGCAUGAUCGCUACUGCCUUCCGUACUCGUCGUUUCGAGUUGUUACCACGUCCUCGUUGUAGGUCCCCAGUGAAACGUUCGGAGUGGAUCGAAAACACAUCAACAGUUGGCAAAUAUUUUUUCGUUCUUCACCUCGGGCCGAGACCUAACGGAUUUCGUCUCUCCUUGUCGCCUCCAGGUAUCUAUAUUCCUCUGUCUGGAUAAAUCUUUUUUAUUUUACUUUUGGUGUUGGUAAAUAUAGGAUGUUAUAAUUCUAAGAUUUGAGUACAACUUAAGUGUUCAACAUCAGACUAUUCGAUGAUAUUCAAUGUCCAAGUGAUUUUCCAUUUGUAGGUUUGUCGCCGGAGGAUCCAGCUGAAUCUGCUGCGUUCCCAGAAAAUCUAAUGAAUCUAACCACAUACCUCCGUGGACCUGCUUUUUUUGCUGGAUCCCGACAUCAUCCAGAUGACUUCAUUGGCGUCUACUGACGAUCAUCUUUUCAUCCCACCACGUAAUUGUUAUUUGUUUUGUUUUACUUUUCCUUGUUUAAAUCUAUUACAUCUUUUAACAACCACUUUAUCAAUGCAAAAUCAAUGGAUGCCUUAAUCGCCACCUGCGACCAUUUUGAUUCUCUCUCUCUUGUUUCAUCUAGAUCGGUUGAGAGAUCUCCAUCCCAGCGACACCUAGAUGAACCAUCUUCUCAUUCUCCACCAGAUAGGGAUGAAAAUCCUUCCAGUUCCAAACGACCCCGUCGUUAGACUUUGUCAUCUGUUGGAAACAUAGCUUUGUUUUUGAAACUCAAGAUGUGCGUUAUUGAAUCACUCUUCCUAUAUUUGGAAAACAGUAUUUUAGAUCGUGUUUCGCUUGAAUUUUGUAACUCUUGCCACAUCCUCUGAGAAGUGCUGUUAUAUUAAUCGCUUGCUUAUGUCAAAUUAACUGUUUUUCAACUUCGACUUAAAAUUUCAUCUCACUUAAUCUUACAUAUAUUUCACAAUUUAACUAUCAUAUAUAUAUUUUAAUAUUAUAAUGCUACUAAAACUUGUGUUAGCUUUAAAUUAAGAUUACAAUAUUCAACAAAACAUUAUCGAUAUAAAUUCAUUAUACUAUCCUUUUAUGUUUAGAUUGAGUAGCAAAGGUCUUGCUUUUGGAGAGAAAACCAACAAACUUAAAAUAUGAGGUUGCUUUCAGUGGCAGACACAAAAGACAUAGGAGAACGAAAUGGCAAGGCAAUAAUGUUCCAGAAAGGCAACCGCCAGAUUAAAAAAACACAAUUGUAUUGCUAACCGAUUCAAACCAUUAUACACGUCCAAGUGGUUGAUUCAUAAAGUUCGAUAUAAAAUUCAGAUUGAGUAGCAAGGGUUUUUCUUUGGACAGCCCCUUUAAAACAACAGUUUUUCAUAAAUUAAUCAUACCUAUCCCGUUUUUAUGUAAAAACUCUACCAUUUUAAGUUCCUUCUCUUGUCAAGUCAAGUCAAAUCAUGAAAUUUGACUAUAUUUAUAAUUUAACGAUCAUAUAUAAAGUUAAUAAAGGUUUAUGUUCGAAGGGUUGUCUUGUCGAAGAGAUGUAAUACUCUCCAGCAAAAAAAAAAACACUCAACUGAUUCAAGUUAUGUACUACAAAGAUGGAAAAUCAAAUUAUCAUCUUCUCGAUUGUACAACUUGAAGAUAAUUUUCGUCGAUUCUGAGGUUGUGUUACUAAAUUUUUUAGCUCUCUACUAUAUAUUGUUAAAAGGGUCUCUUGUUAAAAUAUUCUUGUUAUUUUUAUAGAAUAUUUUGGUUGCAUGUAAAUGUAUUCUUGUAUUGAUGUAGAACGUCUAUUUCAGGAGAAGAAAAUUCAAGAAACAAUUCCUCAUGAAUGUGUUUUAUACUUUGUCGGUGACUUCCAAGUAAACAAUUGGUAUUUUGUCAAAGAUUUUAGGAUAAAGACAAAAGUUGGUAGAACCAGGACAAUCGACAACAUCUUUAAACUCAAAUUCACUAUAUCAACCAUUGUUAAGCACAUUCCUUCGGUAUCAACUUCGUUGUACUUCCAUCCUGCCUCUUUCGCUGAUAUUAUACAUUGGAGGUUUGAUUUCAAAAUUGCUGUUGGUAAGUAAUAAUCGUUCGUACUUAUAUAAGUUACGUUUCAGUUUAUUACUUAAAAUUAUAAUCUUGUAUAUGUUAUUUUAAUGACACUAUUUAUUCAAGAUGGUAUUGGCCUGGUAGUUAGUUGUGCACCAAUCCAAUUUAUUUUGAAUGAAGAAACAAAGUUCAACGACCUUCCUUUUCUGUGUUUCACAAUAGAAGAAGAUAGGUAUAUUCUAUUGCCGUUCAGUUUGAUAAAAAAUCGUUUUCGUUGUCACCAAUCUGGAGAUCCUGAAAUAUGCUUAUUACGAUUUUGGCAUAUGAAUCAAUUCCCAGAUGGUAUAAGUUUGUUCUUCUUCAUUUGGUUAAAUUGCAUACUGCAUUAAUAUGUAUUAAUUUAUCCCCAAGUUUAGUUUUUCUUAUAGGUAUGCAAGAAUACAACCAGCUACUGUGGAACCUUGAUGUACCUGAAGUUAAUGUGUUACGUGAAAGGUUCUUCGCACUUGAAUCGGACGAUUCAUCAGGAUAGAGUGAUGGUUGUGUUGGAAACUCAAAUGUCGUCAUUAUUGCGUUCUGUGUUUUUUUCUUCAUGUUUUGUUUAGUUAUGUUGUAUUAUUGUUAAAACAAAAGUGUUGGGUUAAAUUACUAAUAGAUCUCCAAUGGUGCUUCAUUUUCCACUUUUUGCUUUAUAUUUUACUCCAAUGGUACUUCAUUUUUUGCUUCAUAUGCUCUUCAUACAAACAUUUUGAUAAGAUAAAAAUUAUUGCGUUUGUAACCUUUGGACAUCGAUUUGGAAUUAUUAUUUGAGUUGACAAGAUAGUGAUGGAAGGAGACAGACUUAAAACACAACGAAAAACGAUAUGGCAAGGAUACAGCCUCAGCAAGGCAACCGCCGGCCAAUAACGUUUAUCAACUAUUUUUAGCUUGUAACCAAGAGAGAAGAACUUUAUUUUUAGAUUGUAGCCAAGAGAAAAGAGCUUUAUUACGAUACUAAAGUUUGUAACUCAGCAUUACUAUGCCCAAGUGUAUAAAUCAAAGUAAAAUAUAAGAUAUUUUAAACCGUUCAACUACAUAACUUAAUAUUGAGACUAAAAUAACUAUAUUUGACAAACUAAAACAGGAAUAAAUCGGCUUAAAAUCAUGGUAAAAAAGACCUAACUCUCUUAAAGUAAAGCACAAAACUCCAAUUGAUUAUGUGAUUCAUGAUGAUUUAAAGCGACUUUGUCAGUUUUGUGCUUUACUUUAAGAGAAUUGAGCAAGAGAAGUGGCCAUGCCUUUACCAGAGACCUUUAAUAUUUCUGCAAAAACCUUCAAUGUGAUUUCUUUUUGCAAAUUUAAGAAAAAUCAAUACUACGCCCUUUUGAUAGCAAACAUUAAACUAAAAAUAUUGUGUCCGGCACAAGUCGAACCCUGCACCCGACCCAUUAUGGCCAGCGAGAAAACCAACUCACCUAAAAGACAUAUUUAAAACUUCAAUUGAUUUUCUUAAACUUAUGUGGAAGACAGGGUUCAAACCCCGGUUGGACAUAUUCAAAACUUCAAUUGAUUUUCUUAAACUUAUAUUAGUUUAAUAUUUAAUAUCAAAACGACGUAGUUUUGAUAUUUCUGCAAAAACCCCUCAAUGUGAUUUCUUUUUGCGAAUUUACGAGAAAUCAAUACUACGUCCUUAUGUUAGCAAACAUUAAACCAAAAAUAUUGUGUCCGGCGCUGGUCGAACCCCGCACCCGCCCCAUUAUGACCAGCAAGAAAACCAACUCACCUAAAAGACAUAUUCAAAACUUCAAUUGAUUUUCUUAAACUUAUGUGGAAGACAAGAUUCAAAUCCCGGUUGGACAUUGUCAAAACUUCAAUUGAUUUUCUUACACUUAUAUUAGUUUAAUGCUUAAUAUCAAAAUGACGUAGUUUUGAUUUAUGUUAAACAACAAAAACCCUCAAUGUGAUUUCUUUUUACAAAUUUACGAGACACCCUUACUCCACAUCAUCUUCUCUCUCACAUCAUCUUAUAUUUCUUCCACAUCAUAAUUCAAUACCCACUCUAUUCCUAUUCUCUCCAAUUGUUUUGUUUAAAAAAAACUACAACACCCACUCAAUAUAACUUUAUUCAUACUUUUAGUUUAUGCUUUUGUGAUGACAUAUUACAAGUAAAAAAAUGAUUUUUUCUGUGUUCAAAUGAAAUGAAACAAGUAUCUAUUUAUAGAGUAUGAAAAAUAUGAAUUUUGAUAUAAAAUUUAUAUAUAUAUAUAUAUAUAUAUAUAUAAUUAUAAUUAUUAAAAAAUAAUAGAUGUUAAAUAAUUGAGAUAAAAAAAAAUCAAAAAGUAAGUCUAAUGCAACUCUUUCUCUCUUUGAAUAUUGGUCCAAUCAAUAUUUGUCACGUCAUACAAAAAGGACCCUUUUUUCUCAACACCCAUCGAUAAGUUUCAACACUGAAUUUGCCACAUCAUGUAUUUUACUUUUAUAACAAACGAUUGUAAGCUUAUCAACAGUUGUUAAUAUUUAUCAACAGUUGAUAAAACUCUCAUUACAAAAUAAUCUAAUAAACCUCUUUUUCACAUUAAUUAACAAAAUAUCAAAACGAAAAUCAUUUCAGAAAUGAGACUUUUAUCAUUCUCAAAUUCGAAUGGUAGAAAUUUCGAGAUUUAGGGUUUUGGGAUCCAUGGUCCGUAAAAAGACGACACCAAUCUAUUUUGCUGUCAACCAGUGGGAUCCAAUGGUUGUUCAGAAGGUUAAGCCAUUUAAACCCUAUGGUACACUUGUUACAGAAGUAUUGCAAAUGUCGGGGAGGGAACCAAUGCAGCCUGCUACUGUAGAAGUGCAGAACAGGGGAAAUCACAGUAACCCGUUGAUAUCUCAUGAGACGGUAUGUAUCAUAGAACUAGGAAAUACUACAGUAUUACAUGGGCUUCACUACCUUUACUAAUUGUAUUUCAGGUGGAUGGAAAGGAACCAGUACAUCCAAAGCGGAUGUGCUUUAAUCCGACGGAGUAUAAGAAGCAAAUCAAGCUCUCUUCAAGGUGUUACAUCAAAAAGGCAGUGAAGACAUUGAAUUUUUUAAAAGUUCCGCUUACAGCAGACGAGAGGAGAUGGUUUGAGACACACGAUCAAUUCAAACACUUCUUCCACAUACCCCAGAAGAAACACCACAAGGUUAUGGGAAUGUGGAUGCUUUUACUUCGAAGUGUGUGUACAGAGAAGAAAAAGGAAGCUUGGUUUGUAUUCAAUGGGACUCCCAUCCGAUAUUCACUUAGAAAACACACACUGAUAUCUGGUUUAAACUGUCAGUGGUAUCCGCAUAACUAUGAAUAGUUGGGCCGCUUAGAUUUUGCGAGAAGACCGUUUCCCGAAGGAAGUAGAAUGGCAUAUGAUGAUGUGGAAGAGAAUCUGCGUAAAAUGGAAGCAUGUCCAUAUAGGUUGAAGAUGUGUGUACUUUAUUUCUUAUCUAGCAUACUUAUAUGCAAGAGCAGGACCGAAGACAAAGCACCCUUCGAGGAUCCCUUUUUUGUAAGAGGUGUGAAUAAUCUUGAGAUGUAUAAAACGUUUCCUUGGGGAAGAUUAUCAUUUGAUCAAAAUAUGGGGGAUAUCAUUCGUGCAAUAAAUCACUUUGGUGGAGUUGUCAACAAAGGUGGGUUCACGUUUCCAAGUUUUUGUACUUCUUUAGAGCUUCUACCGUUUGAGGCAAUUCCACAACUGAAGAAGAAGUUUCGUGAACUUCAUAGAGGACGCACAAAGAGCAGUUGUCCCCGGAUGUGCAAGUCUCAGUACAUACCAUGUGCCAUGACAGGAUUUCCACUUUCGGACAUAAAUAAAGCACUUGGCAAAACAAAGGUUAUUAUUAAUUUAGAUCUAAAUUGCUUUUAGGUUGCAUAACAAGUUUUGUUAUUGAAUUUCUUGUAAUGAUAUUUAAAAUGGCAGGUAACUGAAAGUAUCUUGCUCCCAUCAGUUGACGAAGAAUCUAUGCUUGAGAGAAUAUUCGAAAGACCAUGAUGUCAGUGAUGUUAUUGUUGACGGUUGGACACAGCAUCUCGUUACGAAUCAUAAGUCAAUAUGGUUUGAAGAUUUGUACAAUAAAGAUGUGGCUGCUAGGAAAGAAGGGUUAAACAUUGAUAUUCUAGAAGAGCCAGCCCGAGAAGUGGGUGACGAAUAAAGUCGAUGAGGAAAAUUUUAUUUCUCUUCGAACUUUGAUUUAAGAAGGAUUGACAAAUUUCGUCAACAAGGGGAUUAAGGUUGUAAUUGACAAGGUUGAUGAGAUGGAUAAAAGACUUAGAGAGGUGGAAGCUUUUGUUAAGGAAGCGAAAGAAAAGAGUGCAUCAACUUGGGAUGGAGAACCACCGUUGGCUGAGCAGGUACCUUUUGUAAUACUAGAGUAUCUCUAAGUAUUUACAAUAUCACGUAGACCUAGCUAAUUCUAAGCGUAACUACAUGAAUCAGAGGAGGGAGCUACUGCAUCCACUACGGAUGGUGAAGCUACUCGAAAGAGAAAUGUGUCGGAUGAUAUGAACCAAACCUGUGUGGUUGAAAGGCCUUUCACGAAAGGGAAGUAUAUAUGAGACAGCUUUUUGGGGAAAUGAUCUAGUUUAAUGUUAUGUUAUCUGGUAUCAAGCACUAAAUGCAAACAAUAAGCUAAAAGAGACCUUUAUGAAUAUAUGAUUUGCUGCAAUGGUUCAACCAGAUGAGGUGUUUUUCCACUGCCAUUGAACGGUUAUUUCCUUGCUAACAAUUAUUGCUGUUUUUCCCUUGUCAAUAACCGCAUGUUCCCUUGCUAACUCCAAAAAACCAGCUGCAUCAUGGGCUCAUUACCUAAAUCAGCCAAGAAGGGGACAUAGUGCCCCCAUGGUAUAGAAGCAAAACUAGGUUAUAUGACUCAGAGUACUUCAGUCUGCAGACGCCUUCACACUCGGUCAUUCCUUUUCAUUUCCUCCUCUCAGAUUCAGAUAGCUCGUCAUGGACGGAGUUGGACCCCACAACAACUUGCAAUCUCUGGAUAAAUGCAUCGCUAACAUUAUGCUACGCUUAGGUUGUCUCGAGGUAUCUUUUUGUAUAUGGGAUCCUAUUAUUAUAGAUUUUUACAUUUCAUGGAUUUGUGCCACUAGUAUAACUAUAAAUUACACGUACUUUUAGAUAAAUAGUUAUUGAUCCAACUUUUUUUUAAUGUUAUAAGGAUCAUGUUCUUGAGGUUCCAUGUGCAAAUGCAGAGUUUGGUUGCCCCGCAAAUGUGAAAUGUUUUGCAAUGCAAAGACAUUUGCUGCAGUGCGAAUGCAACAGUACAUUAGAUGGGCGUUGUGUCUGCAGCUUCAUUGGAACAUACCGUAAAUUGUAUGCCCACACCAGUAGUGGCCACUCUGACGAUCUGCAGAUGAUUGAAUGUGGAAAAACAAGGUCUAUAAGCUUUGCUAAUCAUCAAAGGGUAGUUCUCAAGGAACAAAGUAAGAGAGGAGGAUAACUUAUUGUUGUGGAUCGUCUCAUCCAGACACAUGGUGCACAUUUCAAUGUAAGAUGUAUUUCGCCCAACGUUCCUAGAAUGGGAAACUCCGGGAAGCUGACGGUAUGUUCAACAUCUACAUUGUCAUUUGAACGAACGGUAAUCUCUAGAGCUAAUAUUGCAAGCAGCGAACUACUUCCUCAGCCUUUUGUUGUUCCUUUGUUCAUGGGUCCUGCCACUGAGGUUCUCAUAUUAAUCAAUAGGGUUGAGACUGUUGGUUAGGGAGAUCGGUGAUAAUGUGUUUGCAGUUUACUUUUCGAACUUUUUCAAGUUUCCAGUUUGUGUUUGUUAACUUCAUUUUAAAUUGGUCCGAACUACAUUCGUUUAAGUAUUGAAGCUUUUUUUCUGCUUACUCAUGACAUUAAGAAACGAAGAAAUUAGCAAGAAAUUGAACUAAAUUGACGUACAAGAAGAUUUACUCUAUGGAUUAAUAAAAAAUAACAUUGGACGGAAUCGAACUUGAGACCUGUGGGUGUAAAAUUUUAUUUUUACCAAUUAGCUACCAAAUGCUAGCUUGCCAAUACUCACCUGCUAGCUUGCCAGUACUCACCUGUUAUCUUGCCAAUAUGUUAAUGUUUCGCUUGAAUUCAUUAAGGGUGAAAAGGUAAUUGUACGCAUUUUAACAGGAAGGUGGAGGGGCACAUGUCUCACAUUUAAGUUCUAUUUUUCGUCUUCCAUUCAUCUUUUGUUCUUCUCCAGUUACAGAUCUUGUAUUCAUCGGUACCCGUCGGGCGAUCUCAACGAAGUUUAUUCGCUGUUAACUUCUUCUUACCAUAAGGUGAAGGAUUCCCAAAACUUACGUUCACUUCUGUCAAAUUUGCAAAUUAGGUUUCCGAUGUGUCUUGUUCUCUCUAUUUCUGUUUAAUUUGUUUGAUUAGAAACUUCUAUGACAUAAAACCUUCAUCUUCUUCCUCUGUUUCUGUGGGUUGUCAUUGGUGUCCGAUAUUGCCAACUGGUGAGUAUAAUGGAGUUCCGUCGAAGUUUUUUUCCUGACGAAACAAGGCCAGAUCCAACGAAUUAUAUAAAUUACAGCUCCACUUUCAAGUCCCUGAAAGCAGUAAAAGAUGUAGUUAGUGUUGAAGUGUGGGAGUAUGUUGAGAAGUCUCCACUGGGAAUAAUUAUUAAGUUCAUGGAUCUAGAGUUUGCAUGGAGCUCAACAUUGGUACAUUACGUUUUUUCUAGACAACUCUAUUGCAAGAAACGACAUGAGCUCUGGUUUUUGAUAGAAAAACAGCCUGCCCGUUUCUCGUUAUUUGAGUUUGAAGAUAUCACAGGUUUAAACUGUGAACCAUUACCUAAUACAAUGGUGGUGGAAGAUGUUGAGAAAAGUAUAAGUUUUUGGGCCCUGUUCCACCUGAGAUGCACCCGUUCAACCCCAGGCGCUGAGGACAUACGUACACUCAGUCGGUCUCCUGAUGUUUGCAGAUCCUGGUCCAGGGAAGACCAGAUUAGGCUGUGUUAUUUGGCCAUCUUGACAGGCGGUUUACUUGCCCUUGAUCGAAGAGAAGCUAUCCCUCCUUCUAAAGCAAAGCUGCUUAUGGAUUUGGAGAUUUUCGAGCAGUAUCCCUGGGGAAGAGUGGCUGUCGUUUAACUUGUUCAUCAGAUUAAGUACACAACUGCAAAGAAAAUCAAGGACAACAGUUAUGUCUGCAAGGGAUUCGUGCAAGUAAUCCAGGUUUGGGCUUACACUUAUAUACCCUGUCUUGGAGAAGCAAUCGGGCAUCCUAUCGGUUCAAGUGGUCCAUGCUUACUGAGGUUCAAAGGCAAGUUUGGAAAGCUCCCCUUGGGUGCUAUACUUGAAAAACCGAAGGUAUGUUAACUUCGUAUGGAUUCAUCAAAAAUUUAUAUUUUAAUUGUUGUUGACAACCAAAUAAUUUUUUGUAUAGGUAACUUCUAUGUGCCCGCGAAGCGUAGAUGAAGUUCAUCCAGUUUGGGAACACCAAGAUGAGGAUCCUGUGAUUGACAAUCUUUUGGAGUUCCUUCGCCAAGACAAUUCCCUUAGUACCAUUACUUGGCAACCCUUGCCGGAGUACCCAUUGACACCGAUUGAAUGUAACAAGCGUAGGCUAGUUGCAAGCUAGAGGAAAUCAAAGAAGGUGGCAAGCAACGAGCAAGAGAACAUAGCAGAUGGAGGUGAAAAACUUGGUGAUAUUGCAGAAACUGAAGAACAAGUUCAAAGCCAUGACGUUUUAAUGUCUCCCAGAAAUUUAUAUCAGCUGUUGUCUGAAAAAGUGGAGGUUUGGGAAGAGCAAUUUAAUAGUGUACCGGUCUCAGCAGUUUUUCAAUCUGCGGGUGGCAUUACCAUAGAUAAUCUAGCAUCUCGAAUCACUCAGCAGGAAGAAAUUAUGCUAGUCAUAACAACCGCACACGAUCAGUUCUCUAACACAAAGCUACCAGCAAAACCAGCUACACCAGCGGUAUGUCAUUUGUUUCAGUAAGCAAUGACAAGGCAACAAUAAGUGAUGUUUCUUAAUUCCCUUUGAGAUUAUUGUUGUUUUCUGGCACAGAAAAUAGAAGGUAGCACAUGAGUAACUACAGUACAAGGAGCUGAUGGACAUCAUGACCAAGGAAAAGAAGUAGACAAAGAAGAUGGCAAACUGGUCAGAGAAGAUCACCCAGACAACCCAGAGGAAGAGAAUGCAGUAGAAGACAUGGAAGAGGAACUGCCAUUUGAGGUGGAAGGCAAAGAUGUUGGAGAGACUGCACUACAAACAAAAAGGGAAGAUCAUGCAGAUAACCGAGAGAAAGAGAAUCCAGGAGAAGAAGCUGUUGAAGAACAAGGAAAUGAAGAAUCACAACCAAAAUCCCAGGUUGAUACACUAUUGCAGGAAAUAGUUCAAUGUUACUCGUUGUAGGAAACCGAGCCUUCAAAAAAAGAGGAUCACUGCUUGUUAAUACCAAAGGUUGAAGAGACUUCUGAGUCCAAAAAGGAACCAGAUUAUAUCAAGGCUAUUAUGGUAUCGUCAGGGUCACUCAACCCACAUCCUUUUGCACGAAUGCAGCAAACAGACAAACUUGAAGCCACUUCAUCUGCCUCAGUCACCACUGUCGUGCCUUUCCGAAGACUUGUUGGAUAAAGUGGUGCAGAGAAAGAUCAGCCAUUUACAGUUGCAGGCAAACCAUCCCCCUCCCAGUUAUCAAAAGAAUAGGAUCCUUGUCUUGUCGCAGAACCUAAGAAGCCCAUUUGAACCUGGCACCCAAGUUAAGGGGGUUUUGAACAGAUAUGUGAAGGUUUACACAUUAACCGAACGGGAGGAGGUUGUAUAUGGGUCAGUUGGAGAUUCAAAAGUUGUAGAGCUAAACUUUUUUAAGAUUAUAAAGUAAGUAUCAAGUGUCUUCUAUUGAGUUUCAUUUUCUACGCGAACUUCAUUUCUCAUAUUCACCUGCAGGGAUUCUGUUUAUCCAAUUGCUCGCUGACAAGCGCCAGUAAAUUCUUCAACGUAUUUCUGACAAAGAGGGAAUGGUUGGAUGAUGAGGUAGGAGAUCUUACAUUUGACACAUACUUAGGUCUGUUUUGUUGGCACUCUUAAAUAUAUUUUUUUCCUUUUGUAGCACAGGGACGCAGCUUUAAGUUUGUAUAGAUUAAGAUUUUAACAACACCCAGACAUGUUCCUAUCUACAAAGAUUGCUAUUAUGAACGCAACCUUCCAGAUGCUGUGGGGACAUCAGUACAAGAACUGGAAAGUAAAUUAAUUCCCUCCUGGUGGGACAUAUUACUACUACUACAGGCUUGCUCCACGAUAUGCUGAAACAAAGAUGUGGUGGGAGAAAGAUGUCGACACACUAUAUUCCUGUAUUAGUUUGCAGAAUAGUCAUUGGGUAGCCAUGGUUAUUUACAUCUCGGAUCGGACUGUCAAAAUCUAUGGUAGUGGUUAGGCAAGGGAUGUUCGGUUAAGGGAAGCGGCGGAGCCGUUUGCUAGAAUGGUUCCCAUGCGUUAUGAUUUUACGAAAAUAAGGAACGCAAGCCAUUUGUGGAUCAUACUGACUUUACAAUCGAAUGUAUAUAAAAAGGGGUUCCACGAGCAACAUCCCCAUAUGGGGACUGUGGAGUUUAUGUACUAAAAUUCCUAGAGUGUCUAAUGAUGGGUGUUGAGUUAAAAUCAAAUUUUCUUAAUGAUGGAAACAUGGGCUUAGUGAGGGAAAACCUCGCAGCAGAGAUGUAUGUAGAAACAGCAAGCGCAAACGCGAAUAUGUGGGAUCCCGAAUUUGUAACAAAGGCGAUUGAUGAGGCUAUUCCAGUUGAGUAGAAACCUUUGUAACAAAUAUGUGGGAUCCCGAAUUUGUAACUGUUGUCUUGCUCUGUACAACUAGGUAAACUUGAGAAACUCUAAGUAACUCUUUGUUCCAAAAGUGUUUCGAUAGGAAACUUGUGACUGAGGGCAACCGCAACCGCUUGGUUAAGGACGCUUGAAAAAUUGAAAAAUUAGUUUAGGUUUUAUAUUGUCCUUUGGCACCUUAUUGUAUACUACCGGUUAAGUACCAUUUUUUUUUGAAAAAGGAAAAUACCGGUUAAUUAAGGACGCUUGAGAAUUUGAAAAUUAGUUUACCUUUUAUUAUGUCCUUUGGCACCUUAAUCUCACAGGCAGACCUAAGAAAAAAACUCAGAAUAAGUAUAGCAAUGCAAUAAAGUGUUUCGCAAGGAGACUUGUGACUGAGGGCAAUCGCAACCGCUUGGUCCAAGCUAAAAAAAUAUUUUUAAAAUUACGCUUGAAACUUUAAAAUUUUCUUUUUAGAUUUAGAAGGUCCUCUUUCACCAUAGGAUCACUGGCAGAUCUGAAAGAAAACCAAAAGAAACAACGGAAGACGAUAAUGUGUUCGCAAUAUACCCGCAGAUGGAUUGGAAGGGACCAGCAACCUGUGGCCAUUUUAAAGCUGAUGAUUCCCCUUCCGGUUACAUGCUGUUGUCUUGCUCUGUACAACUAGGUAAAUUUGAGAAACUAUAAGUAACACUUUGGUCCUAUUAAAUUUACAGAUACAAGCCAAAAUUUAUAUUUGUACAAACCAACAAUUUUAAUAGUUUAUUGUAUAUUCACAAAAUAGAUUUUUAAAAUUUUUUAACAUUUUAAAAUUUUAAUUACUUUUUUUUUUUUUUUGAAAAUAGAAAAAUUGGUUAAGGACGCUUGAAAAUUUGAGAAAUUAGUUUAGGUUUUAUUAUGUCCGUUGGCAGUUUAUUGUAUACUACCGGUUAAGUACCAUUUGUUUUUGAAAAAGGAAAAUACCAGUUAAUUAAGGACGCUUGAGAAUUUGAAAAUUUAUUUUAGCUUUUAUUAUGUCGUUUGUCACCUUAAUCUCACUGGCAGGCCUAAAAAAGAGUUAGAAUAAGUAUAUUAAGGCAAUAAAGUGUUUCGCAAGGAGACUUGUGACUGAGGGCAAGUGAUAGACCAUGGAUUUUACCCAUUAUUAGCCAUGGGAUAUAAGAGUUUUAAGGUAUAUUUACUUCUUUAUAAAAUCUAUUUAGAGUCUCUUUAGAGUAAUUACAAGUUCAUGUAUUUACUAGAGGAAAAUGAUGUAUUUGGAGGUAUUUGGAGACUUUUUGAGUUUUGCUUAAAAAAGAAAAUGGUCGAUCAUUUAUUUAGAAUAUCGACUGACGGACAUCAAGAAUAAUCAAUCGAUGAAAAACUUGCAUCAUCAAUCGACGGCGAAGCCACCCGCGAGUUAAUGACAAAUUAGAAGAUUGCAAGUUUCACAAAAGAUUCAAUAAUUACAUUCUAAGUCUCUGACCGCCUGUAGGCUAUAUUAUUAGGGUUUUGUUUCAUUUUAGAGGUAAAUUUGCCUAGAGACUUUUUAGACCUAGUUUGGAGGGAGCAAGAAGCCACCAUUGGAGAUAGAGCUUAGGAUUGGAGAGAUAGAUCUAAACUACAAAACAGAGAAGAUCUUGAACUCCUUUGCUUGUGUUUACUUUAUUGCUUACUCUUGUUUUUCACUUUAAUUAAGUAUUAUUCAGACCAUUAUAACUAUGUGUUUCAUGAAUAUGUCUGCGUAGACCUUACUGUUAGAUUUAGAAAUCUCAAUAGGUUGAUAAAUGUAUUACUGACUCAAACUGUUGUUAGGGUGUUUAAAAAUAUAGUUCUUCAUCUAGUUAUUCUUAAAGCUAAGUUUAGGAUUGAUCACCUUCAAACUUAGAUCUUAGGAUUAAUUGAGUUCAAGCAAUUGCUUGUCUCAAUACCUAAAAAUAAGCUAUUAUGAUCUAACUGACUAGAUACAAACGAGAUUUGAACUAUGUUGGGCUCAAAAUCGGUCACGACAGAAUCAAGGUCCGAAAGUCCCCGGAAAAUAUUUCUCGCAAUAAAAUUUCGUAUAAUUCUCCGGAAAAUAUGUUCUUGAUAUAUUUUAUCGACAACAAGAAGCAAACAUUAUUGGGGUCAAAAACGGUUAUCUCGAAAUAAACAUCCAAAAUUGUGUUUCUGUACAAAAGCUUUCUCGACACACUCUCGACAAAAGUUCCUGAGCAAAAGACUCGAGAGAAAUGGAUCACAGAACCAAACACGCAGUCCAACUUGUUUGUUCGAACCUUUUGAGGUGCAAAACUUCACAGACGCGUCAGAUAUUUAGCUAUGUAUGAAGAGCUUCCCAUGGUCUAUUGAGCCAAUCUUCUGACACAAGAUAGAGCUUUGAGUUACUUUUCACAUGCCACCGGUUUGAGGUCAAUCAGUAUCCUGUAGCAUAAGUUAUACCCGUUUUAUUGAAGGGUGGACAUAGCACAUGGUCCAGCUCGGCGGAUGGCCGAGAUGGAUCGACAACACGACCUGCUCGGCCAUCCGCCGAGCUGAACCAGUCCAGCUCGGUGGAUGGCCAAGCUGGAUCGAACAUGUGACCAGCUCGGCCAUCCGCCGAGCUGGACCAGUCCAGUUCGACUGAUGGCCAAGCUGGAUCGACAACACGACCAGCUCGGCCAUCCGCCAAGCUGGAGCAGUCCAAUUCGGCGGAUGGCCGAGCUGGAUCGAACACACGACCAGCUCGGCCAUUCGCCGAGCUGGACCAAACACGCGACCAGCUCGGCCAUCCACCGAGCUGGACUAGGCCAUCCGCCGAGCUGGAACGAUCGUGUUGUUAUCAUCCCAUCCUCGCAGCUCCCCCUUCGGGAUUAGAACAAACUUUCUCUUGUUUCAUCUCGAUCGGAGUUACCGUUGGAACUUUACGAUUUGAAUCGCAAGAACUCGUUCUCUCGAAUAACAUUCGGAUUGAUCAUAUAAAACGGCAACAGUUAGAUGAAAACCUCAAAUUCCCUAUGCUAUACGAGGAAUUUGAAUGUUCUUCGGAAUCGACGUCGUUUCGAAAGCGCUCUUUUUAUAAUAUCAUAAAAACGCCUAGGUCGGAAAACGGCCCGAACGGGCCCAGAACGCGGCUAAGAGCCCACUUACGAUUUUAUACAAAAUAAAACCCAAUUGUUAUGACGGUUUAAAUUUUGUUAUGCAGGAGAAGAUAAAUGUCAAGUUCGGAGGAUAAAUGUGAGGUUUCCAAAGAUAAACACAAAGAUCGAGGGAAAAUAGAAUAUUUCCGCGAAGCGAUAAACUCGACCAAGGGCAGAAAGGGAAAGAGCAAACCGCCUCUAGGAGGAGUAUAUAAGGACAUCGAGGUUGAAGAGGCAAGGGGACAAGUCUUUUUUACUCUUAGAACUCUCUGCACCUAGAAACUUUUAGGCAUUAUUCUCGACAUGUUCUGUUUCUAUGACUGGCACUCGAUUACUAGACGAACUCGCCCAGGCAGUUCGAUCUCUUGUUCCACUCUUUCAGUCGAACUACGUUCGGCUUAAUCCUCGAGAGGGGUACGUAGGCAGCUUUUCAUAAGGUUCAGUCCAACUCCAAUCAAAACCUUUUUCGUAUCUUUUUCGUCUUCUGUUAUCGAGCUGCGACUCAACUAGGUUUAAUGUUUUAGGUUGCUAGAACUAACUAAUUCGUUGACAGCCCUUGCGGCCGAAGCUUUUAUAAUCUAUUGUAAUGAUCGCAACGCUCUUACGUGGAUUCGAAAUAAGAUCUAUUUUUUCUAUGAAUUCGUUUUGUUAUCUUUUCGUAUUUUCUGCAUUUUUUUGGUUACUUGUCGCUGGCUAUCACAGAGAAUCCACGACCUCAGGGAAAGUUAGGGUUUCUUGACUUUCCUCCGAUUACAGAAAUCGACGGUGUGAAUUUCGGUUCCCACAAUCUAGUGAGUUAGAGAAUAUAAAUCAAACCUGUCCGUAAAGAUUUUUGGAAGAAUCAUCGAUCGACGCAACAAUAGUUCUGUCGAUCGAUAUUUUGAAAGUUGUAUCGAUCGAUGUUCUUAAUGAAUCAUCGAUCGACACUUUCUCGAGCUUGAUAUACGAUAAGUUAAAUCCGAUAUCCAGAUUAGAUAAUCAGAUUGAUUAUAUCUUUGUUUGAAUGCAAGAACAAUUGAUAUCAAUAAACCCCUAAAACUCCAAAUUAAGUAUUUACUUAUCAUACCUGAGAUUAUACUUGAAUCUAGCUAUUCUCCCAACUGUUAACAGCCUCAAAACCUACCAAUCGAGAAAUAACCUUGCUCACCAAUUCAUUUAUUGCUUUAAAACCUAUAAACCAACUAAUCUAGCAUAUUUUUGAAAGACCAUAAUCUAUUGAGUAAUCCUAGAGUCUCUGUGGAUUUGAUCCCUAAGUACUACACAUGAACCUCUUAUUUGAGAUAGUAAUUCACUCCUUAGGGUAAUUUGAGUGAUAUCAAAUUUGGCGCCGUUGCCAAGGACUCUUUCUUAUUACCAUUAGAUUAAGUUUAGAAUUUAGUCUAGAUUCUGUUACUGAAUUUGCUAAAAGUUUUCCCUCUUUUCCUGCUGACACAGGAACUUAAAGAUGGGAAAUAUGGAUUCGGCUGGACAUCGAUCGACGAAACAACAAUAACAUCGAGCGAAGAGUCGAUGGAAAAAUUGAUCGACCCUGCACAUAAAACGUAGAUGACACCCCGCCAGAAUCAGGUAAGUUUUCUCUCACCAAUACUGCUAAUGAGGGAGUAGUCCUAGGAGUAUUUGACUGUUGGGGGAUAGAUGUCAAUGCCAUGGAUCCGGUUAUGCUGGACAUUUUGCAACCUUUAAAACGUUAUCAAAAAUUCUCCACAAGGAUUCUGGCGGCCAACUAUGUUUCGCGAUGCUCACGCAUUCAUAGAACAAUGCGCCAGAUGUCAACGGAGAGGAAAAAUCAGCAAAAGACAUGAAAUGGAACAUAAAUCGAUUCUAGAAGUAGAAGUAUUUGACUGUUGGGGGACAGAUUUUACGGGUCCUUUCCCUUCUUCGUACGGGAAUAAAUAUAUCCUAGUCGCUGUUGAUUAUGUGUCAAAAUGGGUCGAAGCAGUAGCUUCCCCAACACAUUAUUAAGCUUUUCAAAAGCAUUAUCUUCCCGAGAUCUGGAAUUCUCCGAGUAGUCAUAAGGGACGGCGGAUCUCAUUUCAUUAACAGAAUUUUUGAGGGAUUACUCCGGAAGAACGGAGUGCACCAUAGAGUUGCUACGCCCUACCACCCACAGACAAGCGGACAGGUAGAAGUCUCAAAUUGGCAGAUCAAAGAAAUCUUAGAAAAGACUGUACGAACAUCUAGGAAGGAUUUGUCUAGGAAAUUAGACAAUGCACUCUGAGCUUACCGGACUGCAUUUAAAACUCCUUCAGGAACCACCCCAUUUCACCUGCUCUAUUGAAAGUCAUAUCACUUACCGGUUGAGCUAGAACACAAGGCAGCCUGGGCUAUUAAAUGAUUAAAUUUCGAUAUCAAACCAGCUGCCGAAAGGAGACUCAUGCAGCUUAACGAGCUGGAUGAGAUAAUACAUUUAGCCUAUGAGAGUUCAAAGAUAUAUAAAGAAAAGACGAAAGCAUAUCAUUAUAGAAAGAUAAUCUCCAUGAACUUUGAACCAAAUGAUCAAGUGCUGCUAUAUAACUCUCGACUUACGUUAUUUUCCAGAAAACUCCGAUCUCGUUGGUCAGGUCCAUUUACUGUUGUAGAUGUCAAAUCUUAUGGAGCCAUCACGCUUAUAAACGAUAAAGGAGAAGAAUUCACAGUGAACGGUCAACGAGUAAAACACUAUUGGGAGGCAACCCGUUUCUAGUUUUAGAAUGUUCAGGAUUUAAAAAAAAAAUAAUAAUCUACGGAAAACAUAAUGGCUGUCGAUCGAAGAAGAGGUGCUUACGUCGAUCGACGGUGGGGCGCUUAUGUCGAUCAACUUAAAGGUGUGUAUGUCGAUCGACAUUCUCGACAAAAGGGUACGAACAUGCUUUUCUCUAGUCUAACAUCUAACUUAGUACUUAUGAUUUAUUCUCUAACCAAUCUUAGACUGAAUAUCACUGGGGACAGUGAAAUAUAAGUUUGGUGGAGGUAUUUACUAAUAAUAGUUUGUUAAUGAUUUAUAUUUAAAAAUGUUUUCAAAAUUUUUUAUCGAGUCAAGAAGGGGAUAAUGAACUUUUUAAAGUUUUUACUUGUUAUCUAACUACUAUAUAGCACCUGAUAGACUAACUGACUGCAGAAAGCACUAUAGAUACUAAAGUGGAACCAAUGCUGACCUCCAACUUAACCUGACUUAACUGCUUGUCUUGGGGAUUGGUAUGCAUUAGAUCGGACUCCUCUUAUCUGAAAGGCGUAAGUCUGUAAGUCUGUAAAUUUUAGAUUUCUUUCUCUCCUCCCUUCAGCAUCUUAGGAUAUGAAAGAUUAAAAUGAUUUCCUGGAAGAGGCAGAGGGGUAGGAGCGUCUCCUGUGAAUCCAUUAUUCUAAGUCUGAAGGGAAUGAUCACACAAUUGUGGAAACGAGGGGUAGGAGUGUGUUUUAUGACCCCGGUAUUCUCUACACUUUUUUAAUAAAAAACAAAAAUCGAAAAGAUGAUGAAUAAGAUGGACUACAUCAGCAUCAUUAUUCAUUGGAAUUGAGAUAAAAAGAUUCAGAGAAGAGAGAUAUAGGGAGAAAAGAAACCAUAAUAAUCCCACAUGUUUACUCAGAUGCCUGCUAGGGUAAGAGUCCAUGUAUCUUUUGAUCGAUAUUCCUAAGAUUUAGCCUACACUUUUAUUUAUGCAAGAAAUGAGGUUAGUAGAGGGGAAUGUCAGAUAAGAUAUGUUGAGUUGUUGGCUAGAUGAAUUUGGUUACUAUACUAGGAUAACAUAUGAUGUGUUUUUAAAGUUGGGAUUUCAUUGAUGGGGUUAGCAACAUUAUAGAAGUGAUGAUUCUUAGUUUUAACUCUGUGAGUCCCUGCUGUUUCCAAACUUCUCUCAGAGACACUGCUCUAGUAUGUUUUGCUUGAGGACAAGCAAAAGAGUAAGUCUGGGGGAGUUAAUAGACCAUGGAUUCUACCCAUUAUUAGCCAUGUGAUAUACGUCUUUUAAGGUAUAUUUGCUACUAUAUAGAGUCUAUUUAGAGUAAGUACAGGUUCAGGUACUUACUAGAAGAAAAUGAUGCAUUUGGAGACUUUUUGAGCUUUGCUGAAAAUAGUAGAUGGUCGAUCAUUUAUUCAUAAUAUCGACCGACAGACAUCAAGAAUAAUCGAUCGAUGAAAGACUUGCAUCAUCGAUCGAUGGCGAAGCCACCUGCGAGUUAAUGACAAAUUAGAAGAUUGCAAGUUUCACAAAAGUUUCAAUAAUUACAUUCUAAGUCCCUGGCCGCCUGUAGGCUAUAUUAUUAGGAUUUUGUAUCAUUUUAGAGGCAGACUUGUCUAGAGACCUUUUAGACCUAGUUUGGAGAGAGCAAGAAGCCACCAUUGGAGAGAGAGCUUAGGAUUGGAGAGAUAGAUCUAAACUACAAAACAGAGAAGAUCUUGAACUCAUUUGCUUUCAUUUACUUUAUUGCUUACUCUUGUUUUUCACUUUAAUUAAGUAAUAUUCAGACCAUCAUAACUAUGUGUUUCAUGAAUAUGUCUGAGUAGUCCUUACUGUUAGAUUUAGGUUUCUCAAUAGGUUGAUAAAUGUAUUACUGACUCAAACUGUUAUUAGGGUGUUUUAAAAAAUAGUUCUUCAUCUAGUUAUUCUUAAAGCUAAGUGUAGGACUGAUCACCUUCAAAUUUAGAUCUUAGGAUAAGUUGAGUUCAAGCCAUUGCUUGUCUCAAUACCUGAAAAUAAGCUAGUAUGAUCUAACUGAUUAGAUACAAACGAGAGUUGAUCUAGUGAGUUAGAGAAUAUAAAUCAAACCUGUCCGUAAAGCUUUCUCGAAAAGCAUCGAUCAACGCAGCAAUAUUUCUGUCGAUCGAUAUUUUGAAAUGUGUGUUGAUCGAUGUUCUUAACGAAUCAUCGAUUGACACUUUCUCGCGAUUGAUAUACGAUAGUUGAAAUCCGAGAUCCAGAUUAGAUAUUCAGAUUGAUUAUAUCUUAGUUUGAAUUCAAGAACAAUUGAUAUCAAUAAACCCCUAAAACUCCAAAUUAAGUAUUUACUUAUCAUACCUGAGAUUAUACUUGAAUCUAGCUAUUCUCCCAACUGUUAACAACCUCAAAACCUACCAAUCGAGAAAUAACCUUGCUCACGAAUUCAUUUAUUGCUUUAAAACCUAUAAACCAACUAAUCUAGCAUAUUUUUGAAAGACCAUAAUCUAUUGAGUAAUCCUAGAGUCUCUGUGGAUUUGAUCCCUAAAUACUACACAUGAACCUCUUAUUUGAGAGAGUAAUUCACUCCUUAUGGUAAUUUAAGUGAUAUCAGCAACCGCAACCGCUUGCUCCAAACUGAAAAAAAUUUUUUUUUAAAAUUACGAUUGAAACUUUGAAAUUUUCCUUUUAGAUUUUAAAGCGUCCUCUUAACCUUAGGAUCACUGGCAAGGCAAUAAUAUGUUCGCAAUAUACCCGCAUUUGGAUGGCAAGGGAACAGCAACCGGUGGCCAGUUUAAAGCUGAUGAUUCCCCUGCCGGUUACAUGAUGUUGUCUUGCUCUGUACAACUAAGUAAACUUCAGAAACUCUAAGAAACUCUUUGGUCCUAUUAAUUGUAGAGAUACAAGCCAAAAUUUAUAUUUGUACAAACCAAUAAUUUUAAUAGUUUAUUGUAUAUUCACAAAAUAGAUAUUUUAAAUUUUUUAACAUUUUACAUUUUUAAAUGAUUUUUUAUUUAAAAAAGCAAAUACCGUUUAAGGACGUUUGAAAAUUUGAAAAAUUAGUUUAGGUUUUAUUAUGUCUUUUGGCACCUUAUUGUAUACUACCGGUUAAGUACCAUUUGUUUUUGAAAAAGGAAAAUAUCGGUUAAUUAAGGACGCUUGAGAAUUUGAAAAAUUAGUUUAGCUUUUAUUAUGUUCUUUGGCACCUUAAUCUCACAGGCGGACCUAAAAAAGACUCAGAAUAAGUAUAGCAAGCCAAUAAAGUGUUUCGCUAGGAGACUUGUGACUGAGGGCAACCGCAACCGCUUAGUUCAAGCUCAAAAAAUAUUUUUAAAAUUAUGUUUGAAACUUUGAAAUUUUCUUUUUAGAUUUAAAAAGGUCCUCUUUCACCUUACGAUCACUGGCAUGCAAGAAAGAAAACCAUAAGAAACAAGGGAACAACAACCGGUGGCCAGUUUAAAGUUGAUGAUUCCUCUGCCGGUUACAUGUUGUUGCCUUGCUCUGUACAACUUGGUAAACUUAAGAAACUCUAAGUAACUCUUUGGUCCUAUUAAUUUUAGAGAUACAAGUCAAAAUUUAUAUUUGUACAAACAACCAAUUUUAAUAGUUUACUAGCCUUUGAUCCGCGCGCCCGCACGAGUGUAUUUUUUGUAUAAAUUAUUAGUUUACAUAUAUUUAAUAUAUAACAUGUCUACACAUUAUUGUAUAUGAAUCAUCAAUAUAUUAUAUUUGUUUAUAGAUAUUAUGAAUUAUUUUUAUUUGUAAUUUUUGAUAAAUCCUAUUGGCUUAUCUGGUCAAUAAGCAGUGAUAAUUUAGUUUCCAAAAGAAAUUUCUAAAUUAUUAUAGUUUUGUAAAUAACAACAAUUAUUUUUUUUUCUUAAGGGAAAUUUAUAUUGGUUUGAAAAUAAAUAUUUUCAUGUGGAUAGACUUUAGUAUUGAACUCAUAAGUUAUUUCGCUAGACACAUUGAACAACACGUCAAUCAUGCCACUUAUAGCACACAAAACAUGAACUAAAUUCUUUCUCAAAAAAAACCAUGAGAUAACGUAUUAAUCAAGCUAAAGAAAUGGUUGUAUACCUGAGUAUGUGACAAGUAUCUUCCCUCUGGUACGUAAGCUGGAUCCCAAGCUUUUUCAAAUCUUCUUGAGAAAUUACCCGCCUGAUAUUAUAAAAACAAACAGGAUGCACAGUUAAACAUAGUUUUGAAGGUUCAUAACAACUAUAAUUGUUAGAAGAAACAACAAUAACGGCUGGUUAUAGUUGUUUCAGAUUAUUGUUGUUUGGAACAUGCUAAAAGGAGGACAGCAAAGAAAAACCGUACAAGGAAGCACGGAAAGGUCUUUCUUGUCCUCUAAAACGAAGUUAUCCAGAUUCUUUCCUACCAUCAAGUCCACCUCCUUUUUCCAGAGAAGAAGAAGAAGGAUUAAUCUAAGGGAUGAUGAAGAUCUAACUCCUAGGGGAGAGUAAGAGAAUGGCACUCACCUAAUCUUCUUGGUAUUCAUCCAAGCAUCAAUUGCUGCCUAUUAUAAUCAACAACAUUAUCUCAACCAUUAAUAAAUGAAUGAUGAGCAGGAAAGUUAGCAUCACCGUAAUACCUCGUAAGAAGGACGAAUCUCCUUUCUCAGUCUCAUACUCCACAAAAGCAUAUCCUCGUGAAGCACCCGUCACUAAAUAAAAUGAAACAACAUAAUGUAUAAUCAACACAGUAAUGCUAAGAAAAUAUGUGUACAAAACAACAUAAGUAAGAUCAUAAAGAAGAGCAAUUGCAAAGCCUUUACCAAUGUGUCUAACCAACCACAAGCUCUUAACUUUGCAGUAUUUACUCAUAGCCUGUAAAGAAGAGACCUUUAAUUAUGAUGUGAAAUGAAAGAUUGCAACUCCACAUAUACAACACAUACUCUUACCUCACAAAGAGUCUCCUCCUGACGUAAGAUGAGAGAUUCAUACUCUUACCUCACAAAGAGUCUCUUCCUGACGUAAGAUGAGAAAUUCGACCCACGAACAAAGUACAGUAAGGAUCUCCAGCUUCUUUGGGAUCACCAGAGGGAUCAACUUUAAAACCCCAAAUAACAUACAAGGAAAUCAACUUUGCGAAUUCAGCAGAGAGAGAGAGAGAGAGGCCGUCGUUAUAGCAGAGGAGAGCUCGACGAACGCCGUUGUCAUGUGAGGAAACUUUGCAUGUUUAAUUAGGUUUCGUAAGGAGAUAAAACUACUGUGUUUUAUCCCAGUGGCAUUACCUUGUAAAUAUUUAGAAAAAAUCCGGGUCAAUUUUUAUUUGUACUCCUAUUUUAGUAGUUUAGAUUGUAUAUUCAAAAAAAGCUAUUUUAAAUAUCUUUUAACAUUUUAUAUUUUUAAAUGACAUAUUGUUUUUUUUUAAUUUGAAAAAGGAAAAUACCGGUGAAGUACGCUUGAAAAUUUGAAAAUUAUUUUAGGUUUUAUUAUGUCCUUUGGCACCUUAUUGUAUACUACCGGUUAAGUACCAUUUGUUUUUGAAAAAGAAAAAUAAUGGUUAAUUAAGGAUGCUUGAGAAUUUGAAAAACUAGUUUAGGGGGGGGGGGGGGGGGGGGGGGGGUAAUUGGUAGUUAAAUUUUGAAGGAGUUAUAAAAUUUAGAGAUUCUAUUGUUAAUGGUUUAUGUAUUCUUACAAUCUUGUUAGAAUCCUUUGUUAUUAGUUUAUUGACUUUUAAAUUCUAUAUAAAAUCUUUUGUUAUUCAAAAAGUCUAGUUUUUAUUGAUUUUGUAAUUCUAGUAAACUCUCUUGUUAUUGGGACAUAAAUUCUCUCUAGUUUUACUCAUAACACUCAACUUUACAAAUAUCAUCUAUACUCAUAAGAUUCUUAGAAUCUUGUAUUACAUUCUUGUUGUCAUGUAAAAGAUAAUUGUAAAUAGAAAUAUAAAGAUAACAAAUUUUUAAAGAUAACAUGAUCAAGAAUCAUGAAAAAAAAUCAUAGGUUGACCUUAGAAAACUUUAAAAAAUCAAACAAUACAUAUUCAAAUAUUAAAAAAUGAAAGUUAAGUCCUUGGUUAUAUUAAACGCUGCGUCUUAACUAGAGAGAGAAAGGGCGAUUCUGAGUGCGAUAUUGACGACAGUUUCGUUGGUUCGAUGGCGACGGCGGAUCCGCCGGAUUUACCGGGUUCUCCGGGAGGGGAAUCGGGGGGGAAGUCUCGGAAUGAGGAUAAGGUGUUGGGGGAGAAGAAAAUGGAUCAAAGUUGGGCUGUUGUGGCGCAGGAUAAGAAAUCUCUGAAGAAAUACGAUGUUGAGAUCUUGGAAAAAGGAGGGAAACAAACUGUGGAGAUUCCGGAAGAGGUAAUCACUAAAUCGACUCCGAUUUGGGAUGAUUUUUUAGUUGGGAAGUUUUUGGAUCAAGCUCCUCACGUAGCAAAAGUCCAUAUGGUUCUCAAUAAGAUCUGGAAAUAUGGGGAUCUAGCAGCAAAGGUGGAGGUCUAUGAAGUUAAUGAAACGAUGAUGAGGUUCAAGGUUUCGAAUCCUAAAGCAAGGGAGAAGAUUAUCAGGCGUGGGAUGUGGAACAUUGUGGGGAUUCCGAUGAUUGUCAGUAAAUGGACACCACGUUCUGAAGAAGAGAAGCAAGAGGAGGAUACGAUACCCAUGUGGAUCAAUCUUACAAAGGUUCCAUUGCAUAUGUUCUCUUGGGAGGGCCUGAGUCUCCUGGCGAGUCCAGUGGGUUUCCCAGUUAAACUUCAUCCGGAGACACUUGCCUGUACUAGCUUUGAAGUGGCGAAGAUUUUUGUAAAAGUGGAUGUUACAAAAGAUUUGCCAAAGGAGAUGAGUUUUACAAGUAGAGGUGAGGAGUUUACUGUGGAGUUUGAUUAUCCAUGGCUUCUCUCUAAGUGUAAACAUUGUGACAAAUGGGGACACUCAGAGAAGGUGUGUGCUAUGGGUAAAAAGGGAAAAGAAAAGGAAACUGCUCCUGAUCUAAAGGAUGAUAAUGUCAGAAAGGAUGGGGAAGAACAUAAGGAGGAAAGUGUUGGAGUCAGUGUUGGAGUUAGUGUUGGGGAUUCUGGGGAAGCAUCACCUUUGAGAGGAGAAGUUCAGCCAGAGAGAAACAAGGAGGAGAUAAGCGAUGAUACUGGGGAUGACUGGGCUAAAGUGCCACAGGAGAGAAUUGGUCGUUCACAACCAAGUACCCCGAAGCAAAUAGGGAGUGAGAUACAUAUAUCCUCGUCAAAGUAUAGUAUUUUGAGCACUAAUGAUGAAGAGGAAGGAGAAAUAGUAGAGGAAGGGAAAGAAAUUAUUGAGGAGGAAGGUAAUGUGGAUGUGAUAGAGGAAAUCUUGGAGGAAGAUAAGAUUGAGGAUGGUUUGUUAGAAAAGAGUAGAGGGAAAAAUAAAGUAGUGGGUCAACGGGGAAGGAAAAAAGGGCAGAAGGCUAAAGCUCGGGAUGAAAAUCCAGGGACUAAAAGGUCUUCUCGUCAUCAAAACUAAGUAUGGCUGGGUUCUUUUGGAAUGUGCGCGGAUUUAAUAAGUUGUUGAAGCAUUCCGUUGUAAAAGAAUGGAUCCGUGGAAGUGAUAUGUUGUUUGGGUGUGUGCUAGAAACAAUGGUGAAGGAAGGGAGAGCAGGGAAGAUACUAAGUUCGGUUUUUAGUGAUUGGUCAGUGAUGGCAAAUUACGAAUACAGUCAGGGGGGGAGGAUUUGGCUACUCUGGAGAGACUCGGUGAGGAUGACUCCGGUUUACAAGUCAGAUCAGUUUAUUACUUGCUCUGUGGGUUUGCAGAAUGAAGAUGAUUUUUUCUGCACUUUCAUAUAUGCUAGUAAUGCGGUUGAAGAGAGGAAGGUGUUAUGGGAAGAUCUUCAUGAUCAUCAUUCUUCUCCGAUGUUUCGAGGUAAAGAGUGGAUGUUGAUGGGAGAUUUUAAUGAUAUUUUGGAGGGUGAGGAAAGCUCGGGUUUUUCAAAUCUUGGUAGGCGUCCAAGCGGGAUGAGAGAUUUCCAACGGAUGGUCUUGCGGUGUGAUCUAUCAGACAUGGGUUAUCAAGGGCCACUUUAUACAUGGUGCAAUAAAAGAGAGGAGGGAGUGAUUUGCAAGAAGCUUGACAGAGUUCUGAUGAAUGGUGCUGCUCUGAAUAGGUUUCAGAAUGUAUUUGCAACGUUUGAGCCAGGGGGUUGCUCUGAUCACCUGCGGUGCAAAAUCCAGUUGAAGCCACCAGUGGAAAAGAUAAAGAAGCCGUUUAAAUAUGUGAACGCAAUUGGGAGUUUAUCAGGUUUCCUACCUAUGGUUCAGGAAUACUGGGAGUCGACUGAGGUUCUUUUCCAUUCUACUUCUGCUAUGUUCAGAUUCUCAAAAAAGUUAAAGAACCUGAAACCUCUUAUUCGUACGCUGGGAAGAGAGAAGCUAGGUAAUCUUACAAAGCGAGCUCAGGAAGCCUAUGAAGUUCUUUGUGAAAAGCAGAAGAAUACUUUAGUUUUGGCUACGGAUGUAAGUGUUCAAGAGAAGGCAGAAGCUUAUGAGAAAUGGAUGUUUUGUGGCUGGGUUAGAAGAAGAUCAUCUUAAACAAAAAGCCAAGUUGCAUUGGUUGGAAGUGGGGGAUCUCAACAACAAAACUUUUCAUAACUCUAUCCGAGCUAGAAGAGCACAAAAUGCUAUGAGAGAAAUUCGCUGUUCUGAUGGUAGGAGGGUUGUAACUCAUGAAGAAAUAAAAGGGGAGGCUGAAAGACAUUUCUCUGAGUUUCUGAACCAGUGUCCGGAUGAUUAUAAGGGUGUGUCUGUAGAUGAACUAAAAGAGCUGUUGCAGUAUAGAUGUUCUGAAGAGGAUGGUAGAUAUUUGGAUGCGGAGGUAACUGGUGAGGAGAUUCGCAAGGUUCUCUUCUCUAUGCCUUCUCAUAAAUCACCAGGACCUGAUGGAUUCCCAAGUGAAUUCUUCCGUACUGCUUGGUCAGUGGUUGGUCAUGAUUUCAUUGUAGCUGUACAGUCAGUGUUCAAGUUCAGCUUUCUCCCGAAAGGUGUGAACUCUACAAUUCUUGCUCUGGUUCCGAAGAAAGAAGACUCGUUGGAGAUGAAGGAUUUUAGGCCAAUAUCUUGUUGUAACGUCUUGUACAAGGUGGUUUCAAAGAUACUGGCCAAUAGAUUGAAGAGAAUUCUUCCCAAGAUAAUAUCUGAGAACCAGUCUGCUUUCAUUGAGGGGCGUCUAUUGAUGGAGAAUGUUCUCUUGGCUUCUGAGUUAGUGAAGGACUAUCAUAAGGGUUCAGGUUCGCCGAGGGGAGUUAUGAAGAUUGAUAUUUCCAAGGCCUUUGACUCAGUGCAAUGGGACUUUGUUUUGAAGAGCUUAGAAGCUUUGGGAAUCCCGGAGAAGUUCAUUGGUCUGAUCAAGCUCUGUAUAUCCACGGCUUCUUUUUCAGUACAAGUUAAUGGGGAUUUGGCUGGAUACUUUCAAAGCUCAAGAGGGUUGCGCCAAGGGUGUUCUCUUUCUCCAUACCUAUUUGUUUUAUGUAUGAAUGUGCUCUCCAAAAAGAUUGACAGUGCCGCAGCGGCAAGAGCCUUCAAGUAUCAUCCUCGCUGUAAGUCCCUAGCUCUUACUCACUUGUGUUUUGCGGAUGAUCUGAUGAUAUUCGUGGAAGGAUCAAAGGAGUCAGUUCAGGGAGCUUUAUCUGUCUUUGAUCAGUUUUCUGAGUGGUCAGGUUUGAAGAUUAGCAUUGAAAAGUCUACGUUGUAUCUUUCUGGAGUCUCUGAAGGGGAAGAGAGUAGAAUAUUAUCAAAUUUUCCUUUUGCAAAGGGUGAGCUCCCAGUCCGUUAUCUGGGAUUGCCUUUGACGACCAAAGCUAUGCGACAUCAAGAUUACUUUCCUUUGGUGGAGAAGAUUAGAUGUCGGAUUAGCACAUGGACGAGUAGGUUUCUCUCUUAUGCCGGGCGCUUGCAGUUGAUCAAAGCUGUGAUAAUGAGUUUGGUAAAUUUUUGGGCUUCAGUCUAUCUACUUCCUAGUAAAUGUAUUCGGGAUAUUGAGCGAAUCUGUGGAGCAUUUUUGUGGUCGGGUCCAGAACUGAAGUCUACCGGUGCUAAAGUGGCUUGGUCAACGGUUUGUUGGGAAAAAGAGGAGGGAGGUCUGGGCAUAAGAGAUCUUAAGGUGGUGAACAGAGUAAAUGUUUUAAAAAUCAUUUGGAGGCUACUCACGGGAUCAUCUCUCUGGGGGAAAUGGAUAAGGAGUAACCUAUUAAAGAAAAAGAAUUUCUGGGAGAUCAAAGAGGAUACACAGAUGGGGUCUUGGAUGUGGAGAAAGAUGAUCAAAAUGAGAGGAGUUGCAAGGAGUUUUCAUAAAAAAGACUUGGGGAAUGGAAGGAAUACUUCUUUCUGGUUUGAUCAUUGGUCUGAGAAGGGAGUUCUAAUUACACUGUUGGGGGAAAGAGGUAUAGUAGAUAUGGGCAUUAAACGUGAAGCCACAGUAGCAGAAGCUAUUAUGAGAGAUAAAAGGAGGAGAAGUUAUCGUUCUUUGGCUCUUAGGGAAAUUGAGGCAGAAAUGGAGACUGUUCGGAGGAAGCUACGAGUGGAGAAUGAGGAUGUAAAUAUGUGGAGGGAUGGGUCGGGGUAUAGACAAAAAUUCUCAACACAUGCUACUUGGAUGUUGCUUCGUUCGCAAAAGGAGAGGUGUAGUUGGGCUAGGAGUAUUUGGUUCUCAAAGGCGACUCCUAAGUAUGCGUUUGUUUCGUGGCUGGCUGCUCGGAACAGACUCUCAACAAUGGACAGAAUCGUUCAGUGGGAUCCUGGUGCGGACACAACUUGUGUGCUUUGUAAAAGGGAUUUGGAGUCUAGGAACCAUUUAUUUUUUGAAUGUUCCUUCUCUAGUCAGCUGUGGGAGCAGUUAACUAAGGGGAUUCUGGCUGGUGAUUACACAAAUGUUUGGUCGAGCAUUUUUGAGAUUAUAUCGGAUGAGGGAAUGGAAAGGAAGAAGAGGUUUUGUCUGUGCUAUGCUUUGCAAAUUGCUGUGCAUACUUUGUGGAGGGAGAGAAAUAGGAUCAAACAUGAAGAGAAGCCUACUCCUAUUGAAGCUAUUAUAAAAAUGGUGGACAAAAGUAUAAGAAGCAAGCUGAGUAUUAUGAGGUCCAAAAGAGUGAAAGGGUGGGAAAGUGGCUUGCAGUUUUGGUUUAGUACUAGAAUUUAAAAUUUUUUCUAAGGUUGGAGGUUUUAGAAUGUUUAUUUCAAUUUAAAGGUAUACACUUGAUGUAAGAAGGGUUUUUUGAUGAAUAAAUUUAGCAUUCAUUCAAAAAAAAAAUAUUAAAAAAUGAAAAAAAAAUUAUUUUAACAUCAAAUAACUAUAUUUCUUGAAAUAAAAAAAAUUAGAAGUAUUUUUAUAGAAAGAUAAAUCUAGAAAGAAAAACAUAUAUGGAAAUUCAUGCUAAUCAAUCAUAAUCAAUGACAAUUUAUACAAUACAUAUGACAAGAAUUCAUAAAAUCUACUUAACUCUUAAAAAUCUUUGAACUUCAAAAAUUUUCUGAUUCCACACAAAUUUCAUUUCCAAUAGGCCCUCCUUAAUUAUGUUCUUUGGCACCUUAAUCUCACAUGCAUGCCUAAAAUAAACUCAUUUCUAAAUAUAGCAAGGCAAUAAAGUGUUUCGCAAGGAGACUUGUGACUGAAAGAAACCGCAACCCUCAGUCACGAGUAUUUUUUAAAAAGACAGAAUAAGUAUAGCAAGGCAAUAAAGUGUUUCGCAAGGAGACUUGUGACUGAGGGCAACCACAACCGCUUGGUCCAAGUUCGAAAAAUAGUUUUAAAAUUACGCUUGAAACUUUGAAAUUUUCUUUUUAGAUUUCAAAAGGUCCUCUUUCACCUUAGGAUCACUGGCGGGCCUGAAUGAAAACCAAUAGAAACAACCGGUGGCCAGUUUAAAUCUGUUGAUUCCCCUGCCGGUUACAUGUUGUUGCCUUGCUCUGUACAACUAGGCAAACUUGAGAAACUCUAAUUAACUCUUUGGUCCUAUUAGUUUUAGAGAUAGAAACCAAAAUUUAUAUCUGUACAAAACAACAAUUUUAAUAGUUUAUUGUAUAUUCACAAAAUAGCUAUUUUAAAUUUUUUAACAUUUUUUAUUUUUAAAUGACUUUUUUUUUUGAAAAAGGUAAAUACCAGUUAAGGACGCUUGAAAAUUUUAAAAAUUCGUUUAGGUUUUAUUAUGUCCUUUGGCACCUUAUUGUAUACUACCGGUUAAGUACCAUUUGUUUUUUAAAAAGAAAAAUACCGGUUAAUUAAGGACGCUUUAGAAUUUGAAAAUUAGUUUUGCUUUUAUUAUGUCCUUCGACACCUUAACCUCACAGGCAGACCUAAAAAGACUCAGAAUAAGUAUAGCAAGGCAAUAAAGUGUUUCGCAAGGAGACUUGUGACUAAGGGCAACCGCACCCGCUUGGUCCAAGCUCAAAAAAUAUUUUUAAAAUUAUGCUUGAAACUUUGAAAUUUUAUUUUUAGAUUUUAAAAGGUCCUCUUUCACCUUAGGAUCACUGGCAUGCCUGAAAGAAAACAAAAAGAAGCAACGGCAAGGCGAUAAUGUGUUCGCAAUAUAACCGCAGAUGGAUGGCAAGGGAACAGCAACCGGUGGCCAGUUUAAAGCUGAUGAUUCCCCUGCCGGUUACUUGCUGUUGACUUGCUCUGUACAACUAGGUAAACUUGAGAAACUCUAAGUAACUCUUUCGUCCAAUUAAUUUUAGAGAUACAAGGCAAAAUUUAUAUUUGUGCAAACAACCAACUUAAUAGUUGAUUGUAUAUUCACAAAAUAGCUAUUUUAUUUUUUUAACAUUUUAUAUUUUUAAAUGACUCUUUUUUUUUUUUGAAAAAGGCAAAUACCGGUUCCGAACGCUUGAAAAUUGGAAAAUUUAGUUUUGGUUUGAUUAUGUCCUUUGGCACCAUAUUGUAUACUACCGGUUAAGUACCAUUUGUUUUUUUUUAAAGGAAAAUACCGGUUAAUUAAGGACACUUGAGAAUUUGAAAAAUUAGUUUAGCUUUUAUUUUGUCAUUUGGCACCUUAAUCUCACAGGCAGGUCUUAUAAGAACUCAGAAUAAGUUUAGCAAGGCGUUUCACAAGGAGACUUGUGACUGACGGCAACCGUAACCGCUUGGUCCAAGCUUAAAAAAUAUUUUUAAAAUUACGCUUGAAACUUUGAAAUUUUCUUUUUAGAUUUUAAAAGGUCCUCUUUCACCUUAGGAUCACUGGCAGGCCUGAAAGAAAAACUAAAAGAAAAAACGGCAAUGCGAUAAUGUGUUCGCAUAUACCCGCCGAUGGAUGGCAAGGGAACAAUAACCGGUGGCCAUAUUAAAGCUGAUGAUUCCCCAGCCGGUUACAUGAUGUUGCCUUGCUCUGUACAACUAGGUAAACUUGAGAAACUCUAAGUAACUCUUUGGUCCUAUUAAUUUUAGAGAUAUAAGCCAAUAUUUAUAUUUAUACAAACCAACAAUUUUAUAGUUUAUUGUAUAUUCGAAAAAUAGGUUUUUAAAAAAUUUUAACAUUUUAUAUUUUUAAAUGACUUUAUUUUUUUUUUCGAAAAGGCAAAUACAGGUUAAGGACGUUUGAAAAUUUGAAAAAUUAGUUUAGGUUUUAUUAUGUCCUUUGGCACCUUAUUGUAUACAUGAAUAAGUAUAGCAAGGCAAUAAAGUGUUCCGCAAGGAGACUUGUGACUGAAGGCGACCGCAACCGCUUGAUCCAAGCUCAAAAAACAUUUUUAAAAUUACGCUCGAAACUUUGAAAUUUUUUUUUUAGAAUUUAAAAGGUGCUCUUUCACCUUAGAAUCACUGGCAUGCCUGAAAGAAAACCAAAAGAAACAACAGCAAGGCGAUAAUGUGUUCACAAUAUACUGCAGAUGGAUGGCAAGCGAACAGCAACCGGUGGCCAGAUUAAAGGUGAUGAGUCCCCUGCCGGUUACAUGCUGUUACCUUGCUCUGUACAACUAGAUAAACUUGAGAAACUCGAAGUAAUUCUUUGGUCCUAUUAAUUUUAGAGAUACAAGCCAAAAUUUAUAUUUGUACAAACCAACAAUUUUAAUAGUUUAUUGUAUAUUCGCAAAAUAGAUAUUUUAAAUUUUUUAACAUUUUAUAUUUUUAAAUGACUUUUAAAAAAAACAAAAAGGCAAAUACCGGUUAAGGACGUUUGAAAAUUUGAAAAAUUAGUUUAGGUUUUAUUAUCUCCUUUGGCACCUUAUUGUAUACUACCGGUUAAGUACCAUUUGUUUUUGAAAAAGAAAAAUACCGGUUAAUUAAGGACGCUUGAGAAUUUGAAAAAAUUAGUUUAGCUUUUAUUAUGUCUUUUGGCACCUUAAUCUCACAGGCAAGCCUAAAAAAGUCUCAGAAUAAGUAUAGCAAGGCAAUAAAGUGUUUCACAAGGAGACUUGUGACUAUGGGCAACCGCAACCGCUAAGUCCAAGCGCAAAAAAUAUUUUCAAAAUUACGUUUGAAAAUUUGAAAUUUUCUUUUUAGAAGAAUUUAAAAGGUCCUCUUUCACCUUAUGAUCACUGGCAUGCAUGAAAGAAAACCAAAAGAAACAAGGGAACACCAACCAGUGGCCAGUUUAAAGCUGAUGAUUCUCCUGCCAGUUACAUGUUGUUGCCUUGCUCUGUACAACUAGGUGAAUUUGAGAAACUCUAAGUAACUCUUUGGUCGUAUUAAUUUUAGAGAUACAAGCCGAAAUUUAUAUUUUUACAAACAACCAAUUUUAAUAGUUUAUUGUAUAUUCACAAAAUAACUAUUUUAAAAUUUUAAACAUUUUAUAUUUUUAAAUGACAUUUUUUUAUUAUUAUUUGAAAAAGGAAAAUACCGGUUAAGUACGCUUAAAAAUUUGAAAAUUUUGUUUAGGUUUUAUUAUGUCCUUUGGCACCUUUUUGUAUACUACCGGUUAAGUACCAUUUGUUUUUGAAAAAGGAAAAUAACGGUCAAUUAAGGACGCUUGAGAAUUUGAAAAUUAGUUUAGCUUUAAUAAUGUCCUUUGGCACCUUAAUCUCACAGGCAUGCCUUAAAAAACUCAUAUCUAAGUAUAGCACGGCAAUAAAGUGUUUCGCAAGGAGACUUGUGACUGAGGGCAACCGCAACCCUUAGUCACAAGUAUUUUUAAAAAAGACUGAGAAUAAGUAUAGCAAGGCAAUAAAGUGUUUCACAAGGAGACUUGUGACUGAGGGAAACCGCAACCGCUUGGUCCAAGCUCAAAAAAUAUUUUUAAAAUUAUUCUUGAAACUUUGAAAUUUUCUUUUUCGAUUUUAAAAGGUCCUCUUUAAACUUAGGAUUACUGGCAUGCAUGAAAGAAAACCAAAAGAAACAACGGCAAGGCGAUAAUGUGUUCUCAGCAUACCCGCAGAUGGAUGGCAAGGGAACAGCAACCGGUGGCCAGUUUAAAGCUGAUGAUUUCCCUGCCGGUUACAUGCUGUUGACUUCCUCUGUACAACUAGGUAAACUUGAGAUACUCUAAGUAACUCAUUCGUCCUAUUAAUUUUAGAGAUACAAGCCAGAAUUUAUAUUUGUACAAACCAACAAUUUUAAUAGUUGAUUGUAUAUUCACAAAAAUGGAUAUUUUAAAUUUUUUAACAUUUUAUAUUUUUAAAUGACUUUUUUUUUGAAAAAAGCAAAUACCGGUUAAGGACUUUUGAAAAUUUGAAAAUUUAGUAUAGGUUUUAUUAUGUCCUUUGGCACCUUAUUGUAUACAUGAAUAAGUAUAGCAAGGCAAUAAAGUAUUUCGCAAGGAGACUUGUGACUGAGGGCGACCGCAACCGCUUGUCCAAGCUCAAAAACUAUUUUUAAAAUUACGCUUGAAACUUUGAAAUUUUCUUUUUAGAUUUUAAAAGGUCCCUUUUCACCGUAGAAUCACUGGCAUGCCUUAAAGAAAACCAACAGAAACAACGGCAAGGCGAUAAUGUGUUCACAAUAUACCUGCAGAUGGAUGGCAAGAGAACAGCAACCGGUGGCCAGUUUAAAGAUAAUGAUUCCCCUGCCGGUUACAUGCUGUUGUCUUUCUCUGUACAACUAGGUAAACUUGAGAAACUUUAAGUAACUCUUUGGUCCUAUUAAUUUUAGAGAUACAAGCCAAAAUUUAUAUUUGUACAAACCAACAAUUUUAAUAGUUUAUUGUAUAUUCACAAAAUAGCUAUUUUAAAUUUUUAAAUAUUUUAUAUUUUUAAAUGACAUUUUGUUUUGUUUUUAUUUGAAAAAGGCAAAUACCGGUUAAGGACGCUUGAAAUUUUUAAAAAAUUAGUUUAGGUCUUAUUAUGUCCUUUGGCACCUUAUUGUAUACUACCGGUUAAGUACCAUUAUUUUUUAAAAGGAAAUAUUAGUUUAGGUCUUGAGAAUUUGAAAAAUUAGUUUAGCUUUUAUUAUGUCCUUUGGCACCUUAAUCUCACAGGCAGGUCUUUAAAAACUAACAAUAAGUAUAGCAAGGCAAUAAAGUGUGUCGCAAGGAGACUUGUGACUGAGGGCAACCGCAACCGCUUGAUCCAAGCUCAAAAAAUAUUUUUAAAAUUACGCUUGAAAUUUUGAAUUUUCUUUUUAGAUUUUAAAAGGUCCUCUUUCACCUUAGGAUCAUUGGCAGGCCUGAAAGAAAACCAAAAAAAAAGAACGGCAAGGCGAUAAUGUGUUUGCAAUAUACCCGCCGAUGGAUGGCAAGGGAACAACAACCGGUGGCCAGUUUAAAGCUGAUGAUUCCCCUGCCGGUUACAUGCUGUUGUCUUGCUCUGUACAACUAGGUAAACUUGAAAAACUCUAAGUAACGCUUUGGUCUUAUUAAUUUUAGAGAUACAAGCCAAAAUUUAUUAUUGUACAAACAAACAAUUUUAAUAGUUAAUUGUAUAUUCGCAAAAUAGAUAUUUUAAAUUUUUUAACAUUUUAUAAUUUUAAAUGACUUUUUUUUAAAACGAUUAUGGACGUUUGAAUAUUUGAAAAUUAGUUUAGGUUUUAUUAUGUCCUUUGGCACCUUAUUGUAUACAUGAAUAAUUCUAGCAAGGCAAUAAAGUGUUUUGCAAGGAGACUUGUGACUAAGGGCGACCGCAACCGCUUGAUCCUAAGUGAAAAAAUAUUUUUAAAACUGAGGGCGGUGACACCGAGCACUCUCUCGGCAGUGUUUUGUUUUGCCCGUUAGUGGGCAGCGAGUGCCCACCUCGUUAGGACAAUUGUUUGUUGUUUGGGUACUUUAGGUACCGUGCUUGAAAUGUGUUAGAAUUAAAUUAUAUUCAUUCGGAGUUCUAUUUUUGGGUCCAAGGACAUCAGGUUUAGCAUCUCAUACCUCACUGUGUGACUCCCCAAUUGCUCACCCCUCUUAUUUCCGCUACUGGACUUUUCUUUCGGAUUUUAUUUGGGCUUGGGUGAGUGUAUUUUGGGUUUAUGGAUUUUUAUAUUACGAGAUAUUAUUGGUGGCCCGUCUUCCUUAGAGAGAGGGAGACGAGUGUCACAUUGUUUUAUGAUGACGCGUCGGGAAUGACACGUUGUCCUCCAGGUAGAAGGUGACGGGUGUCACAAUUUUGGUACCAGAGCGGGGUUCUGUCCCAGUUCUGACCCGGGAUGGCGGUUAAGGAAUUUGGUUUUUAUCGGUUUUCAACGUUUUAAAAAAUAUAUAUAUAUAUACAUAAUAUUUUUUUGAAAAUUCUUUUAGCACCAUUUUAUCCAGUAAUUACUAACUCAAUUGUCUCUUUCAUGCCAAUGAGUAAAACCAUUGUCAUUUGACGUUUAACUAACAGGGUUCCAGCCAGAUGUUCGACAGAUGAAAGAUGUCACUAUUUGACAUAUUGCUCAUGAGUUUAUCAGUUUCUUUGGUCAUUGUUCCGAGGUUAUCCAAGAGUGGAUAUGUGACGUUUCUGCCACUACCCCACUUCAAGCAAUCUCUUGGUGUGUUUUUGUUAAUAGAGAUUAUGUGGUGUGAGGUAUAUGAGCUAUUGGUUGGCAUGUAUUGUUUUGUGUAUACAUAUAUUGACUAUUUUGGAUAUAUGCUUUGUAAGCUCAAGAAAAAGAGCUUGUCGGAUUGUGAAACAGAGGAUGUGUUAUACACGAUGUAGGAAGUGUAACUUGCUGUUACAAGUCGGUUAUGAGACGAUGACGUGUCAAUGUCUCAUUGUUUCCAGGAUGUUACUUUUGGCGUGAAGCAAAGAAGAUCUGGAAGAUUUGGGCUUAUCAUAAUAUUAGGAAAUUAAGAUAUUGUGUUAAGGGUAUUUAACAUGAUUGCCUUGGGUAGAUCUAGGUUAGCCGUUUAUUGAUUAAAAAGCUUGAGCAAGAGGUUUGUUCUUGAUAGCUUAAGAAAGACGAGUGACCUUGGGUGCAGCUCGUGUUUCUGUUCUGUGAGAUUAGGAAUUGGUCCGUCUCUAGUCGUGUGUGACUGAGAGUAAUUCGGAUUAAACAGAUCUAGGAAGAUUGUUUAACAGAUUUCUAAUAUACAAGAAAGCGUUCUUGGUAUCUUGUGUUUUAGUUCCUAUAUCUGGUAGUCUCUGAACUUUCAUUUGGUAUCAGAGCGGGAAACCUCUGUGGUAUCAUACACUACUAACAGGUUGAGAUCCUGUGGAUUUCAUGGACACCAUGAAGGAACUAUUCGGAAUUCAUAAACCCAUCAUGCUGGACAGUUGCAACUUUGGUCAUUGGAAGGCAAGGAUGCGACAGUUGAUCAGAGGAAUUGACGAGGAUGUGUGGACUGCAGUAGAAGAAGGGUGGUCUGUGCCUACAAUGAUGACUGAUGACAAAACCUUUGCUCCAAAACCAAAGAUUAGGUGGACUGAUCAAGAGAAGGCAGCAUCGAAGUUCAACUCUAAAGCCCUUACUGUGAUCUUUUCUUCAGUGGAUCUGGACCAGUUCAAAAUCAUCCAGGGAUGUGAGUCUGCUAAGGAGGCAUGGGAUAUUUUGACCAACCACUUUGAGGGAAAUACUAGCGUGCGAAGAACAAGGAUCGAUCACUUAGCUUCAAAGUUUGAAAAUCUUCGCAUGACUGAUGAUGAACCAAUUGAUGGAUUCAUAUCCAAGAUCAGCGAACUUGCCAGUGAAGCUUCAGUUCUCGGAAAGAAAUAUGACGAGAAGGACUUGGUGAAAAAGCUGUUAAGAUGUCUACUUCCACGAUUUGAAGCAUACAAGGCAGUACUGGAUAUAGCUGUCAAUACAGAUGAAAUGAAAUUUUAUCAACUGUCUGGUAUCUUGAAGGUUCAUGAUCUGGAGAAAUCUAAUCGAACUGCAAAUUCUCAAAAGAGCAUCGCUUUUGUAUCUGACUCGAACGAACAGGACAGAGUCGCAAAGAUCGAGGAGAACUUGGGAUUGAUGGCUCGAAACUUCAACAAGUUCAUUAAGUGAAUGGACAAAGUGUUGAGAUGAGAUCAAUAUAUAGGAAGAGAAAAACAUGAGGAGUUGAGUAUGAUGAAGAGGCCGUAGUAAUACUAGUUAUCCGAGUAAGUUACAAAGGGUAAACCAAAGUUACCCUAGUAAUACUAGUAUACCAGUUAUACUAGUUAUCCGAGUAACUUUGGAAGAAGAGGAGAAGCCCGAUUCCCUUUGCUAAGGCAUCAGUCCGUUGCAAAGGAAGAGGAGGUGCUUGUGACAGGCUGGAGACGAGCUGGAUAAAGCAAAAGGAGCUUUAUACACAAAGAAGAAUUAGCUCAUUGGAUGGUUUGAAUUAAAGCAAACCUUAUCUCUUGUAAUAGUGCCACUUUAUGAAACCCUCAUCCUAGUGUUGCCUCCUCAUAUAUAUUGUAAACUCUGAUCAGAUUAAUAAUUAAGAAGUAUAGGAUUAUCUCUCUAGACUCUCUCUCUCUCUUGUUCAUAAUGGUUCUUAAAUACUCUUAAACAUGGUUACUACCUAAUCUCUCUACAAAUCUCCCAUUAAUCUUCUAUAAUCUACCUUUAAUCUCUCAAUACCUACUCUAUUCUCUAAAAUCAUAUGGUAUUAGAGCCAGGUUGGCUUUGGUAUUGAGAAACCUCGUUCCAUUUUUUCCUUUCUCUAGCUCUUGUGUUCUUGAGGGUUCCGUGAAGGUGUGUGAUAAAGUUGAGUCCUGUGGUGCUGUGCUUUGAGUUUGUGUGUUCUUGAAGUCUGGUACUGUGUAUUCUUCAGCUAAGUUGCAAGUUUGAAGCUUUCUGGUCAUUUCUGGUUCAAGCAAGAGAAGAUGGAAGGAAACAACUUCAGCAAACUAGUUACUGUCCCGGUUGCGUUGAAGGGUGGUUCAAACUACCUCUUGUGGUCAAGAUUGGUGAAGACUGCCAUUGGAAGGCUAGGGCUGUGGAGCCACAUCACUGAUGAUGGUCCGAAGCCAGUGGCCAAAGAAACUGGAGAAGGUGAAGAGGAAAAGACUCUCACCAAAGCUGAAGCCAAGAAGUGGGUACAAGAAGACUUGAUGGUGCUUUCCGUGCUGCAAGGAUCUCUUGAUGUUCCUCUUCUUGAAGCUUACAGCUACUGUGACAGACUCCCAAACACUUGUGGGAGACCCUCUCAAAGACGUUUGAAAACGUCUCCAACAUCAGCCGUGUGUUUGAGCUGAAGAGAGUCAUUAACUCCAUGAAGCAAUAUGGAGGAGAGCUCACCAAACACAUGGGAAAGUUUGGAUCAUUAUGGUCUGAACUUGAAAGUCUAAGACCUAACACCACUGAUCAAGCAGCUCUUAUGGAAAGAAGAGAACAAGAUCAAGUGUUUGGGUUGUUGAUGACAUUGGAUCCUUGCUACAAGGAUGUCAUCAAACACAUUUUGAGAUCGCCUAACCUACCAUCCAUGGAGGAAGUAUGCACGCAACUUCAGAAGGAGGAGGGAUCUCUUGGCCUGUUUGGAGGCAAGGGUGAGCUUACUAUGGCUCAUCAAGCUGAAGGAAUGCAAGCAAACAAAGCUGCAUACAGAGGCUCAGGAAGAAAGUAUGAAAAGUAUGAGGGAAGCUGUGAGCAUUGCAAGAGGACCGGUCACAAGAAGAGUGAGUGUUGGAUCCUACAUCCUCACCUCAGGCCACGUGGGGUCAACAGGGAUAGGGAAGCAAAGGCUCAUCUUUCUGCUGAAGCAAAUGGUGCUGGUUCAUCCGGAGCUAGCUCAGGCACUAAGGUGGGUGAAAGUGAAGGUAGAGCCUUGGGGUCUCAUCAACCGAUUGGAAAGGGUAUGGAUCAGGAGGUGUUUAAGAGAGCUGACCUUGAAGCCUUCUUCAAAGCUCUCAAGGAGUCUGGUAACACCCUCGGAAACACCCUUGGAUACUCAUAUACUGCUCAUACAUUACCUAGUAAUACUGAUAAAUUACUAGACAUUUUUAAAAGCUCUUACACUACUGCUAGUAAUCCUAGUAAUACUGAUAAGUUGCUAGACAUUUUUAAAAGCGCCUACACUACUGCUAGUGAGCCUAGUAUAACUAGUAAGAUGUUAGGAUUACUAGGAAACCUGAUAAAACAAAAUGAACCAUCAAGGACUGAAAUUACUAGAAACAUGCAUAAACCUUUGAUCAUUGAUUCUGGUGCAUCUCAUCAUAUGAUUAGGGAUAAUAACCGGAUUAAAGACAUAGAACCGGCUCAUGGACAUGUUAUGAUUGCUAAUGGAGAUAGAAUUCCUAUUAGAGGAUUUGGUAAACUAAAACUGUUUGAUAAGGAUUCAAAAGCAUUUUUCAUGCCUGAGUUUACUUCUAAUCUUUUAUCUGUCAAAAAGUGCACCACUGAUCUUCAAUGCAAUGUUAUCUUUAGUCCUGAUGAUGUUAAGUUUCAGUAUAUUAAAAGCAGUAAGUUGAUUGGGCAAGGAACAACCAAAGGCGACCUUUAUAUGCUCGAAGAUCUUAGUCCCAUCUCUAGUUCUUGUUUUGUCGUUUAGUUAUGUUUCUUCCUUAAGUAAAGAUGCAUUGUGGCAUGCUAGACUUGGACAUCCACAUGUUAGGGCUUUAAGCAUUAUGUUACCAGGUGUCUUGUUUAAAAAUAAUGAUUGUGAGACAUGUAUUUUGGGCAAACAUUGUAGGACAGUGUUUCAAAGAUCAUCCACUAUUUAUGAGAAUUGCUUUGAUUUGAUUCACUCUGAUGUUUGGACUGCACCUUGUUUAUCUAGGGAUGAUUAUAAGUAUUAUGUCACAUUCAUUGAUGAAAAAUCCAAAUACACCUGGUUAACACUCAUCAAAACAAAAGAUAGGGUUCUUGAUGCAUUUAAAAAAUUUCAAAGCUAUGUUACUAACCAUUAUCAUGCCAAGAUUAAGAUUUUCAGGUCAGAUAAUGGUGGAGAAUACAUAGGCCAUGCAUUCAAAGAUCACCUAGCUAAACAUGGGAUUCUACAUCAGACUAGCUGUCCUUACAUUCCACAACAGAAUGGAGUUGCUGAAAGGUAGAACAGACACCUCAUGGAAGUGGCCCGUUCAAUGAUGUUCCACAAGAAUGUCCCUAAGAGAUUUUGGAGUGAUGCUGUGAUGACUGCUUGCUAUCUAAUCAACAGGAUACCAACCAGAAUCCUAGAGGACCAGUCUCCAUUUGAGGUACUCAACAAGAUUCGACCAGUUCUAGAUCACUUGAGGACAUUUGGGUGUGUGUGCUAUGUGCUGGUGCCAGGAGAGAUGAGAAACAAACUUGAAGCAAAGAGCACUAAGGCUAUGCUUAUUGGCUAUUCCGCAUCUCAAAAGGGAUACAAGUGCUUUGAUCCCACUGCUAGAAGAGUCUUGGUGUCUAGGGAUGUGAAGUUCAUGGAUGAUAAAGGGUAUUAUGAAGAGAAGAAUUGGGAGGAGCUUGAAGGGCUGUCUCAACCAUCAUAUAGAGCUGCUAGUUUGAGAAACAUACUAGAAGAACUUGGUAUUGGCGUGUCCCAGGAUCAGAGCAGGCGUGAAGAGCCUACUCAAGUGGCCGCUAAAGAACCAACCCACUUUGAACAUGAGGGGGGAAGUGAAUCUGAAGCUGAAGGGUUAAAAGAUCAAGGUUCAGAUGAAGCUGGAGGUCUAGAAGAUCAAGACUCAGAUUCUCCUGUCCAAAGUGGAAAUGAAUCAGGAAGAGAAGUUCAGAAUGAAGGUCAGGAAGCUGGAGAAGAAAUCCAGAUACAAGAGGAAGCUGUUGAGGAACAAGUAGAAGUUCCUUUGAGAAGAAGCACACGGGUAAGGAGGGAUGCUUCCGAGUGGGCAAACACAAGAAACUGGGUAAACACGAGAGUGUUAUACAAUGCCCAGGCUGUGGAACAUCCUUCCCAAGCUGUGUGCUCCUUUGCUGAGUUUCCGGAAGAACACUACUCCUUUAUGGUAAGCUUAGAUGAAAUCUAUGUGCCAAGAAGCUAUGAAGAAGCAAUGCUGAUUCAAGAGUGGAGGGAUUCAGUCAAUGAUGAGGCUGAUGCCAUGAUUAGAAAUGAUACAUGGUAUGAGAGUGAGUUGCCUAAGGGGAAGAGAGUUGUGUCAUGCAAGUGGAUCUUCACCAUCAAGUAUUUACCUAAUGGGAAGAUUGAUAGGCGUAAGACAAGGCUGGUAGCAAGAGGUUUCACACAAACCUAUGGAGAGGAUUACAUUGAUACUUUUGCACCUGUUGCAAAGCUCCAUACCAUUAGGAUUGUACUAUCAGUUGCAACCAAUCUUGAGUGGGCUCUUUGGCAAAUGGAUGUGAAGAAUGCUUUCCUCCAAGGAGAGCUAGAAGAUGAAGUCUAUAUGCUACCACCUCCGGGUCUUGAAGGAAUGGUGACUGCAGGAAAUGUUCUUAGACUGAAGAAAGCCAUCUAUGGAUUGAAAUAAUCACCUAGAGCAUGGUACAAUAAGCUAAGCAUAACACUGAAUGGUAGAGGCUUCAGGAAGUCCGAGCUUGAUCACACUUUAUUUACUCUCAAUAUUCCAUCAGGUAUCAUUGUUUUGCUUGUGUAUGUGGAUGACAUCAUCAUAACAGGCAGUGAUAAGGAAGGAAUCCAAGCCACCAAAGAGUUUCUGAAAUCAGUAUUUGAUAUAAAGGAUUUGGGUGAGAUGAAGUACUUUCUUGGGAUUGAGUUGUGCAGAUCCAAGGAAGGGUUGUUUAUCUCUCAAAGGAAGUAUGCAUUGGAUCUAUUGAAGGAUGCUGGUGCGUAUGGAGGAAGAACAGCCAAGAUGCCCAUGGAGGAUGGGUACAAGGUUCCACGUGAGGGGGAGAUUGAAGACAGCAAGCUGUUCCAUGAUCCAAAGCUGUAUAGAAAGCUUGUGGGGAAGCUGAUAUACUUGACCAUCACUAGGCCAGACAUUUGUUUUGCUGUGAAUCAAGUAAGCCAGCAUAUGCAAGCUCCAAAAGAGCAUCACUGGCGCCUGGUGGAGAGGGUUCUCAUGUACCUGAAUGGAACUCAAGGGCUUGGAAUAUGGAUGGGCUGCAAUCAAAGCACUGAAGUUGUGGGUUAUUGUGAUGCUGACUGGGCUGGUGAUAGAGCAGACAGAAGGUCUACAACAGGCUACUGCACUUUCAUUGGAGGAAACAUGGUCACUUGGAAGAGUAAAAAGCAUAAGGUUGUAUCAUGCUCUAGUGUUGAAGCUGAGUAUAGAGUUAUGCUAAAGCUUACCAACGAGUUGGUAUGGAUCAAAGGGAUUCUUAGGCACUUGGAGAUUGAGCAAGCAACACCAAUGACUAUGCAUUGUGACAAUCAGGCGGUUAUUCACAUUGCUACAAACUCAGUGUUUCAUGAGAGGACGAAGCACAUUGAAGUAGAUUGCCACAAGGUAAGGCAGAUGAUAGUCUUGGGAGUGAUCUUGCCAUGUUAUAUGAGAAGUGAAGAUCAGUUGGCAGAUGUGUUCACCAAGGCAGCAAGACAAAAGAUUAUGGAGUCCAUUCACAUCAGAUUAGGACUCAUAGAUCUUGGAAAGAGCAGGAGCUGAUCCCCUAAGUCAUGAGGUCUUUACUCUUUUUCCCUCAUCAAGGUUUUGUCCCAAUGGGUUUUCCUUGGUGAGAUUUUUAAUGAGGAAGAUCUCAUGGCUAUCCAAGCUUAGACAUAUACAAAGCUAAGCUUGAGGGGGAGUGUUGAGAUGAGAUCAAUAUAUAGGAAGAGAAAGACAUGAGGAGUUGAGUAUGAUGAAGAGGCCAUAGUAAUACUAGUUAUCCGAGUAAGUUACAAAGGGUAAACCAAAGUUACCCUAGUAAUACUAGUAUAUCAGUUAUACUAGUUACCCGGGUAACUUUGGAAGAAGAAGAGAAGCCCGAUUCCCUUUGCUAAGGCAUCAGUCCGUUGCAAGGGAAGAGGAGGCGCGUGUGACAGGCUGGAGACGAGCUGGAUAAAGCAAAAGGAGCUUUAUACACAAGGAAGAAGCUCAUUGGAUGGUUUGAAUUAAAGCAAACCUUAUCUCUUGUAAUAGUGUCACUUUAUGAAACCCUCAUCCUAGUGUUGCCUCCUCAUAUAUAUUGUAAACUCUGAUCAGAUUAAUAAUUAAGAAGUAUGGGAUUAUCUCUCUAGACUCUCUCUCUCUUGUUCAUGAUGAUUCUUAAAUACUCUUAAACAUGGUUACUACCUAAUCUCUCUACAAAUCUCCCAUUAAUCUUCUCUAAUCUACCUUUAAUCUCUCAAUACCUACUAUAUUCUCUAAAAUCAUAGAAAGGAGGGAAUAGAUCAAAUUCACGAUUUCAGAAGAACGACUCAGAUCGAAACAGCUCUCAAUACACCAGGCAAGACUCGAAGAACUCUAAGAAGAAGGAGUUGCAGUGUCAUGAGUGUGAAGGGUAUGGACACUUUCGCAAUGAGUGUCCACUAGCUAAACAAAAAGAGCUGAAGUGCAUUGACUGCAAGGGUUUUGGUCACACUCGAAGUGAAUGUCCUAAUAAUCUGAAAAAGUACAAGUCACUUAUGUGUUUCAGUGAUACAGAUUCAGAGAGUGACAGCGACAGAGAUGAGCUACAUCUAAACUUUAUGGCACUUGUCAGUAAGGAAGAAGAACCAAAACUGGAUUUAGGCGUGGAAGAGGAUGAAGAUGAUCUCAACAACGAUCUUGAAUCAGAAUACAAGUCUCUGUUCGACAAGAUUACUGAACUCAGUCAUGAGAACCUACAACUACUGAAAGAUAAGGCGAUGCUGAAAGCUCAGGUGAAUAUUUUGGAAUUGGAGAAACCCUCGGAUCAAGUUACUGAGUUGUCAAUCCUGAAGAACUCAGACCAAGAGUUACUAUCACUAAAAAGAGCGAUGACUGAACAGGAGAGGGUGCAGAAGCAGUUUGAGCUGAAGGUGAAUUAUCUGAAUGAUCUACUAACCAAGGAGAUGGACAAGAGCAAAUUACUUGAGAAUCAACUCGCUGACAAUCUCAAGAGAGUAAGAAUGCUCACUACUGGUACAACAACUCUGUAUCAUCUUCUCAACAACUCUAUGUCAACUCUAUACCAUGUUAUUGACUACAAGUUUGGGAUCUGGUACCACGACCUCACGGUGUGAAUAUCAUUGGCACUAAGUGGAUUCACAAGAAUAAGACCGAUGAGAAAGGAAACGUGAUCAGAAACAAAUCCAGACUUGUGGGACAAGGUUACACACAAAUCGAAAGUGUGGAUUUUGAUGAGACUUCUGCUCCAGUUGCUCGACUAGAGUCAAUCAGACUAUUGUUUGGAAUGACAUGCAAUCUGAAGAUCAAGCUUUAUCAGAUGGAUGUGAAAAGUGCAUUCCUGAAUGGUGUGCUACAGGAAGAAGUCUAUGUCACACAGCCUAAAGGCUUCGAGGAUCCUCACUUUCCAGAUUAUGUUUACAAACUCAAGAAGGCACUGUAUGGACUUAAACAGGCCCCUCGAGCGUGGUAUGAUCGCCUGACAGUGUUCCUGACUCAGGCUGGAUUUCAAAGAGGAGGAGUCGAUAAAACCCUAUUCAUUGGAGAGAAUGGAAGAGAUAUCCCCAUCAUUCAAGUAUAUGUCGAUGAUAUAAUAUUCGGAGGAACAUCUCAAUCGAUGGUUGAUGAGUUCGUAAAGACAAUGACUUCUGAAUUUGAAAUGAGCAUGGUGGGAGAACUGAGUUACUUUCUUGGACUACAAGUCAAGCAGUUAGACGAUGGAAUCACAGUCUCACAAAGCACAUAUGCGAAAAAUCUUAUCAAGAGAUUCGGGAUGCAGACAAGUAAGACAGCCAAUACUCCGAUGAUCACAACUACAAAUCUGUCACAAGAUGAUGAUGGGAAGCCUAUCGAUGAGAAGCUGUAUAGAGCUAUGAUAGGGAGCCUGAUGUAUCUUACCGCAAGUCGACCUGAUUUGUGUCUGAGUGUUGGUAUAUGUGCUCGAUACCAGGCUAAUCUGAAAGAGUCACAUAUGAAUGCAGUCAAACGUGUUAUCAAAUAUGUGAAAGGUACAUUGGAUUUCGGUCUUCAUUACACCUUUGAAACUAACGUGAACCUUGCAGGAUUUUGUGAUGCUGAUUGGGCAGGAUGUUUGGAUGACCAACAUAGUACUUCUGGCGGAUGUUUCUUUCUUGGAAACAACUUGGUAGCAUGGCACAGCAAGAAACAAAAUUACGUCUCUCUCUCAACGGCUGAGGCUGAGUAUAUUGCUUUCAGGAGCUGUUGCACCCAGUUACUUUGGAUGCGUCAAAUGCUCGUUGAUUAUGGUAUCAUCUCUGACCCUAUGCUUGUUCAUUGUGAUAAUAUUAAUGCCAUAAACUUGUCUAAAAAUCCGGUUCAGCAAUCACGUACCAAACAUGUCGACAUUCGACAUCACUUUGUGAGAGAGUUAGUUGAGAUGAAAAUUGUGAUCUUGGAGCAUGUAUCAACUGAAAGACAACUGGCUGAUCUAUUCACUAAACCUCUGGACUACAACACGUUCCUAGGCCUUCGAAAGGCCUUAGGAAUUGUGAAUCUCUGAAUAAGUCAUGUCAGAAGAGGAGAGCUGUUUUAUAUAUGUGUUACUGCUUGUCGAUAUGUCACCACAAUCUCAAAACCCUGAGUCAACAAGUUCGAUUGUUCAGCUUAUUUCAUCUGUCUCCUCAACAGUACAGUCACUUGAUUCGUUGGUGAAAGACACUCAUCUUGGAUCAGGAUUCUACAACAUUUUCGGUCUGAGUAUUGAUCACUGUCUGGAUUGAAUGAGGAAUCACAGCAGAGACUGAGUGAAACUAGUGGGAAGAAAAAUAAAUAAAGGCCCUGAAUGAUGGACACUCGUUUUGGAGCUGGAAGACACAACCUUCAGUCUCUAAUUUCGAUCACUAUCCAGACGGGGCAGGGUUGAUAUCAACUCUUCGAGACAGCUCAGCCUGGAGCAAGAUGUUACCCCAUCGUGUCUUUAGUACUGACAACUGUCUCACUCACUUGAGUUGAUAAAUAUACUCUGAUGGAAGGAAAAAAAAUUAAAAUUUCUGUGACAGCUACUCUGCUGAGAAAUAGCUAUAGAUCUGGGUUACAAUGACUGUCGAGUUGGAGAGACAGACACACAAGAUGUCAACACUGUGUUUCCAGUCCAUACAAAUGACUGUGCUGUAGGAGUUUAGGUGUGAGUGAGUUAUAUGAUAGGAUCAUGUCUGUGACAGCUACUCGGCUGAGAAACAGCUACAGUUUUGGGUUGGUCUCACUGAUUUUUUAUAAAAAAUUUCUUGGUGGCUUAGUACAAGUGGGAAGCAAUCUCUUUCUUUCUCCUCUGGACGCUAAAGACAUUCGGGAGUAUGUCUUCUGGCGAGGUGUUUUAGGUACUGUUUCUUUUGUGUGAUGCACUGCUUACAAGCACAUGAUUAUCACUCUCACAAACUCUCUCUCUCUCACACGGACAUAGGUAAUGUCAGUACAUGGUAUUUUUCAAUCAAAGUUUCUUCUUUAUUUAGUUUGGGUCCUAUGUCUUGGGCCUAUUGCUAAUGUUUCUAACGGGCUUGGUGAGUAUGGUUAGGGUUAUUUUUGUGGAUUGAAUGAUUCAGCUGUCUUCAAGUGUCACACUUUCUCUAUCUAUAUCUCUCUCUCUCUCUCUCUCUCUCUCUCUCUCUCUCUCUCUCUCUCUCUCUCUCUCUCUCUCUCUCUCUCUCACCGGCGCACUCGAUCUCUCUCACUAGCAACAUGCAACCAACAAGGAGAAGCUCGCGGCUUUCGAAACUGAAGAAUGUUGAGGCUGCUCUGAUAAACACAUCUGACAUCUCUUCUGGGUCUGGUUCAUCCUCUCGCAAGAGGAGUCGCCGUCGUGUCUCAGCUGGUGACACUGCGCCUCCGCCUGAGAACAUUGAGCCGGAAGUUGAGUCUCUCUCGGAUGAGGAAUCCUCUGACGACCACCCCGACGAAGCUCCGAUGGCAGUAGAUACUCCUACAAAUCGCUCCAAAGAACAGAUAUUUGAGGAGAGUCGGAGUGUGUAUCAAACUAAAUCUCAGUUCUAUCCAGAGCUUAUGCGACCUAAAAGGAUGUCAAUGACUGAACGGUUCUUCUCAAUCGAGGCAACUGAGCGUUUCAAAGACCUUCGAGGCCAGAAUUUCAUUCCUCAGCAGUCUAUCUCUCUCACGGACGAGAAUGUCUCUGAUGUCAGAAGAAUUGUGACCGGUGCAGGCUUGAUUCAUACCCUCACUGAUCUCGAUCCUUAUCAGCCCAAUGUAAUCCGAGAAUUCAUCGCUAACCUUCCUGAAGCUGAGGAAUGAGACGAUGGUGUAGCGGUAUAUGUCAGAGGAUCUCUAGUUGACUUCUCUCCAAGUCUGAUUAAUUCUCUGUAUUGCAUUCCGUGGUUUGAAGAAGAUCCUAACUGGAUGGAUGAACGCCUUGAUGAAGUUUGUGGUUUACUCACUGAUGGAAGAAUAAGACGAUGGGAGAACAUGAUUUCGAAGUAUCUCACUGCUACGAAUCAGGUUUUGUAUAAACUCGUCUGCUCGAACUGAAUUCCCACCAGAAACUACACAUCUAUGAAUCAAAGGCGACUCAGGUUUGUCUACAUGCUUCAUCAUCAUGAUGGAUUUGACUUCGGGAAAUUAGUCUACGAUCAGAUAAUGGCGAUGGCAGAGAACACGAAGACAGAGAAGACUCGGUGCAUCAUGUUCCCUACCUUGAUUCAGCAGGUUAUUCACUUUCAGCGUACUAUACCUCCUGACUUGCUUCAUGAUGAGUUCACGGGAACACCAAAGCUUGUCGUCAAGGACGUUAACGCUGGUCGUGGGUCUGGAGCAGACUCAAGUGCUGCCAGCCUUGAAGACGACAUCAAUCGCACCAUUGCGGGUCUCAAAGCCAUUCGAGUCCGCCUGAGGAGUAAGGGAGUUGCACAGUUUUUGUAUCAUUCCCUACUCUAUGUCUAACGAAUGUUUUUCUCUAAAUGUGCACAUAUGCAGGGGGAGAUUAUGAGCAAUAUAUUCCUCAUCCUAGGUUUGAAGAAAACAACGAAGAGGAUGAAGAUGAUGAAGACGAAUAGGAGGAUUGUGCUGACAUACUGAAUGACAACUGUGUCAUAUCAGAAUUUCAUUUUUCCAAGCUUAAUGAUGAUCUGAUCUAUCUUGUACUAUCUAAGACUCGGACUAUGUGUGCUUUUAUCAACCUUGUGUGCAACUUAUUUAAGAAUGCGUUUUCAGAUCAUGAUUAAUGGUUGAGUAGAUUCCAUCGUCUUGGAUAUUUGUUCUGUGUGGUUGUUUACAUUGCAUGUUUCAUAGGUUGUCACAUUCAGAUAAAAAGGGGGAGAAUGUAAGCUCAAGAAAAGGAGCUUGUCGAAUUGUGAAACAGAGGAUGUGUUAUACACGAUGUAGGAAGUGUAACUUGUUGUUACAAGUCGGUUAUGAGACGAUGACGUGUCAAUGUCACAUUGUUUCCAGGAUGUUACUUUGGUGUGAAGCAAAGAAGAUCUGGAAGAUUUGAGCUUAUCAUAAUAUUAGGAAAAUAAGAUAUUGUGUUAAGGGUAUUUAACCUGAUUGACUUAGGUAGAUCUAGGUUAGCCGUAUAUUGAUUAAAAAGCUUGAGCAAGAGGUUUGUUCUUGAUAGCUUAAGAAAGACGAGUGACUUUGGGUGCAGCUCGUGUUUCUGUUCUGUGAGAUUAGGAAUUGGUCCGUCUCUAGUCGUGUGUUACUGAGAGUAAUUCGGAUUAAAUAGAUCUAGGAAGAUUGUUUAACAGAUUUCUAAUAUACAAGAAAACAUUCUUGGUAUCUUGUGUUUUAGUUCCUAUAUCUGGUAGUCUCUGAACUUUCAUGCUUGGUUUGUAAACUAGUGGGGAUCGCUCUGAGACUGGGGAUGCGCCAACUGCAUUGUGUUGAUACUGGAUAUACGCUUAGUUUUGUUUGCCAGUUUUUGGGUGUAUUGAUCGUUUCAGAGAUGUGUCAGUUCCCACAGCUGACAUAGGACACUCUGAGCUAUUAUUUUACAAGUUUGACAAACUGAAAUAGGAACUGAAACAUGAUCAUUUGCAUUUGCAAGUUGAGCUGUAGUAGCUUUAGAUUUUUACUUCUCGUUCUCUGAAUAUAUUCGCAAGCUUUACAUUUCGACAAUAUUCUGGCAAAUCUACCGACAAAAAGAUUACCCAAAUUAUUAACUAUAUCGGGUUUAUGCCAUUUAGUAGGCAUGUCAUUUACGAGACCUUCUCUCUCCAAUCUUUAGCUCUCACUUCUCUCUAGCAUCUUCUUCAUCGUGUUCUUCGUUUCCGGCCGGCGGAGUUGGCUUUCAUAGCCACCGUCGGUCGGGAUUUGAUUUAUUUUCUAUGUGGUUGCAUGUCUUUUGCUUGGGUUUCUAGAAUCCUAGACAGUUUUCUAGAUCUAGAUCAUCAGAUCUCGCUUUUAGAGGUCGAGAUUCGUCGAUCGAGGUUCAGUCGGCGGUUUGUCCGUCUCGGGUCCUCCUUAUUCGGCGUGGUUUCUUCCUCUUGAGUUUCAAUCGGUGUUAUUUGUGUCAACAAUUUCUCUUCUCGGAUCUGGUUGCAUGUUCGAUGUUGCCUCUUGUGGUGGUUCAGCCGAGGUUGGAGGUGUGCUUUUCCUUGUCUUCGUCUGCGACGGGAUUGAGCCUGGGUUGUUUAUGUUAUAUUCUGCUUCGUGCAAGGGUUCUCCGGUUCUUGUUCAAGGAAUUGGGGCUUUGGCUCUUUCUGCAUUAAGUCGUGGGAGAUUGAUAGUUAAAAGGUGUGUCCUUCAUCUCCUUGGGGUUGCUGUCUGCGUUACUUCCUCGUGGCUAGUUGAAGUGAUCUUACUAGCAAUAUAAUGAGGUGCAUGUGCUUUCCAAAUAAAGUUUGAUUAUAUGAUGUGUGCUUAUUCUCUCAUUUCUCUUUCGGUGGUUCUUCUGUCUUGGGUAUUUAGUUGUUUUGAUCUAGAUUAGUUUGCUUGUCUGUUAUUAAAACCUUGUUCGUAAAUUUCUAUGUCUUUAUGUUUCCGGAGAUUCUCAUGUCUGCCGGCUAAUGCUUCUGGAAGAAGGUUGUUUCUUGCCAGCUAUAUUUCUAACAGUCAUCAUGACUCGUUAGCUUUGUAUCCCACCAUGUGUACUCCUCUGUUGAGUAAUGAAUGAAUCUUUUAGUGUUAAAAAAAAGAAGAAGGUAGGCCUGUCAUUUGACUACAAGGAUCAUUUCAUCAUUUUAUCAUGCUUGGCUACUCGAUUCUGCGAAUAAUUACUAUAUUUGCAUACUUCUGCAAUUAUCAUCCCAUUUUUGUAUAUUGACUUCAUUAGGCCUUCUUUUUUUUAUCAAUAAAAGAGAAAAACACUUUUUGUUUUUUUAAACAAAAAAGAGAAAAAAACACUUUAUCCUACUAUAUAAAAGGAGCUAAAUCCUAGCUUUUCUAGAGGUGCCACAUGGGCAAAAUAAUCUCCACCUAUCAAACUGCUAUGUCACUAGUGGACUGGGCUUCGAAUUAAAAUUGCAAUAAAAGAUUUGGGCUUCGUUGUCGCUAACAAAAAUCUCGGUUUGUCUACGAUUUGCCGAUUGGCCAGGUAAAGAAAAAUCUCACAGCCCAGCCCAUUAACCCAAAUCGCCGUCUUCGUAAAACUAUUUCCUUCGGACAAUUACUUAUUUCAACUGUCAAACUAUUUUCUUUUGAAUUUUCUAUUUUUUCAGACAAUUUAUUAUUUCUACUGUUUUUUUUAACAAUGUGUGAACCGGCUAAGUUUCCUUUCAUCUUAAAAUUGUCCGCCCAAGAUAACACAACCCCCUCAUUUCACACACAGUCACUAUAAAUUUCUAAAAAAAACCUAAAUUCUACUAUCAAACCCACCCAACAAAUUUAUAACUACCAGUUCCAAUUACUCAUGCUUCGACCUCAGUCAAAUAAUUAUGGGCCGGCCUACUUUAAUUUUUAAAUAACCUGUCAAUAAUUUUUUUUUUUUUAAAAACAAACCAUAACUAUGUUCACUUCAAAAAAUAUGAAAUUAAUAAAAGAUUGGCAAUACAAAAUAAUUCUCAUUCUUAUCUGUGCAGAACAUGCAGCAGAAGAUCAAAACAAUUGGGGCGACACCUUCGGACCGCAUCCAAUAAUCGUUAGGAUCAUUAGGAUGUGGUCCAUCACAAAUCACAAAAAUAAAAAUGCUUUCCUACGAACAACUUUCAUUUGUCUUGACAUCUAAAUUUGUCUUAAAAAUACUUACUUUUAAUUAUUCCAACUACAUUUCAAAUGAUGGUUUUUAACCACUAAACAGGAACAAAUAAUGAAAGGGAGGGUGUCUAUUUCUAUGUCUUACACAAUCUACCAACGCUUCGAAGAAGGGAAAAUUUAUCACAUUAGAUAUUUUAAUCUUCUUCCCAAUAACCAACGGUACAUGCUUACUGUUCAACCAUACAUAAUCAAUAUCAAUGAGACAACAAUUAUUACACUGAUUCAAGAAAACAUUCCACCGAUCCCUUCAUACAUAUUCCUGCCCCAACGUUACCACCAGUUGAUCAGCUUAGCAAAUGCAACCAACUUCCUCCCAGGUAAAAAAAACCAAUAACUCUCUCACAUACAAAUAAAUACUAAAUUUUUGUCCAUAAAACCAAAUUAUUCCUACAGAUAUUGUUGGCCGCAUAUGCCUCAUCCAAGAAAAUGAUUUAUAUAACCACUACACAGAUUCAAAAAUCAUCAUUGGAUUGCGUUUAGAUAGGUACUAACUUUUUAUUAAAUAACAAUUAGUUUACAACCAAACAAAAUAUAAUACAAUAAUUAUUUGUAGAUCAAAAUUGGUACGUCUAACUUUAUGGGACAAGGAGGCGUCUAAUUUGUACCAGGAAAAACAAAUCGUAAUCAUCACAAGUAUCAUUCCACGGUUACAUGAAGGUAGUAAACUAAACAUAAAGUUUAUGUCAAAAUAAAUGCUUACAAAUAUUUGACUUUUUCAGGAAAACUAUCACUCACAACCACACCUGGAUCGCGCUUCUACUUUGACAACGAUAUUGGUAUCAUACAACACUUCCAAAAGAGGAAUAAACUACUAUCCUAAGCCUCAUAGCAAACGACACCGGCCAACUUUUAAGAAAUUUACGUUACCGCUUCCUACGUCCAUUAAAUAGGCACACUCAAAUACUAUUUUCUCUUACGAAUAUUGAAUUCCUCAAAACAAUUUAUUAUUCAAACUUACUGUUGUUUUAAAAAAAAAAAAAUUGAUCACCGUUUUCAACGUCUUCGCAUUAUAAAAUAAACAAAACAUAACUUAACUUUUCAGAAACUUCAAAACUCCCAAUUUUAAUUGAACUAGACUUUUAUUAAACAUGUAAUCCGCGCGAAGCGCGGACACUGACCCUAGUUUUUAUAUAAUUAGAAGAAAAGAGAACCACAGAACAAAAUGAAUAAUAAUAAUAAGUAACACGUGCGCACAUACAUUACAAAUUUACCCUUGACUCCCUAAAAGCUAGCCUUCCUCAGAGACGUGAAUGUAACGGAGCUUCCCAACGGCGAGGAGCCAACCUCAAUAUCAAAGGAAUCAUACCUCCUGAAAAUCUCAAUCAAAAAUAACCUCGCCACCAAAACAACAAAGUCCUUACCGGCGCACUGUUUAUUCCCCACCGUGGGAUUCUCCGUCUGCGGACCAUUCGACCACACCACAUGCUGCAACAACCUCUCUCCUUCCUCCCCGAGAAACCUCUCCGGCACAAACUCCUCCGCUCUUUCAAAUAUCUUCGGAUCCCUAGUCGCAAGCGGUUGAUAUCCAUAAAGCAUUUCUCCCGCCUUGACUCUAAACGCCGCGUCGUGGCUCUCGAUCACGAAAUCCUUCUUAGCACGAGCAUAUUGCGCCGGAACCGGCGGUUCGAACCGGAGACACUCGAAAACGACUGAUUUCGUGAGCUCCAUCUGCUCAAUCCCUCCCAUCGUGAGCUCCCCGCCGUUGGAUUUGAUAACAGAUCUUAUCUCCUCCGCUAAUCGGAUCUGGAGUUUCGUACCUGCCCGCCCGACCCGUUUAACCAGAUUCGAGAACAGAAUUUUCAUCCCUCCCCACGUGUUGAAACACGUGGCGAAGAGAAGGUUGUGAGCAGCUUCUUCUCGCGAGAUACCCAAUUUCUCAGCCUCAACUAGAAUCUCGCCGGAAGAUUCUAGGAAGAACUCGUAGAGUCUCUGGUAAUCAGACUUGACUAACGCCGACGGUAACCGGAAAGUAUGGAGAAGAGGAUCUUCUAUGAUUGACGGUAGCCCGAGAGUCAACAAAGGAUGGAGAUUGAAGAAGACCCAUUUCGUAAUCAGACUCGGCGCAUCCGAUCCAAGCUUCGUAUCCGCUGGAUCCUUCCCGUACAUAGCUCGCGCCAAGAAAUUGAAAGCUGCUGCGUCACCGGGACCACCAAAAUCUGCUUUUCCGUUAGCGGCGAGCUCUUUCUCAAUCGAAUCGAAAAGCUCUGAGUAUGUAGCUUUAAACUCCGGGAAGAUUCGGUUUCGAGAGGACUUGAGUAGAUGGAAGAGUAAAGAUUUGAGCUUGGCGUGAUUCGGCUCCGACGGGUCCAGGUAUGAUAAGAUACGGUAGCCUCCGGUUAGCUCCGUCGAGGGCAUGUAAGUGCCGGUGAAGAGAUCUUUCUUCUCGACCUUAUCAACAUCGAACAAAACCGGGAAGCUUUUUCCGUCGAGUAAAGCCACGACUUGGGGAUUGUCGGCUAUGAAACCUCCUGGUGGCAUAUUGACUCGAAACACUGUGGAGUUGUAUUUACGGAUUCGUGAUUUGAAGAACUCCUCGGGUUUUUGCUUGUGGAAGUAAUCGUUACGGUCUUUUAGUGGACCUAUAAUUGGUAGACCGUAGCUUCCAGGGAUGGUUCGGAUGGGGAGAUCUUUGGAUCCGGAUCCGGUGCGGGUCUCCACGGCUAGAUCAGGAGGAGUCUCUGACGUUGAGGCUUUGAUCGGCCGGGUUAAAACUCGAGUCGAGGAGAAUUUUAGUGGUGUUGAUCGAGCGGUGGUUGUUUGGUGAAGCCGAGCGUGAAGAGAAAUAGGGAAAUGAGGUGAAGCAGAGGCCAUUUCUGUGUGUUUGAGUACUGAUUGGUUGUUUGUUGUUGUGUAGAACUAGUAGCGACUAUAAAUGUUAUUUAUAAAGAAAUGAGGUAAACGAGAUCUAUUCGUAAGAUUAUCUUUUCGGGUAUAGCAAUAGCAGAUUGAUGACUUCUAUUGUCUAUUGGAGUCUCUGACCACCGGCCGAGCUGGUAUAUUCAAAUUGCCACGUGCUUUGACUGCGUUUUUCUUUAUAAAAGUUGUUUGCUUUCCUUUUUCCGGCCAACUUAAAUUAUUUAUUUAUUUAUUUAUAAAUCUAAAAUCUAUGCAUAUAAAUAUGAUGUUAUCUCAAAAUUAGUCAUUAUGCUGUUUUAGUCUUUAUUCCAAUAGAGUUGAAUAGAUUUGGAAACAAAAAUAACUCAUUUGUUGAUAAAUUCAAAUCACAAAAUAAAAUACCAUGGCGGAUCACGAGGGAAUCCAACACUACCGUCUAUCUCAGAUAUAUUGUGUUUCACAGAUGGUUCUUAGAAAAAGUAUGUAUAGCAUCAUGUAAAGUUUUGACAGUUUGAUGGGAGCAAAAAAUAUAAGGGCGAGUCAGUCACCUCUGCACUCGGAAAUAUAGGCUAUGAUAUGGGCAAUGGAAUGUAUGCUGAAUCUAAAGCAGUUUACUGUUACUUUUGCAACGGAUUGUUUACAGUUGAUAAAAAUAGUUUCAGAACCAAAAGAGUGGUCAAUCUUUGCAAGUUAUUUAGAGGACAUAAAGAUCCUAAAGAGAAGUUUCAAUAGUUUGACAAUCAUCCAUAUACCACGGACGCAAAAUUCAAAGACGGAUAGUCUUAGAUGUAAAGCAAAGAAGUAAUCAUCUUUUGUUGUCCAUAAGGAUGAGGAGCUACCAAUUUAGUUUGCACUGCUAGUAUGAAUCUGUUAAGUUCCUAACAGAAAAAAAAAUACCAUGGUACAAAAAUUAAAACACACACAAAAUAAUGAGAGAAUUUGCGAGAUAUCUAGUUUGGUAGUUUAAUUAAGUGCAUGUCAAUGAUUUUGACAUAACUAGGGAAGUAAACAAUGUGUCUCCUUUCAUCCGGUAAUAAUCAUUUGUCCUACAAGUAGCAGGUGAAGGGAAAAAGAUAAGUCCACGUCGCCUGUGUGAUAUAUGUGUAUUUACCGGUGACAAAUGAUAAAGAGUGAUGUUGACAUCAACUUAUGUGGCCCACAAUUUAAGUGAUCUUUGCAUAACUUACGAAAGAAAAAGGAACCACGUCACUUUAAUUUUUUUACCACAUAAAUAAACAUAUAUAAAAGAAGAUGAAUGCAUGAAGAAGUUAAUGCUUACCAGAUUGCGUGUAUACUGUUCUAUCUCGAUUACACUUGUACUAUUGUAUCUCACUCAAACCUCUACUGGAAACUAUAUGAGACACACCACUGAUUAAUAAAGCUAAACCCUAAUCAAGGAAGCAUAAACCCAAAUAGAAUGUAUAUAAUAUGGUUUACUAUACACAAACCUCUACUUAGUAAAUCUAAACCCUAGGCAGAAACCUAUAAACCCAAAUACAGUCUAUAAAUUGUUUUCUAAUAUUAGACACUUGAAGGCACACUUACAUGGGUAGCAUAAUGCAUAUCUUUUAUUUCAUAUAGUCUAAAUAGUAUAGUAAAUGAAUGUUCCAAAUAAUCAAAUUUAUCUAGUGAUAUAUCCAUAGUAUGAAAUGCAAACAGUAAGCUCUUCCCACCCGAAAAAAAUACAACAAUACAAGACACGCCACUGAUUAGUAAAACUAAACCCUAAUUAAGGAAGCAUAAACCCAUAUAGAAUGUAUAUAAUAUGGUUUACUAUACACAAACCUCUACUUAUGAAAUUUAAACCCUAGGCAAAACCCUAUAAACCUAAAUACAAUCUAUAAAUUGUUUUCAAAUAUUGGACACAUGAAGGCACACUUACUUGGUUAGCAUGUUGCAUAUCUUCUAUUUCAUAGAGUCUAAAUAAUAUAGUAAAUGAAUGUUCCAAAUAAUCAAAUUUGUCCAGUGAUGUAUCCAUAGUAUGAAAUGAAAACAGUAAGUCUCCCCACCCGAAAAAUACAACAAUACAAGACACACCACUAAUUAGUAAAACUAAACCCUAAUCAAGGAAGCAUAAACCCAAAUAGAAUGUAUAUAAUAUGGUUUACUACACCCAAACCUAUGCUUAGUAAAUCUAAACUUUAAGUAGGAACCUAUAAACUCAAAUACAAUCUAUAAAUUGUUUUACAAUAUUUGACAUUUGGAUGAGAUUUACUUGGUUAACAUGUGGUAUAUCUUUUAUUUCAUAUAGUCUAAGUAGUAUAGUAAGCAAAUCUUACAAAUAAUCAAAUUUGUCCAACGUUCGAAAUUUUUUUUUAUAUAUCAAUGUCAAACAAAGUUACAGAAAAGAGAACUAUCAAAUUUGAAAACAUGACAUAUUAUUAUAUCCUUAAGAAAUAGUAUAGAAAUAUGUCUCAAAUAGUACGGUAUCCUUACAUAAAUAAGUACACUAAAAUAUAUAUACUAUACUAUUCCUUUCACCGAAUAUAGUAUGGACAGAGAGUUUAUCUUCUUCAUUUCUUUUUUUUAGACAUGUUGAUGGUGAUACACAUUUACUAUGCUCACAAUCAUUAUUCUUCAUCACCAUAUAGAGCGUGUCUUCAUCUCCUUUCUUUUUCCGACAAGGCGACAUUUUUACCGAUCCGCCAUCGUUAUUUUUCACCACUAUAUCUGGAAAACAAAACCAGAAACAAAAACAUAUUAUUAAGGUAAAAGCAUGAUUGUAAGUAAUCAAUGAUUUAAGAUAAGAAAAAAAGGAAAUGAAAGAGUUUUUGUGUCUGUUCACUGUAAUCCUUCGCCAUGAACACAAUAGAGUUCGUCGGGAGCUACACAUCUGAACAAAAUUGAUUAAUCUUUCUAAUAUUUACUAAUAAAAAUAACAUUUAAAGAUAUGUGUGAUUAUCAAAAGGUAUGACUAACAAAAAGACACGAGUAACUUUGCCAUAUUAAUUAUUAUUAAAUUUUGGUUUUGUUUGUAGGUUUUUCCGGUUAUUCAUAAAGGCAAUAUGGCUAUUAUUUAUUAAAAAAAGCAGUGUAUUAGUGAAUUAGGAUAUUUAGAUAGCUAGUGAAUUAUUAAUUGUUUUUUUUUUUUUUUUUUGACAUCGGAAAGUGAAUUAUUAAUUGUUUGAAGGUUAUACAGCUCCAUUCCCCAAUAAUAUAAUAACCGAUAACAGAUGUAUAUUCUUGACAAAGAAAACGUAAUACAGCCAGCCAUAGGCAAAUACUACAAUUUUAUAGGCUUGAGCUGGUAUUUUCAACAAUUUUUCUAUUUACAAGUUUUCUUUGAAACAAGGCUGAUGCUUUGUUAGUUUGCUAUGGUCGGCAUUUGAACGGAUACCACUUAAAUCAAGGGGUUAUUUAAUUUUAUUUGUGAGUGGAUCAAAAAAAAAAUUGUUUUCUGUGAAAUAACCAAAACAAAAUUCAAAUUAGUUUCUAGAGAGAAGAUAGAGAGAUAUAGGAAGAGAAGAAAAAAAGAGAAAAGGGAAUUUUGAUUAAUUUAUGAAUUUUGAUUUUUCUUGUAUAUAUUUUUUUGGUAAAUUAUUUUUUCUUGUAUUGUAUGUUAUUGGGUGCAAUUUCUGUAAAAGCAGUGACAAAAAUAAGUUAAAUAAACCAGUGUCUUGAAUUAACAAAAUUUACUACCAUGUAUAAAUAGAUUCGAAUCUAUGUUAAAAAUGUUCGAGAGAAAUCUUUCAAAAUCCCACUAUCUAUUAAUGGAUUACUUUUGUAUUUAAAUCUAGCAAGUGUUGGUGCUCAUUCACUCAUUGAGUAACGUUUGUUGUUCAUUCAAUUUUUUGAAUAUAAUUUAAAAAGCAUUUUUGGUGUGAAGUAUAAAUCAUAUGGUUCGGUUGGAUCUUUUGGGCAGAUUUUUAGUUGUUUCAGAAAAUUGGAUAGAUUUUUUUUUUAAAUGGAGGACAUCUUGGAAUUGUUUGUAGGUUAGGUUUUGAUUUUGUUUUGGGAUUUUUUUGGGCGAAAGUUGACAUUUUGUAAUUAUUAUAUAUAAAUAUUGAAAUAAGUUAUAUAAUUGUAUUAUUAUUAUAAUAAAAUCAACCCUACACGUUUUAUUAUACUAGAUAUCAAAAAGUUGUUAUCUUAUCAUAUUUUUCUAAAUAAAAUAUUGAAUUUUAUUAAAAAAUAUCUUAUCUAUUAAAAGAGAAGUACCAUUUUUAUCUACCACAAAAAAAAUCAUACUAGCCUUUUUUUUUUUUUUUGACAACAAGACAUUCACAGACUCAACUUGACUCUGUAAACCAAAUCGGUAACUCUGCAUCCAUGUGAACGACGAAAGACGAUUGUUUCCUAACACUACGUGCUAAGCUAUCCGCCCUUUUAUUCUCCGUCCGAGGUACAUGAACAAUCUCUGAGUUGUUGAAGCUUCCUUGUAGGACUUUGAUAUCUUUCAGGUAACUUUCAAAUGCUGGCCAUUCUUCUGGUUCCGAAACCAUCUUCACCAGUUGAGAACAAUCCGUUGCAAACGUAACAUGAAGCUGUCUUAAAUUCCUCAUACAUUCCAUUGCCCAGAUCAGCGCCUCCACCUCUGAAUGUAGUGGUGAAAGACAUGCCCUUACAUUCCGUGCCCCUAAUAAGCCAUCGAAACCCGGUAGGAUACUAUACCAGCCCUGUCCUGAAAAUAGAUCCUUAUCUUUCCAUGAUCCAUCUAUAAAACACCAGCGUCCUGAAGUUACCAAUAUGGGUCUGGUAUGUACCUGUAAUUCCCGUUUUUGGUCGUUGUUCACCUGUGCCGCAGCCCAAAGUGUAGAUUCCAAUUCUGCUAGUCUAAGGGUUUCCCUUGGAUCGACAUCCAGGUUACUGAAAACUUUAUUAUUCCUACCUUUCCAUAUAUACCAUAAAAUCCAAGCAAAUUGAUGAUCAUCCAUUUUUGGAUUAACUCGCCAAAAAAGAUGAUCCAUAUUACCAAAAAAAGAUCCUGUAGGGAAUAAACUGAGGCUCGAAGGGAUUUUAGAUAAAGCCCAUACUUGACGUACUGGGGGACAUUCGAAAAAUACAUGGUUUAUUGAUUCUUCCGGAUCCCCACAUCGAGCACAACAUAUAUCCCCAUGGAUUCCUCUCGCCUUUAGAUUUUUCAACACCGCUAUACAACCUGAAAGAAGUUGCCAUAGAAAAUGUUGUAUCUUGGGCGGACACCGUAUUUUCCAACAGAAGGCUUUAAGGACAUCCACUGUAGGCCCAUAAACCUCUGGUGGUUUUUCUCUAUCAGGAUAAACCCGUUCCACCUGAUAUCCUGAUUUUACCGAAUAUUUUCCAUUGUUAGUAAAAUGCCAUCCAUUUCUAUCUUCCAUCAGAUUUCUGCUUAAUGGCAUACUCUCAAUGAUUUUUACAUCAUGAGGAUCCACCACAGCCCUAAUUGCCUGAAGGUUCCAAGUUCGGGAUUCCAUAUUAAUGAGAGAAUCCACUGUAAGGUUCGGGUAACUAGCCUUAUUAGGUCCAUUUCAUUAAUUACAUUUAUUUAAUUAUUUAUAUUAAUCUAUUAAUAUAUAACAAUAUUAAUAAUAAAUAAAUUUUAACUGUAAAUUUAAAUUUUAUUUUUAGUUAUAACAAAAUGUUGAGAAAAAAUCUAACAAAAUCUUUCUAAAAUUUUAAAAUAUUUUAUUUAAAUUAAUACCAUUGAUUAAUUACGUAAAUAAUAAUAUAUACUAUUAUACAUUAAUUUAAAUAAACUUUUAUUAUAAAACAUAAUAAAAUAAAAGUGUAUGCUAUUUUUCAAAUUAUAUAAUUGUAUUCUAUAUCUUCUUUAGUAAAAGAAAUAUCAUAAAAAAUUCAUACCAGGUCUAUUUCAUCGAUUAAUUAUUUAAGUUAAUUAAUUUAAUAUAUAAAAUUUCUAAAAAUUCUUAUAAUUUAUAUAGAUAUUAAUAAAUAAAUUUUACAUGUAAAUUUAAACUUUAUUUUUACUUAUAACAAAAUAUGUUGGAAACAAUUUAACAAAAUCUUAAUAAAAUGUUAAAAUAUUUUUAAAUUAAUGCAGCGAUUGAUUUCAUAAUUAAUAAUAUAGUAUUAUUAUAAUGUAUUUACUUAUAAAAUCCCACAAUAUACUAAAAUAAAUAACAUAGAAAUAUAAAUUAUGCUAAGAAAAUAUGAGUUCUAUAGUAUAACUAAAAAAAAUUAAAAGGUAUUGUAUUCAGUUUGUAAAGAUUAAAAAAAAAUGAAGAAGAUUCUCAAUUUGUUUAUUUCAUAUUAAGAAUUUAUUUUACAAAAUGAAAAUAUAUUAAUAUAUAAUCACAAUUAUUAAUAAAGUAAAUGUAUAUAACAAAUCAUUAUACAUUAAUAAUAUUGAAUAAGAAACAAACCAAUAACACUAUAGAUUUACAUAACACGUUAUAAUACUAAAAUGUAAAUCAUAUCUUUUAAAAAUUUACGAUAGUAUCCGUUAUAUAUUUAUAUAAUGAAAAUCUAUCCGCACGGAUGUGCAGGUGAAAAAUCUAGUUCUUAUUUACAACCGUUGCUAUUUUAGCUUAUAACGUUUCAAAUAAAAAUGAGACUGAGAAAUGACUACGUUCUCACUGAUUCAAGCUAGAGUUUUUCUUCUUUUUUGCUAAAAUUUGGUACAAAAUAUUUGUAACGACCGGGUUUUCCGGUUCUCUAAACCAAUUAGUUUAGAUAUUAAUUGAUUCUAAUUCAAAUAAAAAUCUAGCUAGUCUUUUAAUUUUAUAAGUGUGUUGUUUACUUAUUUACUAGGUGGACUUCUAAGCUUUGCGCGAAAUAUUAGUUUAUUAUGGUUAAGUAUGAUAUUUUUGGAUAAUAUAAUUAUGUGGUCAGUAUUUAUUUGUGAAAAGCAUAACUUAGUAUUUUAUUGUAUUAUGUAGUAUUAGGUUAUAGGUUAAUAUAUUAUGUGUUGUUGUGUGUAUAUUAGUAUUUAUCAGUUUAUAAAACACAUUAUUUUAUAUAUCAUCCAAAAUUUAUACUUAGUUAAACUUAUAAAACACAUUAUUUUAUAUAUCAUCCAAAAUACACAUACACCAAAGCACUUCCUAAGAUUGCCAAGUCUAUGGACUUUAUCGGUUAAGAAAUCAAGCUCUUUAAAUAGUUUACAAGCUUCGUUGUAUGUCCAUUCCCCUGAUAUUUGAUACCUACAUCGAACUUGCAACAAGAAACUGUGUUAGCAAGUAUAAAGAGAAGAUAGAGCACAAAAUUGAACAAGAAGAAUCAUUGAUGAACUCACUUGUAAGAUCUUGUUAGAGUAGGCUACAUACACGGCAUAUGUUUGCCAGAGUCAUGGUCUUGUUCAACGCAUUUUAAAACCAAAUCAGUAACCGACAUCCUCUUCAACACUAUCUCUUCAAGCCAGGUAACACCGUUGUAGAGAACAGAGCAUCAAGUGGGGAUAGUUCCUGCAAACUACAGUUUCAGUGAAUGGAUCCUGUCAAUGUAGUUUCUUGUUCAGCAGACAAAACAAUGCAACAUUACAAAAACAAUGUACUAUAAGGUUUAAAGUUUCCUCCUAACCAGAACCUAAAGUCUAUCAACAUCUAAAGAUCAAACCUUUUCUAUUACCGCAGUCGUCUCCUUCGCUCACGACCACCGCCGCUUCCAUUGUUUUCUGUCAAGCAAAUGCCAAUGUCUGUUAUAGUCCACAAAACACUCUACAUUCUUGAAAGCUGCAAGUUUAGUCAGUAAGUUCUCUGUGAAUGGCUAACCUUUGCACGUUUUGCUAAAGACGAGAGUAUUCCGUCUUUCACAAAAGUUGUUAAAACUCAAUUAUCAUUAUGCAAGCUCCAGCCACUCAAGUGAAACCAGUACACAACGUUAUUGCCACUGAGUUCUAUAGAUUUUGUAUACAUAUCAAUAGCAUGGGAGAACUUGUGACCUGUAAGCAACUAGCAAUACUUAGCGAGCUGCUCUUAAACAAAAGAAGACUCUCAACAGUCGACAAUGAUGUUAAAAGAUAAUGAUAAUGUUUUAAGAAAAAGUACAAACCCUUAAAAGCUUCGUUGGCUUGAUUCUUCAUCUCCCCACCUUGCUUUCUGAACGGCCCCAGCUCUGCUCUUCGCCGGAAAGAUCAGAUGCCUCAGAGACUUGGAUUGCCUGCACACAAGAAACAUGGUGAAUGACUCAAGUUCAAGUUAAGAACUACAUCAAGAACCAUUCAUCUCGGGUAACUAAUUACCUCUUUAAGAUGAAGCAGUUGUUCUCUGGUGAAACGUAAAAUCUCAUGACCCUCAAAUCUCGAGUCUCCUCUCUACAAAACAUAAAAAAAUCAACUUUAGGUCAGAUUCAAUAAUGACAAACUAGAUUCUAACCCGCACAUCCGUUGCGGAUAACAUUUUUUUUUGACAGCAAACAUUCACAAACUCAUGUAGACUCUGUAAACCAAGGUGGCAACUCUGCAUCCAUGUGUAUGACGAAAGACGGCUGAAUCCGCGUGCCAAACGAUCCGCUUUUGUGUUUUCCGUCCUAGGUACAUGAACAAUAUCUGAGUUGUUGAAGCUUCUUCUCAAAAGCAUAAUAUCUUCUACGUAGCCUUCAAAUGCUGGUCAUUCCUCUGGUUCUGAAACCAUCUUCACCACUCGAGAACAAUUCGUUGCAAAUCACUUGAGAACAUUCAUUUGGGUAACAUUUCAUUUAUUGAUAUAAAAUUUUAUAUUAUUUUGUAUAUAAUAAUUUAUGAUAAUAUAUUGCUGUCAUUUUAAAAAUAACUUAAUAGAUGAUAUAUAAUUCUAAAUAUUAAAAUUUAACAUAUGUUAACGAUUUUAUUUUUUUGUAAAAAUUAUUACUUAAUUUAUGAAUAUUAAUCAUUUUAAAAGGUGAAUGAUAUUUUAGUCACUUUAAACGGUGAAUGAUAUUUUAUUUAUUUAUCUUAAUGAAAGUAUUUUUUAAAAUAUAUUGGUUUACCAAUUCAACAUAAUUUUAAUAUGUUUGCACAAAAACCAUAAUUUUAAUAUGUAAUUCAUUAAUUACUUCUAUUUUAAUAUAAUGUAGAAUAUACUUAUAAAAUUUAUAAAAUUAUCAUAUAAUUUCAUUAUUUUGUUUAUAAUAAAAAUUUAAUUAAAAUUAAUUUAUAAUAAUAUUAUACUACUAAUUGAGAAAUUAAUAAGUGCAUUAAUUAAAAGAAUAUUUAAGUUUUUAAAAAGAUUUUGUUAGAUUUUUUCUCAACAGAUUUUGUUAUUCCUAAAACUAAAGUUUUAGAGUAGUGUUGUUUAGAUUAGUUUCUUGUUCUAUUUAGUUAAUCAUCUGCUACAAGUCUCUUAUGUAACCUUCUGUCACAAAUCAAAAAUGGUAAUAACACUUUAACAUGUUUACCAAAAAAAAAAAAAAAAAGGUAUGAAAGGAUAGCAAGCAGUGUGUUUAAAAACUCAGAUUUCUUUAGCAACAAGAGAUGCGGCUAGGUUAGAUUGAGGAAGGAGAUGCAUACUUAAUAUAUAUGUGAUGCACGGUUUGGUUCACAAAAACAAAAGGGUGAGAUAAUUCAUUAACCCAAAAAGAAACGUUUACAAGGGUGUUAUUGGUUUAUGUAUUUUAAUAGAUUUGAAAAUCUAAUCCAAGUCAAGUGUUAUUGGUUCUAUCAUUUUAAAACCUAAUUUCAAAUCUGUUGUUAUUGGUUUUAUGAUUUUAAAACAGGUUUUAAAAUCAACUGUUAUUCAAUACUAAUAAUUUGUUUGAGGAUUUGAUUUUGAUUUAGAUUUGAGUUGGAUUUGAGAAUAUUUUUAAGAGUAAAAUACAAUGGAUCAAAUAUUGAGUUAAACCAUUGGAUUUGCAUAAUUGUUUUUUCUUUUCCAAUUACUUAUAAUUUUGUGUAUGGUCCUGUGGGUUGGACUCCACAACGUGCUAGUUACUUUUUUUCCAGAUAUCUAUACUAUUAAAAGAGAAAUAUUCUGAAAAAAUCUAUUUAUAUAAAGUUGUUGGAUCCUUUUAUUACUAGCUUAACCUAUUAUAUACAAACAAAUAAAUCAUAACUUAACUCUACCAUUUUUAAUAACAACUCGUAGAAUACCAUGGCAUAGCAAACUGGACUACAUUUUCAUUUAUUUCAAAAUAGUACAUGUUUGUUUUGUUAGGUUUUGUUAGAUUCAAAAUUUUAUGAGAUCCACAUGUUAUUAUGUAAUGGAUCAUUUCCGUUAACAAAAAUAUAUUUUCCUCAAACAUUACGAACGUAUACCACAAUGAAAUUGAAUAGGCAAAAAAAAAUUAUAAAUGAUGGCAUUAUAUCAUAAUCUCAUAGUUUUACAAUUGGAUUAAUGUCUUUUAUAUUUAGCGUAGAUAGUUUUUGCAUAUAAGGUUCUAUGGUAUCAGACAACACCAAAUAUUUAUAUCAAAAAGAUUUUGUUAAUCUUUUUAAAAACAACUAUGUACGUUUAUGCAAAUUAUGUUUGGUUUUUUAAUUUUUAUAUAGUUCGCUUAAAAUUUAAAAAGAAAAAAUAUAUAAAUUUUAUAUACAAAUUUAAACAUGUAUUAUAGAAAUUGUUCAAAUAUAUUUAUUAUGUAUAAAAUUUAUAAUUUUCAUUACAUAAAGAUAUAGGGCCUCAUUUGAAUAUCCAGAAAAUGGUCAAUUUGUAAACUGUCACAUUGAGAAUUAAUUAGAACUAUUCAAUAGGUUUAGAAUACCAGGUUAAAAAGAUUUUUUUUUAAGUAGUAAUCAUGCGUUUUAAAACUUGAUUCAAAAGUUUGAAUCUAUAUUAUUAAAAGGAAAUUAUCUAAAAAAUCUGCAUAAAAAGGUUGUUACAUACAUUAUUAACUAAUUAUUAUUUUUGGUCAUUCUUUAUAUUUCUCUAAUUAUAUCAUAAUAAAUGUUCUUAUUUGUCUUUUGAUUUUUAGCCUUUUAAUGCAACUAAUCUUAAUGGAUCCGAUAUCUAAUAUCAAAACAAAUACGGUUAGUUAUGAUUUAUGCUCUGGUUUGGUUUAAUUAAUUUCAAAAUCAAAAUAUAUCUUUACCAACACGUUCUUCUAUCUUGCCACAUUUACGGACAAUGUCACAUUAUAAUAUUUUUUUAAAAAAUCUAUGUAUGUCAUAUACCAUUUAAUAAAAACUCAUGUAUCAUGUGUCAUUGAUAUCCUAUUGAUCCUUAUACCCUAAACCCUUAUUCAAAGUCUAAAAGUUUAAUAAUUUUGUAAAAUAACCAUGAUCACGAUAAUAAAAUUUGUAUUCUCAUAUCUAUUUUAUGGUAUAAGAUAUUUUUGUUCAAAUGCAUAAUAACAUUGUUCUAUUUUUUUUAUAAAAAAAAUAUCAUAAUUCCAAAACUCAUAAAUUUAACUUUAAAAGAAUCUUUAAAAACCUAUAAAUUAAAAUGCAUAACAUAAAUACAAUGCAUUUACCAUACAAGACAAAUCAAAUAGUUUAUUCAGUUUUAUGUACUAUUAUAAAAUAUAUUAGAAGUUAAAUAAAAAUUUAGGAAAAUAUUAUCAGAUUUUUCUAAGUUUUUACCGGGUCAACUGGUAUCGGUUCACGGAUUAAUAGCAGUGUUUUUUUAUCAUAUUUUAAUUAAUGAAUUUUCAUUAAAUCUAAAUUUUGCGAAAACAUAUGAGUUGGUAGAACCUCUCAUAGAAUGCUACAUAAAGAACAUAAGCAUCUCUGAAUUAUAUAUGGCAACCAGGUUUACUGGCUCGACAUCGGAUCUGAUAUGGAAACAUUACUUAUAUUUUGAAUACAAAAUAUUAGGAUAAUUUAGGUUUUGGGUAAUUUGUUUUUAUAAAUAGUAUUUUUAUGAUAUUUGUUUAUUUAGAAAUUAAAUAUAAUUAAUAUUCGUAGAAAAUACUUUUUAUUUUAAAAUUUCAUAUACCCCUUUGGUUCUCGGUUUGGUUUCAAGAGAUAUAAGAUUUGGUCGGUUAUUUAUGAAAUUCGGUUCAAUUUUGUUUUUUUUUUUCAGUUUGGUUCCUAGGUUCCGGAUAAAUGUUCUAAGACUUUAUAUACUAUCUCAUAUAGAAAUUCAUUAAAAAAGAUUGAAAACCAAAAAUAAACCCGCGCUUUUCAAGCGCGGGUCAGAAUCUAGUUAUUAUUAUUAUAUGAUUCAGUCUCCUUGUUCUUCUUGGAUGCAGAUUGGUCAAGGUACUUAUAGCAGUGUAUACAAGGCUCGUGAUCUUCUCAACAACAACAAGAUCGUUGCACUUAAAAGAGUCCGGUUCGAUCUUAGCGAUUUAGAAAGCGUUAAGUUUAUGGCUAGAGAGAUCAUUGUCAUGAGGAAGCUUGAUCAUCCCAAUGUGCUUAAGUUACAAGGCUUGAUCACCGCCUCUCUUUCGUCUUCUCUUUACUUGUUUUUCGAGUACAUGGAUCAUGAUCUCGUUGGACUUGCCUCCAUUCCCGGUAUCAAGUUCUCUCAGCCUCAGGUACUCACUGGUUUGUGGUAUAAUAUAAUGUUUCUUAGGUGGAACAACUGCAUAAAAUAUUCAAGAUGUGUGGUUCACCAACAGAGGAUUACUGGAGGAAACUGAAACUACCACCUUCAGCUCCGUUUAAACCUGCGCUUCCUUACAGACGACGUGUAGCAGAGAUGUUUAAGGACUUGCCUAUGAAAGUGCUUUCUCUUUUGGAGGCUUUACUCUCCAUAGAUCCUGAGCAGGGAGGCUCUGCAGCUAUAGUUCUUGAGACUGAGUAGCUGGUUUUUAACUUUAUGUUAGAUACCGCUAUCUUUACUUUUGUGUGAUUUGAUGAUAACACAUGGUUAUUGUGGAGCAGUACUUCAGAACGUAGCCGUUUGCUUGUGAUCCAUCUUCUCUACUAAAAUAUCCUCCAAGCAAAGAGAUUGAGAUGAAGCGAAGAGGCAACAAAGGUCGGCACAGGAGAAGAAAGACUCUCUGACAAGACGGAUCACACGAAAGAAAACUUAUCCCACCGGUAAAAGCUAAUCCAUCACUCACAGCGGCUAUGGAGGUAACAGAGAGUCUUGAUAUGCUAUGGUUUGGUGUUCCAUCAGAAUAUUAACUUAAACCAAAAAUAAAACUUGUUGUCCCAAUACAGAAUCCUUAUCUAAGAAGAUGUGUUCCGGGUCAUUCAACAAGACAAAUGCAGAUCAGCAACAAUGCCGCAAGUGGAAGAGUCUCUUAGACCAGCUCCAUCGGGACCUCUUAAAUGAGGUUCUAAACAGAAAAGUGAAAAAAAAAAUGAAAAAACGAAAUAAAUCAGAGAACCAAUCUUUAAACUGAGAUUUUAAGGAUUGGUAAAGAGCCUUAAGUGUCACCUUACUCAUUAUAUUCUAGGGUUUUCAUUUAAUUUUUUGACACUUAAAGGAAGCAACUCUGUUGUUGUAGUUGUCUACGCAAAUAUGAAGCCAGAAUUUCGUGCUUGCUUUGAUAGGUUUUUAAGCUUUUUGUCAAAUGUAUACAUUAUCAAAUAUGAAGGCAGAAUUUCUUGGACAUCAAUAAACUUCAGAAGAAAGAAAUAUAUAGAUAUCUCAUGAAGAUGAUGAUACUUGCAAAUCCAUUUCAUUCAUUUAUAAAAAUCCACUUAUUUUGAUUUUGAAACUUAUAUCAUUGAUUUUGAAAUCUGUUUGUUUAAUUUUGAAAUCAAGAGAUUUGUAGAUGAUUUGUAAAUCCAAAACUUUUUUCAAAAUCCACUACAAUUCUAGAAUCAAUAACCCCCACUAGUGAGUUUAAUUAAAAGAAAAAGUAAACCAAACCGGUUCUAAAAAUCCUGGCCGUUAGACCACCCGCAUCGGGGGUUUAUGAGAGAGUCAUGGGCUCGGUAUCAUAGGCCUUUUCGAUUAAAAGAAAUGAAUAAAUGGGUUUCAACCCGUGAACCGGGUCUUCCAAGUGAGCCCGUAUGAUACGGGGUCAUGCCACGCGGCGCAGAGGGAGUGGCUACGCGAUCUUGCGUGUUGAGUGAGAAAAAAAGGGUUUCGCGUGAAAGAUUUCAUUUUCCCUUCUCUCUUCGAAAUCUAGGGUUUCUCCGUCUCUGAGGCGAUUUCGUGUCGGAGUCCAGAGCCGGAGAUUUUCUCGAUCAAUUCGUCGUCGGAGUCACUCGUAAACGCUCUCAGGUGAGUCUCAAUCACUCCGAGGACGAGAUAGCUUCGAUUUGAUCUCGAGAGGUUUCUAGGUUAAGGAAGUCGAUUUGGGGUUUCGUCUUAGGGUUGGAAAUCGAGAAGGGGGUUUCGAUUUCUUGGUUAAAAUCGACAUACGGUUUCCUUUUAGGGUUCGUUUAUCGUGGAUUUCAUUUCGAUUUGGGGGUUUUGUGUAAGGGUUCAAAAUCUAAAAGGGGGUUUUAAUUUCUUCGUUUAAAUCAACAUACGGAUUUCUUUUACUGUUCGUUCAUCGUGGAUUUGAAUUGGAUUUGGGGGUUUUUAUUUAGUCUUUCAAUUUUUUUUUUUUGUUUCUCGGUUGCUUCCGUUCUAAUUAUUUGUUUUCCUGAUACAGAUGGAUCCCGAAGCAGAGAUAAGAGACACAAAGAGAAGAAAGGAGCACAUCGAUAUGCUUUCAUACGUGUGUGAUUCAGAACACGGGAUUCCAACGAGGUGUCCCUGUGGUGGGAGUAUAAUUCACGAGGUUCGUGGGAAGGAGGAAUACGACACUCUCCCCGGCAAGCGUUUCUUCACCUGCAUAAACUACGAGGUAAAAAACGGGUUCUUGUCUUUUAAAUUAUGUCUUCUGUUUUUGUCUGUUAAUUAACAAUCUGAUAUAGUUUAUGUGUUGUUACCAAGGCUGAUGGUUUUCAUUAUCGUCAGCCUUGGGUCAUUGGUGUGCAGGAGCAUAUCGAACGGCUCACAAGUCGUGUGGAGGAGGUGGAGGCGGUGAUCAAGUGGCUGCCGGAGGUGAAUAAUAAGAUUAAGAGUCUGGAGGUAAUCUGACUUCCCACUUUUGAAUUUUGUUUUGUAAUUUUUUUCUUAUAUUUUAUACAGUGACUAACACCAUCUCAUUGUCAUUUCCUUGUACAGGCAGAGGUAAAAGCCCUCACUGUGGAGGUUAAUAGGCUCACUGGGAAGGUUUAUAACCUGACCGUGCAGGUGGAUCACUUGGAGAAAUGCUGCUUCGACUGAAAACACAAAGGUAACCACACUAUAACUAGAGUUGUUGCCUAAUGAAUUUUAACUUGAAGUAGGUUAGAGUAGUAGUAGAAUUUAAACUUGAACUGAACCAGAACUGAAGUAGUUGUGUAGUUAAGUUAAGUGUAAUCAAUUUUUGAAUGGUCUGUGUGAACUUGAAUUUAAACUUGAACUGAACCAAAACUAAAUUUAAACUUGAAAUAAUUAAUUUGAAAACCUGAUUUGAUGUUUAUUGAAUGGUCUGUGUGAAGUAGUUGUGUAGUUAAGUUAAGUGUAAUCAAUUUUUGGUGGUUAGAAGGUGUUUACUUCCUUGUACUUUCAAACCCAAAAGUAGUUUAAAAACCUAGCUAAUCGACAUCUUAAAACACAAACGAAAACUUAAAAACUUCAAUACUCAACCAAAAUGGUCCUUUAAACUCUCCCGGCUUUGUUAACCUGCUUACUUCCCAGACCACUCAGCCAAUAGAAAUAGGAUCUUCUGAGGUUCCUAAACCUCCGGAAAGGAGGAAGUGGACAACCAAAGAAGAUUUGGUGUUGAUCAGUGCUUGGUUGAACACCAGCAAAGAUCCAAUAACCAGUAAUGAGCAGAAGCUAGGAGCAUUUUGGAAGAGAAUAGAGGAAUACGUGAAUGCUAGCCCGCUGCUCGUUGGCUCCAUUCCUAGGGAGUGGAGUCAAUGUAAGCAGAGGUGGGGAAGGGUUAAUGAGCAGGUGUGUAAGUUCGUGGGAUGUCAUCAAGCUGCUCUGAAGGAGCAGGCGAGUGGACAGAACGAGAAUGAUGUCAUGAAGGUGGCUCAUGACAUCUUCUUUAAUGACUACAAAGCCAAGUUCAGUCUUGAACAUUGUUGGAGGGAGCUUCGGUUUGAUCAAAAAUGGAGAUCACACAGUCUGACAUCAAAUGGUGCAAAGGAGAAAAGGAAGGAAACUGCGGAUGAGGUGGGUCGCGAGGAAGAUGUUAGACCUCCCGGAGUCAAGGCUAGCAAAGCAGCAAAACGCAAGAAGCAUGGCAAUGAAGCAGCGUUUGAUCAGUUCGAAACCAUUCUAGCAGCCAAGAAUAUGUUAUCCAAACAGAAAAUACUUGAUAGGUUGCUAGGAAAAAACGCUGAUACACUUACAGAUCAAGAGCUUGCUCUAAAAAAUAAACUCAUAUCUGAAUUGCUUUAAGUUGGUGAGUGGUUAUUUAUUUUUUGAAAUUUAUAGUAGGUUGCUAGGAAAUGCAGUGUAUGAUGUUUGUGUUUAAAUCUUUUCCUUGAUGUAUAUUGAUAUUGUAACUGUUGUGCUUUGUAGGUCACGGGUUCAAGGAGGAGGAUGCGUGGAUGGUUGCAGGUCUCUGUUUCUUUAUGUAUCAAAUCAAGUCACGGGUGGUAAUGUAGUAGUAGGUGGUUGUAGUGGUAGGUUAUGUAAGAUGGAAUCACGGGAGAGUGUAGUGUUUUUCAACUUUCUACACUCGUUUUAUGUAUCAAAUCAAGGGUAUGUCCCCACGGCUUUGCUUUUGUACUCACGGGUGUAUGUACCCACAUGCUACUUGUUUCAAUGUUUUUCUAUAUAAAUGACUAUGUGUUUCAUUCUAUUUAUCUCAUUCAUGCAUUUUAUCAAAACUAUCUUACCAACUAUGUGAUACAUCAGUUUGAUUCUUCUUACCAUCAGCCAUACUUUUAUCAAAACUAUCUCACCAUCUCGGAAUCUCACCAACCAACACCACUACGAGAAUCACCAACCAACACCACGAGAAUCACAACAACAAUCAAACAAGAAUCACCAAUCAACACAAGGAAUCAACUCUACUACUCCUCAACCCACGGAUCAUCUCUACCAUUCAACAGAGGUAAGUUGAAAACCAAAAAUUCUAAGUAAUGAACAUAUCCUUAAAUAAUGAAAUUCUAAAUUCUAUAUUAUCAGAUUUAAAACCAAAAAAAAGUUUAUAAUUUACUAAAGUUAAAACCCCAAAAAAAAAAGAUUCAAGAGAAAUAAACAGAUUUAUAAUUUUCAUGAAAAUAUUUACUAAGGUUAAGACCAAAAUAAUAUUAAAAAAAAACUAAGGUUAAAACCAAAAUAAAAUUGAAGAGAAAUAGAGAAAUAUACUGAUUUAUAAUUUUAAUGAAAAACUUUACUAAGGUUAAAACCAAAAUAAUAUUAAAAAAAACUAAGGUUAAAACCCAAAAAAAAAAGUUUAUUAAAAAAUUCCUCCCUAUUGCCUUUUGUAGGAAAAAUAUUACAAUAAAUAUCAUCAACAAUGUCUUCCUCAUCAAGUGAUGAAGCGGAUGAAGUUUUUGAUGAAUUGGUCGAUGAAGUAGUUGAUAAUUUCAUCGAUACAGUAAUUGAUGGUCAAACCAACAAACCAAAGAGGCGAGCUUAUAUUGAAAGAGAUCGAGAACUAGGACACAUUCGACUAUGCAACGACUAUUUCAGUAAUAAUCCAACGUACACACAAGAUAUGUUUAGGCGGCGGUUUCAAAUGAACAAGCCAUUGUUCCUUCGCAUUGUCGACCGUCUAAGUACUGAAGUUCCGUACUUUCAGCAAAGAAGAGAUGCUACCGGAAGGAACGGGCUAUCUCAACUUCAAAAGUGUACGGCAGCGAUACGUAUGCUCGCAUAUGGUCAGUCAGGAGAUACAUAUGACGAAUAUCUCCGGAUGGCUGACAGUACAUCACGUUUAUGUUUGGCAAAAUUCACUGAUGCAAUAAUACAAUUGUUUGGGGAUGAGUAUCUACGAACACCUACAGCCGAGGAUCUUCAGCGAUUACUCGAUAUUGGAGAGGUACGGGGAUUUCCGGGGAUGAUAGGCAGCAUCGACUGUAUGCACUGGGAGUGGAAAAACUGCCCAACAGCUUGGAAAGGUCAGUUCACACGUGGUUCGGGAAAGCCGACAAUUGUCUUAGAAGCCGUGGCAUCACAAGAUCUUUGGAUUUGGCACACUUUUUUUCGGCUUACCAGGUAUCCUAAACGAUAUCAAUGUUCUUGAUCGGUCUCCAGUUUUUGACGACAUCUUACAUGGUCGAGCCCCUAAAGUGAAGUUCAAGGUCAACAACCACACUUAUCGUAUGGCCUACUAUCUUACCGACGGCAUUUAUCCUCCAUGGGCAACAUUUAUCCAAUCCAUCCCACUUCCUCAAGGUCGUAAAGCACAGAAAUUUGCAGAAAUGCAAGAAUCCGCCAGAAAAGAUGUCGAACGGGCUUUUGGAGUAUUGCAAUCGAGGUUUGCAAAUGUUAGGAACCCAGCUCUACAAUGGGACAAGGAAAGGAUAGGAAAAGUAAUGAUAGCUUGUGUCAUAUUGCACAAUAUGAUAGUAGAGGACGAACGAGACGGAUACGCUCCAAUUGAUACAUCUGAGUUUGAGACAGGACAGUCUAGCAGAAGUUCGCAGGCGAGAAGCAGAGAUAGUGUAAAUGUCACCCCUGAUAUGUUAGCCAUGCGGAGAGAAGUUCGAGAUGGCAACAAGCAUCAUCGUUUGAAAGCUGAUUUAGUGGAAAAUAUUUUGCAAAUGUUUGGUGAUGAAGAUGAAUAAAUAAGUUAUGUAUGUUAGAAAAAUUUCUCAAUUUAUGUAAUGUAUUUUUAAUGUAUUGAAUAAAAUUUUUUCAUAAUUUUAAUAAUAUGUUUUAAUAUUUUAUUCAUCUUUUUUGAAUAUUUUAAAUUUCUUUUUUUUUUAAAUUAAUAUUAUUAUUUUAUUCCUAUGAACUACUUCUUCGGGUUCACUAAUACAGAAAACAGCAUAUCCGAGUUCAUAACUGUUCAUGGGCCCACGAAAAAAUAACAAAGGGGGUUCACCAAUGCUAAUGUUCUUACAGAAUAAGUAUUUAAUGCGUAUAUAAAUUUAUUAAUAUGUAAAAACAAAAAGUGUCCAUCAUUGUGGAUCGAUUUUAGAAGUAUGUGGAAAUCUAAGCAGAAGUUUAACACGGUAAGUGGUUACAGCUUCUUCCUCAGCACCAACUUCAGCGAACAUGGCAAUUCCACGAGCAAAGGCAAAAGCUCCUGUCCCUCCUACAACCUCCAUAACCUCUUCCAAUUUAUGUGCCAUGUCUCUGCUUCUAAUACUAACACUCCCCGUGUACUCAGGACUCUCCAACGUCAAAUAUAUAACGUUAAAAUUCGAAUUAGCAAAGUCUUCAUGCGGGAUUAUAAAUCCCUCAGCUUUCCCCACUAUCCGAGAAUUGUUAUCGGGUCCCUCAGUGAGAGUACGCCGGAAAAUCAAUGCUCCUCCUCCUCCGCCUCCUCUGCGGUGGGUCUCGGCCAUGCGCUGACUUGACCUGCGAGAGAUAUAGGAGGAGGACGGGAUUUGAGUUUGCUGAACAUAGAGAGAGAAGGAGAAUAGUGAUUCUGGUGGGUCAUAAUCAGGAACGGGCGAGAAUAAAGCAAGUAGAAGGACGACGAUAACAGAAGUAGAGACGGCGAUGAGGAAAAUGAUUCUAGUUAGCAUGAUGGAGGAGAAGAGAUACAAGAGGAGUUUCUACCUGUUUUUUCUUAACAAACGUCAAAGGGUUUUAAAGUUAGAUUAGUGAUUUAGGUAUAACCACUACUUUCACAACAUAACUACACCAUUACUCGUUAAGAAUAAGCUACAUCAUCAAUUUCUUGUUUUUGUCUUGAAGCUGCUAUAGAGAUUCAAUCUUUCGUUUUUGUUUUUUAUUCUGCUUUUGUUCUUUUUUCAUGAAAGAAUAUUUUCCAAAACCAUAAGUUUUUUCUUCAAUUUAUUAUUUUUUUUUUAUAUCGAACGGCUGAUCUAUUACUCAAACUUGAAGUGUUCUGAGGAACAAACCGGAAUAGAACAACCAAUGUAAUAUAUAUUCCUAUGAAAGGAUCUCACUAUCUUAGCUAAUGAAUCAUAUGAUAUAUUUUCAGUUCGAGGAAUAAAAACAAUCGAAUCAUUGAGACGAGAUCCUUAAAAUCGGUGCCAAAAGACUGACACGUCGAUAAUUGAAGCAUGCACUCCAUCCCCCAUAAAAGAGCCUCAAGCUCCGAAUAAAGUGGUGAGAUUCUUUGGCGUUGGUUUCUUGCUCCCAAUAGCUGAGUUGUUCCUCCUGAGGUUUUCCAUGUCCAUCCAUAACCACUAAAGAAUGCGUCAUGUGUCCAUAAACCAUCUAUUAGACAUCUUUCUGAAUUUGUUAUGUGCUAUGGGGGUUAUUCUAACUGUUUGUUCCCCUUACUUGUUGUUUGCUUCGAAUUCAGCAUGUCAGACAGUUUCCAAGGGGUCUCUAUCUAUUUUUCUGAAAAAUUUAUCAUUCUUUGCUUUCCAAAUAUACCAUAUAAUCCAGGGAUAUGGAUCUUUAUCCAACUCACGUCUUCUAUGUCAUUUUUCCUCCAAAACAAAUAGUCAAUGUUUUUUCUUCAAUUUAUUUUGAGUUCUGUUUCAUUUCUUAAUAUAUACUCCCUCUGUUUUGUUAUAUAUGACGUUUUAGAACUUUUAUUUUGUGUCAAAAUAUAUGACGCUUUCCAAAAUCCUAUGCAUAAUAUAAUGACUUUGGACUUCAUUUAACCUUGCAUUUGACUAAUUAAUGAUUUACGAUUGAAAGUAAAUUACAUAUUACCACAAUUAAAGAAGGAUAGACUAGACAUUGGAAUAACUUUCAUCAAGUAAAGGAAAACGGAGGAAGUGUAACCAACACAUAAACUGUUACAUGAAACAGUUUAUGUGUUGGUUACAUUUUUUUUUGUCAGCAACAAACAAACUCAUAUAGACUCUGUAAACCAAACCGGUAACUCCGCAUCCAUAUGGUGAACAAAUGCGGGUUGCUUUCUUGCACUGCAUGCUAAACUGUCCGCCCUUGAAUUAUGCGUCCUUGGUAUAUGGAUGAGCUCUGAGCUGUGAAAAAUUCUUUUCAGGAUCUUGAUAUCUUCUAGAUAACAUGUAAAUGCGGGCCAUUCUUCUGGUUCUGAAACUAUCUUCACCAACUGAGAACAAUCCGUUGCAAAGUAACAUUAAAUUGUCGUAGAUUCCUCAUACACUCCAUUGCCCAUAUAAGAGCCUCCAUCUCCGAAUGAAGUGGCGACUGACUUGCUCUUGUAUUUCUCGCUCCCAUUAAACCAACAAAACCUUCCAGUGUGUUGUACCACCCUUGUCCCGAAAAUGUGUCCUGAUUUUUUCCAUGACCCAUCCGUAAAACACCAUCGACCUGGAAUAACCGAUAUAAUCGCCUCUACUGGUGAACGAGUUUGGUCGAUUUCUCGUGUAAGUGAGUUAUGCGCCUCGGCCCAAAGUAAGGACUCCGUUUCCGCCAGUUUAAGAGUAUCUAUGGGAUCAAUAUCCAAGUUACUGAAGACUUUGUUGUUUUGCCCUUUCCAUAUAUACCAUAAAAUCCAAGCAAACUGGUGAUCUUCCAAUUAUGGACAAAGCCUCCAAAAAUAGGUAAUCCAUGUUCGCAUAAAGUGACUGCGUUGGAAAAGUGUAUGGGUUCAAUGUAACUCUUGAGAGUGCCAAAACCUGAAUCUCACCUUCAUCCUUUAACUCAACAAGAAAAGUCGGGGAUGGGAGUUUCUGGUCCUGUGUUCUUUCGUCCUCCACUUGUUGGUUCACCGGCACCUGAAUCUCACCUUCAUCUGCCACUUCCAUCCUAGUUUCACUGCAGGAAACUCUUUCACUUCUUGGGGCUACGGGGAUCCGAGCACGUUCCUCUUGAUGUUGAGACCUUGUCUGCUCCUUCCUGAAACUCCUGUGCCAAGAGCCUUCUUCUGUUGGAACUAUUUUUUGAACAUUAUGAAUAGUGUAUUCAUACGUCAAAAAUGAAGUUUUAUUUGAAUGAGAAAUGGAGGUCUAAUGUGUGUGAUUUGAGAAACUUAUAUAAAGUAGCAAAUACACUCAUUGGAUAUUUGAACUUGGAUUUGGGUUUUAAUUUGUUAGUUGGACUUCAUGUUCAUUAACUUAAAUCAAAUAUAUGUUGAUCUUUUAUAUUGAUAAAAUAUAAAAAAGAAAUCCAUUUUAAAGUAUAUUAUUUUGUUUGAAUUGGUCAAAACAAUAAUAAUUUUAUUCUUUAAUUUCUUGGUCAAAAUGUGGAAUAAAUUCACAUAAUAAUGACAAGAAUUAAAAACUCCAUUAGUGCACUAUGGAGGUUUCAUUUUUGGGUUGAAAAAUGAAACUUGUGCUUCUCAUUAUUUUUUUAUAUAAAGGCUUGUGAGCCAUUUAGAAAACACACACACCAACACAUUCCUCUACUCAGAAUAAUUAUGCUAGUAUAUUUUUUUUUGAGUCUGAGAGUACAUCACAAAAAAAAAAGGUUCGGUAGAUUCUGUUUUUCGGUGAUGGUAAACAGAAAUAAUGCUGCAGUUGUAUCUUGGGAAUCUGAGCACCAUAAAACCGUCACACUACAAGGCGUUUAAAGAUUUAAGGAAAGAGAUUAACUAUCUCGACUCUGCAAUUCGUCUUUAUUUUUUAUAUUUCGGUAUUGAAAUUUUUAGUUUAUGUUCUUAUUAUUCUUUACAAAUAUCAGUUGUCCUAUGGUACUAAAAUAAGGUUCCUACACUCUUAAAUCUUUAAAUAUUGUUUAUGCUUCUGCACUAACAAUACUGAUAUUUGUUAAAAGUUAUUUUUUGAGAACAGGUUAUGAAAAACAAGAAUUAGAGAAUUCUUGGUGUUGGGAAAUUAUCUCUUCUGAUUUCUGAAACUUGAUUAUUUGAGAUUUUUUUUUUUUGUUAGAUUGAUUAAAAUAAUUAAUAUUUUGGAGCUAAUGAAUUUGAUAUCUUUUAUUCUUCAUAAGAACAGGUUUCAUCUUUCCGUCAAACGGAAAAAGGAAUUUGAAACUUAAGCGAUCAUAUCAUCAAGACCUUUAAUGGCGACAAUGAAAACCAUUUUCUGAACGUCUUUGGUAACGUUUUGGAAUGGGGUUUGCCAACUCUUAAUUUUCAUAAUAAUUAAUUGAUUGACUGAAUGGUUAUUUAAUCAGUUUUUUUUGUUUUUUUAAUAUUGGUCAAAAUGUGUGCUUUGACUGGGUUGAUGGUGUUAAUUUGCUUUAAUUAUCAGGAAUGCUUAACGUUUUGAUUUCUUGUUUCAGAUUUCUUUUCUUGGAAUAACUUAAUUUAAUUAUUAAGUAAAUGUGUGACCAUGAGAAAUGAAAAAGAAUUCAAGUUUCAAGUAUGGUGAUACCAUAGUUAUAAAAAGCAUUUUGAUCUUUGAGAGAUCAAGUUGUAUGGAUGGAAAUGGAUUUAGUGAGUCGACGCCCCAAAAUAAAUUUGGGAGAGGUUUACCACAUAUAAAUCAUUUGCCAUAGGAAAUAAAAUGUUUGUUGAUAUUGAUCAAACAUUUAUAUUUCAUCAAUGCUUAAAUGCAAUUUGUAAAAAGAUUGAUCAUGCAAAAACAAUGAGAAUUUUCAGACUAACAUGACUAAAACUGACAUGUGUAUUGUAGUUUUUAAAGUCAAUAUGGUUGAGAAUAAUCAUAUAAAAUUGGUUUUGAUGGCAAAAAUAAUAUCUUGUAAUGAUAUGUAUAUUUGCUAAAAAAAAAAAAGAAGAAGCAAAAUAUGUGUUUGGAAAAGAUCCAAAACAUACAAGUUAGAUUUAUAAAUCAACUUGAGAGAACUAUGAAAAUAGUUGUAUAUAAAAUGUGUCCAGAUAAGAAUGAAACACAUUUUUCAAGAAAAUUGUAAUAAUUUUUCGAAAUUGCUUUUUAUUCAUUUAAAUCUAAAGGAGUUGUAGAUUAACUUUCUAAACUCUUAAGAGAUGUUAAAUGCAAAUGUGCAUAUUCUGAGUUAUUUCAAGAAAUGUGGGGGAAGCUUUGCUUACCAUAUAAAGUUGUUGGCAAGAGGUCAAAUGAACUUAGUGAUAGUUAUCCCAAUAUGAUUAAAAAAAAAAACUAGUGUCAUGCAUUGAGUUUUGUAUAUAAUGGUUAAUUGUAUCUUGAAUAAAAGAUGACAAAAAUCAUUAAACAAAUUGAUCUCGACUAAUCUCAAGAGAUUAUGUUCACUGUGAUGACAACCUAGGAUCCUUUAAAUUAAAGGUGUGUCAUGGAUCAAAUUGUAAUAUAAUCUAAAGGAAUGGGUCGCCUGUGAAUUAAGAUGAGGUUUGGCGGUAACUCUACCUAACUGACUGGAGAUCCCAAGAAGUUGGUUAAAGGAGACAACUAAGUCAAACUAAAUCUGCCAAAAGCACUGUAAGACUUCGGUCUAUACUCAGUUCCUAUGAUGAUUAAACAGUGCUACAUGUAAGGAAUAUAGGAUAAGCAUUAGCUUUUAAUGAUUUGUGUCCAUAGCUUUGAGAUAUGAAUGGAGUAGUACAUGAUACUCCUCUAAACAAAGCUAAUGGCAAAUCACCUUGUGAGUGUGAAAUGGGGCCGUUUCUAGGAGAAUGAAGGAAAUGUUAUAUUCUCCAAGUUCACUCAUGAUUAACCAGGACUGUUCACGGCCAAACUGAACACAAUAGAGAACCUAGUUCUGUGAGAGAAUGAAGCUGUGUUAUAGCUAUUGUCUAGGUUUACACCAAACCCCGGGGGGUUCAAGACAUCAUGGCCACCUCCUGGCCGAGUAAAUCCGAUAGCUAUUAACAAUGACUGGUUCAAGGCUGAAAAAUUGCUACCAACUCAUCAUGCAGUGGAUUUUUUGUUUGUACUCUCAAAAGUCCUUAGUUAGGUCUUGUCGAGUCUUGUCUAGGAAGUUCAGUCUUGUCUAGAAAGUCUGUGGAGUUGUCUAGUGUCUAGAGUCAUUUCUAUUCAUGUGGGGGAUUGUUGGAACUAUUUUUUGAACAUUAUGAAUAGUGUAUUCAUAUGUCAAAAAUGAAGUUUUAUUUGAAUGAGAAAUGGAGGUCUAAUGUGUGUGAUUUGAGAAACUUAUAUAAAGUAGCAAAUACACUCAUUGGAUAUUUGAACUUGGAUUUGAGUUUUGAUUUGUUAGUUGGACUUCAUGUUCAUUAACUUAAAUGAAAUAUAUGUUAAUGUUUUAUAUUGAUAAAAUAAAAAAAAGAAAUCCAUUUUAAAGUAUACUAUUUUGUUUGAAUUGGUCAAAACAAUAAUAAUUUUAUUCUUUAAUUUCUUGGUCAAAAUGUGGAAUAAAUUUACAUAAUAAUGACAAGAAUUAUAAACUCCAUUAGUGCACCAUGGAUGUUUUAUUUUUGUGUUGAAAAAUGAAACUUGUGCUUCUCAUUAUUUUUCUAUAUAAAGGCUUGUGAGCCAUUUAGAAAACACACACACCAACACAUUCCUCUACUCAGAAUAGUUAUGCUAGUAUAUUUUUUAUUUUGAGUCUGAGAGUACAUCACAAAAAAAAAAGGUUCGAUAGAUUUUGUUUUUCGGUGAUGGUAAACAGAAACAAUGCUGCAGUUGUAUCUUGGGAAUCUGAGCGCCAUAAAACCGUCACACUACGGGGCGUUUAAAGAUUUAAGGAAAUAGAUUAAUUAUCUCGACUCUGCAAUUCUUCUUUAUUUUUUAUAUUUCGGUAUUGGAAUUUUUAGUUUAUGUUCUUAUUAUUCUUUACAAAUAUCAAUUGUUCUAUGGUAGUAAAAUAAGGUUCCUACAUCUUCUCUCCACGGUAACCAGAACAUGUUGGUUACAUGUCUGCUCGUUUUCUGAUACUAAUUGUAACAUUCAAGUAAAAGAAAAUAUUUUACAGUACUACACAUAAACUUUAAAAUAUUUUCCAAAAGGGUUUUAAAGUCCAGUUAUAAUUAGUAUCAGAAAACGAACAGACAUGUAACCAAAGCAUAAACUGUAAAAUCAUUUUGGGUUUUGGGAGUUCCAACCAUAAAUUAUUUAUAGUCAGUGAAAUCAAUUUUGUCUUUUGGAUGAUAAAGAAGAACUAACAAACAGAAACAGAGCAUGAAGAAUAACCAGAGAAUCAAGAAGAACUACAAACAUAAAACAUAGCCAAAGGAAAAACAGAAAAUCAAGAAGUAGAUAUAAAAAUAGAGAAUCAACAACUAAACUGACACACAAAUACAGAAACAAGAAUAAAUAAACAGAUACAGCAACCGAGAAUCAAGCACUGAAAAUACAUUUAUAGAUUUGCAAACCAUUCCUUAAACAUUGUGCAACAAAGGAUAACUAACCUUUAAGUUAAAUAUAUUUUUUAGUGAAUUAACCUGCGUCUCUGUUUCUUCGAUACAUCCAAAUGUGACAGAACAUUCUCUGAAAGAGAAUACAUGACCAAUUAGUUACAUUCACAUAUAUAUAUAUAUAUAUAUAUAUAUAUAUAGAUCAGAACAAAAAAAUAAAUAACAAUGCAAGACUUAGCUAUGAAUGUUUGUUGAAUCUAAUUCUAAAAGUGGAUAUUUCUUCUCUGGUAUUGACAACUUCUACUAAUUCAGAGCAUCAUUAGCUUUGCUGGAUACAUCAAGAUACACAUUAAAACCAUAAUAUUACUGAGAUACACACAAAAACGAUUAUUACAAUUAACAAUAUCAGAUAUCUAUGUUCUUUUGAGUCUAUAUACAUUCAUCAUCUAAAUAUCAUAUGUAAUUGUAAUUCUACCAGAUGUUAUACCUCUAGCUCUGUUCUUUUAGUCAAUUUUAUAGUCUAUACAGUUUGUGAUAAAGCCUUCAGAUAGGUAAAGGUUGUUUCUAAUCUUCAUCAAAACAGAGUUUGUCUUAUUCAGGGCCGGCUUAGGCACUAGGGCAAGGGGGGCGUGGGCCCAAGGCCCAAUUUUAGUGUUAAAAUGGGGCCCAAUUUUGAAGAAAAAAAUUAAGAAAAGGGGCCCAAAAAAUUUUAGAUUAUCCAUAAAGUAUGUGUAAUUUUUUUUUUUGAAAUUUCUUUUUACCCAAGGGCCCAUAAAUUAUUUGAGCCGGCCCUGAUCUUAUUAUGUCUCGAUAUAUAUUGGAAUCAUGGAAUAUACUAGGUGAUUUCACCCUUUUGUUAGACUUAAUCCAUCUAUCAAAUUAGUUGAACAUUCAAAGUACUUUUCUUAUUCGCGAUUCAAUUGAUGAAGUUUGAUGUCGCUGAAAAAUGGCAGUUUGAUUUUUCUUUUGGUGCUUUGAACAUUGACUUGUCGAAAACCUAGAACCCUAGCAAAUCAACUUGUCUUACGAAUGCGGUAUGAAGCAUCAUGUCAAUAAUGUCUAACAACAUGUUUAGUGUAAUUUAUGUUUCAUGUAAUAUGUUACAUUGAUUUGAUAUCAAUAAAAUUAUGAUGUUAUAAAGAAAACCUAAAUAUAUGUUUAUAAAUUACUUCUCAUCAACUAUUUUUAUUCGAAAUUGUUCCCGGAAAAAAAAACUGUUAUAGUUAAGGGCCUAAUUUUGUUUAUGAACAAAUAUAAAAUGUGUUGAUUUAAUGGGCCUAUUCCAUAAACGAAAAUGAUCUUAAAAAGCUAUCAAUUGAUUUUAGAUAGGCCAAUGUGUUUAAUAUAUUUUCACAAAAAUUUUACUUAAAUAAAUCCCAUAUAAGUUUUGAUAUAUUUAAUAAAAUAUACAUAUUUAUUUAUUAAAGUUAUUAAUCCUAAUGUUUAAUAUGAAACUUCUAAAGCACAAUUAAGCAUGUAUAGUUUUCAGUAAUACACUUUGAUACUACAAUGUUAAAAAUGUAAUGAAACUAACAACUAAUACAUUAUUUUAAUCUAAUUUAUUCUGGUUAAAAUUAUUAGAAAUCCCCUAUAUAUUAAUUGAUGAUCCUUUAAAAAGUUGUAACCUUAGUUUUGUACUAAUUAAUAAGAGACCAUGCUUAGGUGUCACUCAAUUAUGAUAUCAAUUUAGCUUACGUGUCAGCUUAAGAAUCAGUUAAAAAAUAUUGGUCUAAAUUUAAUUACUAGGAAACAUUAUAUGAACCCAAAAUAUAAGAAGCAUGUAUUUUUCAUUAAAUAAAAGCUACAAAAUUACCUAAUAUGAUUAACAUAUAUAUGACAACUAAUGACUUGAAUAAUAAAGAUUUGAUAAUAAUUUUUGCAUCCUUCUUCAUUUUUGUUUAAUUUUAUAUUAUUAAAAAAUUAAACAAUCACAUUAACUAUAUAAUAAAAAAUUAGAUUUUUUAUUAUAUAUUAUAUUUUGACUUUUUUAAAAUGACAGCGCCUCCGUUUUAAGGAUAAUUUUAUGGACAUGGUGACUAACCAUGGAUUCUACAGCCCACAUCAUCCCCAAGAAUUUUGCAUCCAUAAUUGAGUUUAUGUUUCGAAAAGCUCUUCUGCCAUGCAAUAAGAAGUCACCUUGGUCAUUACGUACAAUCCAAGAUGCUCCCAGUAGCUUCUUUUUUUUCUUGACCACGAGAUCGCCACAUUGAACUUGACAACCCCCUCAAAUGGGAUUUCCCAUCCAACAGCAGUCCCAACGUUUUAAUGCAGAGCUUCAUCUUCUGAAAGAGCUAGCUUCUGGGCAUCAAACCAUUCUUUUGAAUCUUCUACCACUUUCAAAACAGUAUCUUCAGCUGCAAACUCUUUUCCUUAAGUGAGAAACAUAUUUCUGUUCUUCCAUAACAUCCACAAUAUCCAUGGAAAUAACCGGCCUAUCUCGUCAGGGAUCUUUAACUCUUUUGGAGGACUCAGGAGAUAAUUAAUUUUUUUCAGAAUCAACAUGUUUCAAAACCUCUGCGAGGGAAAGGGAAGUUUGAUUGCGUCCACACCCUCCUAGCUGCCGGGCACAUGAAAUGAUUAAUUGACUCACCUUCAUCUCUGUUGAGUUAUGAGGAGAUUGGAGCUUGAUAAAGAUGAGGAAAUGAAGAGUAGAAGAGAAUUGAAGGAUGGUGAGUUUGGGUCGACCAAACCAUACAGGCCGUCUAGGCCGUACCGGCCGUACAGUUUGGAUCGACCAAACAUCUACCAAAAGUGAAAAUUUGUCACCUUGGUAAGUAGUUAAGGCAUGAGAAGUUACCUUGGUCAUCAGCUUUGGUUCUGACUGUUGGAGAGGAUAAGGGAGGCGCUUCUAGACAGGCUGUCAAGGGCUGGAAAGGAAAAGCAUCUUAGUCCAAGAUUCUUAGAUGCUAAAGAAUUUGAGGACUCUUAUUGGCCAGUUUGAAUUGGGUGCUCCACUCCUCUUUGACUUCACAUGCUUAUAUUUUCUCUACUUUGAUUCUUUUCCUUGUAAACUCUCUAUUGAAGUUGUAACCUCUCUCUUAAUGAAACAUACACGAGUUUUCUGAAUCUCGUUUAGUUUAUCAUGGUUUUCUCAAACACUUAUACAUAAAUCUCUCUUAAUCUCACUUAAUCUCUAUUAAUCUGUCAAUACCUAUUCUCUUUCUCUAAAAUCAUAUUGUAUCAGAGCAAGGUUGGCUUUGGUAUUGAGAUCUAGUGUUCUUCAGCUUCGUUCAAGUUUGUGUUUUUUUGUGUUCUAGGUGAAGUUCAAGCAAGACAAGAUGGAAGGAAAAAAGAUUGUCUCGGUUCCGAUUGCCCUCAAAGGUGGGGGAAACCUUUUGUGGUUUAGGCUUGUGAAGACAGCCAUUGGGAGGCUAGGGUUGUGGAGCCACAUUACCGAUGAAGCUCCAAAACCAGUGGCUAUUGAAGGUGAAGGUGGAAGAGAGCUUGCAGUUGUUGAAGAAAAUAAAUGGGUUCAAGAAGAUCUAAUGGUUCUAUCCAUGCUAAAAGGAUCCCUUGAAGUCAAUCUACUAGAAGCUUAAAGCUAUUGCGAGACUCCUAAACACAUGUGGGAGACACUCUAGAAGACAUUUGGAAACAUCACCAAUCUGAGCCGUGUGUUUGAGUUGAGAGCCAUCAACACACUGAUGCAAGAGGAGGAGGAGUUUACCAAACACUUGGGAAAGUAUAGGUCUUUAUGGACCGAGCUUGAAAUUUUAAGGCCUAAUACAACUGAUCAAGAGAUACUCAUGGAGAGGCGUGAGCAAGAUCAGGUGUUUGGGCUGUUUUUGACUCUAAAUCCGGCCUUCAGUGAUGUGAUCAAGCACAUUCUAAGGUCAUCAAACCUUCCAUUCAUGAGGAAUUGUGUUCUCAGAUUCAGAAAAAGGAACGGUCGCUUGGUGUCUUUUAUGGCAAAGGAGACUUAUCAAUGGCUAACAAGGCCGAGGAAGUUGUGCAAGCUAACAAGGCUGCCUACAAAUCUGAUAAGAGGAAGUAUGGCGAGGAUAGAAGGUUUGGAGGCAAUUAUGAUCAUUGCAAGAAGCCAUGACACAAGAGGAGCUAGUGUUGGAUACUACACCCUCAUCUCAAGCCAGCCAAAUUCAAAAAGGAUCGAGAGGCAAGAGCUAACCUGUCUGCUGAAGCAAUUGAAGCUGGUCCAUCAGGAGCUGGUUCAAGUGUACAAGCGGGUGAAAGUGCAGGAAGAGAAAUGGCCUCUCAUUACACGGCUGGAAAGAGCUUGGAACAUGAGGUGAUCAGGGAAUCCGACAUUGAUGAGCUCAUCAAAGGUCUUAAGGAUUAUGGUACAUUCGAAACGCUCUUGGUUAUUCAUACACUACUCAUAUGAUGCCUAGAAAUGAUGAUAGGUUAUUAAAUAUCAUUGAUGAGUUAAAACUUAGAAAUGAAUCUCCUAGAACCUAUAUUGCUCAAAAUAAGAUAAAACCAUUGAUUGUUGACUCUAGUGCAUCUAAUCACAUGGUUAGUGAUAAUAGUCUCAUUAAUAACAUAGAACCUGCUCAUGGACAUGUAAUGAUUGCAAAUGGUGAUAGAAUUUCUAUUAGAAGAAUAGAAAACUUUAACCGGUUUGAUAAGGAAUCUAAAGCUUUUUACAUGCCUGAGUUUACUUCAAACUUAUUAUCUGUUAAGAGAUGUACUACUGAUCUUCAAUGCAAUGUUAUCUUUAGUUCUAAUGAUGUAAAGUUUCAGGAUAUUGAGAGCAGUAAGUUGAUUGGGCAAGGAGUAACCAAAGGAGAUCUUUAUAUGCUUGAAGACAUUUCCCCUGUUUCUAUUUCUAGUUGCUUGUUUAGUUCUAUGUUGAAUAAGGGUGCAUUGUGGCAUUAUAGGCUAGGACAUCCACAUUUUAGAACCUUAAGCUUAAUGUUACCACGUAUCAUAUUUAAAAACAAUGAGUGUGAAGCUUGUAUUUUGAGAAAGUAUUGUAAGACUGUGUUUCAAAGAUCAAUUACUAUAUAUGAGAAUUGCUUUGAUUUGAUUCAUUCUGAUGAUGUUUAAAGAUCAACUAUUGUAAUUGUAUAAAUUUAAGUUUUACUAGAGCGCGGAUUGUUACAUAUUUUAAAAUUUAACUCUGAUGCCAUAAAAACAAACAUAAUCUAGAAUUUUAUAUCUGUCAUUCAUUGAACGUAAGAUCCAAAAUACAUAUAGCCAACUGCUCAAUCAAAGUCUGCCCAAAAUAUCUACGAUUAAACACAUUAUAUAUUGUUUCAUUGAUUAUGGUAGGUUGCAUAUAGUUGCAAAAUUACGGAACUGAUUGGGUUUUCUUUCGUCUGGUUAAUUAUGCUAUUACGAUAUUACAGUCAACAAUUUCACCUAUCUUAUGAGGAUUCACGCCAGACUGCAUCACCUUGAGUAGAGUCCUAUGAGAUUCAUUUCUGACGGUACUUUUUGCGCCAAGUAUUUUUUCUAAUUUUCUGCAUAAUUCGCCUAAACCUAGACCUCUUCCUGUAGAAAUUGUGUUGCCUAGGAUUCUUACCCCACACCUAAGUGUAGAAGCCUUUAAACCUUGAUUACUUGGCCACGGUGCUUCCAUAAAACUCAUGGAGUUUUUAAGCACUAUUAUCGAACCAAAUGUUGACUGAUUGAUAUAAACCACCAAACCAACCUUGAAUCAUCAAUUUAGUAGGAAGAAUAACCGCCCGGUUAAAAAUUACUAGGAGCGGAGCAUCUCGUAAUAUUUUGGAACCAAUGUUUUUAAACCCGAUCCAGACACUGAACCAAACGAUUUACCGGGUUGCUGGGUUAUUGGGUCAACCGCGAAUGAACCGCGGAUUGAUAAAUAAAUUAAUUUUAUUAUAUAAUAAUAUAUUAGCAACGUAAAUAAAAAUAUAAAAAUUAAAGUUUGAUAUUUUCUAAAUGUUUUUUAAAACAUAAAAUAAUAGUUUGGAUAUGUAUAUAUUUUAUGUUUAAAAGCAUUUAGAAAAUACUUAACUUUAGUUUUUAUAUUUUUUUUUCACUUGACAUACAUCUAAAAAAAUCAAGACAUAAAUUUAUAAAUAUUUAAAUGUCUAAUGUGAUAAUAAAAUAAACUUUAAAUGUCUUAUAUUAUUAUGUCUCGAUAUAUAUUGGAAUCAUGAAAUAUACUGGGUUUUUGCGGGUUUAUUGGUUCAACUGGUAUCGGAUUUUAGGUUUUACUAGAUUUUUGUGGGUUUUUAAAUAUUGGAUUUUUAAAAAAAUCCAAACCGGAUUUUUUCUGGAUCACCGGAUUUACUGGUUCGACCCGCGAUUGGAAGCGAUUACAACCGGUAAAGUCCAUCUCAAUAUCUUAAUCACGUAUCAAUUCAACUAAGCGAGAUUCACUUUACGGGCCCAAAAAAAGAUUCUAAACUGUUUAUUUUAUAUUUUAGCGCACUAAUACUUGAAUAUGGACCAGAGACUUGAGUUCGGUUGGGCUUUUAAAGUUUCAUGGAGCUCCGUGCCACGAUUCAAAUCAUAAUCUGCCAACGGUCGGCUAGUUUCCUUCAUUACAGAUUACACAAUCCAAAACGAAACAAAAAUAUAAGUUUGUCUUCUGACGGAAAAAUGGUUGUCGCCAAACAGUCUCCUUACGAAGAGUUUCGACUUAGAAGAGUGGAAGAGAACAAAAAACGAAUGGAAGCUCUGAAUCUGCCAAAUCUCUGCCAAACUCUCCGUUUAACUUCUGUCAAAACUUCUCCGGUUUUGAUCCCUGUCUUUUCCCCUUUUUUUAAAUGAUUGAUUGAUUGAUUGAUUGAUUGAAUAUUUGGGUGUUUGUAUACAAAUCUGGUAGAUGAAAAAAUCAAAUCUGGCAAGAGAGAAACAGCUCGUGGUUGUUCGUCGAUCUAGCCGUAUCUCAAAUGCUUCUUCUUCUUCUCCUGUUUACAAAGAAGCAAGUAUCUUGAUUGUUUUUUUUUUAAAAGGGUUUUAGUUUGUCUUAUUAAUUUAGGGUUUUUGAUUUUUGUUUUGUUCUCCAAUCAAAAGGUUGUUGUUCAACGAGUGCAUCUACCCAGAAGGUGAAAUUACCGAACUCACUUUCUUCUUGUCGUAAAACUGUAAGAUAUAAGCAAUAACUUUGAUUCCUUUUAGGGUGUCCAAGGGGAGAGAUUUGUCGAAUCGAGUUUAUGUUUCUGAAGAAAUAAGAGAAGAGGCCUUUUCAAAAGCUGAGAAGUUGCAGGCUGAUUUGCGGAACCGCUUCCCAAGUUUUGUAAAAUCCAUGCUUCAGUCACAUGUUUCUGGUGGAUUCUGGCUGGUAAAACAGCCUUUGAUACACACCAAAUCUUUUUAUAUGCAUUCUUUUGGUUUAUUAUGUACAUUUGAAUGUCAUAAUCUAACCCCCAACAAAUAAAAAUCAUUUUUUUUGUUACAAAACAGGGUCUUCCAGUUCAUUUCUGCAGAUCUGAACUGCAGAAACAAGAUGGUGUCAUAACACUGAUUGAUGAAGAAGGCGAGGAGUUUGAGACCGUGUACUUAGCGAAAAGGACUGGACUUAGUGGGGGAUGGUUGGGUUUUGCGGUUUCUCACAACCUAGUAUAUGGUGAUGCACUUGUCUUCGAGUUAGUUCGUCCUACCGUCUUCAAGGUUUGUAAAACGCCUUAGGUCUUUUACUACCCAUAGGCAAGAAAUACUAAAAACUGAUGUUUUGAUAUUGUUGUUCUGUCAGGUUUACAUUACAAGAGUUAAAAGUUCUGGAGAAAGCCCAAAGAUGUGAGGUGUGUGAUCUGUUAGGAUUUUGGGAGAUGACUAGUGUUAGAAGUUUACCCUUUUGUAUGUAAGCUGUUAAUUCUACGCUAGUUAUGAAAGUGUUGGUGUGUGCUCAAGGCUGUUAUCUGAUACAUCUUUUAUUUACAGUAUUUUGGAAGUGGUUGUUUCUUUUACACAAGUCUAAAAUCCUUGAAAUUUUAGGAAUGAGCAAUAACACUAAAUUUAGUUUUAUUUGUGAUGCAUUAUCUGAUGUUUAAAUUUUGAGUUUCUCAAAAUGAAUUCUCAAGAAGUUAAAUUACUCUUUUCUAAAUGAUUUUAACGGCGUUAAUAACCAAUCUUUUUAAGUGACCGUAGCCCACCUAUCUUUUAAUAUUUAACCUUUCCACCUCAGUUUCACUCAUUUUCUGUAUCAAAUAAUUGAAUUUCGUCCCUUAUCGUUUAUAAACUAGUACAGCGAAACGAUGAGUUCCAUAAAGAGUAAUAAUCCCCAUGUUAGAAGCUGCAGAAAUAACACUUUAGGAGGCUAGAAAACCAGAUAGUGAUUACUGAUUAGGUAGAAACAUUUUUAGAAACUAGUGUUGUCGUCUCUUUGCUUGGUGAUCCUUUUCUUAAAGAAAAUUUGGUGAGAAACCAUUUUUUGCAUUAUGAAGCUAUUUUCUUCUACCAUUGGGAAGACCUGUCGUCCAAACUUGAUGGUUUUGCAAAGCUUCUGGAACUGAUAAAGGUGAGCUAUAUAUCGCAUGUUUAGUGACAAAUAAUUAAUGAUGGAAGAACAAUCAUAACCCUUGUCACUUUACUAGUUAUCCAAUUACGCUAAUCUAUUUGUUAAUUAGACAACCAAUGAGAAUUCACAUCAAAUUGUUACAGAAGAGAAACUAAUUUGGGAUUGUUUCAAACAUUAUCAUAUAACUUUCAGACAUGAAAAUAUUUUAUAUCAAGUCAAAAGAUUCUCUAAGGAUCUAACCAUAAUACAAUCAAUCACUAAUCAAACCAUCCUAAUAUUCUAAAACUCCAAUCCAUAUAUACCAACGACAACUACAAGCACAUGGAAUGCAAAACCAAAGCAAACAAAGACAACAAACUAUGCAUAACUGCAUAAUUGUAUUUCAAACUAUGAGAUGUUUUAAACCUAUAUUCAAACUUAGGAAAACUAAAAUUAAGGUUUUAGUGUGCUUAUAAUUGUAUUUUGUAUAGUUUAAGAAACAAUCCCGUUUGGCCCAUGAGAACUAGGUCAAAAAGAAAGUAAUAUAAAUGCACGCAUAAUCAGUCAUUUGGCCAACCGUGUGAACAUCCGUGUGUCACAUUAAGAUUUCACGCGUGAUCAGUGUCCUGGUCAAUCAUGUGACAUUUGAAACUUCUUGAGAUUUGCACAAAUGAUCAGUCCACACGAUCAUAAUUAUGGUCUGUCUUGUGAACAUCUGCGCCAUAGGCACCUCUUGUUUUGUUUACACUGUAAUCGGUUGGAGAAUUUUCAUGUCCGUUCAUUGUUCAUAAUAUAUUUGGGCUUCAUGUUUGGCCUUUCUGUUUACUCAAAAAUUUGAACCCAAAAGUGACAAAAAAUAAUUAUUCUUGGACCCGUGGAUCCUGGUACAUGGUUCAACACAUUGUUUCAAUUAGGAAUUCUGAAGACACUAUCUUACUAAUAAGUUAAUGAAACUUUUGUGGUUGGUAGAUGGUAGUGUCUCCGUCUGAAAAAAAUUGUCAUAAUAAAACCAAUAAAAUUCUUAAGAUAUGGUCAUCGCUUUUGAUUACACUGAUCACAUUACAAAUUUUUUUUUAUCAAACGUUUUUUCUCAAGUCUAUCAAUAGAUUUAGAUGUUUGAUUAUAAAAUCUUUAGCAAGCUGUUGUUACAAAAAAAAAAAGCCAACUGCAUAAUAGAAAAAUGAUAUAAAUUUUUCACUCCACUAACUUAACACUUAAACAUCUAUAUAUAAUAGCAAACCCAUUUUUUGUUCCCUCUGAUCUCAGCAUUUUUUUAUAGGAAAAUAAAAUGAAGGUUUAACGGUUCAGAUUGAUUCGGUAUCUAAUCCAAGGAUCAUGUUCUUUCUAGGUGAUGCCAUCUAUUUAAAACAGAAUUUAAUCCAAUGGCUGAGAUUAGCAUACCCUUAAAUCCACGGGUCGAGAUUAGACUUACCUUUUGUAACCGACGCUAACGAAGCUUUGCGUCCGUAGUGAAACAUUGUGUCUGUUAAUGAAGUUGUGACCCAGGGUUCGAAGCUCUUCCUCUGUUUAUAUUUGAUAACCAAUUUGCUAUUCCUCCUUUUUCACUAGUCCUGAUUCUUGAUUCGUUUUUUAUAUUAUAGAAAUUGUAUCUCCCGUCAUCCACCAUUCACAAUUAUUGUGUUUGAUUAUUUGACAUUCUCGAUCAUUGGAGCUUUGUUUAUGAAGGUAAAUCUUCUGAAACUUUUGAUUUUUUUUUGUGUUAAAAGUUAAUUGCCUUACCGUAUGAUUUUUGUGGUAUUGAGAACCAUUAUUGUGUUUGAUUAUUUGAGAAUUACUCUUUAGUCAUCGUAUCUGUUUAUUUCCGGAUUGAAUUUGAUUUUGCUGUUUUCGUUGCCCUGUCUCUAUUCCUAUCUGUCUCUCUUUCACAAAUUCAUUGGUUCGGAGUUUUGGUAUAUCUCUGCCUUUUUCUCGGGCUUACUCGAACAGUUUAGAUUUUAACAUAUGAGGUGUGAAGUUGAACGCUUAAACAAAUUAUCCAUGUGAUCUCGGUUUCUCUUUAUCACUCUUUCACUAUUUUGACGAGAAUAUUUACGUGUUGUGGCUGUGGUCAGGUCCAUCAGACGAGAUUCCAACACCAAGAUUGAGGCUGAUGGUGUCUGUUUCAUCUGGUCUGAACCGAGGCUUGGUGUCAUGAUCGCUGCUAGACUUCAAAGUGGGGUCAUCGUGAUUGUGGUUACCGUCGUAUGUUGUUAUUACAGCUUUUGGAUCAUCUGAUGCCUCUCCACGUGUUUUGUCACUGGGCAUCCAGGGAAUGUGCACUUGUAGUAGCUCCUCCAAAAAGCCAAAGGAACAUUACAAAGGAUGAUAUCUCCCAUAUUCCAAACCCAGUUCCAAAGGGAAUCAAGACUUUAAGAAGAAAGAGGUUUGUGGUUAUACAAGUUUUGCUUGUGUAUGUUCACUUGAGAAGAAAGAGGUUUGUGGUUAUACGAACCUGGGAUUUGGUUUCCCCUUACGACUUUCUGCCCAUACUUGGGCCACAUAUAACCAUCAUACAGUAUGUCAACCUCACUCAGAGUUUGAAAAACAACCCGAGUCUCCCGAAUAUGAUUCACAAGUGUUGUUAUUUCCAUGGUGUCCCAUCCAGCCUCCUGCAAAAAGUUAUAAGAAAGUUUGAUCAUGCCAAAUCACUGUUUCAAGGCAAGCAUCAUCGUCCUGGUUCUCUUUAUUCUUAUCUGACACUGCAACUUCACCACCACAGUCAGUUGUCUUUUGGGAAUUGGAACUUUUCACGAAUGUACCUAUUGUUCGUCACUCUCGCAUUCUCAUUCGUCAGCAUUCACUUAAAUAUAUAACCAUUCACCAAAGAGUGUGACACAUUAAGUAUUAUAAUCAGACAAAAUACCAUUCAGUAAGAAUUCUAUAUUGCUAAAAUUUAAAUGAAUUGUUGUAAUAAUUUACAGCAACCAAACAAUUGCAACUAUAUAAACGAUUGCAAUCUUUGGUGACAUAACUCUUUGCUAACCAUUAUAAUUAUUGUUGUUAAUAAUUAUAGUUCUUGAUUAACCAUCACAACUAUUGGUGUUACCAUUGCAACUAUUGGUGCUAACUAUUAUAAGUUUAGAAUAACUAUUGCCCCUGUUGGUUGCGAUUUUGAACUCUCUAUAUAAAAAGUUGUAAGACAUUAGCAUAUGUAAAAAAAUAUUAGAAUCUAAUUGUUAGAAAGAGAGAAUGAUUCGUUGUUCAAAAAUCUUAAAAGAUCUAUGAAAAAACAAGUAUAAACACAAAAAAAAAAAUAUUUGUUAGUCUUGUAUCUUAAUUUAAGAAAAGAAGAACACUUUGAUUUUCUUAUCAUACAACUGGAUUUAGUGUAAUUCAAAUCUUCAAAUCAUGCAGUUCAAACAUUAUUCAAAUUACGUGACCACAAUCAUGAACAAAUUGUCUGAGGUUAUAUUUCCAAAAUAUAGUAGAUUUUUUUUUGGAUGGAGCAUUAUGUUGUUAUAAGAUUUUAUAAAUAAACUUUUUUUUUCUUUUCAAAAUACAAAACAAAAACUAAAAGUAAAAGAAACAUAAUAUAAUAUGAUAAUCUUGAUCCAACAAAAAUUGAUAAAAUAGUGCGAUAAUGUGAGUGUGAAAAAUUGCUUUUAAAUAGUGUUUUAAUUUUUUAAAUAUAUGCUUCUUUAAAUAGUUUAUUCUACUUCUGUUUGAAUAUCUAAGAUACUUUAUCUAACAAUUGUGAAGUUUGGUAUAUAUUUCUUAAAUUUUAUAAUACAAUAUAAUUGGUUAUCUGACGAAAUGCGGUAAUGUUAAUGAAAAUAAUAUAGCUUAAAAUUAACAAUAAAAUACAAAAUUUGAGUUAUUACAUAAAAAACAUAUCUCUAAAUUGAAACCAAAAAUGCAUUUAGAAUUAACAAAUUGUAAGUUGUACUUCUAUUUUUGUCAUCUUUAAGUUGUACUUCUAUCGGUGUCAAUACUUUCGUGGUUCUUAAGAAAAUAUAAUUUAAUGGUUUAGAUUAAUAUAAUAAGUGUGCAUAAUUUAUGUAGGGUUCAUAUUGGAAAAAAAAAGAAGGCAUACUUUUAUUGAAAUAGUUGCAUUUCUUACGAUUACUUUAUUCUUUUGAUUAUUCUAUAAUACCCAAUUCUUACAAAUAUAUAUUUAGAUAAAUCUAUGCAACCGUCUUCUGCUGUUUAACAUUAUAUCUCUGUAACCGUCUUCUGCUGUUUAAUCUUCGAUAAAUCUUAUUACAACAUAUAUUUUUACCUCCAUAAAAAUAUAUGUUGUAAUAAGAAAAUUACAUAUCUAAAAAUCUUUUUCCGGUAAUUUUAAGGUGAACAUUGAUUCUUUUAUUUGUAAUUGUCAACGGAUUUGUUUACAAGUUUCUAUUUUUUCUAAAAACAAUUUGUAGAUCAAUAGAACACCUCUUCAAAUUUGUUUGUUCUUCUUUUGAGUUAACACUCGAUAUUUUAUCUUUUUCAUAAAUCCCUUGAUUGAUCGGUAUUUUGAAAUAAAAGAAAACAAAACAAAAGUGAUUCCCGUAAUAGCGGCGAGUAUAAUGUAGACUUAACUUGUGUAUAACAAAAAAAUAUUUAAUAAAUAAUAAAAAUAAAUAACUAAUUUUUAUAAAGUAUUUAUAAAUAAAUUUGUUGUGUAUACAUUUUUAAUAUUAAACAAUUUAAAUUUUUCGUAAAGAAUUUAAUAGAUCCGCGCGAAUGCGCGGGUUUGUUUCCUAGUAGAUAUAAAAAAAUAUGUUAACUAAAAGAAGGUUCACGUCUAUAGUCAAUAAAUUUUUAAGAUUUAGUUUUCUAAAUAUUUAAUCUAUGAGUAGUAAUAUACUAAAAAAAUAUUAUAUGCACCACAUGAAUUAUAUUAUAAUAACUUCCGAUCCAACAAUAUAAAGAGUAAAUUGAGUGUUAAUUUAAACAUAGAACAAUAAUGUAUAUAAAUAUAUAGUUUCACAUUUUAUUAUAUUCUAAAAUAAAAAAAUUUCUUUACAGAUACAUAUCAUUUAAAAAAAAUUUAGUAUUUACCAUCAAACAAUAUAUUAUUUAAAAUUAUAAUAUAUUAUUCAACUAUAAUUUCAUAGCAACAAAAAAUUCCACGUAACUCAAAUCAUAUGAUUCAUAUACAACAAAUGCGUUUCAAUAGCAACACACAAACAUAAUACAACCCUCCUAAACCAUAACAUCUAAACGUUUCAAUAUAGUGACAAUAUUAAACUCAACACAUCAGAUAAUAUCUAAGUACAUAAAUACAUCAAAAUACAAUACAUAAACUACAUUUCUUUAAGAAAAAACACCAUAAACACAGAACCAUUCUCCUAGAGUCAUUAGUUAAAAAAAACCAAAACUCCGAAAAAGUCUAUGUACCAUAUGCAUAAACAGCCAUAUAUUUAAAAUCCCAAAACCAACAAAACAAAUUAUCAUAACACAAAUAUACACAUCCCGCCUACGGGCGGACCCGCCCUAGUAACUAAUAUAGUAAAUUUAGUAAAUAAAAAUUCCAUAAAACUUAUAUAAAAUAUAAUGUUUGUAUAACUUAUAUAUAUAUAUAUGCAUAUAACGGAUCGUUUCGAAUAUCCGUUAGCAAAAAUAUUAGUAUUUGUGGAUUGUUUCGUUUUUUAUAGAUAUUUUAUAUUAUUAUUUGUUUUGUUUCGUAUUGUUAUAGAUCAAAUUUUUCGUUUUUAAUAGAAAUAGAUAACGAAUCAAAUAAAAAUUUACGAAUAUUUUGCUCUGUCGUAAUUAUGCUCGCAAAACGUCUAAAAGGGAAAAUGAUAAAAGGCCCCAAAAGAAACAGAGAUUAUAGAAAUGGCAAGAAAAUAAUGGACCCCACCACCUCGAGAAAAUUCAACUACUCUACCAAAGCAGGUCAUAACCGGCGGGUCAACAACGUUAUUGACGAAGUAAUGACGUCCCUACCUCAUCACCUCACGUUAACAUUCAAAAAGCUAGUAGGAAAACGGAUGCAACAAACAAGUUGAAAUUCAUCUUGAUAUAAAAGAAAGAACGAAAACGACAAGGAGAGGGUCUGCUCAUUCUACACAAAACUAGUAUGAAGAAGUGAUAAUUAUUCUGGGUUUGACUGUUUGAGCUUCAGGUUAACCGUUUACGUAAUAAUCCGGUAACAAGUUUACUUAUUAAUCCGGUAACAAGUUAUUUAAUGACGGUAUUUAAAGCAUGACUUGUUUCUCCACUACCACCCAUAAAUGCAGCUUUUGCGGUUAAUUGCGGUUGUUAACAUUUCGCAACAAUCACUCAAACCAUUCUAAACUGUUUCAGAUCACUCUAAACUUCUUAAACUCACAAACUAUAAAAUUUGUUUUUUUUAACAAUAUAAAUACAAAAAAAAUUAAAUUGAAAUAAUAGAAAUACUAAAAUAUAUCUAUUAUAUUUUAAUUUAUAUUAUAAAAUUUUAAAAUAAAAAUAUAUUCUAACUUUUUAAAAUUUAAAAAUAUAAUUUUAUUAAUACAAUUUUUAUAUUUAUUAUAAUAUUAUGUUGUUUGAUAUUUUUAUAAUUAUGUAAAAUGUAAAAAUUAUUAAUUUAUUAUUUAAUCGAUGUUGUAUUUGGCGGUUUACCAGUCAAACACACCAAUUUCUAACCGCAAUACCAGUGGUACAAAUCUCUUAAAACUGCGUAAAACCGCAACCACCCGCAUCCACAAACUCCCACAACCGCAAUCGCUGCGGUUACACCAGUCAGGCCCUUAGUAGUAGGCGAGAUUUUGGUUUUAAACAAUCUGGGUUCGAAGGCACUCCACAACAUUCUAUUAUGUGGGUACGCGAAUAUGGAUCCAUUAUUUACGUUUCAUUUGAUUACUCGGAGAGGGUCCUUCCAUAGACUGCACUUCCACUUGAAGAUUAUUCUGGGUCCUUUGAUAUUUCUCAAAUUACAGUAGAGCAAUUUGCUCUCUCAAAUAAGAAGGUCAAUUGUAGUAUUUAUGGACUCAAUCCACAUGGAGCGUGAAGACACAAUGAACUAUAGAAAUCAAGAUUAAUUUAGGAAAUCAAUAUAAAAUCAGUAAAUAGCAUAAAACAAGUAAUCAGUUGGUUGUAAACUUAUAUGAAAAAAAUAGCUAGACUUAGGGUUUCAGGAAACCAAAAUUAUGAUGUAUAGCUAAAGGUGUGUAAUAAACGUCCUAGAACUCGAAUGCAUAAUAAGAUAUUCAGCUUUCACUGCGAGUCUAAUUGGAUGAUUAAGUCUUUGCUCCAGAGCUCGCAUGCGAACAAGAAGUGAGUGUUAAUCGAUACUACAGAGUGUCAAUCAACACUAUAGAGUGUCGAUCGAUACUUCCUUAGGCAAGCAUUAACGUCAUAAUCGAUAAGUUCACUAGAUGUUUAGACCAGCUCUCGCAUGCGCGUAUCAACCUAGCUCAUCAUAAUUAUUAUUAGGUAAUAAACCUACUUUCAUAAUUGUCUAUAUCCUAAAUUUAGGGUUCUAGUUAGCUACUUUACAACACAAGCAAUAAGAUCAAUUUUGUUGAAGGAUCCUAAUAAUUCACCCUAGCAAUUCUAUGUUAUCAAUAAUUCAUCGAAACCAUAGUAAACCCCAAAUAACAAAGAGAACUACUCAUGCAUGAUCAUGCAAAAGAAAUCAAUAAUCUGGAUAUAUAUAAUGAAUAAAUAGAAUAAGGUAGAAAAACUGGAGUACCAAUACAAGAUCUCUGAAGGAGUUCUUGAUCUUCUCUUCAAAAAAUUACUAAUAAAAGCCUAAGUAAAUAUGGUGUAAGGUGUUUUGUGAUGGGCUCCUCUCCCUUGCCUAAAACAAUGAUAAAUAUUAUAAAUACUAGGUAUAAAGUCGACCAAAGGUAAUAUGGUAAUAUGUGGAUCUUCUAGGCUUGAGUCGGUCUUGAAACAUGUGGACCCUUCUACGUGCAUCAGUGUCGAGCACACUAACGGUGCAGUGUCGGUCGACGUAUUUUCUAAAUUUUGGCACUGGCUUCAAUUUCUUGAAACAGUUACGAAUUUUCUCAUCUGUAAGCUUCAAAAUGCUUCAUAAUCCCCAAAUUUCUACAAAACAUAUCUGUUGGACCCAAUUUUAGUCAAUACGUUAAUGGGCCACAAUCAAGUAAAUGGGCCGCAAAGAGUUAAAGCCCAUAGUGAACACUCGAGCUACAGACAGAGACUUCGAAGAUCUAGAGAUCAAGGAAAAGUUACGGAGAUCGCGGAACGGUUGCGAGCAUCACGGGAGCAGCCCGUUAUAAAAAGAGAUCGACGAAUAAGGAAAAUACACGUUGAAAACCCUAGAGAGAGCAACACCCAUACUUCGACCUUGUUUACAUCCAUCUUUAGAUCUUUUCUCUUAAUGAUCUCGUUGUAAAGUUCGAUCUUGUUUUACUCAUCAUAUUCAAUCUUAUUCAUCAAUAAAACUCCAUUUUUGUCUACUGGAAACUGAUUACAUCAUUGUGUUCUAAAGAUAUCGUUGCCUACAUCAUUUAUCUUCCUUUGAUUAAACUCCCAAUCACUAACAAAUUCUUAGUGUAGAUUUUAUGAUCUACAUUUUGGCGCCGACUGUGGGGAAGAUAAACGAAAAACAACUUUGCUAAGAAACCGAUCUAAGUUUCCUAAGCGCGACUAUGGAUCCCAAUCAAACUAUCAGAACCACACCAUCAGGAAUCGACAACGUCGAUCCUGCCAGAUCCAACUCGAGAACUGAAACCUUACACGUUGGACCAACGGGCAACGACGGGACAACCGGAACGACCCAUACACAACAAAUCCCUCCAAUCGGAACCUCGAACCAGGAGCGAUCAUCAGUCCACGAUCGAUCUUCACCACCAGAUCGCACUUCGGUUCCGGAAAGGACCUCAAUCCCCGAUCGAACCGGAGCUCGAGUCUGGAAUCACCCCGGAGAAAGACAGGCCACUGACGACCUAAUCCGACCUCAAUCGUCUAGGCUGAUAUCUCCGACCCGCCAGCAUAGACUCGGGAAGAAGUGACCGAGCUUCGAAGAAUGGUCUCUUCAGUAAUCGACGAAGCUUGCAACCAAAAGGCCACCUAUCGUGCCAUUGCUAACCGACUGGAUCAAGCUGAAAGGGAAUUUGUGGAGCACCGAGCUAACGCCCGAGAGAGAAACCAACCGCCGCGUGACCCAUUAAGAGAAACAUUAAAUCCUCAAAACGCCGGAGCCUUCGGUACUCCAGAAAUCCCGAGAGCUCGAUCCGGACGCUACACGAGAGAGAACUCGCAAUGACCUCCGCAGCAGAUCAUGCCGCAGCGAAGCCUGAGUUACAGCGGGUUGGACGAAAUAGACACCAGACUACAAGCCCAAAGAAGUACUCCGAUCCAAUCGCAAAACAUAUAUAUGGAAAGAACCGGGGAGCCUAGAAACUGAAUGCCACCGCUGGGAAAUUUAACCUCCGAUAAUCGAACUCCUUCUGCGGCGAGAACCGCCCAGCAAACGGGUUUCAAUGAUCCAAUAGGGCAAGCUCGUGGUUACGACCCCCGCAGACCUAUCGAUGCGGAUCCUCAAAAAGAAGAUCUGGGGAUCCCGGCCGAAAUCGGAACGUUCUAGAAUUAUAUCAAAAGAAACAAUGUCGAGCUCAAAGGAAUACACGCCAUUGUGCAUAUGGCGACGAGCUCCGCUCUAGACAUAGAUAUGGUCAUUGAGGAAACAAGGAGAACUCCAUUCACAGUGUUCAGACUAUUACUGUAAUGUCGAUGCAUACUCUUCCUUUGGUCUGUCCCUUGAUUCUGUUAGGUGUAUGGUUUUCUGACCCCCACGAGAUCAUGUCGACUCUUUUCUUCGAUGCUGGGGGUGGAGAGCUAGGCGAUUCUGGCACGGUUUCCCUGCUUCUUUUAUUCGAAGAACCUUUAUUUUUUUGAUUAGAUUUUGGAGUCGAUGUCUCUUCCUCUUCUUCUUCGGUAUCCUCGCUGGUCUUUUUAUUUUCGUUUUGAUUGCGAAGUGCCGCUCGGCAUUCCUCGGUCGAAUGACCUUUUCGGUCAUGGAAGGAGCAGUGUUUGUUGGGGUCGUACGUCGAUGAUUUGUUUUGCGGCGGAUUGUUUAUCGCAUAGGAGUGUUGUCUUUUAGUUGUUGGUUCUUUAGGAGUAUUAUUUUUUUUGGCGACGUUAUUUUUGUUUGUGCUGUACUGUUCUUUUAAAGCUGCGACCUCCUCUUCAUGGGUUGUGAAGUAUGAGGCUGGGUGUAGGGCAUCGUCCACCGAGAUUGGUGCCUGCACCGCCAUUUCUUUCCUGAAUUUGAAUGAGAACCAGACGCCGUUCUUUAACCCGCCAGGGCCACGACUUUGUUUGGGUGUGAGAUUUUGGCUUUGAUUUUCCUGAACUUGUUUAUGUACUCCUUUAAUGGUUCGAAAGGCGCUUGUUUGAGAUUCCAGAGGUCUGCCUUGGUAACUCUCGUUUCUAUGAAAACCGAGUAUUGUUUGAGGAAACUAGACACCAACUGGGUGAAGUUGUCGAUUGAGUUUUCUUCGAGGUCCGCGAACUAUUCAAAGGUGGCCCUGGUGAGAUUUUCGGCAAAAAAGCGUCAGUAGCGUUAGUACUGUUUUCCUUUUUCUCAAUUAUGCUAAGCAAGUUAAACAUAGUUAGCAACAUGCAAACCAAAUAUGACUUCCUUUGAUCAUAUAUUUUAAGACUAUGCAAAUAUUAUGCCACAGAUAUUUCUAUGAUCAUGUGUCAAACAAAUAAAAGCAAUGAAAUAUUAAGUCCACACUGCCAAAGAACAGUCACUUCAUCAGUCAUGCGAAGUUACGUGUACUGAAUUAAGUCAUUAAUCUGUUUCAGUUUUAGCAUUCUAAAAGUUUAUGGAGGCUAAGCAAAGAUUUAUAGCUUUGAUUUAUUGAUUCAACCAGUUCUGUACACCCAUUUUUGGACAACGGAUAUUUGCAUUUCCAACGAUCUAAUAUUUAAAAGCGUUCACCUCCCACCGGAGAGUAAAGAAUCAGCAAUGGAAGAUCCACUAGUAAAUCUUUUACAGACAGAGGAAGCAUACAACAUCCUUAGUUCACUAAAUCCGUCUUGGACCCCAAACAUCAUCCCACUCCUGGACAAAUCCAAUGGAGACAAAUCUGAUAGCUUUGCAUCUCCUCUUAGAUAAUGUAGCACUUGUCUCAUACUGGGUCUAGCCCGUGGGUCAGAGUGAGAGCACAACAGACCAAUCUUUAAAAUCAUUUCGACCUCUCUUUCGUUAUACUGGGAACCGAUAUUCGGAUCUACAGCAUCCAAGAUGUUACCGCUGUUCCAUAACCUGAAAACCCAAUCCACGAGCAAGAAAACUUCAUCACUCUCAUGUUGGAUCUCAAUAGGACGUCUACCACACACGACUUCUAGUAAGAACGCCCCAAACGCAAAAACAUCAGUAGCGGUAGUGGCACGUCCAGUUCGGGUGUGUUCAGGGGCCAAGUAUCCCAAUGUCCCUACGACGUUGGUUGUUUGAGGAUCAGCCCCGUGAUCGUAAGACCGAGCCAAACCAAAAUCGCCAAGUCUCCCGUUUAGUUCUCCAUCUAACAAGACAUUGCUGGCUUUGACGUCUCUAUGUAUCACCACUUGUUCCCAAUCCUCAUGGAGGUAGAAUAAUCCAGAGGCAACAUCUAAAAUGACUUUACUCCUCUGUUUCCAAUCAAGUGUUACCUCCGGAGUGUUGUACAAGUACUUGUCUAGGCUUCCAUUAGGCAUGUACUCAUACACCAGAAGAAGUUCGCCUCUCCGGCGGCAAUAACCCAAGAGAGGAACUAAAUUCGGGUGUCUCAUCCGACCAAUACUCACAAUCUCCGACACGAAUUCUUUAAGCCCUUGUCGAGAAUCAUGCGAAACUUUUUUCACAGCAAUCUCCAAAUUCGUCUCAAGCAUCACACCUUUGUAAACUCUUCCAAACCCGCCAGAUCCAAGAAGAUCUUUCUCCUUGAAACCUUUGGUCGCAUAGUACAAAUCUUUGAACCUUAAUCUGUUGUUCCCCAACUCUGUUUCCCAGUCGUCGAGCUCCUCUUGGAACAUUCUUCUCCUCCUUGCGAUAAACCAGACAAGGAAGAUACACGAGAAAAUCAAAAUGAUGGAAAUGGACGGUAUCCCGAACCUGCAAAAAUACGAGAUUCUCGUGGGAUGGAGCAGAGGAAGCUUCGGGAGUUUUGAUAAAUCCAAUGGUGGAGCCUCGCGGUUGACCCCGAAGCUCCACCCAAGAACGUAGUGUUCCGCGGGAACAGUACCAGUGGCGGAGGAGAAACCCACGAACAUAUCUUGGAGAAUAACAAAAGAAAGAUCUCUGACAACGGAAACAAGCGGUUUUUUAGGUUUCUCCUCGUUCAGUGGACCCAUCAUCACAUUGAUUUUAUGUGUACGACCAUUGUAAUCGAUCCAAACCUGCAUCGGUUUACUACCAAUCAAAGUAAGGUUAUUGAACUGGCCUUUCUUGUCCCACCAUCCAGCUGGUGAACUUUUCACCGACGUCAAACUAUUGAUAUCAAUUCCGACAUGGUUAUCGUUGAUAUCAUUGAACUCUGUACUCCGUAUAGUAUCCAAUUCGAUAGCGAACACAUGAUUCGUUUUAUUACCGUUGCUUGUGAUGUUGAAGAGACCCAUGUAUUGGCUUGGCGUUGCGUAAGGGAGACGUGUGUUAGGAGCGAUGACGAAAGCAAUGCCAUGGCCGCUUAAUCCUGGGAUACGAGGGUGAAUUGCGAAGACGAAGGUUGUGGAGAAGGAUGAAACGGUGCCGUUUGGCGAAUUCUUUAACCGGAUUGAUUUGUUAUAGAAGGCGUGACCUGUUUGCUGAACGGUCGUAUUGGUUAGCCUCAACAGACCGUUGGGUGUGACAGCAGCGAUCCCUUGAAUGGAUAUGUAGCUCCGUUGAGGAAAGCCAUCGUAAGUGAAGUUGAGUGUUUUAGACGAGGAUUGAAAGAGGAGGCUGAAGAAGAAGAUGGUGAGGAGCUUGAAGAACAUGGCUUCUUCUUGACUCUACUUUGUAUUUUAUUGUUUGUUGUUUUUAGAUAUUUUUUUAGUUUGUUGAAAUAGUAGAAUGAUGUAUACAAUUUAUGGUGUGAAGAAGAGAGUGGAAAAGUCUUUGAAGGUUUAUCAUCUUUGUGGGGAUGCUCGUGAUUAUGGAAUUUAAUCAAGGAGACUAGAACUAUCUUUUGUUUUUAUACUCCAUUUUCUAAAGGCGUCUCCAAUCUAUAAAUCUCCUCCAUCCAUCACGUUUUGUUGAGUCGACAUCUGGUCAAAGUACUUAAGCAACGACCAUAAGGAAAUCCAAAAACGAAAAAUAAUAACAGAAAAAAUCUAAUUAAGCAAGAUUAAUUGGUUUGACCAAUUCUCUUCUUAUUUAUUUUAUAUCUUUUAUUUUCACAAAAUAACAUAGAACGUAUUCUACUUCGAAUACGUAAGGACCGUACCUUUUACAUUUUUUUUGAAUAUACGUUAAAUUUAGGGGAAUUAGGUUAUAUAGCUACGAAAUAAACCAUAAUUAAAUAUCUAACAAAAAAAAACACUUCCAUUAUUUCUGUAUUAUAUACUAUAUUACCUUUACUCUUCCGGUUAAUGAAAGAGAAACUACUUUUUCUUUUUCUUCUUCUUCGAUUAUCAACUACCACACUCUUCUUCCAUCUCCAUCACUUUCUUCCGUCAUCACUAACUCUAUAGUCACCAUAAGCAUCUCCAAAUCUAUAAUAUCUGCUACAUAAAUCAUAUAAGCUUCUGAAUUUUACAGAUCACGAUAUGGUUGAAGCGUUUUCAUUUAUCAUAUAAGUUUCAGGUUGUACUAUAUACUAUUUAAACAAUAUAUACUAUGUUAUUUCGUUUGUUACUAUUAUAUUUCAAUAAUGUUUCAUAUUAUAUAAUGCGUCCAUAUUUUGAUAUUUGGAGUAGGGUUUAUAUUUUUUUUUAGGAUUUAGUGAUUUGUGUUUUGAGUUUAGUUUAUAGAAGAUUUGAGUUGACUUUGGGAUAAUCAUUUUCCCUGCAAUCAUAUAUAUAUGUCAAAAUUUGAACAUUAAUAAUAAUAUAUAUACUAUGAUAUUUUGUUUGUUACUAUUCUAUUUUGAUAAUGCUUCACAUUAUAUACCAUGUGAAAAUUUGAUAUUUGGUGUAGAGUUUAUAUUUCUUUUUAGGGUUUAGUGAUUAGGGUCUUGGCUUUACUUUUUUUAGGGUUUAGUGACUAGUGUUUUAGAUUUAGUUUAUGGAAGGUUUGGGUUAACUUUAGGGUAAUCAUUACCUUCUUUACUAUUUGGUUUGUUACUACUCUAUUUUGAUAAUGAUUCAUAUUAUGUAUUAUGUGCAGAUUUGAUAUUUGUGUUAAGGUUUAUAUUUCUUUUUGGGGUUUAAUGAUUAGUGUUUUUUGGGUUUAUAUUUCUUUUUAAAGUUUAGUGAUUAAUAUUACUAUUUCAUUUGUUACUAUGUACUAUGCUAUUUCUUUUGUUAUUAUUCUAUUUUGACAAUAUUUCAUAUUAUGCACUAUAUACAGAUUUAAAAUUUAGAUUAAAGUUUAUAUUUCUUUUUAAGAUUUAAUGAUUAGUGUUUUAGAUUUAGUUUAUGAAAGAUUUGGGUAGAUGUUUUGGUAAACAUUACCUCCACUAUUAUUAAACUAUUUAUAAUUUUAUUAAUAUGAACUAUACUAUUUAAAAUGUUUUAUUCUAUUUAUUGUUUAUCUUCUUCUGCUUGUUUUAGAUUUGACGAGCUCUGUUUCAUCCUUAAUUACUUCUAUUGUAGCCACCAUGUUUGUAAUCACCACCACCGCCAGCGGCGCGAUAGCCACUACUGCCGCAAUAAUCAUCAACGUCGUUUUAUUCUAAGAUAAAUUGGGAUGACUGGAGGAAGAAAUAAUUUUACUGGCAACCGGUUCAAAAAAAAGACAAAACGGGAAAAAUAUUACCUAAAUGCUAUGAGAUCUAAUAACGUCAAAAUCAACGCAAUAUUCUUAAUUUGUUACCGAAAUAUGGCUAGUGGACAAAUAAGCCCUUAAAUUUAUUCAAAAAGAAAAAUAUAUUGUUUUUGCAUCUUGUGCUACAUGUUUAGAAAUAAAACAACUUCUGAGAUCUUCUAAGACUUUGAGUUAUCUGGUGGAGAAAUAAAACAACUGAUUGUUGAGUUUAUACGAAAUACAAAAUACAAAAUUUGCUUCAUUAAAGAUAAAAGCUUUAGUUGAUUUUUGUUAUACUGGUUGUUCUAUUCCGUUCUAAUUAUCUGGAUCACCUCAAGUUUGAGUAAUAAAAUAGUCGUUUAUUUAGUCGAUUGUUGCAAAAAAAGAGUUUUAGUUCCAAUUUAUUUAUUUAAAAUUAAACAAAAAAAACAAAGAAAAAGUCAGAAUUUGAUUUUAUUCAUCAUUUAGUUAGGAUUUGACAAGCUUGGAUAGUGUUAUUUUAGAAAGAAGAAAGAUUCAGAGGUUCGUAAGAUAUUGUCGAUUAUAAGGGAUGUUCUCGUUAAAUCCUUCUGAAGUAAGAUUUCCGAAUAAUUCUUGUUUUUGAGGAAUUGUUUUGUUAGAUUAAAGUUAUAUGAAGCUUAUUCUCAUGUAUAGUUGUUUAAAUUGUUGUUCUCACACUUCUAUCUUUCACAGAGAGGAAUGAGAUUAGCUUCCUUUUAUCUUUUUGCUUUGUGAAAUCGGUUCGAUCUAUAGAUCAAAUUAUCUUUUCCGUUUUUCGCGUUGGCGAUAUGUUUUCGCUCGGCGAUUUUUGGUGUGCUUUUCAAUCUGAAUCGGUGUUGUUCUUCAUUCUCUAUGAAAUCUCCGAUUCAAUUGAAGUUAAUAAUCUCCGAUCUCGAAGUUUUCCUCUCUUUGCGUGAUCUUCAUCUUCAAACCGGAGGCUAUAAAGUUUACAACUUGCUUGAUUAUGCUGGAUUUUACUCGUUAAAGAGGAUAAAUCUUCACUUGCCGAUGAAUAAAAUCGGGGAAAAGUGUAAGUUCCUAUUUAGAGUGAAUCGAGAUGUUGGAGAUUGAAGGGGGUUCUAGAUCAGAAAAGAAGAAUUGGGGUCUUCUUCGAAGACGUCUCAAAAUAUUUCUGCUCUCUCGUGCCUCCAUCAGAUCUUGGGUUCAUCAGUCUUGCAAAGUUUGGAAUCCUAUGGCACUUCGGUGACAUUAAUAAACGAGUGAAGAAGGGAUUCAAGUGCAAGGUCUAUCUUGUGUUGGAUUGGAAAGAGUCUCUGGAGAUGAUGUUCGGAGGAGGUGGCCGGAGUUCUCUCGGCGGCGGAGGUUCCACGAAGCGGUUCACUUUUUUCAGAAGAUGCCAUGUAGCUUUAGACUUUUCUAAUCCUUACACGUAUGUUUAAAUCAGUCUAUUGUAUCUUACGUGUAUGGACUGAAUGAUUUUGUACUUAUCCCUUAUACUAGCCCAAUGGGCUUUAAUGAAAAUCAGUUGACAAAAAAAAUAAAAUAAGGCUCACGUGUACAAAUUUUAGUGUUUGACCAAUUCUGAUCCCAAAAAUAAGACUUAACUAACCAGUAGAACCUUGUAGUUACUGUAUAAAUCACACUUCAUGUAGCUUAUAAUUUUUAAAUUAAUGGAAUCUUUACAUUCCUGAUUUCAUGGACAGCUGAAACCUUUGAUAUCCGACAAUACAGAGUUGCUAUUGAAGCAAUUACUAUAUUUGUGAAAUACGAUUAUAGUUUUAAAUAAAAUAGUCGGUUGUAACUUUAUCACUUCGAAUUUCAACAAUAAAAUAAUCGUUUGUUGCAAAAAAAAAACUGUAAUAGCUUUAGUUCCAAUUUCGUCAUUUAAAAUUAAACAAAAAAACAAAGAAAAAGUCAAAAAAAAAAAUUCCUUGAGAAAGAUAAAUUUUUUUUUUAUUCAUCAUUUAGUUAGGAAUUUGAUAAGCUUGGAUAAUGUUAUUUCAGAAAGAAGAAGGAUUCAGAGGUUUGUAAGAUAUUGUCGAUUUGAAAUGGUGUUCUCGUUUAAAUCCUUUUUAAGUAAGAUUUCCGUAUAAUUCUUGUUUGUGAGGAAUUUUUUGUAAGAUUAGAGUUAUAGGAAGCUUAUUUUCAUGUAUCAUCGUUUAAACUGAAGCGGCAUAUAAAUAAUUUUGAUCUCAACAUUUAGGGCUCCGUUUCGUGUACGAAUUUUAGUGUUGGACCAGUUUGGAUCCCAACAGUAAGGCUUAACUAACCAAUAUAACGUUGGAGUUACUAAAUAAAUCACCCUUCAUGUGGCUUAAAAUCUUUAAAUUAAUGGAAUCUGAACACUCCUGACUCAUAUGGACAGCUUAACCUUUGAUAUCCGACAAUACAGAGUUGCUAUUGAAGCAAUUACUAUAUUUGUGAAUGUCUUUAUUCUUAGGGACAAUAUAAAUUUGGUGACAUUGUAGCUGGAGCCACGCUUGAGAAAAUAUUCAUAUUGUUGUAAUAUCCAAUAUUUCAAAAUAAAAUAAACAAAUAAAAAAUAUGAAAUCUCUAUUUACUACUCUUCAAAUGUAAACUCGAAAGUCAUAAAUCUAAUAAAUAAACAUAAAUACAAUAAAAGAGAUAAAUCCUGAAAUAUCGAUAAAAGUAAAGAAACCGCAAGUCUGAAAAAGAAAUAAAGAAAACGUCCAAAGCACCAAUCCGAUAGCAAUCACUGCUGCUCGUCAGUCUCAGCUGAAAUGGGAAAGAAGGAGGAGUGAGUAACAGAGGAGUUACUCCGUGAGGUAUGAGAUGCUAAACCACAAACCACUGACUCAGUAAAUAGAACUCCCAUUAUGGAAGUUUAGCUCUAUGAUAUCACUCAAAUUACCCUAAAGAGUGUUACUCUCCUCAAAAGAGGUCGAGUUAUAGUACUUAGGGAUCAAAUCCACAAGGAGCUAGGGAACCGAUUAGAUCUAAUAGUUAUAUGAUUAAGCUAGGCUAAUAGGUUUUAAAGCAGUAAAUAAAGUAAGUAAUAAAUAAAGCAAUAAACAAGAUGAACAAGGUAAUUGUUCAGCUUGGCAAGGAGUAGUUCGAUGGAAAGAUGGUUGCUAGAUCUAGGGUUUCUAUUCAGGUGUUGAAGAUUAUAAUUCCUAUAGGUACCUAUUUGUUGCAUGCAUGAUAUGUUAGAGCUCAUUCGCUUAACUCAGUGAUCAGCUGUCGCAUGUAUCACUGGUUAACAAGCUAGAUAUCGUGUCCCAACGGUUAGUAUGUCGACAACGAGAGAGUGUCGAUCGAUGGUCUAUUAAGACGUCGACCGAUACACAUUUGCCAACAUCGAUCGAUAGUCAGUUGAGGACAUCGAUCGACGGGUUCUAACCAGGCCUAUGCGCGAGUACGGAAUGUCCUAUUAAGAUACUAAAUUGGCGGUUAGCCCUCUCUAGCAGUCCUAAUAUGAUAGAUAGAUGUCAGGAUGGGAUAACAAGGGUGCUUGAGUAUGCAAUCCUAUGAUCAAGUUCUAGUUAAUUACUCUAAAACAAACAAUGAAUACAAAUCUACCAUGAAUAUCACAACAAUGCAGAUCUAUAGUUUGGGGCUAAUCCCACAAACCUAUCUGAACCCUAAACCUAACAGGUGGAUCUAUUCUGACAUGAAGUUAGUCACAGAAAUCAUAGAUGAAUAGAUAUAAAACUGAAAUGAAACAAAUCAACAAAACCAAUGGAGUUCCAGGAGGACUCUGAUAGGAGUUCCUCCCUUCUCUCCUAUAAGAGAAACAAUGGAAAUGAAAGUGUGUAAAAAGCGUAGCCGUCAACAAUGGCUUAGAAAUGACAUAAUUAGGGUUUCUGGUCGUCAAAGGGUAUUCUGGUAAUUUGUGGCUUCUAGGGAUUCACGCAGUCAUAAAAUAUACAAGGCCCACGAUCUGGGAUCUCCUUCGAUCGACGUAGAGAGUGCUGCAUCGACGCGGCUUCCUCUUCUCGGUAGCUUCCUCUCGCGAGGCAGACUGACCACUCUUCAGUAAAACGGGCAUAACUUCUGCUACAAGAUGCUGAUUGACCUGAGACCGGUGGCAUUGGAAAGCUAACUCAAAGCUAUAUCUUAUGUCAAAAUAUGGGUUCAAUCUAACGGUCGUAAGGUCUCCAUACAUAGAUAAACAUCUGACGCGUCUGUGCAACUCUACACCUCCAAAGGCUCCAAAAGACUCCAAAAUCACCAUAUUUCUCCUAAACGUCCCUGAACCUGUAAAUACUAUAAAUAGACUCCAAAAAAUAAUAAUUUUAUCUUAGAACACUUUAAAACACUUAUAAACCAUGAUUAAAAAUGGGUAAAAUAUAUGGUCUAUCAACUCCCCCAGACUUACCUUUUUGCUUGUCCUCAAGCAAAACAGACGGGCAGUCUCUCUGAAAGAGGUUUUGAAAACAGCAGGGACUCACAUGAUUUAAAACUUAGAAUCAUCACCUCUACAAUAUUGCAAUCAAUAUCUAAGAAGUCCUAAUCACAGAAGCACAUUAUACAAUAUCAUAGCUUAGCAACCAAAUUCACCUAGCCAACAUCUUAGCAAAUCAUGUCUGACAUUCCCCUCUACCAACCUCAUUUCUUAACAUAAAUAAAUGUGUAUGCUUUACCUUGGGAGUAUCGAUCACAAGACACAUGGACUCUUACCCCAACAGGUAUCUGAGUAAACAGGUAGUCUUGUUCUGGUUUCUUUUACUCUAUAUCUCCUUUCUCUGAAUCCUUUUUAUCUCAAUUCCAAUGAAAAAAGAUGCUGAUGCACUCCAUCUUAUUCACCUUCUUUUCGAUUUUUUUUAUUAUUAUUAUUAUUUUUGUUUUUUUUUCUUUUUCUUUUCUUGACAAAGUGUAGGCGAAUAGUGGGGUCAUCGGUAAUGUACCUACCCCUCGCUUCCAACAAUGUGUGAUCAUUCUAUUAGAGUAGAAUAAUGAGGUCAUCGGUAAUGUACCUACCUCUAAACCACAAGAAAUCAUCUCAAUCUUUUAUUUUAUUUUUAUUAGGAUGCCAAAGGGAGGAGAUAAAGAAACCAAAAUCACUCAGACUUUUACCUUUCAGACCUGAAGGAGGAAUCCGAUCCAGUGUAUACCAAGCCCCAAGACAAGCAGUUAAGUCAAAUUAGGUUGGAGGUGAGCUUCGGUUCCUUCAAACAAUCUCAGCAAGUGUGAACAUAAUUGACAGGUUGAUCCACUUUAGUAUCUUUAGUACUAUCUGUAAUCAGUAAGUCUAGAAUGGUGCUAAAGAGUGGUUAGAUAACAAGCAUGAAUCUAAUAAGUUCAUUAUCCCCUUCUUGACUCAAUAAAAACAGUUGUUGAAAAUAUUUUAAAUAAGACUCAUAAAGAUAGAUAAACGUUAGUAAUCCCCCAAGACUUAAAUUACACUGUCCCCAGUGUAACACAGUCGGUGGUAAAGUGAAAAUCAUAAAGCAUAAGUACAAAAUUUAACAAGUAAGAACGAUAACCUGGUCAGUAUCGAUCGAUACAAUGAAGUGACAAUCGAUUGUUGUUGAUGAAGUGUUGUCGAUCGAUAUCGAGAUGGUCUCAUCGGUCGAUGAUUUGAGCAAUCGUCUACUUGGAUCUGUCUUUUUUGUCUCUUUUUUUUUUUAACUAACUAAAACACAAUAUUAGUAGAACCUCUCCCAGACUUAGAUAACACUAUAAUGGUGUUAUCCAGUCGGAGAUUGGUGUAAAUAAAUCAUAAGUACUCAAUUUAACAAGUUAGAACGAUAUACCUGACCAGAAUGGAUGUCGAUCGAUGUAAACGUGUUGUCAUCGGUCGUGGCAGAUGUAGCAAUGUCGAUCGAUAUCGACUUGUUCUCGUCGGUCGAUAUCAUGGCAAUCGUUUACUUGGGUGCCUAUUCUAAACAUCUAACUAAAACCUAAUAUUAAUAUAACCUCCCCCAGACUUAAAUAACAUUGUGACCAAUGUUAUUCAGCCUAAGAUCGGUGGGAGAAUAAAUCAUAAGGACAAUAUUUAACAAGGAAGAACAAUAUACCUAACUUUGAUGUGAAUAUUGACCAACACAGUUAAGUGGCGAUCGAUACUCUUGAUGCUCUGUCGAUCGAUGCUAGCUAGCCAUCGUCGAUUUCUAUGGAAACUCGUCUUCCUCGGAUCUUUUCCUUGUACCUAACAUAAAUAAAACACUAACAGUCUAAAAGUUAGUAAUAUAUAACUAAUAAAACCAAUUAAAUAAUAAUAAUUUUUUUUUACCUGAAAUCAUUAGAACACAAGAAAAAUCAGUAAUAAAUGAAAAUUAAAUUAUAUUUAAAACAAACCUAACAGUGGGUUGCCUCGCACUCAGCGCUUAUUUUUAGUCAUUAGCUUGACUUCUGGAGAUCUGAUUAAGUCCGCAUAAGAAUGAGAACUUGCUCCAAAUCAAGUCUCAAUGUCUACUCUUUGAAGCUUUAUCAUUCUUGUGUGAAAGCCUCCUCCAUAUACCCUUCUCCUUUGUCUAUCAUUUCAGCAAUAAGGAGUGCUUUAAGUUUUGCAUAUGGAUGUGAAAAGCAUUUGCUGCGCACUCUUGAUUUUCUGAUACUAUCUGAGAAGUAAGGAGUCAAUGGUAAUUGAGAACCUCCUUUGGUUCGUUUCCGCUUCUUCCAAUUUCUCCCAUUCUUUCGCACAGACUUGUGUAAUCUCACUCUGGAAUUCCUGGUAUCAUCUGAGAAGUGAGGAAUAAAUGAUAUCUGAGAACAUUCAUUGAUUUUUUUUUCUUCUUCCAGUUCCUCCACUUCGUUCCCCCAGACUUGUCUGAAUGCGUGGUGGUAUCUCCAUAAAAAAUAUUUCCACACAAUUCAUGCUCAUUCUGCUCUGAUUCGCGUCUGGUGUCGAUCGAUGGUAUCUGAUCGGUAUCGAUCGAUGAUGAAGUGUUAGUGUCGAUCAAUUUUGUUUUGUUGAUGUUGCACGAUGGCACUUAUGCUGGGUAGUUAUCUUCUUCAUCUCUAAAUCGCAGCCCUCUCUGAUAAGCUUCUACAUGAUGUUGAUCAUUCAAUACCUCAAUGUAAGAACUCAGAUACACACCUUUAUCUGGUGGGAUAGGAGAUUCAACUUCAAACACUGCACAUGGAACCAUAAUCUUCACAGGAUCAUGUAUCCUCUUCACUCUUUUGCAAAUCCCAACAGCUUCUUCUGCGCAUAUAGGUGGUCUUAGAUGUUCAGGGACAGCAAGGUGUGAGGUCUUAGACAUGUGCAUUAUCUCCUCAAUCGGUCCUUGUUCAAUUGGGUAUCCUGAUAGUUCAUCCAAACAUGAGUGUCGAUCGAUAUUAUCAUGGAGUUGUCGAUCGAUGCAAUCGGGUAGGUGUAGAUCGAUGAUAUCUGUUGCAUGUGGAUCGAUGAUGUAGGGUGGGUGUACAGCCAUGAUGUUAGGUGGGUGUCGAUCGAUCUCAUCAGGUUUAUGUCGGUCGAUGUCAUCAGCUUUUAAGGAAUUUUCCAGACCUCUUUCCGAAGUGUGCUGAUCAUCAAACUUCUGCUUCGGGUUCUGGUCUAAAUUCUCAAGCCAUUCCUCCAGCUCCAAAAAGUCUUCCAUAGUUUCUUCUUCACUCGAAUCCAAAUCUCCAAGCUGUUGUCCAUCCUCUAACUCCAAGAAUUCUUCUAGUUCCAAGAAAUCUUCCAUGGUGAUUUCUUUUUUUACUUUUUGGUCAGGAUAACAACUUGAUACAUCGAUGCUCUUCAGUGUCGAGUCUGCAAUGUCCUGAGGACAACUCGAUUUUUCACAGAUUUCGAGUGGUAUCGAUCGACAACAGGAGUUUGUGUCGAUCGAUGUUUAAAGGCUGGGGUCGAUCGAUGUUACGGUUGGGAUGUCGAUCGAUGUUGAGGUCGGAGUGUCGAUCGGUUCUGAGCUCAUGUCACUAAUAUCGACUUCUUCUAUUCUGCUCAGCUCUCCAGACACAUGUUGUUCAUCAUCUUCCACCAUAUAUUCCAUCAUAGAUCUCAUCUCAAUCUCUAGACUUGCUGUAGCAUCAUAGAGAAACUUGUUGACGAAAGCGUUUGCAAUGUCAUUCCAAGCAUUGAGAGAUCCCGGUGGUAGCUUCUUCAACCAAUGAUCUGCAUCCCCUGCAAGAGAGUAUGGAAAUAGUUUGCAGAAGUAGUAGUCUUCACAGACUCCAUUGCAUUUAAUGGUUGAUGCUAGAUCUUUGAAUGAUUCGAGGUGGUUAAUGGGAUCUUCAUGAGGAAGACCAUGAAAGGGAUGCUUACCCACAAGAGAGAUAUAUGCAGGGUUUAACUCCAGGACAGUAUUCUGAAGUGCUGAACGACGCAAUGCAGAUCUUUUAGCAUAGGCGUCCUCAGGACUAUUAUAGUCUCUAAUUACCUUAUGUCGUCCAGUCCUAACAUAAACAGUGGUAGCAUCAGGGAUUGCAGAAGGUAUCGAUCGAUGAAAAAUAUUUGUAUCGAUCAUUUCUGAAGUGUGGAUAUCGAUCAAUUCAGAGUUACUACUGUCGAUCGAUGCUGAAGUCGGAUCUUUUGUAUUAGCUCCUUCUACUUUGCUCUGCUAUCCUGAUACAUGAUAUUCAUCAUCCUUAACUGUAUCAUGGUUGUGGGAACCGAAAUUCACACUGUCGAUUUCCGUUUAAAUAAAGAAACUAGGAAAACCCUAAUUUCCCAGAGGACCCGGAUAUCUGUUAAUUACCACACGUCAAGCAAUCAGAACACGAGAAUAACAACGAUAAAGAUAAGAAAUCGAAAAGAGAGCAAAGUAGAUCUUAUUCCGAAUCUGCGUAUGAGCGUUACAACAAGGUAUAAGCCUGGGCUCGAGAGCUGUCGGCGAGAUUCCUAGUUCUAGCAACCCUAAGACGGCUAAACCUAAUUGAGUCGCAGCUCGAAAUAACAAAAACGGAAAAUUGCCUAAAUUGCUAUAAGUGCUAAGUUUGCUCUGAAAAAUUUCUCUCACUUGCUCCUCGCCUAGGACUCCUUAUAUACUAGCUCCAAGGUCGGUUUACGCUUUUACUCUUCUGCCCUUAAGCCGUCAUAGCAUAAAAAUGGGGAUAUUCUAUUUUUCCCGAUCUUCACAAUUAUCUUCAAAACUUCCGUAUUUAUCCGCGGAAACUUGACAUUUAUCCUUCCUCGUGGGCCAAGCGUGAACCAUGCUGUGGUUUACGGGCUUUUGGUUAGGAAAAUCGUAGGAUGGGCCUCGAGUCGUGUUUUAGGUCCCUUUGGGCCGUCUUCCGACUCGACAUGUUUAAUACGAGUUUUCCGCGGUUUCUAAUCCGCGAAGUUUGAUCGACGAAUUAGAAUAGCGGGAAACAUGGACUGAGUUUGCUACGGUCUUCGGGAGAUAGCAUUCGAAGGUUUGACGAGAAUGCAAGGACUGGAGUCGUAUCGAUGUUUAGAAAGGUUCAAUCGCUACACAGCGACCGAACUUUGGCUCGAGCCCGGUCGCUACGUAGCGACCGAGCGAGACGAGUGCUCGGUCGCUACGUAGCGACCGAGCUUUGGCUUGAGCUCGGUCGCUACGUAGCGACCGAGCGGGAUGAUCGCUCGGUCGCUACGUAGCGACCGAGCUUGGCUGAGCUCGGUCGCUACGUAGUGACCGAGCUUUGGCUCUAGCUCGGUUGCUACGUAGCGACCCAGCGGGACGAUCGCUCGGUCGCUACGUAGCGACUCGCUACGUAGCGACCGAGCUUUGGCUCGAGCUUGGUUGCUACGUAGCGACCGAGCGAGACGAUCGCUCGGUCGCUACGUAGCGACCGAGCGGGACGAUCGCUCGGUCGCUACGUAACGACCAAGCUUUGGCUCGAGCUCGGUUGCUACGUUGCGACCGAGCGGGACGAGCACUCGGUCGCUGCAUAGCGACCGAGCUUGGCUCGGGUUUGGUUGCUGGAUAGCGACCUGACGGCGUGUAUGCGUGGUGACCGAGCUUGGUCUGUUCGGAUUGAAUCCCAAAGGAUACUUCUUCGUAAAAACUUCGUAUUGGUAAUUUUUACGAAAAUUACAUCUCUUCUUUUACUAUCUCUUUCGGAAAUACGAUCUCCGAAGAUUUUUGGGUGAUAAUUCCGUCGUAACCGUUUUUGACCCCAACAGUUAGCCCCCCAGCCCGUUAGGAUCAUGCAUCGUAGGAUCCUAGCGUGCGGUUAGGCAUGUUUGGCAAGUUAGGCGUGAUGGAUGGAAUUAAUAUCCGAAGGUCCGAGCUUGAAUAGUAAAUCCUCAUGUCUUAUAAGAAGGGAGGUAACUUGUUCCAUAAUUUUUCACUUUCUUGUCUUUCUCUAAGAUCUUUCUUAAAAAAAAAACUUUCUAUCUUUCUCUCCACCCUUUUCCUCUACUCUCUCAAGAGAAGUGUAAAGAUGUCGAGCAAGAAAAAGAUUGCAAAAAAAGGGUCUUCGUCCGCGAGUCCUCAUGAAGAGCUCAUCGUUCCGAAGAUGGAGUUCGUGCCUCACUCGGUGCAUCUUGCCGAGAACGAGGCAUGGUGGGUUGCUCAUUAUGGCUCGUUGACCCCUCCCAAGGAGAAGCCGUUCCCGGUCCUGGUCCAUCGUGGUGUCGAGGAAGAGGUUGCAAGCAGGACUACUGACGAGUUUCUCGCGACGAUGUGAUCGUUCUACCACAUCCCGGAUGCUGUGUAGUUCCGGAUUCCCCGCCGCGGGGAAUGUGCUAACAGCCCCCCCGGAGGGUUACUUUACUUGCUAUGAGGCGUUCGUAGUGCGUUGUCGCCUAUGGUUCCCCAUACCCGAAAUUCUCGUCCGAGUGUUGGACCGUUUCGAAGUUGCGAUGAGUCAGUUGACACCCCUUGCCAUUCAGCAUCUUAUUGGGAUCCUGAUCCUAAGCUAUGAGCAUGGCCUUUCCCUUUCCGUUGAUCAUUAUGAAGCGCUUUUGAGGCUUCAACUUGUCAGGGGUACGGAUAAGCAUCGGUUGGUCCCUCGGAAAUUUAUGUCAAUGGUUAAGAAGUUUAUUUCGAAUUUCAACCCGUGGAAGAAGUUCCUUUUCUUUGUUCGUAUAGACGCUGCAUCCGUCGAAGAGAGUUGCAUUCCACUGUUCCGGAGGUUGCCAAAUGAUCGUCCCUCCAUCAACCCUUUUGCUCCGUUCCCCGAGGACAUCAUUUCGGUGAGGGAUCUUCUUAGGAAUGGUCCCUUCUUCUGGACUUCUUUUACGCCGAAGAGGGUUCGGAAGGCACUGAGAUUCGUGCAACCCGGUCCCGCUUUGGAUGCGGACACGGGAAGCGACUCCGAACCCGACGACCAGAAUCCCGUCGAAGCUCCAACAGCUGUGCCGGAGUCGAGCUCUUGGAAGGGAAAAGAUGUCGAUCUUGGCGACAUAGAGUUUUCGAUGGAUGACUCUAUGCUUCCAGGAUGGGAUCCGAACCUUGCUUACGGCGACGGGAGCGGUUCGAGCGAGGCCCCUAUUCCGGAUUUCGAUGAUUUCUUUGCUGGGCUGCCAUCGGGUUUUGAUGCUCCUCCUCCUAUGAAAGAAUCGGCGAGGCCGAGAUUCGUUGCGGAAGGAUCUCGCAUCAGCAAUGGGGUUAGUUUUUUGAGAAUUUUUUGGUGAUUGUCCUAUGUAUAUAUUUAUAACAUGCCAAUCGAUUUUGCAGGGCCUGAGCUUGCUGGGCUCGGCCAUUGAGGCGGGCCAUAGAGAAGCCAUGGUCUACCGCUUCAAAGCGGAGCGGGAUCUCGCUCGCGUGCAAUGCGAGAUGCUGGAGCGAGAGGCGCAACUUACUCGUGAUCAUGCGCGGACUGUUCGUAAAGCGGAGAGGAAAGGCAAAAGAGAAAUCGUCGAGGUGAUGAAGACUCGUGCAUCUCAAUUCCAGGUUGAGUAUGGGAACCUCAAGAAUGCCUUUACCUCGGUGGGUGAUUUUCGCGAGUGCCGCGGUUCGGUCGGAAGUCUUUGGAGGACGCGAGCCGAUGACUAUGUGUUUGAAGAAGAGAUGAGCUUGAUGAAGAGUGGGAUGAGUGAUCGUGCCCAUGCUGAGGCGCUUAUCCCUCCGAUCGAUGAGAAGAUUCAAGGGUUCUGGGAUUCCAUCCCGGUUUCCCCUGAUACCGAGGAGGUUCCGACCGGGUUUCCCGAUGGUGGCGAGGAAGUGGAUCGUCCCGCGGAUGCGUUCGGCGCUUCGUUGUCCGGGGACUUUGACUUUCGAUUAUGAGGGGCGAAUUAGUUAUCCUUUUAUCUGUUUUCGGCCAAGUGUGGCCCUUUGAAUUUGGAUUUUGUUUAGGCCUAGAUGGCCGUAUUUGUAUUUAUCGGGACUGACCGUUGGUGGCUUUGAAUCCCUUGCCGCUUUACGCGGUUUAUUUAUAUGAUAAAUGUUUCGUUUCGAGUUUUCCUGAGUAGGGUUGAAGUAAAUACGAGUUGUCGUCUCGUAUUUAGUUCUGAUUAGACGUUCAAUCUGUUGGUUCGUUCGUGAUUUUCGUAAAAAUUUACUUAUCUUUACGAUUUUCGAGAACAUUGAGAUAUGAAUGGAGAGACAUGGUUUAGGAUCUCGUAUCUUUUAGAUAUCAUGCCUUGAGAUGUUUGAGACCAGAGCGUUGGGUUUAGGGCAAGACCCCACCAAUGGUUGACCAGCUUUUCCCUGUUCAAGUCGUCCUUCUGCUUACUCUCAUCUGCAUGGUGAACCUGAAUGUCUGGCUGCCUGACAUGAGUUGUCGGUGUUCCAAUAUCUCCAUUCUCCUCGCUGUAGACGAAGUAAAGAAUUUGACUCAUACUAAUCAUUAUUCCUUUCUCCCGAUCUUUAAUCAUCUUGUCAAGCCUUUUACUUCGAGUUGCUACAGCCUCGCUGAAAAAUUUGCCUAUGAAGGCUUCUUUGAUGUCUUCCCAGCAGGUUAGAGAUCUUGGUUGCAGCUUACUGAACCAGCUAAAAGCAUCUCUAGAUAAACAAUAGGGGAAGAUCUUGCAGAUAAAGUGGUCUGCAGAUAUUUCAUCGUGCUUGUUUGCUGAGGCUAACUUCUCAAGUCUCUUGAUAAGAUCUUUGGGAUCCUCAUGAGGAAGACCGUAAAAUGGAUCCUCACUUCUCCAAUCAUACCAUUGACUUGUCAGAUUAAAGGUAUUCGUCUCAGCCACAUCAAUUACAUCAGGGAUUACACUACCUUCUGCAUUAAUCAAUUGUCAUGUGAGGCUGCAAGGAUGACCUUCUUCGUCUCGCCAAAUACCCCUCUUGUCGAUCUUAAGUAUGAGCGCUUCGACCUUCUCUGUCUCUCCGUAAGUGGUGUUCGUAAUUGGAGGAACGGUGCCGUGAUGAAUAGUGUUUCGAUGAACAGUGUUCGAAUGAACAGUGUCGCGAUGAACAGUGUUCGACCGACACAGGAUGAAUAGUGUCGACCGACACGGGAUGAACAAUAUCGAUCGACGGGAUCUGAAUAGUAUCGACCGACAUGGGAUGAACAGUGUCGAUCGACGGGAGAUAAAUAGUGUCGCGAUGAAUAGUAUCGCGAUGAACAGUACUAGGAUGAAUGGUAUUAUGAUGAACAGUACCUGGAUGAACAGUACAUGUAUGAAUAGUACAUCGGUAAAUAGUAUUGCGGUGAACAGUACCCGGAUGAACAGUAACAUGAUGAACAGUACCCGGAUAAAUAGUGUUUUCCGACACGAGAUGAAUAGUGUCGUUCGAUGCUUGGUCACGCUAUCGAUCGAUGCUGCUUGGAGGGUGUCGAUCGAUACUUCCCUCUUAAGCUUCCGGAUCGUGCAUAAACCAGCAGGCUCCUUCCUUGAAGGACCUAGAAAUCCUCUCUUCAUUGUUUUCUGGUACUAAGAGUUAUGUACCUGAAAUAGAAGAAAAAAAUUUAUGAGUUUUUCGAACAGUAACAAAACCUAGAUUAAAUCUAACUAAACAAGAUCUAAUGGCGAUCAAAGUUCCCCGGCAACGGUGCCAAAUUUGAUAUCACUCAAAUUACCCUAAAGAGUGGUAGUCUCAUCAAAAGAGGUCGAGUUAUAGUACUUAGGGAUCGAAUCCACAAGGAGCUAGGGAACCGAUUAGAUCUAAUAGUUAUAUGAUUAAGCUAGGCUAAUAGGUUUUAAAGCAGUAAAUAAAGCAAGUAAUAAAUAAAGCAAUAAACAAGAUGAACAAAGUAAUUGUUCAGCUUGGCAAGGAGUAGUUCGAUGGAAAGAUGGUUGCUAGAUCUAGGGUUUCUAUUCAGGUGUUGGAGAUUAUAAUUCCUAUAGGUACCUAUUUGUUGCAUGCAUGAUAUGUUAGAGCUCAUUCGCUUAACUCAGUGAUCAGCUGUCGCAUGUAUCACUGGUUAACAAGAUAGAUAUCGUGUCCCAACGGUUAGUAUGCCGACAACGAGAGAGUGUCGAUCAAUGGUCUAUUAAGACAUCGACCGAUACACAUUUGCCAACGUCGAUCGAUAGUCAGUUGAGGACAUCGAUCGACGGGUUCUAGCCAGGCCUAUGCACGAGUAUGAAAUGUCCUAUUAAGAUACUAAAUUGGCGGUUAGCCCUCUCUAACAGUCCUAAUAUGAUAGAUAGAUGUCAGGAUGGGAUAACAAGGGUGCUUGAGUAUGCAAUCCUAUGAUCAAGUUCUAGUUAAUUACUCUAAAACAAGCAAUGAAUACAAAUCUAUCAUGAAUAUCACAACAAGGCAGAUCUAUAGUUUGGGGCUAAUCCCACAAACCUAUCUGAACCCUAAACCUAACAGGUGGAUCUAUUCUGACAUGAAGUUAGUCACAGAAAUCAUAGAUGAAUAGAUAUAAAACUGAAAUAAAACAGAUCAACAAAACCAAUGGAGUUCCAGGAAGACUCUGAUAGGAGUUCCUCCCUUCUCUCCUCUAAGAGAAACAAUGGAAAUGAAAGUGUGUAAAAAGCGUAGCCGUCAACAAUGGCUUAGAAAUGACAUAAAUAGGGUUUCUGGUCGUCCAAAGGCAUUCUGGUAAUUUGUGGCUUCUAGGGCUUCACGCAGUCAUAAAAUAUACAAAGCCCACGAUCUGGGAUCUCCAUCGAUCGACGUGCAGAGUGCUGCAUCGAUCGAUGCGGCUUUCUCUUCUCGGUAGCUUCCUCUCGCGAGGCAGACUGACCACUCUUCAGUAAAACGGGAAUAACGUCUGCUACAAGAUGCUGAUUGACCUGAGACCGGUGGCAUUGGAAAGCUAACUCAAAGCUCUAUCUUGUGUCAAAAUAUGGGCUCAAUCUAACGGUCGUAAGGUCUCCAUCCAUAGAUAAACAUCUGACGCGUCUGUGCAACUCUACACCUCCAAAGGCUCCAAAAGACUCCAAAAUCAACAUAUUUCUCCUAAACGUCUCUGAACCUGUAAAUACUAUAAAUAGACUCCAAAACAUAAUAAUUGUAUCUUAAAACACUUUAAAACACUUAUAGACCAUGAUUAAAAAUGGGUAAAAUAUAUGGUCUAUCACUCUAACAUGAACAAAAACGAUGACUAUCACAUCACACAAAACAAAAAAUGCGCUGAUGGUACAUAGCUAGUCCAUACACCCCGCAUUCUCUUCAUACAGAUAUACGAUAAAUAUAAUAUGCGUCGCUAGUCCAGACAUCUCUGGACCCCCGCACUCCACCACUAUGUGUCGAUAUGCAAACGUCUCUGCACCCCGCACCACACAAUAUACGUCGCUAGCUCAGACGUCUCUGAGCCUCCGUACUCAUUCAAUAUGCGUCGCAGCUCAGAUUUCUCUGUGCCCUCGCACUCUAUACGUCGCUAGCUCAUAUUUCUCUGGCCCCGUACUCAUAUGUGUCCCUAGCCCAGAUCUCUCUGGGCCCCUGCACUCAUCACAUAGUCCAUACUAUAUAUAUAUAUAUAUAUAUAUAUUUUUUUUUUUUUUUGACGUCAAAAGGCUAUUCUAUUACUCAAACUUGAGGUGGCCUGGGUAACCAGACCGGAAUAGAACAACCAACAAAGUGUAACUCUCUACGGAAAGAUCUAGCAGUCUUAGCUAAAAAAUCUGCAGUCUGAUUAUGCGCUCGUGGAACGUAAGUGAUGUCGAAGUCCGGGAAGCAGAUUUGUAGCGUCUCUAUUCUCUCCAAUUCCGUCGCAAAGCUUGGCCACGCCUGGGGAUCCUUAACCAUAGCAAUCAGUUCCUUACAGUCUGUCCCAAAGCUCUGGCAGGUCGAGUGCUGCAGCAUAUUCUCCAUCGCCCACCGCAGUGCUUCUACCUCCGAAUGCAAGGCUGAUUCCCGUCGAGUGAUGUUUUUUGUCCCCAUAAGCUGAAUAUUCCCAAAGUUAUCUAUCCAUGUCCAUCCACAUCCACUGAAGUUAGCUGAGAGAGUCCAAGAUCCAUCUAAUAGACAAAUAUUUCCCAAACAUACGGCUUGGGGUUCCUCAUUCAUGGUGUCCUGUGUCGCAACUUGUACCACUUCAUUAGCCUCAAACCAUGCCUGGCAUUCACUCUCAGCAUGUCUUACCAGUUCCAGAGGAUCUCUAUCUAUUCCUCUGAAGAGUUUUUCAUUCCUAGCCUUCCAAAUGGACCAUAUUAUCCAGGGAUAAGGAUCCCUAUCUUGCUCUGGCUCCAUGAUACUAUUUUUCCUCCAGAACAGAUAAUCCAUGUUUGUGUAGACGCUCGAUACCGGAAAAAUAUUUGGGCACGUCGGAGUUGAAGAUAAAGACCAUACUUGACGGGCUGGUGGGCAUUCGAAGAUUGCAUGUGUGACAGUCUCCUCUGCUUCUCCACAUCUUGGGCAAUAGUUGUCGCACCUCAUAUUACGUCUAACUAAAUUCCUCGUUACUGCCACAUGACCAGUCAACAACUGCCAUAUAAGAUGACAUAUCUUCGUAGGGGCCUUCAAUUUCCACGCAAAGCCCUGCAGCUUCGUAAUACUUGGCUCCAAAACUUCCUUCUCCUCUGAUAACUUCAAUAAAUUCUGCGCCACCCAAUAUCCAGAUUUAACCGUGUAUUGGCCACUCCUUGUAAAGUUCCAGCAGAAAGUAUCUCGACGAUGAGUUGAGCUUAUGGCCAAACUCCUUAUAAGUGGUAUAUCCUCUGGAUGAACAUAGUUCUCCAAUAGUCCCACAUUCCAAUCCUUCAAUCCCUGGUCAAUAAGAUCGCUUACUCUCAUGUUGGGGUUCAUCACAGGGGCUAUGGGGGCCGCUGGCCUGGCGGGAUUCGAUGGAAUCCAUGGAUCCUCCCAUACUUUAACCUCAUAGCCUGAGUGUAUCUUCUGUCUAAUCCCCAGUAGCAGUAAUUUCCUUGCAGCAGAGAUGCUAGUCCACACAUAGGAUGGGCUACUAGUAGGGUUUACUCUCAAUGGAGAGCUCAAUCUAUAGUACCUUCCCCGUAAGACUCGGGCCACCAGAGAAUCAGGAAACUGUACUAAUCUCCAUAGUUGUUUAGCUAGAAGCGCUAGAUUAAACUCAUGAAUCAAUCUAAAGCCAAUUCCACCCUCUUCUCUGGAUAGGCAAACUUUCUCCCAUUUCGCCCAGUGUAUACCUCUCUUUGGUGGAUUCGAGCUCCACCAGAACUGAGCAAUAGCACUUGCCAAGCUUUCACAUGUCUCCAAUGGAAGCAGGAAAGUUGACAUGACGUAUGUCGGAAGAGCGAGCAGAAUUGAUUUAAUCAGUACUUCCUUUCCACCUUUUGAGAGCCAUCUACCCGUCCAUCCAUUCACUCUAUGCAUCAGCUUAUCUUUCAGGAAUGCAAAAAGCUUGCAUUUAGAGCCGCUUAUAUCCUCGGGGAUGCCUAAGUACGUUCCCAUUCCUCCUUCGUUCUGUAUCCCAAGGGCAUCUUUAAUCUCUUGUCUCAUAUUUGCAUUAAUCCGCUUACCAAAGAGUAAGGAGGACUUGUCAAAGUUGAUGCAUUGACCAGAUGCUUUACCAUAUCUCCUGACUACUUUCAUUACUUCUUCACAUUCACGGGGCUCCGCCUUACAGAAGAAAAGGCUAUCAUCAGCAAAGAGAAGGUGAGAUACCGACGGACACGUGCGUGUAACACGCAUCCCUGUUAUCUUCCCUUGUAUCUCUGCAUGAUUAAGAAGGCUAGCGAGCGCUUCCGUGCAUAGAAUAAAAAUGAAAGGAGACAAAGGAUCUCCUUGUCUUAGUCCUCUACCUGGAAUAAUAUUCCCUCUUGGCUCUCCAUUCAUGAGAACCUUAUAUUUCACCGAUGUAAUGCAUCGAAUGACCCAGCCUAUCCAAGUUUCUGAGAAUCCCAUUUUACGCAGGACAGCUUCAAUAAACGACCACUCCAUCCUAUCAUAUGCUUUGCUCAUAUCAGUCUUGAUGGCCAUCCUUUUAUUCCGUCCACUUGGUUUCGUUCUCAAUGCAUGGAACAUUUCCUGGGCGAUCAUAACAUUAUCCGAAAUCUGUCUCCCAGCAACAAAGGCUGACUGGGUUUCCGAUAUCAGACCUGGUAGCACUUUUUUCAACCUCUGGCAUAAGACUUUAGAGAUUAUCUUGUAGCUAACGUUGCACAGACUGAUGGGUCUGAAUUGAGACAUCGCAGUAGGCUUUGUUAUCUUCGGGAUGAGACAUAUAUUUGUGUCAUUCAGUCCGUGCGCUAUCGUCCCCUCAAAAAGAAAUUUAUUAACCAUAAGGGUUAAAUCCUCCUUUACUAUAUCCCAAAAUUUCUGGUAGAAAAGUGCAGUCAUCCCAUCGGGUCCUGGAGCUUUCUCUGGGUGCAGUCCAUACUAUAUAUAUAUGUAUAUAUAAAUAUAUAUGUAUAUAUAUGAUAUAUAUAUAUAUAUAUAUAUACCAUCACUUAACAUCAACCAAUCCAAACACCAAUUGAAUCCUCUAGACCCGUAAUUCCGGUUAACAUUGAAUAGAUGAACUACCAACAAAACUCAGACUGACUCGAUUCAAACAGACGGAUUAUGCUUCGAAAUCUAAAGUAUUAUAGAAAGAGUUCUACACUAGUACGAGAUUUAAUAGAAUAACCCUCACCUUAGCAACUGGCUGGAAAGAACAACGGAAGAUGGUCAACUAAGGUCAACUGCAACACGAGAAUCAACGACUUAGGCUAGUCUCAGGAAAUAAAGUUUCGCAAAAUGGAAACUUUCUUAAAAUAGAACAUUUCCUAAAAUAGUAACUUUUCAAAAUAGAAAGUUCCCUAAUAUAGCUUAUUUCCUAAAUUAGAAACUUUCCUACAAUAUUCCUAUAACUAGAAAUUUGGAGGCGACAAACUUACUAGAAAACCCAUUGGAAGCUCGUCCAUAAAUCCCGCGGGAAGCCGGCCCAUAAAUCCCGCCGGAAGCUCGCCCAGAAAUCUCACUGGAAGUUCACCUGGAAAUCCCACCGGAAAAAUUCACUAGUGACUGGUCGUCGGAUAAUUCAACAACAACUCGUCACGCACACAUAAAUACUUUGACUUGAUGAGAAUAAAGAGAAAAGGUGGAGUUUCUUAUAUAGAAGAAGAGAAAGAAGGUAGGUUUUCUAAACUUCCAAUGUGGGACAAAAUACAAUAAAAAGGGAGUUUUGGGUAUUAAUUAAAAAAAAACAAAUGGACCUUCCCUCAUUGGGUCACAGUCGUCACAAUUCUUCCCUACUAAUGAAGAAUUUGUCCUUGAAUUCACCGAAAGUCGAAUACCAUCAAAAGAGCUCCAAACAAUCAUUAUCAAAAACUCGUUCCCUCAUGCCUCCUGCUGGAUCCGUCUCUCAUACAAAACAACUUUGACCAACAUGGUCAUGACCCCCUGGACAUUUUCUCUUGAACCCUUGUUAGUGCUAUGACUCGUCGCUAAUCGAUACAUCUCGAUUAAUACCAAUAACUUUAAGCAUCCAUGUGCCGACAAAAGGAAUAAGAUAUCUUCAUCUUGGCUUAACUCAAUUAGGAGCCGGCUGCAGAAAUUCUGACUAUGUAAUCCUCCCAUAUCACAUAAGGUGAAAUAUCUCGCACUCGACCGUAACUGGUCUCAUACACUCUUUUUUUUUUCUUUCCAACUACACAUGAUAACCACAAAACACAAAACUACUCAAAAGAAACGAGCAUGGCAAAGAUACGUACCGGUUCUUCUUUUUUUUUUUUUUGUUAAAGGGUUUAGUUCUUCUUCUUUUUUUCUGUUAACAAAUCCUCUUAGUUAGUCAUUCAUAAUUUUUUUUUAAUCCAAAUCUAAUUCUCGUAAAUUGCUAGUCGCCAUCAAUGGCGGACCUACGUUCAAGGUAGGGGUGUCAGCUGACACUCGUUAAAUAAUAAAAAUUUCAUUUGUAAAGUAUAACGUAGUAGGAAUAGCAGCUCAGUUGGUUAAAAUUCUCUGCUCUGAACACCUGUAAUUCUAGUUCGAAACUCAACUUGCACCCUGUUUAAUUAUUUUUUGAAUCAGGCCAAAGCCCAACUUUGGUUUAGUCUUCUUAUGUUUGGAUUUUAGUUUAGUUUUUACUUUUUUUUUGGACUGAACAUAAAAUUUUAAUUUAUGUGGGCUUUUAAAAUCCAAAUAUUACCAUAUGAUGUUUUUAUUAAAAUGAUAACUUUUACAAUUGCGCUUUUUUACAUAUUAUCGCUUUAAAAAAGCUUAAAUAUAAUAUUUAAUAUACUAACAUUUUAAUAUUUUAAUUUAAUUUAUGACACCGGGAAAAAAGUUUCUAGAUCCGCCACUGUGAACAUUGAUCGAUUAUUUCUCUUCAAUGUCGACUGAUGGUCUGCUCGGAUGCUUUCUCCAAAUAUCUCCAAAAUGCUCUAAAAUCAUCACUUUCUUCCAAAUCACUCCUGAUCCUAUAAAUAUACUAAUUAGACUCUAGAAUAUAAUAAAUAGUAGUUAAAACAGUUAUAAAUCAUAGGUAAAAGUGGGUAAAAUCCAUGGCCUAUCACUCUGCUUCCUCCAAAUAUGUUGUAAGCUCCGGGUAGCACUCCGAAUCUCGUCCAUGUACCGGUAAAAGUCGUAAACUGUAUGAGCAUAAUCAGUGCCUUUAACCAAAUACAAAAGAUGUUUCCCUUUAUACUAUUGGACAGUGUUUUGUUGUAGGUGAUAAUAGCAUAUACUUCCGGUUUUCCAAGGAAGCACCUUAUCACAUGCGCUUUUAAUGGAUGUGUGCCGGUUGGAGACUAUCAUCAAAGCAUGCUGAUCAAAGACACAUAUUCUCAAUUUUUUGAAAAACCAUCCCAAGAAUGAUCAUUUUCACCAUCUACAAUUCCAAAAACCAAUGGAAAUAUCUGAAAAUUACCAUCUUGUGCAGCUACAACUAGCAUAACACCUCCAUACUUCACGCUUAGGUGAGUCCCAUCCACCACGAUGACCUUUCUCUGAUACUGAAAUCUAUCCUUAUCAUCAAGUUCUAUACUAGUGAUAAAAUCCGGAUUUGCUAACUUGAUUUGAUCCAAAUAUGAAGGCAGCCUCUCAUACCCAUCUUCUGUUGUUCCUCUUACCAAUUCUUGUGCAUAUAACAAUGCUCUGUAUGAAGUGGUGUAAUCUAGCUUCAUGCCAAACAUGUUCUUUAUUGAAUCUUGGACAUCAAUGAUUCCAACGCGAUCUAUGAAAAGCUUACCAAUAUACUUUGGAGUACAAUGUUUCUGUUGUGCCAGUCGGUCAGACACAUAACAUGUAUGAGUUUUCAAAUACUUGGUUACCAAAAACAUGUUUAUUCCAUGUUUCACACUCGCUCUAACCUUCCAUCCUCACCCCGCAACACAACAUCUUGCCAGAAGUAGAGUUUUAGUUUCCUUGAAUAUUUUGAAGGAAAUUUUCCGCUUCACCGAUGACAACUGCAGCUCUAAAACCAGUGCAUCUAUACUAACAAAACUUUGGUUGACAUAGAUAUUGUCGGAAAAUAUCCCAUUCGAGCUUCCUCCUUCACUAGCAUAUGUCUAUUUGAAACCCUCAAAACAAAUAUCAUCUGCCUCUUCAUCAUCUUCAUCCUCAUCUUUAACUUUGCCAUACACACUGUAAUCUGCAAACUCAUCAUCUACUUCAGCAGUAUCUGAGAAAUUAGCAUCCUCCUUCCCUUCAUUUUUAACUUCAUUAACAUCUUCAUAAUCUUCUUCUUCUUCCUCUUCAUCUGAAAAUUUAUCAACAUCUUCACCAUCUUGGUUUCCAUCAAUGUUUGCAUCACCAACAAUCCUCGUUCUGCCUCGGCUUGAUACACAAAGACGUACAACAUGCGUUGUACUUAUCUCGAUCAAGUUCCGAACUUGUCUAUCAUUUGUAACAUGAAUAGGAGGAGUAUGAGGAGCAUUUAUUGCAUCAUUUCGUCUGGUAACAAGUAAGUUAAAUCCAUAACCUCUUUAUUCAUGUCCAUGUUGUAAUUUUCUCGAGCCAUUUCAACAAGUUCGGCAUGUGUAGAACAAUGACUCAUAAAGAACCUUCUCGCUCCCUUGAUGGUAUCCACCACAAAAUCCCAAGAAUUAUCUCAGUACAACCAUUCUCCAUAGACUAUAGGUAACUAACGAAUCAUCUGCAAAAAAAAAAAAAAUCAGAUUAAAACACAUUAGCAUGUAGAACAUCAGAAUACUAAAAAAAAUCGCAGCUUCUAUAAGUCUUCUCAUAUGGAAGACUUCUUAAGAACAUUAUUAACACAUGAAUGUUUGUAACCUCAUAAUUAUCACCAAUUAAGUUAUGAAUUUCACUCGGGAGUCUGAGUAUUGACUAAUAAACAUGAAUAAACAAGAAACUAUUAGAAAUUCAUUUUAAGUUAGGAGAAAAUUGAACUUUAAUAAAGAUUUACGUAGACGACUUCUUAGGAAAUCUGCCAUUUAGGUCAUUUUUGCAAUUGCAAAUUUACGAAUUAAGACUUCUAAAGAAAUCUACUCUACAUAAUAGAUCUUGAGAAGUCUUCCUUUGCAAAUAUUGGCUUGCUUUUGAAUUUGAUUUUUUUUUUGAAAAUUCCAGAGAAGACUUCCAUGCUUAUCCGAGAAGACUUCUCGAGAAAUCUUCUCUAGGAUUUUCGAAAAAAAUGGUUAAUAAAGGAAAGUUAGAAGACUUCUAGGGAAGUUUUCUGUUAAAACACAUACAAAAGGUCAAUUGCAAAACUAACCUAGGCAUUGACCAGAAAUUCUAGAGAAGUCUUCUUCGCGAACAGAUCUGAAAAAAUAACGAUUUUAUAACUUCAACCCGUGAGAUGACUUGCGUGGUUUCUCCAAUCACCCAAAACUUCAAUACAAUAGCUACCAACUCGUUAAUGACCAAAAAUCAUGAUCUUCAAUAUCUCUUUGAGCCUUGCACAAUUUGGAAUCAAAAUCUUCAGGUUUUUGGAUGAAUUUGGAGAGAUAGUGAAAGAGAUGUGAUUUGUACGCAUAAAAAAUGAGAUAGAAUGAGAAAAGUAUGAAACUUUAGUGCAUUAACACCUUCAAAUGGUUGUUCUCGGUGGUUGGUGUAUUGAUGACAAUGGCAAUAUUGUAAAUACUUGAUGAAGAUGAGGAUAAUAAAGUAAAAGACACAUUUUCGACAAAGAAAAAAAAAGAGUUAAUGGCAUUUUCGUGAAUAAAUCGAACUGCUAGGAUAAAUAUGAAAAAAGCUUUAAAAAAAACAUAGGUUAUUUUUCUGUUUGACUACAAAUUUUAGAUUAUUUUUGAAAAAAGCCCUAAUUUAUUUUUAAUGAUUCUAAGACCAAAAUAUAAAAAUAUAAAGAUAUAAUUAGAUAUAUAUAUAUAUUAAUUAUUAUUCUUCUUCUCGUACCUUGGCAGCCGACGCUGACGUUGAACAUGUUCUUUUUGGCUAUUGCCUGUCUCUUUUUUUUUUAUCUUAUAGUCACUUGAUUUCAUGGUAAUCGCGAAUAUUAUUUAAGUGAUAAUUGAAUAACAGUCAGCAAUUGCGACCAAUGACAGAUUUAUAAAUAUUUUUUAGCGAUGUCAUAAAUUAAAUUAAAAUAUUAAAAUGUUAAUUUAUUUAAGAGAAAAUGACACAAAGAACACUAAAUCAAGUUUUCCUCCCCAAACUAGCACUCAGGAUCAGAAGUCACAAAAAUAGGUUUCAUUAAAGGGGCAAUUUACCCUUAUGCCCCCUUCUUUAACUAAUUUAAAAAACAAAUUUGAAAUCAAUUUGUCGCCGUCCUCGUUUCAUCGCUUCUUCUUCUCGUCUCCCCGUCCUUGUCAUCGUCGUCUCCCCGUCCUUGUCGUCGUCGUCUCUCCGUCGUCGUCGUCGUCGUCGUCUCUCCGUCGUCGUCGUCGUCGUCUCUCCGUCGUCGUCGUCUCUCCGUCGUCGUCGUCGUCGUCGUCUCUCCGUCGUCGUCGUCGUCGUCGUCUCUCCGUCGUCGUCGUCGUCGUCGUCUCUCCGUUGAUCCGUCGUCGUCGUCUCUUCGUUUAUUUAUCGUCGUCGUCGUUUCUCAAUUGAUCUGUCGUUUCUACGUCUAUUCAUCUCAUUCUCUCUCUCGUGUGUCUGAUUUGAUUAAGGUUUGAAUCAUUUCAUUUUGUUAUACAUUAUCUAGGUUUUGUUAUAUAUUAUUCAUUUGUUGACGAUUUGAAGUUGAUUUUGUAGAACAAUGGAAGUUUUGUGCAUCUGUGGACAAUGGAUCUCAAAAGAAUCUCUCCAGUGGGAGUUUCUUGUUGAUUUGAAGAGGAAUGCAUCAAUCAUUUCCAUAGAAGAAGAUCUACUGUAUGAAGAUUUGAUGAAGAUUGUCUCUGAAGAUUUUAGUGUUAAAGAGGAAGAAAUCAGUUUGAGUUAUGGUUUUUCAUUGGAUAUGAAAUGUAUUAUUGAAAGUUUCCCCCCACUCUCGAUAGGUAAUACUCGUCAGCUCAGAACUUUCAUUUCCAAGACUAGAGCAUUUGAUGGAACCUGUCGUUUGUGUGUUAAGGUUUGUAUGAUUUUUUUCUUACUUAGACUUUUCAGGAUAUGCUUCAUAACCAAGUAUUAUGCCUUACAGAACUACUUGACUUUAUGCAGGUUAGUACUGAUCCAGCUAGCUGUAACACUCAAGCUUCUGAUACAGUUGCUUCUACUGUUCCAUUGAAUGCCAAUCCAGCGAUUCUUUCUACUGUGCAGAGUGAAAAACAGGUACAUUGUCCUUAAUUCCCUUUUUCUGUUUGUGUUUGCAUGAUAUGCUUCAUAAUCAAGUACUAUGCCUUACAGAACUACUUGACUUUUGCAGAGUCUUCUAUUUGAAGGUGUUUCUACAGUUCCUGUGAAUGCUCUUCCGGAUUUUAGUACUGAUUCAGCUAGCUGUAACAUUCAAGCUUCUGAUACAUUUGCUUCUACUGUUCCAUUGAAUGCCAAUCCAGUGAUUCUUUCUACUGUGCAGAGUGAAAAACAGGUACAUUGUCCCUAAUUCCCUUUUUCUGUUUGUGUUUGCAUGAUAUGCUUCAUAAUCAAGUAUUAUGCCUUACAGAACUACUUGACUUUUGCAGAGUGUUCUAUAUGAAGGUGUUUCUACAGUUCCUCUGAAUGCUCUUCCGGAUUUUAGCCCUGUCCAUAUUGGACUUUCACCAAACACGAGAGUAGCUGGCGAUAUUAAGGUGAAUAGCUAUUUUAAGACAAAGAGAGAGUUGAUGUUGAGGAUGAAGAAAUGGGCUUUAGAGUGGAAGUUUGAGUACAAGACUGUCUCUUCUAACAAGUCAAGAGUGCUUUUGAGUUGUGUUGAUGAAAAUUGCACGUGGAGGAUGCGUGCUAUCAAGCUACCUGUUUCAGAUUUUUUCGUUGUUAAAAAGUAUGUUCAUGAGCAUACAUGCGAUACAACACACAGGAAAGCCAACCACAGACAAGCAUCUGCAAAGUUGUUGGGUUCUUUGAUUUCCAGCAAUUAUGGAGAAAAAAAGGAAGGUCUCAAACCGAAACAGAUCAUUGAACAGGUCAGGAUGCUGCAUGGUGUUCACAUCAAUUACAAACAAGCUUGGAGAGUGAGAGAAGAAGCUCAGAUUUUGGUUAGAGGGACUCCUGAAGACAGCUAUUACAAUUUGUCUAGGUGGUUGUAUAAAAUCACAGAAACAAACCCUGGUUCCUUGACUUAUCAACAUGUUGAUGCUGCAGGAAAGUUCAAGUAUGCAUUUGUGGCUUUUGGUCCAUCGAUAAGGGGAUUUUCAUUGAUGAGGAGAGUUAUUGCAGUAGAUGGUACAUUUCUGAAGGGAAAAUUCAAUGGGACUUUAUUGGCAGCUUGUGCUCAAGAUGGGAAUUAUCAUCUAUAUCCUCUCGCCUUUGCAGUGGUUGACGCAGAAAACGGCGCCUCUUGGAAAUGGUUCUUUAGAGGUUUGAGCCAGAAGAUCCCGGACGCUUCGGAUCUUGUUUUUGUAUCAGACAGGGCUAACUCCAUUUCUUCAGCGUUGGAGGAUGUAUAUCCCUUAUCUCACCAUGGAAUUUGCAGGAUCCAUCUGCUCCGCAACAUCACUCCUACAUAUGCGAAGACUGGGUUGCUACCUCUGGUGGAAAGCGCUGCUGAUGCCUAUACGUGUCACGAGUUCUGGUUAAUCUUCAAGGACAUAAAGGAUAAAUGUCCUGAAUUGGCUAAGUAUCUGGAAGAGUCUGAUUUUAGGAAGUGGGCACGAAGCUAUGCGCCUGCGAACAGGUAUAAUAUCAUGACUACCAACAUUGCAGAGUCUCUCAAUUCUAUGUUGAAGAUGCCUCGUGAGUUGCCCAUUAUCUCUCUCCUUGAAACUAUCAGAUUGACGAUGACCACUUGGUUUUUUGAGCGACGCGAAGCGGCUGCGAAACAUAAGCACCUGGUUACUCCAAAAGUUGUUCAGAAAUUGGUAUCUAGGUUAGGGGCCGCAAUGUUGUUGAAUGUGUAUCAAGUUGAUCGAAGCGAGUUUGAGGUGAAGAAUGAAACAAUGAAGUUUGUUGUUGACUUGGAGAAGCGGCAUUGCACAUGUAAUGUUUUCGACAUUGACAAGAUCCCCUGCAUCCAUGCCAUCGCUGCUGCUAAGCAUAUCAAGAGAGAUGAAAACCGUUUUGUUGAUGCUUCUCACUUGACAGAAACGUGGGCUAAAGCUUAUGCUGAAAGCAUACAUCCUGGUGGAGAGUUGUCAACGUCCACCUAUCCAGAGAAUAUUGAUGAACUGUCUUGCCCACCUCCAGCUACCAAAAAGAAAAGUGGACGCCCUCCUACAAAGAGAAAGAGAUCCGUUGGCGAGUUUGGGGUUCCUGGAUCUAAAUCUCAGUCCCACAAGUGCAGCAGAUGUGGCACAGGAGGGCACAACAAGAUCACAUGCCAGAGGCCUAUAGGAUGAAGUUCUACAUUUUUACAUUUUUAUCGAUUAUUAUUUGGAUGUUGGCUAUUUGAUGGUUACAUGAUAUGCACAAGACCAUAUACAUUUUUUCUUUUGGAACCCUAUCCUGAAUAAGUAUGAUUUCUUACAACUUUUGUAAUAUACAACAUUAUCUUUUGAUCUCAUUUCAAUUUUUAGUUUAAACUUCUUUGCUAGAAAAAAACACAGUAAUAUUCAACUAUUCUGGAAUCCCAUCCAACUUUUGUAAUAUACAACUUUUGUAAUAUACAAUGUAUUAUACUAUAAAUUGUAUGGGGUAAAUUCAAUUAUGUGGAAGCAACUAACAGAUGAUUCUCCUCAGCCUAGCGGCUAAACCUCGAAACCUAUGACACCGAAACAUUUGCUCGACCCGGGUUCGACUCUCCUACGAGUAAUGGGUGAUUUUUUUUUUUUUUGUUCAAACAUAUAUCUCAGGAAUCACAUUUGUUGCAAUCGGAAGCCCAUCCUGAACUAUCAAAGAUCUUUCUAAUGUAUUAUACUAUCAAUUGUAUGGCUAAAUACAAUUAUGUGGAAGCAACUAACAGAUGAUUCUCCUCAGCCUAGCGGCUAAACCUCGAAACCUAUGACACCGAAACAUUUGUUUGACCCGGGUUCGACUCUCCUACGAGUAAUGGGUGAUUUUUUUUUUUUGUUCAAACAUAUAUCUCAGGAAUCACAUUUGUUGCAAUCGGAAGCCCAUCCUGAACUAUCAAAGAUCUUUCCAAUGUAUUAUACUAUAAAUUGUAUGGCUAAAUUCAAUUAUGUGGAAGCAACUAACAGAUGAUUCUCCUCAGCCUAGCGGCUAAACCACGAAACCUAUGAUACCGAAACAUUUGCUCGACCCGGGUUCGACUCUCCUACGAGUAAUGGGUGAUUUUUUUUUUUUGUUCAAACAUAUAUCUCAGGAAUCGAAGAGUCUCUUCCAAACGACAUCAUGUAACUCAGUAACCGAAGAGUUUCUUUUCGUCAAGAUUGGCUGUUAUAUGAUUGGUUAUUUCAGUAACUGACUUCAAUAAUCGAAGAGUUCCACAAUAAUCAAGAGUUUAUUUUAACUGACUUCAAUAAUCGAAGAGUUCCUUUUUGUUCUAUAAAUAUAAGGGACGAUAUCAGACCUUUUAUUCACUCACUUCAUUUCGUCUGAUUUAUCCUUUUGCAAUACAAGUUAGUUUUCGAUUUUUCUCAUUUUCCAUUCAAUUCAUGAACUUUUUUCUAUUUCUAUUUUAUCGUUACAUCUUAGUUUCGAUUUUGUUGCAGGACAAAGUUUCAAUGGAAGGAAGUUCAAAGAAGAUGAUGAAGCGUCCCAUAGAGGAGGUUUACGGAUGUGAUGCCGCCGAAGGUUUCAAGAAGGGGAAGAAGGAAACUGUGGUACAUUACAGGGCUCUUCUUCGUUUGUCCAACGAAUACAGGCUAUCUGAGAAUGAUUGGAAUGUUGCAUCCAGCAAAGCAAAUUCAAUUGCUGUCCAAAUCGAGUUGCUUGAAGAUAUUAUCAAAGCUGAUGGAAAAUUUGAUUUAACUGCUGAGUUGGAGAAACUCAAAGAAGAGCACUCGGAAGCGGAAGGAAUGCUUGCUGAUGUGAAGGUCAAAGUCCCUGAUUGGGAUAAACUUGGCGAAAGUUGGCUGUGUCAUGAGUAAUUUCAUGUUAUCGUCUUCUCUUUUUAUGUUUUUAAGGACCACAUUAUGUUUGAUUUUCAGUUUUUAUUUUAAAUGAAUAAGUACUUUUGUUUCUCUUGUGUUGUUUCUUCAAUUAACAACCUAAAUAAAAAACUUGUUCAAUGUUUUUCACUAUUUUGUAAUGGUUUGGCCUAGUGUUCUUAUAACUUGGUUAUCUGAUUUGCUUAUUUUGUUUUUGGAAAGCCAUCCUGAAUACAUAAAAUGAUUUCCAGAUUAUAUAAAUCUAUCGUCUGUGAAUAAAUAAGUUCACAUUUACUCUGUUAUUGAAUAUCCACCGUAGCCUAGUGGCAAGCCCUUCUAAUCUUAGUGUACCCUUAUCACACAAUAAGCCGUGUUCGAUCCCCGUUGUGUAUACUCACAUUUUUUUUUAAUUAAAUAUUCAAACGUUAUGUUCGUUUUAUUGUAGCUUUUUGGCAAGUAUAAGACCCUUGGUACAACGGCUGCACACUUGGAUUAAACGAGUUCAAUCAACAUCAGAUCACAUUCUUUUUCAUUUUUUUUUUGUAAACUUUAAAGGAAUUUGUUUUUGGAAAGCUAUCCUGAUUAUCUAAAAUGAUAUCCAGAUCAUAUAAAUCUAUCGUCUGUGAAUAAAUAAGUUCACAUUUACUCUGUUAUCGAAUAUCCACCAUAGCCUAGUGGCAAGCCCUUCAACUCUUAGUGUACCCUUAUCACACAAUAAGCCGUGUUCGAUCCCCGUUGUGUAUACUCACAUUUUUUUUUUAAUUAAAUAUUCAAACGUUAUGUUCGUUUUAUUAUAGCUUUUGGCAAGUAUAACACCCUUGGCACAGCGGCUGCACACUUUCAUUCAUCUUUCGAGAGUUCACGAGUUCAAUCAACAUCGGUCACAUUCUUUUUCAUAUUUUUUGUAAACUUUAAAGCAAUAUGCUAGGCUUUGGUGCAUUUUGCUUUCUCACUCUUUUUCUGGAAACCCAUCCUAAAAGUACCAUAAGCAUUUGACAAUUCAUCAAUACAUCCUAAAAAUUUUUCAAUAACAAUCUAAAUGAAAAAAACGUUAGGGAUAAUUCAUUACAAACUUAAACUUAAACGUUAGGGAUAAUUAAUAUCAAAGUAGAAAAACAGAGUAGAAAACAGAACAAAUAUGACAGAAAACAGAAAACAGAACAUUUUCACUUCCUUUGACCUUCCUGGAAAUCUUUAUCCAUAAACUGGUCGAAGAUCUCACAACAUAGCUUGCUUCGUAAGUCCAUCGCAGUUUCAUCAUUUAUAUUAGCCAUGCUCUUCAAUCCCAGUGACCUGCAUUCCAGCAUCUUCACAACAAAAAUACCACAGUUGUAUGGAAAUUUUGUCUUUGGAAGCCCUUCUGCAAACUUAACUUCAAAUGGACUGAUAUCUUCGAAAUUAACCUCUUCACCAAGAAGUUCCAUCUUUAUGGCACUAAUCAAACUGUCAUAAAUACCCAAAAUUAUACAAUAAAUCAAUCACCAACAGACAACAAAAUGAAUAUGUAAAAAUGCAUCACAAGCACAAGCAGCAAGUGACAAACUUUUAUUUUCUAAAUUAGCUAAAAUUCUUUUUUCAGGAUACGCAUACUUUCACAAUCCUAUCCAUUAUCAAUGUAACAAUAUAAAUUAAACUGAUUUUUCUACACUGAAUGAUAAAAUUAAUAUUUUUACCUGCCAGUUCUUGGAUUUGAUUAAGAGCACGUUUGAUAUUUUCUUUUGGAAGACCACAAUGGAAGAGUGUGAUUGUGUUGUCCAUCAAUUGUAUCUCCACCCCAAUAUAGUGACAGCUCAACUUAUCUUCAAUGACACCAUAUAUAACAUCAACAUCUUCCAGCCAUACCUUCUUUGGAUGUAUUACACCUUUCACAAGUUCGCCUACACAGCCCUCCAAUAACUUUUUUCUUUUCUUAUGUGGCUUCCUGACAGAUUCAUAAGCGUACCCAACCACUUCUAAGAAAUUGACUGGUACAAAGCAUGCUGCUGGAAGAUUGUUGUUGCGGAACCAAGCACCUUGCUCAACCCUCUUACAAUUUAGCAUUUCAAAUGCAACAUUUAUGUGCUGCCAAUGUAACAAUAUAGUUAGAAACUUCAUAUAGAACUGCUAUAACAUGUACAUCUAGCAUAGCUCAACUCAACCUCUUCCUAAACAUAUGACACAAUCAAAUAGAAGACAGAACAGAGUGUUGAUUACCUCUUUGUUGAGAUUUUUUCUGCAUCGUCCAUUUUUUGAAAGAACUCUUUUUCAAUUUCUUUUCCAUUGAUAUAAAACGGUCUGUAGUUGAUAAAAUUAACUAGUAUCAAUCGAAACUUUUACAAAAUAAAUUAGGAAUAUUUAUGCGAGGACAAAAAGUUGCUUACACACGAUAUAUGCCCCGUAGAUCCAUCCAGUGUGCAAGCCUUGAAAACCGAGGAAAUUCAGGUGUCACAAAUGGAUCAAUUGGAAGGAUUACCUCAGGUGUUACAGGUAUAGGAGGGUUUCUAGGUCGUAUUGGCCUCUUCUCUUCUCGCUGUAGAAAAGGAAGCAAAUCUACUGGCUGAGCAUUUGCUUUCUUCUUCUUACCAACAUGUGGCUUCCCCUUUAAUUAAAAAUAAAGACAAAAAUUCAGGAUCGUUUUUAUCUUUAUACUUGAAUGCCUUCCUAAUAUGAAGUAAAAAUAUUUUUUAUACCUUUUUUGCAUGAUCGUCUUGACUUGGUUUCACACUCUUACCCUGCUUUACUUCCAUCUGUGAAACAAAACCGAUAUAUCAAACUAUUGACCUGAACUUCAAUUCAAGUGGAUCUUAUUCAUUUUUAUUACCUCUUUUGCCAUUUUCCCAACACAUCUUCUGAUGGACCAGCUGCUUCAUUUUUCUUACAAGCGACAGCCUUCCCUUCCCCUUUUUGAAUGACAAAAAUUCAGAUACAUUUAUAUCUUAAUUCCUAGUAUGAUGUAUAAAUAUUUCAUACCUUUUUAUCACCAUCUCCUUCACUUGGAUUCACACUCUGCGUCUGCUCUUCUUCCUUCUGAAAAUCAAUACCGAGAUAUUAAACAAAUGACAUUAUUUUUCAAUUCAAGUGAUCCAAGGCAUUUGUUUUACCUUUUUUGUCAUCUCCCAAACACCAUCUACCCAUUUUCUUGGUUUUCGAAUCUCAGAAUGGUGGAAGUAAAUUUCUUUUUUACAAUUGUUCAAAGCGACAAAACACAAGCCAUCAAACAAAAUGACUUUAACUUUUCUAGCGCACCUUCAUUAGCUCAUAACUUUUCUUCGCUCCAGUUCUCUCAGGUGGUGGUUGAGGACGUAUUCUGUCAAUUGAUACACGUGUCUCAACACUCCUUUUCCUCUUCUUUUCGUCCAGAGACGGGAUGGAGUACUCAACUUUCAUCGUCUCAACCCCAUCAACCAAAUAUGUUUUCAACACAUUUCCUGGAUACCAUUUAUGACAAGUAUUGUCAUCUUGUGAUGAAAUCUCCACAUUUGCUCCGAUCUCAAAGGGAUUUUGAACUCUGCUUUCUACAUCCUGUGAUGGUUUAGAUUCAAGGAUAUCCAGUCAUUUUGAUAGUUGCUGUAUAUUUAUUAAAGGUUUUAAUGAAAGUAAUACCUUAUUUUGCUCUGUUAAAAGAUUUCUGCGAGCUCGGGUAUUUGGCUGUGUGUCGGAAAUGUUUGGUGAAAUGAUCUCAUUCAUAAGCUCGUGAGUCUCCUGAAUUCAGGAAUGGUUGAAUGAACACGUACAAGGGCUUCCAAAAAUUACUUGAAAAGUCCAAUUUUUUAAAGAAGGUACCUGCUGCGUCUGAAUUGGAGUAAGGACUGGAGUCUCAAUAUUCUGUUGAGCUAUUGGAGAACCAGGUGUCUCUUUCGUGAUCUCAUUCAUAGGCUCUCGUGUAUCCUGAAGUCAGGAAUGGGAUUAUGAACACGUACCAAAUUCAUAAUUUUAUAAAUACCAACAGUUUUCAAAAUUAUACUUGCCUCAUUGUUAAGUUGUUCAUCUGCUUGAUCUGCAUUGGCUUCACCUUGUCUGGAAGCCGUCUCAUGAAAUGGAGUUGUGUCAGUCUGUGCAAGUACAACAAAAAUUAGGAAGGCAAUCCUAAAUAUGUAUAACAUCUUCCAAAAUUACUUGACAACUCAAAAAAAAAACUGAAUCAAGAACUAGAUAAACAUUAAUUUUAAUUUCCGAAAAAAAAGUUACCUCAUUGUUUGGAGUUCCAUAUGAAGUAACUCUUUGUAGUUUCUCUAGUUUUGUCACACGUUCUUUAAUCUGUUUCCUGUCUUUUUCAAUCAAACACAAACGAUCGUUCAUGAUCCUUAAAUUAUCUCCCACCAUCUCGCUGAUUCUGUUGAUCUUUGAUUCCAAAGACUCCUCCUGAUACGAAGUAGAAGCUUGACUCAUCCCUCCAUUCCCAAACAGUAAAGAUGCUCUUCUUAUUUCUUCAUUAGCACCGUAUAGGUCUACUGACAUGUUUCGCCAAUCUCUAAUUUUAAACUUAUAACCUCUCUUGGAUAAAUCGGCCAUGUCAUCCAGAUCUUUAUUAGCUUCGUCUUCCAUGCAAACAUCAGCUUCUGGAUCAUUAGAAAUAGGAGGUAGGAUGCAUGUGACCUUAAGCUGAAACCAUAAAAAUAAUUAGCUUUUAAAUGGAGAAUCAUAAGGCAAAACAAGAAAAAAAUAAUGUAAAAACUUACAUGAUCUUUGAUUUCAAUUAGGAGAACAUCUAUCAGCUGUGGAGAAGCUAUUUGAAGGUACUUCUCACACAAAAAUAUUGGGGUAGACGGUUGAACGCUCAGAAUAGGAACAACUUGACUGAAUGCAUACUGUAGCAAAGGUACUGACUCAAGUAUCCAUAUAAGAAAUGCCAUAGGGAACCCUUGCAAAUCAUAAUUGUUUUUGUCGAGGCUUUUGUCGACAGCUCUCUGAAGUGAUUUUAACAGCAAAUUAUAAGCUGUUCUCCCCCAUGGGUAUGUCAUCAAGACAUCCAUAUCCUGCGCUAUUUUCACAUAAUCCAAAGUAAAAGUUGUGCCACCGUCGAGAAGGCUCUUCUGUAGUAGUAUGCUCUCAAUCAGGAGGAGCAUUGCAAGGCAGAAUCUCUCAUCAGAAGCAUCUUCUCUUGUGUUUCUGAGCUGCUUCUCCACGUCCUUUACUGUAUGAGUACGCCCUUUUAGGAAGUCCCACUUAAAUUUCUCGGUUCCCUCUCGUGGUUCUCUUGCUUCACCACUACAUUUCAAACCAGUCACCAUGUGGAAUUCUCUUAUAGAGAACCUCAUUGGCUGAGCACCAAAAUGGAACCAUGCUUCGUGUCUCUUCACUGUCUUGAUGCUUUUGGUGAGAACUGCGUGCACUAUCUUAGCUGAUAAUUUCAAAGACCUCUCUCCAAGCUUGAUCACCGGUCCCAAAAACGUCCCUCUUAUUCUGUUGAACUCAUCAUUUCCUAGAAUUUCCUUAACAGUUUUGAUAUAAGCAACUAUCGAGUGUUGGUUUAUCGAUAUCGUCUUCUCUGGCUCUGAUCCAAUCGGAUACCUCAGCUCAGGCAGUGCUAGUCUUAAUGGUAAUGGAUCUCCCAUCUUGUUUCUAUCCUGCGUAAACAAGAAAAAUUUUAUUAGGUGUUGGUUUCCUGAAACAAUACAAAUCCUUCCUGAAGUCUAUACACAUGCAUAUUAGGUUAAAACGAGCAAGUCUAUACACAAGCAAAAACCAGGAGACCAAUCUCUCAGAAAGAAAACACACAUAAGGUUGAAUCUGCAACAUACCUUCAAGAGAUAGAGCUCUAGAAAUGGUUUUUCUCGGAGAAUAGAGAGAGCUCGCGUAAAAGAUCGAGAGAGAGAGAGAGUUUCUGGAGAUGGGUUUUCGUCGGAGAUCGAGAGAUAUGGAGAUGAGAGAGAGAUUCGAGAGGCGGAGACGAGUGAGAUUCGAGAAGUUUGAAACGGCGAGAGUGUUGAGACGGCAAGAGUUUUGUUUUUUUUCAAUCGAAAUGUAUUGUUUUGGAAACCUAUCCUAUAUUAAUUGGUUUAAGUAUGCUUAUGUAAUAUUCUUUAACAGAUGAUUCUCCUCAGACCAGCGGUUAAACCAAGGCAUUUUAUAACUCAAAAGUCUCUCUAUCCCCGGGUUCGAUAUGUGGUGGAUUCAAAAUCUAUUUUAAUUUUUUUUUGUGUUACAGUUUGGAGUUAAAUAAAAUUAAAUGUAAUCCAUUAACAGAUGAUUCUUCUUGGCCUAUUGGCUAAACUCCCACACUAUCCAAAUACGCAGACUCUCUCCCUCUGGGUUCGAUCCUUUGUGGUUCUAAAUUUUUGUUGUCUGUAAACAUCACAAUUUUAAGCUUACCAUAUACAUGUCCAAUCCUUAGUAUAUAAUCUCAUUUCAUUCUUUUUUACAUUUGAAACACUUAACUUUUUUUCUGGAAACCCAUCCAGAAACAUUAUUUUAACCUUCCAAGAUAUAUGAUACCCAAAUAAAAUACUUGAUAUCCUUUCCAAUCUUUCUUAUGUAACCAGACGCCAACAACAUAACAAAAUAAACAGUCAUAACUAAAACCGAGUCUUAACUAAAACAAAAAAUGUUUUCAUGCAUCAUUCUCAUUUCCCAAAGCUCUCAUCCACAAAUUGGUUGAAGAUCUCACAAGACAAGGUUCUCCUUAGCUCCAAUGCAUUGUCAUCAUUAAUCUUUGUCAUGUCUCCUAUCUUCAAUGACUGGCACUCCAGAAUCUUGACAAGAAAUAUCCCACAGUUGAAAGGAUGUUUUGUCUUGGGUAAACCUUGUGCCUGCUCAAUCUCAAAUGGAAUCAUCUUCACCUUAUCUACCUCAUCACCAGAAGAUUCCACCAGCAGAUUAGAAAUCAACACUGUCAUAUUUAAAAAUCAAUAUCAAGAUAGAAUCAGUUGAAUAUUUCAAACCAAGAAACAGAUGAAUACAUCAAAUACAGAUUGUUUAUACAUACCUGCCAACUUUUUCACUUGAGGAAUAUCAAUGCUGUUGCUUUCCUUUUGAAAACAAUCAUAUACUGUGAUUCUUUUCUUCUUCAAAUGAAUUUCCAUCCCAAUCCAGACAUUGCUUUUUUUUCCAAGAGUAAUCCCAUACACAACAUCAACAUCUUCUCCCCAUGUCUUCUCUGGAUAUACCUUCCCUCUCACAGUAUCUUUAAAUAAAUCGUUGAAAAUCUUUUUACCUUUGACCUUUUCUUUCUUGUAAGCCAAAUCAUCAGAGAGCAAGCAAUGCAAGAACUCCAUAGGUAGGAAGCACGCCUUUGGAAUCUUGUAGUUGUGGAACCAAGCAGCAUUCUCAUUUCUUCUGCAAUUUAGCAUUGCAAAGGCUCCAUCAAUGUGCUGCAAAAAAAAAGGCAAACAUUAUCUAAUUUGUUACUAUAUAAUUCUUGAAACUAAACAAAUCCUUCCUGAAUUUUUUUUAAAAAAAAAGCUCAAGGCAAGAACAUAUGUAAACAAAUUACCUCUUUCUUAAGGUCCUUUUUUGCAUUUUCCAUGCUUUGAAAGAAAGAUUUCCUUAUCUUAUUAUCAUUGAUUGAUAGGGACCUGCAGUCGAUUAAAGAUUCAAAGGAAUUACCAAACCUCUUAUACAUAAAUAUAAGAAUAUAUAGACAAGGACAGAAACAUGCUUACGUUUCAUGCAUGCCGGGCUUUAAUGUCAUCCAAUUUUGAAGCCUUGAAAGCUUAUGUUCCGCAGGAGUUGAAAACGGAUCAACUGCAGGUAUAAUCUCAGGUAUUACAGUUAAAGCCGGAUUUCUGUCAGACUUGAAUGGAGUUUUUGUGUCUCUAGAUCGUUUAGGCACCCUCUCGCUCCUUCUUAGGAAAACAUUAUCCAUUCCUGAAUUUUGUGAUGAGGCAGCAGCUUUCCUUUUCUUAUCAGGCUUCACCUUUAAUCAAACAAUAGACACCAAGCAAAAUAUUAUCAAAUUUGUUGCAAUCGGAAUUUCUGGAAACCAUUCCUGAAACUAAAAUGUAUGUAUAUCAAACAAUUCACGUGAAGUAUAAUUCUAGUUAUGAUUUACCUUAUCUGCCAUCUUCCAGACUCCAUCUUUCCAUUCUCUAUGAAUUCGCAAAUCUGAAUGUUUGAAUAGAAUAGUUUCCAUAGAAGUAUAGAGACACACCGAGUAUGUGUUAUCACCAAGUACCAUGCUAAUUUGUCCGCUGCUCCAGCCAUUGUUGUAGAAGGCUUCUACCUUAUCCAUCAUCUCAAAGGAUUUUUGGUCACUAGUUGGUGUUGCAGGACGUAUUUUGUCAGCCGUGAUAGUAUCCUGAAGUUUCUGAAGUCUAUGUUGGUCUGUGAAGAGUGUCGUGUACUCAACUGUCAGCUCCUCUAGUCCUUCACACAGUUUAAGAUCAACAACCUUUCCUGGAUACCAUAUUUCGUCAUCAGUAGACAAAAUCUCAACCUCUGCGCCUAUUUGAAAGUGAGCUAGAAGCCUGCUUACUUCAACCUAUUAAAAAUGAAGAUUCAGUAACAUCAGCGGUUUUAAAUUGUUAGAAUAAUAAUUAAAGAUCAAAUAUACUCGAUGCAUACCUCGUUUGUUUCUGAAAAGCACUUGUCUGAAGAUGCAUCUUCGAAACAUCUGUGGAAACUAGCUCAGUAGUAGGUUCUGUAGUAUCCUUGAGAUUUUCUUCUGCUUGAUUCUGCUCUGAUGGUGUCUCAUUGGAUUGAUCUCCCUCACUUGUCUGAAGGUGCUGUGUUUGCGGAGUAAGAGGCUGUGUCUUCGAAACAUCUGUGGAAACUAGCUCAGUAGUAGGUUCUGUAGUAUCCUUGAGAUAUUCUUCUGCUUGAUUCUUUCUGCUUGAUUGUGAAUGCUCUCCUUCACUUGUAGAAAAAUAUUGGGUCGCAAUUUCUGUCUCACUCUAUAAGUCAAAAGUAAAUGGUAAGAGUUAGUUGAAUAGAAAAAUAUUACAUAAACAUUUUAAAUAUUUCUUCUUACCAAAGCAUUCUUAUUUUCUUCAAUAACUAGUGCAAUUAGUGAAGACAAUGGAGAGGAAGGUCUGUAAUGCACAGCAUAUGUAUCCUCCUGUGAUAACAGUAAAAUAAAAGAGGUAGUUAUGAAGAAGUUUCUACAAUUUAAAAUUCAAGUUGUACUUAUGAAAGACAUUUCUAUGCUUACCUUUUUAUUGUUUGCUGAAAUGAUCUCAGUCAAUGGCUGUGUAGCCUCAUACGUUUCCUCUGUUACCAUCUGCAAAAAAAACAAAAAAAAGUCAGGUAGGGGAUCAAAAACACGUACAAAAGCUUUCAAACAUUACUUGAAAUCUCCAAGAUUUUUUGAACAUUUACCUGCUGUUUCUGAAUUGGAGUAAAAACUUGAGCCUCAAUACUCUUUGGAGAUAUUGGAGAAGAAGGUGUCUCAUUCAUUUCCAGUGUUUCUUUUUGCAAAACUUGAGUCUGAGCAGCAGGUGACUCAAUCACAAUCUGCAAAAAAUAUCAGGAAAGGCCAUCAUGAAUACAUUCAAUUAUAAUUUCUAGAGUAAAUAUUACCUCAUCAUCUGGUUUUCCUUCUCCUUGAUUAGUUUUGGGUGUCGUUUCAUCAGUAGAGGUUUGUGUUUCCCUCUGCCAAAAAUUAGAAAGGUCUAUAUAUGUAAAUCACCCAAAACUAAUUGUAAACUCCAACUGUCAUUGAGCAUAUACCUCUUUUGUCAGAUUAGGAGUAUAAACUUGAGUAUCAAGGGCAGGCGUGUCAUCCGAUGGCUCUCUCUCAAUCUGUAAAAAUUAUCACGAAGUCAAUCCAGAGUACGUUCUAAAGCUUCCAAACAUUAACUUAAAAAUCCAAGAUUUUUUUUUGACCAUGUACCUGCUGAGUCUGACUUGGAGUAUAAACGGGAGUUUCAAUACUCUUUGGAGCUAUUGGAGAAGAAGGUGUCUCAUUCAUUUCUACUGUUUCUUUCUGCAAAACUUGACUCUGACUAGCAGGUGACUCACUUGUUAAUUUCUCUCUCACAAUCUGCAAAAAAAUAUCAGGAAUGGCCAUCAUGAAUACAUUCAACUAUAAUUUCUAGAAUAAAUAUUACCUCAUCAUCUGGUUUUCCAUCUUGAUUAGGAUUGGAUGGCCUCUCAUCGGUAGACGUUUCUGUUUCUUUCUGUCAAAAAUCAGAAAAGCCUUUAUAUGUAAAAAAAAAUCACCCAAAACUAAUUUGUAAACUCCAACUGUGAAAACAAUAUCAUUGAGCAUAUACCUCUUUUGUCAGAUUAGGAGAGAAUACUUGAGUAUCAAGGGCAGGAGUUUCAUCAUCUGAUUCAUUCAUUGUGUCCUGCAAAAAUCAAGAAUGCAUUCUAGAAUAUGUACAAAAGCUUCCAAAUAUUACUUCAAAACUCAACAAUAUUUUAUUGGUUACAUACCUCAUUUGUCAAAUUAGGCUGUUGAGACAUUGGAGAUAAAGGCGUCUCACUCGAUGAUUGCGUGUAAUCCUGCAAAAAUCAGGAAGGCAUUCAGGAUUUUGUACAAGAAUUUCCAAAUAUUUUCUUAAAAAUUUUUGAGCAUAUACCUCAUUUUGUUGAGACUUUGGAGAUGCAGCUGAUUCAAUCAUUGUCUCCUGCAAAAAUCAGGAAUGCAUUCAAGAAGUACAAAAGCUUUCCAAAUAUUACUUCAAAACUCAACAAUAUUUAUUGGUUACAUACCUCAUGUGUCAAAUUAGGCUGUUGAGACAUUGGAGAUAAAGGUGUCUCACUCGAUGGUUGCGUGUGAGACAUUGGAGAUAAAGGUGUCCCACUGGAUGGUUGCGUGUGAGACAUUGGAGAUAAAGGUGUCCCACUGGAUCGCUGUUUGUCAAAUAUUAGGAAGGCAUUCAAGAAUAUGUACAAGAUCUUCCAAAAAAUACUUGAAAAUGCAAAUGUAAAAGAAGAUGUUUUGAGAAUUUACCUUUUGUGUCACGUUAGUGGGAAAAACAUUGCUGUUUCCUUCCAACUCUGACACACGAGCUCUAAGAUGUAUGUUUUCUUCUUCCAGUAAUGACAUUCGAUCCUUCAUGCUCUUCAGAUUCUCCUCCAUUACCGUGAUGAUCCUGUUCACUUUUUCAUUUACUGAAUCCUCAUCAAUCGGAGUAGAAGCUUGGCCAGUCUCCUUAUUUGCCAUCAUUUGAAUAAGAGCAUCCAAUGUGUCAAAUGUGUCUACACACCUAUUUUCCCAGUCAUCGGCUGUAAUCUUGUACCCUUUCUUUGUUACAUCUUUCACUGUUUCCAACUCGUCACUAUAUUUGUCUUCAAUGGAGAUAUCAUCUUCUGGAUCAUGAGGAAUAGAAGGUAGUAUGCAAUGGACCUUCAGCUGAGAAUAUUUCAAAAAAGACCAAUGAGAAACAUAUUAAAAAGAAGAAGCCAAAUAAACUGAGAAACAUAUACUUGGAAAAGCUUACCUUUGUAUCAGCUUCAACCUGUAAAACCCUAUCAAGUGAUGGAUUCUCUAUCUCAGUGUAUUUUUCACACAAGUAAGUCGGCCCAGGAACCUCAACUGUUGGUACACACUUACUGAACUUAUUCCUUAGCAAAGGAAUCGACUCUAGUAUCCAAAGAAGGAAUACUAGAGGAUAACCUUGCAACUCAAAUUUGGAUUUAUUCUCCAAAUGAUUCGCGACAGCGUUUUGAAUUGACUUCAGGAGCACAAUGUAAGCCUCUUUUCCCCAUGGAUAUGUCAUAUCCUGUGCAUUUUUCGCAUAUUCCAAAGGAAAACUCCCUCCUUUGCUCUUCCGCAAUAAUAUGCUCUCUACCAGGAUGAGCAUUGCGAGGCAUACUCUCUCCUCAGAAGCAUCUUCUCUUGUGUUUCUGAGCUGGUCCACCACGUCACUUAACUUAUGACUACGCCCCUUUAGCAAUUCCCAAUUAAAUCUCUCGGUUCCCUUCGUGGUCCUUCUAAUGCACCACUACAUUUCAAGCCUGUCAUCAUAUGAAAUUCUCUUAUAGAGAACCUCAUUGGCUGCGCACCGAAAUGGAACCAGGCUUCAUUCUCCUUGACAGAAACGAUGCUUCUAGUGAGAAUGGCGUAGACUAUCUUUCCUGAUAACUUCAAUCCUCUCUCACUGAGCUUCAUUAUAGGUCCCAGAAAUGAUCCCCGGACUCUCAUCAUCUCAUCUGGUUUUAGGAUGCUUUUGACAAUAGAGAUAUACUCUGAGCCGGAGUAUUGGUUGAUUGCUGACUUUUCCUUUGGCUGUGAACCAAUAGGAUACUUCAGCUCUGGCAGUGCUAGUUUUAGAGGUACUGAAUCUCCCAUCUUGUUUCUAUCCUGCGUAGACAAGAAAAAAAAAAUCCAAUUUUCAGGAAGGGUUUCCUGAAACAAUACAAAUACAAAACAACACAAAAGUCUUCAUUUGCUUCGCUUGUUAAUAAGAACGAGUAACAAACAAAUCAAAAUCAAAACGCAAGUUUCCCAAAUUUUAAUUCAAAAACCCUAAUUUUAAAAAGUUACCGAUUUUGAGAGUAGAGAGUGUGACGCUGAUGAUUAUCGAGCCGGAGAAGAUGAUUAGCGAGCCGGAGAAGACGAUUAGCGAGCCGGAGAAGAUGAUUAGCGAGCCGGAGAAGAUGAUUCCCGAGCCGGAGACGACGAUUCCCGAGUCGGAGAAGAUGAUUCCCGAGCCGGAGACGACGAUUCCCGAGUCGGAGAAGAUGAUUCCCGAGCCGGAGACGACGAUUCCCGAGUCGGAGACGACAGUGCCGGUGAGGGUUUGAAGAUUCCCGAGAGGAGACGACACGAUUCGCGAUCGAAUGAAAUGAAAUGUUUUUUUUUUAUUCUUAUAACAAAGGGUACAAAGGUAAAUUACAUCUUUAAUGAAACCUAUAUUUGUGAUUUUUGAUCCUGAGUGCUAGUUUGGGGAGGAAAACUUCAAAAGGUGCUAUUAUUGACAAUUGCCCUUUAUUUAAUAUUAUAUUUAGAUUUUUUAAAAUGAUAAUAUGUAAAAAGCGCAAUUAUGAAAGUUAUCCUUUUAAUAAAAACAUCAUCUAGUAAUAUUUGGAUUUUAAAAGCCCACAUAAAUUAAAAUUUUAGGCUCAGCCCAAAAGAAAAAGUAAAAACUAAACUAAAAUCCAAAUUCGGCCUGAUUCAAAAAAUAAUUAAAACGGGUGCAAGUGGAGUUUCGAACUAGAAUUACGGGGUGUCGGAGCAGAGAAUUUUAACCAACUGAGAUGCUAUUCCUAUUAUGGUAUACCUUACAAAUCAAAUUUUCACUAUUCUGACACACCUACCUUGAAUGUAGGUCCGUCAUUGGAUGUUCACAUUGUGACAUCGAUCGACGCCGAAGCGCGCAGAAACUCGUUUGGUCCAAGCCGACUUAAACUCUAAGUCUUCACCAAUUUACAAGAUUAUCCCUGACGAGUUUUACCCUAAAUAUAUAAGCUUGCCAACAUGUUAGAGGCAAAGUGUGCUUUCUUGUUUUACUAUUUUCACAGCAAAAGAUUUUUUAGGAUUUUUAGUAAAUUAGAGAGAAGAUCCAAAAAGAUUUGUGAUUGGCACUCCAAUGAUAUCUAUCUAUUUAUCUAUGCAGUUUUUAUACAUAAUUGCUGAAUUGCUGAGCCAUGUCUGAGUAGUUAUCUUGUUAGGUUUAGGGUUUAAAUAGGUUAUAAGGGAUUAGCCCCAACUAUAGAUUGCUAAGUUGUGAUAUUCAUCAUUAGAAUUGUCAUUAAAGCAUGUUUCUAGUUUAACUAGCUAGAACUUGAUCUAGGAGUUUGAGGUAAAGGCCAUCACUUGCAUCUCACCCUAAAUCCAUCCUAAUUGAGCUAAGAUUGCUAGAGUAUGGCGAGAGCUGAUCUAGGAAGCUUAGUGAGCGCAUUCAACCCGCGUGUUAAAGCUUGGCCAAACGCGUCGAUCGAUAUUCUAAUCGAAUAAUCGGUCGACGGUUCAACAAAUGUAUUGAUUGAUAUUCCUAUAAAAUCAUCAAUCGACACUUAUAUCUGGUCAAUAGACAAACCUAGAAAGUGAGAGCCUAUCGUUUUGUUUAUAAGUGUUGAGCUCUAUAGUAUCAUGCAUACAACUUGUUAGGCAUCUGUAGGAUUAUAAUCACGAGUACCUGAAUAAAAAUCCUAAGUCUAGCUAUUUUCAUCUAAGUCUAGCUAUUUUCAUCUAAGUACCAAAACUCCCAAUCAAUUCAAUCGAGCAACUGCCUUGCUCACAAACAUGCUUUUACAUUUAAUCAUAAUCAACAUAGCUUAAUCAUUCUGAUUAAAUUUAUUAGGUUCCCUAGCUCCCUUUCAAUUCGAUCCUUAAGUACUACAACUGAACUUCUUAUUUGAGAGAGUAAUUCACUCCUUAGGGUAAUUUGAGUGAGAUUAAAUUUGGCACCGUUGCAUGGGAGCUCUGAUCGCUUAAUAGAUUUAGUUUGAUUUCGUCUAGGUUUUUCUUAAAAACCACUCUUUGACAAAAAAAAUUUCUUUUCUUUUCAAAUGCAUGCACAUCAGUAUCAGAAGCAACAAGGAAAUUCAACUGCUAUUCUCAUCAGUUCCUACAAGUUUGGAAUGUUUGAUCCGCAAAGGAAGACGCUCCUCAUUGAUCGACAACAACACCGGUUCAUCGCUCAAUUCUUGUCAACCCAAACACCAGUCUCGUCGACCGACACUCGCUCACCACUAUCGACCGAAGCUACUUUUCCGUCGACCAAUAUCUUCCAUCCGACGUCGAUCGAUACUUCAGUCCAAAAAUCAAUCGAUAUUGAGCCGCUAGACAUGGUUGCGACUUUAAUUCUUGUACGUGAUGAGAAGGGAGAUCAGCAUGACCAGGAGGAUCAUCUGCGUAAUGCAGCAGGUCAGAUGAUAGAUGCUCAGCGGGCUGCAAUCCCUUAGUCCGAUACUGAUGCUACUGGAACUGCUCAACUUGUAGAUGAGGCUGCUCGACCCAGAACAUUGGCUGAUUACAACCGUCCCGAUCAGUUCUAUGCCAACACAUCAGCUAUUCGUCCUCUUGUUAUCCAGAGAGGAGAUUUCGAGUUGAAGCCGCAGUCCUACACACUCGUGGGACAGACACCCUACUGUGGGUUAUCUCACGGGCAUCCUAUGGACCAUCUGGAGAGGUUCGAGGAUCUUAUAUCUGCUAUUAAAGUUAAGGGAGUCUCUAAGGACUACCUAUGCUGCGUGCUCUUCAAGUACUCACGUGCUGGAGAGGCUUCACAUUGGCUUAAGUAGUUACCACCAGGAUCUCUCACAUCCUGGGCUGACAUCAAGAAUGCAUUCAUGUGUAACUUCUUUGAUGAGGCGCACACUGAAGACUUGAGGAGCAAGAUUGCUACAUUCGCGUAGGAGCCUACAUAAUCAUUAAGAAGCUCCUGGAUCAGAUUCAAGUCUUAUCAGAGAGAUUUCCCACACCAUGGAUUCAAUGAAGUGCAGUUGUUCAGUACUUUCUUAAGAGGCAUCGCGGUGCAGUAUCAAAUGGCUCUUGAUGCUUCCAGCGAUGGGAACUUCAACACUAGGAAUCCAGAAGAGGCAGUAAGAGUUAUUGAGAACUUGGCAUCCAUCAACAACUCCAAGAACACUAAUUUUGAGAGGAAGAGAUCUGCAGCCAUUCUUGGGAAUGACCAGAUGGAUGAGGUCAGGGAAAAGCUGGACAGUGUUCACAAGCUUAGCAAUUUGGCUUAGUAGAGGAGGCAGAAGCUGUAGACACAGAGAGUAGAGCAGAGGUAGAAAAAGAUGUGAACUUCAUUGGUGGAACUGGAUUUUAUAGGUCUGGAAACCAUAAUGGAAACUUCUCUGGCAGGAGAGCAAGAUUGAAGCAAUGCUUGAUAGGGUUCUUGAGGGACAAUAGAGCAUGACGGUGGACUUCAAUGGGAAGAUCGACUCUGUCUACAACACAUUGAACACAAAGUUUGAGACUUUGAGCACUCAUGUGAAGAAGCUGGAGAUGUAGGUUGUUCAGACAGGAGAAGAUGUUAAGAGGAAAGAAGCCUUAAAAAGGGGGAUAGGAGAUUAUGUGAUGAAGCACCAUGUGAAUGCCAUCAUAGGUGAUGAUUUAUGGCAAGUGAUGAAGCAUGAGAAGCUGCAAGAAGGAGAUUUUAAAGUAGAGAGUUUGAUGAUUUUCGGCGGAUCACAUUGGUGUCGAUCGACGCCCGACUUCAAACAUCAAUCGAUGAACGUCAACCAGAACCGAUCGACAUCUUCUCCAGAGCAUCGAUCGACGGUACCUGCAGAGUCGACCACAUCUUGCAAUGCCGUGAGGAUCAUGACUCACGAGGAGUUCGCAGCAAGACACCCACAUCUGGCCCAGCCCUAUUUAUGUCAGCAUCGAUCGACAAACUGACCCCACCAUCGAUCGAUAAAGAGAGACAGACCGCAAUCGAUCGACAACCUCCAGUACCCAUCGAUCGAUGCACACCUCUCACAUACAGAGUGCAACUACCAAAGAUAGACAUCGCUCGUCUCAAUGCACUCAUGCCACAACCCAAACCUCCAGAGACCACCAAUACACAUUCAGGAGAUGCAGCAGAGCCUAUGGAAGUUGAUAAGGCUCUUAUGGAGAUUAUAACCUAUGAACUUGGUUGCUAGACUAGGAUAUUGUAUAAUGUGCUUAUGAUAUUAGAACCUUAUUCCAAGUUUAAGAAUCUGUGAGUAUUCUGCUGUUUUCAAACUUCUUUUAGAGAGACUGCAUGUAUGUUUUGCUUGAGGACAAGUAAAAUGGUAAGUUUGGAGGAGUUGAUAGGCCAUGGAUUUUACCCACUUUUACCCAUGGUUUAUAAGUGUUUUAACUACUAUUUAUUAUACUCUAGAGUAAAUUUAGUAUAUUUAUAGGACCAGGAGUGAUUUGGAAGAAAGUGAUGAUUUUGAAGCAUUUUGGAGAUAUUUGGUGAAAGCAUCCGAGCUGACCAUCGAGCACGACCAUCGGUCGACAUUGAAGAGAAAUAAUCGAUCGAUGUUCAAUCGUGACAUCGAUCGGCGGCGAAGCGCGCAGAAGCCCGUUUGGUCCAAGCCGACUUAAAGCACAAGUCUUCACCAAUUUACAAGAUUACCCCGACGAGUUUUACCCUAAUUAUAUAAGUUGGCCAACAUGUUAGAGGCAAAGUGUGUUUUCUUGUUUUACUAUUGUCACAACAAAAGGUUUUCUAUGAUUUUAGUAGAUUGGAGAGAAGAUCCAAAGAGAUUUGUGAUAGGAACUCCAUUUAUAUCUAUCUAUUUAUAUAUGCAGUUUUUACACCACACCUAAUUGAUGUUAUGAAUUGCUUAGCCAUGUCUGAGUAGUUCUCUUGUUAGGUAUAGGGUUUAAAUAGGUUAUGAGGGAUUAGCUCCAGUUAUAGAUUGCUAAGUUGUGAUAUUCAUCAUUAGGAUUGUCAUUAAAGCUUGUUUCUAGUUUAGCUAACUACAACUUGAUCUAUGAGUUUGAGGUAAAGGUCAUUACUUGCAUCUCACCCUGAAUCCAUCGUAAUUGAGCCAAGAUUGCUAGAGUAAGGCGAGAGCUGAUCUAGGAAGCUUAGUGAGCACAUUCAACCCUCGCGUUAAAGCUUGGCCAAACGCAUCGAUCGAUAUCUAAUCGAAUAAUCGGUCGACGGUUCAACAAGUGUAUCGAUCGAUACUCAUAUAGAAUCAUCGACAACACUUAUAUCUGGUCAAUAGACAAACCUAGAAAGCGAGAGCCUAUCAGUUUGUUUAUAAGUGUUGAGCUCUAUAGUAUCAUGGAUACAACUUGUUAGGCAUCUGUAGGAUUAUAAUUUUGACUACCUGAAUAAAAACCCUAAGUCUAGCUAUUUUCAUCUAAGUACCAAAACCCCCAAUCAAAUCAAUCGACCAACUGCCAUGCUUACAAAUAUGCUUUUACAUUUAAUCAUAAUCAAUCUAGCUUAAUCAUUCUGAUUAGAUUUAUUAGGUUCCCUAGCUCCCUUUCAAUUCGAUCCUUAUGUACUACAACUGAACCUCUUAUUUGAGAGAGUAAUUCACUCCUUAGAGUAAUUUUAGUGAGAUCACAAACGUGAGACUAUGGUCACGGGUUCAUUGUCAUGGAGAAAGGUACAAUCUUAAAACAAGCAACAUAGCUGAAUCUAUUAACUCCGCAUUGAAGCUAGCAAGAGGACUUCCCAUAUAAUUCCUUUUGGAGUUCAUAAGGGAGAAGCUGGGAAGAUGGUAUUGGAAAAGGCGAGAAGAUGUUUUGAAUCUUACAACUCAACAUAGUCGGGGAAUUGAAUACUUAUUGGCGAUCCGUUUAGAGAUAGCAGAUAAGAUGAGUGUCCAACCAAUUGAUGGAUGGCGACUCUUUGUAACAUGUGGAAGACGGGACUGUGUUGUUGAUUUGGAACAUGUCAAGUGUGAUUGUGGUGUCUAUGGAAUCGAGAAAAUAUGUUACUCACAUGCUAUAGCAGCUGGAUCAUUUGGUUAUUUUGAAUAUCACCACACUUGUGUCCCCGCUAUAUGAUAGACCAUAUAUUUUACCCAUUUUUAAUCAUGGUCUAUAAGUGUUUAAAGUGUUUUAAGAUACAAUUAUUAUGUUUUGGAGUCUAUUUAGAGUAUUUACUGGAUCAGGAACGUUUAUGAGAAAUUUGGUGAUUUUGGAGUCUUUUGGAGCCUUUGGAGGUGCAGAGUUGCACAGACGCGUCCGAUGUUUAGCUAUGGAUUGAGACCUUCCGACUGUUAGCUUGAGCCCAUAUUUGGACACAAGAUAUAGCUUUGAGUUAGCUUUCCAAUGCCACCGGUCUCAGGUCAAUCAGCAUCCUGUAGCAGAAGUUAUGCCCGUUUUACUGAAGAGUGGUCAGUCUGCCUCGCGAGAGGAAGCUGCCGAGAAGAGAAAGCCACGUCGAUCGAUGCAGCACUCUGCACGUUGAUCGAUGGAGAUCCCAGAUCGUGGGCCUUGUAUAUUUUAUGACUGCGUGACCCAGAAGCCAAAAAUUACCAAAAUGCCCUUGGACGACCAGAAACCCUAUUUAUGUCAUUUCUAAGCCAUUGUUGACGGCUACGGUUCGCAAGACUUCUUUACACUUUCAUUUUCAUUGUUUCUCUGAGAGGAGAGAAGGGAGGAACUCCUAUCAGAGUCCUCUUGGAAGUCCUUUGGUUUUAUUGAUCUAUUUCAUUUCAGUUUUAUAUCUAUUCAUCUAUGAUUUCUAUUUUCAUGUCUGAGUAGAUCCACCUGUUAGAUCCAGGGUUCAGAUAGGUUUGCGGGAUUAGCCCCAAACUAUAGAUCUGCCUUGUUGUGAUAUUCAUGAUAGAUCUAUACUUAUUGCUUGUUCUAGAGUAAUUAACUAGAAUAUUGAUCAUAUGAUUGCAUACACAAGCAUCCUUGUUAUCCCAUCCUGACAUCUAUCUAUCAUAUUAGGAUUGCUAGAGAGGGCUAACCGCCAAUUUAGCAUCCUAAUAGGGAAAAUCAUCAUCGCACAUAGGCCUGGAUAGAACCCGUCGACGUAGGUAAAGGUGUAUCAGUCGACGUCCGAAUAGGACCAUCGAUCGACACUCUUUCGUUGUCAACAUACUAACCGUUGAGAUACGAGAUCUAGCGAGUUAACCAGUGAAACAUGCGACAGCUGAUCACUGAGUUAAGCGGUUGAGCUCUAACAUAUCAUGCAUGCAACAAAUAGAUACCUAUAGGAAUUAUAAUCUCCAACACCUGAAUAGAAACCCUAGAUCUAGCAACCAUCCUUCCAUCGAACAACUCUUGCCAAGCUGAACAAUUGACUUGUUCAACUUGUUUACUGCUUUGUUUAUUUAAUUGCUAUUUUAUAAUCUAUUAGCCUAGUUUAUUAUAACUUGUUUAGAUCUAAUCGGUUCCCUAGCUCCUUUUGGAUUCGAUCCCUAAGUACUAUAACUCGACCUCUUUUGAUGAGAGUAACACUCUUUAGGGUAAUUUGAGUGAUAUCAAAUUUGGCACCGUUGCCGGGGAGCUUUGAUCGCCAUUAGAUCAGUUAGAUUUCAGGUACAUACAUAUCAGUACCAGAGCAAUGAAGAGAGGAUUUCUAGGUCCUUCAAUUAAGAAGCCUGCUGGUCUAUGCACGAUCCAUAAGUCUAAGAGAGAAGCAUCGAUCGACACCUUCCAAGCAGCAUCGAUCGACAGCAUACACCAUCAAUCGAUCGACACCAUUCAUCCGACGUCGAUCGACAAACGACAAGCAGCGGUGAUCGACAAAGCCAACAAAUCGUCAAACAACAUUGUUCACCGAGGUACUAUUCAUCGAGGUACUGUUUAUCAUAAUACUAUUCAUUCUAGUACUAUUCAUCGCGAUACUAUUCAGCACGACAUUGUUCACCUACCGUCGAUCGACACUAUUCAAAUUCCGUCGAUCGCCACUAUUCAUGACUCGUCGAUCGACACUGUUCAUCCCGUGUCGGUCGACACUAUUCAUAUCCCGUCGAUCGACACUGUUCAUUCCGUAUCUGUCGACACUAUUCAUCUUCCGUCUAUCGACACUGUUCAUAUUCUGUCACUCGACACUGUUCACACGAACACUGUUCAUCCGAACACUGUUCACCGUGAUACUGUUCAUCCGAACACUGUUUAUCCCGUGUGGGUCGACACUAUUCAUCUUCCGUCGAUCGACACUGUUCAUAUUCCAUCGCUCGACACUGUUCACCCGAACACUGUUCAUCGCGAUACUGUUCAUCCGAACAAUGUUCAUCGAAACACUAUUCAUCGCGACACUGUUACUCCAAUGACGAACACCACUUACGGAGAGACAGAGAAGGUCGAAGCGCUCAUACUUAAGAUCGACAAGAAAGGUAUUUGGCGAGACGAAGAAGGUCGCCCUUGCAGCCGCACAGGACGAUUGAUUAAUGCAGAGGGUAAUGAAAUCCCUGAUGUAAUUGCUGUUGCUGAGAUGAAUACCUUUGAUCUGACAAGCCAAUGGUAUAAUUGGGGAAGUGAGGAUCUUUUCCGAGGUCUUCCUCAUGAAAAUCCCAGAAACCACAUCGAAGAGCUUGAGGGUCUAGUUUCAAGGCGUAAGCAGAAACAAAUAUCCGAAGACCUCAUACUCUGCAAGAUUUUCCCUUAUGCUAUCUCUGGAGAUGCUUUUAGUUGGUUCAGUAAGCUGCAGCCAAGAUUUCUAACCUGUUGGGAAGACAUCAAAGGCGCCUUCCUAGGUAAAUUUUUUAGCGAAGCUGUAGCAACUCGUAGUAGAAGGUUUGAUUACAUGGUGGACAAGAUGAUUGAAGAUCACGAAAAAGGAAUAAUCACUAGUCUUAGUCAGAUUAGUAUUAGUCAGAUUAUGGAUUUUGCCUAUAGCGAGCAGGAUGAAGAUAUUGGAAUCCCGACCACUCAUGUCAAGCAGCCAGACAUUCAGGUUCACCAUGCAGAUGAGAGUAAGCAGAAGGAUGAACUGAACAGAGAAAAGCUGGUCAACCAUGAUACAGUUAAGGAUGAUGAAUAUCAUGUAUCAGGAGAGCAGAGCAAAGUAGAAGAAGCUGAUACAAAAGAUCCGACUUCAGCAUCGAUUGACAGUAGUAACUCAAAAUCGAUCGAUAUCCGCACUUCAAAAACGAUCGGUACAGAUAUUUUUCAUCGAUAGAUACCUUCUACAAUCUCUGAUGCUACCAUUAUGUAUGUUAGGACUAGACGACCGAAGGAAAUUAGAGACUAUAACAGUCCUGAGAACGCCUAUGCUAAAAGGUAUGCAUUGCAUCGUUCAUCACUUCAGAAUACUGUCCUUGAGCUGCACCCUGCAUAUAUCUCUCUUGUGGGUCAGCAUUCUUUCCACGGUUUUCCUCAUGAAGAUCCCACUGGCCACCUAGAGACAUUUGUAGAUCUGGCAUCGACCAUCAAAUGCAAUGGAGUCUCUGAAGACUACUAUUUAUGCAAAUUAUUCUCAUACUCUCUUGCUGGAGAAGCAGCAUAUUGGUUUAGGAAGUUGCCACUAGGAUCUCUCACUACCUGGAAUGACAUCAGAUACGCCUUCCUCAACAAAUUUCUCUAUGAUGCUGCAGCAAAUCUAGAGAUUGAGAUAAGGUCUACGCUGGAAUAUAUGGUGGAGGAUGUUGGGGUCAAAAACGGUUACGACGGAAUUACCACCCGAAAAUCCUCGGAGAUCGUAUUUCCGAAAGAGUUAGUAAAAGAAGGGAUGUAAUUUCGUCAAAAUAACCUAUACGAGGUUUUUACGAAGAAGUAUCCUUGGGAUUCAAACCGAACAAACCAACCCGAGCCAAGCUCGGUCGCUACAUAGCGACCGAGCUCGAGCCAAAGCUCGGUCGCUACGAAGCGAACGAGCGAUCGUCCCGCUCGACCGAGCUCGAGCAAAGCUCGGUCGCUACGUAGCGACCGAGCGUCGUCCCGCUCGGUCGCUACGUAGCGACCGAGCUCAGCCAAGCUCGGUCGCUACGUAGCGACCGAGCGAUCGUCCGCUCGGUCGCUACGUAGCGACCGAGCUCGAGCCAAGCUCGGUCGCUACGUAGCGACCGAGCGAUCGUCCCGCUCGGUCGCUACGUAGCGACCGAGCUCAGCCGAAUCGGUCGCUACGUAGCGACCGAGCGAUCGUCCCGCUCGGUCGCUACGUAGCGACCGAGCUCAGCCAAGCUCGGUCGCUACGUAGCGACCGAGCGAUCGUCCCGCUCGGUCGCUACGUAGCGACCGAGCUCGAGCCAAAGCUCGGUCGCUACGUAGCGACCGAGCGAUCGUCCCGCUCGGUCGCUACGUAGCGACCGAGCUCGAGCCAAAGCUCGGUCGCUACGUAGCGACCGAGCGAUCGGGCCGGACGAGCGACCUCGAGCCAAAGUUCGGUCGCUACGUAGCGACCGAGCUCAUCUCGCUCGGUCGCUACGUAGCGACGACGGUCGCUACGUAGCGACCGGGCUCGAGCCAAAGUUCGGUCGCUGUGUAGCGAUUGAACCUUUCCGAACAUCGAUACGACACCAGUCCUUGCAUUCUCGUCAAACCUUCGAAUGCUAUCUCCCGAAGACCGUAGCAAGCUCAGUCCAUGUUUCCCGCUAUUCUAAUUCAUCGAUCAAACUUCGCGGAUUAGAAACCGCGGAAAACUCGUAGUAAACGUGUCGAGUCGGAAGACGGCCCAAAGGGACCUAAAACACGACUCGAGGCCCAUCCUACGAUUUUUCCUAACCAAAAGCCCGUGAACCACAGCAUGGUUCACGCUUGGCCCACGAGGAAGGAUAAAUGUCAAGUUUCCGCGGAUAAAUACGGAAGUUUUGGAGAUAAUUGUGAAGAUCGGGAAAAACGGAAUAUCUCCAUUUUUUGCUAUGACGGCUUAAGGGCAGAAGAGUAAAAGCGUAAACCGACCUUGGAGCUAGUAUAUAAGGAGUCCUAGGCGAGGAGCAGAGGAGAACUUUUUCAGAGCAAACUUGGCACUUAGAGCGAUUUAGGCAACUUUCCGUUUUUGUUAUUUCGAGCUGCGACUCAAUUAGGUUUAGCCGUCUUAGGGUUGCUAGAACUAGGAAUCUCGCCGACAGCUCUCGAGCCCAGGCUUAUACCUUGUUGUAACGCUCAUACGCAGAUUCGGAAUAAGAUCUACUUUGCUCUCUUUUCGAUUUCUUAUCUUUAUCGUUGUUAUUCUCGUGUUCUGAUUGCUUGACGUGUGGUAAUUAACAGAUAUCCGGGUCCUCUGGGAAACUAGGGUUUUCUUAGUUUCCUUAUUUAAACGGAAAUCGACAGUGCGAAUUUCGGUUCCCACAGUUUGGCGCUAGAAGGAGGGGGACUUACGGAUCAAUCUAACCCGCAAAAGCCACACACAGUCAGACAUGUCAACCAACGACGCGGAUAACGUGCAAACUCCCCUUAACGGAGGCAGCGGCACCGAUCUCCACACUCCGGUAGCGGACGUAUCUGCGGCCAACGCGCAAGCCAACGCCGCGACGCUCGAGGAGUUUAAAAAGAUGUUCGCCACCUAUGAAAAAAGGUCGGAAGAACAGGAUAAGCUCGUGAAUACCUUGACCAAACAGGUUGAAACCUUAACGGCAAGGACCCAAGCUAUCCGUCCCCGCGGAACCACCAAAAUCCGCGGGAAGAGGCUCGACUUCGCCACCCCACUCGAUAGAGCAGGAGUCGCGCGGGAACGACCUUCCGGUCAAAACCCCAGCGAGAAAUCUCCCAUCGAAAAGGGGAACUCUGAAAGUCUUCCGCCCCCUGCAAAGGACUCGGAGGAUAACGAAGCCGAACACAUUGACCUGGAUCCUAGCGAUGUCUCCAACGACACCGACGAGGAUGUCGACAGACAUCCAAGAAGGACCAGAAGCCGAUCCGCUCGGGAAGGCUCCCCGUUCGAAAAACCAAUGACGGAAGAAGAAGAAGUCGCCUAUUGGAACGAACAAGAGGAGCUGCUAUUGGAAACGAACAAGAGGACUGGCCGGAAGGCAAACGAGCUCACUCAAGUAAGCGCCGACAGGCUCGGAAAUCCACUGACGAGACAUUGGAUAUCCGCGAUCUUCGCGACUACAUCACUAAGACUGCGGCAGAAGUGAGAGCCGUAAAGUCUCAAAUCCAUCAUGCUACUAGUGCUGCCCCCGAGAUCAUCGACUGCUGGAAGGAGCUCGAAAGACCCCCUUUACCAGCCGCAUUUCGGACAUGAGGGUGUCCGAUCCGGGAAAGAUCAAAGUACCGAAGUACGAUGGUACGGCCGAUCCGAAAGCGCACCUUCAGGCUUUCCACAUCGCGAUGGGAAAGCAAGACUGAAGGACGGCGAAAAGGAUGCCGGCUAUUGCCGCCUGUUCGUCGAAAAUCUUGAAGGAGCAGCGCUCGAAUGGUUCGCACGCCUUCGUCGCAACACCAUCGGGAGUUUCGACAGCUCGCAUCGGAAUUCCUCAACAUACUCUGUAUUCAUAGACAGGGAAACCUCCGAUGUUGAUCUCUGGAGUUCUCCCAGAGGGAAGACGAACCCCUCCGCGAGUUUAUCAGUCGUUUCAAACUGAUAAUGUCCAGGGUCAGCGGGAUAAGCGACAAAGUGGCCAUCGACGCGCUGAGAAAGACGCUCUGGUACAAGUCGAAAUUCAGAAAAUGGAUAACUCUCGACGAACCGCGAACGAUCCAGGACGCCCUCCACAAAGCAACGGACUAUAUCAUAGUGGAGGAAGAAACUAAAGUCUUAUCGCAAAAACAUAAGCUGGUAAGACCAUCCUCGAAAGACGCAGAUCCGAAGGGGAAAAAGAAGAACUCUCGUAACGACAAGUACGUCCAUCACGAGGGGGAAGAUCUCCAAGGAGCGCAUAACUAUGCGAUCAAUUCGGAUCAAGGCCGACCACCACCACGGCAACACAUGGACUCGCAAUCAAGGGUAUGACGAGAACACCUUCUGCGAGUUCCACCAAUCCCGAGGACACUCCACGACUAAUUGCAAAGUCUUAGGAGCAAGACUGGCCGCUAAGCUGCUCGCUGGAGAGCUUUCGAAGUAACUAGCGUCAAGGAUCUCAUCCUCGAUUCUGAUCGGCCUCCAAGACGGACAGAAAUCCGCCCGCUGAAAAAUCUCCUCAACGAAACCAACCUGGGGAUAAACGCGGUAGGAGGCCGGACGACAAAGGGAACGAUAACAAUCGUCGCAGAGUCAAUAUGAUCAUCGAGAGAUCUCAAUACUGCGGCGAUAACCGUGUCGGCCAUCAAGGCUUACCAACGGAAGGCAGAAUCAAGCGCAAAUUGGCCUACAUGGUCUCCUCCUCGAGACGGCCAAAGUUGCUCGAUCACUUCAUCACGAGGAAGAAGCCGGCGGUAUCGACCAACCUCACUGCGACCCGCUCGUCAUAGAUCUCGUCAUACGAGAUUUAGAAGUCGGAAAGGUACUCGUCAACGUAAUCUUCCGCGACACUCUCAAGCGGAUGAGUAUCGAACUCGGAGAGGUAAUUCCGACGCCAAAACCACUCACGGGUUUUUCAGGCGAAGUGUCGAUGACUCUCGGAUCAAUCCAAUUGCCAGUCAUGGCCAAGGAGAUCACGAAAAUCGUCGAAUUCGCGGUAGUCGACCAUCCCGCUAUCUACAACGUGAUCAUGGGAACCCAUGGCUCAACGCCAUGCAGGCAGUUCCGUCAACUUACCACCUGGGUCUCAAGUUCCCAACGCCGAGCGGAGUCGCGGCCAUCUGGGAUGCCAAAAACAGUCGCGACUAUGCUUCCUCGCGGAGCAUAAGUUAAGGCAAAUCACGGCUUCUGGGGCAGUUCCGUCAACUUACCACCUGGGUCUCAAGUUCCCAACGCCGAGCGGAGUCGCGCCAUCUGGGGAUGCCAAAAACAGUCGCGACUAUGCUUCCUCGCGGAGCAUAAGUUAAGGCAAAUCACGGCUUCUGGAAACGGCAAACGCGCGAAGAUCGAUCGAUCUUCGGCCAAAAGCGCCCCGCACAAGGACGAAGUAAAAUCGUCUGUCAACGCAAAACGCAUCGGACGUCGAAGCUCGACAUAAAUCCGAAGCCCACGCGACAACUCAACCGGAACAUCCGGAAAAAUAGCGACGACCCAGCCACAAUCGACACGGUCAAGGCGGACAUCGCGACACCAACGCCGAGUAAGAACACUCGCGGCAUGAAACAGAACUACGAGAUGGCUUGAUUCCUCGAAAGGGGUACGUAGGGUAGCUUGUCAAAAGACGAGUUCAGCGAGCCCCCCCUCUUUAAAAAGGGGGGGGGAGUGGGGUGCGUAUACUCGUAUACUUCCCACAAUCGCCAUUAUUGUAAUCAAGUUUUUAGAAACAUAAAUAUUUUUUACAAUAUACACUGUCUUUUUAUCGAAAAGCUUACGCUUCAGUUUACGCUCGUGCUGGCCUCAUCCGGCCAAAAAUCGUAAAGAUUAUCACUUUCAAACCACGCAAAAAUACACGCAUAAUCCUCGAAAAAAACUGCGAGACGUCGCAAAAAGUUAAAAUUCGAGGACAAUGCUAACAAAUUGUCAGAACGCGACCACAAAAACCCUUACACCCCCCCGUUCGUCGAUUGGCCCCGGACGACACACGCCCAGCCGUCUUAAAACAAACGCAAUCCGAUCACUCUUUUGAUCUUUAAAAACGUCCAGCACAAGGACAAAAGCGCGCUACAACAAAAAUCCAAAAUUUUGGUUUAGCACUUCCAGUGAUUCUGAGAAGAUGCUCGAUCGUACCAUACAAGUCAUAUUAGCCGAGAACAUAUCGCGGACUUUAAACCGGUGCGAGUCAGGAAGAAAUCGCAACAGGAAAAACGAUAGCCGGCUAGUCACCGCACAAACCUUAACCGAAAGUAAACCUAGGUCUUGCCCUAAACCCAACGCUCUGGUCUCAAACAUCUCAAGGCAUGAUAUCUAAAAGAUACGAGAUCAUAAACCCAUGCCUCUCCGUUCGUAUCUCAAUGUUCUCGAAAAUCGUAAAGACAGAUAAAUUUUUACGAAAAUCACGAACGAACCAACAGAUUGAACGUCUAAUUAGAACUACAUACGAGACGACAACUCGUAUUUACUUCAACCCUACUCAAGAGAAACUCGAAACAAAACAUUUAUCAUAUAAAUAAACCGCGUAAAGCGGCAAGGGAUUCAAAGCCACCAACGGCCAGUCCCGGAAAUACAAAUACGGCCAUCUAGGCCUAAACGAAAUCCCAAUUCAAAGGGCCACAUUCGCCGAAAACAAGGAUAACUGAUCCAUCCUCAUAAUCCAAAGUCAAAGUCCCCGACAACGAAGCACCAAACGCAUCCGCAGGACGAUCCACUUCCUCGCCACCAUCGUGAAAUCGAUCGGGACCUCCUCGGUAUCAGGAGGAAAACCGGAUGGAAUCACAAACCUUGAAUCCUCUCGUCGAUCGAGGGAUAAGCGCCUCCGCGUGGGCACGGUCACUCAUCCCACUCUUCAUCAAGCUCAUUUUCUCUUCAAACACAUAGUCGUCGGCUGCGUCCUCCAAAGACUCCGACCGAACCGCGGCACUCGCGAAAGUCGCCCACCGAGGUAAAGGCAUUCUUAAGAUUCCCGUACUCAACCUGGAACUGAGAUGCACGAGUCUUCAUCAUCUCGACGAUUUCUCUUUUGCCUUUCCUCUCCGCUUUACGAACAGCCCGCGCAUGAUCACGAAUAAGCUGCGCUUCUCGCUCCAGCAUCUCGCUUUGCACGCGAGCGAGAUCCCGCUCCGCUUUCUCCGCCUUGAAGCGGUAGACCAUGGCUUCUAUAUGACCCGCCUCGAUGGCCGAGCCCAGCAAGCUCAGGCCCUGCAAAAUCGAUGGGCGUGUUACAAAUCCAUACAUAGGAUAAUCCCAAAAAAAAAACUAACCCCAUUGAUGAUGCGAGAUCCUUCCGCAACGACUCUCGGCCUCCCCGAUUCUUUCGUAGGAGGAGGAGCAUCGAAACCCGAUGGCAGCCCCGCAAAGAAAUCAUCGAAAUCCGGAACGGGGGCCUCGCUCGAACCGCUUACGUCGCCAUAAGCAAGGUUCGGAUCCCAUCCUGGAAGCAUAGAGUCGUCCAUCGAAAACUCUAUGUCGCCAAGAUCGACAUCUUUUCCCUUCCAAGAGCUCGACUCCGGCACAGCUGUCGGAGCCUCGACGGGAUUCUGGUCAUCGGGUUCGGAGUCGCUUCCCGUAUCCGCGUCCAAAGCUGGACCAGGUUGCGCAAAUUUCAGUGCCUUCCGAACCCUUCUCGGCGUGAAAGAAGUCCAGAAGAAGGGACCAUUCCUGAGAAGAUCCCUCACCGCAAUAAUGUCCUCAGGGAACGGAGCAAGAGGAUUGAUGAAGGGACGAUUGUUCGGCAACCUCCGGAACAAUGGAAUGCAACUCUCUUCGACGGAUGCAGCGUCCAAACGAACAAAGAAAAAGAACUUCUUCCACAAGUUGAAGUUCGAAAUGAACUUCUUAACCACCGACAUAAAUUUCCGAGGGACAAACCUAUGCUUAUCCGUAUCCUUGACAAGUGAAGCCUCAAAAGCGCUUCAUAAUGAUCAACGAAAGGAAAGGCCAUGCUCAUAGCUUAGGAUCACGAUCCCAAUAAGGUGCUGAAUGGCAAGGGGUGUCAACUGACUUAUCGCGACUUCGAAGCGGUCCAACACUCGACGAGAAUUUCGGGUAUGGGGAACCAGAGGCGACAACGCACUAUGAACGCCUCAUAACAAGUAAAAGUAACCCUCCGGGGGGUUAUUAGCGCAUUCCCCGCGGCAGGGAACCCGGAACUCCACAACGGCCGGGAUGUGGUAGAACGACCGCAUCGUCGCGAGAAACUCGUCAGUAGUCCUGCUUGCGUCCUCUUCCUCGACUUCACGAUGGACCAGGACCGGGAAUGGCUUCUCCUUGGGAAGGAUCAACGAGCCAUAAUGAGCAACCCACCAUGCCUCGUUCUCGGCAGGAUGCACCGAGUGAGGCACGAACUCCAUCUUCGGAACGACGAGCUCUUCGUAAGGGCUCGCGGACGAAGACCCUUUUUUCGCAAUCUUUUUCUUGCUCGACAUCUUUGCACUUCUCUUGAGAGAAUAGAGGAAAAAGGGUGGAGAGAAAGAUAAGUUUGUGAAAGAUCUUAGAGAAAAACAAGAAAGUGAAAAAAUUAUGGAACAAGUUACCUCUCUUCUUAUAAGACAUGAGGAUUUACUAUUCAAGCUCAGACUUUCGGAUAUUAAUUCCACCCAUCACGCCUAACUUGCCAAACAUGCCUAACCGCACACUAGGAUCCUACGAUGCAUGAUCCUAACGGGCUGGGGGGGCUAACUGUUGGGGUCAAAAACGGUUACGACGGAAUUACCACCCGAAAAUCCUCGGAGAUCGUAUUUCCGAAAUAGUUAGUAAAAGAAGGGAUGUAAUUUCGUCAAUAAACCUAUAACGAGGUUUUUACGAAAAAGUAUCUUUGGGAUUCAAACCGAACACCAAACCCGAGCCAAGCUCGGUCGCAAAUAGCGACGAGCUCGAGCCAAAGCUCGGUCGCUACGAAGCGACCGAGCGAUCGUCCCGCUCGGGUCGCUACGUAGCGACAAGACCGAGCUCGAGCCAAAGCUCGGUCGACUACGUAGCGACCCGAGCGAUCGUCCCGCUCGGUCGCUACGUAGCGACCGAGCUCGAACCAAAGCUCGGUCGCUACGUAGCGACGAGCGAUCGUCCCGCUCGGUCGCUACGUAGCGACCGAGGCUCGAACCAAAACUCGGUCGCUACGUAGCGACCGAGCGAUCGUCCCGCUCGGUCGCUACGUAGCGACGAGCUCAAGCCAAAGUUCGGUCGCUACGUAGCGACCGAGCGCUCCUCCGCUCGGUCGCUACGUAGCGACCGGGCUCGAGCCAAAGUUCGGUCGCGGUGUAGCGAUUGAACCUUUCCGAACACGAUACGACACCAGUCCCUGCAUUCUCGUCAACCUCGAAUACUAUCUCCCGAAGACCGUAGCAAGCUCAUCUAUGUUUCCCGCUAUUCUAAUUCAUCGAUCAAACUUCGCGGAUCCAAACCCGCGGAAAACUCGUAGUAAACGUGUCGAGUCGGAAGACGGCCCAAAGGGACCUAAACACACGAGUCAAUGCCCAUCCUACGAUUUUUCCUAACCAAAACCGUGAACCACAGCAUGGUUCACGCUUGGCCCACGAGGAAGGAUAAAUGUCAAGUUCCCGGGAUAAAUACGGAAGUUUUGGAGAUAAUUGUGAGAUCGGAAAAACGGAAUAUAUCCAUUUUUUGCUAUGACGGCUUAAGGGCAGAAGAGUAAAAGCGUAAACCGAAUGGAGCUAGUAUAUAAGGAGUCCUAGGCGAGGAGCAGAGGAGAACUUUUUCAGAGCAAAUUGGCACUUAGAGCGAUUUAGGCAACUUUCCGUUUUUGUUAUUUCGAGCUGCGACUCAAUUAGGUUUAGCCGUCUUAGGGUUGCUAGAACUAGGAAUCUCGCCGACAGCUCUCGAGCCCAGGCUUAUACCUUGUUGUAACGCUCAUACGCAGAUUCGGAAUAAGAUCUACUUUGCUCUCUUUUCGAUUUCUUAUCUUUAUCGUUGUUAUUCUCGUGUUCUGAUUGCUUGACGUGUGGUAAUUAACAGAUAUCCGGGUCCUCUGGGAAACUAGGAAUUUCUUAGUUUCCUUAUUUAAACGGAAAUCGACAGUGCGAAUUUCGGUUCCCACAGAGGAUGAUGAGCAACAUGAGUCUGGAAAGCUGAGCACAGUAGAAGUAGCUGAUAUUAGUGACACGAGCUCAUCAUUGAUCGACACCCUUACCAUAACAUCGAUCGUCACCCCCACCUCAUCGUCAAUCGACCCAGUACCUCAGAAAUGAUCGACACAAACUUUUGUCAUCGAUCGAUUCCAUUUGAAAUCCCUGAAAGAUCGAGUUGUCCUCAGGACAUUGCAAACUCGACACAGGAGAGCAUCGAUGAAUCAAGCUGUGAUCUUACCUCAGAUGUCGACAAAGUCACUCUGAAAGACUUUCUGGAGUUGGAAGAAUGGCUUCAGCAGAAGCUUGAUGAUCAGCCCGCUUCGGGAAAAGGUCUGGAAAAUUCCUUAAAGGCUGACGACAUCGACCGACAUAAACCUGAUGAGAUCGAUCGACACCCACCCUAUGACAUCGAUCUACAGUCGCCGUCUAACAUCGAUCAACAUACACCCGACUGUAUCGCUCUAUACCCACCCGAUUGCAUCGAUCGACACCCAUGUUUGGAUGAACUAUCAGGAUACAUGAUUGAACCAGAACUGGUUGGAAGAAAAGAACACAUGUCUGGAGCCUCACACCUUGCUGUCCUCGAAAAUCUAAGACUACCUCUAUGCGAAGAAGAAGCUAUUGGGAUUUGCAAAAGAGUGAAGAGGAUACAUGAUCCUGUGAAGUUUGUUGUUCCAUAUGAAGUGUUUGAAGCUGAAUCUCCUAUCCCACCAGAUAAAAGUAUGGAGUUAAGUUUCUAUGUUGGAGUAUUUGAUGAUAAUAAGUACGUAGAAGCUUCUCAAAGAGGGCUGCGAUUUAGAGAUGAAGUAGAUAACUGCCAAGUAGAAGUACCAUCGAGCGACAUCAACAGAACAAAAUCGAUUGACACUAUCAUUUCAUCAUCGAUCGAUACCGGCCAGAUACCAUCGAUCGACACCAGACGCGAAUCAGAGCAGAAAGAGUAUGAAUUGUGUGGAAAUAUUUUUUAUGGAGAUACCACGACGCUUUCAGACAAGUCUGGGGGAAAGUAGUGGAGGAACUGGAAGAAGAAAAAGAGAAUCAAUGAAGGUUCUCAAUUAUCAUUGAUUCCUCACUUCUCAGAUGAUGCCAGAAAGUCCAGAGUGAGAUUACACAAGUCUGUGGGAAAGAAGGGGAGAAAUUGGAAAAAGCGGAAACGAACCAAAGGAGGUUCUCAAUUACCAUUGACUCCUUACUUUUCAGAUAGUAUCAGAAAAUCAAGAGUGCGCAGCAAAUGCUUCUCACAUCCAUAUGCAAAACUUAAAGCACUCUUUAUUGCUGAAAUGAUAGACAAAGGAGAAGGUAUAUGGAGGAGGCUUUCACACAAGAAUGAUAAAGCUUGAAAGAGUAGACAUUGAGACUUGAUUUGGAGCAAGUUCUCAUUCUCAUCCGAACUGAAUCAGAUCUCCAGAAGUCAAGCUAAUGACUAAAAAUAAGCGCUGAGUGGGAGGCAAACUACUAUUAGGUUUGUUUUAAAUAUGGUUUAAUUUUCAUUUAUUACUGAUUUUUCUUGUUUUCUAAUGAUUUCAGGUAAAAUAAAAAAUAAAAAAAUGUGUGAACAGUAACGACGGCACUGUAGCAAACACACUGUAGCAGCAACAUCGACCGACACUGUAGCAGAAAAUCGGGGGUUACUGUUCAUCGAGAAAAAAAAAAUUAUUAGUUAAUUGGUUUUAUUAGUUAUAUAUUACUAACUUUUAGACUUUUAGUGUUUUAUUUAUGUUAGGUAUGAGGAAAAAAAUCAGAGGAAGACGAGUUUCCCUAGAAAUCGACGAUGGCUAGCUAACAUCGAUUGACAGAGUAUCAAGGGUAUCGAUCACCACUUAACUGUGUUGGUCAAUGUUCACAUUAAAGGAUAAGUAUAUUGUUUUUCCUUGUUAAAUAUUGUCCUUAUGAUUUAUUCUCCCACCAAUCUUAGGUUGAAUAACAUUGGUCACAAUGUUAUUUCACUACAAGAAAACAUUUAUUUACCGACUACAAUAUCAGUAAUUAUUCAGUCGCAAAACGUAACAUAACGACUGAUUUGCGACUGAUCAACGUGGUCGCAAAUUGCUGUGUCGCUAAUACGAGGAGUCGUUAAUAAGUCACAAUUUUGCGACUGAAUUACGACUAUUUUUUCACUGUAUAUUGUAGUCGUAAAAUAGACGCAAUUAAGUCGCAAAAUAUACCGACUGAACUACUACUAUCCAAAGACCAAACUACGACUGUUUAUCAGUCGUUAUGUAGACGGGAAAUUGUAGUCGCUUAUUAGUCGUUAGAAGGGAGUCGGUAGAUAGUCGCAAAAUUAGCGACUACCCAAUGACUGAUUACGUACACCAUUAGUGACUAUAUAGCGACUGAGUUGUUGAUUUAGAUGUGUAAUAUGUGGUUAUCUAGCGACUACAUUGCGACUAAAUUUUGUGACUUAUUAGCGACUCCAAGAUUCAAAAAUCACAAAUCAGAUUUUUUUGAUUUUCUUUUUUUUUAAUUAAUUUGUUCAUUUGCAGUAAAACAAUGACAAUAAUAAAAACGAAAAUUUUAAUAUAAAACAGAGAAUUCAUAACAUAAUGUUGCAAAAGGCACUCUAAGGAGUUAAGCAUUAGCAUACAAAAUAUUAUAGUAGUACAAGAGUAGGGAACCUAAAAUUCAUCUUCAUCUUCACUUUCAUCUUCCCCUUCAUCUUCACCUUCUUCACCUUCACCUUCACCUUCACCUUCACCUUCACCUUCCACCUUCACCUUCACCUUCACCUUCACCUUCACCUUCACCUUCACCUUCACCUUCACCUUCACCUUCACCUUCACCUUCACCUUCACCUUCACCUUCACCUUCACCUUCACCUUCACCUUCACCUUCUUCACCUUCAUCAUCAUCUUCACCUUGAUUAGCAGCCAUGAAGGCCAAAAACUUUGGAUCAGUUGCAGCCAGAUACUUCUUCACCAAGGAAAAACUUUUGAGCUUUUCUGCUUGCUUGGCAGUGUAAGCCGCCUGCUUCUCAAUCUUCCGGUGAGCAUCGCUGAGCUGUUUUUUGAGGUCUACGUACGAAGAAAAGGAUUCACAACGCUUGCGCUUUCCGUUGACAAUAGUACUUUCUAGGCUUCCUAUUCCAUAGUGUCUUCCUCUUUUGUCUGUGACAGUGGACUACAAAAGCAAAGGAAGUAGACAGAUAUCAAUCAAAUCAAACAAUAUGUAGUAAAAAAUAUCCUUAAAAAAAAGGGAUACAAAAGCAAUUUACCAGAAGGAAGAGCUCAUUAUCCUGGUCUAGAGAGAGUUGUGGAGGGUGUGAAGUACCAUCUGAACUCUCUGAGUUUUCAGCUUGAAGGUCAGCCAGCUUGGCUUGCUUGUUCUUCUCAUAGGCCUCUGCAAUUAGCUUUGCUUUCUUAUCUACAAAUCUGCCUCUCUUUUUUUGGUGUGUGCCUUGAUGAAAACUUCACCAAUAGUCACUGGUCUGCCCAAUUCUUCAACCUGAAAUGCUAAAUAAAAUAAAGGUUAAUGAGCCAGAAAAAUUUCAACUUGGAGACAGGAAAAGAAGUUACCAUUUCUUGUUCGAUUUGGAGGUAAUGCUUCUGGCCAGCAUUGUGCUUGUGAGGACCAAGACCAUUUUGGUCAGACAACCGAGCAGCUGAUGUUGUCUCGCUUUUUUGUUGGGCUUUAGCAGUGUCCCAGUAAGCUGUCAUUUCUUUCCACAGAUCAUUCAAAAUCCAGGAUGGUCGAACUCGAGACUUCCUACGCUUGCUAACCAUGUCCUUCAUACGUCGCUGACAUACCUGCCCGAACUUCUCUUGAACCACACCAGUAUAUAUGGGAUUCCAAGUGUGAGUUUUCUACAAAAAUAAGACAAGGCUGAUGUUAGUAAUCAAAUAAAUCAACAGUUUAGUAGUUUAGAAGAAAAUACUAAACUGCAACUUAAAAACAGUUGCAAUCCCAUACAAUAGCAAUUAAGAAAAAAAUACUUAACUGCAAAUUCAACAAAGAAUUUUUCUUUUUUUUCCUGAUCGACGCAAGUCCAACUGUAGAAGGGACCAUCAAACUUGUUUGUAAAGACUUUAGUGAUCCUCCGAGUCAGUUUACCUUUGUCCCGACCAAACCUAGAAACACAGAAACAUUAGUAUAAGGCCGAGAGUCAUAUCGUAUAAAAACAAUUAUCAAUCAUAGAAAACUCAAAAUAUUCUAACAUCUCAAAGCUAAACAAUUUCGAACUCUCCAAACAAAAUUAGCAAAAUACAAUUACCAAUGACAAACAAUAUCAUAAGCAAACUGGAUAUGUCCCUUGAGUAUUUCACAGAAACAAUUAUCAAUCACAGACACAAUCUCAUAAGCUUAAAAUAUUCAGAUAGAUAAGUAACUAACCACAUGGUUCCAGGCUCGAAGGUGGGAGAAAGGCUCAUGGUGUAGCGCUCUCGGCCGGGCUGGGAGAGAAGGGCGUUGAGAAGCCUCAUCUGGUCUUCAGACAGAUUCGGUUCUACUGGAAAUGGUGAGUUGGGGACUGGUUCAUCCUCAUCUGGACCUUCUGGAGCUUCAGUAUUCUGUGAGUUUUGAGCUUCAGAACUGAUAGGAGAUUGUCGCCUAAUAGAGACCGUAGGUUGUCGAGGUCGAACAUUGGCUGAUGUUUGAGACCCUCGAGGUUGUGGUGGUGGAGCUGGUUGAGAAAGAGGCGUUGAAGCAGCUCGAGGUUGGGUCCUCGGCGUAGACUCCUCGAACAGCUGUCUCUGAGGUGGGUAGUCACUCACCAUUGGUCCAGCUCUGCGGUUGCCACGAGGUGGAGGCUCUGUUGUCCUUGGAGUGAACUCAUACUGCGACGGUAGAGGAGAUGGUUUAGACCGUUUUGAGGGUUUCCGAACCUUCUUCGUUGAUGUUCCGGCCAUCGUCUUCAGUUUCGAGAGAGAGCGAUUAGGGAUUACGACAGACAGUUUCGAUUAGGGUUCUAAGUGUUUGGGGAUUUUCGAGAGAGAUUUGUGUCGCUAGAGUAGAGAAAGAGUGAUUUUAUUAACUUUGGUCUUUGGGUUUGUAGAGUUAAUUGGGCUUAAGCGGGGAAUGAAAUUUAUGGGAGGGAAAUUAUUGGGACUAAAGGGAGGAAUUAUUUAGUUGAUAGGAGGGAAACUAAAUUAGCAAAUUUUGUGGACUUUAGGGGUUAGGGAUGGGUUACGAAGGUUUAGUGUGUUGGGGGUUAGGGAUUUUCUUAUAAUGAAACAAAAUGAAAUCAUAAAGUACUUUUAUAAUAUAGUUUAAACACACAGUUUACAAAAAUAUAUUUCAAUACACAUUAAAACAAAAUUUACAAAAUACUAGGUUAAGACCCGCCCCUUGGGCGGGAUGAAUAUUAUAUAUAAAUUAUUUUGAAGUAUUAUAUAUUUUUUACAUAUUAUGAAAUAAUAAAUAUAUAUUGAAUAAUAAAAAAUUUAGUAACUAUUACGUAUGUAAUUAAAUUGGUACAAAUACUUAAAUAAAUUUUAUUAAUCGAGACAAAUACUUUUUCUAUUUUAUAUGUUAUAAAAUUAAGUUUACAUGAUAUUAACAUAGAUAUAAAGUACAUUUUUAAUAUUGACAUCUGCUAAAAAAUAUUUUAUACUCUUAUUAUUUUGAUCGUUUGUAUUUCUUUAUAACAAAUUUUUUAAAUAAAAGAUAACAAUAAAAAAAUUAUGGGAUGUUUAAUAGUUUUAGUAAUUUAUAAUUUUAAAAAUAUUCAAUGCAAAGUUUAAAAUCUAAAUAUUAAGUUGUCAAUAAUUGUUCAAAAUGUUUAUCAAAAACAUUCAAUGCAAAUUCGAAAUUAAAAUACUUAUGUAUUUUAUAUUUUAUAUGGUAUAUAAUGUAUUUUAAAAAAUAUUAAUAUACAUAUAUAUAAUAUUUAUUAAAUGAGACUUCCUACUUCUGUAAUUUCAUAAUCAUUUGUAUCUUGUUAUAACAUAAAGUUUAGACCAUGGAUCACAAAAGUUUCAAUGUGAGAUUUUUAACAACUUUAGUCAUUUAUAUUCGUUUUUAAAAAUUUUAAAUAUAGCAUAUACGAAAAAAUCUAAGUUAACAUGGUUGUUCAAUUUAUUUUAAUUAGUUAAAUUUUUUAAAAUGAUAGAAUAGAGUAAUUUUUAUCAAAUAUUUUAUUAUUCAAAAUCAUUAAUUGUCAUAUAUAAUUUAGCCACAUUAGGUAAUUCCGUGAUUUUUAUUUAAGGAAACAAUGAAGAACAUUUAUGAUUAGUUUAUGGUUAGUUUAAUAAAAAGUUUAUUAUACAUUUAUAUGGACCAACAUAUUUUUCUAAGGAUUCUAAGAAUGAUUGUGGUGAUGACAUGUGGCUACAAAAAUAUGUUGUGAUGCUUCUCUUUUAAUAUAUAGGGGAUAUUACAACACACUAAAACAAAGCUCACAAAUUUAUAUUACAAUACACAUUAAAACAAAUUUUACACAAUUAUAUCACAGUACACACUAAACAAAAGUUUAAAACAAAGUUUACAAAAUUAUAUUACAAACACACAUUAAAACAAAGUUUAUAAAAUCAUACUACAUUUUAAUAGGGUUCUUCUCCAUCUCCAUCAUCAGAAGAAGACGAUGAUACAUUACAUUGGAAUUCAUCCUCUGGUUCAACAUCUUCCACAUCAAUAUCAAGAUUUAUAGGUUGUACCCGAGCAUGAACCAAAUCGUCGACUGCAAGUUCUUCAAUUGUAGUCAUUAAAACAGCAUCAUCAUUUUCUUGUUGCAACAGUGUCGGUUCUUUAUCUUCAUAUUCUCCUGAAAUGAUUCUCCUUGGAUUCACUUUUAAAACAUUGAGCCACGACUGCUUUGGUUUCUUAACGUACGGAUACGGGAUAUAACAAACUUGAUCUGCUUGAGACGCUGUGCAAUAUCAAAUAAUAAGAAUAUAAUUAAAUUAACUAUCAAAUUAUAAAAAUUUAAUUACAACAUAAAAUACGUACCUAGAAUAAGUGGUUCGUAUUUAUAGUAUUUCCGCGAUGAAAGAACGUCGACGAUGCCUCCAUUUCUCCGUUGAGUGCCUCUACCAAUUACCGGAUCAUACCACUUACACUUAAAAAGUGUGAUUUUCAAAUUGACCGAUCCCUCAUACUGAAUUUGUAUGAUAUCAGUCAAUAUCCCGUAGUAAUUGGCUUCAUCGGAUGCAUUUGUGUAACUUUCUCCUUUAACACUCACACCAUAAUUACAUGUCUUUCUUCCCUCGCCAUGCUUCUGCGUAUGGAACAAAUAGCCUUUUGUGAAGUACAUGGGCCAUGUUCUGGUCCUAGUCAGGGGUCCAUUCGAAAUAUCUUUAACCCACACAGGAAAAUUAUAUGUGUUGCUCCAAUAGCUAACCUGCAACAUAUAUAUAUAUAUAUAUAAUUAUAAUAUAUAUAUAAUUAUAAACAUUUAGUUAUAUAAUGGUAUGUUAGUCAAACGUACAUAAUCUUUCACCCAUAAAUGAUAUUCGUCAGCUCUCUUCGCAGAGAGGUCUUUUUCGGAGAGGUCUGGUAUUUUGCACUAAGAAAAUCUUCAAACAUCCUAUAUUAGCCAAACACAAAUUAAUAUGGGCAACUAUAGUUGGAUAAAUCAAUAUGGAAGAUGAUAAUAUUAUCAAAUUAUACCUCUCAGGUGGCUGAAAAUAAUCACAAUUGCGUAAAACAUAUGCAUGUGCGCAUCUAUAGUCUUUCUCGGAAAGCCAUAUUUCUUGCAUUUCUCCACUUGGACGUCCUACGUGCGUAAAUAUAUCAGGUACUCCAGGGACAUGAUAUACGGGGACUUCACCUUCAUCAAAUCUUGUGAACCUGCACAAAGGAUUAUGAAAUUAAUAAAUAUUAUAUAUAACAAAGGCAUUUUUAAACACAUUAAAAUUAAAUAUGAGGAAUAAUGAUAGUGUUUACCUUGAUUUGGUUUGUAUAUGAUCAGAAAAGUAGUGUUCUGAGAAGUAAGCUAUCUCCUCGUUGAUAUAUGAUUCGACAAUCGAGCCGGCCGCAAAUCUUUUGUUCUUGGCUUUUGCUUUCAAUUUUUUGAAAUUCCUUUCAAAAACAUACAUCCACCUAUAUUGCACAGGUCCUCCUAGUUCAGCUUCGUAUGGGAGAUGUAUAGGCAGGUGUUGCAUGACGUCAAAAAAUGAUGGUGGAUCUUCUCCAAAUUGCAGAUGAUCAUAACAAUGUUUUCUUUAAGAAUUUGGACAUGAUUUUUCUGCAAAGUUCUCGAGCAAAGGUCACGGAAAAAUCCUCCAACAGCUACAAUAUUCAAAAUUAGGGAUGUCAAAGGAACCUGUGGCCCGCGGGAUAGGCCCGUUUAGACCUGUGGCGGGGCGGGCUUGGGCCCGUGAUUUCACGUCCCGCAAAGAAGCGGGCCUCGCGGGAGAGGCUUGUCGCGGAACCGGACCCAAAGCGGGCAAGCCCACAGUGACCCGCGGGUUUCUCCAUGUCCCGCAACCCUAAUCUUUAUUCUUGUCAUUUGCUCUUCACCUGAAAAAAAACGCGAGAGAGAUAGAGUGAAAGGCGAUGUGGUUGCGACUUCCACCGUGGAAAGAAACAGAGCUCCACCGAUGACGACGGCGGUUCGCUCUCCCGACACUGCUUCUGCUCACUACUUCGUCUUCGAACUGCAGUCUGCAGCAGAGGAGCUAAAACGACAAGGGUCCGACAAAGUAGAUUCUUAUUCUCCGAUGUGUCUUCCGUUCUUCCCUACGAGCUUCCAAACUCCACAGAUAGGACAUGCAUGUACAGAGUUAUGUAUUUCAGACAAAAAAUUGAAGUUCUUUUGGACUUAUAAUCUCUGCUUUAACUCUUGUUUUUUUUUUCAGGUUGUUAGAUAAGAAGACCAACAAGAUCCGAAAGGUAGUGAUCUAGCUUAGCGAUCUAUAGUUUGUGUUAUGUCUUAUCUAGAUUAGCGAUCCAUGUAAACAAAUUGAACAACAAGAUCUGUAAGCGUUCUGUUAGAUCCGUCUAUUAAAAAGACCAAUAAGCGUCUGUUGGUUUCAUCGUUUGUUUGUAUAUUUGUGUUCUGUCUUUGAUUCGUUGUAGCUUUGCUUUCAGGUAACAACAGUGUUGAUCGACAAUGCUUAUUGUCUGAGGUAACCUUGCUUUUAUUUAGUGAUAAAAAUUCUAUAUAAUAGAACAAAAAUAACUUGUGUUCAGUAUCUGAUAUGUUUGUUUGUCGCGUUGUAUUUGUUUUGUGUUCUGUGUUGAGGUGAUGGAGUGAUGGUGAGAAAGUAGGCGACUUGGUCAUCUUCUUCUCCUCUUAGACAGCUUCAGAACAUCAGGUUAGUCACUCUCUUACCCAGAACUAUUAAUCAGUGAUAGGAGAACUCGCUAUCUCAUUGUGUUGUGUUGACUAGUUCGGCGAAUCUUAUUGUCUUGUGUUGAGUAGUGAUAUGUCUCAUCUUUUGUUCUUUUGUACAUACAGAGAAGAGAUCAAGCGGAGUAGUAGAUUGCGUGCUUCAAUUUUUCAUGUUCAUCAACGACUUCACCAAGACGGUUGCUGGCGACAAAGGAGAUUGCGUGCCAAGGUUUGUGUCCUGAACUGUCUUUUUUUUUUUUUUUUUUUCUAUAAACUGAAUGAACUGUCUUUUCUAUGAACUGAACAAUGUUUGUGUGCCAAUGUUCAUUCAGUAUCUGAUAUGUUUGUUCAGUAUCGUUUGUUUCAUCACGUGUAGUUAUUUUUUUUUUUGUGUUCUAUGAACUGAAUGAACUGUCUUUUUUUUUUUGUUUGUGUCCUGUGAUGAGAACAAUGAAGGAUUGCACGAGUACAUACACCACCUGGUCGAGUAGUUUCCAGCUUCAGCCGAUAUAGGAGCUUUAAGGACCUCAGGUUAGAAAGCUCUUAAACGUAUGAAACUUAGAUGGCUUUGCGUAGGUUAUCGGAUCACUGACUUGUUUAGGUUGCUUUCGUAUAUGAUAGAACAUUAACUUGUUUAGAUGGCUUUGCGUAGGUUAUCGGAUCACUUGCUGUUUAUGUUGCUUUGCUUGUUUACGUUGCUUUGCUUGAUUACUUGUGUUUGUGUACUUGUAUAAUAAAAUUUGGAAUUUUGAAAAUCAACAAUUAUAACAGAUUUUAAAAAAUAUAUUAAGAAAUUUUUUAAAAAAUAGACAAAAUUUAGGAAACCCUAAAAAGUUAAUUUCAUUCCACGGCGUGAAAAAAAAAACACAAAACUUGAGAGUUGAGAGCGAGAGAGACCAUGGGAUCAAGGAGCCAGCCCGAAGAUCAGUCGACGUUUGAUCCGAAUUACACCCCGCCAAAUACUGUGGACUUUGCAACUCAGGCAGUCUUAGCUACUCUUGCUGCAGCAGCUGAGGCUGGUGAUCAGAUCGCUUCUCAGGAAGCUGGUGUAACUCGUGCUGAUGGGAAGCAUCAAGGAAGCAGAAAAAGGCUUAUCAGUCUUGUUGAUGAUACUGAUGAUUCUGAUGUUGAAAUCAGUCAACCAACCCAAAAAACCAAGCCUCGCAGACAGACCAGUUUCAGAACAGCCACGGGGAAACCCAUGUUGCAAUCAACUAUCGAUGGUGGCGUUGGCUCGUCUGCACAGGCGUGUAGUAAGGGGAAGUCUGUUCCUAUGAAGUCUGUGAUUCGUGGAGGGAGAAGAAAGUCGCCUACUAAGUCCAAAAAGAAGAAGGUUUCGCCUACUCAGUCGCAAAAGAAGAAGGAGAAGGUCGCAGAGGACAUACCCGAGCUUGGUGAUGAACUGGAUGAAGAAGAGUUUGAUGAGGAUGAAAUCGGUGAAGAGGAAAGGGAAGAGAGGCAAAAAUCAGAUGUCUGGAAAGAUUUCAAGGUGGUCGAAAAACCGAAUGGAAAGUUGAAAGCUGCAUGCAAUCAUUGCAAACAUGAGUAUGCAUGGCAAUCUCAUUCGCAUGGAACCAGUGGGUUGCGAAGACAUCGGGAGAGAUGUAAAAUGUAUCCAAGGAAUCGAGGAAGGCAGCAACAACUCAAUAUCGAAGGGAAAGUGGUAUCUCGCAAGUAUGAUCAUACUGUGUUUAGGCAGAUGGUAGCUAAGACAAUAGUCCAGCAUGAUCUACCUUACUCGUACGUGGAGUAUGAAAGAGUGAGAGACACGUGGAAGUAUUUGAAUGCUGAUGUCCAAACCAUUUGUCGAAACACAGCGAGAGCAGAUGUGUAUAGACUCUAUGAAAGCGAGAGAGACACACUCAAGAGGGAAUUAGCGACUCUCCCUGGACGAGUCUCCUUCACGUCUGACUUGUGGACAUCCGUGAAACGGGAAGGAUACAUGUGUGUGACAGCACAUUACAUUGAUCGGAAUUGGAAGUUGAACAGCAAGAUCCUGACGUUUUGUGCUCUACCACCACCACAUACCGGUAUGAGUAUUGCGGUUCAACUCCUCACGUCACUGAAAGAGUGGGGAAUUGAUAAGAAGGUGUUCUCAGUCACAUUAGAUAAUGCUACAAGUAAUGACUCCAUGCAGGACAUUGUGAAGUCGCAGCUGAAUUUGAAUGAUGAUUUGUUGUGUGGAGGAGAGUUUUUUCAUGUAAGAUGUGCAGCUCACAUACUUAAUCUCAUAGUGCAAGAUGGGUUGAAGGUUAUUGGAGACUCUUUGCAGAAAGUAAGAGAGAGUGUUAAGUAUGUAUUAGGAUCGGAAAGCCGUGAACAAUUGUUCCAAAAAUGUGUGGAUGCUGCGGGUGUAGUAGAAAGUGGGUGGCUGAUACUGGACGUGUCAACGAGAUGGAACUCAACUUACUAUAUGCUUGAAAGAGCCCUCAAGUACCGUAAAGCAUUUGUUAAGUUGGAGACAUUUGAUAAGAAGGGUUAUAAAACAGCGCCCACAGAUGAGGAAUGGACUAGAGCCGCUAAUAUCUGCGAUUUUUUGGGUCCUUUUGCUGUGAUCACAAGCUUGAUGUCUGGUUCGAAUUACCCGACUGCAAACCUGUAUUUCUAUCAGGUUUGGUUGAUCCAUGAUUGGCUUCGGGGAAACGAGGAAAGCGCAGAUGAGAUUGUCAGAUACAUGGUGCGACCGAUGAAGGAGAAGUUUGACAAAUAUUGGGAUGAAGUUAGUGGUGUUUUUGCAAUGGCAGCAGUCUUUGAUCCACAGUUUAAGCUUUCAAUUGUUGAAUGUUGUUUAGGGAAGCUUGACAUAAGUACACGUGAUGCAAAGGUGAAGAACUUGCGUGACAAGCUCAGUAUUCUGUUUGAGACAUACGACAAAAACUCCAAGAAUAACUCACCUUCCACUGAGCCACGUGACACUGUUCCGCAAAAAGCUUGUGCGGCAGGAUCAAUGGGACUGUUUGGGAACUACAAUGUGAGUGUUUUCAAUUUUUUUCCUUCUGUUUAUUUUUUUUUACACAAGCAUUUUUUUCACGAGUAGAAGUGUGUGUAUAUUUCACAAGCAUUUUUUUUUUUCUGUUCAAUUUUUUUCCUUCUGUCGUCAGCCUCCAAUUUUUUUUUCCUCUCUGAUAUUUUUUUUUUAAACUUUCUUAGGAUUUCUUUGCAUUUCGCAAAGUCAGUGGAAUUGUUAGUGGAAAGACACCUCUAGAAGCUUAUCUUGAAGAACCACCUUUGGACAUUACUAAUUUCCAGAGCUUGGACAUCCUCGAUUGGUGGAAAGAUAAUGCGCAUCGGUAUGGUGACUUGGCUGCAAUGGCAUGUGAUCUGCUAAGUAUUCCAAUCACAACAGUGGCUUCGGAGUCCUCCUUCAGUAUUGGAUCGCGAGUUCUAAACAAAUAUAGGAGUCGUCUACUCCCAGAAAAUGUGCAAGCUCUGAUAUGCACUAGGAAUUGGAUCAAAGGAUAUGAAUCUUACGCACAUGGUAAAUAACUCACAUUAUAAUUUUAGUAAGAGUAACAUUAUUGACUUGUACACUGAUAUUUGUAGAUGAAGAAAUCGAUGGUGAUGGAGAAGAAGAGAAAUUACCAACAUUUGAGUCCAUUGUUGAUGGGGAAGAUGAAGAUGAGUAGAUGAGCAAGUUUGAAAUGUUAUCUUGAUUUGGUGUUUUGCUUCAAUUACAAUUUCUGUUUUUUUGUUUAAGUUGCAUGAUUUUUGGUUUUGAAUACUAUGAUUUGGACCAUUUGGUGUUUCUCUAAAUUUUACUUUAGUUGAGACUUAAUUUUUUAUACUCACGAUCAAACAACAAACUAUAGUUCUUCAAAACUAUAUUUAAGUAACAAAUACUCUGUAUUCCAAUCAACUAAGUUUAAGCUGUAUCAUUUCGUAAUAUAUAAAACUAUAUAUACAAUUAGCUAAGUUUGAAGCAUAUCCAUCUGGGAAUUUAACCGCAUGUUUCAAACAUUCCAAUCAACUUCUCCUUUCGUCUUCGUUUAGUGUGUAGGGAGGAAAUGGAGCUUGACCAGAACCAUCAGGAUGUAAGUGUGGCCGAUCACAGAAUAUUUCCAUAUCCAAUCUAGAAUUGAUUGUGUCUUUCGAUUUACCCUUAACAUUCAUAAGAGUAUUCAUGAUGUUGUCAAAAAAAUUCUUCUCUAUAUGCAUCACAUCAAGAUUAUGUCGGAGAAUUAGGUCCCUCCAGUAUGGCAACUCCCAAAAUAUGCUUUCCUUGUGCCAGUUAUGGUACUUCCCAUAACCAGACUUCUUCUUUUCAUGACCGUUUCCACCGCAAACAGACGUUUUUGGAGGAUUGACACCCUUUAAUCGUUCUGAAUAAACUUGUUCACCAGUCAAAGAAUCAGGUGGAUCUUCAUUUACCGCGUUUUUCCCCUUCAAGAAAUCCUUUCUAUUCUUUCUCAGUGGAUGAUUAGGAGGAAGAAAUCUUCGGUGACAAUCAAACCAACACGUCUUCCUUCCAUUAGUCAGAUAAAAAGCCUUUGUAUCUUCCAUGCAAAUUGGACAAGACAAUUUACCAUGGGUCGUCCAUCCUGUAGCAUGCCAUACGCCGGAAAGUCGCUUAUCGUCCACAGUAACACGGCUUUUAGAUUAAAAUUUUGAUUCAAAGACACAUCAUAUGCUUCGACUCCAGUUGACCACAAUUCUUUUAACUCCGCAAUUAAAGGUUUGAGGAAGAUAUCAAGACUAGCUCGUGGAUGAUUUGGCCCAGAAUUCAGAAUUGUAAGAAACAAAUACUCUGUAUUCAUGCACAUAUCAGGGGGUAGAUUAUAUGGAGUUAAGAUCAAGGCCACAACGAAUGAUUACGAGACAUCCCAAAUGGAUUGAAUCCAUCUGUACAUAAUCCAAGAUAAACGUUGCGAGGUUCUUCGGCAAACCGGGGAUGCAUCUCUUGAAAAUGUUUCCAUUCUGCCGCAUCAGAUGGAUGACACAUUUCUCCCUCUUUUGAUUGGUGCUCAGCAUGCCAUCUCAUUGCCGCUGCUGUCUUCUUGCUCUGAUACAUUCUCUUCGGCCUAUCAGCUAUAGGUAGAUACCACAUACGACUAUAUGGUACCUUGGUUCUACGUCUUUUGUCCUUAGGCUUCCAUCUGUCCGCACCACAAAAUUGACACUUUUCCCAUCUUUCAUCUUCUUUCCAGAAGAUCAUACAAUUGUUAACACAAACAUCAAUUGUAUAAUAUGGGAGCCCUAAAUUCCGCAUCAACUUUUCGGUCUCGUAGUGUGAUUCGGUUGCCGUGUUUCCUUCUGGUAAAUAGUCUGUCAACAUUUGACAUACCGAAUCUACACACUUUUCACUCAGAUUAUAAUCUGCCUUGUUUUGCAAGACCCGAGCAGCUAAGGAUAACUGCGACUGCCCUUCACGACAACCAUCAUACAAACGAUUUUGUGCUCCAUCUAACAAAUCGUAGAACUUCUUCGAAUGGUUGCGUUGUGGGUCUACUACAUUUUGAUAACUAUCAUCUUGUUGAUAGUUAUCAAAACUCACAUUAUCCCGAAAUGCAUCAUUCACCAUAUCAACAUAAUUAUUAUCUUCAUUACUUACUUUUUCACUACCACUUAAAUGUGUCGGGUCAACAUAACUUGUUCCUAAUUCCAUAUCAAUUUCUUCUCCAUGCUUAUACCAUACAUAAUAGUCUGGCAUAAAUCCUCUAUUAUAUAUAUGUUUCCAAAUUUUUGGUCCCGGAAGAAAUUUAUCGUUCCGACAAACACUACAUGUGCAGAAAAACUUACCGCUAUUGCUUUGUGCUAGAGGCUGACUGCUCGCAAAUGUCAUAAAUUGAUCCACCCCCGCUAUGAACUCUUCUGAAAAUUUCGCCGUAUCUUCAUCGAUCCUCUUGUACAUCCACUCGCGAAAAUUUGAAUAAUUGUAAUUUCCAGACAUUGUACAACAUAAAACUUUCAUUUUCUAACUUUAGUUUUCCUAGAAUUUUUGAUUUUUUUUUCUUUUAGUGAUUUUCUACGAGUGAGGAGAAGAAAAUGGGCUAAAGCAUGUAUAUAUAUAGAAAAUGUCCGACCAAUUCGCGACCAAUUACCGACUGCCUGACAAAAAUUAGGUACACUUGCAAAAAAAUGUAAAUCACGUGUUGUACCGGUUUUUAGCGACUGAUUCGCAACUGAGUUAUGACCACAUAUAUCAGUCGCAAAAUAGUCGCAGAAUUUAAGACUGAUUAGCGACUGCGUUAUGACCACAUGUAUUAGUCGUCAAAUAGUCGCAGAUGUUACGACUGAUCUGAAACGAACGGUUACCGACCCCAUAACAGUCGCUAGUUAGUCGUUAUUUUACGACUGUCUUGCGACGAAUUCUCGUGGUCCCUAAUAAGCGACUAAAUAACGACUGAAUAUGCGCAGUUGCAAAGCAGUCGCCAAAAAGUCGGAAGAUAGUUGUUAAAUCUGGCGACUACGCUAUUAGUCGCAAAGUGCAGUCGCCAAUCACAGGUUUUCUUGUAGUGUUUAAGUCUGGGGAAGGUUAUAUUAAUAUUAGAUUUUAGUUAGAUGUUUAGAAUAGGGACCCAAGUAAACGAUUGCCAUGAUAUCGACCGACGAGAACAAGUCGAUAUCGAUCGACAUUGCUACAUCUUCCACGACCAGUGACAACAUGUUUACAUCGAUCGACAUCCAUUCCGGUCAGGUAUAUCAUUCUAACUUGUUAAAUGGAGUACUUAUGAUUUAUUUACACCAUAACUCCGACUGGAUAUACACUGGUCACAGCGUUAUCUAAGUCCGGGGGAGGUUCUACUGAUAUUGUGUUUUAGUUAUGAAAAAACAAAAAAAGAUCCAUGUAGACGAUUGCUCAGAUCAUCGACCGACGAGACCAUCUCGAUAUCGAUCGACAACGCUUCAUCAACAACGAUCGAUUGUCACUUCAUUGUAUCGAUCGAUACUGAUCAGGUUAUCGUUCUUACUUGUUAAAUUUUUUACUUAUGCUUUAUGAUUUUCACCUUACCACCGACUGUGUUACACUGGAGACAGUAUAAUUUAAGACUUGGGGGAUUACUAACGUUUAUCUAUCUUGUAGCAGAAGUUAUGCCCGUUUUACUGAAGAGUGGUCAGUCUGCCUCGUGAGAGGAAACUGCGGAGAAGAGGAAGCCACGUCGAUCGAUGCAGCACUAUGCACGUCGAUCGAUGGAGAUCCCAGAUCGUGGGCCUUGUAUAUUUUAUGACUGCGUGAAGCCCAGAAGCCACAAAUUACCAAAAUGCCCUUGGACGACCAGAAACCCUAUUUAUGUCAUUUCUAAGCCAUUGUUGACGGCUACACUUCGCAAGACUUCUUUACGGUUUCAUUUUCAUUGUUUCUAUGAGAGGAGAGAAGGGAGGAACUCCUAUCAGAGUCCUCCUGGAACUCCUAUCAGAGUCCUCCUGGAACUCCUUUGGUUUUAUUGAUCUAUUUCAUUUCAGUUUUAUAUCUAUUCAUCUAUGAUUUCUAUUUUCAUGUCUGAGUAGAUCCACAUGUUAGAUCCAGGGUUCAUAUAGGUUUGUGGGAUUAGCCCCAAACUAUAGAUCUGCCUUGUUGUGAUAUUCAUGAUAGAUCUAUAAUUAUUGCUUGUUCUAGAGUAAUUAACUAGAAUAUUGAUCAUAGGAUUGCAUAUACAAGCAUCCUUGUUAUCCCAUCCUGACAUCUAUCUAUCAUAUUAGGAUUGCUAGAGAGGGCUAACCGCCAAUUUAGCAUUCUAAUAGGUCAAAUCAUCUCGCGCAUAGGCCUGGCUAGAACCUGUCGAUCGAUGUCCUCAACUGACUAUCGGUCGACGUAGGUAAAGGUGUAUCGGUCGACGUCCCAAUAGGACCAUCGAUCGACACUCUUUCGUUGUCAACAUACUAACCGUUGAGACACGAGAUCUAGCGAGUUAACCAGUGAAACAUGCGACAGCUGAUCACUGAGUUAAGCGGUUGAGCUCUAACAUAUCAUGCAGGCAACAAAUAGGUACCUAUAGGAAUUAUAAUCUCCAACACCUGAAUAGAAACCCUAGAUCUAGCAACCAUCCUUCCAUCGAACAACUCUUGCCAAGCUGAACAAUUGACUUGUUCAACUUGUUUAAUGCUUUGUUUAUUUAAUUGCUAUUUUAUAAUCUAUUAGCCUAGUUUAUUGUAACUUGUUUAGAUCUAAUCGGUUCCCUAGCUCCUUGUGGAUUCGAUCCCUAAGUACUAUAACUCGACCUCUUUUGAUGAGAAUAACACUCUUUACGGUAAUUUGAGUGAUAUAACUAUACUCAAAGGAAUAUAUAUCCUUCUGUUUAAGUAGUUGAGCCAUGUAAAUGUCUUCCUCCGAAAGAAAAGCGUGGUCCGGGGCGACAAUAGAAGUCAAGAUGGCAAUCUGGGUUGGAGCUAUCCAGGAUGAGAGGACACAAACCGCGGAAGCUACACAAGGAUUAUAGCUUCUCAAACUGCAGACAGCCUGGUCUUACACGUCCAAACUGCAACCAACCUGAUCUGUAAGUCUUCAGUAAGUCUUUUGGAGGUCUUCUGUAAGUUUUCCAAAGGUCUUUUCUAUGUCUUCUGUAAGUCUUCUUCUCUUUGAGUCUUCAGUAAGUCUUCUGGAUGUUUUUUGUAAGUCUUCCAAAGGUCUUUUGUACGUCUUCUAAGUCUUUUUCAAGUCUUCUUCUCUGUGAGUCUUCAGUAAGUCUUCUGGAGGUCUUCUGUAUGUCUUCUGAAAGUCUAUUUCUCUGGGAAGUCUUCCACCUAUCUAUCUAUCUUUGUGUUAUGACUUCUCUAUUGUGUGAUGAAUUGUCUAUUGUCUUAUGACUUAUCUAUUGUCUUAUGAUUUCUCUAUUGUCUUAUGAACUAUCUAUUGUAUUAUGAUUUAUCUAUUGUGUUAUGAUUUAUGAAUUAAAUUUAAACAUUAUAAAAAAAAGUUAAUCCUUACAAACUAGUUGUGCAAGGCUAGUUUGGUACGAGGAUAGGUUACAAAAAAGGUCAAUCCUAUCUUCUACCCUUUUAACGUACUUCAAGGUUACAAAAGCGGACAAAAGCAUCAAGGUUCUUGUACAAACUACAAAUUAUUGUGGUUCGUGCAUAUCAAAGUCUUCAUAGUCUUUGGUGAUAAAUGUGCCAUAGGCAAGAACAUGUUCAAACAACUUUGUCGCCAUCUUCUCCCUAAUACCCUUCACGUUCUAAUUACAAAAGGCAGGAUGAAAUGAUGGCAUGCCAAGAGCAUGACACUCGAUGUACUUCAAGGCGUACACACACAAUCACCACAUUCUACCAAAGGUACUCCGGCUUUCACUCUCUCAAUGUGAAUGGCUCUAGUGUGUACCUGACUCGCUCUUAGUCGGAGCUGGGAAAUUCAACAAGCAAAUAAGGGACCAUUGUGGUAAAAGGCUUCAUUAACUCGGCCAGUUGAGCAGUUCUAAUAUGAGUAGGAGUGCUGUCCCAGAUGGUUAAGUGUUUGUUAGGGAUCGAUAUCCAAAUAGCAAUCCAAUGAUCGUUGUUGUACUUUACUGGCGCGUAUAUAUCAUCCACAUAUGAUCCCCAAACCUUCUUUGUUUGGCGAUAUUUUGGAGCUAAGCCUUCAUACAGAUUAUACGACCCGGCAGGGAGCGUUCUUCCUAAACCGUUGUAACCUGUCUCUGAGCUCUUAAAUUCCCCGUACUUGUUGAUCCACAUCUGUUCAAAAUGAUGAUCAAGAAAGCAAAGGCUAUCAGUCCUAAAAUGUUCUGGAUUGUUUGAAAACCGAAGCCUCAGUAAAUUGAUAAAACCAUCAACAUUUUGCAUUAAAAACAUAACAAGGUAGACAGAUUUUUCAAAAGAAAUUGGGAAGACUUCCAGAAGACUACGAGAAGACUUCCAGGCGACUUCGGGAAGACUUCUAGAAGACUUCGGGAAGACUUCGAGAAGUCUUUUGUAAGCCUUCCUGUAGUAAUUUGAAGUAUUCUAGAAGUCUUUUGGAAGUCUUCCCGAAGUCUUUGAAAGGGGUACUUGUUUACGAGACUUACGGAGUCGACGAGCCAUUUCAUGGGGGUUCGGAGGAUGGCAUACCACAAACUCUCACUUCCAGGAGUUUUUUUUAAAGAAAAGGUAGUUUAUAAUCCCUGUAAAAAGCAAAACUCAAUCAGCAAAACUUGACAAUCAGUUUGGACAAAUAUGCAUGUGUGAGAAAAUUACUUAUGGAUCUUUUUUUCAAAUAAUCAACAAGCACUUUUACCUUAUGCUUGUCAACGGUGGCAAACAAAUCAUAUUCAUGACCAAUCUUCUUGGUCGGAAUGAUCAGUUUGGCUGUUCGGUUUCCCUUAAAAGAAGAUUGAUGUGCCGCAUCAAGCUUCCUUUCUCGAUCACUCUUUGCCCGGCAUAGUGCCAUAACAUCAUCUUUCUUUGUCUUGCAUCUCCCGUCCUGCUUCAUUAAAUCUGAUAUGGUUGAUUUUUGUUUGUCCAUAAUGACAACACUCGGUUCUUUAAUACCACUCGGAUCUAUGUUGUCAUCAUGUACAUUAUUCAGACUUCUUACUUUCUCCUGAUUCACACUCUCACUCAGCAAUUCUGAUUACAAUAGUAAUGUCAAGAUCGUUGUUGAGUAUAACCAAAUCACAUGAAACAAAAUCCAUACAACCAACCACAAUCCAAGACUUCUAACAUAAAUGAGCACAAAGAAGCGUACAACUUUCACUUCAACUUCCUACUAUUUUGCCCAGUAUUUCUCUGUACUUUUGUUUUGGGAGAGGUUUUGGUACUAACCCCUGGUUCGAGCGCAGGCUUAGUCAGGUCUGAAACUGUGAGUUGAAGUUCAUUAGAGUUAGUGCCUUUCUGGUUGAUUCCCACCUUCUUCUCCACAUAUUCCAUUUUAUCCACAAGAAGAUUCAUUUCUUUUACGCACUGCCCAAACCCAUUAGUCAUUACUUUCGUCAUAUCCUUGAACAUUUGUUCAUUCUUUCCUCUCUUAAGCCAAUUCCAAGAAGCAGAAGAUUCUGUAGGAGGAUCUGAAGUAGGCUCUGAAGGAGCCUCCGUAAACAUCUCUGUACGAGCUCUCUUCUGAGCUCUUCUAUCUUCAUUCACAGUCUGCUGAGGAGGUUCUUGCUUCACAUAGACAUGAUUGGUCAACGGCUUAGUACCUUCGACUGCCGAACACUCUUGGGUCCACUUCCAAGAACCUUUAGAAGCAACCAUGAAAUUUUCACCAACUUUUCAACCGCCACAUCAGUGUUAUCAUUGUCCAAUUUAGGGAACAUUUCACCAAUCUUCUUCGCUACAUAGUUUAACACGCGAGUCUGCAGUAAGUAAAUAUCAAGUUAUAUAUAUCAAGUAAGUAAAUAUCAACUACAUUAUUGGGAAUAAUCAGAUAUACUUGUGUGGUUAUAGCCUAUUUGACAAAUUUCGUCCUUUAUGUCCCAUGUAAGGCAGCAAAAGGGGACUAGGCUUGUUUCGUAUAGGCUUUCCAAAGCUUGCGGCAAAGUCAGGCAUAGCAAAAUAGGCCCAAAGUUGGAGAACCUGAAUAAACCAUCUACAAUAUAAGUCCUUGUCAAAUCUUUGCACUUCACAAAGUCCAUCAGGAACUUAAAAGCCAGUCCCCCCCCAAGGGUAGGUCUCAAAUUCUUCAAGAUCCAUCAUUAGCAUUGCAGGACUAGCCCGUGUAGAGUUUGAGUACUUUUCCCCUUCAAUGAAUCAUGUGUAGAUGGCUAGGUAUCCAAGCCGCAUGCAGUCAUCCCAAGACCACUCUCCACAUCUCUGACAUGCUGCUAUUAUUUUCUGAGAACUUGGACCAGCAUCAAUAUCCACACCUAGUAUCUCCAUGAAACGAGCCAAUUCAUUUGUCACCUCUACAUCCAGAUUUUCCAAAUUCUCCUUAUAUUCACAGUUUAGACUAGUAAGGUGCUCGAACUCAAUCAGGGAUAACCUCAACGGUUCUACACCAAUAAGACAACAUAGCUCAUACUUCUUCUUGAUAUCAAGCUGGAAACAGAGAAUAUAAUAAACCAGCCUUGACGUCCAUCCAAAUUUCAACUCCCAAAACUUGAUGAACACUCCCAAACUUGAAUUCUUCAGCUCCUCCCAUUCAUCAUCAUGUACAUGAAGGAAGCAACUUUGGGUCAUACGCAAUGCUUUUCGAUGCAAUGGGCUAUUCCCCUAAGGUGAAGAUCCUCUUCGGAAGUUCUGGUAAUUCCAUUUUAUAGCCUACAAAACACUGAAAAAAAAAAUCUCAAACACAAACGGAACAUAACAAACAAACCAAAAUGCGAAGACGUCCCGAAGACUUCCAAAAGACUUCCAGAAGACUUUAGAGUCUUUAGAAAUUCUUCAUAAAGUCUUCGGAAGUCUUCCGUAAGAUCUCUGGAGUCUUCUGAAAGAUUCCGGUAGAAGACUAAUCAAAUCGAGAGAAACCCUUAUACAUCAAACAAAUGGGUGAACUUACAGUCGGAAAGCGGAGAAGUUGAGGUCCAAACAGAUAAUGUUCGCCGACGACAGCUAUGGUUACAAAUCUUCCAAACUCGAUAGGAAAGAAUAAGUCACGAUGGAGAAACGAACGGUAUCAGUUCUGAAAUGAAAAGUCGACAGCAAACAUAAAGAACUUAAUAGAAGUGGAGUUCGACUACAACAGAAACGGUUUCAGAUCUGAAAAAAAAAAUCAAGGGGGUUAGUUUAAUGUACAAAAAUAAACUUCGGCGAGGAAGGAGAAACAAGAUUUGCCGAAAACACAAGAUUACCUGAGGUGAAAAGGACGGAGAAGAGUUUCGUCGAAAAUCGUCUUUAUAAUCGCCAUUGAAAUCGCCUCAGAGCAAACAUCAAGAGUUUUCGCGUUUUUACUAAAACAAUUUCUUAAAACACCGAAAAGUGAAAAAAAAAAUACUAGUUAUAUGUCCUUAAAUUAUCGGCUUAGGUUAAAUAUAUAUUGGUUUAUUUUCGGUUAUAUUAAAAUUGAAGUUAAAAUUAAGGUUUCGUUCGGUUUAGAAGUCUUCUAACAUAAAUUACACUGGAAGACUUCUCAAGAAAUAUUCUAAACCAUUCAGCCAAGAAGACUUUUUGAGAAGUUUUCUGGGAGUCUUCCAGACCCUAUAAUCAAACAACUAAGCAAAAUCCACAUCUUAAAUUUAAAAGAAAAUUAGAAAGUGUUUAAAUCAAGUUAUUAGACAGUCACUAAACACAUAUAUGUCAAAUUAAAAAAAAAAGAAAAAAAAAUAGAUAGGAUUUCAAAAUCUUACCCUAAAAAUACCAACACUACUACAACAUAUGUUACCAAACCCUAAACCAAAGGCUAACAUGAGUCAAUCUACAUUUAGUCAUCUAUGUUAAUAAUAAUUUAAUUUUAGUAAACCUAAAUUUUUAUCAUUUAGAAAUGCUUAGUAAUAUAUGAUUUCGAUUUUUUCUCUUUCAAAAUAUGUUUUAAGAAAUCAUUAAUUACUUUUAAGAUCUAAUACGUGAGAAGACUUCCCGUAGAAAACUUCUGGAAGACUUUGAUUUAGGCGGUGGGAACCCUAAAUUCUAAUAAAAGUUAGGCGGAAUAUAUCAGAAGACUUCUUGGGAAGUCUUAUGUGAGUCUUCCAGACUCUAUAAUCAAAUAACUAAGAAAAAUCACUUCAUUAAGCUUAAAAUAUACUUAGAAAGUGUCUAAAUCGAGUUAUUACAUAGUCAGUAAACACAUAUAAGUCAAAUUUAAUAUAUAUAUAUAUAUAUAUAUAUAAGAUUUCAAAAUCUUACCCUAAAAAUAUCAACACUACUACAACAUAUGUUACCAAACCCUAAACCAAAGACUAUCAUGACUCAGUCUACAUUCACUCAUCUAUGUUAAAAAUAAUUCAUUUUUAGUAAAACUAAACAUAUAUCAUUUAUAAAUGUUUAUUAUAACAUGAUUUUAAUUUUUUCCCCAUCAAAAUAUUUUUUUAUCAAAAUUUUAAAUUAUUUUCACGCGGAGGGUUAUAUAAUGGUAAAACUCAAUACAUAUUUUUUGUUUGGUCAUAAGGAGGUUGUUGUAAUUUCACUAUGAGAAUAAUUAUUUGUAUGUCUUCUCACGCGGAAGGUUAUAAUGGUGAAACUCAAUACAUGUUUUUUGUUUUGUCAUAAGGAAGUUUUUGUAAUUUCACUACCUUUUUGGGUUACUUUUGUAUUUGAUUGAAUUUGGGAUAUACUUUUGUAUUCAAAAUCAAGUUUUGAGUCAUUUUUGAUAAUUUUCCCGAUAAAUCAUCUAUGUUUAGAAAUAAUUGUAUUUUUGAAUUACAAAAUUAUAUAAUUAUAUUUUUAAGGUGAUAAUGCGAAAGUUAUAUUAUUAAUUAUUAUCAUAUAUUCUUCUUUUUUUUUUGACUAAAAAUUAUCGUAUCUUCUUUUGAUAAUGUAAUCAAGUUUGUUAUCGAGAUGGAUAUGUGCCGCAUUUACAUUGGCCAUUGAGACAAGCUUGAAAAUAUUCCCCUUUUGACCUGCAUAUGGGAGUGCAAACACGGGCAUUACAUAUGGAAUCAGAGGGGCCAAAGGAAAAACCCAGGUGUCUUUCAUUAGCGCACUGGCAUAUGUUUUGCACACACAUGAUCUUGGCUGCACUUGUACAUUUCAGAACAUUACAAUCAGAAUCGUCGUCGCAAGAUUGUACCAACAUUUUCGUACCUGUUAUAUUAUAAUAUAUUAUUUGGUCAGAAUGACAAUAACUGGAUGAUGAAUAUUAAAAUGAGGAUGGUGAUGGGUGCAAGAAAACAUAAUCUUACAUGUUGUGAAAGUUAGAAUACCGAUAAAUAUCAAAGCUGCUUUCUCCAUUUAUAUUGAACAAAUAUGUAAUUUAUUUCUGUUUGAUUUGUUUGUGUAACUAAAGUGAAGAACUUGGAGACUAUUUAUAACUAUAAGAAAAUAAGUUUUCUUUUUAAUAACUGUAGAGAUUCGGUGACCGAGGUCAACUGACUAAUGAUAAUAAAUUUCAUUCUUUUUAUUUCCAUGGAUGUUAAUAUAUAUUAUAUCUUAAUAUAUAAAAUAGUAUAUAUCUAUUUUAGAUUAAUAAAAAUCAAAUAGCAUUUAAACGAUGAAAAUAACAUACCUUCAUGAAUCUUUUGAAUCAAACCUAUUUAAGUUAAUAAAUUUGAAAAGGUUAUUUAGGAUAAGAAACUUAUUUUUUAUCAAAAAUAUAUAUUAUAUAAGAUAUGAUUUGGUGACUAUAAUUUAAAGUCAUAAAUCAGUAACUAUUUUCUUGAAAAUGGAAUCAGUAUAGCUAUUUAUCACAAUUUGUAAUGAUCUUUGUCGUAGCCAACUUUUAUAUGAUAAUCAAUGACUAAUUAAUAUGAGGAAAGUAGACAGCAUAACAACUUUGACAUAAUUGCUCACUGUUGCAACAUUGUGAUGAAUUGUGACAUAAUGGUGAUGUUGUAAGAUAAGCUGCCAAUGUAAAAAUUUGAAACAAAAAUAACCGACAGACCAGGUUUGUCCAGAGACAUAACGAAUAAAAGGGCUUUUUGGGUAAAUAUGUAGGAGUUUUAACUAAAAAUAAAAGAGGACAGCAUAGUAAAGCGAGAAUUUAGAGAGAAUAUGUGGUUGCAUACUUUUUUUUGUCAUCUGAUGGAUUUUCAUUCAGUUAAAACUUUGAAGUGCACAUAACCAACAAAGUAAACAGCCUUUCGAAGCCAUAAGCCGAUGAGGUAAACAAUACGACUCGGAGCCAGAAUUUAGAAACAUAUCAAGGAUUACUUAAAAUAAAGUAAAAACAAAAGAAGCAUAUGAUCCCUGAAAUCUGUGGAGCACACAAACAACCAAUAAGCAGGUGAAGCUGUAAGGUUUAGUUUCGGAUUUAUUAUCUUAAACCUAAGUUUUUUAGCUAGAUUUGUUUAGCUAAUACUUGAUCAAUUUAACUUGAUACAAUUUGUUUGUUUGUUUUACAGGAGACAAGACACAAAGCUUUGGUUAUCCAGUUCCUUUGUGGUACGUCUGGGGGAAGACCUAUGCUUCCAAUUCACUAUCUCAAGUAUAAAGAGAGUAAUACAAGAGACGUAAGCUCUAAAUACUACUUCACCAAAGUUUAGAGCUAAGAACAACAACCUAGUUCUUCUACUUCGACUGCUAUCUGCUCAGGUAAGCUCAGAUGAUCUUUUAACCAAGACAAUCUGCUUUCUCCUGAUCUCCACAAUCUGCUUUCUGUUUCCCGUAAACCUCAGGAAACCAACUAGUCGCUAUAUAUAUGCAGGAUGAGGAGAGUACCCUAAAUUUCAUGGGCUUAUCGCUGCAGGCCUUAUCGCUGCAGGCCUUAUCGCUUCAAGUCUAACACACUCAGACAUCGCGGAUGGGCAUUAACCCAUUGUCAUCGGCCCAACUGGAUAAUAGAGACCACAUCUCUACAAUCUCCACCUUGGUCUCUUCCCGACAUUGAGAAAGCUCUAGAGUCACUCCACCGCCGACUCACUCCUUCUCUCUUCUUGUUGAACCUUUUCCAUCGGAGAACAUCUACUGAUUCACCAAUUUUAACUUAUGCAUUCGUCCACUUUUCUAUCGCGAUUCUUCAUCAUACAUACAAUCGGUGGCAACCACAUUCGCUGUGCCUCCACCUCGAUUCAGCUCCAAACCGGCGAGUUAUGGUUCUUCUGCUACACUGCAGAAGUUUUCUCCAAUCAUUGGUUCCCAAAGGACCAAUCUUGAUUGUCAAAAAAAGACAUCCUUAGAAUGAAAAAGAUAUAAGAUUCGUCGUAGUCGACAUAGAAACUAACCGAUAUUCUCAGCCCAACGCCGAGAGAGCCGAGAGAAAUCGAAGUCACCAUAGAUGUUCGAUCCAUCCGGAAAACGAAGAACUGUUCGUGCCACUUCUCAUCUGAAUAUCUUCUAUGACGUAGCGACCUGGACGCGAAGAAACAAGGAAAGUCCCAGGGGUCUGAUUGUUCCGUUUCACCAUAACGAACUGACAAAACUCGCUAAGACCAAAAGCGAGACCCUCCUCCCUAGCCUUAACAAGAAACGCAACAAGAUGCCUGGGGAAAUUUGGGAGAAGCUGAGAGAGGGAUAACCCAAGAUCCGCCAAGAUCUCAAGUAUCGGCUCCGGAAUCGGGAAGAUAAGACCGCAAGAAUGGAAAAAGGAAAGAUAGGCUCUGUAGUAGCCCUCUCUCACGGUUUCAGGGGUCUCACCCGUUCUGGCCUAAUCAAGAACAACGGAACGAUCGACCCCAUGAAACUCGUAAAGGUUCUCGAGAUCGUCCGCAGUAGUAGUUGGACGAGGAAAAUUGAAAGACGAACACAUCUCGAUCUCGAAUAGAAAGAUUUUAGAGCAAGGAAGAAAGAGAGCUGAGCUAGGAAACGGAGAUAAGGCUGAAAGAAAGCCUCCUACGUAUAUAUAAGCCUCCCUAACAGCUCUAUCAUCGCUAUCGAGAAAGGCAAUUAUAACCUAGUCUACUCCCUAGCAACGACUAAAGUAUCCGUUACCAAUUAAAAUAAUAAUAAAAGAAAGCACGCCGACAAACGGUUCUUUUCGAAAACAAUCAUUAAAACCGAACCCGAAUGAUGUUAACCGUAAAAUCCAGACCAAAGGAUAACCGCCCCUUUUUCCUUUUCGAUCGAAUCAAAAAAGGGGUGGAGGACAAAUGUUGGACCCAAUUUUGGUCAAGACCGAAAUGGGCCCCGAUCAUAGACAUGGGCCGAGACAUGCCAAGGCCCACAACCAGAAUCAAGCUCGAAGAAGGAGUCACAGAGGUCGCAAUGAUCGCGCAACAAGAAACUGAGAUCGCGGAGCUGGCACGGAGAUCUCGGAGUCGAUUUGCUAUAAAAGAAGGAGAAGAAACAAGGAGGUGGACCGUUGAAAACCCUAGAGAGAGCCUUACAUUCAUAUCAAUCUUAUUGUCUUCCCACUUUUAGAUUCCUUCUUGAUCGAACUUGUGUGUUUCAUUCGAUCUAGUUUGACUCGUUGUGUUCGAUCCCAGUUAUCAAUAGUCUAUUUUCACCUACUGGAAACUAUUUAACAUCGUUGUGUUCUAAAUAUAUCUUCCCCACAUUAUUUAUCUUCCUUAGAUCAACCCGAUCACUAUCAAAUACUUUGUGUGGAAUUUAGGUUCUACAUCUAUGUCUACAGCUUCUGCUUCCUCUACUAAGCAAACUUGCUUCUUGAGAAGCUUGUAAACACUGUCCAGCUUUUCCCUAACCUCGUCCAUCUGGUCAUUCUCAAGGAUGGCUAUAGAUCUCUUUCUCUCAAAAUCAGUGUUCUUGGUGUUUUGCUAGAUGCCAAGUUCUCAGUAAUUCUCACUGCUUCUUCUGGAUUCCUAGUGUUGAAGUUCCAAGCAUCAAGAGCCGUCUGAUACUGCACCGCGAUGCCUCUGAAGAAACUACUGAGCAGUUGUACUUCAUUGAAUCCAUGGUGUGGGCAUUCCUCUGAUAAGACUUGAAUCUGAACCAGGAGCUUCUGAUAGAUUAUGUACGGUCAUGCGCGAAUCUUGCUCCUCAAGUUUUCAACACAUGCAUCAUCGAAUAAGUUACACAAGAAUGCGUUCUUGAUGUCGGCCCAGGAUGUAAAAGAUCCUGGUGGUAACUGCUUAAGCCAAUGCGAAGCCUCUCCAGCAAGUGAGUCCUUGAAGAGCUUGCAAAGUAGGUAGUCCUUAGGGACUCCAUUGACUUUUAUAGCAAAUAUAAGAUCCUCGAACCUCUCCAGACGGUCCAUAGGAUGCUCGUGACAUAACCCACAAUAGGGUGUAUGUCCCACGAGUGUGUAGUACUGCGGAUUCACCUCGAAAUCACCUCUUUGGAUAGCAUGAGGACAAAUAGUUAAUCUGUUGGCGUAUUACUGAUCUGGACGGUUGUAAUCAGCCAACGUUUUUGGUCGAGCAGCAUCAUCUACAAGUUGAGUAGCUCAUGUAGCAUCAGUAUCGCACUCAGGGAUUGCAGCUCCCUGAGCAUAUAUCCUCUGACCUGCCGCAUUACGCAGAUGACCUUUCUGGGCAUGCAGGUCCCCAUUAUCAUCUCGUACAAGAAUCAAAGUCGCAACCAUGUCUAGCGGCUCAGUAUCGAUUGAUGUUUGGACUGAAGUAUCGAUCGACGUCGCGUGGAAGAUAUCGGUCGAUGGAAAAGUAGCUUCGGUCGGCGGUAGUGAGCGAGUGUCGAUCGACGAGACUGGUGUCUGGGUCGACGGUGGUUGACAAGAAUCGAUCGACGAACCGGUGUUGUUGUCGAUCAAUGAGGAGCGUCUUCCUUUGCGAAUUGAUUGUUCCAAACUUGCAGGAUCUGAUGAGAAUAGCAGUUGAAUUUCCUUGUUGCUUCAGGUACUGUUGGGCAUGCACAUGAAAAUAUAAGAAAAAAAUUUUGUGUCAGAAAGUGGUUUUAAGAAAUAACCUAGAAUAAAUUAAAUUAAAUCUAUCAAGCAAUCAAAGCUCCCCGGCAACGGCACCAAAUUUGAUCUCACUCAAAUUAUCCUAAGGAGUGAAUUACUAUCUCAAAUAAGAGCUUUAUUUGUAGUAUUUAGAGAUUAAAUUCAUAGGGAGCUAUGGAACCUAAUAAUUCUAAUCAGAUUGAUUAAGCUAUGUUGAUUAUGAUUAAAUGAAAAGUUGCAUGUUUGUGAGCAAGGCAGCUGCUCGAUUGAUUUGAUUGGGGUUUUGGUACUUAGAUGAAAGUAGCUAGACUUAAGGCUUUUAUUCAGGUAAUCAAGAUUAUAAUGCUACAGAUGCCUAACAAGUUGUAUGCAUGAUAUUAUAGAGCUCAACACUUAUAAACAAACCGAUAGGCUCUCGCUUUCUAGGUUGUCUAUUGACCAGAUAAAAGUGUCGAUCGAUGAUACUAUAGGAAUAUCGAUCAAUACACUUGAUGAACCGUCAACCAAUUAUUCAAUUAGAAUAUCGAUCAACGUGGUUGGCCAAGCUUUAUCACGCAGGUUGAAUGUACUCAUUAAGCUUCAUAUAUCAGCUUUCGCCUUAGUCUAGCAAUCUUAGCUCAAUUAGGAUGGAUUCAGGGUGAGAUGCAAGUGAUGACCUUUACCUCAAACUCCUAGAUCAAGUUCAACCUAGCUAAACUACAAACUGGCUUUAAUGACAAUCCUAAUGAUGAAUAUCACAACUUAGCAAUCUAUAGUUGGGGCUAAUCCUUCAUAACCUAUUUUAACUCUAAACCUAACAAGAGAACUACUCAGACAUGGCUAAGCAAUUCAUAACAUCAAUUUGGUAUAAAAACUGCAUAGAUAAAUAGAUAGAUAUCAAUGGAGUUCCAAUCACAAAUCUCUUUGGAUCUUUUCUCCAAUCUACAAAAAAUCCUAGAAAACCUUUUGCAGUGAAAAUAGUUAAACAAGAAAGCACACUUUGCCACUAACAUGUUGGCAAGCUUAUAUAAUUAGGUUAAAACUCGUCAGGGGUAAUGUUGUAAAUUGGUGAAGACUUGGGCUUUAAGUCUUCUUGGACCAAACGGGGUUCUAUGUGCUUUGCCGUCGAUCGAUGUCACUAUGUGAACAUCAAUCGAUUAUUUCUCUUCAGUGUGGACCGAUGGUCGUGCUCGAUGGUCAGCUCGAAUGCUUUCUCCAAAUACCUCCAAAAUGCUCCAAAAUUAUCACUUUCUUUCAAAUCACUCAUGAUCCUAUAAAUAUACUAAAUAGACUCUAUAAUAUAAUAAAUAGUAGUUAAAACACUUAUAAACCAUGGGUAAAAGUGGGUAAAAUCUAUGGCCUAUCAUGCAACUAUGAAAGACAACAGUUAACACUAACCAGCAACCUGCACAUGUACCAGAACAAGAGAAAUCGACCCCAGCUGUACCCUUAUUCGUUGAGAGUGUCGAUCGAUGACAUACACCCAAUGUCGAUUGACACCAUAUGGACGAGCAUCAACCUGUCAUGGAUCUGCAGGCAACGAAAGAAAGAAUUCCAGUUGAGAAGAGAGUAAAAUCUAGAAAACCCUAUGUUCCCAAACAUCUCAGAAGAGAAGCUAACAGAGCUGAACUUGAUGGAUUUCAAAAGAGAGUAAAAAGGAUUCUUAAGGAUAUGUCUUUCGAGGAUGCAUAUCAUAAGUACAAACUUCUUCUGAGAAAGCAGAGAGACAUAUAAGGACAUUGAUCUGCUAUUUAACAAGGUCAGCCGUAAACCCAAGAGGACACUAAAGAAGGUACAAUAUCCUGAGGAGUUCAUGAUUCCAUGAUGUAUACAUAGCCACAAUUUUCCGAACGCCCUCUGCGAUACUGAAUUGGUGGUCAGCAUCAUGGCAAAGGACACUGCUGAAUAAUUAGGAGUAAAGUUUGAGCCUUCUGAGGAUAGUUUCACCUUCGUAGAUAACUCCCGAACAAACUCAGCCGGCAUGAUCAGGAAUGUUAAAGUAGAGAUUGGAGACUGCACUGUCCCUCUGGACUUUCAUGUCAUGGAGAUCAAAUCUUGUUGGACAUUUUCACUUCUUUUUGGAAGAGCCUUCAUGGCUACAGUGGGGACAGUUUGUGAUCUGAAGAAGAAUAAGAUGUGUCAGACUAAUAUCGAUGAAAGUGUCUUCUAUGAUCACGUGGAGAAGAACAACAGAGAGGAGUUUAUUUCAUGAUAGAGAUGUCUAAAGAACAACUGAUUCAAAUCGCGAGACUGCAAAAUCAACAUCAGCGUCGAUCGACACUCAGACAUCAGUAUCGGUUGAUACCCUCCAAACUUCAAAACAAACCGAGACUGCAAAGCCUAAGUCUAGGGGAAGGACCAGAAAGUAGAAUAGAAAAAAGAAGGUAGAUGUAGAUUUCUUGUCACUGGUUCCUUCACAAUGUCACAAGGGAAGUUUUGAGUAUAGGGUGUGAUGCAAAGGAGGUAUACAGCCUUUGACCAAGGUCAGGGUGCUAUGUGAUCCAGAGAUGAGAGGCAAAGGGAAAGCUUCUGCAGGAGCUCUUAUCAUCUGCAUCAACAAUUUGAGGAAAAGAGACACUGAAACUUGUUUUGAAGCACGUUCUCAUUCUCAUUCGGACUGAAUCAGAGAUCUCCAUAAGUCAAGCUAAUGACUGAAAAUAAGUGAUGAGUGAGAGGCAACCCACUAUUAAGUAAUUUUAGUUAUAUUAAGUUUUCAUUUUAUACUAAAUUUUCGUAUUUAUUUAUUUCAGAAAAAGAUGCUGAUCAGUAUCGAACGACACUGUAGCAAGUGUUGAACGGCACAGUAGCAAGUGUCGAACAACACUGUCGCAGACGUUAAUGUAGCAAAAACACUGUUCAUCGAGAAAAAGAAAAGAUCCAAGGAAGUAGAGUUAAUACACCAGUAUCGAACGACGACUGGCCAGUAUCGGUUGACACCACUUCACACGAGCAUCGGGCGACAUCUGAUCAAUGUUGAUCGACGCUCAUCACAUACGGAAGGUAAAACUUGUUUUUCCUUGUUAAAUAUUUACAUAUGGUUUAUUUUUCCACCAAUCUUGGACUAUAUAACACUGGGUAUGAGAUUUGUAGAGUUCUCUUCUCUGGUUGUAUGUGUGUGUGUAUAAACUCCAAUGGAAAAAGAUGAGAGCUUGCUCUAGGGGAUUUAGAAAGGGAGAUUGAUGAGAGUGUUUGUGAGAGAAUAAGAGACUUUGGAACAGAGAUUAAGAAACUGUGAGAUUAGGAGAAUAAGAGAUUAUAGAUUAGGGUUUCAGAUUCAAGAACAAGUUUAUCAUUCAUGAAGUGGAGAGGGGAAAUCCCCCUUACUCCCUCAAGUGUUACAAAACGUCAUCUAAGGCUUAUAUAUGCCUUUACAUGUAUCAAAGAAUAAACCUAGAUCCUAUGGACAUAAAUGCAAGAUAGAUUGGAUGGCUAGGAUGAGAGAAGGAUGGUCUUUGAUGUUCUGGUGCUAGCUGUAAAGGAGAGGCGUGUAUGGACUUGAUGGAUGGCUUAGAUACUUCAGUUUGAAUGAGCAGCCAAGAUGGAUCCGUGUGGGGAUAAGACAGGUCCGUACACUCGCCCUAACUAUGCGCAACACUUAUCCUUCCUCUUUGGUUGAUCCAUUCCUCUUCUUGAUUCGCCCUAUCUUUGCACCUGAGGCCAUCUUCUCUCUAACUCCUCCAAACACUUCACAUGAUCAGUCUAAGUCUCUCCUAGACUUGACUUCACAAUAUAGAUACUUCAGAACACUUAUGAAGCUUGAUUGAACUCUUCUGGACAUCUUCUAGAGCUUGCCCUAUUAAUGUACAAGCUCUAUCUCCUUUUUAGUUCAACACUCCCCCUCAAGCUUGACUUUAGGAGAUCCUAAGUCAAGCUUGGAACUCUGAAGAGUCUCCCUCAUUAAAAACCUUACAAGGAAAACCCUUUGGGACAAAACCUUGCAAGGGAAAAAUAGUAGAGAUCUCCAAAGCCUAGGGAUUGGCCAGUGAGCUCUUGUGCCUUAGAACCAGUGUGGUUGGACACAAGAAGCUCUGGAUCACGGCCUAAACUUCACACACCUCACACACCUUCUUGGACUCUUCUAUAGAACCGGUUUAGUGUCUCCCCCUUUCACCGGACUUCAUGCCAUCUUGAAAGGCUAGGAACGACCUGAUCCUCUCCAUUGAGUCUCCAAGUAAGGUACCUGAUACAUUAUUCCACAAGUGUAUCAGUACUUAUCAAAGAACAUAACUCAAUCAAUUCAUGCUUAUAGACCGUCUUAGUAAGACUAGUAUUCCUUAUAUAUUAUUAGAUAUGUUGCCGUCUAGUAAAACUAGUAUUCCUAACGAAUUCAAAUGAUUCUUAACAACUCUUCUUUAGUAAAACUAUUAUUCCUGAUAGAUUACUAGAUAUGUUGAAAGCGAUUAAUUGAAUUGGGUUUAGGGAAACUUCCCUUUUUCUUUUGUGAGGAGUGACUGGAUUGGCUUGUCACUUUAAUCCCUCACUUGCUGAGCUUAUCAGCUCCUUCUUGUAUCAUGCAAGUUCACCAACACUCCCCCUCAAGCUUGAGACCGAGUAUAGGAAAGAUCCAAGCUUGAAGGUAAGCGCAUACUAAGCUCCAUGAUCACUCUUGUGGGAACACCUCCAUCUUCUUCACACUUGAUGCUUACAGCCCCACUUAACCACCAUUGCACUGAGGAGAUACAUCAGCUCACUCUCCAAGCAUAUCACACCAGAAGCUUAUUGAGUAGCUUUUUUCUUCCCUCUACUUCGGCUUGAUCACUCCAUGAUCAGCUUGCAAUGGUCUUGGUCUUAAUUGCAUCACCCUCUUGGUGAUGCUCUUCCUUCCAUGUCUAUUGUCCUCUCUACACUCAUCUGAUGUGUAGGCUAUGGUGACUCAGCCACCAUGGACAGAACCACAAGUCAUCUCUCCAUUGUCACAACAUCCUCUCUACCCUAUUUGGAGCAGGCUGUGGACUUCUCCACAGAAUGUUGGCAAUAGGCUUCAUUUCUCCAUUGUCACAACAUCCUCUCUACCCUCUUUGGAGCAGGCUGUGGACUUCCCACAGAAUGUUGGCAACAGGCUUCAUUUCUCCAUUGUCACAACAUCCUCUCUACCCUCUUUGGAGCAGGCUGUGGACUUCCCACAUAAUGUUGGCAACGAGCUUCAUCUUAUCAUUCUCUUGUAAUGAUAAGGAGGAAACAGGUAUUGAACUUUGGCUCUUCAGGUUGCUCAUUUGAAUCCCCACUGUUUGAUCCAAAAAUGGUGUUUAUGAUUAUAGUGUUUGUUGAAUCAUACAAAUAAAAGAAUCUAAAGAUAAUGGUUAGAUUCUUUGAGGUUUAGGAGAACUCUUGAAAGAAUCAAAUGAGAAGUGGAUAUCAAAAACAAUUUUUAGAUCAAAGAUUCUAUACAUGAAUGAUUACAAGUGGAAAUAAAUCUAAGAAUCUAUAAACUCUUUGAAGAAGUGUUAGGUCUAAAAAUGGAGAAGAUAAGAUCCCCUUCACUCAUAAGGAGGUAGCUCCUUAUAUAUAGAAAGAUGAGGCCUAGGUCUUCCUAGCAAUAUGGGCCUAGUUCAAUGUCUAAUGAGCCUUGAGGAGGAUGUAAAUCCAUCCCCAACACCCACCGCAAGCUUCAGACCGAGUAUAGGGGAGAUCCAAACUUGAAAUGAGCCUCAAUGAACAUCAAGACCAGGAGCACAUCACCCUAACAGUUGUGCUUUAAUAACUGAUCCACCCUUUUGCCUUCAGCUUCAAGUACCCUCAGAUCACCGGCCUUCCUCGUGGCUUAGGUGGUGACCUUCUUCUUCUUGUGUGUCUUGAACUAGGAGCUCAACAACCUCGUGGCCUGCGCUUCUUAAACCGGCUUCUACACACAAGAACCUUCUCAUUGCUCCACACAAUGGUUGGUCUUCCGCUUGUAUGUCUUGAACCACGAGCUCAACAACCUCGUGGCCUGCGCUUCUUAAACCAGCUUCUACACACAAGUACCUUCCCAUUGCUCCACACAAUGGUCAAGUCUUCCUCUUGUCUUGGAUAGUUGGUGAGCAAAGAACACUUCUUGUGAACCUGAAACACCACUCAAACUCCAGCAAAGAUAAGACACAAGAGUAUUGGGUUCAAUCCUUGAUUAAUCAUCAAGUUUGAUUCCCAAUCUCACAAGCAUUGCAACAGAUUAAAACAAGUCAUUUUCAAGUUCUAUCUUUGCAAGCAAUCUCUCUAAGCACAAGCACUUUCUUUUUCAGUUUUAUGCAAGCUACUUAGGCAUUUUUAAAGCUUCUUUACUCAGCAUUUAGACAUGAAUCUAAUGCUUCAAUGUAAGACAGCCACAAGACUAUAUGCAACAGCUUUCAAUUCGGUUUCAAUCCAAGUAUGCAAGAAGAUUCAAUCAAUCACAACAAGCAUCAUUAUGAACCGGAGCUAAGCAUAUUAACAUAUCUAGUAAUCCUAGUAAUACUGUUAAGUUACUAGACAUUUUUAAAUGCGCUUACACUGCUGCUAGUAAGCCUAGUAUAUCUAGUAAGAUUUUAGGAUUACUAGGAAGCCAAGCUCUUUAAGUAUCCUGGGACAGAUUCUAAAUUCAUUUUAUUUCAUUUAGUAAUCUUUUAAACUAUCCUCAGGUUUUCAAUCACAUCACAUCAUCACAACCAGUCAACAACACAAGCUCAUUAUCAAGAUGGUUUAUAGAAUCGCUUACAAGAAGGAACCAGGUUGAUUCCUUUUGCAUUUUGUGAAACCGGCCAUGACUUUUGUUGGAUUUGAGAGCCUGGAUCAUCACCCACCUCCUUCUCCUUCAGUUCAUGGCCACCAUCUUGUUUCUCAUACUCAAGACCUCUCCUUGUUCCAUGUCGUCUAGGCGACAUCUUCUUGGACACCAGUUUGACACCGGAUGAGAGAACACUUCUUGAACAAGGCGAUUUGAAGCAGGUUUGCUAAGCCUCUCCAUACACCUUUGCUUCCAAGGAGAAUCACCAUCAGGACGAACAGUAGAGACAGAGAGACAAGGAGAACACUUCACGGCUUCACACUUCUUCUUCUUGAAGAAUCUGAGCUCGGAUGAACAUGUCUUCUUGGCUUUGGUUUGAGCUGAGAUGAGAGCAAGUGCUUUGCGGAAGCUACAGCUCAGGUUCUGAUGAACCUGGCUCUGAUACCAUAUGAGAUUUGUAGAGUUCUCUUCUCUGGUUGUAUGUGUGUGUGUAUAAACUCCAAUGGAGAAAGAUGAGAGCUUGCUCUAGGUGAUUUAGAAAGGGAGAUUGAUGAGAGUGUUUAUGAGAGAAUAAGAGACUUAGGAACAGAGAUUAAGAGGCUGAGAGAUUAGGAGAAUAAGAGAUUAUAGAUUAGGGUUUCAGAUUCAAGAACAAGUUUAUCAUUCAUGAAAUGGAGAGGGGAAAUCCCCGUUACUCCCUUAAGUGUUACAAAACGUCAUCUAAAAAUUAUAUAUGCCUUUACAUGUAUCAAAAAAUAAACCUAGAUCCUAUGGACAUAAAUGCAAGAUAGAUUGGAUGGCUAGGAUGAGAGAAGGAUGGUCUUUGAUUUUCUGGUGCUAGCUGUAAAGGAGAGGCGUGUAUGGACUUGAUGGAUGGCUUAGAUGCUUCAGUUUGAAUGAGCAGCCAAGAUGGAUCCGUGUGGGGAUAAGACAGGUCCGUACACUCGCCCUAACUAUGCGCAACACUUAUCCUUCCUCUUUGGUUGAUCCAUUCCUCUUCUUGAUUCGCCCUAUCUUUGCAAUUGGUGUUUUUGAAAUUGUUUUAUAGAGUCAAGAAGGAGAUUUAUGAUAUUUUUUAAUUUUUACUUAUUAUCUAACAACUCUCUAGCACAAUUCUUAGAUUUACUGAUUGCAUAUUGUACUAUAGAUACCAAAGUGGAUGAACUACCAUUCAUAUCCACACUUGCUGAGAAUGUUUGAAGGAACCGAAGCUGACCUGCAACCUAAUUGAAAAUUAUUUUCUUAUCUUUGGGCUUGGUAUACACUGGAUCAGAUUCCUCCUACAAGUUUGAAGGUAUUAGAGUCUGUGAGUUUCUUAUUCCUCUUUCACCUCUCUUCGGCAUCCAUAAGUAUAAAAGAUUGAGAUGAUUUCCUGCAGUUUAGAGGGAUAGAAAUGUUUCAUGCGACCCCAUUAUUCUAUUCUAAUGGAAUGAUCUCACACAUUAUUGGAAGCGAGGAGUAGGUACAUUAACGAUGACCCCAUUAUUCGCCUAUACUUUGUCAAAAAGAAGAGAAAGUUACAUAUGUUGAGGAAGUCAAUAAGAUGAACAGGAUGGCUAUUCAUCACUAUUCAUUGGCAUUGAGAUAAUAGGAUUCAGAGAAGAGAGAAGAGAGAGGGAAAGAGUCAGAAAAGCCUACAUGUUGGUCCAGAUACUUGUUUUAGUAAGAGUCCAUGUGUCCUUUGAUCGAUACUCCCAAGGUAAAGCCUGCACCUUUUACAUGUAAGAAAUGAGGUUAGUAGAUGGGUUAGUCAGACAUUAUUAGGUAAGUUGUUGGCUAGAAUGGAUUUAGUUGCUAUAGUAUAUAAAGUGCAUCUAAAGUCGCCAUUGAUUUGAUGUGGCUUGCAACAGGUGAUGGUAGUAAGUUUAAAAUUGUUUGAAUCCCUGCAAAACCUUUUUAACAGGAUUAUUCUAUGUUUUUCUUGAUGACAAACAAAAGGAUAAGUCUGGGGGAGUUGAUAUAAAAUGAAUUUUACUUAUUUUAGACCAUGGUAAAAUUAUUUUAUUGAGUCUAUUAUAUCUGUUUGGAGUGUGUUUUAGAGUAUUUUGAGGUUCAGGUAUGUUCUGGAUACUUUGGUCAUUUUGGAGCUAUUCGAGAUGCAGAACUGCAUAGGUGCGUCUGAUGUAAGCUAUGGAUGGAGACCUUCCCAUAGUGCGAUUGCGCUGAUCUUUUGACACAAGAUACAGUUUUGAGUUAUCUUUCCAAUGCCAACGGUUUGAGGUCAAUCAGCAUCAUAUAGAAGUCGUUAUGCUUGUUUUACUGAAGAAUGGUACGCCUGACUCGCGAGAGGAAGCUGUCGAGGAUAUGGAAGAGUGUCGAUCGACACUAAUACAUAGGUAUCAAAUGACACUGAUGCCAUAACAUGGGCCGAGUCUAUUUUAUGACUGACUAAGGCCCAGAAGUCACCAUAAAUUACCUUAAUGCCCUUGGACGACUUGAUACAUAGUUUAUAUAGUUUUCUAAGCCAUUGUUGAUGACUAAGUUUUUGCAUUUCAUAUUUUAUUGUUUUCUCUUAAGUUUGGAGAGAAGAUUAAUUAUCCUUCAGUGGUUGAUUGGAACUCCUUGGUUUUUCUAUUUGAUUUAUAUGAUUUCUAUUCAGACCAUGAUUUGUGUUAUUGCUUUCAUGUCUAAGUAAUCAUCCUAUUAGAUUUAAGGAUUUCAUGAGCUUAAUGUCAAACUGAUAUUCAAUUAGAAUUGCUAGGAUUGUUUAUAGAUUUCUACACCAGGGUGGCUUAUAUACUAGGAUCUAGAGUAGUUAGAAUAACAUGAGAGUGUGACUAAUUGCUUGAACCUUGAACCAAAGGACAAUUGAGAGGCACGAGAGUGCAAUGAAUUAAUGGAACCCGAGCUCUGCUGUAUUAGAUACCUAGGCGAAUACAAGAGUUGCUCUAGGAAUUUAGUUAAACUUAAUCGGUAUCUAUAGACACCCUAUAGGUGUAUCGAUCUAUUCUCGUUUGGUAUCGCGUACGAGAUUAUGAAUAAAGAUUUAAACAUGUAGACUCACAGGAAGAGGUGGAGAUCUUAUAAUUGUAUUCGAGUUCUAGAAUUAAAUCUAUAAAAUCCUUAGCAUCCUUGAUUUGUGUUUUGAAUCCCUUGAAUAAUAAAUCCCUAGGUCUAGUGUUUUCUCCUUAUCACUUACAACUGUUAUAUCUAUUUUCCGUUUACUGUUAUACUAUUAUUUGCCUAGCUUGAUCUUAAUAUUUAUAGUCUAUUGUGUGUCCACGCUCCCUGUGGAUUCGAUCCUCAAAUACUACAAUGAACCUCUUAUUUGAGAGAGUAGCUUGAAAGUUAAUUUGAGCUUAUCAGAACUCUUCCAGAAAGAGUUAAGUUAUAAGCGGGAAUUUAAAAUAUAAGUGGGAAAUUAAAAUUUAAGCGGAAACUUAAAUUUCAGUGAAAACUGAAAUUUUAAAUCACAUGAAAGUUAAAAAAAGGUAUACAUUAUGAUCUAAGAAGACACAUUAAAGCACAUGACUUGAUACUCUUGAAAAUACUUAGCACUUUUGGAAGUUAAAAACUCAUCUUAAAGUUACUAAACACUCUUAAAAAUACAAGUUUACAAAAACUAACUGAUAUCACUCAAAUUACCCUAAGGAGUGAUUUGUAGUUUCUCAAAUAAGAGAUCGAGUUGUAGCACUUAGGGAUCGAAUUCCCAGGGAGAUAAGGCACACAAAAGAUUUAUUACCUAUGUGGUCAAGCUAGGCAAACAUGUUUAAAUGUAAAUAGCAGUGGUGUGAGCAAGGUAAUUGCUCGGUUGAUUGAUUGAGGUUUUGAAACAGAUAUGAAAGGCGUUAGAGUUAGGGUUUCUAUUCAGACUAAGUUAGAGUUAGGGUUUCUAUUCAGACUAAGUCUCAAAAAUACCUUAGAAGACUUACCGUGAAGUCUUCUCGAAUAAACAUGUUAGUUUUGCAAUUGACAGAAUUGUGUCAGAAAUUUGACUUUCUUUAGAAGACUUCCCUAGAAAUAUUCUCAACGUUGGUGGAAUUCUUCUCAUCGUCGAUGAAAGUCGUUUUAGGUUACUUUUGUAAUUUUCAAAUUGACAAUUGAAACUUAGAUAUAUAAUUUUAACAAGAAGACUUAAAUAUUUAAUUGUCAAAUUUGAUUUUCUUUAAAAGACAAAAUCUUGUCGACUUCCAUUGAAGUUUUCUGCCAUAAUACUUUCCUCGAAGUCUUCUAAUUAAAAUUAAAUAUUUAUUUUUCUUUGUCAAUUGCAAAAGUAACCUAAGACGGCUCUCACCAAAAGUAAGAUGACUUCCACCAAAAGUUGAGAAGACUUUAUGAAAAAGUCAAAUUUCUGACACAAUUCGGUCAAUUGUAAAACUAACAUGUUUAUCCGACAAGGUUUCCCGGUAGGUCUUCUCGUUUUUUUGUUAACAAAGAAAAGUUGGAAGAUUUCGAGAGAAGUCUUCUCUAAAAACACACAGAAAGUCAAUUGCAAAAUUAACCUUUUCAUUGGCCAGAAAACUUUUGUAGAAGUCUGGAGAAGACUUCUACAUAAAUUUUCUAUGCGAACAUAUCUAUAAAAAAAUUCAAAGAUGAUUAUUAGAUCAUGUGAGGUUCAUAUUUAACUUCUCCAAUCACAUAUAACUUUUUAGUGAAAGUUACCCAUUCAUUCUUGACCAAGAAUUAUGAACUUGAGUAAAUCUCAUAAGCUUAUAAAUUUUGAAAUAAAAAAGUUGGGAUUUUGGAAUGAAGUAAAAGAGGAAGUGAAAGGGAAAUGGUUUAUGUAUGUAAGAAAUAAGAAUACAAAGAUGUUGAUGUUAAUUGGGCUUUUUGCAAAAUUGACCUACAACUCAAAGUCAAACACAAAACUAAUCUCUCUUUUUUUUGGAAAUUUGUUUUGCUCUAUUCACCCCACAAGUUCAUAUAAUUCACGAAAAUGCCAUCAAUUUUUUUUCUUUUCAAAAAUGACAUUUUUACUCUCUCACCCUCAUCAUCUUCAAGUAAUUACAAGAUUGUCAUUGUCAUCAAUACCCUAACCACCAUGAACAACCAAUUUGAAGCUCUUAAUGCUCCCAAAAAUGAUUUACCAUUCUUCUUUCUCCAUUCUUAUGAACUAAACACAACAUAUCUCUCACUUUCUCUCCACAUUAAGCUAAAAACCCCAAAUGGAAGUCGUCUGGAAAACUUCCUGGAAGUCGUCUAGUGCAUUAUAUUUUAGACGACUAACAGGUAAGUCGUCCCAGAAGUCUUCCAGAUCUGAAAAACCUGCAUAUCCAAAAACGUUCAAAUGGCUUAAAACAUAAAAAAAUAAGUGGAAGAUUAGAUAAAUCUAUCUUUAUAGAACACACAAAAAUACAUAUCUAAAAUUAAUAGAUCUACCUUUAAAUGAGUGGAAGAUGAGUACCAUCUGAUUAAAACCCUGCAAAAAGAUAGAUUAGUAAGAAAGACAUGAGACAAAACUAAAAAAUUCAUAUAAAGUUUGGUGUUUUCAAGUCAAAGAGAUUAGAGUGGGUUUGGAGAGUUUUAGUUUGGGAAAAAAUUAAAAACUUUACACAACAAGAAGUUACCAAAUGAAGAAAAAUCAGACAUAAAAACUUACCAAAACACUCAGAUCUAUUAUGAAAGGAGAUUUCGUUAGAAGACUUCCAAGAAGUCCAGACGACUGAAAUGGAAGUCGUUUGGAAGACUUCCUCAAAGUCGUCUACUUCAUUAUAUAUUAGACGACUAACAGGUAAGUCGUCCCAGAAGUCUUCCAGAUCAGAAAAACCUGCAGAUCAAAUUCACAUAUGAAAAAUCUACAAUUAGAUAAAUCUACCUUUAUAGAACACACAAAAAUACAUAUCUAUAAUUAAUAGAUCUACCUUUAAAUGAGUGGAAGAUGAGUACCAUCUGAUUAAAAACCUGCAAAAAGAUAGAUUAGUAAGAAAAACAUGAGACAAAACUGAAAAAUUCAUAUAAAGUUUGGUGUUUUCAAGUCAAAGAGAUUAGAGAGAGGUGGAAGAGUUUUAGAAUGAUGAACAUUACAUUUUUGUUGCAUCCAUUUGAGAGGAGGAGAGAGAAUGUGUAAAUUUUUCUUUAUAUAGGGAGACAAAAAAUCCAAUUAUAUUAAAUAUUUUUUAUUCAGACUUCCUAGACGACUUAGUUGUAAGUCUUCCAGAAGACUUUAAUAUUUUUAGCGGGAAAUUAAAAUAUUUUUAGUGAAAAACUAAAAUAAAAGACUUCCGAGAUGAUCGGGUUUAAAUUAUUUAAGCGGGAAAAUAUUUUUUAAAAACAUUUUAGGCGGGAAUAUUUGAACGACAUACAUGUAAGUCCUCUGUUUUAAUUUCUUCAUCAGACGACUGAAAUGUAAGUCGUCUAGACCCUAAACAUAACCUCUAAACCUAAUUAACUAACUAAACACUUCAAAAAUUCAAAUUAAAUUUUAAAAGUGUUUACUAUACACAAAAAUAAACAUGCAUAGGUAAAAAUUUAAUUUUUCAAAAAAACAUUCAAGCUUUCCAAAAUCUAACCCUAAGAAUACAUACAAUACUACAACAUAUGUUGCCAAACCCUAGACCAAAGAAUACCAUGAUUCACUAUAUACACUCAUCUAUGUUGAAAACAAUUCAAUUUUGUUAAAUUUUAAUUUAUAUCACUUAAAACUGUUUAUAAUUACAUGAUUUUAAUUUUCGCUUAUCAAAAUAUUUUUAAAAAAAUUUAUAAAUUAUUUUUAAGAUCAGCUACACCAGAUGACUUACUUUGAAGUCGUUGAGACGACUUCCAACAUCUCAGACGACUCAGACGACUUACUGGGGCUAUAUUCGUAAAAAUAACUUCUGUUUUUUUGUUUGGUCACAAGGGGAUGCGCCGUAAUUUCACAAGGCUUUUAGGUUAGUUUGCAUUUGAUUCAAGUUUGGAUACAUGUUUGGGGUUAUAAUCAAGUUGUGGGUUAGUUUUGGCAAAUUCCCCAUGUUAAUUUUAGUUGCAUUUAAAGCUUGAAAUUGGUUGUUCAUAGUAGUUGAUGUUGGGGUCAAAAACGGUUACGGCGAAGUUAACAUUCAAAACGUCCGAAGAAGAAAAAGACAACUUUCUUCGACAAAUACUUUUUCGAAAUAGAUUCAUUCUUACGAAAAGCUUUGCGGAGAAAACACGAGACAUCAGACAAGAGCUCAAAAAAGGUCGCAACGCAGCGACCGAACGCGCGUUCCGUUCGGUCACUACAUAGUGACCGAGCGUCCGUCCCGCUCGGUCGCUACGUAGCAACCGAGCUCUUCCAAAACGUCGAUACGACACUAGUCCAUGCAUUCUCGUCUAUCCUUCGAUGCUAUCUCCCGAAGACCGUAGCAAACCCGUUUCAUGUUUUCCGCCAUUCUAAGUCAUCAAUCAAACUUUGCGGUAAAAACUGCAGAAAGUUCGUUCUUUUUCGAAAGAAGCCGUAAUAAACGCUUCGAGUUAGAAGACGGCCCAAAGGGACCUAAGACAUGACUCUAGGCCCAACUUACGGUUUAUUAAUCAACAGCCUGUAAGCCGCAUGACGGUUUACGCUUGGUUCGCAAGGAAAGAUAAAUGUCAAGUUUCUGCGGAUAAAUACGAAAUUUUGAAGAUAAUUACGAAGAUCGGAAAAAAUGAAAUAUCUCCAUUUUUAUGCUAUGACGGCUUAAGGGCAGAAGAGGAAAAGCAUAAACCGACCUAGGAGCAAGUAUAUAAGGAGUCCUAGGCGAGAGGAAUGGAGAGAGACUUUUCCGAGCAAACUUAGCACUUAGAGCGAUUUAGGCAUAUUUCCGUUUUUGUUAUUUCGAGCUGCGACUCAAUUAGGUUUAGCCGUCUUAGAGUUCCUAGAUCUAGGAAUCUCGCCGACAGCUCUCGAGCCCAGGCUUAAACCUUGUUGUAACACUCAAACACAGAUUUGAGAAUAAGAUCUAUUUUGCUCUCUUCUUACGAUUUUUAUACUUUGUCGUUGAUAUCUCGUGUUCUGAUUGCUUUGCGUGUGGUAUUAACAGAUCUCCGAGACCUCUGGGAAAUUAGAGUUUUUCUAGUUUCCUAAUUUAGACGGAAAUCGACAGUGCGAAUUUUGGUUCCUACAGUUUGGCGCUAGAAGGAGGGGGGGGGGUAUGGAUCAAUCUAACCCGCAAAAGCCACUCAACGAUCAGGAACGAUAUGCAAGACUCGACGUGCGCGAACGUCAUCUCUUUCAAGGGGGGAGCAACGAUAGAUCAAGCCAAACCUCGAAACAAUCUCCUUGUUAUCGAGCCGACGAUUCGAGAUAUCGACGUCGCUAGGGUGUUAAUCGACACCGGGAGUUCGGCCGAUAUCAUCUUCAAGGAUACUCUCGAAAAAAUGGGGAUCGAUCAAUCCGAAAUCGCAAAAUACCCUAGCCCACUACUGGGACUUUCGGGAGAAACAACAAUUGCCUACUGGUCGAUUAAUCUCGCAGUCAAAGCCGGAACCGUGACAAGAGUCACAGAGUUUCUAGUCGUUGAUCGUCCCGCAUCUUACAACGUUAUCAUGGGAACGCCAUGGUUGAACGCCAUGCGUGCCAUCCCAUCAACGUACCAUCUUUGUCUCAAGUUCCCAACCCCUAACGGAGUCGAGGUAAUAUGGGGAAAUCCGAGAGUAUCACAGGUGUGUUACGCCGCUGAACAAAAACGAAAAAGACAAGACCUCGAGACCACUCCUAGAAAAGCGGAGAAAAAGAUCUCCAACGUGGAUUCGCGAAGUGAAGAUUCAGCGGAACUCUUCUGGCAGUCUCGUAACAUCACAGCCCUAGAGGAAAAACGCGAACCAACUUGCGAACCUGUGGUCAUAGUCUGUCUCGACGAAGCAUUUCCGAAACGCCGCAUCGAGAUCGGAGCCAAUCUCCGUGAGCCUUUGAGGACAGAGCUCAUAACCUGUCUAAAAAAGAACCUCAAUACUUUUGCAUGGGCCGCGGAAGAUAUGCCAGGGAUUGACAUUAACAUAACGUGUCACGAAUUAAAUAUCGAUCCGACUUUCAAACCCGUAAAAAAAAUAGACGGAAGCUAGGACCCGAACGUGCUUCCGCGGUAAACAUCGAGGUCGAAAAAUUGCUUAAAGUCGAGUAAAAGGAAGUGAGGUAUCCAGACUGGCUCGCCAACCCUGUAGUAGUAAAAAAGAAAAACGGGAUAUGGCGAGUAUGCGUGGAUUUUACCGACCUAAACAAGGCCUGUCAAAAGCAUAGUUUCCCUCUGCCACAUAUCGAUCGAUUGGUAGAAGCAACGGCGGGUAACGAACUUCUGUCUUUCAUGGACGCCUUCUCAGGUUACAAUCAAAUUAUGAUGAACCCUGACGAUCGCGAGAAGACUGCAUUCAUUACCGAUCGCGGAACCUAUUGCUACAAGAUAAUGCCCUUCGGCCUCAAAAACGCUGGUGCAACUUACCAACGAUUCGUGAAACGUAUGUUCUCCAAGAAACUCGGUAAAACGAUGGAGGUCUAUAUCGAUGCAUGCUCGUCAAAUCCCUCCAAGCAAAGGAUCACGUAUCACAUCUCGAGGAAUGUUUCGCGCAGUUAAAAUUCCAUAACAUGAAGCUCAACCCGACGAAAUGCAGAUUUGCCGUCGCAUCAGGGGAGUUCCUCGGCUACCUAGUCACAUAACGCGGCAUCGAAGCUAAUCCAAAACAGAUCAACGCAUUGAUCGAGAUGGCUUCGCCAAAGAAUAAGCGGGAAGUCCAAAGACUGACCGGUAGAGUCGCAGCACUUAACUGAUUUAUUUCACUAUCAACGGACAAGUGCCUGCCCUUCUAUGAUGUUCUACGGGGAAAUAAAAAAUUCGAAUGGUCGGAAGAAUGCGAAAACGCUUUCCAAUAGCUGAAGCGGUACUUAGCUUCUCCUCCAGUCCUCGCCAAACCCGUGGAGGGGGAACCGUUGUUCUUGUACAUCGCCGUAUCGGCAACAGCUGUGAGCGGCGUCCUGAUCAGGGAAGAAUGCGGCGAACAGAAACCUAUUUUCUAUAUAAGCAAAACCUUGCUGGAUGGCAAAUCUAGGUGUGGGAACCGAAAUUCACACUGUCGAUUUCCGUUUAAAUAAGGAAACUAAGAAAACCCUAGUUUCCCAGAGGACCCGGAUAUCUGUUAAUUACCACACGUCAAGCAAUCAGAACACGAGAAUAACAACGAUAAAAAUAAGAAAUCAAAAAGAGAGCAAAGUAGAUCUUAUUCCGAAUCUGCGUAUGAGCGUUACAACAAGGUAUAAGCCUGGGCUCGAGAGCUGUCGGCAAGAUUCCUAGUUCUAGCAACCCUAAGACGGCUAAACCUAAUUGAGUUGCAGCUCGAAAUAACAAAAACGGAAAAUUGCCUAAAUUGCUCUAAGUGCUAAGUUUGCUCUGAAAAAGUUCUCCCCUCUGCUCCUCGCCUAGGACUCCUUAUAUACUAGCUCCAAGGUCGGUUUACGCUUUUACUCUUCUGCCCUUAAGCCGUCAUAGCAUAAAAUGGAGAUUUUCCAUUUUUCCCGUUCUUCAUAAUUAUCUUCAAAACUUCCGUAUUUAACCGCGGAAACUUGACAUUUAUCCUUCCUCGUGGGCCAAGCGUAAACCAUGCUGUGGUUUACGGGCUUUUGGUUAGGAAAAUCGCAGGAUGGGCUUCGAAUCGUGUUUUAGGUCCCUUUGGGCCGUCUUCCGACUCGACACGUUUACUACGAGUUUUCCGCGGUUUCUAAUCCGCGAAGUUUGAUCGAUGAAUUAGAAUAGCGGGAAACAUGGACUGAGCUUGCUACGGUCUUCGGGAGAUAGCAUUCGAAGGUUUGACGAGAAUGCAUGGACUGGUGUCGUAUCGAUGUUUGGAAAGGUUCAAUCGCUACACAGCGACCGAACUUUGGCUCGAGCCCGGUCGCUACGUAGCGACCGAGUGAGACGAGUGCUCGGUCGCUACGUAGCGACCAAGCUUUGGCUUGAGCUCGGUCGCUAUGUAGCGACCGAGCGGGACGAGCGCUCGGUCGCUACGUAGCGACCGAGCUUGGCUGAGCUCGGUCGCUACGUAGCGACCGAGCGGGACGAUCGCUCGGUCGCUACGUAGCGACCGAGCUUGGCUGAGCUCGGUCACUACGUAACGACCGAGCGGGACGAGCGCUCGGUCGCUACGUAGCGACCGAGCUUGGCUGAACUUGGUCGCUACGUAGCGACCUGUUUCGAGCUUUUCGUCGGACACCUCGACUCUUUCUUCCGUAGAGCUUUUUCGUAAGAAAUAGUCUAUUUCGUAUCAAUACUCUUCGGAGAGAUUCUUUUUUUCUCCUCUGACGUUUUGAAUGUUAAAUUCGUCGUAACCGUUUUUGACCCCAACACUAGGUACCCGCUAAUGGAAAAAUUAGCAUGCGCGGUCGUAACAUCGGCUCAAAAACUAAGACUGUAUUUCCAGUCCCACACGAUCAUCUUCCUCACGACCUUUCCCCUAAAGACGAUUCUGCAUAGCCCGAGUCUGUCGGGCCAACUGGCCAAGUGGGCAACCGAGUUGAGGGAGUACGAUAUCGAGUACCGACCGAGAACAAGCGCAAAAUCACAAGUGCUCGCAGACUUCUUGGUCGAACUACCGACGAAGACCAUAACCAACGAGGAACCAAAUUCCACAUGGCUCCUCCACGUCGAUGGAUCCUCAUCCAAGCAAGGAUCAGGUAUCGGAAUUCGCCUCACAUCUCCGAAAAACGAGAUCUUGGAGCAAUCAUUCAGGCUGGAAUUCCACGCCUCAAACAACGAGGCCGAAUACGAAGCACUCAUCGCAGGGCUGCGUUUGGCUCACGGCUUGAAGAUACGCAACAUCCACGCUUACUGCGACUCCCAUCUAGUGGCGAGUCAAUUCAGCGGAGAGUACAAAGCCAGGGACGAAUGGAUGGACGCGUACCUCAAACUAGUCCAAAAUCUAGCUCAAGAGUUUGACUGUUUUGCUCUUACGCGAAUCCCCCGUUCCGAAAACGUCCAGGCAGAUGCUCUCGGGGCCCUAGCAUCAAGUUCUGACUCAGGACUUAAAAGAGUAAUUCCGAUCGAGUUCGUCGAGCACCCGAGCAUCGGACCAUCAAUCGUCGUCAACCUCAUAAAAGGUCAAGAUGACGAGGAAGAAGAAGUUACGGUACAACCGCAAUCGGAGCAAUCUGAUUACGGCUGCGAUACUCCAUGGCUUCAGACAAUUCGAGACUACAUUAUCGACAGACAACUGCCCACCGAGAAAUGGGCAGGCCACAAAGUCCGAACACAGGCUGCGCGCUACGUAAAUGUGGAUGGCGAAAUUUACAAGUGGAGAUUCUCCGGACCACUCAUGACGUACCUGGAAGGGAAAAAAGCGAGAAAAGUGAUGGAGGAAGUACAUUCUAGGUCAUGCGGCAACCGUUCCGGUGGAAGAUCGCUGGCAGUAAAAAUCAAACGCCAUGGAUACUACUGGCCGACGAUGAUUGGAGAUUGCGAGAAGUUUGCGCGAAAAUGCGAAAAAUGCCAAAGGCAUGCUCCAACCAUCCGACAACCAGCCAAAGUUCUCUCCUCCAUCACAUCGCCCUAUCCCUUUAUGCGCUGGGCCAUGGAUAUCGUCGGACCCCUUCAUAAUUCAAAGCGUUUCCUUUUAGUCCUUACCGAUUUCUUCUCAAAAUGGGUAGAGGCAGAUUCGUACGCAAGUAUAAAAGAUGUCCAAGUCGAAAGUUUCGUAUGGAAAAACAUCAUCUGUAGGGAUGGAGUUCCUUACGAGAUCGUAAGCGAUAACGGAUCUCAGUUUAUCUCCACCCGGUUCGAGGCGUUUUGCGAAAAAUGGAAGAUACGACUCAACAAGUCGACGCCCAGGUAUCCGCAAUGUAACGGACAAGCUGAAACGAUCAAUAAAACUAUUCUCGACGGACUGAAGAAACCCUUAGAGGCCAAAAAACGCAGGUGGGCCGACGAACUCGAGGAAGUCCUCUGGUCCCACCGUACCACCCGGAGGCGGGCAACGGGAGAAACCCCUUUCGCUCUGGUGUACGGAACGGAAUGCAUGAUUCCCUCAAGUAGAGUUCCCAGUGUUCGAAGAAGAUUACUUCCCGAACGAGAUGAGCUCAAUAACGCCAUGCUCCUGGAUGAUCUCGAUCUCAUUAACGAGCGCCAAGAUCGAGCGCUCAUCCGAAUCCAAAAUUACCAACACGCUGUCGCAAAGUACUAUAAAUCCAACGUACGGAAUCACAGAUUUAAUCAAGGAGAUCUGGUCCUUUGCAAAGUCUUCCAAAACACCGCUGAACGAAACGCGAGAAAAAUUGGAGCAUACUGGGAAGGACCCUAUAAAAUCGAAAAAGUCGUCUGACCAGGACCUGGAACACGAUGCAUCUCAAAAAAUACUAUCACUAAACAAACUAACUCGCAAUGACCGAACUACGAGACGGCUUGAUCUCCAUAAGGAGUACGUAGGCAGUUGUCAAAAGGCAAAUUCAGCUAUCCUCCCUCAUUAAAAAAAGGGGGGGGGGGGUGGGGGGGAGUGGAUACGUAUACUCGUAUACUCUCAAAUUCUAAAACAUAUGACCACGCCUUCGAUGUUUCCGACAUAUCUUAACCAAGCAAAUUAUUUUUUAUCCGCAAAUCAUUUUCGACAUUCGGAAAUAAAUCAGCCGUUAGGGAGAAGCAACCUUUGGCAUCGCGAGAUAUCGCAAGAGAUGCCUCGAGAGUUACUUCUUCCGAACGACGAAUACGGAACCUCCGUCACAAAAAAAAAACAAUGAACAUUUUAGCACAUAUUUUGCGCAAAAACUCCAAACGGCGGCAUUUGCCGCCAAGUUCGGUGAUGAUCACAUCGAACUCUCGAACGUCCUAAACAGACAUAGCCAUCUCACAAAGAUGACUCUCGUACAUUCGACACUAGGAUAAUAGCGCUAAAAAAGAAACCCAAAAUUUUGGUCCAGCACUUCCGGUUGGCUUAAAAAUUAUCUCCGGAGAGAUGCUUGAUUCAUAUCUAACAGAGAACCUAUCGCGGACUUUAAAUUGGUACGAAUCAGGUUAAAAUCACGACAGAUAAACGAUAGCCGGCUAGUCACUGCAUAAAUCUUAAAACCGAAAGUAAACAUAGGUCUUGCCCUAAACCCAGCGCACUGGUCUCUAACAUCUCAAGGCAUGAUAUCCAAAAGAUACGAGAUCCCAAAACCAUGCCUCUAUGUUUAUAUUCGACAUCUUCAGAUAUCCCGCGAAGUCUAUAUCUCACAGUAAAACUCUCGAAACGGAUCUCGAACAAAACAUUUCACAUCGAAGAAGGAUAUGAGACGACAACUCAUCACCCUUCUUCCACGCCAUACGUAAACUUAUGAAAAAUGCAACUCGAUCAUCUUGUCAUAAGAAGAAAGCCGCAGAGCGGCAGGGAUUCAAAGCCACAUACGGCCAGUCCCGAAACAUGACAUAAGACCAUUUAAGGCUGAAACAAGAAACAUAAAAAAAAUCUCUCGCAAGAGAUCUAACCAAAGUCAUCCUCAGAACUCACGCUCCCUUUUCACCCGUCGCUUCGUCCAAGCCUGUAGUCGCUUCUUCCUCUGGGUCUUCUGAACACGUCGGAAGGAAGCACGCGGAUUUCAGGUCAGCUAGAAUGAGAUUGAAAUCUCCAUCCACGACUGCAAAUCUCCCUUGCAGCUGGAUAGUCGGGCCUCUUCGGCCUCUAAGGUCGUAGAAGUCUCACUCUAGAACGACUGAACCACGGCCAUCAUGCCCUCAAUCGUCGCCAAGGCUAAAUCCCUGCUCCAGAUGCACUCGAGGGAGCCCAGAAAGGCAUAGAUCUUCGCCAAGCGAGCCUGAAACUCAUAGCGAAGAGCGUCCGUGGCCUCUCGGAUCCCGCGGAUUGCUAAUCCUGCAUCGCCCUCGAUCUGAUGCUGAAGCCGACGCACCUCCAAAGAUUUGGCCUUCCCGGCCUUCUUCUCCUUAAGCAGUGAACUCACCGUCUUCCCGAGGUCCCUAUCGAGCUCGCCUAUGGCGACCUCGAGUUUCGACACUUUUGCGGAGUGAGAAUCCUUUACAGCCGUCAGCAUGGCCUCGGUUUCAGACCAUCUACCCUGAAACUCCGACAACUCCCCGGCAAGACGACUGGUCUCAGAACCGCACUCGCUGAUCAUCCCAUCGAUCAACGACAUGAACUGCGAAACGAGAAAAAUGUUAGGGAUUUUUUGUUUAAAAAAAUAUAUAUAUAUAUAUAUUAAUAAUCAAGAGAUUAAGUGAGCGACAAACCUUUCCGCGAAGCCCCGACGCUAUGCUCGAGCCACCUUGCUGCGAAGAUUCCCCGUCACCGCCCUUGGUAAACUUCCUCUUCCGGCCCUUAGGCUGAGCAAACGGAACAGAACUAGGAGCGCGCAGCGCUAGAACGAUCUCUUUCCAGGCCGGAGGAGGAGGCAUAGAGUCAGCAGCCCUCUCCUUAUCCUCGACGAGAAUCAGAGUCAUGGACGAUCCGGCAGGUAGAGCCGAAGCAUCCGGAACGCCAGAGCCCAUAAGAGUUUCCGCGUCUUGCAGAGUCACGACCUCGGUCCUGUGGCCCGGCGCAAUGGCCAGUGCAGAAGAGGAUGGGAACUCGGUGCCAGCUCGAACCAUUUCCUUCUCGACUUGGGGACGAACUAGUCUCUCUCGAAAGGAUAGAUGGUCAGCAACGCAAGCCGGCGCUUCGACCGGAGAAAUCGGAAUCGGAGCCGGAGAGGUGGCCUCGCCCAUCUCAACGUCGGAACUUCUCUUGUCACCGUGGGAAGAAGACAUGUUGAAGGCAAAAGUUUUGGAGCUAAAGAGGUUUUGGAGGUUUGAAGAAGGGAAGGUGUGAAGCAAAUGAAUGACAAGAGCUCACUACUUAUAGAAGUAUGGGCUCGGAAUUUUAUAUAUUUUUAAUAUAUACUUUCCCGAGAAUUAUCUUCCACGGAGUUUAAAGUAAACUUCGUCCAAUACGCCUAACUUUGCCAAAAUCGUCAAACCGCGCGCUAGAGUCUUGACUCUAACGAGCUGAGGGGCUAACUGUUGGGGUCAAAAACGGUUACGACGAAGUUAACAUUCAAAACGUCCGAAGAAGAAAAUGAGAACUUUCUUCGACAAAUACUUUUUCGAAAUAUAUUAUUUCUUACGAAAAGCUUUGCGGAGGAAACACGAGACAUCGGACAGGAGCUCGAAAAAGGUCGCUACGCAGCGACCGAACGCGCGUUUCGCUCGGUCGCUACGUAGCGACCAAGCAUCCGUCCCGCUCAGUCGCUACGUUGCGACCGAGCUCGAGCCAAUCUCAGAUACGUAUACUCGUAUACUCUCAAAUUCUAAAACAUAUGACCACGCCUUCGAUGUUUCCGACAUAUCUUAACCAAGCAAAUUAUUUUUUAUCCGCAAAUCAUUUUCGACAUUCGGAAAUAAAUCAGCCGUUAGGGAGAAGCAACCUUUGGCAUCGCGAGAUAUCGCAAGAGAUGCCUCGAGAGUUACUUCUUCCGAACGACGAAUACGGAACCUCCGUCACAUAAAAAAAACAAUGAACAUUUUAGCACAUAUUUUGCGCAAAAACUCCAAACGGCGGCAUUUGCCGCCAAGUCCGGUGCUGAUCACAUUGAACUCUCGAACGUCCUAAACAGACAUAGCCAUCUCACAAAGAUGACUCUCGUACAUUCGACACUAGGAUAAUAGCGCUAUAAAAGAAACCCAAAAUUUUGGUCCAGCACUUCCGGUUGGCUUAAAAAUUAUCUCCGGAGAGAUGCUUGAUUCAUAUCUAACAAGUCCGAGAACCUAUCACGGACUUUAAAUUGGUACGAAUCAGGUUAAAAUCACGACAGGUAAACGAUAGCCGGCUAGUCACCACAUAAAUCUUAAAACCGAAAGUAAACAUAGGUCUUGCCCUAAACCCAGCGCACUGGUCUCUUACAUCUCAAGGCAUGAUAUCCAAAAGAUACGAGAUCCCAAAACCAUGCCUCUAUGUUUAUAUUCGACAUCUUCAGAUGUCCCGCGAAGUCUAUAUCUCGCGGUAAAACUCUCGAAACGGAUCUCGAACAAAACAUUUCACAUCGAAGAAGGAUAUGAGACGACAACUCAUCACCCUUCUUCCACACCAUACGUAAACUUAUGAAAAAUGCAACUCGAUCAUCUUGUCAUAAGAAGAAAGCCGCAGAGCGGCAGGGAUUCAAAGCCACAUACGGCCAGUCCCGAAACAUGAAAUAAGACCAUUUAAGGCUGAAACAUGAAACAUAAAAAAAAUCUCUCGCAAGAGAUCUAACCAAAGUCAUCCUCAGAACUCACGCUCCCUUUUCACCCGUCGCUUCGUCCAAGCCUGUAGUCGCGUCACCUCCGUUUUCUCCGACCACUGGAUCUUUCCCCUCUGGGUCUUCUGAACACGUCGGAAGGAAGCAUGCGGAUUUCAGGUCAGCUAGAAUGAGAUUGAAAUCUCCAUCCACGACUGCAAAUCUCCCUUGCAGCUGGACAGUCGGGCCUCUUCGGCCUCUAAGGUCGAAGGAGUCUCACUGUAGAACGACUGAACCACGGCCAUCCUGCCCUCAAUCGUUGCCAAGGCUAAAUCCCUGCUCCAGAUGCACUCGAGGGAGCCCAGAAAGGCAGAGAUCUUCGCCAAGCGAGCCUGAAACUCAUAGCGAAGAGCGUCCGUGGCCUCUCGGAUCCCGCGGAUCGCUAAUCCUGCAUCGCCCUUGAUCUGAUGCUGAAGCCGACGCACCUCCGAAGAUUUGGCCUUCCCGGCCUUCUUCUCCUUAAGCAGUGAACUCACCGUCUUCCCGAGGUCCCUCUCGAGCGCGCCUAUUGCGACCUCGAGUUUCGACACUUUCGCGGAGUGAGAAUCCUUGACAGCCGUCAGCAUGUCCUCGGUUUCAGACCAUCUACCCUGAAACUCCGACAACUCCCCGGCAAGACGACUGGUCUCAGAACCGCACUCGCUGAUCAUCCCAUCGAUCAACGACAUGAACUGCGAAACAAGAAAAAUGUUAGGGAUUUUUUGUUUAAAAAAAUAUAUAUAUAUAAUAAUAAUCAAGAGAUUAAGUGAGCGACAAACCUUUCCGCGAAGCCCCGACGCUAUGCUCGAGCCACCUUGCUGCGAAGAUUCCCCGUCACCGCCCUUGGUAAACUUCCUCUUCCGGCCCUUAGGCUGAGCAAACGGAACAGAACUAGGAGCGCCCAGCGCUAGAACGAUCUCUUUCCUGGCCGGAGGAGGAGGCAUUGAGUCAGCAGCCCUCUCCUUAUCCUCGACGAGAAUCGGAGUCAUGGACGAUCCGGCAGGUAGAGCCGAAGCAUCCGGAACGGCAGAGCCCAUAAGAGUUUCCGCGUCUUGCAGAGUCACGACCUCGGUCCUGUGGCCCGGAGCAAUGGCCAGUGCAGAAGAGGAUGGGAACUCGGUGCCAGCUCGAACCAGUUCCUUCUCGACUUGGCGACGAACUAGUCUCUCUUGAAAGGAUAGAUGGUCAGCAACGCAAGCCGGCGCUUCGACCGGAGAAGUCAGAAUCGGAGCCGGAGAGGUGGCCUCGCCCAUCUCAACGUCGGAACUUCUCUAGUCACCGUGGGAAGAAGACAUGUUGAAGGCAAAAGUUUUGGAGCUAAAGAGGUUUUGGAGGUUUGAAGAAGGGAAGGUGUGAAGCAAAUGAAUGACAAGAGCUCACUACUUAUAGAAGUAUGGGCUCGGAAUUUUAUAUAUUUUUAAUAUAUACUUUCCCGAGAAUUAUCUUCCGCGGAGUUUAAAGUAAACUUCGUCCAAUACGCCUAACUUUGCCAAAAUCGUCAAACCGCGCGCUAGAGUCUUGACUCUAACGAGCUGGGGGGCUAACUCUUGGGGUCAAAAACGGUUACGACGAAGUUAACAUUCAAAACGUCCGAAGAAGAAAAUGAGAACUUUCUUCGACAAAUACUUUUUCGAAAUAUAUUAUUUCUUACGAAAAGCUUUGCGGAGGAAACACGAGACAUUGGACAGGAGCUCGAAAAAGGUCGCUACGCAGCGACCGAACGCGCGUUUCGCUCGGUCGCUACGUAGCGACCAAGCAUCCGUCCCGCUCGGUCGCUACGUUGCGACCGAGCUCGAGCCAAGCUCGGUCGCUACGUAGCAACCGAGCUCUUCCGAAACGUCAAUACGACACUAGUCCAUGGAUUCUCGUUUAUCCUUCGAUGCUAUCUCUUGAAGACUUUAGCGAACCCAUUUCAUGUUUUCCGCCAUUCUAAGUCAUCAAUCAAACUUUGCGGUAAAAACUCUGGAAAGUUCGUUGUUUAUCGAAAGAAGCCGUAAUAAACGCUUCGAGUUAGAAGACGGCCCAAAUGGACCUAAGAAAUGACUUGAGGCCCAACUUACGGUUUCUUAAUCAACAGCCCGUAAGCCGCAUGAUGGUUUACGCUUGGUUCGCAAGAAAAGAUAAAUGUCAAGUUUCCGCGGAUAAAUACGAAAUUUUGAAGAUAAUUACGAAGAUCAGAAAAAUGGAAUAUCUCCAUUUUUAUGCUAUGACGGCUUAAGGGCAGAAGAGGAAAAGCGUAAACCGACCUAUGAGCAAGUAUAUAAGGAGUCCUAGGCGAAAGGCAUGGAGAGAGACUUUUUCAGAGCAAACUUAGCACUUAGAGCGAUUUAGGCAUAUUUCCGUUUUUGUUAUUUCGAGCUGCGACUCAAUUAGGUUUAGCCGUCUUAGGUUUGCCAGAACUAGGAAUCUCGCCGACAGCUCUCGAGCCCAGGCUUAUACCUUGUUAUAACGCUAAAACACAGAUUCGGAAUAAGAUCUAUUUUGCUCUCUUCUUACGAUUUUUAUACUUUGUCGUUGAUAUCUAGUGUUCUGAUUGCUUAGCGUGUGAUAUUAAGAGAUCUCCGGGACCUCUGGGAAAUUAGGGUUUUCCUAGUUUCCUAAUUUAGUCGGAAAUCGAUAGUGCAAAUUUCGGUUCCCACAGUUGAUGUACUGAUGAUAAUGACAAUGUUGUAAAUAAAUUAAGAAGAUAAGGAUGAUUGAGUAAAAUAUAAGCAUUUUUCGUAAAUAAUAUAAAUUUUUAGGAUAAAUAGGACAAAUGAAUUUUUUUUUUAAAAAAGCCAUGGUGUUAGUUUCCAUUUGACUUUUUGUUUUGAGUCAUUUUGCAAAAAAUACCCGUUUUAGAACCAUAAUAAAAUCUCUAAAAAACUUCCUAAUGAAACUAAAAUAUGUUAUACUAAUAUAUUAAAUAUAUUAAAAUUUAAAAAUAAGCAGUAAGAAACAAAAUAUUUCACGCUAAUUCAAAUAGUUCAUAUUUUUAAUCAUACAUUUUGAACACAGAAUAUAUUUUUGUCAACUGAACACAAAAUAACUGUAAUUUUAUAACUUGGAAAUAAUUCUUAAUCAAAUAUAUAACAAAUAAAAUUUUAUAAAUUUUACAUAUAUAUAUAUAUAUAUAUAUAUAUUUAAUAUGUACAAAUUUAUUUAAAAAGUAGGAUGAGAAAUAAACUCGAUAAUAAAUAUCCACAUCUAUAUAUGUAUAUCAUGUUUUGAAAUGGUAAUUUAAUAAUUGAAUGUAUAAAAAAAGUGGUUUGGAAUAAAAAUAAAAUGUUAGUAUCAUCUUAUAUAAUUUUCAUACAUGUGAAUAAAUGAAAGUUACAAAAUAUAUUUAUCAAUUUAUAUCAUAAACCAAAAAUAAGUAUAUAUAACUUAUCUAAACUAAAAGAUUUAAUAAAUUUAAUUGUAUUUAUAUAUUUGUAUUCAAUUUAAAAGUUUCUAUUUAAAAGAUACAAAUUUAAUUACUAAACGUCAUUUAAUCCAAAUGUAUAGUUACUUUUAACAUUCUUUCAUAUAUAAAAUAUUAAUUUUAAAUAUAAUUAUAAUAUCUGAUAAUUAAAAUAAAUUAUCUUUAAUAAUAAGAGAUAUUUAAUUUUCAAUAAAAAAUAAAUAAAUUGUAUAUAAUAAAGGCAGUUUAAAAAAUAAAAUUUUAAAAAUUAACCAUUCUAAUUUAUUUUGAAACCCUAAUUAUUUAUUCAUAUAACAAGAUUUAUUUCGUUUUAAAUAUAAUAACAGAUUAAAUUCAUACAAAAUUAUGUAUAUAUAUAGUAACAAUAAGUAUUAGGUUUUCAUGUUGCUUUCCUAAUUUAAGUAAAUUUUUGUUAAAAAAAUUUCAGUUACUUUUCAUUGAAUAAAUUACAAUUUUGAAAAAAUGUAUGAGAAGUGUCAAUAAAUUUGAGAAAAAAAAUUAAUAUUUUUCGCGUUAAACAAAAUUGACUACAGUUUAGAAAAUCAUUAUAUUAACUAUCAAGGUUAAAGUAUAAUAAAGGAGAAUUUGCCAAAACUAACGUACAACUUGAUUUUAACCCCAAACAUAUAUCCAAAUUUGAAUCAAAUGCAAAACUAACCUAAAAACCUUGUGAAAUUACAGUUCAGCUCCUUGUGACCAAACAAAAAACAUAAACCAUUUUUACGAAUAUAUCCCCAGUAAGUCGUCUGAGUCGUCUGAGAUGUUAGAAGUAGUCUAGACGACUUACUUGUAAGUCAUCUUGUACCAGUUUAUCUUAAAAAUAAUUUAUAAAUUUUGAAAAAAAUAUUUUGAUGAGUAAAAAAUAAAAAUCAUGUAAUUAUAAACAGUUUUAAGUGAUAUAAAUUAAGAUAUGAUAAAAUUGAUUUGUUUUCAAGAUAGAUGAGUGGAAGUAGUGAAUCAUGAGAUUCUUUGGUUUAGGAGUUUGGCAAACAUAUGUUGUAGUAUUGUAUGUAUUCUUAGGGUUAGAUUUUGGAAAGUUGAAAUAUUUUUUUCAAAAAUUAAUUUUCACUUAUAUAUGUUUAUUUCUGUGUAUAAUAAACACUUUUCAAGUUUGAUUUGAUUUUAUGAAACAUUUAAUUAGAUAAUUAAUUUUAGGGGUUAUGUUUAGGGUGUGGACAGCUUAUAUUUCAGUCGUCUGGUGAAUAAUUUUACUCAGACGACUUAUAUUUCAGUUGUCCAAAUAUUCCUGCCAAAAUUUUUAAAAAAAAUUAUUUUCCCGCUUAAAUAAUUUAAACCAGACGACUUACAUGUAAAUCGUCUAGGAAGUCUUCUAUUUUAGUUUUCCGCUAAAAAUAUUUUAGUUUCCUGCUAAAAAUAAUAAAAGUCUUCUGGGUGACUUACAAGUAAGUCGUCUGAAUCAAAAAUAUUUAACCUAAUUGGAUUUUUUGUCUCCCUAUAUAAAAAAAAAAUUACACAUUCUCUUUCAUUCUCUCAAAUGGCUGCAACAAAAAUGUAAUGUUCAUCAUUCUAAAACUCUUCAACCUCUCUCUAAUCUCUUUGAACUUAUAAACACUAAGUUUUAUAUCAAUUUAUUAUUUUUGUCUCAUGUCUUUCUCACUAAUUUAUCUUGUUUUUGCAUGAUUUUAAUAAGAUGGUUCUCAUCUUCUACUCAUUUAAAGGUAGAUCUAUCAAUUUUAGAUAUGUAUUUUUGUGUGUUCUAUAAUGGUAGAUUUAUCUAAUCUUCCACUAAUUUUUUCUGUUUUAAGCAAUUUGAACGUUUUUGGAUAUGCAGGUUUUUCAGAUCUGGAUUUGGAUAUGCAGGUUUUUCAGAUCUGGAAGACGUCUGGGACGACUUACAUGUUAGGCGUCUAAAAUAUAAUGCGCUAGACGACUUUCAGGAAGUCUUCCAGACGACUUUCAGGAAGUCUUCCAGAAGACUUCCAGGAAGUCGUCAGUCGUCUGACAAAGUCUUCUCCCAUGUCUCUCCCUUUCAUAACAGAUCUAAGCGUUUUGGUAAGUUUUUAUGUCUGAUUUUUCUUCAUUUGGUAACUUUUUGUUGUAUAAAGUUUUUACCUUUUUCCCAAACUAAAACUUUUCAAACCCACUCUAAUCUCUUUGACUUGAAAACACCAAAUUUUAUAUGAAUUUUUCAGUUUUGUCUUUUUACAGGUUUUUAAUCAGAUGGCUCUCAUCUUCCACUUAUUUAAAGGUAGAUCUAUUAAUUUUAUAAAUGUAUUUUGGUGUGUUCUAUAAAGGUAGAUUUAUCUAAUCUUCCACUCAUUUUCUCUGUUUUUAAGCCAUUUGAACGUUUUUUGAUAUGCAGGUUUUUCAGAUCUGGAUUUGAUAUGCAGGUUUUUCAGAUCUGGAAGACUUCUGGGACGACUUACCUGUUAGUCGUCUAAAAUACAAUGCGCUAGACGACUUCCAGGAAGUCUUCUUCCAUAUCAAGUGGAGUCCACGCUUGUCUUUGUAGAGGAAUGAUCUAUAAUAAUUUUGUUUGUGGUCUGUUUUGUGAUUUGCAUGUCUACUCUCUUAUUUGUAAAUUUUUUAUAAAAUCAGUAAUAAUGUUUCCCAAGAUGUAAUAUAUGUGCUAACAAUGUGUUUACAAAUUUACAAAUAAAUGAAAUAAUAUACUUCAAUAGUCUUUUUCUUAUCUUUGGAUCUCACAUAUGCAAUAUUAAACUCCAAUGGCCUUCUUCUCAUCUUAAUAAACAAGAAUGUUGGUAGUCUCAUAUUGAUAUAAUAUUUUAAGAAAAAUUUUAACCCUUCUUCCAACUCAUAACAAUAAUCAUCAUUGGCGUCUAUAACAAUAAUACUUAAGAGAUGAAAACAAACAAUAGUAACUAGUCAAAGCAUAUCACAUUUUUUACAAGUUUGUGUUGAAAAAUUUAGUCAAAUUUAGUAAAACUUGGUUACCCAAAACGUUUUAGUCACAUGUUUCACACUUGCUCUGACCUUCCAUUGACAACCACUAACACGACAUGUUGCCACAAAGAGAGUUUUCGUUGACUUGUAUAUUCUAACAUUCAUCUUUCAACAAUCAUUCUCUAUACACUGCAUGUAACUGACGCAUCUUCUGAAAAAGUUAAAAUAAAACACAUUAGCAAACAUAGAACAAAGAAAAUGAAAGUUUAUUAAAGAUCGACGCAGACGACUUCAAUCUAAGUCUUCCAGACAACUAAAAUAUAAGUCUUCUGGUCAACGCAGAGGUUAUCUUUUCAAUUGACUUUGAAAUCUGUUAUCUGAGACGGCUGGAAAAUAAGUCGUCUACUUUUAUUUGGUUAAAAAAAAAUCCAAAAAAGCUAGACGACUUACAUUUCAGUCGUCAUAGGUUAGUUUUGCAUUUGACUGGAUUAUUUCAGAAGUUUGAAUUUCCUGGACGACUUACAUUUCAGUUGUCUGGUGAAAAAUUGAAAUAUCAAUAUUUUAUUAAAACUCGACGACUUACAAUUAAGUCGUCAUAGGUUAGUUUUGCAAUUGAAAAAAAAAACUUCAAUAUUUAAUUAUAUAUAGACGACUUACAAUUCAGUCGUCCAGGAUUUAAGAGGUUUGACCAGAAUCUCGGAAUAAAAUUCUGGACGACUUACAUGUAAGUCGUCUGGCGGACGACUGAUUUGUAAGUUGUCUGGGUAUAAUUAGAUAUUGAAGUUUUUUUUUCAAUGGCAAAACUAACCUACGACGACUUACAUGUAAGUCGUCGGAUUUUAAUAAAAUAUUGAUAUUUCAAUUUUCCACCAGACGACUGAAAAAUAAGUCGUCCAGGAAAGUCAUAAUUCCGACAAAAUCCAGUCAAAUGCAAAACUAACCUAUGAUGACUUACAUGUAAGUCGUCUAGGUUUUUUGGAGUUAUUUUUGUAACCAAACAAAAGUAGACGACUUAACUUUCAGUCGUCUCAGAAAACAGAUUUCAAAAGUCAGUUGCAAAAAUAACCUCUGCAUUGACCAGACGACUUCCAGGUAAGUUGUCUAUAGUCAGACGACUUACCUGGGAAGUCGUCUGGACGAACAUAUCUGUAAAAAAAAAACUCGAUUUCAUACCUUAAAUUGGUGAAAUAACUUCCUUAGCACACAUAAGGCUUCUCCAAGCACACAAAAUCUCAAACGAAAGUGACCCACCCAGAAUCGUUAGCUUCUAUGACUCUAUGAACCAUAAAAAAUGUAGAAUCAAAAUCUUGAGUUUUUUUAGCUGAAUGUGGAGAGAAAGUGAGAGAGAUGCUGUGUUUAGUUCAUAAGAAUGGAGAAAGAAGAAGGGUAAAUCUAUUUUGGGAGCAUUAAGAGAUUCAAAUUGGUUGUUUAUGGGGGUUGGGGUAUUGAUGACAAUGGCAAUCUUGUAAUUACCUGAAGAUGAUGAGGGUGAAAGAGUAAAAAUGCCAUUUUCGAAAGAAAAAAAAUAUGAUGGUAUUUUCGUAAAUUAUAUGAACUUGUGGGGUGAAUAGGGCAAAACUAAUUUCCAAAAAAAAGAGAGGUUAGUUUUGUGUUUGACUUUGAGUUCUAGGUCAAUUUUGCAAAAAGCCAUAUAAUAAAUACUCAUAACAAAGUAAAAUAACUACAUUACUUAGAAAUAUUUUAAUGGUGAAACAAGUAUACACUAUUUCGAAAAAUAAAAAAUUAAAACUAAAACAAAAAAUAGUAAGAAAUUUAAACAAAAAUAAAUUAAGCAUUACAAAAUUUUCAUUAAAUUUAUGUAUAUUUAUAUUAUUUUAUGCAUAUAAUUACUCGCUAGUAAGGCAGGUUUAGUCAUUGUAAAUAUAUAUAACACCACUAAAUAAAAGCAAAAUAUAUCAUCAUUCAAACUAUCUGAAUAGUGUAUUACGCCGCAACGAAACUGAGACAGAAAAUGAAUCUCUUUAUAACAAACAAGUUCAAUGGAAAGGAACAGUAAAAAUUAAGAAGAGAAAUAACAAAAAUAAUGAUUUACACAUAAUAAAAAACCAAACAUUUUAAGGUAAAAACAAGGGUUGCCUGCCUAUUCCCCCCUCAAACACAUUUACCCUACUUAUUCCCCCCCAAACUAUUAAGCUCUUCAUAAAUCCACCCAAACAUAAACUUUCUCUUUAAAUCUCCCCCUAAACUCUUUUUACCUCCCUCUCUAAUCAAUUUCGAAAUCAAAAUUAAAAGAAUUAAAAGUGCGUUUAGAAAACAGUGAUUGCCCAAUUUAAGAAAACCAGACCCGAUCCGGCGUUUGAAAACCCGACCCAGACUUAACUUAAAAACAAAAACAAAUUGGAGAUUUAAUUAAAAUCAGAAUCAAAUUGGGGCUUCGUGUUUUUUUUCUAUUUUUUGCCCCAACACAGAACAACGACUGAAGAGACGAAUUGGGGAUACUGAAAUUAGGGUUUGUCGCAGUGCUCAUGACACAAACGAAGAAGAUGUCAGAGAAAGAGAAGAGAAUCCAGAGGAGAGAGAGACAGUGAGGAACGACGAUGUUGAAGGGGCUGUUGUUGUUAAUGUAUUUGUACUCAUGUUUGGUUUUGUGGCAGGGCAGGUUCUUCUCAUGUCCAUGAAGAGAUCAGACUUACACAACCUACUCAAUCUAUUCAAGCUCAUGACUAGUAGUUCUUUUGUUGUAGUUUAAAACUCAAAAAUUCCUUUUUAAUGUCCUUUGUGGCUUUUGUUGUUCUUUAAAACUCUUGGUCGAAUGUACUUGGUGUCUUUUCUUGUGGUUAAAACUUGUCCUACAUAAGAACUUCAACAGAAAACAGUAGAAGAAAAAGACAUCUCAAAAUUAAGAGACAUAGAAAAAAAAACAGAACACAAUUAAAUAAGCAAGCAAAUAAAAUAUUUGCUGUCAAAGUUACGAACACCUUUCAACUAUGUACCUUGAACAAGCAUUCAAACCAAAAGAAAAAAAAAGAGUUGAUUGAGAUGUGAAAACGCUUCUCUGUUCUUCAUUCAAACUUGGAUUUCUUCUCCUGCACCAGCAGCAACAACCUGCAAUGAACAAGCUCGUGUUAGUCUCUUUUAGUUACAGAAGCGAUUCGAUCCUCUGAACUAAAAGAGAGUUUGCUCACCGUGUUUUCUUUGUUUUCCAUUUUGUGCAGCUGCUUCAGAGAUUUAAUUUUUUCACCUAUACAAAAAAAAAACAUUUAACACCGUAUAUAUGAGCAACGCAACCUUUCAAAAACACUGAAUAAUAUAAUUAUUUUACAUUCUUUAGCAACAAGUUACUUGGUGGACUUCUUAGUCUCUUCUUGAAUUUUCUUAGUCCUUGGCUUGCUGGUACUUUCAGGUUUCUUCUGAGACUUAAUGUCCUUGUUUUCUGGAACUGUUCUCGGAUUGACAGAGUUGGUUGCUACUGCUUUCUUCCUCCUCACGGUCAGACUAUUCUUAGAUACAGUCUCCUUUCUAUUUGCACAUUUCUUCUCUGGAGGUUGAGCAACAAUUAUCAUUGGAGUCCAUCUUCUGAUCCUUGAACAACCUCUGGAACAUCAGCUUGGUUCACAUUGAUUACAUCCAAAGACCUCCUGGUUCUUUGCUAUUGGAUGCUUUCUGAGACCUCUUCCGCCAUGGCUUCUUCUGUGACAGCUGAAUCUUGCGAAACAUCCUCUUUCAUAAUCUCUGAUAUGAUCUUCGAAUCUACAGGAGUGGAGAGUGAACUCUGGACAUCAUUGUCGUCGUCGUCUCUCUCUGUUCUUCAUCAUCGUCUCUAUCUGUUCCUCAUCGUCUCUCUCUGUUUUCCUCGUCGUAUCUUUCUCUGUGUUCCCAGUCAUCUGUUCUUAGUCGUCGUCUGAUCCCCAAUUUGUUUUCUUUUUAAGUUAACUCGGGUCAGAUUUUGUUUUUAAUUAGGUAAUCACUAUUUUCUAAACGCGUUUUUGUUUCUUUUUAAUUGCGAUUUGAAAAUUGGUUAGGGAGGGGGAUUAAAAAAGUUUAGGGGGAGAUAUAAAGAGAAAGUCUAUCAUUGGGUAGAUUUAUGAAGAGUUUGAUAGUUCAGGGAGGAAAAAGUAGGGUGUGUGAGUCUACAGGGGGUUUUAGGCAGCCAACCCUAAAAACAAAUGUAAAAAGAAAAAUUUAAUAAAAACAAUUUUUCCACAAAAAAUGUGGACCAACCCCAUUGUAAAAACUGAAGUCAAAGGUAGUUCCUACAUCUCAACCAGUCACUUGUAUAGUUUAGUUUAAUAAUUAUUUCUUAUUUACCGAUAAUCCAUAAACCAAAUAAUUCACUCCAAAUCCGAUAUGCAUCAGAUAUCUUUGGAAUGUUUAUAGUUGUAUAUAUUAAUAUGAUAUCUUUCGAUAAUUGAGACAUAUCAUAUAUGCUACAAAUUUUAUCCAUGAAUUGGCUUCCCAUAAAAGAUAUGUGUAUUAGGACAUCUUUAACGCUGGAUCUCACCACUAAUAAUCAAUUUAAAAAGUUGGAAAAGCUUUAGAGAACUUGCAAGAUACUAUUUGGGAUUCUUGAGCGAUCGAGUUUGUCACAUCCCGGGUCGGAGCCCUAAUAUUUAAUGAUAAGGCCCAUGAUGAUUUGGUCCAUUUAGAGAAAAUCCUAAUGUUUUCUCCUUUCUCUUUUAUAAAAAGGAGGCAGUCCUUAGAUAUUUCUCUACAGAUACAAAACACAGCGAAGCCCUGCCCAGUUGGAGAGAGAGCAGCCGCCGGCCACCAAACCUCCACCGACCACCGCGUAGCCUCACCGGAGAGGAGUUCUUGCAGUGUUUCGAUCCCUUCUCGUCGGUUCCUUUAGUCUUCUACUCUUUUUCUUCUAUUAAUAUAUACACUUAUAUAAAUGAUACAUAUCUUGAUGCCUGAUGUGUGAAAGACAUAGAUCUAUUGCUGAAUGAUGUUUGAGGAUUGUAUGUGAUGAUUGUAUUGACUGGGGUUAUGGUAUAUGUGGGUGAUGUAUAUGUGGAAGAUGUAUAUGAGUUAGAGAAAGGCUUAAGGCAUAUGUGUGUCGGUGUAACGUGGUAGAAUGAUGUAUUUGUAUGUCUCGGGCAUUACAUUAUUUCUUGACUGGCGACCGUGUGAGUUGGCAUGAUUCAUCGUCGGAGCGGGCCUAAGGCAUGCUUGUAUGUGAAGUAAAAAUGUAGUAACACAGAUCACGUGGAGACAGCGUGAUGUGGCGUGAUCGUGUGAAUGUGGUGGUGCGGAUCACGUGGAGACAGCAUGAUGUGGCGUGAUCGCAUGAAGGUGUGGAACUCAUGGAGACAUCUUGAUGUGGUGACAUCACACACGACAACAUGAGAGGCGUGGAGAUAGCGUGAUGUGGCGUUAGUCUCAAGUUAGCAACGUCGCGGUUAUCUUCGUUUCUUGUUGCUUGCUUUUGCUUUAUUGGAUGUUUAAGUUAGAUACUUAUGCUACGUUUUGUGAUGAUUAUUGGUGAUUAAUUUCAGGGCUCCUAGAGCUUCCCUCACUGAGUAUUUGUCGAAAUACUCAGUCAUCCUUUCUUUUCAGGUGAGUUCGAAGAAGUGUCGGAACAGUCAUCUUGGUGUGGUUCUGGCUCUUAGAGUGUUUGGUUUUUUUUAAGUUAUUUCAUUUUAAGACUUGGUGAUUUGGUUUUAAGCGUUUCAUAUUCGUUUUAGUACGAUUUUGUAAGACAUUUGGAUUCGAUCCUUGGGAAUGAGAAUUGCAUUGGUCUUUUUAAGUGUUUUUAUUGGUGAAGGCAAUGUGAAUUCAUACUGUCUCGGUUAAGCGAGAUACGGGUGUGACAGACUUGCUUUUAGAUGCUGUGUAAACAGUUUUUUUUCUUGUGUCUCUCAUCUUUUGUUUUUCAUUAUGAAGAUCCCCUAACUUUCUCAGUUUGGUCAUCCCCAAUUUGUGGAAACAAACAAUAAACCCAGCCUGUACUUGUAGUUAUCUUUGUAUUAUUUAAAGAAAGUUGUCCCAUUUCCUUAUAAAAUAAAUCUGUUUUAUCAUUAUUGAUGUUUUUCAUUAUUUAUAAAAAUGAAUUAUGGAGACAAGUAGUGUAGUGUAGGAAUAGUAACUCCUUUUUCUAUACACGGAAACAAAUACUACAAUGACCACUCUACUGUGAAUUUUAAUUCCACGUCACACACUAACGAUUUGUUUUCUUCUGACAAGAACGAACAGCAUAUUCAGGACAAAAAGUAAAAACCAAAUCAAGAAUCCUUAACCUUAUCAUCACGAUCAACGGCGCUUGAGUUCUUGCAAUGAGCAAUGGCCGCCUGAAUAGCGGCUUGCAACUCUUCCAUGGUGCUAUCACUUGACGAUGAUGUAGAAGCCGAGCUCGACGAAAGCCCCGCCGUGGAGACACGUAAGUGGCCACUAUUCGUCGGAGAUGUUCUCAUGGACGCCGGAGCCGAGAAUAAGUCACCUCUCCGGGCUUUCAUAAGAUCUCUCGAUCCAUUAAUCAAUGUUUUGCUGUUUUCUUUUGAACCUAUUAAAGAGGAAGAGAAGGAAUACGAAGAAGUCUGUCUUCUGUUCCUGAACUGCGUGCCGUUUCCUCUCUUCUGAAACAACAUCUUUAUGUACUUCUUGACUGCAUGACUUAGGUCUAAACUCAUAAGUUUCUUCUUCUGCAGCUGCGGCUGCUGUUGUUUCUCUUGUUCUCGCUCGUUGCCUUCAAACCCUUUUCUCCAUUUCGAUAAACCAAAGAGAGAAAAUGACUUUAUUGUUUUAGCUUUAACUUGAUUCUCACCGUCGAGCCUCUCUGCUUUAUCGCUCGGGUUGGUGUUCUUGGCCUCCGUACUGUUGUUGUUGUUGUUUGUGGUGGGGAGAGGAGUGGGCUGGUCAGGUAAUACAUCUUUCACGGGGAGGGCAAAUCCGUCAUUAUACGAACUAGUGGAAGUUCGAGGAGAGACAGGGAGGUGAGAGAGGAGAUGAAGAGGGAGAAGAUGGCCGUGGAAGAAGAUUUCAUCUGCAGGAGACAAGUCGACGGCGAAUGGAUCGGUUUGUUGAUAAGACGACUUCGUUUUGGUGGGAUUUCUGAGACUAGAGCUUAUGAGUUUUGAGGAAGAAGAUAAGUCGUUAGGUUGGAGAGAGAUGGUGAAAGAGAAGUCAUGAGAAGGAGAAGAACAAGUGGAUGAUAUUGGUGAAGGUGAUGACUGUAAAGCUUCUUGUUUAGGGUUUUGCUUUUCAGGAAAAGUUUUGGGACUGUUCUUCACCUGUUGUAGAUGGGUUUCCAUGAUGAUUGAGGAAGAAAAAAAAUCAAUCAAAAAGGCAAAAGGGAUUUUUGUGUUGAUCGAAGGAUAUAAUGGUUUAUAAUAAUAAUAAUAUUUGGUUCAGUCUUUAGUCUUUUAGUUAAGUGGGGUUCUUUGCUUUUCUUUUUCUCUUGUAUUAAUUAUUGUUAGUAUUUUCCGGUUUUCCUGUAAAUGUAGAGAAUAUGACAAAACCUUUUCGAGAGGAGAAGAUAAGGUAACCGUGGAGAGAGACGACCAGAGGCGAGGUGAGAGAAAAAAAUAUAGAAUUGUCAGCCAAAUUUAGUAGACGAGUUCUGUCGUGUAAAAAAGAACGUAAUGCCAAAAAGUAUUGGUUAGAGGGGAAGUACAUUCUUUUUAAGGUGGGGCUAACAUAUUUACUCGAAUAUUUAGUUUCGACCAGUUUCGAGUUUUUAUGUUUCGGAAGCGGGUAAGUUACAAUUCCUUUAAUACCGACCUAUAAAGUGUUCGUAAAUAUCGACCAAAAAGUGUUCGUAACUUUUACCCAUCCUUAAAUGAUACACUGAAAUGUCUGAAUUUUUUUUUAGAUAAGAGAAAUGUCUAAAACUACUACUUUUAAAGAUUACUCGUACAAUUUGUUAUCUAAAUCUCAUUUAAUAAAUGAAUCUGGAAACAGAACUCUUGUCAUAAGAACUCGAGUUGAAUUGAAUCAUUUCAUGAGCUUACAAAUUAUUAUUACACCCUUAAUACACACACACACACACACACAUAUAUAUAUAUAUAUAUAUAUAUAUAUAUAUAUAUAUAUAUAUAUAUAUAUAUUUUUUUUUUUUCGGCAAACGGCUAUUCUAUUACUCAAGCUUGAGGUGGUCUAGGUAACCAGACCGGAAUAGAACAACCAAUAAAAAGUAGCACCCUACGGAAAGUCCUAGCUGUCUUAGCUAAAAAAUCAGGAAACUGGUUGCGCGCUCGUGGCACAUGAAUGAUCUUGAAGUCCGGAAAACAAAUCUGCAGCGUCUCUAUCUUCUCCAAUUCUGUCGCGAAUCUUGGCCACUCCUGGGGUUUCUCUAUCAUAGCAAUCAGUUCCUUACAGUCUGUUCCAAAGCUCUGACAUGACGAGUGUUGAAGCAUGUUCUCCAUCGCCCAACGUAGUGCUUCUAUCUCCGAAUGUAAUGCAGAUUCACAUCGAGAAAAAUUCCGAGUUCCCAUAAGCUGUAUAUUCUCCCCACAGUCCAUCCAGACCCAACCACAUCCACUGUAUCGAUCUGAGUCUGUCCAAGAUCCAUCUAGCAGGCAGAUAUUUCCCAAGCUUAAGACUUGGUUUUCUUCAUUGUUGUUGGGCUGAACUACUUGCGGUAUUCUCUCAUUUGCAUUAAACCAUGCUUGACAUUCGGUUUCUGCGUAUCGAACUAGUUCUAGAGGAUCUCUAUCUAUUCCCCUGAAAAGCUUUUCAUUGCGAGCCUUCCAAAUAUACCAUACUAUCCAGGGAUAAGGAUCCCUGUCCUGGUCAGGUUCUAGGAUAUCAUUUUUCCUCCAAAAUAGAUAGUCCAUAUUUGUGUAGACGCUUGACACUGGAAAUAUUCCUGGGCUCGUAGGAAUCCCUGAUAAGGACCAUACUUGGAGAGCUGGAGGGCAUUCAAAUAUUGCAUGGGUUACAGAUUCUUCUGCUUCUCCGCACCUCGGACAGUAAUUGUCACAUCUCAUAUUCCGGCGUACGAGGUUCCUCGUUACUGCCACUUGGCCCGAUAUCAGUUGCCAUAUAAGAUGGCACAUCUUCCUUGGCGCUUUCAACUUCCAAGCAAAGGCUCGCAGUUUAGUAAUACUUGGUUCUAGUAUUUCCUUUUCCUCUUCUUGCUUCAAAAGAUUUUGGGCAACCCAGUAUCCAGAUUUAACUGUGUAUUGACCAGUCCUUGUGUAGUUCCAACAGAAAGUAUCACGACGGUGUGUAGAGCUAAUGGCCAUACUACAGAUGAGCGGUAUGUCAACAGGAUGGACAUAGUCUUCUAGUAACUCAACGUUCCAUUCUUUCAGAUCCUGAUUAAUGAGGUCGCUCACCCUCAUAUUCGGGUUCAUCACAGGUGCUACAGGUCUAGCUGGUCUAGCAGGUGUCGUUGGGAUCCACGGAUCCUCCCACACCUUGACUUCAUAACCUGAAUGAAUCUUCUGUCUGAUCCCCAGAAGCAAAAGCUUUCUUGCAGAAAUAAUGCUUGUCCACACAUAAGAUGGGAUACUUGUCGAAGUUGCGCUCAAUGGCGAGGACAAUCUAUAAUAUCUACCCCUCAAGACACGAGCAACCAGUGAAUCAGGGUACUGAACCAAUCUCCAUAAUUGCUUUGCCAAUAAUGCUAGAUUAAACUCAUGGAUUAGGCGGAAGCCAAUCCCGCCCUCUUCUUUUGGUAGACAAACUUUUUCCCAUUUCGCCCAGUGUAUUCCUCUUUUUGGUGGAUUCGAACUCCACCAAAAUUGUGCAAUGGCACUAGCGAGGUUUUCACAAAUCUCCAAAGGAAGCAGAAACGUUGACAUAACGUAUGUCGGAAGAGCGAGAAGAAUGGAUUUAAUCAUGACCUCCUUCCCCCCUUUUGAAAGCCAUCUACCGGUCCAUCCAUUUACUCUAUGCAUCAGGGAGUCCUUUAAGAAUGCAAAGAGUUUACAUUUUGAACCACUAAUAUCCUCUGGGAUUCCCAAGUACUUUCCCAUCCCACCAUCUUUAUGAAUUCCGAGGGUAUCUUUAAUCUCUUGUCUAGUAGCAGCAUUAAUCCUCUUACCGAAGAGUAAGGAAGAUUUAUCAAAGUUAAUACAUUGACCAGAUGCUUUACCAUAUGUCCUGACUACUUUCAUCACUUCUUCACAUUCACGGGGCUCCGCCUUACAGAAGAAAAGGCUAUCAUCAGCAAAGAGAAGGUGGGACACCGAAGGACACGCGCGUGUGACACGCAUCCCCGUUAUCUUCCCUUGAUUCUCUGCGUGAUUGAGAAGGCUAGCGAGCGCUUCCGUGCAUAGAAUAAAAAUGAAAGGAGACAAAGGAUCUCCUUGGCGUAGGCCUCUACCAGGAACAAUGUUUCCUCUUGGUUGCCCAUUCAUAAGAACCUUAUAUUUCACCGACGUAAUGCAUCGCAUUAUCCAGCUGAUCCAAGUUUCUGAAAAGCCCAUCUUACGCAUGACAGCUUCAAUGAAUGACCAUUCCAUUCUGUCAUAUGCUUUGCUCAUGUCCGUCUUGAUGGCCAUCCUUUUACUACGCCCACUUGGUUUAGUUCUCAGAGCAUGGAACAUCUCCUGGGCAAUCAUAACGUUGUCUGAAAUCUGUCUUCCAGCAACAAAGGCUGACUGGGUUUCCGAAAUCAAUCCUGGCAGCACUCUUUUUAGUCUCUGGCAUAAGACCUUAGAGAUUAUUUUAUAACAGACAUUGCACAAACUAAUGGGUCUAAAUUGAGCCAUAUCAUUAGGUUUUGUUGUCUUCGGGAUGAGACAUAUAUUCGUAUCAUUUAGACCGCUAACCACUGCCCCUUCAAAAAGGAAUUUAUUAACCAUAAGAGUUAACUCCUCCUUAACAAUAUCCCAAAAUUUCUGAUAAAAAAGCGCUGUCAUCCCAUCUGGUCCAGGGGCCUUCUCUGGGUGCAUAGCAAAAAGAGCUAAUUUGACUUCCCAUUCGGAAACCGGGCUCGUAAGGUUUUCGUUCAUUUCCCCAGUGAUUGUCGUAGGAACUUGAGCUAAAGCUUCUUCAAUGUCCUCUGGGUUAGAUGACUCAAAGAUCUGUCUAAAAUAGCUAGUAGCAAUGGCUACUAGUCCUUCUUCAUCCUCCACUACAUUUCCAUGUGCAUCUAGGAGCUGCGUAAUCUUAUUCCUUGCUCUUCUCUGCUUGGUCAAAGCAUGGAAAUAUUUGGUGUUCCUAUCGCCUUCUCUCAGCCAAAACACUCGACUCUUCUGUUUCCAAAACAUUUCUUCUGCCUUAAGAGCAUCAGAGAGUUCCUUCAACGCUGCUGCAAUUUCUGCAGUUGUAGCAUUGUCAUCAGCAUACAUGCCCUCCACUUUCUCUUUAAGCUCCUCCACUAGUUUUGCCGAAUUAACAUUAUGUUGUCUCCUCCAUUCACUUAAAGCUCUCCGACAACUGGAAAUAUGCUCCAUAAUGUUCGCAUUGGGAGGCAAAUCAGGAGAUUUCCAUCCCUCAAGAAUGACCUGCCGUAGCUCCUCGUUAUCUAGCCACCUUUUAUCAAACUUGAAUUUUUUGGAUCUUCUCAUUGGCUUUAUGAGUAUAUCCGCUAGAAUCGGACGAUGAUCCGAUCCCAAUAAUCGCAUAUACUUCAUGUUCGAGUGGGGAAACUUCUCAUGCCAAUCUGGAUUUCCUACUGCUCUAUCCAGACGACAUCGAACAGUUGUUCCUCCUGCUCUCUUUCCUACCCAUGAUAGCAUGUCUCCCGUAAAAGGAAACUCUAACAUUCCACAAUCAGUAAGCAUCUGUUUAAAGGGCAGGAACGAGCUAUCAAGUCGUUGUCUCCCCCCUUCUUUCUCGUUGUGACCCGUUAUUUCAUUAAAGUCACCUAUCAUAAACCAUGGGCCAGUUCUUGUUGUUGAAAAACGCGUAAGACGUUCCCAAACUUGGUCACGUCUUUCUAUUACAGGAUCCCCAUAAACAAACGUCAUAUAGACUUUUAUUCCAUCAAUGACUGCCUCAAUGUCAAUCAUACGGUUAUUUGAAAAUAAAACAUUAACUUGAAAAUCAUCCAUGAAAAAUAAAGCUAAACCUCCGCUGAGACCAAGUGGCUCAACAGUAAACAAAUGAUCAAAUCCUAGGUCGGCCUGAAUGUUUUGCAACAGCGGCCUCCUAUUCUUUGUCUCAGAAAGGAACACAAGUCCUGGGCGAUGCUUCUGACACAUCUCCGUAAGGCGUCGAACUGUGAGGUCGUUCCCAAUCCCUCGACAGUUCCAACUGAUUGUCUUCAUGGAUGGCGUCGCGAUGAGUUUUUGGAACUCAUCAGACCAUCACGUGUUGAGACACUGUCUUUGUCCCUAUUGGAUCCAUGACGCCGUAUUGGUUUUUCACCAGCCCCUCUUGCAUGUGAACUUGUAGACGCUGAACGCUUUGCUGGAGAACCCCUACGAAGAAUCUCAAACUUCCGAUGGUUAAUACCCAAAGGGGCAUUACGCUUCACGCCGUGCUUCUUGGACUUUGUUGCAUUCGUAUUAUCCAUUUGUCUCUUAUCCACCAAAGACGCAUGCUGAGAUUGAUGACCAUCCAAGUCCAUAAGGUCAAGCGCCAACAGAUCAUCAUCAUCAACUCCAUCUUCAAGCAUACCUCCAUCUGGUUGAUCCAAGUUCUCCAUAUCACUUAGCGCUCCAAUGAUGGCAUCGUCGCCAUUACUCGGUUCCGUACCACCUGGUGAAGAGAAAGAGAGCGCUCUAGCUUCACCCCUGUCUCUAAGAGUAACAUUCUCCUCCAUGUGAUGAUCCAUCCGUGAUGGAGUUACAAUAGCACUAGCUAUCUUCCUGCUAGUCGGUUUAUCGCCACUCCUCAGCGUCUCCGAGAUUUGUUCAGUUCUUGAUACAGGAUCGGGCAAAUGUUCAUACGGAACAAUUUCCCUAGAUGUUGCACUGCGAGACGUUGCACCGGUACCAACAUCAGUCUGGCCCUUACCAACUACAACAUGCUGUGAUUGUUUUACUUGCCACGAUCUCUCAUUUGGGCGGACAUAAGGUCCAGCCCGUGCUCCACCAUAUCUACUCCUCCUUGGAUAAUUGUCUCUGCUACGGACAAUCCUAUCAGCAUGGCGUCCCCACCGAUUCUCCUCCUCAUCACGUUCAUCAUACCUUGAAGGCUUUGAAGAACGGUAUCGUGAAAGUUGUGGCUCUCUGUUCUGUAGCGAAGGCUGAUAAUGAGGUUCAGUCCUGGGAUGAGCAUCACGACUCAAGAGCUGUCUCGACGAAUCAUGAGCCAGCUGCACUCGCGAGAAGACAUCAGUCCUUUCUGGAUGUUGUAACCGUGAUCUAACAUCAAAGGCUGUGCAAUAUCCCUUCUCAUGAGAAAGGAAGCCACAGGUAGUGCAAUGUUUGAACAACUUAUCAUACUUAAUUUCAAUCGUAACCUCAUCUCCCUCGUAUUCCACCUUUCUAGAGAACUUCAGUGGCCGGCGUGAGUCAAUAUCAAUGAGCAUACGACCCUCAGUUAGUUUCAGAGUGUCGACAUGCCCAAGUCUACCACCUAUAUUCCUCAGAUUCGCAUCAGUCCAUAGAUGUAGAGGAAAGCCAAUGAGCUGAACCCAAAAAGGAAUAACCCAUGGGUAAUCAUCAUGGACUAUAGGUUCCCACCGCACCAGUACGAACAUGCAGAAAUUGUAGUGAAACGGACCCUGUCUCAGCACAGAGUUUAAGUCCUCCUCGGACAUGAAGUUAAAAAGAAACUUCCCAUUCCCUAAGUCAUUUGCUGUGAUUCUCUCAGACAAGCCCCACUGCGAAGGCAUGGUUUGUAAUAACUUCACAACAUUCUGUUUCUUUGGAUUAAGGAUCUUGCCAAUGAGGGACAAACCAAAUUCUUUGAUGACGAAAGAAUCAUCUCGAUCCACCAGUUUAAUGGGUUCAUCAUCAUCCUCAUAAAGGAUCCCUUUUCCUUUGAUAUCCGCUUGAUGAGCAGAUCUCAUACUGUUCCGCGACCCCAUACAAUGAUAUGGAAUCGUAUCACAAAACCGUAAGUAACCAAACAGCAGCUUUUAAACUGAACAAUGAUUCAGAACAGAUAACAGGUUCAAUGUCUUAGAUCUCCAAACGUAAGACCAACCAGAGUUCGAAGGAUAGGACCAGACCGAGAUCGGCUUUGUUGGUAGGGAGACACAGAAACGAAAGCAGAGAUCAAACAGAUCAGAAAGGCAAGGCCGAGAGCAGCUUCCGUGAGGGAGAAGGUACGAAGAUCACGAUCUCACCGUGGAAGAGAACCACACACCACACGCACAGGAAGGAUAAGGUGGCUACUCCAACGUCAAUGAACGUUUGGAAUAGGAGAAGAUCGAAAACCCAAAGAGGAUCUCGAUCUCAGAAAGCGUCGCCGUCGUAUCGCCUCAGAGCGCCGCUAGGUUUUGUUUUUUUAUCAACGCUUACUCUAGAUAGUUAUAUAUAUAUAUAUAUUAUGUAAGAUAUUAUGUAUAUAUAUAUAUAUAUAUAUAUAUAUAUAUAUAUAUAUAUAUAUUAUGUAAGAUAUUAUGUCACUGAAAUUACGUUGAAUUUACUUAUAUUGUUUCCGAUUCGCACAGCGUAAAAUAUUAUAGUUUUAUAAUAUUAUCUUGAUAAUAUUUUUAACUUGUAAAUUAAAGAAGAAACUAAUUUAUUCUACCCAUAUGUAAGGCUGAAACCUAAUGUACGUUUCUCAAAAACAAUGAACUUGCGAUUGUUGGUCGAAAAAUUUAUUUAAAUUUAACUAUAAAUUUUGGCAGUUUUCCUUUAGGACAACCUACUUGAGUUCGUGCACAUGCUGAUGCAGAACAGCGGAGAGUAAAUAUGGACAUAAUGUAAUUGAACCAUGGGUUUGGCAAAGUUUAUUAAUCGUGUUUAGUUUUUUGCUAUUUAAAUGUUUAUAAUGGCCAAUCAUAAUUGAAAUUUCAGUGAGAAAACUAAUCACGGUCUUUACCCCAUUAGAACACCAUAAAUAAAUACUUCUUUUCCUUUCAUAACAUACACCAUAAAUAAAUUUUAAUAUGGAAUGAGAAAAUUGAAAGUUUGAAAAAAUGAUGAUUAUAAAAGUAUUUUAAUUUUUUUUUCAAAGAAGGCAGAACUUAAAGCCUUGUUAUGGGGGUGGGGUGGGGGAAGAGCGAGCAUAAAGUAUAUUGAUGUUUACAUAGAAGUCUUUUAAAUUUUUUAAAAGUCUGUCAAAAGUUUCUCAAAGAAACCUCCAAUAAUAAUCACCAUAGACUAUUUAGUGAAACCUCCCAUUGAACUAAUGUUGUUACAGAUUUUAGGAACGCGUCACAUCAACUACCAAAGAAUGACAUAGUUUCUAAUAGCAAUUUUAACAUUUAGAACACCACUUGAGUUUCUAUAAAAGUUAAAUCAUAAUAUUUUAAUAAUUUUGUUAUUGAUGUUUACAUAGAAGUCUUUUAUUUUUUUUAAAAGUCAGUCAAAAGUUUCUCAAAGAAACCUCCAAUAAUAAUCACCAUAGACUAUUUAGUGAAUCAUAAAGACAUAUAUGUUAUACCCUGGAAAUUACCUAAGUCUAGCUAUUCAUCUAUAAUUGUCUAAAACCUUGUUCACCAAACCUAACCUAAUUUACUGUUUUAAUCAUAAUUGUCUAGCAUUAAUUCGAAAACUAAAAAUCUAUUGUGGAAUCCUAGAGUUUAUGUGGAUUCGAUGUAGGACUGGGCAUUUUAUCCGGACCCGAAGAUCCGACCCGAAACCGACCCGAAAAAAUCCGGUUUGGGUAGGAACCGACCCGAUCAAAUUACCCUAUCGGGUCUUGUUGCAGAGGACCCGCGGGUCUUAGACCCGACCCGACCCAAACCCGAAACCCGAUGGGUACCCGAAUUAAUAAUGUAAAUUAAAUAAAAUGCAUCAAGGGAGAAUGAAAGACGGAUUAUUUGUCUAGAGAACAUGGGGGUCAACCACUAGGAGACAACGAAUUGUUGUUGUAUCUCGCAUAGUUUAGUAUAUAUAUACAUUUUAAUAUAAUAAAAACACAAAUUUUGAAUAAAAUUUUGAAUAUUUUCGGAUAUAUAAAUAUUUUCAGAUAUUUUUUUUGUAUUUUUAGGUCUUUUUUAGAUCGAACCGGAACCGAACCCGACCCGAAACCGAACCGAAUCCGAGCCGAUAAAUUAUAAUUACCCGAAUGGGUCUAACUAUCUAAGACCCGACUCGACCCGGACCCGACACGAUCCGAACCGACCCGGAACCGAUAAUUUGAAAUUACCCUAUCGGGUCCUAAACUCUUAGACCCGAAAGACCUGGACCCGAAAGGACCCGAUCCGAACCCGACCCGGCGACCCGAAUGCCCAGGCCUUCCCUAAGUACUACAACAGAACUUCUUAGUGAGAGAGUAAAUUCACUCCUUAGGAUAAUUUGAAUGAUACCAAAUUUGUCACUGUUGCCGGAGACUUUUUUAUUACCAUUAGAAGUUUAGAAUAUUGUCUAGAUUUUAUUUCUUUGUGUGCUAAAAGUUUUUCUUCAUUUCGUGCUGACACAUGUACUAUAGAAGAAGAACGUGUGUUUUGGACGAGCAUCGAUCGACAACAUGACCGAUACAUCAAGCGACACUUCUGUCGAGGAAUCGAUCAACGCUGAGCUACUGGAAGCGAUCGACACCGCUCAGCCGGAAGCAGGUAAGUCUUUACUUACCAAUUUAAACAAUGAGGAAGUAGUCCUAGGAGAACCUAAAGGUCAAACAUGCAACGCAAAUAACCAAAUCAUUAAUAAACAGGGGACUGCAAUCUCUGAUAAAAUUUAUAUAACUCAAACUAAUGAGAAGGAACAAAAAUUGCUUUUGCAAGACUACUUAAAUCUUGGCAGAACCUAUUCCAAUAGAUCAGCUAUCAGACUACCAGAAAGUAAUAUAGGAAGAUCAGAGUUCAAUCUCGACUUUCUUAUUCUGGUACGUCAAAAACCUUUUCAUGGAUCUCUUUCAGAGCAUCCUCAUGAUCAUAUUGAGAAACGAGAAGAUAUGAUGGGGGAUGACUACAAUCUCUGCAAACUCUUCUCAUUCUCCCUAACAAGAUGGUUGGACCAGCUACCAACUGGAUCCUUAACCUGCUGGAAGGAAAUUAGAAGUGUUUUCAUUAAUUAUUUCUUUGAUGAGGCCAGCUACUGGAAAGUAAGGAAAAAGAUCUCUACAUUCCACCAAAAUCCUAGAGAACCAUUUAAAUAUGCAUGUGGAAGAUUUAAAGAAUACCAACUAGAAUUCCCGCAUCAUGGUUAUUCGGAACCUCAGCUAAUUAACACCUUUUACGGGGGUGUUAACAUUCACUACCAAACUAUGCUUGAUACGGCCAGGGAAGGAAACUUCAACACAAGAAGCCCUGAAGAUGCUAUACGGCUGAUAGAGAAUGUAGUAACUGUUAGAGCUUUCGAGAAGAUGAACGAAAAAAGAGGAGAAAACCUGAAGACGAGCCACAUUUAGCCAAAAUCAAGGAAACCCUAGGUUCACUUCAUUCAUUUUUAUCAAAGCAAAAUAAACCACUUCCGAACAUUUACAAUAGAAGACGGUGUCUCGUCUGAUCUCGAAAGACAAGUGGAAUCUAUCGAUAGGAUAGCCUUUCAGGAUCAGCACUCUGAGUCUGACGAAAGUAAUUUUACUCGAAGAUAUGAUGCGACUGUUAGACCUCAAAGAGAGAAAGCAAAAUCUAGGUUAGAUCAAGUUUUCACAGGAAAUCGAAACUGGCCGUCAAUCUAGAAGGAAAAAUAGAUUUAAUUUACUGCGAGCUGAUAAAGAAAGUUGAAGCUCUAAGUGAACAUAUUAAGAGACUAGAUAGUCGAGUAGCAUAAAAUACGAUAGCUAUCAGGAGAGAAGAAGGACUUCUCCCAGGAAGGACCGACGCUAACCCCAGGCGUCAGGUCAGCACUAUCAUGCUGAGAAGUGGCAAACACAUUAUCCCUAACGUGAAAUAAACCGUCACAUUGGAUGGGUCUUCGAAAAUCGACGAAGUCGGGAGGAGUAAGUCUCAACCAAUUCUACUGUAUGAUCUUAAGCCUGGUUCGGAACCUUCUCUGAAAAGGGGAAGAUCUAACCAAACUAGAGGAUUUGAGGAACCACGACCUGACCUCGAUGACCAGGAAGGAGAAUCGGACGAUGAUGAAGAAAUCGAUCGACAAACUCAUGACCACGUCGAUCAACAAACGCAAGACAACGCCGAUCGACAGACAAGUGAUAGCGUCGAUCGACAAUCCUCAGCCAACACAUCAAAACCGAUAGCACCCACUGACCGGUGAUAGAAAGGGUGUAUAGGACUUUACCUCUCUCCCCUCCCAAUAAAAAUAUAACAAAGCGUGAGAUGGAUAAAGCCAUUUGCAAGAAAGCUCUUGAUAAAGUAGUUAUCGAAAUGCCGCUCAGUGACGCCAUGAAAGUUUCUCCAUCGAUAAAAAUAUAUGUUAAAGACAUGGUGUCACAAAGUUUCCUAAUUACAGAUCACAGUGUCAUGAUGCUCUUAGAAGAAAUUAGUGCUAUGAUCCAAGGAAGAAUCCCUAUCAAACGACCAGACCGUGGUAGUUUCGUUUUAGAUUGCAAAAUCCAAGAUAAACAAUUUCAGAGAUCUCUUUACGACCUCAGUUCCAGUCUAAACUUUAUGCCCUACUCCGUAGCACUAUCCCUUGAGUUAACCUGUUUUCAACCCACCAAAAUCACUUUGGUUCUUGCUGAUAGAUCUGUUAGAGUACCAGAAGGAAUCCUUGAAGACGUACCUAUAAAGAUAAACAAAUGUUACAUUCCUACAGAUUUUAUAGUGUUGAAAUAUAUGCAUGAAUCCAAAGACCCCCUCAUCCUAGGAAGACCCUUCCUAGCUACUGCUGGUGCGAUAAUUAAUGUUAAGGAGGGCCGAAUAUGUUUGAACAUUGGUGACUUUCCAAUGACUUUCGACAUGGAUAAAUUAAUUAAACAUCCUCUAAUCGACAACCAGGCUUUCUGCAUUGAUCAUAUUGCUGAGCCUGAUGACGAAUCCUUCGUUGACAUGUACUCAGAUGAUCCCUUAGGAAAUGCCCUCACUUCUCCCGCAAGUGACAUUUUCAGUAUAGAUAGCAGAGUAGAUGAAUAUGCAUGGUUAAUGGACGCAAACGAGGAAGUCAUGAAUGUCAAUGAGGAACAAGACGACAAGUCAACAAUAGACGUCGAUUGAUACCUAUAGAAGGUUGUCGAUCGAUAACCAAUCAACAACCAAUUGCGUUAGAUAACUGGAGUUCUGAAAAGGUUCUGAAAGUCGAAUUAAAGCAGCUUCCAGCCAGACUUAAAUAUGCUUUUCUCUAUGACAACUCAUACCUUGUAAUCGUUAAUGCAAAUUUGAGUAGUGAAAAACUUGUGCUGUUACUAAAUAAGUUGCACAAGUAUAGAAGAGCCAUCAGAUAUUCUUUGAAUGAUAUUCCUGGUAUCUCCCCAGAUUUUUGCAUGCACAGCAUCCAUUUAGACGAUGAAUCCAAAUCAUCAAUUCAACACCAAAGAAAGCUAAAUCCAAACCUGAAAGAAGUGGUUAAGAAAGAAAUCCAAAAGCUCCUGAAUGCAGGAGUAAUCUAUCCAAUUUCGGAUAGUAAUUGGGUGAGCCUUGUGCAUGUUGUAUCAAAAAGGGUGGUAUAACAGUUGUUAAGAACGACAAGGAUGAACUUAUUCUCAUGAGAACCGUAACCGGUCAUCGGAUGUGCAUUGAUUAUAGGAAGCUAAAUGCUGUGACCAGAAAAGACCAUUUCCCUUUACCUUUCAUAGAUCAGAUGUUAAAGCAGCUUGCAAAUCACCAAUAUUAUUGAUUCCUCGACGGAUACUCUGGAUUUUCCAAAUCCCCAUGCAUCCAGAUGACCAGGAAAAUACAACUUUCACAUGCCCAUAUGGCACAUUCGCCUACCCCAUAAUGCCAUUUGGCCUGUGUAAUGCACUUGCUACUUUCCAAAGACGCAUGAUGUCGAUCUUCACGGAUAUGAUCGAAGACUUCAUGGAAGUUUUUAUGGACGAUUUUUUGGUCCAUGGAUGUGAUUUUAAAAAUUGCCUCGACAAUCUAUGAAAAGUAUUGGCCAGAUGCGAAGAAAAGAAUUUUGUACUCAAUUGGGAAAAAUGUAAUUUUAUGGUUAAUGACGGGAUUGUCCUUGGACACAAAGUGUCUGCAGCCGGCAUUGAAAUUAAUCGUGCCACAAUAUAAGUCAUGACCGGUGUACCGGCACCUACGACUGUAAAAGACGUGAGGAGUUUCCUCGAACAUGCUAGAUUCUACCGGAGAUUUAUUAAAGACUUCAGCAAAAUAGCUAGACCCCUCACUCCUCUUCUCUGCAAAGAUGUUAAGUUUUAUUUCAUGCCAGAAUGCUCAAAAGUUACAAGCUCUAGAUUGGAGUCUACAUUUCGAGAUAAUGUGUGAUGCGAGCGAUUUCGUUGUCGGUGCUCAACGGAAUUAUGCGAAGACGAAGAAAUAAUUACUUGCUGUUGUUUUCGCAUUUGAAAUUUUUUGACAAUACCUGGUUGGUUCAAAGGUAGUGGUCCACAUAGACCAUGCUGCGUUGAAGUAUUUAUUGCAAAAGAAGGAUGCAAAGCCAAAACUUUUACGGUGGAUCCUUCUACUCCAAGAAUUUGACAUAGAAAUCAAAGAUAAGAGAGGAGUAUAAAAUGGAGUUGCUGAUCACCUUUCCCGUAUAAGAGUUGAAGAUGAUGUCCCUAUAGAUGAUUUCCUGCCAACGGAAAAUGUCAAUAAUAUGGACUCCACGUUUAUUGGGCAUAUAUGUCUCACAUAUGAGGAGCCCCCGAUCGACUUCGAGGAUAGCUUGUUGAUCGACGCCCCAGAUGACCAACAAUUUGACUCAUCUUCAAAGAAAAUUGUUAUUGAUUUAAAAAUCAACGUUACCUGCAACCCAGUUAAUUGCGAGUCAGUUUCUCUCAGUGAAAGAAGUUUGAGUCGGGGGUGCACACAAUAGAUAGUAAACAUCUCAAAUUGACCUUGGUACGCUGAUUUAGUAAACUAUCUCGCUGCUGAAUUAGAAUCAUAAUCACUUCGAGGAUAUAUAAAGAAAAAUUUUCUACGUGAAAUUCAGAGAUACUAUUGGGAUGAACUAUACUUUUACAAACACUGUUCUGAUGGAAUAUAUAGAUGAUGUGUCACGGAAACUGUAGUCCCAAAUAUUUUAUUCCAUUACCAUGGAUCCGACUAUGCUGGACACUUUGCAACAUUUAAGACGGUAUCAAAAAUCCUACAAGAAGGGUUUUGGUGGCCAACAAUGUUUCGCGAUACUCAUGCAUAUAUUGCACAGUGCGACAGAUGCCAACGAAGAGGAAAAAUUAGCAAAAGACACGAAAUUAAACAGAAUUUCAUCCUAGAAGUAGAAGUCUUUGACUUCUAGAGCAUUGAUUUCAUGGUCCCCUUUCCCUCUUCGUAUGGAGACAAAUACAUAUUAGUUGUUGUAGAUUACUUGUCUAAAUGUCUGAAGCCAUUGCUUCACCAACAAAUGAUGCAGCAGUCGUUAUCAAACUUUUCAAGAGAAUUAUUUUUCCAAGAUUUAGAGUUCUUUGAGUAGUAAUAAGCGAUGGUGGCACCCAUUUUAUAAAUAAAUCCUUCGAUAAAUUGCUCAUAAACAUGGAGUUCACCAUCGGGUACCCACACCCUACCAUCCACAGACAAGUGGACAAGUGGAAGUUUCCAAUCACCAAAUCAAAGAAAUCCUUGAAGAAACCGUUGGAACAACUAGGAAAGACUGGUCUAAAAACUAGAUAAUGCGCUUUGGGUCUAUAGAACAGCGUUUAAAACACAUUAGGUACCACACCAUUCCAUUUACUCUACGGGAAAGCUUGUCACCUGCCAGUCGAGUUAGAAAAUAAAGCAGACUGGCAAGUAAAAUUGACCAAUUUCGACAUUAAACCAGCUGCAGAAAGGAGACUGAUUCAGCUAAAUGAAUUAGAUGAGAUUAGACAUCUUGCUUAUGAGAAUUCAAAGCUGUAUAAAGAAAGGACCAAAGCCUAUCAUGAUAAAAAUAUCAUGUCCAGACACUUUGAGCCGGAUGAUCAAGUGCUCCUUUAUAACUUCCGACUGACAUUAUUUCACGGGAAACUCCGUUCCCGCUGGUCAGGUCCCUUUACAAUUAAGGAAAUUAAACCUCACGGAGCCUUUACUCUGAUCAACAAUGAAGGAAAUGAAUUCACGGUAAAUAGACAAAGAGUUAAACAUUAUUGGGCCAAAGCACUUAAACCAAACAGUCGAACUCUACGAUUGGACCUUUCAAUCGCUGACUAGUUUCAUAUAAAAGUCAACUGACGACUUAAAAUAAACGUUGAGUGGGAGGCAACCCACUAUUUUAUUUAAAAAUUUAGGAAUUUUAAAUUUAAGUUUUAUAUCAUUUUCAUCUAAUAAAAUAAUAAUAACAGAAUUCUCAACAUUUAUCGAUCGACAUCGAGCUCUUUCCGUCGAUCGACGGUCACUGUGGACUCACGAUCCUAUUUAAUUCGUUAAUUAACCAAUUCGCCCUAAAAUCGUAAAAACUCCUCGAAACCUCCCCCCCCCCAUCAAUUUCUCUCUCGUUUUCCAACCGAUUUAUGUGUUUCUUGUGUUGAAUCCACUCAAUUCUCACCUCUUUAUCUGUUUAGUUCACUCAAUCAACCGAUCUACAUGGUAUGACCUCGAAAUAUUCUAAAUUCUAGGUUUUCGAGGAUAAGAGUAUCAGACUGUAUUAUGUGACUAUUAUUCUAUUUGAAUUCGAUUUGCAAUGUGAGUUUUUGCAGGUUUCGUGAACAUUGAUCGACAACGCGAAUUCUCUGUCGAUCGAUUGUUCCCACGAGUUAACGAUCAAUGUUGACCAUUGUGUGUCAAUCGACAACGAUCACUGAUUUAUCGCCUUGCUAACUUCAUGUUUCCUCUUGUUAUCUUUGGUUGCAUAUUCAUGAAAGGAGAACAAAGCGACGCUUUGACCAUCCCAGCAGCUCCAACGCACCGCCACCGUCACCACCAGUACUCGAUCGUGACCCUUGGCCAAGGGAAAGGGAAGGAGAGCCCAUUGAGACAUGGGAUAAUUACACAAAUCCUAACGAGGCUGUCAGACACAAAGACUGCACCCACUGUGCAAUCGAGAACGAUUGGGAUGGAAAUGAUAGCAUGUUCUACAAUGAGUGGCUGAAGGUCAUCAUCGAGCCCACACGUUUCAUCCAUUGGACAACUAUAUGGCGACUAGGGCUCGAGGAGGAGCUAGAAGAGAUGAACUGAGAGUUAGGUCUGGGAAGCAUGGCUACCCGCUUUUACGACUUGUACCACGAGCUGGUCAGACAGUUCAUGGUCACAGUGCAAGUCUACUACUCCAACGAGAGGGUGAAGAAGGUGGACGAGGGCACACUAAAUUUCUUCAUCUAAGGCAUCAGAUACAUGAUCCCUCUCCUUACUCUGUGACAUAUAUGGGUUCCAGAACCGUGAGCACUCGUGCUGCGUCGUCCCCGCCUUUCUUGGACAGUCAGAGUUUUGGGGACACCUGGCUUUUGGUCACUUCGACUCAGGCACAGCCACUCAGACUGACAGCCAUCACCCCACCGUGCGCUAUUUCCUCAAGGUCCUUUCCAACACGCUGUUGUGCAAGAUGGAACCGAACAAGGUACGGGUGUAGGAGCUCACAUUACUUUACUAUGUGGUGCGGAGUCUGGUUCCGUUGGGUACGAUUUCAGAACCGGCGGAUGACCAGUGGCCAAACCUUGGGGUUGGCUUUGCUGAGCACUUGGUAAACCUGAAGAUGAAGCCAUUCGGAGGGAAGAUUACAAAGAGGGAGACAAUAGGGAGCCUCCUUACGCUGAUCUUCAUGCACAUCGGGAUUCCUUUGGAUCAUGCCACAGUCAUCAGGAACCAGAACUACAUGGAUGCUUCAUCUGACAUACGCACAGUGGCUCAAGGACGAUGUUUAUGGAGCUUCAGGGACGCCUCAGGUACACACUUGCUACAGUACCUAUGCGGACGGUUACGGAUCUUCAGGGCGAGUUUGCUAGACUUGAGUUCCAUCCACACCUGCUUCUCCUCCGCAACCUGGCUCACAUACCUUGCAGAAGUCCCAUGCCCCAAGCCGCCAGAGCAGCUGCACAGCCCCAGCAAGAUAUCCCUGACUUCCCACACAUCCCGGACAUUCCCAUGCACGAUUAUGGCGACUUCCAGUACGUUGUUGUGGAUGCACUUCACGCCAUCUGGUCGAGAGUGUCACAGUGCCACUAUGUUACGAGAGGGAGUGUGCACGAACGAUCUCCAUCAGCUGCAAGACCCUCACACCAGCGACAGAACGACUCAGACGACGAUACUGAUGAGGAUUAGUUCUCAUCUUUCUAUCUCUUAUCUACUUACGUUUUUAUUUUAUUUUUGGACUAUUAGGAUUUAUGUUUGAACUUAUCUUCUUAUGCUAUGACUUGAGACUAUGUAUUUUUUGGAUCAUUAUGUGUGUUUGGAUUGGCUAAUAAGGCUAACAAUGCUGACUGAUCUGAUGAGUUAGAACCUAUGACACGUUACCGAUGACACAUAUUUUUUCUGUCUCCGCGUCAUCGAUCGACACCAAGGUCACGGUGUUGAUCGACACUCGAAACAGAGUGUUACAAAUUUUCUUCUCAUUGUCUAGUAUUUAUUCAGUACUUAUGAUUUAUUCUCUAACCAAUCUUAGGCUCCUCAGUGUUUUUUAAGUCUGGGGAGGUAGUUACUAAUGAGAAGUUUUAUUUUGAAUUUUAUUUAACUAAAAAUAAUUUUUUACAAAGUUUUUAAAUAAAAAGUUUUAUUGAGUCAAGAAAAGGGAUUAUGAUCUUUUGCCAUUUAAUUACUACUCUAACCACUCUCUAGCACCACCUAGAUUUAUUUACUGCAGGAUGUAUUAGAUGGAAACACCGCAGUGUAUCACAUAUUACUCACAUCUUGAUGUGAUCUUGGGCUUAUUUAUGAAGUUAUGGAUAUGGAAAACAUUCAAAAAUUGACCCAUGAUGUUAGCUAACAAGUCCAGCCCAUUUUUAUCAAGUUACAAGCCCAAGAAGAUACAAAAUCAAAUGAUUUCUUUGCUGUCCAAAGAGAGUGACGAAAACUAUAUGGUUAAUUGUAUGGAAAGCUUAUAUCUCUCCUACAUGCAAGGAAUGUUUGUUUCAAGAACACUUUCUCUCAUUCAUGCACUGAUUUAUUAUUUUCCAUGUAAUAAGAGUUAAGUUUUUAUUUUUGGAAUCUUGAGAGUGAUUCUCAAACAUGUUUUCAACCAUGGAGUGUCAUAUCUAUUGGUCAAAACUUUUAUGAUUGUUGGUGUGUAAUAUCUUUCAAUCUAACUUGGUGCGUCAUAUCCAAGGGUGAUUAUGGAUGCGGAAGAAAUCAUUUCAAUCUUUUAUGGAUGCUGAAGAGAGGUGGAAGUAGAAGCAGGGACAAUAAGUUUAAUACCUUCCAGACUUGCAGGAGGAUUCCGGUCCAGACUUGCUCAUUUUGGGGCUUGGUAAACAUUGGACCGGAAUCCUCCUGCAGGUCUGGAAAGUAUUAAACUUAUUGUCCCUGGUUUUGCUUCCACCUUUCUUCAGCAUCCAUAAAGGAUUGAAAUGAUUUUUUUGCGGUUUAGAAGGGUAGGAGUGUCUCUUGCGAUCCCAUUAUUCUAUUCUAAUAGAAUGAUCACACCUUGUUUGGAAACGAGGGGUAUGAUUUUCUCAUGUGACCCCAUUAUUCGCAUGCAACUUUACCACUAUAUGUUAUUAAAAAAACGAAAGUUGAGAUAGCUAAGGUGGUUUCAAAUGCUCUCAAUGGAAUAUGAUGGAUUAAAUAGCCCAUCUAAAAUAAUGGAAGCUCAGAUUGCUGAAUGUGUAUAUGCUAUUGACAAGACAAUGUAAAAUAAAUUAAAUGAUGAAUUAACAUAUAAAAAACCAUGUGGACUAAUGGUUUAAUUUUGUUUCAGUAAUUGUUUUUGGUAAUGAUUUGUUACCCGGUUUGUAAUACAUAAACAUAUGUUAAAAAGUUAGAAAAAUUGAUUUGGAUAUUUAUAUCAUCAAUCACUUAUCUUUUCGGUCACAUAUUUAUAAAUAAUUUUUAAAUUAGUUGUGAUUGAAUUAGAGUAGUAGAAUGAUGAGUGACUUAUAAAAAAGUUAUUCACGAUACCAUACGAGUGAAGAAAAAGUAUUGAGCUAUGCCAUGUGGUGAUUGCAAGAUCAAGAAACAAAAUUUUCAAACCUUCAAAAAUUAACGUAUUGAAUACCGCCUGGGCUGGAUCUGCAGAACGAAUGAACAUGCGUGGAAGACUCAUUAUCCGUGGACGGUCGGAGCAUGACAUGUGGUAUUAAAGUAAACGCUAGACAAGUGUGAAGUCAUGUGUGGGCUCAAACUAACAUGAAUGACGAUCUUAGAGUGGAACAAGGAUAUUGCGUUCUGUAAAAGGGGGUAAUUAUUGUAACAUCCUGGUUGUGGUAUAUGAAAAUGUGUGUUGAAAGGUUUAAAAUAAUUUAUUUGUCUACCUCUGUCACUAAAUGUAUUUAUCUUUUCGGUCACAUAUCCAAAUUUUUUUUAAAAGUUAAGUGUGUUUGAGAUUGAAUACUAGAAGGAUGAAUGAUCUAUAGAUAAGUGACUCACGAUAUUGUACAAGUGAAGCCAAAUAUCGAAAAAGUCCCAAAAUGUGUUAAAAGUCAUGUAGUAAUUAAAUUUUAAGUCUUCGAAAAAUUACCGCACUGGGUACUCGUACGGAGUGUAGGCCCACGGACCAAGUGAAUGAACGUGGACGACCUAUUUUUUUUUUGCAGCAAACAGUUAUUCUAUUACUCAAGCUUGAGUUGGUCUGAGAAACCAGACCGGAAUAUAACAACCAAUUAAACAUAAAUAUCUAUGAAAAGAACGUGCAUUCCUAGCUAACGAAUCUGCAAUCUCAUUCUGCAUCCUUGGAAAGUAGCUGAUCUUGAAGUCCGAAUAACGUGGACCACCUGUUAUUUGUGAGAAGUAAGGACAUUAUUUGAUUUUUGUGUAUACUUUGGUUUGAAUGACAUUUUGUAACAGUAUAAAGGAAAUUCUUUUAACAACACUCUCUAUCUUCCCCCUAAAUAUACCACAAAGAUGUAUUAGUUGACUUUUAUUAUGAAAACAUUAAAACGAAUUCUCGUAACACGGAUAGAAACAAAGUGAAAAUUUUACUUUAUUUGGACACUCAUAAAUCGAUAUUUGACUGGAUAACUUAAAGUUGAUGGACAUGAUGGACAUGAUUGCUAACUUAGUUGAUUGGCCGACGUUCGUUUCUGAUCAAGUGUCCUCAUAUCCCUAAAUUUAGGAACAUGCGUGGAGACACGGAGACGAAAAGCAGUGGCGUUCUUUUUUUUUUUCAUAUAGAUCAGACUGGGUCGGAGCAACCGAAAGAUUUAAUCUCGACUACUACUUGAUCUAAUAAAAUGGGUAUUAAACAAAAAAAAAUCUACACCUGACUUACAAGACUAUAAUCUCUGCUAGCAAACUGAUUUUUCAAAUAGCGAUGUAUCAUACGUGGAGUGGAGAAAAAAGUGAAAGACAUCAACAAACCAAACUCGCUUCUGUGUCUUGUUUAUACAGUCCACAAGUAAAUUCACAAUCGGCUCUUAUGCCUACAGCACGAUCGAAUUAAUGAAAAUGGAGAAGGCGUCGCUCGAUAAUCACGUUCUGAUUAUUUUUUCGAGCUUUUGAUUUAUGAUUGGAUUUCGAACUCGGUUUUCUACGAUGAAUUUGAUUUCAUUUGUUCUUCUCUGUUAUAAAGGAUGAAACUGUACCUGUAUGUCAAUAAAUUUUUAAUGCUUAAUAAUAUUCACAUUUCAAAAAAGAAUAUAUUAUAUUAUGUUUUAAUAAAUCAUAAGAUCAUUUAAAUGCAUUUUCUACUUGAAAUAUUUUUGAAGAAAAAACAAGUAUCUAAAGAAUCUAAAUCGCACACCUAUAUUGUUUCGAAAAACUUAUGUAUCGUUUUACUUUUUACAUAAAUAUUUAUUUGCGCCUCGAGUAAUUAACUAAUAUCGUUUCGGAAAAAAACCAUUUAAUUAAAAAAAAGAUUCAUUUUGUUACUAAAGACAAACAGAAAGUUUCCAAAUAUUCCGUGGAACUACUCACUUGUUAAGAUUCGUUAUGGGGAAUUGGGUUAGAAGAACAUUGUGUCGCUUUGUCAUUUGAUUCCUACAUGAAACGUGGAUAUAACUCUUUCUCUUCCUCUCAGAUGACCCAUAAUGAAAUUCAGUUCUAGAUUUUUGUUAGGUACCGCUUUGCUUUCUCUUUCACCUUUUUAUUAUUAUAUCUUUUCUUUUAACUAUUUCGAGACAUUUACAAUCCCCCAUACAUGUAUGCCUACGGCAGCAUAAUAAAAAAUCUCCCAAGAAAUGCACUCGUAAGAUUGGUGAAAAGGAUAAGCUUUAACCCAAAGAUGGAUUAAAGGAAAGAUUGAUCGAUGGUUCUUCAGUAUAAAGCUGCGGAAGGCCAGAUACUUGCUGGAUUGGUCUUAGUCCGUGAGAGGCAACCCAACUAGUGAACAAGACCGUGCUUACGGAGAUCACUCUCAUAGCAUUACGAUGUUCCAAAGAACAAAGGAUUCAACAAAUUUAAAAAAUAGAUUUUUAUUAAAAAGGUUGAAUGCAUAAAAACAAUACAAAGCAAACCUUUAUAUAAUAGGCAAUCUGUAGAAUUAAAUAAUCUAAUUAAUCAUUGAAACUAUAAAGUUCUUAAAAGUUAAAACUAUGAAGACUUGACUAAGAAUAUUGACUUGACCAAAGACCAAGACUGUUGACCGAAUUUGGGAAAUUGUGUUCGCAGAAUACCUUGGCUGGUCGCAUCAUUUUGCAUGAUCGACGGUCUCUGAAUUGCCAUCAGAUUGAUAUAUUAUACGACAUUGGCUUGUAUUUUCUUGGUGGGCCUUUCUUCUUUAGACUUCUUUUGAUUUGUUUGUUGCUGAACAAGGUCACAUCAUCCCCUCCUCCUUCAAAAGGAUUUGUCCUCAAAUCCGACUUAAUGUUUAGAACCUGUGACCGUGAGAGGCAGCCCCACUAGUGAUCAAAACAGGUUGCUUUCGGAGAAGCAAUCUCCUAGAGCCAUUACGAGAUAUGGAGGAGCAGUCUCGAUUUAAUUUCAGAUGGAAUGAUCUCUUGUUUUCUCGUGGAUCUUUUUUUUUUUUUUGUAGAAGAUGGAAAGAUGAGAAUGAUGAAUGACAGAAGUGAACACCGAACCCUCAAGUGUACUCUGAUACCAAAUAAUAGAAAAUCUCCCAAUGAAUGCACUCGAAGGUUGGUGAAAAGGAUAAGCUUUGACCCAAAGAUGGAUUAAAGGAAAGGUGGAUCGAUGGUUCUUCAGUAUAAGGCUGCGGAAGGCCAAAUACUUGCUGGGUUGGUUUUAGUCCGUGGGAGGCAGCCCCACUAGUGAACAAGACCAUGCUUACGGAGAUCACUCUCGUAGCACUACGAUGUUCCAAAGAACAAAGGAUUCAACAAAUUUAAUAAGUAGAUUUUUAUUAAAAGGGUUGAACGCAUAAAAACAAUACAAAGCAAGCUUUUAUAUUAUAGACAAUCUGUAGAAUUAAAUAAUCUAGUCAAUCCUUGAAACUAUAAAGCUCUUAAAAGUUAAAUCUAUGAAAACUUGAUUAGGAAUAUUGACUUAACCAAAGACCAAGGCUAUUGACCGAAUUUGGGAAAUUGUGUUCACAGAAUUCCUUGGCUGGUCGCAUCUUUUUGCAUGAUCGACGGUCUCUGAAUUACCGUCAAAUUGAUAUAUUAUACGACAUUCGCUUGUAUUUUUUUGGUGAGCCUUUCUUCUUUGAACUUCUUUUAAUUUGCUUGUUGCUGAACAAUGUCACAUCAGAGCAAUAUGUUGAAUUUAUUUGGUCGACUUAAAUAAACAGAACAAAACUCGUCUGUGAGUUAUUUAAUAGGCGUUCUACUGAUGGAUGUUACAAUAUUUGUGUGAACAAGAUAGAAAAUGAGUUGGCACUCAGCAAGUCGACGAUAAUUAAAUCAAAUCCUAAUUUUUCUCGUUAGUGAGUAUUGAACCCAAAUCCUGAAGAAAUAAGAAAGCAGUCGAAGAACAACCCAAAAGCAGCUCGAGCCUCUACUCCAAACUCGGGGAUAGAAAGCUCGACUUCGAAAAGUCGGCCUUAAUGCCUGAGGCCGAGCACGCACUCACGAGCUUAUUCUAACCGAAAGAACAUAUAUUUACUGUGGAUCCUACAACCCACAUUAGGAAUUUGAUUCAUCUCUUUCCAGAGACAAGAAAAAUCGUUAAUGUAUACAUGUAGAUAAACAAAAGCUAUAAAAAAGUUAAACAGAACUGAUCUUUGAAAUAGUGAAGUAAAAUACUUAUUUGGGCUCCAAAUUUAAAAUAUUUAAUAUAUAUAUAUAUACCUAGGCUUUUGAAUUGUUAAAUAAAUUAUAUUAAAAAUCUUAUUAAAUUUCUUUAGGUUCCAUAAUUGCAAGGCCGGCCCUACAAAUUAAGUAACACAAUAAUAUUAGAAAAUUUUAUAGUUCUUAGAAAAUAAAUUAUUAAAUAGGGUAAAUUAAUAUAUGCAUAUAUACAUUUAUUUAAAUAAAACCAAGAUAAAAUAUACCAAAAUUUAAUAAAAGAAUAAAAUGAAAAUUUUUACGCAUUGUUUAAUCUCAUUAAUCUUACAGUUAGUUAAUAUAUUAUAUUAUAUAUGUUAAAUAUAUUGUAUUUUUCUUCAAAAUUAAACUGUACUUUAAUAUUUUCCUUGUUCAGUUUUCUUAGGUAACAUUUUAUAAAAACGCAUCUAAAACGCAUUUUAUUCUUGUGUAUUUUUGAUAAAACAAAACACUAAAUAAUAAAACAAAAUAAAUAGAAUUUAAUCAAUCUAUAAGAUUGUGAAACGAAAUAUUUUCUUAUUCUAAAUAAAAGAAUAUUUUUAAAAUAUGAAUCUAGAAUAUUUUUAUUAUAAAUUAAUAAUUUAUGCUGACAAUUGUUUUUAAUAAUUCCUUAAAUUAAUAAAAUAAUAUAUUUUCAAUAUUUUUAAUUUAUAAAUUUUACAUCAAAAAUAACUGAUCUUGUUUUAUACAUGACACAUCCAAGAUAUGCCUUGUUCCUGAACUCUCUUGAUGAUGGAUGAAGAGCCGACCCAUGAAGCUACUAGCACUCAAGGACUAUGUAUGGUCCCCACACAAAGGAUGCAGAUGGCCUAUGUGUUGGUCAAUCUCAGUGACCUAUGAGUACACCUCACUUAAUAGUGAUAGCGAACUCAGUAUCUAACUCCAGACGAAUUUGGUAUUUUCAAGGACCCAAAUGGCUACGCAAGAGCAAGCGAUGGACGUAUUCUGCAUGUAUCUCAAAAGGAUAUUGCAUACAUCCUUCAGACGGCUAAUGGAGCAGACAACCUCUUCGUGCAACAAUACAACUUUCCAGAACACCAGCAGAAGGUUACAAAGGAGUUUAUGACACAGCUUCUGGCAUAGAUAAAAGCUUCAAACAGAGGUCUCGACAUCCUACUCGACCAUCGAUCGACGUUGACGUCUCAACAUCGGUCGACAGACAUUCUGAAUUUGGCAGAAGAGUCGUUGAUCUUUUCAGUACUAGGAAGUUCUACUGGGAAGAGAAGGAUAAGUGUGGAAUCUAUAGAGAUGAUCAGGGAUACGCCAGAGACGUUGAUGGACACACCAUUCACGUUCACAACAAAGAUAUCAGAAGACUUCUGGAAAGAGCUUCGAGAGAUGAGCACAGCUACAUAUGUCUUCCAGAACAUGCUAGCUCAUUCACACCAACCAAGCUAGUACCAGAGAUCUACACCAAGGACAAGAUCAAUGAGAUAUUCUAUGGAAUCUGCAGAGAAGAACAAAGAAUACUUCCAGAUGAAGCUUGAUGGAGUCUACAAUCCAUUGAAUGAUAGUAUCAGUUGGCUAACUACUUGCAUGGAAGAGAUGAGGCAAGACAUAGCCAGAAUUCAGCGUGAGAUCGACUUUUUCGCCCUACAUCGAUCAACAGAUAUCGACAGGCAUCGAUCGAUAGUCGCUUACAUGCAUCGAUCGACAACCGCUUACCAGCAUCGGUCGACGACAAUCCACCGCACUCACAUACGAUGAAGUCUAAACCAGAUUUUCACACCAGGGAAGAGAUAGAUCAGUGGGUUGAAGGGAUCUACAGAGCUCUGGAAACUACAGAGGAGAGGCUUGAUAGGAGAUGUGGUGACAUAUAUUUCCCAAUGGACCUUACCAUUAUUGCUUUGACUUCCAAGAUAGAAGCUAUUCAAGGGGAAUUAGUGGAGAUUCAGAAUUACAUUGCCCGUCGACCAGAAGCAUCAUCAUCGAUCGACAGACGCAACAAUAAAUCGACCGACAUUCACAGACAGACAUCGGUCGACGAAGCUUCAAACUGAGGGAGGCUAGUACAAAAGGUGACAUCAGAUAUGUCUGAUACACAAAACCGUGCAGAGGAGAUCUCAGCUGACGCAUACGCCAGACUUAUGAGACAUCAGUUCACUCUUAAGAGUCUUGGAGAUAGAUUGCAGAAGAUAGAAGAUGCAACUACAAUAAUGAAGGACAAAUGGCGUAGAGGAGAUGAAGCAAUGCGAUACUUCACUGGUACAUGGUUCAACAAGCGCAUAGAAGAGAUGGAGACUUGUUUCCCAACAAGUGCCAGCUUUCAACAUUACUAGCCCAAUCACCUUCAAAGUCAAGUUAAAUGACUAUUACAAAGCGCUGAGCGGGAUGCAACCCACUAUUAGGUAAUAUUUAUUUGGUUUUUAUUAAUCUACUAUUUAUGUUGGUUUUUAAUUAUUGCAGGUCAUAAAAAAAGAGAUUUGAGUAGACGAUUGCCGUGAGUAUCGACCGACGAAACACUGUUGACAUCGAUCGACAGAGAUGAACCUGCAGCGACUGAUAUCAACAUCCGUACAUCGGUCGACAAUCAUUCCGGUAUGGUAUAGCGUUCUAACUUGUUACAUUACGUACUUAUGAUUUAACUAUCACCAUAACUCCGACUAAGUUUACGUUGGGGACAUUGUAGUUUAAGUCUGGGGGGGAUGUUUACUGAUAUUAGUUUAUUCAUGAAUUUUAAAAAUAUUUUCAAACAUAAAGUUUUUAUUGAGUCAAGAAUGGGAUAAUGAAAGUAUUAGAUUUUUGCUUGUUAUCUAACCACUUUUUAGCACAAUUCUAGAAUUUACUGAUUGCAGAUAGUACUAAAGAUACUAAAGUGGAUCAACCUGUCAGCUAUGUUACACUUGCUGAGAUUGUUUGAAGGAACCAAAGCUGACCUCCAACACUAAAACUUGACAUAACUGCUUGUCUUGGGGCUUGGUAUAUAUGGGAUCGGAUUCUUCAAAUAAGUCUGGAAGGUAAAACUUUGUGUAUAUAGAUUUAUCACUCUCUCUCUCUCUCUCUCUCUCUCUCUCUCUCUCUCUCUCUCUCUCUCUCUCUCUAUUUUCAAAAUAUAGAUAUUAAAUAAAAUAAUUAUAUAUAUAUAUAUAUUUAUAUAUAUACAUAUCUAUUAGAGAUUUAUUAGGAAUAUAUAUAUAUAUCUAUUAGAGAUUUAUUAGGAAGGGAUUCGAACAAGACUUGGUGGAUACAACCAUUAAAGCUUGAUUCAUAAAAAUUCUAUAGGUAAAUGAUUAGAACAGGAUUUGGUGGUUACAACCAUUAAGGUUUACUUCACAAAUAAUCCUAGUAUAUAGGUCAAAAAGAAGUGAACAGGGCUUGGUGGUAACCACCAUUAAGGCUUGAUUCAUGGAAGUCUGUCCAAUCUUGGUCAAUGAUCUUGCAAAUAUAAACAGACUUUGACUAAGAGAGAAAAUUAGUAGAGAGAGAGGAUAAGAAUUAAUUUUUACUUGCAGGUGUAGAUACUUGUUUGAAAAUCUUUGCAUCAUGUGAUCGAUACUCCCAAGAUAAAACCUGAACUUUUAUUUAUGCUAAAAAAUGAGGUUGGUAGAGGAGAAUAUCAGACAAGAUUUGCUAAGUUGUUAGCUAGGUGAAUUUGGUUGAUAAGCUAGGAUAUGGUAUAAUGUGCUUUUGUGAUUAUGACUUCUUAGAUGUGGAUUACAAUAUUGUAGAGGUGAUGAUUCUAAGUUUUAAAUUGUGUGAGUUCCUGCUGUUUUCAAACCUCUUUCAGAGAGUUCUAAUCACAAAAGCAAAAGAGUAAGUUUGGGGAGUUGAUAGAUCAUUGAUUUGACCUAUUUUCACCCAUGAUUUAUACCGUUUGGUGGAGGGAAGAAGGGGAGCUCACCAAGCUCGAGAGCUAAAAGGCGAGAAGAAGAUAAAAGAGGAACUUGUACUCACGAGCUCUAAAUCGCAAAUACGUUUACGUAUUUUGAAUUUUUGAUAUCAAGAGAAUUAUUCUCUCUUCGACCACGGCCUCACGUCUCGAACACAAUCAAGCCACCAAGCAGCUCUAAGUGUUCUCGAAGUUACCAUCUCCAAAUCUGAACGCUUCAAGACCAAGAGCACAAAGACUCCACGAAAAGAAGAGCACGAGCUCUUAGAGCCCAUAAACGCCAUUUAUCUUUUCAUUAUUAUGAAAGGAGGACGUAAAAUGAAAAAAAAAAUGAAAGAAGAUACGUUGCUUUUUCCUGUCAUGGUGUCGCCACAUUUUGGAAAAACGAUGAGAGUCAUUCUUUCUCUUGAGCAUAUGCGAUCUAGUGCGAUCAAAUAUAGAUAGCUCGAGGUCUCAUAAUUUUUAUUCGAGACAAGAACAGACGAACUCGACGUCUCAUUCAAAGACCGAUGAAAUCGAUGUCUCACUCGAGAUGAUUAAAAAUUGGAUCAUAUGAGACUUGAACCAGGGUUACUAUCCGCUCAACCUCCAUGAAUGAGUGCUCGGAAGUUGGAGAACCACAACUACCAGCACCUGUCUCUCACCUUCCGGCGAAGAAGAGUUCUCAGUGCUCAACAGCAACCAUUGCAGGAUCUGAUGAGAAUAGCAGUGGUGUUUCCUUGUUGCUUCUUGUACUGUUGGGAAUGCACCUGAAAAGACAAGAAAAUUUUUAUGUCAAAAAGUGGUUUAAAGAAGUAACCUAGACUAAAUCUAUAGGUGAUCAAAGCUCCCCGGCAAAUGCGCCAAAUUUGAUCUCACUCAAAUUACCCUAAGGAGUAAAUUACUCUCUCUCUCAAAUAAGAGGUUCAAUUGUAGUACUUAGGGAUCGAAUCCACAAGGAGCUAGAGAACCUAAUAGAUCUAAUCAGAGUGAUUAAGGUAGGUUGAUUAUGUUUAAAUGUAAGUAACUGGUUGUGAGCAAGGUAGUUGCUCGAUUGGUUUGAUUGAGUUUUUGGCACUUAGAUGAAAUAGCUAGACUUAGGGUUUUAUUCAGAUAAUCAGGAUUAUAAUCCUACAGAUGCUUAAUAGUUGUAUGCAUGAUAAUAUAGAGCUCAAUCGCUUAUGAACAAACCGAUUGGCGUUUGCUUUCUUGGUCUGUGUAUUGACCAGAUAUAAGUGUCGAUCGAUACACCUUUUGCACCGUCGAUCGAUUAUUCUAUAGGAAUAUCGAUUGAUGCGUUUUUAGCAAAGCUUUACCCGCGGGUUGAAUAAUGCUCACUAGGCUUAUUAGAUCAGCUUUCGUCUUACUCUAACAAUCCUAGCUCAAUUAGGACGGAUUCAGGGUGAGAUUCAAGUGUUAACUUGAGCCUACAACCUAGGUCAAGGUUCUAGCCAGUUAAACUAGAAACAUACAUUAAUGAAAAUCCUAAUGAUGAAUAUCACAACUUAGCAAUCUAUAGUUGAGGCUAAUCCCUCAUAACCUAUUUGAACCCUAAAUCUAACAGUGGAACUACUCAGACAUAGCUAAGCAAUUCGUAACAGCAAUACGGUAUAAAAACUGCAUAGAUAUUAAAUAGAUAAUAAUGGAGUUCCAAUCACAAAUUAAAAACUGCAUAGCUAAGCAACAUAUUUUCAUGUUUUUGAUUUGAGUUUGAUGGUAUACUAAAAUAGGCGCUUGUGUGUUUAAAUUUAUAUAUAGUUUUUUUUUUAAUUCAAAAUAACCCAGAAAUAUAUAUAUAUUUUUUUAAUUUUGCUGGCAAUAUUUUGUGUUUCAUAUAUAGAUUUCAAUUUUUAAAGCUUGCUGAUUAUGGGGGCAGUUAAGAAAACCAUAAGUAAAUGAAUGUAAUACUAAAAGUUUAAGACUAUAGCUAGGAUUAGGCAUGGGCGUUCAGGUUUUCGUUUGGAUUUGAGUUAGGUGAUUCAGGUUUCUAGUUUUCGGGUGGAGAAGUAUAGAACCCGUUUCAGUAAUUUAUGAAUUCAGGUCGGGUUCGGAUUAUUAAAGAUCAGGUUUGGCUUCUUUUGGGUGUAACUGAAGCCCUCGACAUGUGCAAAACCUGAUAUUUUUCAGAAAAAUUCAACAGCCUAAAAAACCUGUAGUGGUUGUGAAAUAACAAAGUUCUAAACCAAAAACAAACAUCAUAGCGGAAACAGAGUAACAUGUUGUGCAAUAACAAAGUACCAAACCAAAAACAUCAACCAAACUUAAACAAAACAUAGAGUCAAGUCUUCACCCGAAAACAUCAACCAAAACACCAAGCAAACUUAAGAAACUCGAAAACCAUCUGCGACACCAAAAACAGACAAUUGUAAAUGUUAGAACAGUAAACAGGCACAAUAAAUACAACAGACGAUUACAAUUUAUAAGAUGUCUUAGUUCUUACCAUGAAACGAAUCCAUAUUAUCUUGAUAUUCGGGUUCGGGUUCGGGUUUCGAACUUGGUUACUAUGCCCAUGCCUAGCUAGGAUAUUUUAUGAUGAUGUAAUACAAAUUUUUCUGAAUAUUUAUAUUAUUAAAUAAAUAUUAUAAUAUACAUUUUGGGAAUAUUUAUUUAGGAUGCAAAAAUAUUGAAACUUAUUUUCAAGUUAUGAAUUUAAUUUAGGAUGACAUUAUCAUCGAUUUUGUGAAUUUUUUGGUUACUCAGUAAAAAUUAUAAUCUAGAUUUACGUAAUGAUUCAUCAAAUAUAUCAAAACUGGCCGAUAUUUUUUUCUUAACUGAAUGUAAACUAAUAUUCAAUGUUUUUUAAAACAUAGAAAAAAUAUGCUUCCUAAAUGUACAUUAGUUGAUUAAAAUGUCAUGAUGUAGAAACUGUAAAUAAAAUGUUAGUUGUUUUCUAAAUAGAAAAAUGUGAAUGUUCUGGUUCAUUAUUGUUUUUUUUUACAAUGAAAGACUCUUAUAUUACUUAAACUUGAUGUAGCAUGACCGGAAUAGAACAACUAAUAAAACAAAGAUCUCUAUGAAAACACUUCGCAUUUCUAGCUAUAGAAUUAGAAAUUUCAUUUUGCGCUCUCGGGAUAUAAGAGAUCUUGAAAGCCGGAAAGCAUAGCUGGAGAUUCUUUAUUGCAUUCAAUUAUGUUGCAUAAUUUUGUCAUACAUGAGACUCCUUUAUCAUUGCGAUCAGAUCCUAGUAGUUCGUCCCAGAGCUCUGACAUGUCGAAUGUUGGAUCAUGUUUUCCAUAGCCUAUCCCAGUGCUUCUAAUUUUGUAUGCAAAACAGCCUCUCGGCGUCUUAAAUUCGCGCCCAUAUAAAUUAAAUUUUCUCCAAACUAUCCAUUCAAACUCAUCCACAUCCACAGAAUUGAAUGUAGAGGUCUAAGAGCUAUCCACCUUACAAUUGUUGCCCAAACUUACGACUUAAAGUUCCUCGUACUUAACCAUUGUAUCCAACAAAUUAAGUACAGUUAGACUUGAGAUGAAAUAAAGACUUUAAUAUAAAUCAAACAUACUAAUGUAUGUAUAAUGUAUUCAAGGUUUCGUGGGACAAAGACCCAAUGUGUAGUUUUAUUAUAAUCAGUUUAUAGCUAGUAAUAGAUAUGAAGAUUUAAUUUGUUGAAAUUACGUGGAGAUGCCCACGAGUUUAUAUGUUAAUUUGUAGCUACCAAUAAAUUUUGGGUUUUUUCUCGAUAGCUAAUAAUAACCAUAGACACAAUACAUCUGAAGAAUGUUCUUUUAAAUUUUCCAUCUAGAAUAGAUACAAAAAAAUAUUCAUUUAAGUAAUUGUGUACUGGAUAGUCUUAAAACAUCACAACUUCUAUUAUUUAAGUCAUAACUUCUAUUUUAAUAGAAUACAGAUGAUCCAAUAAUUUUGAAAUACAACUAUAAACUUCGAUUAUUUUCCCCGGUUUUCUCUGGGUUGUGGCUGGUUAAUGGUAUAUAUACUGGGACGGAUGCAAAUGGAAAUGAUAGGAGACCGAAAGUCAAUGUGUACAUGGUUCCCAUCAUCCUAGCUUUUCCGUAGUUAUCAACAUGUAGAACGGAGGGGACACUUAUGUCUCUUUUUCUUUUGCUCUAAAUGACGUCGAACUUAUAAAAUAGAAUACAGAUGAUCCAAUCAUCUUCCUCCAUUGUCUCCUCCACCAUCUCCAUUUUCUUCGCUUACUGCAACGCUUUGAUUCUGUCUUCUUGUUUCUUUUGGAGUUUUUUUUUCUUGCAGUGUCGCAAUAUGUUCAAUUUAUAUCCGGCUUAUAUAACCGUGUAAAAAUAUACAUGUGAUUUCAAAAAUUUAAAAUAAAAUACCUAUUGUUUACUUUUUGGCAAAAAUAUACCUAAUUUUUGUUGAUGUAGAUGCUAUGUCAGCAAAUUUUGCUGACAAAGAUGCCACGGUACAAUAUGUUUUUUAGAAAACUAAGUAGUUGUUUUUAAAAAUAUUUUUUAGAAAAUUUAAACGUUUAUAAUUUUUAUUAUUUAGUCAAAUUAACAAAACUUAAUUAAAUAAUAAAUUUAAUCUUAUAUAAGAAAAAUAUUUGUUAUAAUGUUUUGAUCUUAUCACAAUGUCGUCCUUAUAAGAGUUAUAUUAAUGUUGUAAUGAUUCAAGUUUAAUGCUAAUGGUGCAGUCGUAUUACUCAUGAUUAAUCUUGGUUAUGUUGUUUACAUUUAAAGAAUUUAGAUUAAAAUUUCAUAAAUUAUCAAUCUCUUUAAAAAGGUUAUUCGAAUGAUAACACAAACAAGCUAAAACAUUUCUAUACAAAUACAUAACCAAGAUUAACAUAAAAGUAACUGAAGAUCAAAACAUUAUAACGAUACAAGAUAUGAGCACGUUGCAACGCAACGGGUUUUUGUUUGAUGUUUUAAUUUAAUAAAAACCAUAAAAUAAUAAAUCAUUUUAUUAUGGUAUUAUGAUUGUUUUUUGCAUAUGUUGCUUGAAAAUUAUUUUAUAAUGAAAAUGUUUUCACACAUAAAUUCAAGUUAAUAUUUGUAUUUUAUAAUCAUGGUGCAUAGAUGAGUUGUUAUAAACUUUAUACUAAGGAUUACAGAAAAUACUAUACAUAAACAUUUAAACUGAACACAAUCCGAAAUAAGAAAUGAAAAAGUAAAAAGAAAUGAAAGUUAAAUACACCAAUCGAAUCAAUGACAACAUUAUACAUGUUCUUAUGUACUCAUUUAUUGUUUUAUUAAAUAAUUAUUUAAAAUUACAUUUUGCUAGGAUUUAAAAAAGGAAAACAUUCUAUUUUAUAAAUCUCCUUUUUAUUUAAAAUUAAAAAAAUAUUAAAUACUCAUUUAUAAUUUUGUUUAAGAUUUUAGAAAAGGAAAAUUACUGUCAUAUAACCUAUUACUAUUAUUUUCUCUUUAUAAUUUCAUUAAAAAAAUAUUUCAAUCAAUUAACUAUUUUUAGUUAUUAAUAAAUAUUUUUAAAAUUUCUAUUUUCACAAUUCGUAUCAAUGCUAAUUUUACACUUCUUUUGUUAAUUAAUAACAUUUAGUAUCAUGUUCAUUAUCAAACACUCUCUUAAAAAUAAUAUCAAAUAAAUUUUUACAAUUCUUUUUUGGUUAGGACUAAAAAUAUUAUACGAAUUUAUUUUGUUUAGAAUUUCUUUUUAUAAAAAAAAUAAAACAACUAUCAAAUAUUCUUUUACAAUUUUGUAGGAUUUUAGAAAAGGAAAUUAAUAUUACAUAAUCUUUUACUAUUCUAUUUUGUCUAAGAUUUAAAAAAAAAAUUAAAAGUUUCAUUUUUCAAAAUUCGAUUUUUUUCAAUAGCAUUAAUAGUUAUACAAUUUUUUGUUGUAAAUUGAAUAAUUGUUACUAUCAUGUUUAUCAUUAAAUUUUUGAAGUAAAAAUUACUAUUAAAUACAAUUUUACAAUUGUCUCAAGGCACGAUUAAAAAAAACAAUUCUUAAUUGGUUAAGAUUAGAAAAAACUUUUCUUUUAGAAAUCUCAUUAUCUAAGAUUUUAGGAAAAGAAGAAGUUAUUUUUACAUCAUGGAAGUUUUUAUUGACACAUUCACAAUCUAAUUUUUUAAUUGACACAUACACAAAAAAAAAAUUCUCUCUAAACGAAGGCGAUGGCGAUGGCGAUUAUCUAGGGUUUGAUGCAGUUACGGGAUUGGGAUCCGGGGAUCUUUGGAUUAACAGGGGGUCGCCGUGAUCUCUAUCACUAUGAUAUGAGUGGGGCGAUGGGGACUAUCGAUGGAGAAUGGUGUCUGGUGGCAGUACACGAGGAUUACAUUGGAAAUCAUGGGACAAAGUAUGUGUCAGUAAGGAAGAUGGGGGACUAGGUUUCAAGGAUAUCACUGAUUUCAAUGCAGCUAUGCUUGGUAAGCAGCUGUGGAGGCUAAUAGAAAAGCCGAACACUUUAUUUUCUCGAGUUUCAAGGGUAGGUAUUAUAGGAAUGCCUCACCUUUGGAACCGAUUCGAUCAUACUCUCCGUCCUAUGGCUGGAGGAGUAUUGUAUCUGCUAGAUCUCUGGUAAGCAAAGGACUAAUCAAAAGGGUGGGGACAGGAUCUUCUAUAUCUGUAUGGAAUGAUCCUUGGAUCCCAACCACUCGCCCGAGACCAGCCAAUAAAAAUCAACAUAAUUUGUACCCCGACCUCACAGUGGAUUCUCUUAUUGAUUCCACUACGCGACAAUGGAAUUCGCAGGUUAUUCGGACUUUGGUAGACCCACAGGAUGCGAAAAUCAUAGAGAGUAUACCGCUGAGCAGAACCCAGAUGGUAGAUAGGGAAGGAUGGCAUUUUACAAAUAAUGGGAAAUUUACGCUUAAAUCAGGUUAUCAAGUAGAGAGGAUUUACCCGGAUAGGGAAAAAUUACCAGAAUUAAUUGGACCUACGGUUAAUAUGUUAAAGGCUUUUUGUUGGAAAAUAAGAUGCCCACCAAAAAUAAAACAUUUCCUUUGGCAAUUGGUUUCAGGGUGUGUCGCGGUUAAGAAGAAUUUACAGGCGCGAGGGAUCCAAGGAGAUAUAUGUUGUGCACGAUGUGGAGCGGAUGAGGAGUCAAUUAACCAUGUGUUUUUUGAGUGUCCUCCAGCAAUUCAGGUUUGGGCGCUAUCAAAGAUACCAACAAAUCCAUCUAUUUUCCCGAUAAAUUCCUUAUUUACAAAUAUGGAUCACCUUUUCUGGAGAGUUGCUCCACCGAUGGAGGAUCAUCACUUUGCUUGGAUAUUGUGGUACAUUUGGAAAGGAAGAAAUAAUAAGGUUUUUAGUAAUCUGGAGAUAGACCCUAGAGACACUCUUAAGCUGGCGGAAACGAAAUCCAUACUAUGGGCAAAGGCACAGAUUUUGAAGGACCAAACGGUGGGUACACAGGUUCAAGCAUCUUUGCCGCCAAUUUCUGGACGAUGGUGUUUUACAGAUGGUUCGUGGAAAGAGGGGGAUAGGCUCUCUGGUCAGGGCUGGUUCAGUACUUUAGAAGGUUUUGAAGGUUUAAUGGGAGCAAGGAAUGUAAGGGCUUCUUUAACUCCCUUGCACGCAGAGAUGGAGGCGCUUCUAUGGGCUAUGGAAUGUAUGAGGAAUCUACGUCAAUACCAGGUUACGUUUGCAACGGAUUGUUCUCAAUUGGUGAAGAUGGUUUCGGAACCAGAAGAGUGGCCAGCUUUUGCAAGUUAUCUGGAAGAUAUCAAGACUUUGAAAGAAAGUUUCACAAGAUCAGAGAUUAUACAUGUACCAAGAACGCAAAAUACAAAGGCGGAUAACCUAGCACGCAGUGUCAGGAAACAAACGUCUUUCGUCGUUCACAUGGAUCAACAUCUCCCGGCUUGGUUUACAGAGUCUAUUUGAGUCUGUAAUGUUGGUGACAAAAAAAAAAAAAAAAAUUGACAGAUACACAAUCAUAUCAGGUGAAAUGUUUGAAGUUAAUUUUGGUUUAUAUUUUUUAACAUAAAAUUAUUAAAAAGUAAAGUUAGUUAAUUAUAAGAAAAAUAAGAUUACUUUUACAUUUUUAUUUUAUUUAGACUUUUAAAAAGGAAAUUAAUUAUUUUAUUUUUAAUAAAAAAUUCUGUUUAAUUAUCUAUAUAUUUUGUCUUAUACAUAUAAACACAUAUUUAUCAUAUGCACACAUACUCAUGUACGUCAGUAACAUAAAAAUUAAAAGUUAUGCUAGCAUCAUAAGAUGUAAUAAAGAUAAUAGACCGCUGAAAUGUAUCAAGAAAUUAAAAGAAAAUACUCAGAUAAUACUUUUCAUGUAAAUACUAUUGUGUUUUGUAAAAAUAAUAUGUGGAACCUUAAACCUAAAUAUAAAUGUGAAAUAUUUGUAGCUAUUUUUUCUCAUAAGUUUUUUAACAUAUAAUUAUCUAUUAAAAAGGAAAGUUAUGUACUUAUAAGAAAAUAAUAAGAGUACUUUUACAAUUUUCUUUUAAUUAAGUUUUAAAAAAAGUAAUAUUAUUUAUUUUAAAGUUAUUUUUUCAUGUUAAUAAUGUAUUGUACUUGUAAGAUUUUACCAUUCUUUUUUGUUUAACAUUUUUUCUUAAAAGUUAAUGUUUAUAUUUUAUAAUUCUCUAUCUUUAGUAUAUUUUAAAACAAACAUUAUAAUGAAAAAAAAAAUUAAUAAUAAUAAUAAUAAUAAGACUCUUAAAUAAUAUUUAUAAUUAAUUUUUAAGAGAAUUUUAUUAUUAUUAUUUUAGUAUAUAUAUUUUUGAUUGUUAUAUAGUUGAACAUAUAUCACAAUAUAACUACCAUGUGUCACAAUCAUGUUAAUUAGAUAUUUUGAAAAACCAAGCUCAAUAUAAUCUUUUAUAAUUAUUUUUUCGUUAAAAGCUUAGAAAAGAAAAUUUAUAUUAAGUAAAUUGUUUUCAAAUCUAUUUUCUAGGAUUUUGAAAAAGGAAAAUUUCUAAAAAUAUUACUACUAAAUAUUUUUAAAAAUCAAUUUUACUAUUAAAUAAAUUUUAAAAGUAGCCUUUUUAAAAUUUGUUUUUAUUAUCUUAUUAUCUAUAUUUUUAAUAUUUUAUAUAUUUUAACACAUGUCACAAUAUUAGAAAGGAAAUUAUUAUCAAAUAAUCUUUUGCAAUUAUCUUUUGAUUAGGAUUUUAAAAAAGGAAAAUUAUUAUUAAAUAAUAUAUUUAAUAAGAUUUUUUAAUAAAAUUUAUUUUUGUUGAUAUCUUAGUAUAUAUAUUUUUAAUUAUGAGAUAGAUUAACACAUAUGACAAUCUUAAAUAUAUAAUUGCUAUGUGUCGUGAUCAUGUUAAUUAGGAAUUUGAAGAACAAAGUUUUAUAUAAUAAGAUAUCUAUUAUAUAAGUUUAAAAUUCUAUUAUUUAAUUAACUUUUGUUAAUUUUACUAAAUAAUAAAAAUUUACAAAUGUUUAAAUUUUCUAAAAAAUAUUUUUAUAAAAUAACUAUUUUGAUUUAUUUUAGUUUUUAAGAAAAUAUCCUACAAUGGCAUUCAUCUACGUCAUCAAAAUUAGAUGAUGUGUCAGCUGAUGUGGCGACUAAUGUAUGAUUUUGCCAAAAAAAAAAGUAAACAAAAAGUAUGUUACUUAAAAAUUUUGAAAGUACUUAUAUGUUUUUGCGCGGUUAUAUAAGCUAGGUAUCAAUUGAACAUAUAGCGAUAUGUUAAGUAAGAAUUCGUUUUCCCGAAGUUGUACAUCAAACUAUUUUGUUUUCUUAAUCCUUAAACUUACUAGCUAUUUGUUAGAGUUUCUUGUAAAGAAUAUGUGCAACAAUCAAGGAAACUUACGGUUAUAAAUGUGCAGUUUAAUUGGUAUCCGAUAUGAGAAUGAAUCUUUGAGAUUACAUCUCCGUUGGAGAGAGAUAACUACCAGUGAUAGGCAAAAUAUAUAGACUUCAAAUGUUAAAAUAUAUUUCUGUUUAAUAAGCGUCUGAAACACUACAGAGAGCCUAGUGAAAUUUUCUAUUGGAACAGUUCAAGAAUUUGCAGGAAUUAAAGAUGGCCUUGCGAUUAAGAUGGCUUCUUAGCGACCAUCUACUUUGCUUCCAUAACAUUGGUUAGAUAGUCCAGAGAUUGCACAUUCAGGCAAUAGGACAUACUAGAGAAACCACCAACACUCCUUUCAAAUCAAACCGAACCGAACCUGAGCCAACAAUAGCUGCGUACUCUCUCGACAAGUCAACUGUAUAAAAAGAAGUUUGUACUUUUGGCUGGUACAGUUCACCCAUGCAAUUCUUGAAGAAAGUCUUGAUGGAGUCUCUUAUGAGUCCCCUUUUUUAGGAAUGGUGGUGGUCAUUGUUCUAGCUAUUGCUAAAAGGUGCGAGUGUGUGAGUAGAUAAAAAAAGUUGUUUCGCGUGUAUUGUUCACCGAACAAGUUAUGGGGAUUGUCGGACUAAAUAAGAACUUUGAAUCAAAAUGACUAAAAUAAUACAAGUCUCAGCGGGCAGCAAUGACUAAAUUGAUUUCAACUCCACGAGAUUUCCAGACGCAGCCAUUUGCAAAUGAUUCAUAUGAAAUUAUCCAAAAGUAAAUGAUAAAAUAAUUCCAGUGUUACACACAAAAGCCUUAGGUUUCCAUUGGAGCCACGUCUUGGUCACCUGUACCAUCACCACCCUCUUCUGCGGGUGCAGCAGGUUCGGCCUCACCUUCUCCUUCCUCUUCAUCUGCAACUUUCUCAAACGUAUCGAUCACAUUCUGUAUCGUUUCCUGGUCCAAGAAGUGGAAUGGUUCACCAACACCUAGAACAGAUACGGUGCACAGAGAACUCUUGAGUGUUUCUCCCUGCAGUGUCUCCCUAACAGCCAAAAUCGCAUCUUUGAUCAGAUCUUCUCUUGAGGAAUCCGCAAAGCUCUCAAACCUGCGUUCCAGGUAGGUCUUUGCAGCUUGAGAACGGGACCCGAUAGCAAAAGCUUGAUACUCGAAGUAGUUUCCGCUGGGGCAGUUGUAGUAAAGGUGGGCUCCAGACUCAUCCAGUCCACCUACCAACAAACCCACGCCAUAGGGUCGUUUCCAUGAUCUUUGGGUGCAGACCUGCGAACAAAAGAAAACAAAAAUAUUACUUCUUUUUUUUGAAGCCUUAGUAAAGAUGAAGAUAACGAUACCAAAGUAACUUGAUAUGAACCACUGUAGCAAAAUAUCUCAUAAAAGAUGAGAAAACCAACUGAUAAAAAUAUGAGAAUGAGGAAUAUAAGACCCAUGUAGCAGACGCUUAAAGGCAACAACCUUCUUCUCUGUCUCAUCUGGGGUCGAAGCCUACAAAUUUGCAUACUUUUUUACUGGGAAGUGGGAAACAGGCUGAUAAGCUGUUAUUACCAGUUACAAAGAAACUAUUACCUAAGCCAACUGCACCAAGAAGCUAUAAGAUACCCAAAGAACAAAACAGAAACCAAUUCAGUUUGCUUCUAAAGGUCCCAAUUUACCUUUUCAAUUACUAAACAUAGAAGCAAACAAGACCAAUAAAAAUAAAUAAAAAUAAGAGAGAUUCUCUCACCUCUUCAACUGAUAUGUAGCAAAACAAAAAUCAUUUAUAUGCAGUUCUGAACAAAACAGCUCAUACAAGUUAAGUGAAAUGUAUGUAGCACAUAAGAAUAGGCAAGUUGUAGAACAACAUCAAGCUGGAGUAGUGACUCAGCUGUGACUAACCUGAGCCUUAUCAGCAAGAUGAACAACGAGACGACCAACGGGAAGUGGAGACUCAUAUGUGAAGGAGUGAUUGAUAGCUUCCGAUCUCAUAUAACGGGAGAGAACACGUCCAUCCGCAGUGAGUCCAGCGAUUGCGACGCCUAUGUGGUCAUCCACUUUGAAGAUCUUCUUCUGAUGCGACGAGAGCUCAGAUUGGGCUUUGUUGACGCACGCCAGGACUACAUGGGAGCGAGAUCUGAGUCCAAUUGCGGCUGAGCCUUGCUUCACUGCUUCCAUGGCGUAUUCUACUUGGAACAGACGACCUGUUGGGCUCCAUGUCGUCACGUCUGUGUCGUACUGAUUCCUGAACAUCUUCUUCUUCUUCUUCUUCUUCGUCAGAAGCUUUUCUUUUCCUUCAAGCCAUGGUUCUUCUUUCUCUUUGAUGGAACUGAACAAAUGGGCCUUAUAUUACUUGAAUGGGCUUAUACGUUAUGUUGGGCUAUAGUAUUGGCGUCACGCUGUGAUUUAAGGAUAUUGCCUAAACCAGAUAAUAACCUACUAGAAUCGGUUACUUAUGAAACUUUAUCAAACCAAGGGAAAUUUUAAAAUAACAACUUUUGAAUAUCCCCAUAUAUAUUAAAUGAAAAGUCAAUUUAGUGAUUUUUGGUGAUGUAUCGCUCAUAGGUAAAGUUUCAAGAAAUUUUUAUAAUUUGAUUUAAUUUUUAUUUAUUUAGUUUAGAUCUAAAAAUUUAAGGUAAAUCUAAAAUCAUUUAACAUCACUUGCCAUAUAAUCUAAAGAAUAUUACAAAUAAAAAUUUAUGAAAACUAAUUCUCGAAAUUAUAGAAAGAUUAAUAAUGUUUUAUUUAUUACUUUUAAUAUUCAUAAACUAUAAAAUAUAAUGAACGAAAAUUUAUAUAAGAUAAUUAUAAUAGUUUUAUACUCUACUUGAUGAACUGUAUUUGAAUAUAAUUGUAUAAUAAAUACUUUAAAUAUUACAAAAUCCAAAAAUGUUUAUUAAUAUUAUUUUUAAAUUAUUUAUCGUUAUUUAAAGAAUAAAUUUAUCAGAAUUUUAAAAUAAUUUAUAAAAUGUUAUAAAUUAUUUAUAAAAAAUAUAAACCUACUAUAUAUUGAUUGAGAAGUCACAUAAGUGAUUUUUUAUUAUGUGUCGAUCAUAAAUGAACUCUUCAAAUUGUUAUAAUUUGAUUGGCCGAUGAUUUUUAAUUUUAUUUAUUAUAAUAAUAUCUAAAAGGAAAGGAUAAUUCAAUUACCACUUUCUAAAAUAAUAUACAUAAUUUUAGAAAUAAUUAUUUAUGGUAACUAAUUGUUGAGACUAUGAAAGAGUAAUAAUGUGAUCAAUUUUUAUAUAUAUUUAUAAAUUACAUAAAAUAAGAAACAAAAAUGUUUAUUUGAAUUGAUAUAAUGAUUUUAUUCGUAUAGAAAACUUUAUAUUUGUAUAUAAAGUAUCAUAAUAACUAUUAAUGUCUAAUAAAUUUCAUGCAUGCUUUAUAAAUCAUUUAUUAAAUUAUAAAUAAAUUUAUAAAAUUAAUUAUAUUGUAGACAUGGAUCUUUAAAAUGUAAUUUACAUUGAUGUUUUAAUCAAUUGUAACGUCUAUAAUAACUUACCUUAAUUUUCUAUUACUUGCGCAAGUUGUAGGAAUGACAAUUGGUACCACCCGCCCCGCCGUAGCCCACCCCGCCGUGGUCUCUCUCUCCGGCGGUUCUUUGCGGGUUAGCCCGCCACAACCCGCGGUCUCAAUCCUUAAGCCCAAACCCCCCCCCCCCCCCGCUAACAUCUUAAGCCUUUUGCGGGCAGCCCGCGGGUCGUCAAAUAUUAGUGGCAAACGGUACCACCCGCCCCGCUCCGCCGUGGCCCGCCCCGCCGGUAGUCUAAGUCUCUCUCUCCGGUGGUCCUUUGCGGCACUGCUGUCUGCUGAUAGUAAAUAAAAAUCAAGAUUAGUCCAACAUAGUUAAAUAUAAACUUCACCAAAAGCACCUAAGAAAAAACGGCAUUAGAUUUUAUAUCAAGUCAUUACCAACAUUAUGUUGGCAACACAAUAAGUCAAUUAUUAGAUUUCAUCGUAUACAUAUUGUAUCAAGUCAAUACCAAGUGUUUUACUCGUACCAUAUGACUCGUAUGUAGGACUGAUACCAAUGCAUCAUUUAAGUGAUAGUGAUAUUGUUUGCAAAAGUACAUUACUAAAAGCACAGACAAACACUGCAAAUUUUUCAAGUCUUAACCAAAUUUAAGUUAAAAAAAAAACACCAGAUCCAAACGAUGAAUCCCAAACAUAAUAAAAACCCAAAUCCAAACAGUCAUUCUAAAUGUAGAUAAAAGCAAAACACCAAAUCAAAAUAAAAUUAAAUUAAACUUCUUCUUCUUCAUCUUCAUCUUCACCAUUGACAAUGGAUUCAAAUGAUGGUAGCUUCUCUUCUUCAUCAUGAAUUUCAUCUUUAGAAAAUAUCAAUAGUUGAAGUUAGUAAAUAUUAAUAGUCAUGGUACUCAAAAUUAUAUGAUAAUGAGAAUAUUUUACCAUGUUAAUAAGCUUCAUAUCCCUUUAGCCAGUUCCUAGUACACAUCAGAGCUUGCACAUUCUUCGGGAGUAGACGGCUCCUGUAUUUAUUAAGGACUCGCGAUCCAAUGCUAAAGGAAGACUCUGAAGCCACUGUUGUAAUAGGAAUACUCAGUAAAUCACAAGCCACUGCUGACAAAUCGCCAUACCUAUGAGUAUUAUCUUUCCACCACUUGAGAAUGUCCAUGCUCCGGAAACUAUUAAAGUCCAAGGGUGGUUCAUCAAGAUAAGCUUCUAGAGGUGUUUUUCCACUCACAACACCGCUGACUUUGCGAAACGCAAAGAAAUCCUAUGAAGGUUUAAAAAAAGAUCAAAAACUAUUUAAAAAAAAUAAAUAAACAGAAUGUUAAAAAAAAUCGAAACACUCACAUUGUAGUUCUCAAACAUACCCAUUGACCCUUCAGCACAAAACAUUUUGUGGAACCGUCUCACGUGGCUCUGUAGAAGGUGAGUUAGUCUUUAGAUUUUUUGUCGUAAGACUCAAACAGAGUACUAAGCUUAUCACGCAAGUUUCUCAACUUUGCAUCACAUGUACUCAUGUCAAGCUUCCCUAAACAACAAUCCACAAUAGAAAGCUUAAAACGUGGAUCAAAGACGACUGCCAUCGCGAAAACACAACUGACUUCUUCCCAAUAUUUAUCGAACUUCUCUUUCAUCGGUGGCACCAUCUCUCUGACAACCUCAUCUUGGCUUUCUUCAUUAAUUCGAAGCCAAUCAUGGAUCAACCAAACCUGAUAGAAAUACAAGUUUGAAGUCGGGUAAUUGGAACCAGACAUCAAACUUGUAAUCACAGCGAAAGGUCCCAAAAAACAGCAAAUAUUCUCAGCUCUUGUCCAUUCCUCAGCUGUAGGCGCCAUUUUAUAACAUCUCCUAUCAAAAGUCUCCAACUUAAGAAACGCUUUGCGGAACUUGAUGGCUUUUUCAAGCAUAUAGAAAGUCGAAUUUCAUCUUGUCUGCACAUCCAGUAUCAGACCCGCAUUUUCCUUUAUACCAGCAGCAACCACACAUUUAUCAAACAAUACUUCACGCGCUUCCGAUGCUCAUACAUACUUAAUACUCUCUCUUACUUUGUGCAAAGAACCUCCAAUAACCUUCAAACCAUCUUGCACUUUGAGGUAAGUAUGUGAGCUGCACAUCUGACAUGGAAAAAUUCUCCACCACACAACAAGUCAUCGUUCAACAUCAGCUGCGAUUUCACAAUAUCUUGCAUCGAGUCGUUGCUUGUAGCAUUAUGGAAUGUGAUCGAGAACACCUUUUUUUCUAUUCCCCACUCUUUCAGUGAUUCAAGGAGCUGCAUCGCAACAUUCAUACCCGUAUGUGGUGGUGAUAAAGCAAAAAACGUCAAGAUCUUGCUGUUCGACUUCCAAUUUCGAUCAAUGUAAUGAGCCGUCACACAUAUAUAACCCUCACGUUUUAGCGAUGACCACAAAUCAGACGUCAAGGAAACUCUUCCAGGAAGACUCGCCAAUUCCCUCAUCAGUGUAUCUCUGUCGCUUUCAAACAACCGGAACACAUCUGCUUUCGCCGUGUUUCGACAAAUGGUUUGGACAUCAGCAUUCAAAUAACUCCAAGUGUCUCUCACUUUUUCAUACUCCACAUACGAAAAUGGGAGUAUCAACUUCAUCAUCAUCUACUUCGAUCAGCCUUCGUUUCCGUUCUUGCUUCUUUCCAUCAUCACAAAAAGCAUCAGUAGUAGCGUUAAGAGCUGCUAUCAGUCCUUGUGUGUCCAAGUCACAGGUAUCGAAUAGCUUGAAAUUAGGAUCCAUAGCCUCUUGCUUUCUCAAGUUUUUUUUGUGUUUAUGUUUUCCUCACAAAGUCACGAUGAGUCGUGAGACGGUGAGAGAAUAGGUAUCGUGUGUUUAGGUUUAUUUGUUAGGGUUUUUAAUUUUGUAAAUAUUUUAAAUUUAAUUUUUUUAAAAUUAAUUAUUUAUAAUUUACAGAAACUAACGACACACUAGAAGUAGGGUUUAAAACUAAAACGACACAGAUAACAUAGUGUAUAAACGAGUUACUAAGCUGGAAUCAAUGCACAAGUAUUAUUAUCAACGAUUAUCACAUCAGUUUUAUUAACAUGACUAAACAUCUAAUUCUACAAGCAACGGUCACCAGAAGCCUUCCAAUGUUACUAGAAGAUCCUCACUUCUCUGAUGCCAUAAGGAAAAAACUUGUAUGAGGAUUAGCUAGAGAUGAAUGCUUGUGUCGUACUGGCUCUUUAGAGCAUACUCGUUGUAGACAGAUGCAAAGGAUGGCACAGUAACCUAAAAGAUGCAAAGAUAAUGUGAAUGGAAUCAGUUACAUACUAAAUUUGCAAGGAAAGUAAAUGGAAGCACCUAAAACGUGUAACUUACAAAGUUAAAGGUACAUAACUACAGAUGUAUGCACCCAUAGCAACUGGAACAGCCAUGGUAGUAGCACCUUCAGGAAGAGAACGCAGCUGAUUUACACUAAUCCCUAUCGGCAACAGAGCAAGUGCUUCCCACAACAACAGAAAGUCAAAAAAAAAAAAAACUUAGUUCCAAUAAGGUCAAACAUACAGAACAAGUGAACACAAGAGAAAAUAAACCAAUCAAGUUAUUGAGUUUCAGUCUUUGGGAUCACUUGGACGGCUGUUGUAUGUAAUAAUCUCUGAUACCAUUAAAAAUCACACAUACAGAACAAGUGAACACAAGAGAAAAUAAACGGCACAACAUCAAACGCUUGGAGGCUUCUCGUACUAAAACGAUCAAGUUUCAAACAAAACAAUCAAGUUAUAGAACUCUGGAUCCGAAAAUUUCAUAGUCAAGGAUAUAAAAGCUCAGGAGUGAAUAUACCAUUGGUAGUCAAUAGCAGAAUCUGAACGAACAGGCGUGUACUCUAAGAUUCAAGCUUGCAUACAAAAGUCAAAACCAUCCAUCAUGGAUCUUGGGAUCACUAUUGAUACUUCAAAAAUAAGAAACAAAUAUCUAUGAAUUAGAACAACUGCCACUUAUUCAGAAUAAAAUUAAGAGCUCAGAAACAAAUUCUUCUAUGAGAUCAAGCCAGAGUUCUAUGCAUGCAGAGACUAACCUUAAAUGGUGUCUACUCAGAGGAAGAAAUCGACACCUGUUUAACCGAGAAAGAGAAGCUACGGCCUAUGGUGGUUGAUCGACGAAUAAGAGAAGCUCCGGCGGUGGCUGGAGGAAGAAGAGAAGCUUCGGUGGUCGCAAGAGUCGUCUCCUCGUCGGUGAGAAGUCUGAAAGAUGAAAAUGAAGAAAUGCGGGCUUCCCACGUCCCGCUAAACCGCGUAGACCCAACCCGCUAUGGCCCAAACCCAAAAUUACCCAGCCCGAAAGGCCCGCACUUUAUCGGGCCUAAGCACAAACCCGUCCUGCAUGGGACUUUUACGGGCCAGGCCCGCGGAUCGCGGUCCAAUUGCCAUCCCUAGCAAGUUGCUAGUAUUUAUUGCAUUGUUUAAAUGUAAUUUACCUUAUUGUUUUUAAUAAUUUACCUAAGUAACCUUAAUGUUUAUAAUUUUUUGCCCGUUUAUUUAUAACUUUACCAUUUUUUUAAAUUCCCCUAUUACUUGCGCAAGUUGAUAAUAGUUAAUGCAUUAUAAUUUGUUAGCUCGCUUUUAAUAAUUUACCCUUUUUGAAUAUGGAUUACUUGUGCCAAGUUGGUAUUGUGUUUAUUGCAUUUCACCUUAUGGUAAUAUAAUUUUAGUUUCUUUCUUGAUAAAAAUUAUUUCAAAAACGUCAUUUAUUAUGUAAAAUAUUCCCUAAUAAAUGUCUAAUGUGGAAGGUAGACUAUAUAUAUAACUGGAACCCCAAACGUCUAACGUCUUACAAUACAACUAUUCUCUUUUCCUAACAAUUUUUAAAAACCCGUCUAAAGAUACAUGGCAUAUUGAAGUACGGAUUUUUUCGCUUGUGGAGAAAUUAUAACAAAGAAUACGACAACACCAUCGAAAUGGUAUUUGUUUUUGGUACUAAAUUUCUCAAAACUCAUAAUCGUCAUAUAUUAUAUUUACUUUACAAUGAACAAUAUUUUUUAUAGUGUUUCAUAACUACUUAUUCUGCUUUCCGUCAACCCUUAUAAUUUAUUUGUCUAACUCAUAACUUUCAUAUAUUCGAUCAGGGAUAAAAUUUCAUGCUUCAGUUUGUGAACAGCUCAUCAAAAAAUUUGAAGGUUGUCCAGUUAUUCAAAGUGUACGAUGCUAUUGGUGAUUAUCAGACAAGCUCUCAUCCGUACAAAAUUGGGUUCUUCCACGCGACUUUUGUUGCAAAACCAAAUAAUUUUCCAAGUGAAGUUCCUGAGAAGUAUUUGGCUGAUUACACUGAAAUUCCUGGUGGAAAAGCUGAUAAAAGUCGUUUGGUUGGUAAGUAAUUUUCAACUGGGAAUUGUUCAUGCACUAAUAAUUUAUAUAUGAUUUUAAGGCUAUUAAUCUGCUUAUUAAAUAACUUUAAUAUUAUACCUACUUAAUUGAAUUUGUAAAGUUUAGAUAUUCUUUUGGUUUUGUAUUAUUUGUGUUAAUUUAAUUAUUUUUAUUUUGGAAUGUAGAUGUUAUUGGUCAAAUAGUUAACUUCGGUUCUAUUGAAAACAAAAUGAUAAAAGGAAAAGAUAACAUGAGGCUCUUGAUUGAGUUACGUGACCAAAAGUAAGCUUAAGUACUUUACCUUUUCUUAUUUGCUACCUAAAUAUGUAUAUUAUAUUUAUUAACUUAAGUUUAUAUUAUACAGUAAUGUGAAGAUGAUGUGUACUAUGUAGGGUCGUUAUGCUAAACAAGUAUACGAUUAUAGUAUGAGUAACAUGCCCACAAUGAUUAUUUGUGUUAGCAUCGACUCUCUCACUCUUCUGGAUCCAGGUUUUCUCACACAGUGGGCAAUGGAUUAUCGUGGCUUCUCCAUCAAGAAAGUUGUAUAAGAUUUCAUCUCGGUUUCGUUUUGACACUCUAUUUGGCCUUUAUUUGUUUUUUGAACUUUUGAUAUCAAGGUUGGAUCUGUGUUUACUAGUUCUUUGGCUGGUUGAUUUGUCCGAUCUCUCGAUAUCAGGCCCGGAUCUCAUAUAACGAGCCCUUUGGCUGGUGUGUAUUUUGGUUUUACGUUGGAUAUGUGUUUCUCUGAUGUGUAAUAUGGGAACCUCUCAGAGGUUUUCAUCUGCUCCUAUGACAGAUUUGAAGGGAAAAGGGAUCUUGUAUGAAGAAGACGACGAUCCUAUUCAGUUGGAAGAGGAGGAGGAUUCUCAAUUCGGGAGUUCCAUAUGUCACCGAUUGGUAAAAUCUUAAACCCGAAGAAACAAGAUGUUGAGAAGCUGAUCAUAUCUAUGCCGACCCAAUGGGGAGUACAAGACAGAGUUAUGGCCAAUGAUCUUGGUAAUAGGAAGUUCUUGUUCAACUUUUCAUCAGAAGAGGAUAUACAGGAUGUACUUAGUCAAGGGCCAUUUCACUAUAACUUCUUUAUGUUUGUGAUGGUCUGAUCGGAGCCCAUUGUUCAUGAUGAGUAUUCCUGGAUCAUUCCUUUCUGGGUGGAGAUCAUAGGAAUACCGCUCCAUCUCUGGACAGUGAAGAACUUAAAGAAUAUUGGGAAGAAGCUCGGACACGUUGACACGAUUGAACUGUCAGCGGGUCGCUUACUGGUGGAGGCUGACACAAGGAAGUCGUUAGUCUUUAACAAGAAGGUACAAUCUCCACGAGGUGAUGAGGUUACUAUUCAGUUCAAAUAUGAGAAGCUCUUCAAGCAUUGCUCAUACUGUGGUUUCCUAUCUCACGAAGCCACACACUGUCCUAAGAAAAUGGAGGAACAGAGGCUACAGGCUAAGGAGGCUGGGGUGUUCUCGCAGUUCAUCUCCCUUUUGAGCCAAAUACACGCCAAUCUUUGUUGGCUGAUAGAACAGAGCGUGAUCGUUAUCAAUAUGACAAAUGUCACACUUCGUGAUAAGGGUGAGCCUCGUGCUAUUAAUUUCUCUCAUAUGGAGAAAGAAAACUACAUGGAUGAUAUGGAAAAUGGCCAGGUGAUAGGCGCUUUACAGGACAUGGAUAUUGGGAAUCAGAUGGCUUAGUGUUGCGGCAACAUGAUGCAUCUAGGGAUGCUGAGGUGUUGGAUGAGGCAGCGGAUGAUCUAAUUGGUGAGGAUUUAGAAGACAUGGAGGACGGCGAUGAAUCUCAUCACGUGGGGUCACGUUCUCUCAAUCCAGCUGAGGCUAGAACCAAACCUUCAUACAAGGGGAGUUCACGGCAUGUAGUUACACGUGGUAUGCCAAUUAGAAAAACAGAGUUCCUUCGUCGAGGUUCUCCAAGGAAUCAUGGUGUCUCUUCUUCGAGACACACAAAUCGUCAUAAGCACAGUUGUCACAACAGUUCAAAGAAAGGGAGAUCAAGUUCACAUAAGGCUAAUGAGUUAGAGGGGUCCAAACCCCCCCCCCCCCCCCCCCCAAAUUAUCCAUGAAGACAAUCAGUUGGAACUGUCGAGGGAUUGGAAACGACCUCACAGUUCGACGCUUUACGCAGAUGUGUCAGAAGCAUCGCCCAGGAUUUGUGUUUCUUUCUGAGACGAAGCUGAGUCUUACACAUGAAGGGGUUCUAGAACCGAGUAUCAUGAGCCUUCAAAGCCGUGUGUGGAAGAUAAAGGCCCCGAGUAAGAUGAAACAUUUCUUGUGGCAGGCUAUCUCGGACUAUGUGGCGACGGAAGAGAGGCUCACUUUAGACAAUCGGGCACCGAUAGGAGUUGUCCUAGAUGUGCUAGUCCAGUGGAGUCGAUUAAUCAUCUUCUUUUUGAAUGCCCGUAGGCCCUAGCCCUGCAGGUUUGGGCUUAUCGGACUAUCCUUCCCUUCCGGGUUACUUCCCAAGAACAUCUAUAUACUAAAACAUGAACUUUAUGUUUUGGAAGAGAAAAGAGGUGGUUCCACUGAGACCACAAUUCGAUAACUUCCCAUGGAUCUAUUGGUACAUUUGGAAGGCGAGGAGCGAUAAACUCUUUAAUGGGAAAGUCGUAUCCAUGAUUGACACUCUUCAACAUGCAUCUCCUGAGGCAGAAUAUUGGAGGAAGCUAACGAAAAGGAAGAAGCAAACGAGGAUCAUGACGACCCUCCUACCAUAGAGGUUGAGACAAUGCCUCCUUGGAUACACUGAAUCCCUACAUGUCAAAUUAAUGCGUCAUGGAAGAUAAUGGCAGUGUCAGUGGCUUAGGAUGGAGUCUUAAGGAUCAAAUGGGUUUUGAAUAUUUCGGAUUACGGGCAUGCAACAGGAGCCUCUCAGGUUUGAAUGCUGAGAUGGAAGGUUUACUUUGGGCAGUUUCAUGUAUGAGAGACAGAAGGAUAACCUCAAUACGGUUCGAGACAGACUGCUCGGACCUAGUGGACAUGACUACAAACCCAGUGGAUUACCCUUAAUUCGCGACAGAGAUCGAGGUGUUCCAGAGAUUACAGGAGGAUUUCGAGGAUGUGAGCAUGUCUCAUAUUCCUCGGAGUUGAAAUGGUCGGCAGAUGCGUUAGCAAAAGAAGCAAAGACCAGAGGCUAUAUUUUUACCAUAUAGAUCAGACCUGGCAAGACAAAAGUGUUCAUAGGAGAAUCGGUUCGUUUGACCACCACUUGAUCUAGCAUAGCAUAGAUAAACAGCUGACAAAAAAAAAAACUCAAGUCUGAUACAAUAAUGCACAGUCGCUGGUGACACUGGAAACUUCAUUCAUAUAUGACAACGAGAAGGUUGACAAAUAGUACGUACAAUAGUCAAUAGAGACGGGUAUGGUACAUGAUGCUAUUAUAAGAAGCAGUUAGAUCAUGAUCAUGUAUGAACAUGUUAGGUACUAGCAAUAUCUAUUAGCUCAGAGCAACCUGUGUUGCUUACAAGCUAAUAAAAUCUUAAGUUCUGCUUUCAUUGACAUUUGUUUUUUUUUCCCUCGAUGCUUCAUGUUUGUUGUCAUUUGGAUAAUACUUUCUACAUUUUUUCAACUUUCUUUGCAUUUAAAAAAUACGAGAGUUAUGAGUUUAUGAUCAAUAGAGAUAGCUGGAAAAUCAUCUUUAGUGGCAAAUAUACAUUUGAAUUAUAUAUAUGUUGGUUUAGUCACUCUAGAUAGGAAUUGGGACUGACCAUCAUUUCAAAUUAUCCCUCACCAAGUUAUACAUACAAAAAAAAAAAAAUACAUUCGAAGGAGAGACCUUGGAAUACAAUAAGUGUAAUGCGGUCAAAUGAGUAUAAGAAAAAUGAGAUGAAGACAAUUGAACAUCAAAAUAGGAGAAAUGGUGAAUCAUGCUCGAGCCUUAGCCCUGUGUCUAUUUUUUUUAAUUGUACCAAUCAAAUGUUGUACAUCAAAGAUUAGACAGAUUCUAAUAUUUUUUUGAUCGACAUAUAUUUCCAAUCUAAACAACCAUUAUAUGCUUAAUUUUAGUUUUGCAAGGAAAGAAACCAGUUUUUAUCAGUACAAAAUUGAGUAUCAAUAAUACAUUACAAAUUUACAAUUGAUGGUAAAAACAAAUUUAGCUAAAUCCAAACUUAAUAUAUGUAUUACUCCAACAAAAUAAUACAAUCAAACACAUGCAAAACAAGAAAAUUCAGAAACCGGCACCAAGCUACGCAAUGGCGGCAAGAUCACCACCUAUUAUUGUUCACUUACGUUUUCUUAUGAAUUUGGCUUACAGGUCCAACGUCAAUCUAACUAGUAAAAUUUUGUCUUUAUGGGAAAAAACUUCGCUACAUUUUUGACUAAUUAAGAUCCAACAACCACUUACAUUUACCGUAUGCAAUUUUAAUACAAGUUACGGAUAAUUAAAAAUUAUAAAGAAAAAAUACAAAUAUCUAUCAAAUUUUUGAGUAUGAACAUUGUUUUAAAAUUAAUACAACAUCAAAUAAACUCAACCAUGUAAACUACUCUACUUACACAACACCAACCACACAAAAAGUAGCACAGUUUAUCACCCUACCUCAACCUAUUAAAAUACAAAUCCUGAAGAAUAAAUGUCAACAGCAAAACACCAACUUUACAAACACGACAUCACCUCCAGAGAUUUAGAUAGAGCAACAACUAUGUCCACGAUUCCGCGCUUGCACAGGGCUAUACCCUUAGUUUGUAUUAAAGGGACAUCACUAGUUCUUUAUUUGGUUAUGGCACUGCGGUGUUGUUAUGGUUCGUCACAGUUUUUUUUGGUAAAUUGUUUUCUUUUCUUUUCUGGUUUUUAUCGGUAGCGAAACAUCAUUUCUUAUAUGUUUCUCAUAUGAGGAGAUAUUGCGGACAUAGAGAAACAUAUAUUUUCGACGAAGAUGUUGUCUUUAUGUGUUAAACUAGGUGUUUUCUUGCACUGUGUACAUAAAUAAAAAAUUUAAAAUGAAACUAGUGGUAUGGGAUUAGAAAAUUAUAAUUCUUAAAUAAACUGUAUAAAAAUUUAAAAAUUGUUUUGGUAAUAAAAUUAAAAAAAUUAUAUAAUUAAAUUAAAUAAUAUUAUGAAAAUUGUAAAUUAUUAUUAUAUUUUUAUUUUUUACUAUUAUAUUAUAUGUUAUUAUAUUUAUGAUGAUUUGUAAGUUUUACUAUAUUUUUAAAAAGUUACCAAAAAUAUAAAUCAACAAUAAAUGUAAAUGUGCUUGUCAUAAUUAACUUCAAGUCAUCAAUAUCGUUAAUAUGCUAUGUUUUUUUCUUCAAAAUUAUUGUAAUGAUAACACGCAACAAAUCACUUUUUAAAUAAUUUCUAGAAGAUACUAUCAGAAAUGUAGGCAAACCAAAAACUGCUAGUAGAAAUAUAAAACAAUCCACUCGGAGAAUGUCAUUCUUCCAAACCCACCAACCCUUUUCAUUUAUUUUUAAUGUGAGCCACCAGAUCUUUACGAAAAUAAAAUCCACCAACUCUUUUUUUUUUCUUGUAAUCAAUCCACCAACUCUGAUGUCAAAAAAAAAAAGUCAAUCCACCAACUCUUUUUUUUUUUGUAAUCAUGUUAAUCCACCAACUCUCUUUGACGUGAGCAUCUAUGAAAUUUUUUUUUUCAUUAAGAACCUUAUCUUAAGAAAUUAUUUAUCCUAUUAAAGGAUUUCCCUCCCUAAACAAAAAAUGCCCACCUAUGAGACCUAUCCAUACUAUUUUUUUUUUCACAUUCGAGCUCUCACAUUAGAAGUUAGAGUAAUUAUUAUUAUUUAUACUUUUAAUGAAUAAAUAUAUAAAGUAGCCAUACUUUUUUGUUAAAAUAAAUGUUAAAUCCUGGUUUAUUAAAGACAAAGACCUAACUUCCGGAUGAGAGGUGCAGCCCACAACAUGCUCUCUUUUGGGUAUUUAUACGGACGUAUACGCAGCCGUGGUGAGCAGAACAAUGUGACUUAGUUUGCGCAUCACGAAAAUCAAACCCGAAAUGUGUUUGCAUCCAAAACUCAUUCACUACCACAAAGCCCACUCGUAAAGUAGCCAUACAAAUAAAAAAUAAUUUAAAAUUUCUUUGAUUAAAUAAAAAAUUAAAAUAAUAUAAAUAAAAAUUAUCAAAAUCUAAAUAUAUAUUUAAAAAUAACAAGAUAAUUCAUAAAUAUAUGUGUUGUUAUCCACAAAAUAUCCUUUCAUAAAAAGUUCAAAUUCAAAAACAAAACACGUAACUAAAUAUUAAUUAAGUAAAUUCUUAAUUUUACAUAAAUGAGAAGUAAAUAUUGAGUGAUUUCUAACAUUUUUUUAAUUAAUAAUGAAUAUAGCAUACAAAUAAAUUUUCAAAAAUCAUAAUAAGUAAAAAAAUGUAAAUGAAAGAUAAAUAAUAAUUUAUCAUUAUUGUCUUUAAUUAGUAAUACAUGUACUAAUAAAUAGUUAUAAAAUAUGCAUGUCCGCAUGUGCGGAAAUAUGCUUAGUAUAUAUUCAUAUACAUAUCUCAAACAUAAAUAUUUCUUUUAAAUUUAAGUAAACUAUUUAAUUUCUAUAAUAUUAUUUCAAAAGUUAAUUUCUGAUGUGAAGUGCUCACGUUAACUACAAUAAUACCUUUAAUGAUUAAGUUAUUAUUAUAAUUGCGGUUUUUGAUUUUUAUUUUUAUUAAUAAUUCUUUGUAACCACAUUAUUAUCAUAAAAGGAAUUUUAUAAUAAAAAGGAAAUAUCUUUAAAACUAAAAUAUACAAUAAUUUUAUAUAUUUAAAACAUGUGAUUUAAUAAAUUAUAUGUUUUCUUAUUAUUAUUUACAUGUUUUCUCAUACAUUUAAACCAUUUCCUUAUUUUUAGGUAUUUUCUUCAUAAAAAAGAAACUAAGUUAGUUAUGAAAAUAUACAAGCAUUUUUUUCUUAUUUACUAAUUUUAUAUUUUCUGGAAUUAAAUUCAUACGUUAGGAAAGAAAACUACAAAAAUUACGUUAGUUAAUUGUUUAACUAUACAAUUUCCUAUGUUAAUUGUUUAACUAUACAAUUUCCUAUGUUAUUUAAUAAAUUUUGAACAUUAUAGAUAUCGUCUAAUUAUGCACGUCUCUGAAAGAUUUGAUGAGUAAGUCAAGUUUCUCUCAUUUGAUAUUCUUGCCGAACAUCUUGUACUGAAAAGCUGCUUCUAAAUUAGCAGAGGAAGUUGCAGAGGUAUUAUAAUUAAAAUAUUUAACACAAAGAAAAUAAAAACUAAAAAUAUCACCCAAAUUUUUAUGUUUUAGUUUUUUCGUAAAUAUUAAUAUUCGUGCCCGAUCGUAGAUCACUUCACUUAUAAAUAAGUAUUCUAUUAUUGUAUUUAUAAUGGUUACAUUCUAUUAAAUGCAUGAUGUUACCUUUUUCGUUUUUCUAUAAAUGUAACCGUUUAUAAAUCCAUAAUUAUUUUAUUUGUACCUAUAAAUAAAAUAAAAUUUAUAAUGAAUUAAGUAUUUUGAUAAAUUAUUUAUAGACUCUUAAAAUUAUUUUAAAAUCUUAUAAAAUGAUUUGGCAAGCCUUUAUACAUGAUUUUAUAAAUCUUUAUAAGUAAUUUUUAUAAAUGAAUUUAUAAAUCUGCAUACACAUAUCACAAAUUAUGUAAAUAAUUUAUAAAUUAUGUAUGAUUUUGUUUAAAAAAAAAAGUAUGUAUAACAAUGUUCUGUAUAACAAUUUAAAGCCAUUGUAUUGGUUCCUAUAAUUUUCUUAAUAAGGUUGUAUAAUUAUAAUUAUUUGAUUUGUAAGAGGAAAUUGAUAAGGUUUUCUUAAUUAUUUGAUUUAUAAUUUUCUUAAUAAGGUUUUUUUUUCCAGCACCUGUGUAUUCAAAGGGAAGUAUUUCAGGAAUGCAUCACCAUAGAACUCAUUAGAUCGUACUCGUUAUUUUAUGGUUUGCGUAUUAUUGUCUCUUCUAGAUCUCUCGUUAUAAAAGGACUAAUCAAUAGGGUGGAAUCAUGAUCAUCUAUCUCAUUAUGAAAUGAUCCUUGGUUUCCAUCUACUCGCCCGAGACCAGCAAAUAAAAAUCAACAUAAUUUUUACCCGGAACUAACAGUGGAUUCUCUCAUUGAUGAAAUAUUGAGAACAUGGAAUUUAUAGGUUAUUCAGACUAUGGUAGACCCGCAAGAUGUGAAAAUUAUUGAAAGUAUUCCUUUAAGUUGAUUUCAUACAGAAGAUCGGAUGGAUGGUAUUUUACAAACAUUGUGAGAUACACGGUUAAAUCUGGAUAUCAAGUGAAGCAAGUGUAUCCGGAUAGAGAAAGAAUACCACCCGUGUAUGGUCCUUCGGUCACCCCACUGAAGGCUUUCUACUGGAAAGUAUAUCCACCUAAAAUGAAAUAUUUUUUUAUGACAACUGCUGAAAAGAUGCAUAUCGGUUAAGAAAAAUUUUAGGUCAAGAAGAAUGCAUAGGGAUAAAAUUUGCAACUCGUGUGGAGCUCCUGAGGAGUCCAUAAAUCAUAUUUUCUUGGAAUGUCCACCGGCGAUCUAAAUCUGGGCACUUACAUGAAUCCCAACGAAUCCAGAUAUAUUUUUCAUUCAAUCAUUGUUUACAAAUAUGAAUCAUUUAUUUGGAGAGUCUCCCCAUAAAUGGAAAGUCAUCACUUUGCAUGGAUUUUAUAGAAUAUAUGUAAAGGAAAAAAAUAAUAAAAUAUUUAGCAAUUUGGAUAUGGAUCCGAGAGAUAACUUCAAAUUGGCAGAAACAAAAUCGUUACUCUGGGCUGAAGCACAAAAUUCUCCUGUACAGGGAAUGAAAUAUACUCUAGGAAUAAAUUCUCCAUCGAUAGUACCGACUAUAUCAGGUAGAUGGUGUUCUACGGACGGAUCUGGGAAAAAUCAGGAUAUAUAUUCAGGGUAAGGAUGGUAUAGUACCUUAGAAGGUUUUGAUGGAUUAAUGGGAGCAAGGAAUACAAUAGCGAGUUAGUCGCCACUACAUUCAGAGAUAAGAUGCUCUCAUAUGGGCAAUAAAAUGCAUGAGGAAUCUUAGAAAGUUUUCGGUAAUAUUUGCAACAUAUUGUUUGCAGUUGGUGAAGAUGGUUUCGGAACCAGAAGUAUGGCUAGCCUCUACAAGUUAUUUGGAAGACAUAACAUUUUUGAAGAAAAGUUUCAACAGCUCAUAGAUCAUUCAUAUACCACAGACGCAAAACUCAAAGGCCGAUUGUCUCGCAAAAAAUGCAAAGAAACAACCGUUGUUUGUCGUUUAUAUGGAUGCAGAACUACCGGUGUGGUUUGCAGAAUCUACAUAAAUUUGUUUAUGUUGCUGAUAAAAAAAAAAAGAAUACACGUAAACAAAAAUUAUUUAAAAUUAUUUUUCUUGGGCUGUUUUUAUGGUCAAAGUCUCCUUAAAAAAAUUUCCAAUAACUUUUCACAAUAUCCAAAGGAGACGAAGCAAAACGGCAAUUCUCAAGUUUGAAAACCAAAAGGGAUAUCUACUCUACUUAUAUUAAGCGAUGUAAGACCUUACAAUUCAGAAAUUUGAGCCAGAAAAACCUUUCAUAAUGAAUUCUUCACCAUCAGUGAAAAUCGUCUCAAAAUGCUUCGUGAAACCCAAAACAAUCCUUGAAGAAUCAAAGAAACCAUACUAUCUAUCCCCAUGGGACUUCGCAAUGCUCUCUGUUCACUACAUCCAAAAAGGUCUUCUCUUUCAAAAGCCACUUCAUUCCACCGACACCCUGCUUGAUAAGUUAAGAGAGUCUCUCGCCAUCGCUCUCGUCCACUUCUACCCUCUCGCUGGUCGCCUCUCAGCACAAAUAAACGAAAACACCAAAUCAUACUCUGUUUUUGUGGAUUGUAGCAAUAGCCCUGGUGCUGGAUUCAUCUACGCCACCUCUGACUUAUGUCUAGCAGAUAUUGUUGGCCCUAAGUAUGUUCCUUUAAUUGUUCACUCUUUCUUUGACCACAACAGGGCCGUCAAUCAUGAUGGACUUACCGUGAGCCUCUUGACAGUCCAGGUUGAUAUUAAUUCCUUGUAGAAAGAACUUUUAGACUUUUUAUAUUUUUUAUUCAUAUAGAAAUCAAAUGAAUCCCUCCAAACAGUCCUUUCAUCGAAUACGGCUUUUCACAGAAUUUUAUAUGUAUCUAUGAAAUCGAGUAUGAAAUUCUGUUUAGUCACUUUUAAAUUGAGUAUCUGUUUCCCUCAUUUUCUUGCUAAGAUUAUAAAUUUUGUAUUUUACAUAUCCAUACGAUUGAGUUUUUGGGUUUCAGAAAUAGUGUAAAAAUAAGUGAUGGGUUUGCAUGUUUAUAGAAAGUAUACAAAUGUUUCAAAGAAAACAAUGCUUAUAUCUGUUUAUUAAUUUAUUUACUUAUCACUUCCAUGUGUUUCGAUACAGUUUUGUUUUGGUUCGGAAUCAAUCAAUUUCAUGAGUAUGUGACAGUAUUCAACGAAUUGAGAUUUUAGUCGAUUUAUUCCCUUCUUGUUUUCUUUGUUUAAUACUGUUCCAGUUCAGAUUUGACUAUAAAAAAGUAACUGAAAUUAAAGAAAAAUGUUGUUUUAAUCUAAUUAUUUUCUUUCUUUCGUUUUUUGGAUUGUUUCAGUUUGAUUUGAUCCGGUUAAACUAGAUUAGACAUUAACAAAUUGGUGGGGUUUGUGCACUUGGUUAGGUAACAGAAUUGGUAGAUGGAAUUUUCGUAGGACUGUCGAUAAACCACGCAAUGGGAGAUGGCACUUCAUUCUGGAACUUCUUCAGUGCCUGGUCCGAGAUAUUCCAAGCACAAGAGUGCAACAAAACCGAUGAAUUGUAUCUUAAGAAUCCACCAGUCUUAAAGCGUUAUAUCCCUCAAGGAUAUGGUCCCCUCUUCAGCCUUCCCUAUAGCCAUCCUGAUGAAUUUAUCAGAACUUACGAAUCCCCAAUUCUCAAGGAGAGAAUAUUCUGUUUCUCAUCAGAAACAAUCAGAUUGCUAAAGGCAAAGAUUAACCAGGUAUGUGGAACAACCUCCAUCUCAUCUUUUCAAUCGCUAACCGCGGUUAUAUGGAGAUGCAUAACUAGGGCUCGAAGAUUACCUAUCGAACGAGAAACAAGUUGUAGACUUGCUGCGGACAACAGGGGAAGGAUGUAUCCUCCUCUUCCCCGGGAUUACUUUGGAAAUUGUCUCUCUGCACUGAGGACGGCUGCAAAAGCAGGUGAGCUGUUGGAGAAUGAUCUUGGAUGGGCUGCUUUGAAAGUGCAUCAAGCUGUAGCUGAUCAUACGAGUGAAAAGGUAACUCAAAUGAUUGAUCAGUGGUUGAAGUCACCUUUUAUCUACCAUAUUGAUCGGCUAUUUGAACCAAUGAGCGUGAUGAUGGGAAGCUCACCGAGGUUUGACAAGUAUGGUUGUGAAUUUGGGAUGGGAAAAGCAAUGACACUUAGAAGUGGUUACGCGCAUAAGUUUGAUGGAAAAGUUUCGGCUUACCCGGGAAGAGAAGGAGGAGGAAGCAUAGAUCUGGAGGUAUGUCUUGUUCCACAGUUUAUGGAAGCUUUAGAAUCAGAUGAAGAGUUCAUGUCUCUUGUUUAUUUUUGAUAACUUAAGAAUUUCUUCCAAGUUUCUCAACAUUUGCAAACUGCUUAUCACCUUAUUAUCUCCUGUUAUUCACCUCAAUAUGUUUACCAUCAUUUUUAUUGAAGCUUAGUUAACCUUUUAAUUUUAUUUCGUUUACCAAUAAAUUGUUGAUGGAAUAACCAGCAAUCGAGUCUUUGCUUUAUUUACUUACAAAUGUAAAAUUCAUAUUUUACCAAAAAUAUAAUAUGUAAACUUCAUCUUUGAGAUAUGCAAAGUGCGGAAUAUAUUACACAAAAUCUACGCACAUGCCCAGAGGUAUUUCCAGUAUCAAGCAUCUACACGAACAUGGAUUAUCUAUUUUGGAGGAAAAACUCUAUUAUCGAGGCGGAACAAGACAGGGAUCCUUUUCCCUGGAUAAUUUGGUAUAUAUGGAAGGCUAGGAAUGAUAAACUGUUCAGGGGGAUAGAUAGAGAUCCUAUGGAGUUAGUUCGAUAUGCAGAGAGUGAAUAUCGAGUCUGGUUUGAUGCGAAUGAAGUGAUACAACCAGUGCCACAAGAAAACAAUAUGGUGAUCCCCCAAGCUUGGGCAAUAUAUGCCUGUUAGAUGGGUCUUGGACAGCAUCGGCCAACUUUAGUGGAUGUGGAUGGGUGUGGAUGGACAGCAGGGGGAAGGCUCAGCUUAUGGGGUUAAAAAAUAUUACUCGACGUGAAUCAGCCUUGCACUCGGAAGUUGAAGCACUACAGUGGACAAUGGAGAAUAUGCUCCAGCACUCAACAUGUCAGAGCUUUGGGACGGACUGUAAGGACCUGAUUGCUAUGCUAGAGGAACCUCAUGCUUGGCCAAGCUUUGCGACAGAAUUGGAAAAGAUCGAGACGCUAUGGAUAUGCUUCCCGGAGUUCAGCAUUACUCAUGUCCCACGAACGCAUAAUCAAUUUUCAGGUUUUUUUAACUAAGACUGCUAGAUCCUUCCAUAGGAAGUGAUGUGCCGCAGUCCAUGGAUCAUUACAUGGAACCAGCUCAGCAUGGAGUUCUGGACAUUCUGAACAUUUCAAACGAGGUUCAUGUUUUUCACCGUACCAGACUUGACUUGGAUCAUGCCAGACUUGACUUGGGUCGAGCCAGACUUAGCUUGGGUGGUGAAGAAACCAAAGACGGACAUGCAUUCUCAUCCGGCGGACCAUCCGGACAGUCCCGCAAGCGUCCUUAUCUUUACCCCGUGCAUCCAUCUGGUUCGGAUGAAUCAGGACAUCUUGACUGGUCUUCUCCAUUUUCCGUGCCUUGACUAGAUUUAGUCUUCUCCAUUUUUCGUGCCUUGACUAGAUCUAGUCAAAUUUAUAUUUUCUAUGCAUUGUUUUCCCACAUUUUCUUUAAUUGUCUUUGACUACAAAACAAUAUAAAUAUGUAAUCCCUUUGAUGAAUAAAAUCAGUUCAGUUUUGGUUGUUUAUUUCGUUUCUUCUCUGAGUGAGAGAGAGAGUUCUUAGCUAGUUCAUCGGUUUGAACCGGCUUGUUGAUUUGGUGGUCAGCCAAUUCAUCUUUGUGUGUUGUUUUGUGGUUAGCCAACACAUUCAUUCUUUCUUUGGUGGUUAGCCUUAGAUCGUGGGUAUAUCAAGAGUUAUUCCGUAUCUCUUGACAAUCCUUUCAAUCCAUCUCAGUUCCAGAAGUGCCGUUUGCCUUCUCGGAUCAUAUCCAACACCCAGCUAAAGUGAUCCUCCCUAUCUUAGGGUUCUUCAGGAAGUUACUUUUCAUUGGUUGUUCUAUUCCGGUCUGGUUACCCAGACCACCUCAAGCUUGAGUAAUAGAAUGACCGUUUGACGUCAAAAAAAAAAAAAAAAAAAAAAAAAAAUCUACGCACAUGCCCAUAUAAUCUGGCUUUUCUAACCACUUAAGACGUUUACGUGUGGACAAGUGGCCUCGCAGGUAGGACCAUCUUGAACAUAAAACUAAAAGCAUUUCCAGAAGAAAUUCUAUAACUUUAAAUAUAGAGUUUUUUUUUCUAAAAAGGAAUUUCAAAAUUUUAAAUUUGGAGUUUUGAGAAGUAAAAUUCUAUAUUAAAGUUUCACUACUCAAAAAUUCAACUUUAAAGUUUCAUAUUUUUAUUUGCAUUUUGGCCCUUACAAUUACACAUCAUAUUUAUGAUUCUUAUUUUGAAAUGCACUAAUUGAUCAUAUAUGGCGCAUUAUGGAAAUAAUUUUUUGAAAUAAUUUGGUAUUUUACUUGUAGUUUAAUAUUUAAUAAUGUAUAUCUAUUUAUAAUAUUAUAUACUAGUAUAAAAUUUUAUUAGUUAAUAUUGAUGUAAUAUUUAUAUAUAAGUGCUAGUUAUUUAUAAAAGUUUCAUAAUAAUUAUGAAAAAUAUCAGGACUAUAGUAUUAAAUAAAAAUAAAUUUGAAGUUAAAGUCGAAGUUUUGCUUUUGGAGAAGAACACUUUUAAACUUUAAAUAUAGAGUUUUGCAAACUUCAAAAUAGAGAAUCUUUUAGGAGGUGCUCUAAGGAAAAUGGUGUUUUAUGAAAGUGAUAGAACUAACAACAACAUAAACUAAGUCAACACAAAUAACUUUUCUCAUAGUUUAAUAUUUAAUAAUGUAUUUCUAUUUAUAAUUUUAUAUACUAGUGUAACAUUUUAUCAGUUAAUAUUGGUGUAAUAUUUUUAUGACAAUUCUUUCAAAUAGAUUCUUUUUAAGUUUUCGUCGUAAAAGACUCCAAUGAUCAAAAUGACCAAAAUGUUGCAUUAAAAAGCAAAAGAUCCUUAUACCCUAGAUAUAGAGUUGUCAAAAUGCGUAAACCAACCCAAAUAAAAUCAUAUCCAAAUAAAACCAGUAUUCUAUUGGUUAUGGUUCAACCCAAACCAUUUACCUAAUUGUUUGGUUUAGUCUCUAACUCAUUUAGAUUAAUGAGUUAGUGGUUUUAAUGAGUUGACUCACUAUAAUAUAGUAAUAAUAUUAACCAAUAACACCAUAACUCAUGUAAUUUAAAAAUCAUAAAAUUCAAUACAAUGGAGAAAAUGUAUAUUUUCAUAAAAUCAUAAAAGACAUGUUUCACAAUAAUAUUUCAUAUUCUCAGCAGUUUCAGGAAACAAUAACUGAGAUGCCGACUUGAAGAUCCCACCAUGGUACAAGGAACUCAAGUUUGUUGUUGGGGUCAAAAUCAGUCACGUCGGAAUCAAUGCCGGAAAGUCCCCGAAAAACAGCUUUCAGAAAAUACUUACGGAAAAACUUGUGUAAAACAAACGAAAUGAUUCCGAAAAUCUACAAAGCAAUCAACGGAAGAAAAUAACCAUCUAGCUCAUUAGCCAACUCGCCAUAUGGCUAUUUGGACCAAUAACCGGCUACCCAACUCGUCAUAUGGCUAGUUAGCCCGCUAGUCUGUUGUUGGGGUCUAAAAUGGUUACGACGAAAUCAAUUUCGGAAAGUUCUCGAGAAACCUUUCUAAAAAGAAAAAUAAAAAUACAGAAAACUAAAACUUCGUAUUUUUAAGAGUAGAACACGACAAGCUCGUUGGAAAGGAUCAUUCAAUCUCUCGAACAGACAAUUCGCGAGCAUCGAAACAACGAAGCGAGCAUCAUCCGACUCGCCAUAGGGAAAGUUGCAAUGAUCGACCCAACUCGCCAUCAGGCGAGUUGGAGAGAGCUCAUCCAACUCGCCCAAUGGUGAGUUGGGACCGUGUAAACUAACUCGCCCAAUGACGAGUUGGACCGUGUAAACCAACUUGCCAUUGGGUGAGUUGGAACAGCCAUGUUUAGCUCGCCCAAUGGCGAGUUGGAUCAACCACAAUUCCUCUCAGCCCACCUCUGUAGCUUCCUCCUUCGAGCCUCGACUGAAUUAUCUCUUGUUUCGUCUCGAUCGGAGUUACCGUUGGAACUUUACGAUACAAACCGCAAAGACUUGUUUUCUCGUAAAAGUUCAGAUUGAUCAUUUAAAACGGCAACCGUUAACUUAACACCUUAGUUGUUUUCAUUAUAUGGUCAAGUUAAAUUGUUUAAAAUCGACAUCAUAUCGAAGGUUAUAUUUGGAUAAAAUCGUAAAAACGUUCAAAAUCGCAAAACGGCUCGAAAGAUCUUAAACACGGCUAAAAGCUCACUUACGAUUUUUAAUGAAAUUAAGCCCAAGGUUACUAUGACGGUGUAUCUAUUAUUUGCAGGAGAAUCAAGUCUCGAAGAUAAAUGUCAAGUUUAUGAAGAUAAUCAUGAAGAUCGAAGAAAAUGAAAUAUUUCUGCAAGAUGAUAAACUUGACUUGGGGCCGAAAAGGAAACGGAAAACCGACCUUGGAGGCAUAUAUAAAGUAUGGGAACCGAAAUUUGCACUGUCGAUUUCCAUUUAAAUUAGGAAAGUAGGAGAACCCUAGUUUCCCAGAGGUCCCGGAUAUCUGCUAAUACCACACGCCAAGCAAUCAAAACACGAAACGAGAACAGUAAUAAAAUAAGAAAUCGUAAAAAGAGCAAAAGAUGUCUUAUUCCGAAUUUGCAUAUGAGCGUUACAACAAGGUAGAAGCCUCGGCUAUGAGAGCUGUCGACGAGAUCCCUAGUUCUAACAACCAAAGACUGCAAAACCUAGUUGAAUCGCAGCUCAAAAUAACAAAAACGGAAAGUUGCCUAAUUGCUCUAGGUGCUAAGUUUGCUGUGUAAAAGUUCUCCCCUUCUGCCUCUCGCCUAGGACUCCUUAUAUACUAGCUCCUAGGUCGGUUUACGCUUUUCCCUUUCUGCCCUUAAGCCGUCAUAGCUCUCUUUUGGAUAUUUCUCAAAGGCAAGGAUUCUUAAGCUUUAUGAAGACUUGGGCCACGCUUGAACACAACUUGUCCGAUCAGAACGUCCUGCGGCCCUUGCUAAUCGUCCCGUGCACGUACUGAUCAGCCAGUUCGGAUGAAUCUGGACAGUAGCCGAAUGGUCAUCUUGACUAGCCUUCUCCAUUUUUCAUGGCUUGACCAGAUCUAGUCAAAUUUAUCUUUUCUAUGUCUUGUUUUUUCCACAAGUCCAUUAUUGUCUUUGACUACAAAAAUCAAUAAGUAUUGUAACCUCUUCAUUAUGAUAUGAUAAUCGAUUUUGACUUGAAUUUUCUGAGUUGAAACUCUUUGUUCUUUGUAAGAACGUGUCUUGUUUCUUGUUGAGUCAUAUCCAAGUAAACACUUCCUCAAAUCGUUGGACUUGUGAGUCAUAUCAAGCAACGAUGAGAGAACCUUCAUUUGGUGGUCUUAUGAGUCAUAUCAAGCACCAUUGGAGUAGGGAAUAUCAGAGGCUUUCCGCAACCUUCGUGCGACCCUUCAAUCCAUCCAGUUCUCCAUCCGGAGUUCAUAUUCAAUAUGUACCAGUAGAGUGAUCCGUUCCUAGGGUCCUUCAAAUCUCUUCAUGGAUUAUUUUUCUCCAACAAUGAUCAUGAAGAUGAUGAGGAAUCAAAGAUUGUACCAUCGAUCGCCACUCAACCUGAGAUAUCGAUCGACGAUGAACUUUUAGCAACGAUCGACAAAGAGUUGGAAACACCGAUCGACAGUGAAUGGCCCUAGGAAUGGAUCACUGUACUGGUUCGGUUUGGAUAUGACAUCCGGAUGGAGAACUUGAUGGAUUGAAGGGUCGCACAAAGGUUGCGGAAGGCAUCCGACAUUCCCGACUCCAAUUGUGCUUGAUAUUACUCACAAGACAACCAAAUGAAGGUUCUCUCAUCGUUGCUUGAUAUGACUCACAAGUCCAACGAUUUGAAGAAAUGUUUACUUGGAUAUGACUCACCAAGAAACAAGACAAGUUAUUACAAAGAACAAAGAGUUUCAACUCAGAAAAUUCAAGACAAAAUUGAUUAUCUUAUUUCGUAGCUCUUAUGUCUUAUUUAUAGGAUUACAAGUUGUAGAGAUCCAAAGAAGAAUGUGCUAAAAAUAAGACAUAGAAGACCGAAAACAAAGACUUGACUAAAUAAGGUUUUUGACUGAAACUUGGACUUCUUCUUGAUAUAGCCACGACCGGGACUUUGAAAAGGGAAGAUAUGCUCCUGAUAUGGGCAAAUACAUGUCCCUUUGAGGCCUGGUCGAAAUCCAUAUUUUCCCUUAGUCAAUAUUUUAUCGGUUUCUCCAUUUGGCCCAAACAAGUAUGUUUUUGAAUCUUUUUGAAAAUCAUCAAGCCCAAGGCUUUCUUGGAUAUUUAGAACAUGAAUAAUCACCUUUGGCAUGAUCGAAUUGGUCGCUGGUUUAUCAGAAAGAAGGUUAGCCAUUUCAAGCUUCUUGGGUGGUAUGAAUUCGCGAGAACUGAAGAUCACCUGAUUUGUAAAUGGCAUAACUGUCAGAUAUGAACUCCGUAUUAUAUAAUUCUUCUUCGAGGAGCUCCGUAAUUGAGUUGAGAACAUUCUCCAAGUGAUUUCAUGUGUAGAAGGCUCGUGGUGUGAAAGAUAUGAGUCAAACAAUGAACAUAUAUCUUUACUGCUUCCCAUGAUCAAGCCAUGCAUGUAUGUUUUGCCUAGUGUGCUACUCAAGGGCACAUCAUUCCCUCCCACUUGAAAAGGAUUUGACUUCAAAUCCAUUUUACCUGUAUCAAAAGGAAAUGAAUCGGGCAAAAAGAGUCUAAAGAACAUGUAAAAUUUAGUGAAGGAAAAUUUUGGACAAUAACUUCCUUGAUGCUAUUUUCCUUGAGUACAUGCAUCUCCAAACCUCAGGCUGAUAAGCAUGGUCUAUGAUACCACUUGAAGGACCCUAGGAACAGAUCACUCUAUACUGGUUCGGUUUGGAUAUGAACUUUGGAUGGAAAACUGGAUGGAUUGAAGGGUCGCACGAAGGUUGCGGAAGGCCUCCGAUAUUCCCGACUCCAAUGGUGCUUGUUAUGACUCACAAGACAAACAAAUAAAGGUUCUCUCGUCGCUGCUUGAUAUGAUUCACAAAUCCAACGAUUUGAGGAAGUGUUUACUUGGAUAUGACUCACCAAGAAACAAGACGAGUUCUUAUAAAGAACAAAGAGUUUCAACUCAGAAAAUUCAAGACAAAAUCAAUUAUCUUAUUUCGUGGUACUUAGGCUUUAUUUAUAGGAUUACAAGUUGUAGAGAUCCAAAGAAGAAUAUGCUAAAAACAAGACAUAAAAGAGUGAAAACAAAGACUUGACUAAAUAAAGUUGUUGGCUAAAACUUGGACUGCCUCUUGAUAUAGCCACGACCAGGACUUUGAAAAUUGAAGAACAUGCUCCUGAUAUGGGCCAAUACAUGUCCCUUUGAGGCCUGGUCGAAAUCCAUAUUUUCCCUUAGCCAAUAUUUUAUCGGUUUUUCCAUUUGGCUCAAACAAGUAUGUUUUUGAUUUUUUUAAAAACUAUCAUGCCCAAGGUUUUCUUGGACAUUUAGAACAUGAAUAAUCAUCUUGGCAUGAUUGAAUUGGUCGUUGGUUCAUCAGAAAGAAGAUUAGCCAUUUCCAGCUUUUCGGUGGUCUGAAUUCGCGAGAACUGAAGAUCACCUGAUUUGUAAAUGGCAUAACUGUCACAUAUUAACUCCGUUUGAUCUGAUUCGUCUUCGAGGAGCUCUGUAAUUGAGUUAAGAAUAUUAUCCAAAUUAUUUCAUGAGUAGAAGGCUUGUGUUUGGAAAGAUAUGAGUCAAACAAUGAACAUAUAUAUUUACUGCUUCUCAUGAUCAAGCCAUGCAUGUCUGUUUUGUCUGGUACGCUACCCAAGAGCACAUCAGACAGUGACCAUGCAAAUGAGAUAUGGUUGAACAACUUAAUCGCCAACGUCUCUUUUGAACGGUAGAUAAAUGACCUAUAAAUGCAUACUUAUAAAAAAAGAAAACUCUUGAAGUGGGAGUCCCACUAACUGGGGAAUCCCCUUCAAAUGUUCCAUAGUGACUUGCUUAUGUGAAGCUUUGAGUUGGGCUGGUAAAUCAGCAGCGGCCGCAGUGGCCAAGGAUUACCCAUGCUCAUUUCCUGCCAUCGGCUUAUAGUACUGGUUAUCCUCCCUUUUUAGCGCCAAAUUUUUAAGGUAAUUGUGACAACCCAUCCUCUCACUAGGAACCUAGGUUCACAGCGCUGUAGCGCACCGACCCCAACCCCUCCAUUAUGAGUCCUCUCUGACUCCAUAAUUAGGUUGUUGGUGAGAUUCGAACCCAGGUCCUCACCCUUUAACAACACUCCUCCAGGAUGAAUUGUCACCAAUUGAUCUGGGUCAAUGCGAUGAUAGCAUAUAGCUAGUCCGUACACCUCGCAUCUCCUCAUACGGAUAUAUACUGCGUCGCUAGUACAGUCUGUCUCUGUACCCCCGCCCUCCAAAGCUGCGUCGAAUGAAAACGUCUCUGCACCCACGCCCCACACAAUCUGCGUCGCUAGCCCAGACGUCUCUGAGCCCCCGCCCACCAAAGCUGCGUCGCUAGUCCAGACAUCUCUGGACCCCCGCCCACUCACAUAGUCCCUACUCAUAACUAUAUAAACAUACAUAUAUAGAUAUUGCAUUUCUUAACAUCACACAAUCAAAUCAACGGUUGAAUCCUCUAGACCCCUAGUUCCAAUUUACAAUGAAUGAGCUAACUAACAAACAAGACUCAAACAGACUCAAUUCAAACAGACGGAUCAUGAUUCGAAAUCUAAACUAUGAUAGAGAGAAUUCUACACUGGUACGAGAUUUACGGAAUAGACCUUCACCUUAGGAAUGUGGAAAAGUGAUAGCUAUGAACUCCAGCUGCUCAAACAAACUUCAAAUCUGAAAUCAGGGCGAAAAAUCAGGUCAGAACGCCCGUUCGAACGGUCCAAAACGGAUAACCAGCGAUCUGGUCAAAAAGUCAACCUGCUGGUCAAAGGUCAACCCGGUCUACUCUGACCCAAGCCGGUCAACCCUUGACCAAAUUGAAAUCGAAUUGAACCAUCGGUUUUCCUUAACCGGAUUCGAUUUCAAUUAAACCAGAUUAAAAUUGAUUUCAACUCGGUUUAAUCCAAACCAAAAAAAUUCCCAGUAACCGAUCGGUUUAAUCAAUAAUAAAAUCAAUUGACUAACAGAACCGGCUUGACUGGCCAAUGGCUUGACUCGCUGAGUCAACUCGGCUGAGUCACCGAGUUACCGGCGAGUCGACCGGCGAGUCGCCGUAGACCGGUCGCCGGUGGUGGCUUACCGGAAAAUCAACGGCAGCGGCGGAGACGCGGCGGCGAUGCGGCGGCGGCUUCCGGUGGCGAACGGACGGUGGCCGGCUGCGGUGGCUCCGGCGAACGUCCGGCAGAAUGGCGGCGCGUGGAAUUCACACGCGAUUCUUCCUCCUGCGCGUGUGGGCGCGUCGCGGCGGAUCUCCGGCUGAAACUCCUGCUCCGGACUCGUCUCAACGUCACGAACACACUGGUGGCCUUGAAAUCGCGAGAAACCCAACGGUUAGAGAGAUAUCGACGAUUUACUAAACGGCCAACAUUUAACUAGGAAAAGGCGGUUUGCGGAUUACCUAGGGAGUGAGACGGCGGCAGCGUGAUAGAUCUAAUCUCAGUCGACGGUGGCUGAGACAGUUCACCAAUAUCUCUCUCUGACGGCUCUAAAUCUGCAGGGGUUCGACGCCUUAGACCUUUUUUGAAUAAAAUAAUAGACUGGCUCUGUUUAAAUAGGAACUCACCUAGGGUUUCCUGUAAACUGAUUGGGCCUUGUUGGGCCUGCUGAAUUGGGUCGUUACAAUUCUCCCCCACCAAUGGAGAAUUUGUCCCCGAAUUCGGCUCCUGAACCGACUGUCCAAUAUUGUCCUGGAAAAACUGUGGAUAAUCAAUCCUCAUCUGAGUCUCGGCCUCCCAGGUUUCUUCCUGAAUCCCGUCUCUCUCCCAACGAACUUUAACUAAACUGCUCAUCAUCCCCUGAACAGCUUUCACUUGCCGAUCUAAAAUCUCAACUGGCUGACAAGAUGCAUACAAAUUUUUCUCAAGAUCAUUGGGUGGCUGCUGCAAAAUGAGCUCUGGCUCUCUCACAACUUUCCUCAUGACUGACACAUGGAACACAUCAUGAAAAUCUGACAACUCUGCUGAUAACCGCAAUUUGUAAGCCACUGCUCUAAUCCGCUCCACAAUAGGGUACGGUCCCAUAUAUCUCGGCUUAAGCUUCUUAAGCUUCCGAGUCUUAGAUCCUCCUAAUGUCCUCAUUUUCAGGUAUACUAAGUCUCCUACCUGAAACUCCAAGUCUUUACAGCGCUUAUCUGCAUAGCUCUUAUGCCGGUCAUGGGCUUCCUUAAGCCGAGUCUUGAGCAUCUCUACAUGCUCCACUGUCUCCUAAACCAUUGCUGGUUCUAAGUCUCGCCGCUCUCCCACUUCUGUCCAACAAAGUGGUGUACGACAAGGCCUGCCAUAAAGCGCCUCAUACGGUGCCAUCUCAAUACUCGAAUGAUAGUUGUUGUUGUGAGCAAACUCUGCUAGAGGUAAAUACUUUCCCCAACUUCCUUCCCAAUCCAGGACGCAAGCCCUAAGCAUAUCCUCUAAUGUCUGAAUAGUCCUCUCUGAUUGUCCAUCUGUCUGCGGAUGAUAGGCUGUACUCAUAUGAACUUUUGUCCCAAGCGCCCUCUGAAAUGCUCUCCAAAAUGUAGAAGUGAACUUGGUAUCCCGAUCUGAUACAAUACUGACAGGAACUCCAUGCAACCUCACAAUAUCUCGAAGGUAAAUCUGCGCCAACUGAUCAGCUCCGCCUGUCUUCUUGAUUGCUAUAAAAUGAGCAGAUUUGGUAAGUCUAUCCACGAUCACCCAAAUAGUAUUCCUCCCACCAAAGGUUAUCGGAAGUCCAGUCACAAAAUCCAUAGUCACCUUGUCCUAUUUCCAUUCUGGCAACGGGAGGCUCUGCAAUAACCCGCUAGGCACUUGAUGCUCAGCCUUAACCAUCUGACACGUCUGACACUGCGAUACAAAUGUAGCCACAUCUUUCUUCAUACCAGGCCAGUGGUAGUAGCGCUUCAAAUCUCUGUACAUCUUGGUAUUUCCCGGGUGGAUCGAAAAAACGCGAAUUAUGUGCUUGCUGUAAAAUCUCCUUCCUUAACAACUUGUCCUCUGGCACACAGACUCGGUUCCGGUAUAUGUACAUCCCGCUCAAAGCUAUAUGAUAUCCAAUACUCUCGAUCUCAAUUUGCUUAACCAAAGCAUCAUCACUAUCCUGAGCUCUGCGUAUCCUCCAUAAUAAAUCAGCCUGCUCAAAUGCUUCAAGACCAACAGUCUCUCCCUCUGCGGUAACUGCACACAACCUGAGACUAGCAAGUGUCCCAGUCAGCUCCUGAACCUCCUUGGUUCCUGAAACAUCGUUCCUGCGUCUACUCAAGGCAUCUGCCACUUGAUUGGCCUUACCUGGAUGAUACGUAAUAUCCAGGUUGUAGUCUGCUAACAACUCCAUCCAUCUGCGCUGUCUCAGAUUUAGGUCCGCCUGAGUAAAUAGGUACUUCAGACUCUGGUGGUCUGUGAGGAUCUGAACUUUCUCUCCAUACAAAUAUGACUUCCAAAUUUUUAGCGCAAAAACAACUGCUGCUAACUCCAAAUCAUGAGUAGGUUAGUUGACCUCGUGAGGCCUCAACUGACGUCAUGCGUAAGCAAUACAUGACGCAUCUGUAUAAAACUCAUAAGGUACCCCUGGUCUAGGUAGUACCAGCACUGGCGUAUCUGUCAACUUUCGUUUCAGCUCAGUAAAACUCUCCAUACAAGCAUCCGUCCAAUCAAACUUGGUGUCUUUGCCUGUUAACCGUGUCAUCGGUUUCGCAAUACUAGCAAAAUCUUUCACAAACUUUCUGUAGUAUCCUGCUAAACCCAGAAAGCUACGAAUCUCGGUGGCGGUCAUAGGUGUAGGCCACUCCGAUAUUGCAGUAAUCUUCUCCGGGUCUACUGCAACUCCUGCCUCUGAAAUCACGUGACCCAAAAAUCCAAUCUUCCUCUGCCAUAAGCUACACUUACUCAGCUUGGCAAACAGCUGAUUCUCCCUGAGCUUAUCCAACACAAUCCGCAGAUGCUCUGCAUGCUCCUCUCUACUCCGAGAAUAGAUCAAGAUAUCGUCGAUGAAAACAAUCACACACGUAUCCAAGUGCUCCGAAACACAUCAUUCAUGAGCUUCAUGAAUGCUGCAGGUGCAUUCGUCAACCCAAAUCGCAUCACCACAAACUCAUAAUGUCCAUAACGGGUACGGAAAGCAGUCUUCCGGACAUCCUCAUCAGCUAUCGCAAUCUGGUGGUAACCUGAUGCCAAGUCAAUUUUUGAAAACCAUGAAGCUCCCUGCAACUGAUCCAAUAACUCAUCGAUGCGGGGAAGCGGGUACUUAUUCUUGAUGGUCACCUUGUUCAAACCUCUGUAGUCGAUACAAAGUCUGAAACUCCCAUCUUUCUUCUUCACAAACAGUACUGGUGCUCCCCACGGUGAAGUACUAGGUCUGAUGAAACCCUUACUCAAUAACUCCUCCAACUGCAUCUUCCCUUCAGCCAUCUCUGCUGGUGCUAAACGGUAUGGUUCCCGCGAAACCGGUGUCGUUCCUGGUUCCAACUCAAUAUUGAGAACAUCUCCUCUGGCUGGUGGUGGCCCCUUUAAGGCUUCAAAUACAUCAUGAAAUUCUUCGGCCACUGAAAUGUCCUGUAAUUCAGGAUGUCCAUCUUCCUUAACCAUCGAAAUAGUCGCCAGAAAUCCUUCUGCUCCUCUCUCCAAUAAGUCCUCAGCAUGCAACAUGGAAAUAACCGAAAUUCCCCGUUAAACCUGGAGACACUGGAAUGUGAUCUUCCCAUCUCCUCUAGGAAUAUUAACUUUCGCUCGCAUGCAAUCUAUCACCACUCGAUGCCGUGACAACCAAUCCAUCCCAAGUAUGACAUCGUAGUAAUCCAUCUCCAUCUCUGCUAGGUCUCCUAUGAAGUCAGCUCCUCCCAGUAGAACUGGUACAUCUCGGUGAACGCCGGUGGUUCCCAAUUUCUCUGUACCGACCGUCCGAAUCUGCUUAGCCUUUGGCUCAAAGACACCUCGAAAAGGCCAAGACUUAGCCAAACGCGAACUCACGAAGCUGUGAGAAGCUCCCGCGUCGAAUAGAGUGUGAGCUCCCUUACCUCCAACAGAAACCGAUCCUACACACAAAUUUUUUUUCCUAACUACACAUGAUAUCCACCAAAACACAAUUACUCAAGAAAAAAAAACAUACGAGUAUGAUAAAGAUACAUACCGGCUAUCGUCUCAGCUCCAUUGGCCUCUCCUAGAGCAUAAACACGCGGAGUGAUGGCUUGACGCUUGGCCCCAGGCCCUUUAGUCGGGCAAAACCUAGAGAUAUUGCCAAACUGGCCACAAGUGAAGCAAGCUCCUGGUGCGUAUGCUGCAGCUGGUGCUGCCUGCACUCCCUGUGCUACUGGUGCUGUCUGUGCUGCUGGUGCUGCUGGUCCUGCCCGUGCACCCAUUGGAUUACUCCGACAAUUCCUACUCAAAUGCCCCAUCUUUCCACAAUUGUAGCACUGGAUGUUUGACUGGUCCCAUGUCCUCUUCUGUGGUUCUGUAGUUCUUCCAGUCUUGGGUGGAGCCUUAGAGUAUUUUUGCUCCUCUGCAAUACAUGCCUCCUGCACAACAGCCUUCUCUACCAAAUCCUCCAACUGGUGUAAGUAACCAUACUGCACCUGCCGCGGAGAUCGACUCGCAUACCAUCUAAGAACCUCCUGAUCAAGUCAUCUCCAUCAAAAUGAUUACCAGCAAACAAGCGGAGCUGGCAAAACUCUCGAUCGUACUCCCUGACACUCCUAGUACCCUUGUCGAAUGCAAUGGGGAAAAUACUUCUUGUCGAAUGCAAUGAGGAAAUCCUCAUAAGUCAUGUCGCCCUCACGCAUCGAUCGCACUCCAUCCCACCAUACCAAUGCAUCUCCACGCAGAUACAACUCUGCGAUAUUAAGACAAAGGCGCAACGGACAAUUGAUUGUCUGCAGACACGAAGCCAGCCUAUGCUUCCACUUAUAGGCCGCUCCAAGACUUCUGUUCCCUCAAAAGUCUCCAAACCCACAGUUUUCGUCUGUCUCAUUACCCGCAUAAGCGUCUCAUCAACCUCAGGAACCUGCCCUGGAAGAACGGGUGGCACAACCUCAGGAACUUGCCCUGGAAGAACGCGUGGUGCUGGUGGUGGAACCUGGAAAAUCCCUGGAACAUGCUGGAUAGGGGGUUGCUGCUGUCCCUGAACCUGAACUGGUGGAACCAGCUGAAUAGGGGGCUGCUGAUGCCCCUGAGCCUGAACUGGUGGAAACUGCUGACCCUGCUGAGCUGCAGCCAUCUGCCUAACCACUUCCUGUGCAGCUACUCUAGCAGCCUCCUGGACAGCUUGCUGAACUGCCUCCUGUGCGGCCUGUCUGGCAGCAUCCUGCACCAUCUGCCUAAGGGCAUCCUGAUCAAUCGGUGGAACUAGUGGCGGCACAUGCUCAUUUCCACCCUCUCGAGGAGCACUAGCGGCCUGAGUGCGAACAACUCUCUUACGCGGCGGCAUUUGAAAGAAAUAGCAAUUCAAUUAACUUCUGCCGAAACCGAACACUAACGAUUCAAGACAUAAUGCCAAGCAAAAAUGUGCUAUUUACUUUUGUUUUUUUUAAAUCCCCAUAUUCCCAUAAGUACUUAAAAAAAAAAAGUCUAAAACCGAUUAAAAACCGAGUCCCCACAAAUCGUCAUCCCGGGUCAGAGCCGGGACGGAACCCCGCUCUGAUACCAAAUUGUAACACCCGUAUUUUCCAAAAUAACUUAAAUAAAUAAAAAGUCUGAAAUCUCCAUUUAUUACUUCUCAAAAGUCAACUUCAAAGUCAUAAAUCCAAUAAAUAACCAUAAAUGCAAUAAAAGAGAUAAAUCCCGAAAUAUCGAUAAAAUCAUAGAAUCGAAAGUCUGAAAAUAAAAGAAAUAGAACUUCCAAAGCACCAAUCCAAUAGCAAUCACUCCUGCUCGUCAGUCUCACCUGAAAGGGGAAAGUAAUAUGAGGGGUGAGUAACAGGGGAGUUACUCCGUGAGGUAUGGGGAUGCUAAACACGCAAACCACUGACUUGAGUAAUAUAACUCCCACUAUGGAAGUUUAGCUCUAACAUGAACAAACAAGACGCCUAAAGCAUCACACAACACAAGCAAUGCGAUGAUAGCAUAUAGCUAGUCCGUACACCUCGCAUCUGCUCAUACAAAUAUAUAUAUAUAUAUACAUACGCUGUGUCGCUAGUACAGUCUGUCUCUGUACCCCCGCCCUCCAAAGCUGUGUCGAAUGCAAAUGUCUCUGCACCCACGCCCCACACAAUCUGCAUCGCUAGCCCAGACGUCUCUGAGCCCCCGCCCACCAAAGCUGCGUCGCUAGUCCAGACAUCUCUGGACCCCCGCCCACUCACAUAGUCCCUACUCAUAACUAUAUAAACAUACAUAUAUAUAUCGCAUUUCUUAACAUCACACAAUCAAAUCAACGGUUGAAUCCUCUAGACCCCUAGUUCCAAUUUACAAUGAAUGAGCUAACUAACAAACAAGACUCAAACAGACUCAAUUCAAACAGACGGAUCAUGAUUCGAAAUCUAAACUACGAUAGAGAGAAUUCUACACUGGUACGGGAUUUACGGAAUAGACCCUCACCUUAGCAAUGUGGAAAAGUGAUAGCUAUGAACUCCAGCUGCUCAAACAAACUCCAAAUCUGAAAUCAGGGCGAAAAAUCAAGUCAGAACACCCUUCGAACGGUCCAAAACGGAUAACCGGCGAUCUGGUCAAAAAGUCAACCCGCUGGUCAAAGGUCAACCCGAUCUACUAUGACCCAAGCCGGUCAACCCUUGACCAAAUUGAAAUUGAAUUGAACCAUCGGUUUUCCUUAAUCGGAUUCGAUUUCAAUUAAACCAGAUUAAAAUUGAUUUCAAUUCGGUUUAAUCCAAACCAAACCAAUUCCCAAUAACCGAUCGGUUUAAUCAAUAAUAAAAUCAAUUGACUACCCGAACCGGCUUGACUGGUCAACUGCUUGACUCGCUGAGUCAACUCGGCCGAGUCACCGAGUUACCGGCGAGUCACCGUAGACCAGUCGCCGGCGGCGGCCAACGAUGGUGGUGGCUUACCGGAAAAUCAACGGCGGCGGCGGAGACGCGGCGGCGAUGCGGCGGCGGCUUCCUGGCGGCGAACGGAAGGUGGCCGGCUGCGGUGGCUCCGGCGAACGUCCUGCGGAGAUGGCGGCGCGUGGGAUUCACGCGCGAUUCUUCCUCCUGCGCGUGUGGGCGCGUCGCGGAGGAUCUUCGGCUGAAACUCCUGCUCCGGACUCGUCUCAACGUCACGAACACACUGGUGGCCUUGAAAUCGCGAGAAACCCAACGGUUAGAGAGAUAUCGACGAUUUACUAAACGGCCAACAUUUAACUAAUCGGAAAAGGCGGUUUGCGGAUUACCUAGGGAGUGAGACGGCGGCAGCGUGACUGAUCUGAUCUCAGUCGACGGUGGCUGAGACAGUUCACCAAUAUCUCUCUCUGACGGCUCUAAAUCUGCAGGGGUUCGACGCUUUAGACUUUUUCUGAAUAAAAUAAUAGGCUGGCUCUGUUUAAAUAGGAACUCACCUAGGGUUUUCUGUAAACUGAUUGGGCCUUGUUGGGCCUGCGAAAUUGGGUCGUUACAGUAAAAUUAUAUUUCUUUGUAAUACUAUUGAAACAUGAAGUAGUGUAAUCAGGCAAGAUGAAUAGAUUAAAGAUAUGCUUUAUUGAUCAAUAGAGCAGGAGUACAAAAGUAAUGGUUCUGUAAACCCUAUAGUUUUAGCUACAUGUUUCUAUAGCCGAAAGCGAAUAAUAGUUAAUCCCUUUCUUGUAGGGUUUAGGGGUCUCUUUUAUAGCUCAUUGUACUCAAAAUUUAAGUUAGAUCAUUCCAUAUUGUAUCAUGAAAUACGAAAAGAUAACCUUUUAAUAAAACUAUCCAUUUUAUCGGAGGCAUGUGAAAAUAUGACUUGGAGGCCGCAAUUAUUCAAACAGGAGAAGAAGUGAGGUUUCAUGCUCUAAACAAGAAGAAUUGCUGCCUAUAUUACUUAUCUUUAAUAGUUUUUAUGAUUGCACUUUUUUUGCAGGCUAUUUUAUGAAAAGUACAAAUAUUUAUUAAGUACGAAACAGUUUAAAUGAACCUAUAAAAUCAUAUAUAUUAGAAGAAAAAUAAAACAAAAUUAAACUUAUAAAACUAUAUACUAAUUAAUUUCUUUAGUGAAUUAUAUGUAGUUAAAUCAAAACAAAUGUCAGACAUAUUAAAUAAAUAAAUUAACAUAAUUAUUGACACAAAUUCAAAUAAAAUAUUUACAAAACUUACAAGGUACAUAAAUUAUUUACAAAAGUAUAAAUUCUAAACCAAAACUUAUUUUGUACUAAACUCUAAUUUCAUUUUUUAUUGCUAGAUAUGGACACAUUUAUUCGAAACCAAGAACCGAAGCAAAUAAAAACGAGCUUUGGUUGGAGUGUAAGAUUUAUCCGAGCAGAUCCUAUAUCUCUAGAACUGAACAAUUGAAACCGAACGAGUCGGACCCAAAAACCGAAUGAGUAUCCAAAUUUCUAAAAUAUAUAUACUUAUAAAUAUUAAAUAUAUUUAAUUUUAAAACAAUCAAAUAAUUUUCAUUAUUUAUAAAUUGAAAUACCAAAAAAAAAACAAUUACCAGAAUACUUUAUAUCCUAAAUAUUUUAAAUUAUCCGGAUUAUCAUACAAUUAUCCAAAAAUCAGAAACAAUCUGAUAUUUAACCCGAAAAAUCUGAAUUUUCCUAUUUUUAACACGAAUUAAUUGAAUAUUAGCUUUGCUAUCCAAACCAAACAAAAUUUCAAAAUAACUAAACCAAAACCGAACCAAAUUUUCUAAAACGAUUGAAGAAUCUAACCGGAAUCGAAUGCCUAAGGGCAUGGUUAACCCCGGUCUUUUAGUCGGAAUUCUUAACUUAUGAUUUAACACUUUUUUGUUUUUUUUUUACAUUUUUCAACUAAAAACGACUUUUAUAUCUCUUAUUUAAAAAACAGUUAUUAACUUUUCUCAGUUAAAAUCUAAAAAAAAACUAAAAACAUCUCUUAAUCGAAGCUAAGAAUCUCAAUUAAGAGAUUGGGUUAAUGAUGGAGGCUACUUAGACCACCAGCAUUAAUGAACCCCUGGUUGGGGUUCAUAAUUUGAAUAUUUUAUUAUUUUUUUUUUAUUUUUCGUUUGUUAUUUUUUUUUUUUUUAAAAAAAAAAAAAAAAAAUUGACCAAUAGCGGGCCGCCACGUGGCGUGGGGCCCGCUGAACAGUAACGAUCCAGGUUCACACAGAAAGGGCUUGGAGAGCCAGGAUCAUCACUAUUACAUAUUAUAAUAAUUUUUUUUUUUUGAAAAACGUGUGAACCCCCCUAGUGAACCUCCAAUGCUCAUGCUCUUAUUGCUAUCAUUUAGUGCUCUCUCAUCAUUUUUCUUAACAUUAAAAGCUCUUUUAUCCCCAUCACCAAUCAGAUUUGACAUUCAUUCUUUCAUCUCAAAGUUGAGUCACAAUUCUUAUGUUUCAGAGUUAAUUUUUACAACAAUGUGUACUUAUGUCAAACUUUUAAUCCUCUAACAAACAAAACUUCAAAAGAAAAAUAAAUUGCAAAGAUAAUAGAAGCAUGGAUGAUGUUUCACGAAAUGUACCACAAAAUCUGGGAAGAUUCGCAAGGGCUAGUAAAAUCGUAUGUAACACACCAAACAAUUGAGUGGGAAACUUGGUUAAUCGAAAAAGAGAUUACAUUUCAAGGUUCCAUGUGGUUUCUGCAGUCAAUUUAGGCGUUUUCACUUCCUCCGCCAGAUUCACAGACGCACAUACCUGUUUGAAAACAAGAAUCAACAAUCAAACCUUUCAUCGUGUUUGUCUAAACAUGCACUAAAGCUACUGCAAGAGAAAUCGAUACACAAACACCCACAAUGGAUCAUGUCUUAUGUCAAAUAAGCCUAUGCAUCCCAUUAAAACUAACACUUAUGUCUCAAGUCACUGAUAGAUAUAGUCUCUUUCGUAAUAUUUACCUUGAAAGAUCCAGUGGAUUUGGAGGUCCUGGACCACUCCAUACCAAGCAACUUACUAGACGUCUGAUAAGUAGCCUUGACAACAUCAUCACCAUAAACUCUGCGAGAAACCGCAAAAUCCCAGGCGUUUUUCGCAAAGUCAUAGCACGGCUCGAACGUAGCAAUCUUCCCAUGAGCGUAAGUAUACUUAAGCUUACAGUUGUUUGUUCCCACCAUGUGAUUAACAGAGAGUUUGUUAGAAGGAUCAAUCAAAAGGCUCCCAUCCACGAUUGUUCUGUUAUCAGCUCUGCUAUGUAUGUAAGUCAGAUUCAAUGGCUUCUCAGCAAUCCUUACUGUGUUCAUGAACUGAAACCUAACAUCCUGUAACCACACAAAUGGAUUCCCUAGGAAUAAUCGUAAGCAAUCUCCAUGGAAACUGAAAUCAAUCAAAAGAGGAGGAAGGUGAAAGAGUUACUUUCUUGGGGACGUUGUACUCGACGAUGAAGAAACCAGGCUUCUCCACGGCGAGAGAGAGGCCGUUCAAGGUAGGCCCAGCGACGAGGGUUGCAUCGGUCAUGGUGGCGCGUAGCUUAAGAUCGCCGGCGUUGAAGGCGAGGGAACCAACUCCGGUGCUCUUGUCCCCAUCGUACUUGCCUUUGACUGAAGCUUUCAUCAUUUCGACUCACCCUAGAGAGAGAAAGAGUAGAGAGAGAGAGAGAAAGAGAGGUUUGGUUUGGUGAGAGCGGCGAAAUGAGAGAAGAUAAAAAAAAAAAACACACGGUCUUAUUCUCCGCUUCGUGCCUUCUUCAUUCGCACGUGCGGAUCCCUUUUUUUGCAAGCCAAAAAUAUAUUGUUUCGUCAAUAAUUUUUGCUCAACAAAUACCUGAGAAAUUCAUAAAUUAAUCUAUACUAUUAUUUGCAACGUAAAUUUUUGGAAUCGAACUCUCACGUUAAAAGUUAAAUCGGUUAAUAUCUAUACUAUCAUUAAUGAAUUUUUAUAUAAUUAAUUUUAUAAUCAAAAACAAAUUUUAAUUUAUAAUAUUAAUUUUAUUUUCAAAAAAAUAAUUUUUACAUUGUGUUGUUAUCUUAAAACAUAUUUUUCAGUUAUAAAAUUUAAAAUAAGAUAUAAAACUAUUUAUAAUAAUUAAGCAGUUAAAGUUAUUGUUACCCUUAAUAAAUUUUAUAUAUAAUUAAUUAUAUAACUACAAACAAAUUUUUAUUACUAAUAUUAAUUUUCUUAAAUAAGAUAAUUCUUAUAGAUUAUGUUGUUAUCUUAAAAUUUAUUUUUCAAUUAUAAAAUUUAGAAAAUAACAAAAUAUAUAAUUAAACAUUAAUCAACUAAAUUUGUAUAAAUAUAUUUCCUAAAAUAUAUUUAAUAUGUGAAUGUUUUCUUUUAAAAUUUCAGCAUAAUAAUAAACAUAUAUAUUUUAUCAAUUAAUCAUCCAACACUCAAUCAUUCAAUUACAAUUACAGUAAAAACUCUACAAAAUAAUAAUAUUGAGAUUAUGGCAUUUUAUUAAUUUAUAGAGUUGUUAAUCUAAAAAAAAUUCCUUUUAAAUUUAUUAUAUUGUAAUAUAUAUUUUUCUAAAUAAGAAGAAUAUUUUAUUUUUAGUGUAUAUAUAUUAAUUAUUUUUUUGAGUCGAAUUUAUGUUGAUUUUACUAUAUUAUUUAGUGUAUAUAAAAUAUGUUUCAUAGAAUUUAAAUGUGAUUUUGGAUAUAAUUUUACUAAAUCUCAUAAAAAUAUAUUAAGGUUAAAAAUAUAAAAAUAAUUUUAUUUUGAAUAUAAGACAAACAAUAUAUACAUAUAUAUUGUGUAUAUAUAUAAAUGAUUAAUUUAUAAUUUUAAUAGGACAACAAAUUUACAUAAUAUUUUCUAAAAAAUAUUAUUAUUUCAUCGAUUUGUGUUAUAUUUUGAACCGGCACAAAUUGGAACUAAAAAAAUUAUUAAUUUAUUAUGUUUAUUAAGUUAUCGAUUAUUAAUUCAUAGAGUUCUAUUAUAUAUACUAAAAAUAAAAAAGGAAGCCCGAUACAUAGGAAUUUCUAAGCAAUAUGUAAACACUUAUCAAUUCAUUUUAAUUCUUUAAUCAAUAUAUAAAGACUUAUAUGUUCAUAAGAAAUUAUAUUAUAUUACAUUAAUUAAAAAUAUUUCAAAUAAUACAUUAGCAAAAUAUGUUUCCAAACAAUCUAAAAUAAUACGUUCCACUUUUUAAUAGAUUUUAUUUUAAUAUAUCUAAGUAUAGAUGGAUUGAAAGAAAAAUAACUAAAACAAUGAAAUAAUUUUGUGAAAAUGGAAAAUUCCAAAUUAACUAUAAGUAUGUUUUUUUUGUGGAUUACUCCAUUAAAAUUGACAAAAUAUAUUAGCCUACUUUAUUUUUAUAAAUAUAAAAAUACAUUCAUUUAAACAAACAAAAAAAUAUAAGAUAAAUAUUGCAAUAUACAUGAUAUUGAAUACAUAUGUAUAUAAUAUUCUUAUAAAUAUAUAUUUUCUAAAAUAAAUUAAAGAUCACAAAAUAUAAAAAUAGCAUAAAGAUAAUUCUGCAAUUUAUAAGGACGGAUAAAAACAGAUUUCAAACUGGACCAAAACAUAGAACCCAAAUCCGUCCGACCAUAUAAAUAACCGAUCCGAUCAUUCAUGGCACUAUGUAUGACCUCUGGAAUGGCUUCUCCUUUUUUGACAAAAUCAAAUGGUGGAUUCGAUGCUGAGACAACUACCACAUCAGAUGAAAUAUUUUUAAUUAUUGAGUCAUAUACCACUUCAGCUUGCACGUCAUCAAAGACUAAACUGUGGUUUAUAAGUUUAAUGACUGGCUUUAAAGAACAGAAAAACUUAAAACAUUUGAUUAUUUGAAUUACAAAAAGUUUACUAAAAAAUUAGUCGUAAUGAAAAAUAAUAUACUAGAGCAAAUUAAUCUACAUGAAAAAAAGGAAAAGAUACUGAAUCUGAUAAACAAAGAGUUUUGAUUACCAAUCAUUGUUAUAACUAUCAGAGUUUUGAUGAAAGGUUGAAAGAAGCACGUGUAUCCAACAUAGACAUAACUCCCUUUUUUCGAAGUAUCAUAGGCAUAAACUAAAACUAUUAUAUUGUAGUAUUUCUUUAUACAAUCAAUUUUGUAUUCUUUUUAAUUUAUAAGUCGAACAACUAUAAAAGAAUUUUAAAAUGUACCCUUAACCUCUUUAAUGUAAUGAAAUCUGACAAGUGUUUCUUAAUAAUAUCCUCCUCCGAUGCCAAAUCUUUUUCUCAGUAUCAAAAAACACAGCAAUAUGGCAAAAAACUAAGCAUGAGACGGUCAUCGGCUAAUACUUAAGUAAUCGUCAAACGACGAGCCUCACGACUUGGUGGAACCAAUCAGACAGGAACAGGCAAACCUUUCUUCGCCAUGCCAUCCAGAAUAUCGUUGAGCGCUUGGCAUACUCCCGAUAUCUGUGCACAUAGCUUCCACUCUUCAGUCAUUAAAAAAAACAUAAAUAUCUGUUAAAGAGAAACAGAACAAGGGAGAAAGAGUAAACCUGAUGAUCCCAUUGUUGUAGUUCCUCAAUGUCAUCUUCAAAAUGUAUCACAGCCUCCUCCUGAACAGAUCAAAACUCAUGUAAGAAUCUUCUUGAUAAUGAACAGUAACAAUAACUAUUUUGAAGGCUAACAUAAUAUAGUAACAAAGUGCUUGUCGUGUUGCGAACCUGAUCGAUGGAACCUCUCAUUCUGUCUUGGCAAAUCAUAUUGGAUGCUAUCUUCUCCGCCUUCAGUAAGAAAACGUAUGCCAUUAAACACAGGACAGGCGAAUGGAUAAAAGAGGAUUAACAUACUGAUUUCGAAUAUUACCUUGAUUGGGUCAAUCCCCAGCAGAGUUCCCAAUUCAUCAAACCUAAGAUACAAACAAAGAAUUGAAUUUACGAAAUCAAGCAAGUCUCAUAAACAAAAAAAAAACAACGGUACAAGAUAUUAAUCAUACAUCUUACUUACCUUAUGUUAGUGUACAGUUUGCUUGCACUUAAAAGGUUAUGCUCAAUCAUGGCACGAUCAAGAACAGUGGAUUUGUCAGGCAAAGAUGCUUUCUGUUGAAACCCAAUAAAGGCAAAAACAUGUUAUGAACCAAACAACUUAAAUGAUAAGCAAAAUAAAACUUCCAAAUAUCAAUAACAGUCCAGACCUGAUGUGGCCUUAGUUCUUCUGCAAAAGCAUCAAUCUCUGGUUUCCUUAAAAUCCUUUCCAGAUACACCUAGAAAGAUACACAGAAAUCUGAAGUUAGCACGUGUUUCUACUCUUUCAAACAACAUGCGGCAAGUAAAUUGUAUGUUUGUCUAAUAGAAGGAAACAAUAGAUAGAACCUUCUGCAGGAUGGGAUAAAUCUUCAGCUUGGAGCAACGCUCAUCCUGUUGAUAAAGAGAUAUUGAGAAUUAAAAAGAUAAGUGAGAAAUGACAUUAUACUAAUAAAUAAUCCACAAGGAGUGUUACUUUAUAUAAAGUUGCAAGAACACGAGAACGUUGAGGGCCGGCUCCAGCUAAUAUGGUGCAUGUGACAGCAGCAGAUAAGGCUUGCUCUAAUGCAUUCUCAUCGAUCUCUCUACAAAUAUUAGGCAACACUUUAGAAACAUCAAAACUUAAGAGACAUUUCAGAAAAGUUGCAGCGGGGGGAGAAGACGAUUUACUUACUCAUCGCCUAUGUGUCGUUGUUCAAUCUGAGAUAUGCCGUAAUACCGAAGUGCCGCCUCUAAGAACUUUCUUUUCAUGUCCAAAAUUCUAGCAUAGCAAACCUGAAAAUGAUAAAUAUAUAUAUUAAAAAAAAUAAAAACCCUGAAAAGACACAGGACAUAAAUUCUUAAUUUAAGGAGGUCAGACCUUGUAUUGCAAAUUCAAAACUUCAUUCUGACUGCUGCUCACUAAGAAAGAAGCUUUAUUUAUAUAAGUCUCUGCAUUUACAGCAUCAUCAUCCUGCCGAGCACAAAAGUAUUAGAGAACCAGAAUAAUGCUCUUACACAACAUUGUAACCUCAGUUUACCAUUAAAAUUUACAAUCUGUGAGAGCCAUAAUAACACCAUUAUUACCAUGUGGAAACCCAUCACAUACAAUCUACAAGCUUACAAAUACAUGAAAAAAAGAAGAAAACCUAUUGAAAGGAAAGGCAAACCUCGAGAUACAAACGAGCGAUUUGGAUACACUUGGAGAGCUUGAAGUUUUCGUCAACGGCCCUGAAUAAGAAUGACACAAAAAACCCAGAAUAAGCAACUGAAAAGAAGCAAGGAAACAAAAAAAAAAGCUAUAGAACAUACCUCAUUCCAGAGUCGAGAUCAAUGCCACUCAACAUCUGAGCAGCUCUUGACCAUUCCUGCUCUGAUUCAUACAAAGCCGCAAGCUUUUCUCUGAUAACAAGAGCCUACAAAUCCACAACAAGGAGAUUGUAAAGCAACACAAGUCAUGUUCGUUUGGUUGCCGCAGUUUUCGGCAUCAAGGCGUCAGCGUCGGCGUCAGUGUCAAUGAAAACAGUUGUUGUUCGUUUUGUAGACGCCGACACAGACGCAAUUUUAAUCACAGACGCAGAUUUUUUCGGCAAUCGACGCGAGGAUGCAGCGUUUAGACGCAGACACAGUAUCGGCGUGAAUGAAACGAACAAUAGUUUAUUAAAAAAAUUGACGCCGACGCAGCGAACAGCACUACUGACUACAAUGUACAUUGUCUCUAAAUAAAACCCAAUAGAGAGAUGCAGGAUUCUAAAAAUCAAAACCUGUUCCUCGAAUGAAACAACUCUUGGCUGAAUCUGGGUGAGCGUAAAGAGCGCAAUCUCCUUCUGCGUCUCUGCUUCCAAUCUCCCGAGCUCUUGGGCGAAAGACUGCAAAAGCUGCCUCGAAACCACCAACGGCACAUCAUCCGAUAGAACUGCACGAUUGUUUUUUGGGAAUUGUCAGCGAAACAGAACCAAUUUGCGACGGAAUUCGAAGAGAGUCAUUCGGCUUACUGUGAUCGAUGAAGUGUUUGGAUUGGAGAAGAUCGUUGGAAGAGAUAACAGAGGAGAGGAUGAGUUUGUACUGUUCGAUCUUCUGACGCUGGUCACUGAUUGCUGAAGCGUUCCUCAAGGCUUCUUCCAUGCCUUCUUCGCUCAAACCCUUACAAAUUCUCUUUUGCUUUUCGGCUAUUUAUUAAGAUUAAAAAGCCACGAAAGAGGCCUUUUUAAUACUCCCUCCGUUCGGAUAUAAGUGACGUUCUACAACAUUGCACACCAAUUAAGAAAACUAAUGUAAUAUCUAUUUUAACCUUAUUCAUUAGUGUAGUAUCAUUAUUACUAGAGACCAUUAUUCAGUCAAAAUGAUGUUGAUUCCAACUUUUUUUAGUCGUGACAUAACAGUUUCACAUACAAAAGCCUUAAAUGCUUAAUUAAUUCUUUUAGUCAAAUACGUAUAUGUGGUGUUGAACUGAAAAAGAAGAUAUGCACGAACAAAGAAGAUUUCUUUGUUAAAAUUCUCCAAAAAAUUUAAGCAUGGAGCCAAAACUAAAAUUUUUAAACUGAUAAUGGAGCCAAACCAAAAAAAUUGCUUAUGCUAUAUAUUGACAUAAACAAUCGACUGAAUCACAAUCACUUAUGGAUUCUAACUUUGAUUUGAAUCUUUCAUAUAUAGCCAAUGAAAAUGAGUUUUUAUUUGAUCUAAAUCAAACACCAACAAAUGAAGAAGUAGAUGCACUCAAUAACGAAGAUGAUGAUGAUGAUGAUGAUGAUGAUGAUGCACUCGUUAACAGUCACGUCUAUGCAAGCGAUCUUUUAACUGAAAUAGAUCAAGGUAUGAGUUUAUGUUGAUUUGUUCUAACAAUUAUGUAUAGUCAUGUUUACGUGCAAUUACAAGUAUACAAGUCAACAAAAGUUGCUGGUUUUGUUUGUUUCUGUAAUAUAGAUGCGUUUUCUAAAAUAGAUUAUGUUUGCUUUUUUAAAUAAAAACUGUAUACAAUUAAAUUAUCGAAUUGUGGUUUGUUUCUAAUAGAAUUUCCAUGAAUAAACUUAUACUAUGUAUAUGUGUUGUUAGUAUAUUUCUGAUUUUCAGUUUUAAUAAAUUAUUUUAAUUGUCAAUAUGCAGAGAUAAAUAAUGACAUAGAGAUUUCAAGUGGCAAGAAGAAAAAUCUCUCGAACACAGAAAGAUGGGCAAUCUAUAAUGCUUUGUUGGAGAGAAGCCAUGAUGGGAAUCUGAAAAAAAAUACUACUCGAGAAGUGUCUGAAUUGUUUCUGGUAUCUAUCCGAACCGUGCAACGGAUUUGGCAACAAGCAAAAGAAACUUCAAAUGGUGAGGCAGUUAACGUCUGCCACAAAAAAUCAAGAAAUUGCGGUCGCAAGAAAAUUCCUCUCAACUUGAAUCAAGUUAAGAGUAUUCCAUUUCACAAGAGAACAUCACUUCGAUCGCUCUCAAAGAGUUUGGGUAUUGCUACUUCAACGUUGCAUAAACGUGUCAAGGAAGGUACGCUUCGUCGUCACACUAAUGCUAUCAAACCAAGUUUAAAGGAUGGUAAUAUAAGAGAUAGGUUGAAGUUUUGUUUCUCCAUGCUAGAAAAAGACUCUUUGAUUCGUGAACCAAAAUUCGUCAAUAUGUACAACAUUGUACAUAUUGACGAAAAAUGGUUCUACAUGACAAAGAAAAUGGAGAAGUAUUAUUUAGUUCCUGAUGAAGAGGUACCGCAUCGUACAUGUCAAAGUAAGAACUACAUUGAGAAGGUGAUGUUCUUGGCGGCGAUGGCUCGACCGAGAUUUGACGAGGAAGGAAAUGAGACAUUUUCUGGCAAAAUAGGAGUGUUUCCUUUUGUUACCAUGCAACCAGCUAAGAGGCGAAGCAAAAACCGAGACGCUGGAACCCUAGAGCUAAAAGCAUCAACUUCUGUGAAACGAGAAGACAUAAGAGCAUGUUUGAUUGAAAAAGUCAUUCCAGUAAUUCAUGAAAGAUGGCCAGUUGAAGAUCGGGGGAAGACUAUUUUCAUCCAACAAGACAACGCAAGGACACAUGUCCAGUGUGGUGAUCAAGAGUUUAAAGAGGCUGCCUGCAAAAAUGCGUUUGAUAUACGUUUGAUGUGUCAACCAGCAAAUUCACCAGAUCUAAACAUUUUAGAUCUCGGAUAUUUCAGUGCAAUCCAAUCAUUACAGCACGAGACAUGUCCCAGAACCGUAGCAGAUCUUGUUCAUGUCGUGGAAGAAUCAUUCGAAGAAUACCCUGCUGAAAAGGUUAAUUAUAUUUUUUUGACCCUUCAAUCGUGCAUGAAAGAGAUCAUGAAAACUGGAGGAGACAACAAAUAUAAAAUCCCGCACAUGAAGAAAGCUACACUUGAUAGAGAGAACCGUCUUCCUCUUCAAAUAAGUUGUGAUGUCUCCUUGGUUCAAAGCGUAAUGGCUACAUUAGCAUCUUCAUAAUUUUAGUUUUAAGAUUGUUGAACUCAUCGUUAGAACUUAUUUAUUUUUCAGAUUUUUUAUUUCUCAUUUUGUUUUGUUUUUAUGAGUUUACUAUUUUGAAGUAUUUUUAUUUUAAAAUUAUUGAGUAUUAUAUUGUGUCUAUAUGAUCAAAUAUAUCUUAAGGUCAUGUGAUCUAAACAAUUAUUAAAAAAAUUGAAUGGAACAAAGAAAAUAAGGAAAAUAGAAACGUGAAACUAUAUUUCACAUCUUUAUUAUGAUAAAAUAACUUGCAAUACAAGAAGACAUUAUUUGAUCUUAAAAAGAAUGUGAAAGAUAAAUCUUCAACAUUUCAAGUAAGGCUUCUUCAAUUGCUUUGUUAGGGUGAAGCUCUUCUUCAUCAUAAAAGAACAAUUUAUUCAAAUCAAAAUCACGAUUGACACGAAAACAAACUCUGUCAACUGGUAAAUCAUCUUUUUCUUUGCUCUCCUCGUUCUCCAUUUUAAAUUGAUAAGUUAUACAGAUUGAAAGAGACGAAGAAGAAGAUGUCGUAAUAUAUAGUGGGUGGUAUAGUUAAUUUUAGUCGAUCACUAUUACUUUUUCAUUGUUUGGAAAUAUAUAUAUUUCUCGUAACACACUACAAAAAAGUCAGCAGUUUGAACUUUUGACUAGAAUCUGAUAUUAAUAAUUGUAAGGGUAGAAAUAGUCUUUUGUUGUCACUUUUUGCAUAGAAUUUCGUAAGCGUCAUAUAUUCUGACACAAAAAAAAAGUUGUAGAACGUCACUUAUACAAGUUACAGCUAACAAAUCUCUUUGUUUUUUUUUCUGCUUUAUAUGAAGAUUAAAUUAGCUAACUACAACAUAAAAGUACUGUAUGUUGGUCUUUUACCAAAAAUUAUUCUUUUUAUUAAAAUAAAUUAAGUGGAGUAAUAAUAAUAAUACUAAAAAUAACCAGCAAAGCAUACCAUAUAGAUUUUAUCUUUAUGGGUUAAUUUUUAAAUUUCUUGAUAAAAAUAUUUAUAUCUAACCUAUACUAAAAUGGAGAUAUACUCCACUCUAAAGCUAUCCACGUCAGAUGAAAAAAUCAACCACUAAUAUUGCAGCAAUCAUCCAUGUCAUUUUGAUUAAUCUUUAUUUGGGCUUCGUAUUUUAUUUGGGCUUUUUCUCUUAUUUUUGCUUAAUUUUUUUUGGCUUCUCUUGGCUUCAAGGAAAAACGAAAUCGUUUUUCUUCUUUGACGCGAGUCACACGACUGUGAUGACCUUUCGCGAUUCUUCUUUCGAACUGAAAUGGUGUUAUUAAUGGCUGUGUGAUUACUCGAAUUGAUUCACCUCUCCACGAUUCAUCUUCAAUAUUUGGCUUAGAUGUGAAAGGCGGUGUGUAAACAGUAUAAAUAGAUGUGACUUGUGAGAUCCCUCUCUUUGAACUCAUCUUCUCUUCAAUCAUCAAUCUAUUUUUUCUUAAAAGCUUGAGUUCAGAUGAUUCUGGUUUCGUUUUAUUGAUUUAGAAAGUUUUAGUUUAUAUGAUUUUGUGUUCGUUUAUUGAUUUUUUUUAAGGUUUAUGAUGUAAGAUGAUGCAAAGUAACUCGAUAUUUACUUUAUGAUGUUAGAACCGAUUAAUCGAUUUAAUAUUUGUUGUAAUUUGUUUCAUCUACUCGAGGCCUCUCGCAGGCUUCUAAGGAUCAAUCACCUUUUAUCGUUUUAACUCCUUCCUACAUAUCUUGCAAGAAGGCCCAGUUUAUGAGUUAAAUGGUUUGAUUCCGAGAAGCAAUCCAACCUUCAAGUUUGCUGACGCAGACGUUUCUAUUAAAUUCACGGACCAGACAGCUUUCGUGGAGGUCACGGACCAGACAGCUUUCGUGGAGGUUACAGACACAACUAAGCUGAUCCUGAAUCCCGAGGGAGAGCUUCAGGUUCCGCAAUACGAGUAGCUCAUGUCACUUGCCAAUACCAUCACUCAUUUUUCAGGUUUGAAUAGCUAAAGCUUCACUACAAUCACACUAUUUAAUAAGUAGCGUUUAUGUUUAUCUUGGUUAACAGAUAUAGUUGGAGAAAUUAGGAGCAACAAAACCAUGUACAACGAAGACACCCAGAGCACCCAACACCGCAAGGAAACCAUAAAGUUUGAUGAUAGGUAUUUGAUAUUUUGCUUCCAUAAACUUUUAACGUGUAACUUAUAUGUUUGUGCGAAGUUUAGUGUACGAUAAGAUACCUCUUUCCAACCAUUUCAGGGACAAGCCUGUCUGCCUCAGUGUUGUUGAUGGCCUUUCUGCGGACCUAGACACACAACUACUAAGCUCUGGCUGAAUCCCUGAAGUUACAGCUUUAGAAUAUUUAUUUAAUGACUCUGCUUCACUUUUUUUUAUCAUGUUCGUUUCCAGGUACAGUCUUUGCAGUAUUCGCUAUGAUUUCCUUAGGUGUGAAGACUCUAUUCUCAAAGACAUAGUAGUUUCUUGCUGUCCAGAUUCCCCAAGUAAUCCAAGGAAAAAGGUUAGUCGCUACUCCUAAUGGUGGCAGAUUAGUGGCCGCUGUUGAACCGAUGAAAGCUUCCGCGAAGGUGGCAUGAAGCCUUGGGUCAAAGGGAGAAGACCAGAUGUGUGAGCUCCAUAUCUGUCGUGUGAAGACACAGUGAAGAAACAAAUGGUCUGUGGUCUCUGGUUCUCCGCAGUGGCGACAUGAGAUGUUGUUGAGGAUGCCUCGCCUAGCCAAAUUUUCUCCAAGCGCUAGUGCUCCUUGCAUUAUCUUCCAGAGAAAUAGAUGUAGCUUUGGUGGUAUUUUACUAGCCCAAAUGGAUUUGUAAAGGUUCUGAUCUGGUAGGGGUCUCGCCUCAACUCUGUUAGCAGCUAACUCCAUUGAUGCAGCAACAUAAUAUCCAGAUUUCGCAGUGUAAACUCCUGACCUCGAUGCUAGCCAGACAAACGAGUCCGGAACUCCCAUGAUGCUCGGUUUUACAUUCAGUAUGUCAGUCAGAUAAUUAGGUAGCACUUCCUUGAUUCUCUGAAUGUUUCAGUCUGUAUUUCCUCGACAUAAAAAGUCCGCCACAACUAGGUCCUGAUGUUCUUCUUUUGCAGGUCCUAUGGGUCUGGUCGGAAGAAGGGGACUCAGCCAAGGAUCCUUCCAGAUUCUAGUGCUUUCCCCAUCACCAAUGGCUUUACCCAGGUUAGUUGCCAGGAGGUCUCUGCCUGCAAGAAUUCCCCGCCACCCAUGGGAUGCAGACUUCAGAGGUUCUACCUCAAGAAAAGACACCUUGCUGCAGUAUUUGCCUCUAAGAACUCUGGAAAGUAAACAAUCAGGUUUCGAGAUGAUCCGCCAAGCCUGUUUUGCGAGUAAGGCCGUGUUAAAAGCUUGGAUAUCCCUGAUACCAAGACCUCCUAAUGCUUUAGGUGCAGUGAGUGUUUCCCAAGCUACCCAAAACAUUUUCCUUUUUUUCCGGGGACUCAUCCCACCAGAAUCUUGUGAGUGCGGAUUGAAUGCGCUUACAUAGACUCACUGGCAGUUGGAAACAAGUCAUCGUGUAUGCCGGAGUGGCGGUGAGGACCGACUUUAGCAUAACAAGUUUACCGGCUGGAGAGAGUUGUCGGGAGCACCAGCACGCAGCCUGUUGUCUUAUACGAUCCACUAUACCAGUGAAAAGGUCUCUCUUCCGUCGACCGAAAUGUUCCGGGAGUCCUAGAUACUUUCCUACUCCGCCCUCUUUCUCAAUCCCGAGGUGUGAUUUAACACGUUCCCGUAUUACCUGCGGGGUCAUGGCUGAGAAGAAGAUGGAAGAUUUAGAAGCAUUAAUCAUCUGUCCCGAUGACCUUCUGUAUUUGUGAAUAAUUUCCAUCAGCGAGAUACAACUAAGGUCGUCUGUGCCAAGGAAAAACAUAGUAUCGUCCGCAAAAAGAAGAUGAUUUAUUUGCGGUGCAGGUAUCGCCACUCGCAGUCCUGAAAGAUGUCCGCUGCGCUGAGCUCUUAAGCACAGCCCGGAGAGCACUUCUCCGCAUAAGAUGAAUAAAUAUGGGGACAGCGGAUCUCCCUGACGAAUCCCUCUAGACAUCUCCAUAUUCAUCUCCCUCGCCACAGCUCAACCGAACGCUUCCACCAACUCUGACAUCCCCAUUUGUAGUCUGUUUUACUGAUGCAGCUUGGCAGGCUGGAUCAAAGAAGGCAGGCUGUGGAUGGAUCUUCACGGACCACCGGGAUGCGUGGUUGAAGCAGGGAACGAGCACCUUCAACUACACUUCAUCGCCACUGAUGGCUGAGGCUCUCGCCGUCAGAACAGCUCUCCUCAAUGCCCUCGAAGCGGGCUAUACCAGAAUCUGUAUUAAAUCAGAUUGUCAAGCACUUGUUGCGAUUAUCUCCUCGAAAAAACACCCGGCGGAUCUCCACGGAAUCACUCGGGAUAUCGAGUUUCUAUCUCUCUCCUUUGAUUGUAUCUCCUUUGUUUUCAUUUCCAGAAACUUGAACUCGGCUGCUGACGCCCUUGCAAAAUCAUCUCUGCACUCUGCUCCCACCAACUAGUUUGCUUGGUUUGGGUUUCAUCUAUAUUAUUCAGUGUUCAAAAAAAAAAAAAAAAAAAAAAGUCUUUGCAGUAUUUGGAAUUCUACAGUUACAUGGUGUUUCUAUCACAGUCCUCUCUAUAAGUGGCUUCAUAGGGACAAAAACAUUUGAAUGGAUCACAUGUCUUAUUAAUAUUUCUAUCUUGAGUGCAGUUCGAGCUUGAAAAUUGUUGUGUCAAAGCAGUAAACCGGAGAAAGAAUAAGAACAUGUACAGAGUUUGGGUUCGUGGGAGGUUCCAAAAGCCAUUUCUAAAAUAAAGAAAGGGAAGUGCUGGUCCAACUCUUUUGCGGCUCUUCUAGCAUGCAGCUUCUUUGCAUAGUGCAUCUUCUCAACUUCUCAUUGAUCCGACCCUCUGUCUCAGUGUGUUUGACGGAUAAGUCAACCACCUUCCCUAAAGUUUGAACGUUUGGGGUUUGGAACCAACAACCCAAAAAAAACUUUUUUGUUAAUAAUAUUUUGAGAUUGUUUGUUGUAAUGUCCAAAUAUGGGAAUCAUCUGAUAUAAAUUGAGAAAUGCUUCUUCUAGAGGGGAUGAGGAUAUGAAGAUAUCCAUCUUCAAGCUCGCCAGUUUCUUGAUCUGAUUCUUUCUGAUUGCUCAUGUUUAUUAACUAGAAACAUCGAACUAUUUUAUACUAAUCAGAGAAUCCAAUAUCAUGUGAGCCUUCUAGAGGGGAUGAGGAUAUGAAGAAAUCCAUCUUCAAGCUCGCCAGUUUCUUGAUCUGAUUCUUUCUGAUUGCUCAUGUUUAUUAACUAGAAACAUCGAACUAUUUUAUACUAAUCAGAGAAUCCAAUAUCAUGUGAGGUUUCACUUCAAUGGGUGCUUUCACACAACACACAUGCAGAUACACAUUUAAUAAGAAUUACAACAUGUACAUCUACUUUCUAGGGUGUUGUACUUCUGUUAUCCACAUACUUGCGUCAGAGGACUCAUCAGAACCUAUAUAUUUGUGACAAAAAAGUAUUAAAUCAUUUUUAGUGUUGCUACGUACGGAAGAGGUUGUCUGCAAGGGCUAUGGAGAUGAUAAAGUUCUAAGAUAAUAAAGAAGAGGUGAAUAAAUAAUUAAGAGAAAAUGUGUACUGGAAAUCACAAAAGAAAACUGAAAUGUUCUGGAGUUUAUACACGUUUAUUAAUUUUAGUCUGAAGAUCUUUAGUGAUGUUUACAAAACAUGAUAUAAAUAUAAUUUUUGUAAAUUGUUUCAAAACCUUAAUAACAGUUUUUUCGUAUCUUCCAUCGUCUAUAUUUAAUUAUUAACAUAAAAUAAACAUAUCAUAUUGACCAUAUAACAAAAAGUGACAUUUUUUCGUAUAUUUUAUUAUUUGAAUUUUAGAAAAUGACUAUAAAUUAUUAAUACUAUUCAAAUUCCCACAUUAAAGGUUGUGAUCAAGGGUUUAAAAAUUGUAUUGUAGAAAAUAUAAAUAAUCGUAAAACAUAUGAGUGAAAAUUUUCAUUUAAUAGAUAUUCAAAAAAACAAAUAUAUAUAUAUAUUAAAGUAUAUACCAUAUAAAAUAUAAAAAUAUUUUUAUUUCAAAAUUUUCAUUGAUGAUUUGCAGUGAAUAUUCAAGAGCUGUUAUAAAUUACUAAAAUUAUUAAAAGUCUCACAUUAAUUUCUUUUGUUAUCAUAAGCUUACAAUUUUUGUUAUAAAAGAUGCAUAAAAUCAUAAAACCAUACGAUUAAUAAUUUUCAUUUAAUAAAUAUCUAUAUUAAAAUACAUUAUAUAUUUAUGUUAAUAUCAUUUUUUCCCAAACAAAAUUUCCUAAAAAAGUAAUUUAUGUUACUAUCAUUUAAAUUUAUUUAUAUCUAUACAAAAUAUAUAAAAAUGAUUGUUUAUAUUUAUUUACCUAUAAUUUAUCACCAGUUUAUCACUUUUAACUUAAAAAUGUCUAUUGGAGAUAAUUUCUCUAUAAUUUAUCAUUGGUCAAUUUUACUAUUUAAUUAAAUGCUAAAUAUAUAAAGAUAUGUUUCUUAAUAUUUGUAUUUUUUAACCCAAAAUACUUAUAAUUUGAAACAAAAUAAAUAUUAAACAUAAUAAUAGAUUUUUAGCCUACAAUUUACUGUUACAUCUCAAUCAUAACUUACAAAAUACUAUCUCACUUAUAUAUAUAUAUAUAUAUAUAAAUUAUAAAUUAUAAUAAAUAUAAAAUGAACCACAUAAGUUAUUAUAUGAUAAUAACUUCCAGUACAACAGCAUGAAUACUCAGAAAGAAAUGAUGUAAUGCCACACUAAGAAAAAAAACAUAACUAAUUAUCAACAUAGCAUGGUUUAUUUAGUUUUAAAAAAACAUGUAUAAAAUUUAACUAAUAUAUUUAUUUUUAAUUAAUAAAAAAUUAUAUUAAAUAUUUACUCUAACAAUUUAAACUAUUUUUAAAUAUUCAUCCCGUCUGUAGUAAAUGAAUAUUUACUCUAAGAUAUGUGGUAUAACAUAAGAAAUAGCAAAUUAUCUUUUAAAUUUAUUGGAAGAAACAAAGAAAAUAGUAAAUGAACUAUUUAGUAAAACUGCUUAAAUACAAAAACAAAAUAUGCAAAAUAAAUUCAAGUUCAAACAAAAUAAUUUAUAUAGUAAUAGGAUAAAAACUAAAAAUUCAGAUGUACUAACCGCGCAUAGCAUCAUUUACCAAAAUAAUAUAACAACAUUUGAAUCCAAUAACAUCAACAAUAAUCAUUCUCUUAAAAUUAGAUGCACUACUCUUUACAUAUAAAAAGAGUUACAAUACAAUUUUACCAGAAAUUACUAUCUCAAAAUAAAAAUACACAAGUUUAAUUCAAUUUAAUAAUAUUAUAGGAAAAAUCUGGGCGUAGCCGGAAAACCCUCUAGUACAAAUAAAAAGAGAAGUAACCGGUGCAAAAGUUAUGUUAGGAUCCAAUGAUCGUAUCAUCUCCCCCAAUCAGUCUUUUUUUUAACAAUGUUUUAUUAUUCAAAUUUAAGAUGGUGUAGAAAUCUAGAUCAAAAUAGAAUACAUAACAAACACUAAAUUUGUAUGAAAAACAUGUACAGUCUUAGUCAAAGUGUCUUAUGUCCGGUUCCGCGCUUUUGGUAUAUGUGUGAUCUUAAAAUCCUGCAAUCUUCCUUGUAGUGUUGAUAUAUCCGCCAAUUAUAUUGAAAAACUAUGCCAUUAUGCUGGGUUCUGAAUCAAUGAAAUUACAUUCUUGCGGUUAGUCCCAAAAUGCUGACAUGUUGAAAAUUGUAUUUUGUAAAGUCCAUGAUCCAUCUACCAAACAGAUACGCUGCAAGCAUAAGACAUGUGUACUGGUUUACAAGGUGUUCUUUUUCUGAGCUUUUUGAGUUCGCAUCAAACCAUGGAUAACAUUCACUUUGAGCAUGUCUUAUUAGCUCUAACGGAUCUCUUGAGAUUUCACUAAACAAUUUAUCAUUAAAAGUUUUCUAAAGAUACCAGAUUAUCCAUGGAUACGAAUCUCUCUCUAGCUCUAGAUUUUCUAUUUCAUUAUUUCUCUAGAACAAAUAAUCCAAAUUAGAAAACAUACUUGAUAUAGGAACGAUGGUGUCAAAGUGAGAGCCCAAGUUUGUAAUGCAGGUGGGCAUUCAAAAAUUACAUGAUUGAUUGAUUCAUCAGAUUCUCCACAUCUAAGGAAUUGCUUAUCACAUUGCAUAUGACGACGUGUUAACCUCUUAAUGACUGCUAAAUAUCCAGAAGCCAUCUGCCAUACUAGAUGACACAUUUUUGUGGAGCAUUAAUUUUUCAAGCAAAUGCUUGAAACUUUGUGAUACUAGACUAUGAUACCAUUACCUCAGGUUCCUGGCGGAGGAUAUUCCUUGCAACCCAAUAACAUGAUUUCACCGUAUACAGCCCACUUUUUGUGUAGCUCCAACUGUACUUGUUAUCUCUGUUUGAUUGGUUUAUGGCCAAAAUUUCAAUUAACGGUAUAUCCUCUUGAACUACCAAAUUUUCCACCAUUUCAAAAUUACACACUUUUGGCAAGCUAUGGAUUACGUCACUCACUGUCAUAUGUGGAUGAACUACUGGCACAGAGGGUCGAGAUGGUCUAACAGGAAUCGUAGGGAUCGAAGGGUCUUCCCAUACUCGUAUCUGGAAACCUAAGUGUACCUUAUGUAUGAUCCCCAAGGAUAGAGAUGUCAAAAUCAGUUAUACUCAUGAGCUGGAUCAGCUCAUCUCGAUUAUUUAUGAGUAUGAGUUCUAUUUUAGGUUCAUUUAAUAAAUUAUUUUAGUGAGUGAGUUUAAAGUAGAUCACAAGUUAUAUGAACGAUCUUUAAUGAACGCCGGAUUAAUAGUAUUCUGGGCCGGAGCAUUGAACUUAUCUGAAGUGGCUCAUUUUGUACCAACUCAUGAGCUUAGUCAUUUUUAUAUUUUGGAUACUUCUAUUUUCUUAUGUAAAAAAUAUAAUUUCUAUCUUAAUCAUAUUUAUCUUGUAGAAUUAAAAUGUAAAAAUAAAAAAAUAGAUAUAUAUAGGAAAUUAAAAAAAACAAUAUAUAUAUAUAUCUUUAAGUUAAAAUGUAAAACAAAAUAUUCCUAAGAGAUAAUUUCUAUAUUACUCGUAAUUUUACAUUAAUAUUUAUAUUUAUUAUUUAAUAUUAAUGUUUUGGACUUUUUCAUAUUUAAAUUUUGAAUUAUAUUGCAGAACUUAUUUUAAUAUUUUAUUUUAUAAAAUUUUUUUAUUAUAUUAUUUUUAUAUUAGAUCAUGAGUUAACUCGUUUAACUCACGGUCAGAUGAUCUGAGUUCGAAUUUACAUAUUGAAGCUCAUAUAAGAAAUGAGCUGAGCUAGCUCAUGAAAAAUUCAAGCGUACUAUGAACUAAGUUGAAUUGAGUGAGUUAAACUCAUUUUGACAUGUCUACCUAAGGACAAUAAAGUCCUAGCUGCCAUUGAACUCUUCCAUAAAUAAGAAGCACUCUCAGCUGCUGUGCACGCAAAGACGAGCAUAAUCGAUGGUACCUUCCGCAUAUAACUAUCGCGGGAAAAGAAUCUAGAAAUUGUAUUAAUCUCCAUAGUUGUUUUGAUAGUAAUGCCAGAUUGAAUUCAUGAAUUAAUCUGAAACUGACACUAGAAGAAAAAAAAAGCUUUUCUUAGCGGACGAAAAACGCUAUCUAUCGAUACGAUAGCGGUUUUUGAAAUGAUGUAUCAUCGUCCGUCAUAGUAGGUCAAGCACUUUAAAUAGCGUUUUUUGCACUAUUAUCUUAUUGUUCUAUACGAUAUCGCUUUUUGUAUGCAAUUAAAUAUUUUUUUAAUAGCAUUUAUUUUUUGCUAUUAUUUAUAUUAAAAUAAUUUAAUUUUAAAAUAAUUUAAUUUUAAAAUAAUUUAUUUAAUUAUUUAAAAAUAAAAAUAUAAAGUAGAAAUCAGUUUAUAAUUAAAUCUGUUUGUAUUUAUAAAAAUUAAAAUUUGUUUUACAUAGUUUACAAUUGCAAAUUACAAUUAUUAACUAGCCCUAGUUAAACCAAUUUACUAUAGCUAAACCUAUCUAAACCUAACCAAGUUCUUCCUCAAUCUUAGCUGCCACCGAAAGGGUAAGGACGAUGGCGAGCUUGGAACCAUACUUCUCCGACUCAUCUUCUUCUUCGACAUAUUUCUUCUAUCACUACUUAGCUUCAGAUUCUCAUCUUCUUCUUCUUCUUCUUAUCUCACUUAGGCUCUUCAGUUUCCUCCAUAUCUUCUUUACCAUCUUCGACGCCGUUGCAAUGUUUUCUCUGACACCUCUUAUCAUGUAUUCUCCACAACCUUGCUCUGAUACUCCAAGCUUAGACUGUUUUCUCCAGCCUUUAGUUAUCUGAAACCUUUGUACAAACCAAAACAAUUUAAUCAAAGAAUCAACUAUUAACGAACAAAAUUAUCAGAAUUUACCUAUCUUCAUCGACUGAUUGAGAAGUGGUGAGUUUGAGAGAGAAGAGAGGUGAUAUGCAGAGAGAUUGAGAUUAGGAUCGAAAUCAAAACAAAAUCAUAGAGAGAUAUAGGUAUGGUAUCAGACAACAAUGGUGAUGACGAGCGGUGGUGGUGGUGUCGGACGGCGAUGGUGGUGACGAGCAGUGGUGGUGGUGGUGACAAGUGACGGUUUCAAAAGGAGAAGGUGACGAGCUUCACCAAAAAGAAGAAGAUUGCAGAGGACCAGAGGUUAUGAGAGAUGAACAGAUGAGAUUGCAGAGGAUUGUGAGAAGAUUGAUAAUUUAGUUUGAGAUCUAUGAGAAAAAUUGCAAAGAUCGUGACUCGUGAGAAACAAAAAGAACAAAGAGAUAAUGAGAGAAAAUAAUAAUAAUAUCCGUUAGAUUGAGAUCUAUCAACGUUGGAGAUUAGUAGUUUAGUUAUCCUCACUAUUCUGAAUUGGAUCUUCCUAUUGGUCAACGUUUUUUCCUCUUUAUUUUUGUUCUUUGUUGUACUCUGUUUUCUAAGAUUUAAUAUAUUUAAUAGUUACUUUUAUUUUGUGGUUAAUAAUUUAGUGAAUGUUAUAAUAGUGGGUUUAAGAUUUGUGCUUAAAUUUAAAAAAAUAUAAAUUUAAAAUUCAUAUAUAGAGUUUAUAAAACUAAUGAUAUGAGAUUACAAAUUGAUUAGAUUUCACUUUUAAUAAGCAAUUUAAGUCAAAUAAAAAUAAGAUUAAUAAACUCGACAAAAAACUAUGAUUAAUAAAAUGAUUAGAUUUCACUUUUAUAAGCAAUUUAAAAUUUAAAGCUAAAUAAUAGAAAAUAUUAGAGUUUUAAUAUUUUAGUUAGAGUUUAGGGUAUAUGACUAGUUUGGAGUAUGAUAUAUAUAUAUAUAGGGUUUGAGGGUUAAAGGAUUGCAGAAUUGAUUUAAGAUUUUAAGUUAAAGUUUGAAAAUAAAUUUGAAUUUGUUUUAAGAAUUAGAUUUAAUUUUGAAAAGUUUUUAUCUAGAGCUUAGUUUUAAGGUUAUGAGUUUAGAAUAGAGGUUGAGUAUAUGGUUAAAGGUUUAGGGUAUUGAGAUUUGCAAUUAAUGUUUUUAAAAGAAAUAACUUUUGAGUUUAUAUCUAAUAUUUUAGGUUAAAUUUAAGAUUUGAUGUUAGAAUAUUAGAGUUUGAAGUUUGUAUUUAGAGUUUAUGGUUUAAAAAUUUGUUUAGGGUUUAGAGAUUUAAAAAGGCAAAUAUAGCAUUUUUAAUUAUGUACUAUUAAAAAUACGCUAUCAUAGCAUUUUCAAAUAGAUCACUCUAUCAUAACAUUUCUAAAUAUACAAACGCUAUCUAAAGUUAAGAGAUAUGUCAACUAUAGAAGAAAGGCAAAAAACACUAUCUUCUACUGCUAUCAAAACCUUUUUUUCUUGUAGUGUGAUACCCCCUUCUUCUUUUGGACAGAACAAUUUCUCCCACUAUGUCCAGCGCAUUUUUUGUUUGGAUUGGUUCGAGCUCCAAUAGAAUGUUCAAUGGCACUUGCUAAUUUUUCUUAAGUUUCCAAUGAGAAAAAAAAAGUAGAGAAGACAUAAAUUGGCAGAGCUAAAACUAUAGCCUUUAUAAGGUACAAAAAGUUUUAAGGAUCCAAAAUCAAAAAUAUGUUUCCUAACGAUAAAUCUAAACUCUAAAUUAAAAUGGAAAAAAAUGUCCAUUACUUUUAGGGGGUGUUAUUCAAUCACUGAUUUCAAAUCAGUUAUUAAUGUCUUAUAAUCUAUCAAAUUUUAAAGUUUUAAGUUGAUAGAUUCUAAAAUCUCUGCAGUAGACCUCAGAUUUUGAAUUCAUUCAUUUAUUCAUAAGAAUCCAUAAGAGAUGAUUUGAAAUCAAUUUAAAAUACAAAAAACACUAGAUUUUAAAAGCUGAAUUUAAAUCAUUCAUUGAAUAACACUAGAUUUUAAAAUAGAAUUUAGAAUCACCAUUUGAAUAACAGUGGAUUGUGUUUAGAUUUAAACUCUAUUAAAAUACAUGAUUGAAUAACACCACCUUAUAUUAUAUAAAUAGUAUUCUCUUAAAAGAUUAGGUAAAAUUGUGCUAUUAAUUUUUUGUUAGCUUGGUCCCUUAUACUUUUUUGGUUGUGAUUAUAUUGAUUCUAUAUAUUAUUUAUUUUAGAAUGAUUUGAUUGCGCACACAAGUGGAAAACACAAAAAUAAAACACAAAAAUAAAAACUGAUUAUCUUAGUAAGAAAAAUAGUGGAGAAAAAGUUUGAAAAAGUAUUUUUUUGAAAAAUUAAAUUAUAUUUUAAUUUCUCUUAGAUUUGUUUUUAUUUUAUUGUACUAUAUAAAAAAUAUGUAAAUUAAAAAAAAAACCAGAUUUUCCUUAGGUCUCUCUGAGCCUAAGCACCGCACUGCAAAAGUAUUAUAAAUAUUUUCAAUGGUUAGUUUGUGUAAUAACCAAAUUUGGAGAUAAAAUUAAAAAUAAAACAUUGAUUUUGACAUAAUUAGAUCUCAUAACAUUUUUACCAUUGUUUCCCGAUUUUGUCCCUUUUUAAGCUGGUUCCUAGUUACACAAAAGAAAAAGAAUCAAUAUAAAAAUGUAUGGUGAUAUUGAUUACCACAUCGACAACAAAAAUGAAUAUGAUAUAACAAACUGAAUGGUAUAAAAUAAACUAAACAAAAUAGUAUAUAUACUGAAAUUAUCAAAUAUCAGAUUAUAUAGAAAAGUAUAAUGUGUAUACAUGCUCAACAUCUACAACUAUUUUUAAUGUUCAUAUGUAUCUUAUAGAUAGUAAACAACAAUAAAAUAAAACUAUAAGCAUGUAAACAUAACUCUUUCAUUAUAUAAGAACAUUGAAAAUAAUAAGACUAUAUCCAAAACACUAAUCACUAAACCCUAAAAGGAAAUAUAAACUCUAACCGAAAUAUCAAAAUAUGCACAUAAUACAUAAUAUGAAGUAUUAUAAAAUAGAAUAGUAACAAACGAAAUAACAUAGUACAUAUUUUUCAAAUGUUAAAAUGUAUAUGAUUGCAUGGAAUGAGGUAAUGCUUACCCCAACGUCAACCCAAACCUUCUAUAAUCUAAACCCAAAAUACUAAUCACUAAACCCUAAUCCAAAUAUCAAAAUAUGCACAUAGUACAUAAUACGAAGCAUUGUUAAAAUGGAAUAGUAACAAACGAAAUAACAUAGUAUAUAUUGUUCAAAUAGCAUAAUACAUCCAGAAAUUUACAGUACAAACGAGUGGUAGUUGUUACGGUGGAAGAGGUGGUGACUGAUAUCAAGGAGAUAGAUAGUGGUUGUUUUGAAAGAUGUGAUGGAAAAAAUAUGAAAGCAAAGAUUACAGAUUUGGUUAAUAAUUAAAAGAAAUGAUGACAAUAGAUACGGUGAGGCCCAAAUGAUUUUUUUUUUUUUUAACAAAAAGUGAAGGUGGAUUGAAAGAAGUAGUGAUGGUGGUAGGUAAUCGAAGAAGAAGAAGUAUAUACAGUUUUUAACCGGUAAAUAGGGAUAGUAUAGUAUAUAUUGUAAUAAUAGUGGAGAUUGUUUAUUUUUUAGCUAGAUACCUAAUUAUGAUUUAUUUUAUUGUUACUUAGACCAAUUUCCCUAUUUUCAAAUUGUCGUUAAUUUAUUAUGACAAAUGUGGUGUGUAGCUCAACUAUUUAUAAUUCAUGUUCUGAACAUUAACAUAUUUCUAGUGGCUCUUAACACUCUUACAAACACAAAGUGUAGAAAAGGACGAGGAGAAAGACAUACUAGGUAAUGUAGAAAUUAUUAUCUUAGAAAUAAAAACCUUAAAUGAUGUUCGACCGCAAGAAGUUUUAAAUUGAGCAUUGAAGUAUGUUCGAGUGCCCGAAAUUUGAAAUUGAGCAUUGAAUUAUGCAAUAACCGCUAAACUAUGGUCUUUGAUAAUUGAUUGAUUACAUGAAACAUUCUCAAAAUAUUUACGUAUAUGAUAUAUAAACUUGUGAAACCUCUUAUUUGAUCAGAGUUUAUGCUUGUGCUUGAAUCGGAUAGGGUAGCCAUGAAUUUGUAGCAUGUUUCAACUGAGUGUCUUGUAUAACCACAAUUCGCACAAAUUGGCUUGUUCAACUGCUUAUGAGCAUAACUGAAUUGCAUUGAUUUAGAUUAUAGAAGAGAUGAGACAUAAAUUAAAUGAAAUUGCAUUCUGAAUAUGAUUAAUAUUUGUAUGGCUACGGUUUUUUGAUCAAGCAAGUUGUAAAUCUCAAAUAGUUCCGCUUCAUGUUUGUUCAUGAUUAUUGUGUUUCUAAUGAUUGCAUAAAAAUUGUUUAAGCUAACCAAGCACUCCUUGAUUGAGCGACAAGAUUUGUUGAGAUAGUUGAUAUGUGAAAUAUGAAAUUUGGACAUCAAAUCUUUCCAUAUUUUUUCAUAGCAUCAUUAAAUCGUAAAAGGAUUUUGUAUUUCUUCUAAGGAAUAUGAUGAGUAUCCAACAUAAACAUUAAAUUGAAUCUAAACCAGGUUCAAAAGUUAGGACGUGGCUGAGUUGGCCUAACUACAAAACCAUCUAUAUAUGUGAUUGUAUUUUUUUCUAAGACUACAGUCAACAUAAUACAUCAGUUAUCGCAAUUUUUGCCGUCUAGUAACUCACAGAUUAUCACAAAUCAAGGAUUAUCUCUAUUUCUAAUGAAUAAUGGAGAAUUGGUGCUAUCUGGAAAAAUAUGGGAAUGUCAUUAGAGGAUCUUGUGAAGUUAUUUUGGAGUAAAGGGGGUUCUUUAAAAUGACAUUGUUGCCAUGGUUAACUGACGUGGAGACUUGGAGCGAUCACCACUACUGAUGAUCCACGCUCUCAACAAGUUUUAUUACUGAUUCCUGGUGAUUUGACCAAAAAUCUAUCACAAAGUUUGAUAAAAAUCGUUGAAAAUUUUAGGUUCUUGAAAAGAAGAAAACAAAGAAAAUAAAAAUCAAAUGAGGUACAAGAUUUGUACGUCAUCGCUCUAAUAUUAUGCAAGAGAACGAGCUCGAUCUCAACGAAUCAACAUUAAUUUUUGUUUUUCAUGAUAUUGAGAACACAUACAGCUACUCUCAUUAUAUAGAAUGAAAGCGACUAACAUUCAGUUUACAUUUAAUCUAGUAUAUGAUUUAGUUACACUGAUUAUUAGGUUUCACACUCUCCCUCUACUUCAAUCUGGUGGUUACUGUAGAACCUAAAAUCUACACAAAGUAUUUGAUAGUGAUUGGGGUUUGAUCUAAAUAAGACAAAUGAUGUAGGCAACAAUAUCUUUAGAACACAAUGAUGUUAAAUAGUUUCCAAUAGGUGAAAAUGGACUUUAUUGAUGAAUAAGAUCAAAUACAAUGGAUUGAACUAGAUCGACUGAUACAAACGAGAUCGGUAAAGAAAGAAUCUAAAAGUGGGAAGACAACAAGAUCGGUGUAAGUGUAUAGCUCUCUCUAGGGUUUUCAACAUGUCCUCUUAUGUUUCCAUUACUCUUCCUUUAUAGUAAGCUGACUUCGAGACCCCUGUGGUAGCUCCACGAUCUCAGCUUCUUGUUGCACGAUCUCCGCGACCUCGACGACUCCUUCUCGAGCUCGUAUCCUUGCUACGGGCUACGGCCCUUUAAGGCCCAUGCCUUUGAUCGUGGUCCAUUAUGGUAUUGGCCAUAAUUGGGUCCAACAGUUACCAUGGAUGCAAAAAGACCGCCGCCAAUCCUUAAAUAUAGAAAUAGAAGCAAAAGAUUCUCAUCAAGCUCACUACAAAACACACAUGUUUAUCCGUCCUCAAGCUCACUUAUGUAGCAUGUAUUUUACCCACUUUUAGCCAUGGUAUAUAAGUGUUUUUAAAUACAUUAUAGUUUUUUGGAAAAAAUUUAGUAUGAUUUCAGAUUUUGGAAUGCUUUAGAGGAAAAUAAUGAUUUUGGUGCAUUUUGGAUAUAAAGUAAAAAAUACCCGUAACUGACCAUUGAACAGUCCGGUGGUCGAUGAUUGAAGAUUAUACUCGAUUGACACACUUUGUGUUUUUGAUCGACGGCGAAGCGCACAAAGAUUAGACUUGCUUCCAGUUAACUUUUAAGCCCAAGUCCCACAAGAAUUACCAAAUUGUCCCUGACGAAUUUUAACUUAAUAUUUAUGUGCUCUACCAUUGUUCUAGGCAACACACGCUUUCAAACUUUCUUACACAGCAAAAUACUUAGAGUUUUAGGUUUGGAGAGAAGAUCCAAAACUCCUUCAGAGAUUUGUGAUUGAAACUCCAAGUUUUUUUUUCUACUUUAUAUAUUCUAUGCAGUUUUACUAUUGUCUUGUUAUUAAUUGCUUAGCUAUGUCUCAGUAGUUCUCUUUGUUAGAUUUAGGGUUCAGAUAUUCAUGAGCGAUUAGCCAAAAAUAUAGAAUUCCUAAGUGUUGGGAUAUCAAUCAAUUGAACUGUUCUUUAAUGCAUGUGUUCUAGAGUAGCUUAAUCCUUGUCUAUAGAUAUUAGGGCGCAAGCGGAAGAAUGGUCUUUUGUCUGAUCUGGUUUACACUGUGCUAGGAUUGCUAGAAACAAGCGACAACUGAUUUAGUUAACCUAGUGAACAAGUCAAACCCAUGCGGUAAUGCUUUCCGUAAGGAACAUCGAUCGACAACUCAGUAGUUGCAUCGAUCGACGGGCUGAAAAGUGUAUCGAUCGACAUUUUCUCAAGACCAACAAGCGACAUCUGAGGUCUUAGAUCUGGCAAUAGAUAUUCUAAAAAUACGGAAGUUGAUUGACUAUUCUUUAAGUUUAAGUUCUAGAAUAUCCAUUGGAUAUUCUAGAUCGCAAACUUCGGUUUAGACUAAGUGUAUGUUGGAUAUUAUCCAACAUACACUUAGUCUCUAUAUAUCUAUAAUCUCGCUUGUCUGAAUAAAACCCUAAGUCUAACGCCUUUCAUAUCUAUUUCAAAACCCCAAUCAAUUAACCGAGUAAUUACUUUUUUUCACACCACUGCUAUUUACAUUUAAACAUGUUUGCCUAGCUUAACCACAUAACUACUAGAUCUUUUUGUGUGUCUUAGCUCCAUGUUAAUUUGAUCCUUAAGUGCUACAACUUGACCUCCUAUUUGAGAGAGUACAAAUCACUCCUUAGGGUAAUUUGAGUGAUAUCAAAUUUGGCGUCGUUGCCAGGGAGCUUCGAUCGCCAUUAGAUCUUAUUUUGUUAGGUUUAGUCUAGGUUUUUUGUUACAUGCAAAAAAAAAAUUUCUUGUCUUUCAGGUGCAUGCCUUGCAGUACCAGAAGCAACAAGGAACAAACAUUGCUCUUUUCAGAUCCUGCACCAUGGAUUGCUAUAUUCACACAUGAGCCUACAGAGUCAUUCAGAAGCUCCUGGAUCAGAUUCAAGUUAUAUCAGAGAGACUGUCCACACCAUGGAUUCAAUAAAGUUCAGCUGCUCAGCACUUUCUUCAGAGGCAUCGAGCUGUCAUAUCAGAUGGCUCUAGACUCAGCUAGUGAUGGAAACUUCAACACUAGGAAUCCAAAAGAGGAUCUGAGACUUAUUGAGAACUUGGCAUCCAGCAAUAGCACCAAGAACAAUGAUUUUGAGAGGAGAAAAUCGGCCACUACCCUAGGGAAGGAGCAGAUGGACGAUGUUAAGGCUAAGCUGGAUAGUGUUCCCAAGCUUCUCAAGAAGCCGGUCAGCUUUGCAGAGGAUGUAGAAGCUAUAGAUGUCGACAUUGACAAAGAUGAAGAGGAGGAUGUGAACUUUGUUAGUGGUACAUGCUUUCAGAAUCUGAGGUAUGAAAAUCAGAGUGGAUACAUAAACUCUUAUGGCAAUGGACAGAAGAGUGGAUACAACCAGAGCCUGCAGUACCAGAAACCCUUCAGUAACAACUACAACAUCAGCAACAACUACAACAUCAGCAACAUCAGCAACAGAGUUUAUGGGAAUUCUUUCUACCAGAAUCCGCCACCACAGACUCGGGAGAGCAAGAUAGAGUCCUUGCUUGAUCAAGUUCUUGAGGGUCAGCAGAAGUUGAUGAUUAUUUCAAUGGAAAGAUAGAUGAUGUCUACACAGAGCUCAACUCAAAGUUUGAGUCUUUGAACACAGAUGUGAGGAAGUUGGAGACACAAGUGGUUCAGACAGGAGAAACUGUUAAGAGGCAGGAGGCCUUCAUCAAGGGUAAAGGAGAGGAAUCACUGAAGCACAACGUGAUGCCAUCAUAGAUGAUGAUUUCUGGCAAGUCGUAAAAGAUGAGAAGCUUCAGGAAGGGGACUUUAGAGUCGAGAGCUCCAUUAGUUUUGGUAGUUGAUCCUGGUGUGGACCGACACCAAGAAAUGAACAUCGACCGAUGGAGACAGACGAAUAUCGAUCGACAUCAGCUACUCAGCAUCGAUCGACAGAGGAAUUUGCGUCAUGCGCAGCAGUAAGGAUCCUAACUCACGAAGAGUUUGCAGCUAAACACCCUCAUCCACCCAAACCCUUACGCAUUAAGAAGUUGGAUAUCGAUUGGGGCCAUGAACCAUCUACCGAUCGACAAAAAGACUCAACCGACAAUCGGAGGGCUUACUCCAGCGUCGAUCGACAACCACCUCUCACGUACCGAGUGCAUCUACUAAAGAUAGAUGUAUCAUGUUUGAAUGCACUCAGGAAUCCAUCUCAACCUUCAUAAACUAUUGUAGACAACUUCAGUCAACAAUCUGAUGAUGCACCAGAGUCAAUGCAAGUUGAUCAGACUUCUGAGAAGAGAACCUUGAGGAGAAAGAAGGAAAAAGGUUCAUAAGCAUCUUAAGAGAGGAGUUAAUGAGAAGGAGAUGGAUAGCUUCACUAAAAGAGUUCUUAGGAUACCCUUGGACUAGGGAUGUUAAAAUGAGUAAUUACCCAUGGGUGUACGGUGUACCCAAACCCACAAGUAUUGGGUUGUGUUUUUGCCUUUCAAUAAAUAAAUGGGUUCACAAUGGGCUUUUACCCUUAAAUAAAUAAAUGAAUUUACACUAUAUGGGUAAACCCAAUAGAGUGAAUGGGUACCCACAAAUCUAAAAAAUACUAAAUGACGACGUUAAAACUUCUCCUCCUUCUCUGAGACUCCGACUUCGAAACCUCCAUCGUCUUCUCUGAGACUCCGACUCUCCCUCUAAUCUAAAGUCUGAAACUCUGAAUCGUCGAGUUUCACCGUCUCUCUCAGGUUCUCCCUCCCCCUCUCUCUCUCUCUCUCUCUCUCUCUCUCUCUCUCUCUCUCUCUCGAUCUCUCUAUCUCUCUUGUUUUGAUUUUGAUUGUUUUCUUGUCUCAGGGAAGAAACUUCAUCAGGUUUUGAUUCUGAUUGUUCGCUUGUCUCUGCAGCAAACCCAUUAUCAGGUUUCCUCUCCAACUCUCUUCUCUAGCUUCUUUUGAUAGUGAAAGAAAAUUAGUGUUGUUGAUGAAAAAUUUGGGUAUUAUUGAAUGUGUUCGUCGAAAUGUCCCAAAGAGAAUCUCUCUUGUUUUAUAUAAAACUAUUUUGCCCAAUUCUCUUGUGAUAUGUUACUCUUCCGUGUCUUUGCGUUUAAUCAUAUAUGUAGAUUGUGGAAAAUUUACAUUUUUUAAGAGUUGAAAGAAGACCCUUUUAGUGUAGAAGUUAAAGUAUAUGUAGAAUGUUAUGGUAUGUUACUGUGUUUGCUUGAUCUCUUUGCAUCAACUUCUCUUUGUAUAUGUAGAUGGAUUCCCAGUCAGUGAGAGUACUUGCAGGACUUGAAGAGCAACUAGAUAUGGACAGAGAGGAGAAUGAAGCUGAACUUCAAGGAGCCCACAGUGAAACUCAAGUGACUCAACCAACAAAAACGGUAUUUCAGUCUAACAAACGCUUAAAGGCUGAUGUUUGGAAGGAAUACAUACCGGUAGGUGUAGGGAUAGAUGGAAAAAAACAGAGGGCGUUGCAUUUAUUGUUGUAAGGAGUUAGUAAUAGAAGUUAAGAAUGGAACAUCAUCUUUGAAACGGCAUUUAGAAAUCUGUCCAGUGAAGCCUCAAAGUGAUGGCAAUGCUGAAAGGAAGUAUGAUCACAAUGUAAAUCGCGAAAUGACUAGUGAGCUUAUUAUCUAUCAUGAUUUGCCUUUUCGGUAUGUGAAGUACGAGAAGGUUAGGGCAAGAGAUAAAUAUCUAAACCCAAAGUGUGUGCCUAUAUGCCGACAAACCGCUGCUGCUGAUGUCUUCAGGAAAUAUGAGAUGGAGAAAGCAAAGCUCAAAAGACUUUUUGCAAAUCUCAAAAGCCGAGUGUGUUUUACGACAGAUCUUUGGUCAGCUCGCACGGUGAUGGGGUACAUUUGUUUGACUGCCAACUAUAUUGACAAUGGUUGGACCAUAAACAACAAGAUCUUGGCGUUUUGUGAAAUCAAGCCUCCUCACACGGGUGAUGAAAUAGCUAAAAAGGUGUUGGGUUGCUUGAAGGAGUGGGGCUUGGAAAAUAAGGUAUUCUCCUUCACCUUAGAUAACGCUACUAGUAACACUAGUAUGCAAAAGAUUCUUACACAUCGUCUUCAGAUGGUUGCUGGAAAUAGAUUGCCAUGUAAUGGAAAGUUCUUACACGUGAGGUGUUGUGCCCAUAUCCUAAAUCUUAUAGUGAAGGAAGGAAUAGAAUUAGCUAAUAGUCUGUUGGAGAAUAUCCGCGAGAGCGUGAGGUUUGUGAAAGCCUCUCAAUCAAGGAAAGAUGCUUUUGCUGCUUGUGUUGAAAGUUCAGGGACUACGGGUAGCUUAGGAUUGUCUUUAGAUUUAUCUACUCGCUGGAAUUCAACCUAUGAUAUGCUCGCAAGGGCUCUUAAGUUCCGUAUGGCGUUUGCUAGUUACAAAGUUUGUGAUAGGAGCUAUAACACGCUGCCUUCAGAGGAAGAAUGGGAACGUGGGCAGAAAAUUUGUGACUUCCUGAAGCCUUUCAGUACCAUCACAACAUACUUCUCAGGUGUGAAAUAUCCAACUGCGAAUAUAUACUUCAUUCAAGUUUGGAAUAUCGAAUUGCUAUUAAGGAAAUAUGCAGAUUGUGAUGAUGAGGAUUUGAGGUUAAUGGCUAGGAGGAUGCAAAUCGAAUUUACAAAGUACUGGGAUGAUUAUAGCAUAGUUUUAGCGAUGGGAGCUAUGUUGGAUCCAAGGUUCAAGACUCAGAUACUCAAAAAAGCUUUUGAUAGGUUAGAUCCAACUACUUCCGAGAAAAAAGUUAAAGUUAUAGUGCAGAAUCUGAAGGAUCUGUACGAAGAGUAUACGAGCAAGCUUGUGACGGGUUCAUCUUCUAGUUCUAACUAUUCAUCAACACCAGAUGACCUUCUUAAUGAAUCACCCCUUGAUGAUGAUUUGAACGCUGUAAGAUUACUUAAUUUACUUAUUUUCUUGUCUUGAUGAGUAUAGUUGAAAUUGUCUGAUUAUAUUGAUGUUCUUGUCUGAUUACAAUAUAGGAUCUUUUUGAACUUGAAAGGAGUAUUCACCAUGGUUCAGAUAACACAAAGACGAGUUUGGAAUUGUAUUUGGAAGCCGAGGCUUGAGUUAAAAGCUUUUGCAGAUAUAGAAGUUUUGAGCUAUUGGAAAGAAAAUGGGCAUCACCAUGGUGACUUAGCUGUGCUAGCAAUGGAUCUUCUCAGUAUCCCAAUAACUACAGUUGCAUCAGAGUCCGCUUUCAGUAUCGGUGGUCGUGUAUUGACCCCAUACAGAAACCGCCUUUUUCCAGACAAUGUGCAAGCAUUGCUUUGCACUCGUAACUGGUUGCGUGGUUAUCCAGAACUUGAAGGUAACUUUACAGUGUGUGCAUCCAUGUGUGUGCUUCAUGCAUUCAUUGUUCGUUGUCUUUGAUGCCUUGACUUAGAUAUUAGCUACAGCGAUUAAAUAUUCCUCUCUGUCUCGUCAUUGGCUGUAAACGUAGACAGCAGUAAUAAGAUUAUGUCUUUCUUAUGGCUUUGGACAUUCAUGAUUAGUCAUUGCAGUUGUAAGAAUCUGAUUCUUUGAAGACUUCUAGUUUCUGGUGUUGUUGAAGCAUUAGUAAAGAGCAUAUUGAUGUGCCUUUGGUGACAAUUUGUUGUUCUUCACCACCAACUUUGGUGACUGAUGCUUUGGUGCUUUGUUUGUUUUGGUAUUCUAGGUGAUAUUGAAGAUAAUUUCGAUGAGGAAGCUACAAAUGUUGCAAGUUCUUCAGGAGUAUGAGAGAGAUUCAAGAUUCAAGAAGCUACAAAUAUUGCAAACUACUAUUUAUUUUAAUCUGAAUAAAAAUACUUUUGCUACUUCUUUACAAAUGUUGCAAGCUACAAUUUGUUUCAAUCUGAAUCAAAUAUAAAUUUAUUAUAAUUGUGAUUUUAAUAUUUAUGCAUAGAUAUUUAAAUUAUCUUUUUAUUAGUAUAUAAAAUGUAUAAUUUGAUUAUGUAUGCAAAAAGAUAUAAAUAUUUUACAUGAUCUCUUUACAACAAAUAAAAUAGUUUGGGUACCCAUGGGUAAACCUAUACCCUACUGGGUUAUUUUAUGGGUUUUAAUUUAAUCAUAAUGUUUUUGGAUUUUCGCGGGCUGGGCAUAAACUGGGUCGGGUUUUUUGUGGGUUGGGCUGGGCUGGGUUAUUUCACCUAUUUUAACAUCCCUACCUUGGACAAGCCGUUUGAGGAAGCUUACUUUACCCACAUGUUGUGGAUGUUCUUCAGAGAGACCAAGGAAACUGAACAUGACAUACAUAGGAUGUUCAAUCAGGUCAGAGAGAAGAUGAAGCAGAGGAUUACACUAAAGAAGAUGAGUGAUCCUGGGAAAUUUGCAGUGCCAUGUUUGUUGAAGGGCAUUGAAUUCAUGUGUGCGCUGUGUGACACAGGUUCAUCAAUCAGCAUACUAACCAAGAUAAUGGCAGACCAUCUGGGUCUGAAGAUAGAGCCUUCGGAGGAUUCAUUCACUUUUUUGGACUAUUCUACGAGGAACUCAGGAGGAAUCACCAGAAACCUUGAGGUGGAGAUUGGUAAUGCACUAGUUCCAGUUGACUUCCAUGUCCUAGACAACAAACUGAACAUGAAUCAUUCUCUACUCCCUUGGAGAGCCUUCAUGGCUACGGUAUGGGCAGUUUGCAACAUGCAGACUAAUCAGUUGUGUCUAACACUGAUAAACCAUGAUGUCUACUAUGAUCCAGUCAGAAUUGACAAGCCACAUACGUCCAACACUGGAGUUGAUACAAGAUUCAUAGCAGCAUGCUACUGUGAAUUUGAAGCUGAAUACUAGACAAAGUGUGAAGCAUCAAUCGACAGCCAUACUCAACCAUCGAUCGACAAUGCCAUUCAGCCAACGAUCGAUAACCACCUAGGAAAUCGAUCGACAGUAGUCAUGCGAAUGAAACUUUCGCUUUGCCAAAACACUGCUAUCCGAGUUUUGUAGUUAACACCCAGCCUCAGAUAUCGAUUGAUUACCAUUACGGUGACACGAUCAGCAGACAUGACGACUAUUAUAUUGGCAGUUGAGAAAAUGAUAGCCAUCAUGAGAGCUUUGCAGUUGACAUUGCACUACAUGAGAUGCGAUCUGAGGAGUAUGACGAGGAUUACCCCAGAGAGAAGAAUAUCGAGUAUCAUGGUGUUGCCAUGGAAGAAGAAGGAGUUCUCCAUACAUCACAUGCAGAUAAGAAGGCAAAAUUAAAUCGACAUCAACACCAAGCCAUCGAUUGACGCUCAUCACACACCAAAUUCCGAGGUACAAGUAAAAGAUAAUACAAAUUAUGCUUAUCUAACUCCAUAUGAAUAUGGUAUUUUCAGGGAUCCAGAAGGCCAAGCACGAGCCCUGGAUGGACACAUUCUCAACAUAUCCAGGGAGGAAAUUGCUGAAAUCAUUUCCAUGAAUGGGUCCAGAAACUUAAUAGACACUCAUAACAGAGCAGAGGAUCCAUCAUCGAUCGACGAAGCAGAUGCACCAUCAAUCGACGGUCAGUCCGAAUUGAGACGAAGAGCGCUUCUCUAGAACAGGAAAAUGAAACCUCAUUGGGAGAUGAAUUUGGUAUUUUCAGGGAUCCAGAAGGCCAAGCACGAUCCAUGGAUGGACACAUUCUCAACAUAUCCAGGGAGGAAAUUGCUGAAAUCAUUGCCAUGAAUGGGUCUAGAAAAUUCUUAGACACGCAGAACAUAGCAGAGGAUCCACCAUUGAUCGGCGAAGCAGAUGCACCAUGGAUCGACGGUCAGUCCGAAUUGAGACGAAGAUCGCUUCAUCAGAACAUGAAAAUGAAACCUCAUUGGGAGAUGAAAAACGAGUAUAGUGUAACAUCAACCGUGCAGAACAAGCCACUUACAUCAAAGCAGAGAUUGAUGAGUUGGUAGCAGAUAUCUAUAGAGCUAUGAGGACGACAUAUGAUUAUCAUUCCAAGAGGCUCGAUGACAUCUACUACCCAUUCAACAACAAUAUAAGCUGGUUAACCACACGCACAGAUGAUAUGAAGCAAGACAUAGCCAUGAUUCAAGAACAACAUGCAGUCGGUGGAGGAGCAUAGAAAUCGAUUGCCGCUCACAUUUAACAAUAGAUCGACGCCCACAUCCGUACAUCGAUCGACGCUCAACUUGCAUCAUUUGAAGAUAGGCUACAAUCAUUCACCUAUAGGCUUAAUGGUAUCUACUACCCGCUCCGUGACGACAUAGAUUCAUUGACUACACACAUGAACGCACUGCAGCAGGAGAAAUACACGAUUCAGAGACUUCUAUAUUUUCAAGCAGAGCAGUCACCAUCGAUCGACAGCGAUUAUACAACAUUAUGAGGCAAGCUGGUAACCGAGAAAUUCUUACAUGAUAAGCUUGAUGAUAUCACUUUCUCUCAAGACUUGUUGAAAGAAGAUAUCUAUUAAGAGUUGAAGGACAUCACAGAAUCAACACAUGCCAGACUUGGAAUUCACCAGUGCAGCAUUGGUAAUCUUCAGAAUAGGAUGCAUGUCAUUGAGGUUGAUAAGGAGAUACUGAAAAAUCAGUGGACCAGAGGAAAUAAGACCAUAAGAAGCUUCAUUGGUACAUGGUUCCAGAUGAGCAACGAAGAUGUAGACACUUGUUUCCCAACAAGUAGUCAUCCACCUCCUUACUAGCCAAAAACAGCUUCCAAAGUCAAGCUAAAUGACUAUUACAAAGCGCUGAGUGGGAAGCAACCCACUAUUAGGUAAUUUUUUUUCAGUUUUCACUUUUUAAAUUAUUUAUUUUUUCAUUCAAUUUAUUGCAGGUAUAAAAAACAGAAAAACCAAAAAGAGACCCGAGGAGACGAUUACUCAGUCAUCGACCGAUGAGACCAAGUCGACGUCGUUCGACAUCACGACACCAGAAACGAUUGAUAGACACUUCAAUGUGUCAAUCGACAUCGACAUCCGCGAUCAGGUAUAUAGUUUUCCUUGUUACAUUAUGUACUUAUGAUUUAUGUUCUCACCAAACUCCGACUAGAUAUACACUAGGGAUAGUGUAAUUUAAGUCUAGGGGAAAGUUUACUGAUAUUAAUUUACCUAUGAGUUUUAUAAAUGUUUUCAAAAAGUUUUAUUGAGUCAAGAAGGGGACAAUGAACUUUUUUCAAUUUCCCUCACUUAUCUAACCACUCUUUAGCAUCAUUCUUAGAUUUAUUAACUGCAGAUUGUAUUAUAGAUGCUAAAGUGGAUCAUCCUGCCAAUUAUUCACACUUGCUGAGACUGUUUGAAGGAACCAAAUCCAACCUCCAACCUAAUUGAGCUCAACUUGCUUGUCUUGGGGCAUGGUAUAUAUUGGAUCGGAAUCCUCCUUCAAGUCUGGAAGGUAUUAGACUUAGUGUCCCUGGUUUUCCUUCAACCUUUCUUUGGCAUCCAUAUAUAUAUUUACAGAAGAUUGAGUUGAUUUCUUGCCGUUUAGAAGGGUAGGAGUGUCUACAGCGACCCCAUUAUUUUACUCUAAUAGAAUGAUCACACAUUGUUUGGAAGCGAGGGGUAAAUACAUUAUCGAUGACCUUACUAUUUCGCCUACAACUUUGCCUAGUAAUAAAAAUAAAUAAAUAAUAAAUAUAUAUAUAUAUAUAUAUAUAUAUAUAUAUAUAUAUAUAUAUAUAUAUAUAUAUUUAUAUAUACUAUAUAUAUAUAAAUAUAUAUAUAUAUAUAUAUACUAUAAAUUGGAUUCAGAGAAAAGAGAAGAGAUAAGGAAAACCAGAAAAGGGUUACCUCUAGGUCCAGAUACUUGCUUAAGUGGAUUCCAUGGGUUUAGUGAUCGAUAUUCCCAAGGCAAAGCAUACAAUUUUGUUUUAUGUAAGAAAUAAGGUCAGGAGAGGUUUAGUCAUACAUGAUUAGUUAAGUUGUUGGAUGAAUGAAAUUGGUUGCUAAACUAGGAUAUUGCAUAUAAAGUACUUUUGAAGUUGAGAUUGAUUUGAUGUGGAAUAUUGCUGAGGUGAUGAUAGUGAGUUCUUAAAUUGUGUGAGUCCCUGCUGUUUUCAAAUCUCUUUCAGAGAGACUGCUCAUUGUUUUGCUUGAGGACAAGCAAAAGAAUAAGUUUGAGGGAGUUGAUAUACCAUAGAUUUUACCCACUUGGUAUAUAGGUGUUUUUAAAUACAUUAUAGCUGUUUUAGAGUCUUUUUAAUACGUUUUCAGGUUUUGGAGUGAUUUGGAGGAAAAAAAUGAUUUUGGUGCAUUUUGGAGAUAAAGUGAAAAGGACCUGUAACUCCUGUACGAAAACGCGGGCGCGGAGACCGAUUACGCAGCAUCGAAACGUUCGGCGGAGAUCAGCCGCAACAUUUCAUGAAAAUUUGUUAAAAAAUUGGGUUCACCAAAAAAGUUCGUCUUUUCAGGUUUUAAAUGCUUAAAUCGAGUUGUACAUGCGAGAUCUACGAGUUUGAUGAAAAAACAAUAAGAAAAACGAAAGAUUUGAGUGAAUGGUGAUAGACUAAAUUAGUGGCUAUGGUAAGAGUUGCAGAAACUCCAAGCGACAAGAAAGGAAGAAGAAGGUUUAAUUAUAGUUUUGCCAUUAUUUAAAGAAGAGAUUAAAGAAAACACGCUUCUAGGGCCUCAUAUCGAAGACGUGACAUAAUGCUUAAAAAGCAGCUAACCUUCCACCAGAGUACAAGACAAUAUGUGUUUCAUUACGAAAAUUGAUUAAUAUAUAUACAGUUUUAGAAAUAUUAAAAAAUCACUUAAAACUAGGCCCCGAUUAAUCUCUGAUUACUCUCCGAAUUUAUGUUAACUCGCUAGGCUUAGACCAGCCGUCUCACUUACGCCUAGCGUAGUUCCGAACAGGGCCCGUAACUGACCAUCGAACAGUCUGGCUGUCGAUGAUUGAAGAUUAUAAUCGAUCGACACAUACCAUGUGUUUUCGAUCGACGGCGAAGUGCGCAAAGACCAGACUUGGUUCCAGCGAACUUUUAAGCCCAAGUCCCAAAAGAAUUACCAAAUUUCCCCUGACGAGUUUUAACUUAAUAUUUAUGUGCUCUGUCAUUGUUCUAGGAAACACACGCUUUCAUACUUUCUUACACAGCAAAAUACUUAGAGUUUUAGGUUUGGAGAGAAGAUCCAAGACUCCUUCAGAGAUUUGUGAAUGGAACUCCAAGUUUUUCUACUCUUAUCUAUUCUAUGCAGUUUUACUAUUGUCUUGUUAUGAAUUGUUUAACUAUGUAUGAGUAGUUCUCUUUGUUAGAUUUAGGGUUCAGAUAUUCAUGAGGGAUUACCUCAAAAUAUGUAGUUGCUAAGUGUUUGGAUAUCAAUCAAUUGAACUGUUCUUUAAUGGAUGUGUUCUAAAGUAGCUGACUAGGACCUUGUCCAUAGAUAUUAGGGCGCAAGCGGAAGCAUGGUCAUUUGUCUGAUCUAGUUUACAUUGUGCUAGGAUUGCUAGAAAAAAGCGACAGCUGAUUUAGUUUAACCAAGUGAACAAGUCAAACCCGUGCGGUAAAGCUUACUGGAAGGAAUGUUGAUCAACAACUCAGUAGUUGCACCGAUCGACGGGCUGAAAGGUGUAUCGAUCAAAAAUUCAUAAUUGGUAUCGAUCGACACUUUUUCAAGACCAACAAGCGACAUCUGAAUAUAGAUCUGGCAAUAGAUAGUCUAAAUAUACGGAAGUUGAUCGACUAUUCUUUUAGUUUGAAUUCUAGAAUAUCCAACAUACACUUAGUCUCUAUAUCUCUAUAACCCUGAUUGUCUGAAUAGAAACUCUAAGUCUAACGCCUUUCAUAUCUGUUUCAAAACCCCAAUCAAUCAACCGAGCAAUUACCUUGCUCACACCAAUGCUAUUUACAUUUAAACAUGUUUUCCUAGCUAACCACAUAACUACUAGAUCUUUUGUGUGUCUUAGCUCCUUGUGAAUUUGAUCCUUAUGUGCUACAACUCGACUUCUUAUUUGAGAGAGUACAAAUCACUCCUUAGGAUAAUUUGAGUGAUAUCACUUACUUACAAUCUACGGAGGAUAACAUGUUUCUUAUAGCAAGCCAAGUAAAACAUAGUAUCUUAACACACAUUGUCAACAGGGGCCAUCCCUGUAGGCGAUCUAUUAAAGUUUUCAACUAAUUUUUUAAUAUAAAUUUGAGAGUAAAAAAUUUUCUCAGGGGAAUAUAAUUUUCAUCAAAACAUUUGGAGGCAUGUAACAAAUGUUUCAUUUACAUGACCCAUGACCGACCCUGCACAUUGUUAGAACCACAUUAUCUAUAUCUAAUCAAUUUUGUCUUUCCUUAUUUAAUAAUUCCCAUUUCUUUGUAGAAAGAAAGUUUAUGCAUACUGAACUAACGGUCAAUCGAAAAAUAUUAUCUCCCAUCGAAAACUCUAGCCAUCAAGAGAAAAAGAGAGAGAUUUUUCUUAGUUUCAAGCCGAUGACCGGAGGCUUCUAUAGCUCUGACAUCGGCUUGUUUGGUUCGUUUUGCUUCUUUUUUUUUUGCUUUACUUUCUAUCAUUUGAUUUGUUUGAUUGUCAAUUUAUUUUAAAUGCGGAAAUUUUAUUGUUCUUUUGUAUGUUUCUUCCAAUAGAUUUAGUAAGCCAAAAACUUCGGUUCAAUUGAACCGUUUAGAAAAGGUAAUUGACAUAUCUAAUGCAGAUGGUGGCGACGGGUCUUACCGGCUUCUCGUUGAUGGUUCUUCAUUUGAUGGUGAUGGAUUUUUUGCUGCAAACUAUGGUUACUCUGAAAAUGGUAAUCUUUUUGACUCUAUUAUUUUCAAAAGAGUAAUAUAAAGAUUUGUCUGGUCUCGGUGACUCCUACUGGAGUAUUAAAAAGAGAGUGACAAUCGUUCGCAAUUCAGUUUAAAUCAUGGCGUCUUUGGAUUAAUACGAAGAUUAUCUCAUUUGCGAUUCAACUAUUCCAAAAGCAAAUUUGAAGCUUUUAUAUAUAAAAUCUUUGGUCAUCCACUCGCAAGAUAAAUAUGUGUUAGUUUACUUUGGAUCCCUACUAAUAUUAUCAUUUUUCUAUAUUUGUUUGGCUAAUUCUCAUUGUUUAAUUUAUUUGCCUAAAAGGCUUAAUAAUACAAUUGAAAAAAAAAGAACUAACGGUCAUUACUCGAGACUACGAAUCAUAAAGAAUCAUGGUCGAGAUUACCCGGAAAAAAAUCACACAAUGGAAAGAAGCAUCCAACUCAACGAAGUAAAUGUAAGAUGAAAAUUACUUUAAAUAUCAUAAGUUAGUUACCAUUUUACAAAAUAUAUUCAAUGAAAAAUACUCUAAUAUUUGGAUUUAGGAUGUAGUGAUUAUUGUUUAGGAUUUAGUAUUCAAGGGGUGGGAUUGAGUUUAUAAACUUCUACAAAUAUUUUAUAAGUUAUUAUUAAGAAUUUAUAUAUUAUUUUAAAGAUUAGUUUAAUUUUUUCAUUUAAACUUAAAAUAUUUAUGAAAAUAGAUAUUCUUUAGAGAUAAAUUUUAAAAAUGGUAUCAAAUUUGUAUUUCAUCAAGUAAGAUUAACAUAUAUAGAGACAGUGUCGGAUUUAAUAUAUAUAUAUAUGCCAAGCAGAAAUAAGUAAUUUGGUCCACAAAAAAUUUAUUUACAAAAAGAAUGUAAUAAAAAUUGAGCUGAGGGCAUUCCCCAAUCCCCCAGUAGAUAUCUUUCAUUGGAUUUCCAGAUGUUUAGAGGUUUGCUCGUCGUGGUUUUGUGCCAGUCUGUUAUGAUUUCAGUUUCCUAUUAUGUGUUUAAUGUUAAGUGUUGUUUGAAUGUUUGUUUCCCUGGUUUGGGCUCAGUCUCCGGGAAUAUCUCGUGUUUCUUCCGGCUUUGGUUAUCGGGGACAGUCUUGUGGUCCUCCGUUUGUAGAAUCUUACUCUUGUAUCCUUUGUUGAUCGUAUUAAUAAAACCAGAUGAAAAAAAAAAUCCAAUGAGAGUCAAAUCUUGUGUAAGUAAUUACAGAGAAACAGAGAAGAACAGAGAGACAAUUUCAAUGGUUUAAACUCUUCAUUCUUAUUUCACUCAAGUCUUAGGGUUUUACAAGAUAGCUUAUUUAUACUAAGAGAACUUGUCUAGACCUAAAGGAAUAUCCUGUAGCAUAUUCUGCUUGGCUGUAAAGCUCUUCUCAAGACUCAUUAUCAGAGAGGAGACCAUAUCUGUUCUGAACCUUAAUGACAGAGUUCGUACUCUGUUUGUCUGUAGCUGAGGAAGCGUUGUCUUUACAUUUUGCUGACUUAGCCGUUGGAGUCUUUGAAUGUAGAGCUGUGGGCUUCACUUGUUGUCGAGGGCCCAUCACCUCUUCAUUCUUCAUGCUUGAUGGGCCUGUUAUGUUUACAUCUUGCGCAUCCUUCCUUGAUGAUCCUAACCAGCCUAGUACCACCAGAACUUUUGAAUAUAAAUCUUCAUCAUUAGCCCCUAAAAUUAUUAUAGAAAAAAAAUUUCAAACACAUGCUUGGCUAGUUUCUAUCAAGGAACAGUUCUUUGUAGAGAGUAAAAAGUGAAGAAACGAGAAAAAAAUGGAAAAAAAAAAGAAAAAAACUUGACUAAAUACAUAAACAAAUAUAUGCAUUGUUGUAAAUAUAUACAAAAUUUGACUAAAUAGAUACAUAAACAAAUAUAUACAAAAAUUACCAGCUCAACAUCAAACAUACAAGAAAUUAUUCAAAUGUCACUAACUCAAACAUAAUUGCUUGAAUAAAACAUUCACAAUAAAAACAUUUUAAGUACGUACUUUCAUUUUUUAAUUCAUAAGAAGUUGUUGUAAAUAUUCUUUUACAUUACCGCAUCCGACAUGCCUAUUGUCUUUAUAAUUAGAAUCGUAUACAACGACAAGUACAUAGCAUUUUUAAGACAAAGUACCAAACAUCCAUACACCCUUUUUUCUUUUGAACACCACCAUACACCCAUAUAUAUACAUAUAUACAAUACGGUGUCUUUUCAGCUUAGGCCUUAAUAUUUUAUGAGACACCAUCAGGCGCAACAUGGUCAGCAACUUCUUGAUCCGGCACUCUAUCGCCUUCCUCCAGCUCAAUACCAUCUAAUGGAUUCUGAAGAGGCCCAAUACAAUCUCGUGGAACUUGAUCUGGCUCAACGUAAUCUUGAAGGUUUUGACUCUGAUCAUUUCCAAGAAUCUGAUAUGCCUCUUGAGGAAGAAGCUCUAGGCCAGCAACAAAAAGCGGGAGCAAGACUAGAUAACGUCUACGAGACCUAUAUGAAAUUGCGGAGCCAAUGACGUGGACAAUGGACAACAUCAGUAAAUACGCGUUUAGUGUGUGCCAAUAGAGACUCCCAUCGUUUUUGUAAAGCCAAAACACUUGACCGCAUCUUCGUAUUUUCACUCCUCCUUCGAUCAGAUUUUGGAUUAUAUCGAGCAUAGUGAAGAUUAAUGUGUCACAAGCAGAAACGAUGCCGAAUAUCUUUGCUAGAUCUUUCUCCUUGUCAAGUAGCUCUAAGACAAAGCAGAGGAACUCAACGAGGAAUGCAACAGCGGAAUGUGGUCGAAGACUUUGCCUGAAAACCACGAGUCUGAUGGCCGGAGUUAGGAUCGGCAUUUUUUUAAAAGAAAUUAUAAUUUGAAACUAACAAAAUAUGAUAUCACGAACUUUGGUACGUGGUGCUUUUUAUAGUGAUGUGAAGGGAUGAUUAGCAGAUGAUUAGAGAGAUAAAAGUCAAAAAGUUAAGCUUGGAAAAUUCUGUGCUAAUUAAGAACUCUUCACUUUUCAUAUUGCAUAGGGAACCAAAGAAAGUUAUUUUGUAGUUUGCGUUUGAGGUCUUUGUUUUUGUUUAUCAUAGCAAGUAAGCUGUACACUACUAUAAGAAAAUGAAAAUCAAUAUUCAUUUAAGCGUAAUAUACAGUUUGCUGGUUGGUCAUUUACGACGUACGUAAUGUCGGCAUGUCAAAAUUUUGAAUAGGUGGUCUUAACUAAAUUACAUUUCUAUAAUAUAAAUACUGCUCAACUUAACCUCCUUGAAAAGCAUUGUCCGCUAUAUAUACUUUUUAGUCUAAAAUUCGUUUAUUCAAUAUUCUCAAUCAAAGAUAAUAACAUAAAAAUUGAUAUGAUACAUCGCAUGAGCCCUGGAAUUAUUAUCCGGGAUCCGGAUUCGAUCCAAGAUCCGUUCCGAAAAUAGGAUAUCCGGAAUGCCCAAAUCCUGAUCCAGAUAGAAAAUCUCAGAUCCGUCAAAACCGAAUCCAGAUCCCGAUAUCUUGAUUUUUAGGUCUAAAUACCCAGAUCCAGAUCUGUAUUUUUAGAAGGUUUAAUUUUAUUAAGAUUUAUUAAUACUUAUACAUAAAAUUAGUUUUAUAAUGUUAUAUUUUAAUUUUAAUUUUAUAUACAUAUGAAUAUAUUUAUAAAUCUUGUAUAAAUAUUUAAUUUAUACAUUAUUUUUAGAAUUUUAGUAUUUUUUUAAAAAUAUUUUUAAUUAUUUUUUAUGAGUCAAAUUCCAGGUCAAGAUAUCCGCGGGUAGUACAAUAUCUAGACGGAUAUAUGAAAUCUGGAUAUCCGGAAACCACAAAUAUGGACUCAGAUAUUAAAUCCACGGAUCUGACAAGUCCGGAUCCGAAUCUGGAUACCUUAAAUAUCCGGAUAUCCGGUUCCAUCCCAUCCCUACAACACAUCAAUAAAGUGAAAACAAGCUCUUGAGAAAAAAUCUAACCCGUUAAAAAAUAGGAAAAUUAUUACUGACUACAUGAAAUAUUGAUCAUCAUAUGGCUAACCAUGCAAACUAAACUAAUCUAUACUUACCUACACGAAGUAUAUGUUAUGCAUGACAACAUCCCUUAACUUUAUGAUGUUAAGUAAUUAACAUCACGAGUUGAAAUUUAUUCAUCCAAAAAUGAUGUGUAUGUUAGAGACCAUUUAAAUAUCUCGUUUCAUCAAUUAAAAUAUGAUGUACCUGAUGGUAAUUUAUCUAAAUUUGAUUUUUUUUCCGUGUUUUAAAAUCGUAAGAAUAUUUUUAAACAAAAACUAAUUUACAAAAUCAAUAUGUUUUAUAAAAUCUUGAUAAGUAGUGUUUUAGCAUAAACUAAUUUACAAAAUCAAUUUGUUUUAUAAAAUUUUGAUAAGUAGUGUUUUAACAUUUUUAUUUUAGGGUUUUCAAAAAUAAUAUAUUAUAUUAAAUAUUAAAGUUAUUUAAGAUAUUAUUUACUUAUUUUUUAAAAUUAUUUAAAUAUGCUUUGUUAUGAACUUUUAAUAAAAAUUUUGUAAUUCGCUUGACUAAUUGUAUUAUAUAUACUUAUUAAAAAAUUAUUAUAAACCUUAUUUGAUGUCAAUUUAGUUACUCUAUCAUUUUAUUUGUUUAAUAUGAAAUUAACUAAGUUAAUGAAUUAUUUUAUUUAUAUAUUCAUAAACAAAAAUUGCAUUCAUUUAAACUUAGUAAAACUUUCAUAUGAGAUUCUUAUUCUUUGAUUAUUUUUAUUCUUAAAAGUAUAUAAUAUAUGAUUAUAUAUGCAAGAUUCUGUUUUGUUUAUGUUGACAUCACAUAAGUCUUAAACAAAUAAAAUAUUAGAGUCAAUAAAUUGACAACAAAUAAGUUUUAUAAUUGAAAAGUUAUCAAAGAUGUAAAUAUAUCACACAAUUAAUCAAAUGAAUUGCAAAUUUAUUAUUAAAAUUUCAUAGCAAAACAUAUUAAAAUAAUUUAGAAAACAAAAAAAAAAAUCAAUAAUAUCUUAUACAACUUUCAUAUUAAUAUAGAUAAAAAUAAUACAAUUAUAUAGUUCUUUUUAAACAUAUUGAUUUUGUAAACUAGAUUUUGUUUAAAAUUCUUAUGAUUUUAAAAUACAGGUAAAAAUCUAAUUUUAGUUUAAUUCCAGUUGGGUCGGUCAUAUUUUCAUUGAUAAAAUGAUAUAUUUAAACGGUCUCUGGCAUCCACAUCAGUUUUUGGAUGAAUAAAAUUAAAUUCAUGAUGUCAACUACAUAACAUCAUUAAUUUGAGAAAUGUUCUUAUACAUAACAUAUACUUCGUGUGGUUAGAUAUACAUUAGUUUAGUUUGUAUGGUUAGCCAUGUGAUGACCAAUACUUUAUGUAGUUAGUAAUCAUUUUUCCUAAAAAAUAUGAUCUAACAUAUACGAUUACAAGAGAAAUCAAUGAUGAAGUCUAGACCAAAAAUUUGGUUGGAUAUUGCCAAUAUAUUGAUAUCAAAAUGAUCGUAUUCCGCAAUUUUCAAACAAUCGAAGUACUAUCUCGUACCACAACGGGCUACAAUCAGGUUCAUUGCCUACACAAUAAAAGUUUUCAAGACAAAAAUAUAUUAUUUUCUUUGGUUAGAUCUGUUCUACAAGAGAUCCUUUCAAAGGAGUUUCAUCUAGACUCCGUCAAACAACCUGUGAUAAUCACCACUACAAAGAUCGGAGCAAAACGAAUAAAUCACUGAUUAAAAAAGACAGAUGAAAACAAAAAUAUCCCUGGAAACUUUGAAAGAAACAACCAAAAUAAAGUUAUAACUAGGUGUUUUCUGCACAAAUAAUAGCUUUAAAAUUUUAUAUAAUAUUUAAAAAUAAAAUUUUGUUAAAUUUUAUAAUUUGCUUAUAAUAUUUAAUUUUGUGUAAAAUUAUAAUCUUGGAAUUUUUUUUAUCUAUUUCUUUUAGUUAAAAUAUAUUAAAUCCAACUCUAUAAAAUUAAAAGAAAAUUUUGUUAGGUAUAUAUUUAUCAAAACAUAAAACUAAAUAAUCUUUUUAAAAACUAAUGAUAAUGGGAUGAGAACAUUUAAAUUAAAAACUGCAUUAAAUUUUUUUAUGAUAUGUUUUAGUAUUAAUAAUUAUAAAUUUAUAUAAAAUAGAAUUAAAUAAUAUUUUGAAAAUUAUAAAAUGUUAUAAUAUUUCUAUUUAUAAUAUUAUAUUAUUUAUUGUUAUAUUAAUGAUGAUGUAUGAGUUAAUAUCAUAUUCUAAAAACUGUACUAAAAAUAUAAAUCAACAUUAAAUGUAAAUGUCCAAUUCAUAAUUAGCUUAAACCAUGUGGUCAUUGUUAGUAUGACAUGUCAUUAUUUUUCUUUUAAAAUCAAUAUGAUGAUGACACAAGACAAAUCAGUUUUCAAAUAAUGUCUAGGGAAUAUUAAAAACAAAUAAGAAAAGACUAUUUGAAGAGAAAUCCCAACAUUUUUUUUGUCAUUGAAUCAAAGUAGCGGGAAAGAUUCCACGAGUACAUAAUAUGAAAUAGAAAAAGAAAAUGCAACAAACAGAAAUUUCGUAAAGGACCAUUAUCCACGAAGCUUAUAUUAUAGGAUCUUCAUGAAGAUCUCUUAACCAAAGCUUCAAGAGAGACUGUGGAAGGUGGUCGCGUUCGCCUCCCCAAGAAUGAUGUUAGCUAACCACGAGGGACCACCAUAAGCGAUAUAAGACUGGAGCCUAUUCUCACGAGUGACAAUUUUGGCAAUCUCUUCAACCACUCCAUUUCUAUUGACUAGAGAAAUCCCAACAUUAGUGCUAGAAAAGCCGCCAGCCCAGGCACAAAAAGAUCUCCCUAUUUUAUUUAUAUAAUAAUUUCUUAACAAAUAUAUUUAGAGUUAUGUAAUUUUUUUUUUGUUAGGUUUGAGUUGCUUUUAAAACUUGUUCUCUAUCGGGUAAGCUCAAGAACACUAGGGUAUGGUUAGAAGUUCAUUAUCUCUGUUUCUUUACAAAAUUUGUUGUAAUUUGUAUAAUCUUUUGGAUUUGUCAAAUCUAAGCCAUGACGAAUAGAUACAACUAUGUCUUUUUCAACCAGUGGCGGAGGUAGAAAAAACUUCUAAGGGGGUCAAUUUCGAAAUUAGCAUAUAUCACAAGGGUCAUUUAGCUAAAAUUUGCAAGAUUUAUCUAGGUUUUAAAGGAUUAUACAUGUAAAAAAAAUUUCUUUUAUAAAAUCCACCUGGGUCAUUUGACCCACCUGCCAACACUCUGCCUCCGCCACUGUUUUCAACAAAACAUGAAUACAAGAGCCGGCCCUUGCCAUAGGCCAAUGAAGCAUGGACUUCCAGCCUUAUUAUUAUUAAGUAUAAUAUCGGCUCCACAGAAGUAACUUUAGACCAUUGGUUAAAUGGCUCUAUACUCUGUAUAUUUUAAUCAUUUACUUAAUUAAUUUUUAUUUUAAUACAUGCAGUAAUUUAAUUUGUAUGUCUAAUUAGUUUUUUUUUUGUAUUUUUAAAUUUGCCUCAUAUAUCUACUACAUGCUAUGAAAAAAUUCAAAAAUUUAAAGUAUAUUUUUAAUUAUUUAUUAAAUGAAUUAUCAAAAGAUUCGAUACCUUUAAAAUAAGUUAGGAAAUUUCUGUUCAAUAGGACUAAGUAAAAAAAUUAUGUAUCCUCUAGAAAUAUAUUACGACACAUGUAUGCAUUUUUAUCUUUCAUUUAAUUAAUUUUAGUAUGUUUUUAUAUAACGUUCAUAAAAUGGUUAAAUGUAACUUAUGUUUGUAAUAGUUGAAUAUGUAUUAUAGCAUAUGCAUACAUUUUUAUUUUUUGUUUAACAAAUUAGUUUUAUAGUUCUUAGGUUAUUUUAUAUAUCUACAUCCAUUCAAAUGAACAUUAAAAAUUAACAUAUGUUUUAAUUGUUUAUAUUAACUUUAAAUUAUUAGCCUAUAUAUCUAUUAGUUUUACGAGGGUUUGAAUAAUAAAGAAAGACAUUACAAAGAAAAAGUUUCCAAACUGUUUUAGUUUUGCUAUGAGAAUAUAUUUGUUGUCACAUUUCAUACUUACCAUCGGCGAUUUACUUUCAUGUCUAUGAGUUUUGUUGUUGGCGUGUAUGUAUAUGCAUGUGUCUUGGUUUAGUUAUUCUAUUCCAUCUUAUGUGACCAUGUAUAACAACCAGAUUAUGAUCUCACAAAAACUUGUCAUGCGAUAAUGCUACCAUGGUGGAUGAUGUUGGUGAUUUUUGUAUGUUUCUACUACCAUAGCACAUUGGUACUGAUUCACAUCGUUCGAUCGGAUUUGAGACAUAAUAUCCCUUACCAGCGAUCUCCACUAAUGCCUAUAAAACAUGUGUUACUUUUCAAUGCAUGGUCAGUUGGACCACAAAGAAAUUUGGACAAGACAUGGUACAAUGUGUUUGUUUUUUUCUCAAACUAUUACUCCCUCUGUUCUCAAAAGAUGCAUAUUCUAGAAUUUUCACAUAUAUUAAAAAAACUCAUUAAAUAUGCAUUGUUUUUUGUGAAUAACAAUUUUUCAUAAUUUUUAGCCAAUAGAAAUUCAAUAAACACCAUUAUUGUUUUUUGAAACUUACAAUUUUUCAUAAAAUCAUACAUUGAAAAAGUAAAAAAUAUUUUUUUUUGAAACAAUUUUUUUUUCGAGAACAUAUAUCUUUUAGGAAUGGAGGGAGUAGUAUAUAAGUGUGUUCAUCGUUUUCUCGUUAAGCACUUACGUUUUAUUUUUGAGGCCAAAAAGAAACGUUUUUUUUGAAAAAGUGAAUGGUAAUCUUUGUUCCAAAAUUAUCUAUUUGGUAUAUUUCUAGGAGAGCAUUAUUCUAGUAUCCUCUACUUUUGGGGAUGAUUGGUAAGUGUUGUAGCUUUAUAUUUUUUGCUGUCGAAUUUAAUCUGUAGAUUUAUUUGCUGUAGCUUUUCUUGCUGUAGAUUUCUAAAGCACUAAUUUUUUGCUUUGGAAAUAAAGCUCUGUACAGCCAUAUUUUGAUUUUGUAGAGAUUUUUUUGCUGUGAGUUUUUUAAGGAAAGCAAAGCUCGAUUGGUUGAGAUAUAUAGUUGUAGACUAAAUUUUGGCUGUCCAGAGCAUCUACAGCUCCAACCAAUCAUCCCCAAAUUUGUGUUACAGUAUUAUGUCUCUAAUUGUAAUUCAUCUUUUUCAUGUACCGAUUAAUCUUACGGUGUUCUUCGAAGAUUCUAUUAUCGUCCCGUGUAUGGUCUAGAGAUGUAAUUUAGAUUAUUGAUUCCUGUAUUGGAUUUUGGAAUAAUAAUGUGUAAGCAUUGGUAGAAUAAAGAUCACUUGGAUAAGUUCAAAGGAAAACAAAAUGAAUUGUCAAAGAAAACUAUUGUAUAUUCUAAUUAACUAUAUAGAGAUUUUGAUGAAGUAUCCAGUAUUUUGAUUUUAUCGAAGAAAUGAAGUUCAAAUUUAUUAUAAAAACAUCUACAUAUUUAUUAAUCAAAGUAAUCUUGAAUGUAUUUUGAAGUGAAUAAAAGACAUAAUAUAUGAAGUCUAUAUAAUACUAAAUGCAGAAGCGCAUAAUAGAAGGGGAGGAAUGUUAGGGCUAGUCUCUCUCCUCUUCAUGUGGAGAUGGAAGCGUUAUCAUGGGCAAUGGAAUACAUGAAGAAUUUACGUCAAUUUCAGGUUACGUUUGCAACGAAUUGUUCUCAAUUGGUGAAGAUGGUUUCAGAACCAGAAGAAUGACCAGCUUUUGCAAAUUAUUUGGAAGAUAUCAACAUCCUGAAAGAGAGUUUCACCCGAUCAGAGAUUAUCUAUGUACCACGGAUGCAAAAUUCAAAAGCGGAUAGCCUAGCACGCAGUGAUAGAAAACAAUCGUCUUUCGUCGUUCACAUGGAUGCAAAUCAGCCGUCUAUAACUGAACUUGGAAAACAAUGAAAUAAAAGGGCCCUAUAGAAAAUGUGGUCAGAAAUUCAUCCGACGAUGACUGAACUUAUUAUCUUUACUAGAGAUUCUGCAAGACAUCUAAAAGGAUAAUUUUGUUACUCUGAUAUGAUGUAUUUUCCUCAAGUUUUGUUAUGAUUGGUGGGCCAGCCGAGCAUAACUUUGUAUAAAUCAGUUUGAUUUGGUUAAAAUUUGAAAUACUGGAAAAAGCAAACUAACCCACUGCAAGACUAGAUCAAUAAAUUUAUAUUGGAAUAUUGCUGAACGGUUCAAAACCUGAAACCGAGCGCGAACCAAAAACUGAAGCUGUCGAUUCAGUUUGGCAUGUUCUGGGUUCAGACCCAAAAGGCUUUAAAUAAACUAAUUGUAAGUUGUUCUUUUGGUUUGGGCAAAUUGCUGUUUUACAAAAUGCAAGUGAACUUACUUAAAAGAGACAAAUGCUUGAAGCGAUAAGUUACUACAACGUAGUAAGCACAGACCACAAUCUUUGCUCGCUCCUCGAUGAAGUAAAACAAAGAAGUUUCACAUUGUCACAAGACAAAAAGAAAUAAUAAUACGAAACUAAUAUUGCAUUGUCCUUUUUUCACCCAUACAACACGAGAAGAGAGUGUAUAUCUUCUCACUCUUUUCCAAAAUCAGCAUUAUAGUGUGAACUCGACUCGAGUUUCUUGGCCUCACUCAGCUUUCUCACCGCCUGCAAAAAUUAGUUGGUUUCGAAAUCACAAACUAAAAGAUAUUACAUACAUGAUUUAACCAAAUCUCAAAUAUACCUUCAUGAAAUCUUCUUGGAUCACAUAAUCUCGCUCUGCUCGGAUUGCAAACAUUCCAGCUUCCGUGCAUAUGUUACGCAAAUCAGCACCGUUGAAUCCCUUUUUGGGACAGGAGAAACGUUUAGUGAGAACCUCAUGUAGAGUACGUUUAGUAAGAAAAUUAAAACUAACCUCCGCAAGUUUGACGAUAGCCUCGUAUUCUAUUUCACCAUGUUUGGCGAUACCAGCUGCAUGGAUCUUGAGGAUAUCCAUUCUUGAUUGCUCAUUUGGCAAAGGGAUCUCAAUCUUUCUAUCUAAUCUACCAGGACGGAGAAGCGCCGGAUCAAGCACAUCGGGCCUGUUCGUUGCCAUUAUCAUUUUCACCUAAUACAUUUACACAAACCAAGUUAAAGAACAUUCAUUCACACUCGCAGACACAUUAUAGCAUUGAUUAUGGCUUUUAGUGUAUAAGCAAUGGUGCGAAACAGAAGUUAUAAGAGACAAGAUCCAAUCAAAGAUAUCCAACAGAUUUCAAGACAGCCAAAUUGCCAAUAUAUAUAUAUAUAACUUAACAAACACGAUCUUAUGCACAUAUAUGGCUUCAGACAUAGAGAGAGAAGAGUACCUUUCCGAGGUUGUCAAACCCAUCAAGCUGAUUGAGCAACUCCAUAAGUGUUCUUUGAAUUUCACGAUCAGCACUAGUUCCCUCGCUAAAACGACGCCCACCAAUAGCAUCGAUUUCAUCCAUGAAAAUGAUACAAGGCUAGCCAGAGGAAAAAAGCAUAUAAUAAAGCUUAUAGAACAGAAACAUAUACAGCCAUUAAGGAGGCAAGACUUACCUGGUGUUCACGGGCAUAGUUAAACAUCUCCCGAAUCAGCCUAGCACUUUCUCCAAUGUAUUUGUCUAUGAUUGCACUCGAUACAACCUAACGAGAAGAAACAAUUUUGAUUAAGUAAGCCUCAGGAUAUGCCAUACCUUUGAGAAAAUCAAACCUUCAAGAAGUUGGCAUCGAUGUUGCUGGCAAUAGCCCUAGCUAGUAGAGUUUUCCCGGUACCCGGAGGUCCAUACAGAAGAACUCCCUGCAUUUAUAUAUAUUUUAAUUAGCUAAAAUGUCAAAGAAGAUGGAAGAGUGAGUAUACCUUUGGUGGUUUGAUCCCAACUCGGAGGAAAAGUUCAGGGUUCAUGAGAGGAAGCUCAAUAGAUUCCCUGAGUUCUCUGAUCUGAUCACCUAACCCUCCCACAGCGGAGUAGCUAAUGUUGCCAGGGUCUUCGUGCAGCAUGUUAUACACAACGGGAUCGACCUACAAUCGAAAACGAAAUACAACAUUAGUAAGAGUAGUCAUAUCAAAAAAAAGAAAAGAAAAGGAAGUUACUUCUCUGGGAAGGGCUCUCAUAAUAGUAAGAGUAGUCAUAUCAAGAACCACUCGAGUUCCAGAGGUAAGCUUCUCCUUAUCCACUUUGCUACGGCAUCCCACCACAUACCUAGGACCGCUGCUCGCUUUCACAAUCACUAAGGGGAACAAUAACAAUCAGACACCAUAAAGAUUGAGUGAGCCAAAAAGAGAGAAAGGUUACAUCUUUCAUUAUCGAGAGGUCGAAGGACUUCUCCGAUGAUCUGGCCCACACUCUGAAGAGACUUGAGAUCGUCCUCAGUUUUGUUGAAUUCCUUUUUCGAUCCUCUCAAGUUCUCCCUCGCUGCACAUUGCACAAACGAACUCGAGUCACUAAGAAAUAUCAAAAGCCUUCAGAUCUACACCCAAAAGAAGAAGCCUCACCUGUUCGAACUCGGGACUCGAGCUCCUUAUGUUGGAGGAGCUUUUUCCGAUAAUCCGCAACCGCUGCGGUACGGCGUCUAACGGCUUCUUCCCCGUCGCUCAUCCUCUUCUGCAGCGGACAGAUCUCACACCAACGAAACUUUGUUCUAUCUAACUUUUCUUGAGCAAUGGGUUUGGUUUAGUCGAAUGCCUAAAAUACGGAUUGCUCUUCUUCUCUACGACCCGGCCAAUGAAACGCCCUCGUUUUUUCCUUUCUAGCCUUUUACCUUUUUUUUUUUUUUAACUCUAAAAUUUUUAGUUAAUUACUAGAUUAACUUCUUAUCAUCGAUACAAUUUAGUUUAAGUGGAUGAAGACAAAAACCCAUACCAGCUACAAAAUAUUACAAAACUGGCAUUCACAGUUUUUUUGUUUACUAGAUUUUUCGUUAAAAAAUCCAAAUAGACAUGACACAAUCACACAACUGAUAUGACUAUAAAGAAAAGGCUUAACAGAUUUACAUAAGAUUUUAAAUAAAACCAAGGCACAAAAUGAGAUAGCAACUGAAUAGUCUUCACCCACAGCCAUGUUCGUUUUAUCAACGCUGCGACAAGGGGCUGCGGCUCUAAAUUAUCUCUACGGUUUGGAGAGCAGAUCACAGCCCAGACAAAACGGAUUUGCUUAUUCCGACGCCGCGGCAAAUCACAACCAGUAAAGAAAACGCUCAAAAUAUCAACGACAUCGGAAACUCUGAUUUCCUGCCUCCGAUUAUCAGCUUGCGACUAACGGCGUUUUUAAAACUCAGUAUUUUCUUAUUUCACAGAGUAAUUGUUGGCCGCUUUCGCCAGUGGCGUCGUCUUUAAAAUGAACAUGGUUCACAUGUUAAACUUAAUCAUCAUCACAAGACACAUGUAGUACACAUAUUCUUCAUGCAUAAGAAGAAGUUUUUAGCCACUAAGCAAGUUGCACCUCUGUGAAGUCUUUAUAUGAUCUUAAAUAAGCUUCACAUCAAUAUAUAAUCAUAAACUAUCAAUGGAGAUCUUAAGGGAUGGAAAAGAUGGUAUUCACAGGUUGUUCAUUUUAUCUUGAGGGGUAUUAGACUUAUUAAACCGACAUAGUAAAUGUGAUUAGACCGAUAUUAGGAUUAUAGAUAAUUAGCGAAAGAAUACAUUCGCCGUAGUUGACUUGAUUUGAAUAAACAUAUCCUCAUUUUGUAUCAAACUUUCUCACACUCAUCAUCAUUCUCUAGAUCUCAAGUUCUGAACUUCUAAGAAAGGUGUCAAGAAGAACAUGUUUCAGAGGAAUCUCAUUGUUAGGGGGGUUAUAUGUUGCGCAAAGCAUCCAUAUCUCUAUCAUUUGGAGCUUUUGGAAUUAACGUUGUUAUCACUGCUGUUUUAUGCGUUCUCUUAAUAGAUUAUGUCGAGAUUCUACUAUAGUGGUGACAUUUUCUUUCGUUUUUAUCAAAAAAUUCAAGAUGAGUUUCACUAAUGGUCUCUUCAUUUAUCCUUUCAGCCGGCUAGUUACUAACUGUUAAGGAUAGUCAUAUCGUUGUCAUUAUUAGAAUAAUUUUCCCCGCAUCAUCUCAUUAUGAAAUGCUAUGUAUUUAGUCUUAACCUAGAGUAUCCUCCUAUGUAUAUAUUGUCUCGUGUACUCUCUGUUGUAUAAUAAUAAAACCAUCACAUUACAUGUUAUCAGAGCAGAUUUAAAAACCUAGCUGCCACUCUUCUUACCUCUUCUUCUCGUUUUUUCUUUCUCUGUUUCUCUAUCAACUCUGCUUUUCAAAAUUAUGUCUCUCUCCUCUUCUUAAACCGUGUAUGUGUUACACCUCAAACAAUUUUUAACGUCAACAUGUCUAAUGUUAUGAAGCUCACAGCAAGUAACUACUUAUGUGGAGCAUCAAGAUCUAUGCCCUCUUAGAUGGUGAUAAACUUCUGGCCAUCUUGACAGCAACACGGCGAUACCAGUUACCAUUCUCACCAACAAUGGUGUUUCCACAUCUCCAACCUUUCAAGUCUGGAAAAGACAAGAUCAUUUUAUUUUUAGCGGUCUCAUCAGCGCAGUCACACCAUACUCUUCAGUCGAUUGUCUCGACGGCCAAGAAAGUUGCAGACAUUUGGAGAAUUCUUGAAGCAACAUAUGUGAAACCAAGUAGGGGGAACAUUCAAAAACUGAAAAUUCAAAUAAAGAACUGGACAAAAAGCACCAAUAUUAUCGACGCAUACAUACAAGGUUUCACCACACGAUUCGACCAACUGGCCUUACUAAGUAAACCAGUUGAACAUGAAGAUAAGAUCGAGUACAUCCUUGGUAGGCUCCUCACCAACAACAUACGGGGUUAAACACUCCGUCUAACUCUGACUCUACAAUGCAAGUAGUAGAGCCGCAAGAAAAUAAUAAAACAGGUACUGUUAUUGGUUCUGUGCAGCUACAUGAACAGAAAUCUCCUACACCCACCGUAUCCUCUUCAUCCUCCCCAAUCCAGACCGACCAUCCCUCACCUUCAUCAACUCACCAAACUGAACCUCACCAAACACCAUCCCUAAUACCACCCGCACCUAGACCUCCACCAUUAUCUCAUCCCAUUACAAACGCUCAUGCUAUGCAAACCAGAGCUAAAACCAAAAUCACCAAGCCAGCCCUAAAGCUAACUCUUUUUGCCGCAACUAAAACCAAAAACCCAACCAUACCCACAACUGUGGCCCAAGAUAUGUGAGAUCCUAAUUGGAGAAACUCUAUGGGAGAAGAGUACAAUGCUCAAGUUCGGAAUCACACCUUCGAGCUGGUUCCACCGGUGCCAAAUCGGCAUGUUAUUCCUACUAAGUGGGUUCAUACGAUUAAGUUUCUUGCUAAUGGUUCCCUUGAUAGGUACAAAUCAAGGUGGGUAGCACGUGGAGACAACCAGGCAUAUGGCAUUGACUACGCGGAGACGUUCAGCCCAGUGGUUAAAACCCUCACGAUUCGUCUCGUUCUCUAAAUCGCAGUCACACGGUCAUGGCCUAUCAAACAGCUAGAUGUUAACAAUGCUUCCCUCCAAGGUACUCUUACGGAUGAAGUUUAUGUUUCUCAUCCUCCGAGUUUUGUCGAUCCAGAUAAACCACAUCACGUGUGUCGCCUCAUGAAAGCACUUUAUAGCCUCAAACAAGCACCUCGUGCUUGGUAUCAAGAAGUACGAAACUAUCUUCUUCAGAUGGGAUGCAAGAAUUUGGUUGCUGAUACAUCGGUCUUUGAAUACAUCAACGGGAAUCAUCUCGUCUACAUACUCGUGUACGUGGACGAUAUUAUAAUAACUGGCAACAGCAACAUGUUAGUAAUUGGCGUCAUCCAAGUUCUGGCUACUCGGUUCUCCCUCAAAGAACCAAAUGAUCUGAACUACUUUGUAGGUGUUGAAGCUACUCGCACCUCCGCUGGUUUUCAUCUAAUGCAGAACAAGUAUAUUAUUGAUCUCUUAACCAAGACUAAGAUGCUAGACGCAAAGCCAGUUACAACUCCCAUGGCUGUCUCAGCAAAAUUGACGCUUCGGUCGGGCACUGCAAUCGCUGAUCCUCAUGAAUUUCGUAUGAUUGUUGGGAGCUUGCAGUAUCUUUCCAUCACUCUACCAGACAUUGCCUACAGCCAAGCGUCUCUCUCAGUGUAUGCAUCGCCCUACCGAUGAUCAUUGGCAAGCAGCCAAGCAUGUCUUGCGAUAUCUAACAGGUACUCUCUUCCAUGGUAUCAUGAUGCGCCGCAACACACCUCUCUCUUUUCACGUGUACUCGGACGCUGACUGGGCAGGAGAUACAGAUGAUUACACCUCCACCAAUGCAUACAUUCUUUUUAUUGGUGCCACACCUAUCGGUUGGUCAUCAAAGAAACAAUCCGGCGUCGCUCCAUCAUCGAGUAUCGAGCAGUCUCGCCUACACAGCAGCCGAAAUGAAGUGGGUUUGCUCGUUUCUCACAGAGCUUGGGAUCACACUAGCCCAGCCUCCAGUUGUCUUCUGUGAUAAUGUAGGAGCAACAUAUCUUAGUGCGAACCCGGUGUUCCACUCCCGUAUGAAGCACCUUGCCUUCGACUUCCAUUUUUUACGUGAAAAUGUCCAGACUGGUGCCUUGCAUGUCACUCAUGUUUCCACAAGAGACCAACUUGCAGAUGCACUGACCAAACCUCUACCUCGCACGCACUUUACUGAACUGAUAAGCAAGAUCGGAGUAGUUUCACUCCCUCCAUCUUGAGGGGGCGUAUAUAGUAUGUAUGUAGAAAGGGUAGUAUAAUCAUUCAUCUAGACCUAGUAUACCUUCUGUAUUCAGUAUAUAUAUAUGUGUAUUGCACAUACUAAUAAGAGCAUUCAUUUCUAUAAACCUAUACGGAACUCACCCAUUGUUUCUGUCAACAAUUACAAAUAUUAUGUCGUCUUUAUCGAUCGUUAAACACGCUACCCUUGGCUGUACCCACUGAAGCACAAGUCUCAAUUUGAAGUUGUUUCCAUCACCUUCAAGCUAACAUGAGUGAAGUGAAACCAGUCUCUACACCAAUGGCCUCGUCUCCAAAGUUGACUCUCAUUUUAGGAGACCCUCUCUAUGAUCCGACACCAUUUCACAAGUUAAUUGGCAGUAUUCAAUAUCUUCAGUGUCAUGAGAUGUAAGAAACACUGUCUCAUGUAAAAAAUUAAGGCUCUGUUUAGUGUUUAUACAUGUUUUCAAAUCAGCUCCCAUUGUUUGUUUUUCUUUGCAUUCACCACAUUCUGAUAUGAUACACGACAAAGAAAUAUAAAACAUUAGAAGGAAACUACUGCCACCAAACGUGGUUUCAAGGCUUACAAGAUAGAUGAAGAUCAUGAAAAUGGGUACGAGUUAUAUUUUUGGGCGAGAAUGGUAUGUCAGAUGAUUGACAGAGUUGUUUCCAAAUGUUUUUUCCAAGCUUUCAGUGAAUGUUGUUUAGUGUGUCUCCUUUGAAAGAUAAGGGAAGAUGAAAUGUAUCCAUGAUAAACCGAUAAAUACCAUGUUUAAGAUUAAUAACAAAACCCAUUUUGUUUGAGUUUGUUAACAAUGAUGAAAGCGAAUGAAAUUUCGGAUGUUUUAUAUGUACAGAAACCCCCCAGGCAGCAGAAUCAACAAUUUUAAAUUAAUCAGAACAACAACAAUAAGAAAAUUUUUUUUUGAUGAAUUCUCUCUAUCUCAUGAGGAAUGAAUUCUUCAAUGAUGUUUGUCUUCUUACUCUUAAGCCAUGUUAUUUCUGCUAUGUGCCCAGAACGGCUUUGCGGGUGUACACUUGAAAACCUUGACGCUGAAUGGACUGUUCUUGCUCUAUAAAACCACACCAUUUCAAAAUCAGUACAUAUUCCAAACAUUAGCAUUCAAAAUAUUUGUGAAGAAACUCACCAUCAAACAGGUAUCGCCAUUGCAAACAGGGUACUCAUGAGGACAACAACUAGUAUUAUCAAAGCAGCAAGUGGCAGCUUCAAGAGGGCAACAUCCCCAACCGAAGCAGUACUUACUGUACUUGAAGAGACAACAACAAGUGUUUCCCUCUGGGAAAGAGUAGUAUUUGUCACACUUGGUUGGUGGCUUGAUGGGAGAUGGAGGGGAUGGUCCAGGGUUUGGUGGGUUCUAACCUUUCUUUCUUAUUGUUGUUGUUCUGACCUCCAUGGCGAUUCCACACUUUCAUGUGGGCUCUGCAAUGUUAUGUGCCAUCUUUAUGUAUCCUCUCUCUCCCCAGCUUCCUCCCCAUGAGUUUCUCACAAUCCAGUAAUCCUUUCCGUCCUCAGUUCCGUAACCCACAGCUACAACUCCAUGGUCUAACUCUGUUCCACAGGUUCCAUCAAAUACACCCUGAAGUGAAAAAAGGCAAAUCAAAAUCUUAGCAUCUUGAAAUAAAGAAAUUUGCAAGUGUUUACUAAGAAUAUAGCGUUACCAUUCUUUAAAUAUGUGAGAACAUGAAUAACUAAAUAAAUGUUUUGAAUGGUAAACCAUUAAUCAUUAAUAUUCCAUUGAUUCUUCUCAUGCUAACUAGUUACAAGUUAGGCUAUUUCAUACCAAAGAAUAGAGCUGUAAGGCAUGACCACCAGCUUUAAUGGCAAAACUAAUAGGCUGAUUAGCCAAAGCUUUCUUAAGAGCCGCCUCGUUGUUCUUUGGCACAUCCUCAUAACCGUCAAUUGUGACGACCUUUGCGUUUCCCUGCAAAACACGAGAAACAGAGGUGUUAAACCCAUUUGUAUUCGAUUUAAAUACCAAAAAACCUAAACCAACACACACUAGUUAACUAACCAUGUUCUGAUCACAACGGCCAUCCACAGUUUUGUAUGGACAAUCCUCUUCAGUAUCAAUACCACCAUUUUUAAUAAUGAACUCAAACGCAUAGUCUAUCAAAACUCCAUUACAGUCUUGGUUGUAAGAUGUGUCACAUUCUAUUAGUUCUUGUUCAGACAAAGAGAUUAAGUCUCUUGUCACAAUCUUGUUUAUUCCUUCCACACCUCCAAUGGGUUGAAAAUGCCCAACAACUCCCUAAACAAGAGAUUAAUUAAAUCAAAUUAGCCCCACCACUUGCUUUGAUUCUUAAAAAACUGAAAAUAUCGUAUGGGUUCAAUGACCAUAAUAGUUUCAAAGACCCCACAAACGGGGGGGGGGGGGGUAAAUUUGUCUUUUUGCAAAAGUUACAAGAUUCUUAAGAUAUUUUUCAAAAAAUUAUCAAAGAUAUAAUCAUUUUCAGAUUUGUAAAUCUCUAAUCAAAAAUUGGAAAAAGCUUACCGCAGCUUCCCUGAUCUUUGACGGCGGCGACGACACCUUCUUUUCUCCAGUCAACGGAAGCAGGAAGCGCGUCGCAACCACGCGGCUCAUAAUGAUCGCUGGUUUUGAGAACUCUCUUCUUUGGUUUAGCACCGAGGUAGAUAGAUCGGUACUUAUCGUUGGUUAGAUCAGCGAACCGGGUUAAACCGAGUUUGUAACUGAGGUUUUUGUUUUGUGUUCGUCGAUGAAACAAAGAUUGUCUUUGAAGAUCUCGAAUCUCUGAUCCGUGACAAGACCGUUGCUCUGCGUCAUCAUCAUCUUCUUUCCGUGUUUCUCCAUCCACUCCUCGUAGAUUUUUGAAACCUCGGCGUCGCUCCAGCCAUUGACGGCGGAGAUGUGGUGCUUCUCGUCGUAUGAGAUGAUCGACAUGUCGACAGCGUAUGAAACGCCGAUCAUCAUCGCUAGGAGAAGGAUGGUUACCUUUACGAACCCCAUUUUUUGAUAUUUUACAGAGAAAGAAGAAUACGAUUGGAUGAUUGAUAAGAGAUUGAUGAGGUUGUAUAUAAAGGAGAAUUUCAGUCGAGUGAUAGACUAUGGAUUUGACCCAUUUUCAUCCAUAGUUUAUAGGUGUUUUUACUAAUAUUAAAAUUAUUAUAGUCUAUUUCUUAUAUUUAUAAGAUCAGGAAUGUUUUGGAGAUAAGUGAUGAUUUUCGAGCAUUUUGUAGAGAUUUGGAGUAAGCACCCGAGAUGACCAUCCACUACAAGAAAAAUGUGUUUUUAUAGCGGACGAAUAACGCUAUGUAACGAUACGAUAGCAGUUUUUGAAGCGCUGUAUCAUCGCCCGUCAUAAUAGGUAAAUGACAUUACAUAGCGGUUUUUAGCGUUGCUAUUUUUUCUUCCGCUACGAUAGCACUUUUCAAUAUGCAAUUAAAUAAAUUUUAAUAGCAUGUCUUUAAUGCUAUUAUUUAUUUUAUUAACAGCGUUUUUGAUUUGUUAUUGUUAAAACUACUAUAACAAUUUGUUUCUGCUAUAUAUUGUAAAUUAUAUUUUGUUAAUUAUUUAUUUUAGAAUUAUUUUUCAGUUAAUAAUUUAAAAAUAAAAGCAUAAUUAAAAUUUAAAAUUAAUUCAGAUAUUUAAAAUUUCUUUAUUAAUAUUGAUCUGUAGCAAAAUUGGAAUACAAAAAAAAAAUCUAAUUAAAUAAUAAACCAAAAACUUUAACCUAAUUACUAACUAAACCAAGCUUUAACCUAAUUAGUACUAACUAAGCGCCACCCCAACACCACCACCUUCGUCGUUUCUUCAUCUUCCAACCCUCACCCGUUGCACCACCACCUUCGUUGUCGUGUUCUUCCAUGAUCUUCGUCGUCUUAUCAAGCCAUGACCUUUCUUGCCUUCUUCAUCUUCCAGUCCUCACCCGCCGCACCACCAUCUCUGCUCGCGACCAUCUCUGUCUACCCCAACGCCGCCCCUGCUCUGUCUUCCCCGACGCCGCUGCUCGGUCUUCUCCGACGCUGUUGCUCUGUCUUCUCCCACCUUGCUCUGAUUCUCCAAGCUUACGCUAUUGCUCUAGUCUUUCUCUGAAACCUUCUUACAAACCAAAAAUAAUUAAUCAAGUAAACAACAAAGAGGGUAAAAGAGAAGAAUGAAUACCAGAACAGAAAGGAGGCGGCACUUCGUCACAGGACAGAGAGGAGGCAUCAUGGUUCAGAGAGAGAGAGAAUAGAGUAGAUGGGAUGCUCCUCUUCUGUUGUUGUCUCACGACCUCCAUUAUCUGUAAGGAGAAGGAUACUGAGCGACAGAGAGGAUGGUGACGAUGAGUCUGUGACUUACAGAAACUGAAGAUGCAGAGAGAAAGAAGAUGAGUUUUGUGAGUCUAGACACUUACAAAAAUUUUGGAUCUGAAAACAAAAGCGACAGAGAGAGAGAGAGAGGAGAAGAAGUAGGAAUAAUCUGGACCCUUCAAAAAGUUUAAUCAAUGGUUGUGAUUACAUAAAGCAUGAUCUCCGUCCUUGUAUGUGAUUGGCCAGUUUGUGUUGACCAAUCAAAUUUUUGUAUUUGAUUCCUAUUUUUCUUAAUAACAUUGUUUUCUAUUUUAUUUUGUGUGUUUAGUAUAAAAAUAUUUUUGAUAUAUUUUUGAAAAUAAAAAUUAUUUUAAGAAAACGUUUAAAAUUUAUGAUUUUGUGAUGUAUAUUUGGAUAUAUGAAAUAUAGUUUAAAGUUUAUGAACUAGAGGAUUUAAGUUUGAAAUUUAAAAUUAAGGUUUAAAAUUUGGAUAUAUGAAAUAUAGUUUAAAGUUUAUGAACUAGAGGAUUUAAGUUUAGCAUUUGAAUUUUGUGGUUAUAUGAUUAAAAACUGAUUUGAUAAAAAAAUUAUAUGAUUUGAUAAUUUCAAAAAUAUUCAAUUUUUUAGUUUUAUAUCUAAGAUCUGAAGUUUAAGUAAUCUUAAAUUAGUUUAAAGAUUAUAUGAUUUUGAGAUUAAUUUUUAAACUGUAAUCUUAAAUUAGUUUAAAGAUUUUAAAUAAAAGAAUUAUAGUAAACGAAAUUAGUUUAAGGGUUUAAAGGUUUGAGUAUAGGGUUUGAGCCCAGGGUUUGAGAGUUAAAAGUUUGGGGUAUUGAGAUUGAGAUUAAAUUUAUGAAACAGAAAUAGGCCUGGGCAUUCGGGGUCCCAAUCGGGUUUCGGUUUUGUCCAAUCGGAUCUCGGUUUUUCGGGUUUAUCAAUAUCAGCCCCAUUCGUGUUAUAUAAAAAUUCGGUUCGGGACUGGUUCGGGUUUUAUCGGGUUCGGAUCGGGGUUAGUUAAUCUUCAAAGAACCGGUACAACCCGGUGUACUUUCGGGUUUUGGGUUCCAACCGGUUCUUCGGUUUUAAAGUACUUGAUUUAUACCUAUUUUGUAACCAAAACAUAAGUAAAAUCGGUUCUUCGGGUUUAAAGUACUUGAUUUGUACCUAUUUUGUAACCAAAACAUAAGUAAAAUCGAUUCAGAAAUAAGAAAAAACAUCAAACAUGAUCAUUCAAAGUCAAACGAAAGGUAUACGUUGUUAUUGAUAGAAAGAAAACUAAUAAAUGAAAUCAUAAAACGAAAAAUUAAGUUUUCAUGAAAUGAAAAAAAUUAUUCAAUGAAAAUAAAACCAAAAUCUAAAAAUUUCAAGCCUCAACCGCCACUUUCAACCAUCAACCUUCAUGUAGUAGAUAGUUAUUGUAGAUGUUUAAUAAUAUCUUAGUGUAUUUUGACUACAUAUCAGGAAUUAAGAUCAUGUUUGGUACAAGUUCCUUGUUGGCAUUUUGAAUGUUUCGGGUUCUAUCGGAUAUCCAUUUAAUUUUGGGUUCGGUUCGGAUAAUACUCAUAACCCGAAAUACCAUAAAACAAGAUCCAUUCGGUAUUUAUGUCGGGUUCGGAUCGGUUCGGAUUCAUUUUUAUCGGAUCGGAUUCGGUUCGGAUUUUCGGGUUCGAUUUAUUUGCCCAGCCCUAAACAGAAAUAGUUUUUGACUAUAUACUUAAUAUCUGAGUUUAAAGUAUAUGUUUAAAGUUUAGGGUUUAAAAAUUCGUUUACGGUUUAGGGAUUUAAAAAGAAAAAUAUAGCAUUUUUAAUUAUGUGCUAUUAAAUAUAUGUCUAUUAAACAUAUGCUAUUAUAGCAUUUUUCACCUUAAGUGUUAUGUAAAAUAUAGUAAGAGGAAAAGUGAAACAAGUACGAGAGGGAAAAUCAAUUAUUUUUUCCGCUUUAGAUAUGCAUAGCGUUUCAAAACUAAAAGUGCUAUGUAUACAAUGUCCGAAAAGUGUUUUGGAGAAAUUAAAGUCGGACCAACCUAACAUAGCGUUUGUAUUUUCGCAAACGCUAUCUAAAAGUAAGAGAUAUGUCAACAAUAGCACAAUCGAAAAAAACGCUAUCCCGAUCAGCUAUUAAAACCCAUUUUUCUUGUAGUGAUCGAGAUCGACAAUCGGUCGAUAUUGGAGAGAUAGAAUCGAUCGAUACACAAGUCAUGGUGUCUAUCGAUAGCAAAGCGCGCAGAAAGCCCGUUUGGUCACAGCCGACUUGAAUCCCAAGAUUUUACUAUUUUACAAGAUUGCCCUGACGUGUUUUACCCUAACUAUAUAAGCUUUGUGUUUCAUUGUUUUAUUGAUAGAUAGGAGAGAAGAUACAAAGUUAUAUUUUUUUAUUGGAACUCCAUUGAUAUUUAUCUUAUUUAUUCUAUGAAGUUUUUAUACCUAACCAUUGUUAUGAAUUGCUUAGCCAUGUCUGAGUAGUUAUUUUGUCAGAUUUUAGGGUUUAAAUAGGUUAGGAGGGAUUAACCCCAACUAUAGAUUGUUGAGUUGUGAUAAUCAUCUUUAGAAUUGUUCAUUAAUGCAUGUGUCUAGAUUAGCUACCUAGAACUUGCCCUAGGAUUAAUUGAUAAAAGCCAUAGCUAAUUCUCAUCCUGAAAACAUUCUAAAUGAACUUUGUUUCUUGCUAUGAGCAAGGCAAGAGCUGAUCUAGUGAGCUUAGUAAGCAUUCAUUCAAUCUGCGCAUAAAGCUUGACUAGAGCGCGUCGAUCGAUAUCAUACUUGAAUAAUCGAUCGACGGUGCAAAAGUUGUAUCGGUCGAUACGUGAUAUACCUUGGAUUUGACCCAUUUUUAUCCAUGGUAUAUAAGUAUUUUACUAUAUAUAUAUAUCUAUGUUUUCUACUUUCUAGGUAUGUUUUCAGGUUCAGGUGCAUUUCGGAGUAAAGCUAUGACUUUGGAGCAUUUUGGAGCUUAAAGGACAUUUCACCCGAGCUGACCACUUAGAGGUCGACGAGAGGAAGAACAAUCGAUCGAUGCGCAUCAGUGCUGACGAUCGAUAUCAGGAAAUGCCUCGACUGAUGAAGAUUAAUAUCGAUCGAUGUACGCAAAUACCAUCGAUCGAUGUCGAGACACCAGACGCGACAUUUUGAAUUCAGCAGACUUAAAAACCAAGGCCAAGCCAAAUUAGCAAAAUGCCCUGACGAGUUUUUAACCUAGUAGAAUAUAUACUGCCUAAGUGUUUUGACGGCAAAAGAACAGAGCUUUUUCUAGACCUAGUUUUGUUACAAGUUUCAUUUGGGAGAGAAGAUCACUUGUGAUUGGAACUCCUUGUUUCUAUUUCUUUUCAUCUAUACUAUGAGUUUCUAUUCUUUUAUUGUGAUGAAUUGCUUUGCUAUGUCUGAGUAGUUCAAUUGUUAGAUCCAUGGUUCAGAUAGGUUUGUGGGAUUAGCCCCAAACUAUAGAUCUGCCUUGUUGUGAUAUUCAUGAUAGAUUUGUAUUCAUUGCUUGUUUUAGCCUUGCUAACUAGAUCUUGAUCAUAGGAUUGCAUACUCAAACACCCUUGUUAUCCCAUCCUGACAUCUAUCUAUCAUAUUAGGAUUGCUAGAGAGGGCUAACCGCCAAUUUAGCAUCUUAGUAGGGCAUUUCAUACUCGCGCAUAGGCCUGGCUAGAACCCGUCGAUCGAUGUCCUCAACUGACAAUCGAUCGACGUUGGCAAAGGUGUAUCGGUCGACGUCUUAAUAGACCAUCGAUCGACACUCUCUCGUUGUCUGCAUACUAACCGUUGAGACACGAGAUCUAGUCUGUUAACCAGUGGUACAUGCGACAGCUGAUCACUGAGUUAAGCGAAUGAGCUCUAAUAUAUCAUGCAUGCAACAGUUAGGCAUCUAUAGGUAUUAUAAUCUCCAACACCUGAAUAGUGGCCCUGCAUCUAAUAUCAUUUCCAACCAAGUUACAUUUAUUAUUUACUCGCUUGUUACUAUUGCUAUUUCAUUUAAACAUUUACAACCUUUAGAAUUAAUAAACACUAGAUUUAAUUGUUCCCUAGCUCCUUGUGGAUUCGAUCCCUAAGUACUACAUCUGAACCUCUUUUGAUGAGAGUAACACUCCUUAGGGUAAUUUGAGUGGUAUCAAAUUUGGCGCCGUUGCCGGGGAGCUUUGAUCGCCAUUAGAUUUAGUUUUAUUGAUUCUUAUUCUUUUCUUUACCCCCUUUCUAAUAAUCUUUUUCUUGUCUUUUCAGGUGCAUGCCCAGCGGUACCAGAAGCAACAAGGAGAAAGACUUGCUGUUCUCAGACGAUCCUGCUCAUUUGGAACGCACCAUCCGUAGAGGUCAACGUUCCACAUCGCUCGACGCAACCACUUCGUCGUCGAUCGAUACGCACAACCAACCGUCGACCGACACCAGACCAUCAUCGUCGAUCGAUCCCAAUCGUUCGACAACGAUCGAUACUACACCGCGUACGUCGAUCGAUACCGUGUCGUCAAAAAUGGUAAACAUUAUUAUUCUAACUCAGGACGAGAACGGAAACCUGUAUGACCAGGCCGGUCAUCUGCGUAAUGCAACAGGUCAGAAAAUAGAUGCUCAGGGAACUGUAAUCCCUGAUGCUGAUGCUACAGGAGCUGCUCAACCUGUAGAUGAGGACGCUCGAUCGAAACCACUGGCCGACUACAAUCGCCCAGAUGAGUACUAUUCCAACAGAUCAGCUAUUCGACUUCCGGAGAUCCAGAAGCAGAAUUUCGAGCUGAAGCCUCAAUACUACACUCUCGUGUCGCAGAUACCCUACUCUGGGUUACCGCACGAGCAUCCUAUGGACCAUUUGGAACGGUUCGAGGAUCUAAUCGCUGCUAUUCGGAUGGAAGGAGUCCCCGAAGAUUACCUGCUGUGCAAGCUCUUCAGAUACACGCUGAAUGGAGAAGCGAUGCACUGGCUUAGGCAGCAACCCACAGGAUCUUUAACAUCCUGGAGCGACAUCAAGAAUGCUUUCUUACGAAACUUCUUCGAUGAGGCGCGCGCUGAAGAACUUCGGAACAAAAUUUCCACAUUCUCGCAGAAGGCUGGAGAGUCCUUCAAAGAUGCGUGGAUUAGAUUUAGGUUCUUCCAGCGAGACUGUCCACACCACGGAUUUAACGAAGUGCAGCUGCUAAGCACUUUCUUCCGAGGUCUCGCCUUACAGUAUCAAAUGGCUCUUGAUACGGCGAGUGAAGGAAACUUCACUACUCGGAAUCCGUUGGAAGCUGUGAGACUUAUCGAAAACCUUGCUAACAGCAGCAGCACCAAAAACACUGACUCUGGACGGAAGAAGUCUGUAGCCUCUAUCGGGAAGGAACAUAUGGACGAAGUAAGAGCUAAGUUAGAUGUGGUGCACGAGCUUCUUAGGAAGCAAGUCUGUUCAGCUGAAGGAGAAGUAGUAGAUAUGGAAAGAGAAGAAAAUGUGAAUUACAUCGGAGGUACCGGAUUCCAGAAAUUUGGAAACCAGGGCGGAAACAGAAACUUCUUUGGAAAUGGCCAAAGAAGUAACCAAAGUUCACAAUUUCAAAAACCCUUCAACAACAGCAAAAGCUACUCGAACUCUUACUAGCAAAAUCCACCACCCCAGACUCAGGAAAGCAAGAUCGAAGAGAGGCUUGAUCGAGUACUGUUGGGACAACAACAAAUCACUGUGGAUUUCAACGGUAAGAUAGACUCCGCCUACAACAAUCUGAACACCAAAAUCGAGACCUUAGGGACUCAGGUGAGAAAACUUGAAACCCAAGUAAUUCAGACGGGCGAGACUAUAAAGAGGCAAGAAGCUUUCGCUAGAGAGGCAGGAGCCGACAAAGGGAAACACCACGUAAAUGCCAUCAUAGAUGAUGAUUUCUGGCAAGUGGUGAGAAAUGAAAAGCUCGAGGAAGGAGACUUCGAAAUCGAAAGCUCCAUGAGUCUCGGCGGAUCCCAAUGGUGUCGACCGAUGUCGAUGAACUCGCAUCGAUCGACAGACCAUGAUGAAGAUCGAUGGACGGAUUACUCUAGUCAUCGAUCGACGUCGUCUGCCAAAUCGACUAAAUGCAAUGCGGUUCGAAUUCUAACUCAUGAAGAAUUCGCAGCUAAGCAUCUUCACCCACCCUCCCCUUUCUAUGAUAUAAUCGAUCGAUCGUUUGAGCCAACCAUCGAUCGACAGAGUGAGUCCGACGUCGAUCGUCACAACACACCUCCCAUCGAUCGACAGGCACCUCUGACAUACCGAGUGCGGUUACCCUCAAUCGAUAAUGAUUACAUCAACGCACUCAGACCACCACCUAAACCAUUAGCUAACCCACCCGAACCAAAACCCAACCCUUUAAAUAGUUCACCAGAAUCAGUUCAAGAAGAACAAGAAUCUGAAGGGAGAAGGUUAAGGAAAAGAAAGGAGAAGAUUCCUAAAAACCUUAAGAGGGAAGCUAACGAUAAGGAGAUGGAUGGUUUCACUAAAAGAGUCCUCAGAAUCCCAAUCGAAAAACCUUUUGAUGAAGCUUACUUCACACACCGGUUGUGGAUGUUCUUCAGAGAAACAAAGGUAACUGAGGAGGACAUUAGGAGAAUGUUUCAUCAAGUCAGAGAGAAGAUGAAACACAGGAUCACAUUGACGAAGAAGAGUGAUCCUGGGAAGUUUGCAAUACCAUGCGUAGUCAAGGGUGUUGAAUUUCCCCAUUCAAUGUGUGACACAGGAGCAUCAGUUAGUAUCCUCCCUAGGAUCAUGGCAGACCAGCUUGGUUUGACCAUCAAACCCUCAACGGAAUCCUUCACCUUCGUGGAUCUUUCAGAGAAACGAUCAGGAGGUAUCAUAAGAGAUCUGGAGGUACAGAUUGGUAAUGCCCUUGUCCCUGUAGAUUUUCAUGUCCUAGACAUCGAGCUUAACUGGAACUCUUCACUUCUACUUAGAAGAUCUUUCCUAGCUACAGUAGGAGUUGUAUGUGACAUGAACAAAAACAAAUUGUGUCUAACGCUCAUAGACCCAAACAUCCACUACGACCUCAUCCGACCUAAGGGAAAGGUCAUUAAUUAUGUGGAUUAUGGGAAAUAACUUGGCUUCAUUGGUGCAUGUCAUUGUGGAGCAGAGUAUGAAUCGGAGUACGAAACAGAGUACUCGGAAUCGAUCGACACCCCAACCUUUCCAUCGAUCGAUUCCAAUGAGUCAACGGUGACUGAUGACCGCAACAACACGUCACUCGACGUAAUGCACCCAGUUGACCAUUUCGCUUCACCUAAUCAUUGUUACCAACAUUUUGCCUUCUAAUCUCCAAGCAAGAGAGGACAUGAUGAUUAUUCCAUAGGCAGUUGGGCAGACAGUGGUUUCCAAGAAAGCUUUGCAGUUGACACUGUAAUUACUUCACCUAAUGAGGAACAUACGGAGAAAUACGUUGAGGAUUAUUGGAAAGAACGUGCAAUAGAAAUAUCUUUGCAAGAUGAAAGACUUGAAACACAUAAGUUCACCAACACGUUUCCAACAUCGUUCGACGCUGUGCACUCCACAUCGGUCGAUACCCACCCUCUCGAAAAUUCAGGAGCAGGAGAAUAUUCCCUCCCCAACUAGGUUUAUAGAUACCUAUAUAAAUCGUUUUGCACCCCCGAAACCACCUACACACAUCAGAGCGAACACACAAGCAAACAAGAUGAACACUCUUCCUUUUACAUCAACAGAAAAAUCCAUGAAGAGCAAUCAUCUCAAGAACACAAGUUCUGCAUAAAUUACUCUGCCAUCGAUCGAUGAAACUGUAUCUACAUCGACCGAUACUACUUUAAACCCUAAUCUUUAUAUUUCUAAAUUGAAUGAUUAUGCAAACAUUGAUUACAGUUUUCUAACACCUGAUGAAUUUGGUAUUUUGAGGGACCCAGAUGGCAACGUACGUGCAAUGGAUGGAAGGAUUUUACAAGUGUCCAGAGAGGACAUAGCAGACAUCCUUCAAGUAGCCAAUGGACAUUACAACCUAUUCUCACAGCAACGUGGCACUCCAGACGUCAUUCAAACAGAUCCUAACAACCACGCAGGAGUCGCCACGACAGAGAUCAAUCCAGAUUUAUCACGCCAACCAAAAGGGCAAGCAUCGAUCGACGGUACAACAGAGACAACGAUCGACAGGGUAACACCAACGUCGAUCGAUAUACAUGAACCGACAUCGAUCGACAGACGGUAUGAAUGUGGAAACCGCGCUUUUGACAUGUACGGAGCCAGAAAGUUCACUUGGGAACAAAGGGACGAGUAUGGAGUCUACAUAGAUGAGUGUGGACACGCACGAGGCGUAGCUGGUGAGAUGAUACCUGUCACAAAGGACAACAUCAGGAAAUUACUGGAAAGAGCAUCUCUUUUUGAAGAAAGCCACAUAUGUCUUCCAGAACAUGCCACUUCUUUCACACUCACAAGACUGGCACCAGAACUCUACACCAAGGAUGAAAUCGAUGAGAUGGUGUUUGGUAUUUGUGGAGCUCAAGAGAAACUGGGAGAGGAGCUCAAAUCAUUGGUAGAAGAUACACAUCAGCUAUUGGAUAGAGGCUACAAUGAGCUUUUCAGAUGUAUGGCAAAAAUGAGGACAGAAAUUGAGAGUUUACGUCAGCAACUUGAGACGGAAGCUACGACUUCAGCAUCGAUCGACGCACCACAUGCAACAUCGAUCGACGUCAGUCUUCCUACAGCCCAGAUCCCUGCAGAACCGCAAUAUUCAACUCAACACAGGGAUGAAUGGGAAGUCUCAUACAUCAACACGAGGAUAAACGACGUUUACUGCCCUCUCAACAACAAUGUGGACUGGCUAAGCACUAAAAUCGAGCUACUAUCAGCAAGAUCUGGACACCAUUCGCAAGAAGGACCAACAACCAGCCACAUCGAUCGACCCGAGUACCUUCACAUCGCUCGAUGCUAAAGUCUCAGCCAUGAAUGAGAGGCUGAGGACUUACGAGGACAUGCAUGACCGCUUUAUAUCACCAGUCAUGAUAGAUUUAAAUAAAUUGUCUAGUCAAUUACUUCAUGCCCAAAAGGAUAUUGAGAACAUUACUAAUCAAUUUUUUUUGCAGGCAAAAUCAGCAUCGAUCGACAGGCUACGAGGGCCUUGGAUCGAUGGCAAGAAACCUGUGGAGUUACUUCCGUACACAGCAGCAGAGGUUGACAAGAUCACAUCCAAGAUCUACACUGCUCUAGACACCAUGGAGGAACGACUUGACAAACGCUGCGAUGACAUAUACUUUCCAUUCGACAUCAAAAUCAGUGGACUAGACAACCACGCAGAAUGGCUACAUAAAGAAGUCAAAGCCAUUCAGAGGCAACUCGCAGCUCAACAUCAGAUAUCAGCAUCGAUCGACAGGAUACUAGCAAAAUCGAUCGAUGGCAACUCACCGAGAUCGAGCAGCGAACACAUAAUCGCGUCGAUCAACGCCGAGUCUACACCAAUCGACAAGCAGCUGAUACACAAGACAGUAGAGUCAAUGCAAAAGGAACUGACAGAUCUUUCAGCAUAUGCCUAUGACAACAUAAGCUGGCAUCAGGUCAGCAUUGACAACGUUCAAGAAAGGCUACAGAACAUCUCCAAUGUACUUGAGAAGAUGGAUGACAAAUGGACAAGAAAUGAUGAGGCCACAAGAAGUUUCAUUGCAUCUUGGUCCAGAAUGUGCAAAGAUGAUGUGGAUGCUUGCUUUCCAACAAGCAGCUGUUUCUCCACACAAUAGCCAAUCACCACCACAGUCAAGCUAAAUGACUAUAACCAAGCGCUGAGUGGGAGGCAACCCACUAUUAGGUAUUUUAUUUAGGUUUUAUUAGCUAGCAUUUAUUUACUUUCGUUUUAUUUCUUUCAGAUUUAGGAGAUCCAAGUAGGAGGACCUGAAUAUCGACCGACGACGAGACGUCGACAUCGCUCGACAUAGACAACCACACGAUGAUCGAUGUAACACUUUCAACAUCGAUCGAUAUCUAAUCCGGUCAGAUGUAUCUUCCUUACUUGUUACAUUUCGUACAUCAUGAACUAUUCGUCAUAACUUCGGCUGAGUUACACUGUAAUUUAAGUCUGGGGGGAGAUUUACUGAUAUAAUUUAUUUUAUUCUUAUGUAAAAAGGAAUUUUAAGAAAUUAUUCUUAGCUAUUGAAAAUAGGGACUAUAAUCUUAUAUUUAUUUAAACAUGAAUAUCUAACCAAUCUUUAGCACCAUUUUAGAUUUACUAAUUGCAGAUAGCACUAAAGAUGCUAAAGCGGAUCAACGUAUCAACUACACACUUGCCUUUAACCGUAUGAAGUAACCAAAGCUGAUUUCCAACACUAAACCUGACAUAACCGCUUGUCUUGGGGGAUGGUACACAUGGGAUCGGAUUCUUCAGACAUGUCUGGAAGGUAACGCCUGGUUUAGAUUAUUUAUCACAAUUUCUCUCUCUAAAUUUUGACCCUAGAUUAGUUAGUGAGUAUUAAAACAAAAAAAAAAAAAUAUAUAUAUAUAUAUAUAUAUAAGAUCUAUUGUUUAAUUAGGAUGAGUCUGAACAGGACUUGGUGGCUAAAACCAUUAAGGCUUGAUUCAUAAAGACUCAAAUAAAAUAGUUCGAAACAGGACUUGGAGGCGGAAAUUUUCAAGGCUCGCUUUCGCAAAGAACUCUUGGAUAUAGGUCAAAAAGAAGUGAACAGAACUUGGUGGCAACCAUCAUUAAGUUUUGAUUCAUGGAAGCCUGUCCAAUCUUGGUCACUGAUCCUGCAAUGGAAGCAGACUUUGACUCAAGAGAGAAAUUUAGAGAGAGAGAAACUAGGAACUAACUUUUACCUGCAGCUCCAGAUACCUGUCUGAAAUCCUUGCAUCCUGUGAUCGAUACUCCCAAGGUAAAGCAUUCACUUUAUAUUUAUGCUAAGAAAUGAAAUCAGUAGAGGGGAUGUCAGACGUGAAUUGAUGAGUUGUGUUAUGUUAGAAAUGGUUGCUAAGCUAGGAUAUUGCAUAGUGUGCUUUUGUGAUUAGGACUUUUUAAAUGUGGUUGCAAAAAAUGUUGAGGAAAGAUUUCUAUAUUUUAAAAUCUUAAAUCCCCAAAUAUUUUCAAACCUCUUUCACAGAGACUGCCUGUAUGUUUUGCUUGAGGACAAGCAAAAGAGUAAGUCUGAGGGAGUUGAUAUAACUUGGAUUUGACCCAUUUUUAUCCAUAGUAUAUAAGUAUUUUACUAUAUAUAUCUAUGUUUUCUACUCUUCUAGGUAUGUUUUCAGGUUCAGGUGCAUUUCGGAGUAAAGGUAUGACUUUGGAGCAUUUUGGAGCUUAAAGGACAUUUCACCCGAGCUGACCACUUAGACUUCCUCUCGUCGACUUCUAAGUGGUCAGCUCGGGUGAAAUGUCCUUUAAGCUCCAAAAUGCUCCAAAGUCUAAGUGGUCAGCUCGGGUGAAAUGCCCUAAGAUGCGCAUCAGUACUGACGAUCGAUAUCAGGAAAUGCCUCGACAGAUGAAGAUUAAUAUCGAUCGAUGUACGCAAGUACCAUCGAUCGAUGUCGAGACACCAGACACGACAUUUUGAAUUCAGCAGACUUAAAAACCAAGGCCAAGCCAAAUUAGCAAAAUGCCCUGAUGAGUUUUUAACCUAGUAGAAUAUAUACUGCCUAAGUGUUUUGACGGCAAAAGAACAGAGCUUUUUCUAGACCUAGUUUUGUUACAAGUUUCAUUUGGGAGAGAAUAUCACUUGUGAUUGGAACUCCUUGUUUCUAUUUCUUUUCAUUUAUACUAUUGAGUUUCUAUUCUUUUAUUGUGAUGAAUUGCUUUGCUAUGUCUGAGUAGUUCAACUAUUAGAUCCAGGGUUCAGAUAGGUUUGUGGGAUUAUCCCCAAACUAUAGAUCUGCCUUGUUGUGAUAUUCAUGAUAGAUUUGUAUUCAUUGCUUGUUUUAGCCUUGCUAACUAGAACUUUAUCAUAGGAUUGCAUACUCAAGCACCCUUGUUAUCCCAUCCUGACAUCUAUCUAUCAUAUUAGGAUUUCUAGAGAGGGCUAACCGCCAAUUUAGCAUCUUAGUAGGGCAUUUCAUACUCGCGCAUAGGCCUGGCUAGAACCCGUCGAUCAAUGUCUGAUAGACCAUAUAUUUUACCCAUUUUUAAUCAUGGUCUAUAAGUGUUUUAAAGCGUUUUAAGAUACAAUUAUUAUGUUUUGGAGUCUAUUUAGAGUAUUUACAGGUUCAGGGACGUUUAGGCGAAAUAUGGUGAUUUUGGAGUCUUUUGGAGCCUUUGGAGGUGCAGAGUUGCACAGACGCGUCAGAUGUUUAGCUAUGGAUGGAGACCUUUCAACCGUUAGAUUGAGCCCAUAUUUUGACACAAAAUAUAGCUUUGAGUCAGAUUUCCAAUGCCACUGGUCUCAGGUCAAUCAGCAUCUUGUAGCAGAAGUUAUGUCUGUUUUACUGAAGAGUGGUCAGUCUGCCUCGCGAGAGGAAGCUGCCGAGAAGAGGAAGCCGCGUCGAUCGAUGCAGCACUCUGCACAUCGAUCGAUGGAAAUUCCAGAUCAUGAGCCUUGUAUAUUUUAUGACCAGAAGUGACCACAAAUUACCAGAAUACCCUUGGACGACCAGAAACCCUAUUUAUGUUAUUUCUAAGCCAUUGUUGACGGCUACGCUUUCUACACGCUUUCAUUUUCAUUGUUUCUCUUAGAGGAGAGAAGGGAUGAACUUCUAUCAGACUCCUCCUGGAACUCCAUUGGUUUUAUUGAUCUGUUUCAUUUCAGUUUAUAUCUAUUCAUAUAUGAUUUCUGUUUUCAUGUCUGAGUAGAUCCACUUGUUAGAUCCAGGGUUCAGAUAGGUUUGUGGGAUUAGCCCCAAACUAUAGAUCUGCCUUGUUGUGAUAUUCAUGAAAUAUUUGUAUUCAUUGCUUAUUUUAGAGUAAUUAACUAGAACUUGAUCAUAGGAUUGCAUACUCAAGCACCCUUGUUAUCCCAUCCUGACAUCUAUAUAUCAUAUUAGGAUUGCUAGAGAGGGCUAACCGCCAAUUUAGUAUCUUAAUAGGGCAUUUCAUACUCGCGCAUAGGCCUGGCUAGAACCCGUCGAUCGAUGUCUUCAACUGACUAUCGGUCGACAUAGGCAAAGGUGUAUCGGUCGAUGUCCCAAUAGUACUAUCGAUCGACACUCUUUCGUUGUCAACAUACUAACCGUUGAGACACGAGAUCUAGCUUGUUAACCAGUGAAACAUGCGAUAGCUGAUCACUGAGUUAAGCGGUUGAGCUCUAACAUAUCUUGCAUGCAACAAAUAUGUACCUAUAGGAAUUAUAAUCUCCAACACCUAAAUAGAAACCCUAGAUCUAUCAACCAUCCCUCCAUCAAACUACUCCUUGCCAAGCUGAACAAUUACCUUGUUCAUCUUGUUUAUUGCUUUAUUUAUUACUUGCUUUAUUUACUGCUUUAAAACCAAUUAGCCUAGCUUAAUCAUAUAACUAUUAGAUCUAAUCGGUUCCCUAGCUCCUUGUGGAUUCGAUCCUUAAGUACUAUAACUCGAAGACCUAUUUUGAUGAGAGUAACACUCUUUAGGGUAAUUUGAGUGAUAUCAAUGUCCUCAACUGACAAUCGAUCGACGUUGGCAAAGGCGUAUCGGUCAACGUUGGCAAAGGCAUAUUGGUCGACGUCUUAAUAGACCAUCGAUCGACACUCUCUCUAUGUCUGCAUACUAACCGUUGAGACACGAUAUCUAGUCUGUUAACCAGUGGUACAUGCGGCAGCUGAUCACUGGGUUAAGCGAAUGAGCUCUAGUAUAUCAUGCAUGCAACAGUUAGGCAUCUAUAGGUAUUAUAACCUCCAACACCUGAAUAGUGGCAGUGCAUCUAAUAUCAUUUCCAACCAAGUUACAUUUAUUAUUUACUCACUUGUUACUAUUGCUAUUUCAUUUAGACAUUUACAACCUUUAGAAUUAAUAAACACUAGAUUUAAUUGUCCCCUAGCUUCUUGUGGAUUCGAUCCAUAAGUACUACAUCUGAACCUCUUUUGAUGAGAGUAGCACUCCUUAGGGUAAUUUGAGUGGUAUCAAUACGCCCAUUGGAAUAUCGAUUGACACUUUCUACAGAUCAAUAUAACGAGAGUUGAGAUCAUAUAUCUAGUUAAUAGUCAACAAGUCAAUGCUCGCAAAGGCUGAAAGACUUGUUGAUCAAAUAGUUGAGCUUUAGAUUAUCAUGCAUGCAACUCAUUAAGCAUCUAUAGGAUUAUAAUUCCAACUUUCCUGUAUAAAAACUUUAAAUCUAGCUAUUUCCUUUUUAAGCACCAAAACCCCAAAACAUCUGCUAUUGAACAAACACUUGUUCAAUAUAAAACUGCAAUUUACUUUUAAAAAUUCUUAAAACAUCCUUGCUUAACAAAUCUAUUAGAAUCCCUAGGUUCUAGCUCCCUGUGAAUUUGAUCCUUAAGUACUACAACUCGACCUCUUAUUUGAGAGAGUAUAAAUCACUUCUUUACGGUAAUUUGAGUGGUAUCAAAUUUGGCACCGUUGCCGUGGAGCUUUGAUCGCCUAUUUUCUAAUUCUUGUUAAGUAUUCUGAGAGGAUUUUUUUGUUUUUUUUUGGAUUUUCAGGUACAUGCCUAGCAGUACCAGAAGCAACAAGGAAUCUCAACUGAUAUUUUCACCAGAUCCUGCAAGUUUGGAACACACGAUCCGAAAGGAAGCGCGGUCCCUAUCGACCGACAACAACAACUCCGUGUCGCUCGAUUCUACUCAACCACCAUCGACCCAUACACCAGUCCCGUUGACAGAUUCUCGGUCACACUUAUCGAUCGACAACAUAAACCUUCCGUCGACCGAUACCCUUCACCCAACAUCGAUCGACAUUCCAUCUCGGACAUCGAUCGAUACUGAACCGCGAGCAAUGGUUGCGCCUUUGAUACUUGUUCGGGACAACAAUAGAGACCUGCAUGACCAGGAGGGUCAUCUGCGUAAUGCAGCAGGUCAGAGAAUAUUUGCUCAGGGGGGCUGCAAUCCCUGAGCCUGAUGCUAUUACUACAGGUACUGCCUUACCUGUAUAUGAGGCUGCGCAAUCCAAGACGUUGGCUGACUACAACCGUCCAGAUUGCUACUACACCAACAGAUCAGCCAUCCUUCCUCCUACCAUUGAGAGGGAUUUUGAGCUGAAAGCGCAGUACUACAAACUUGUAGGACAGUUGCCCUACCAUGGACUAUCCCACGAGCAUCCUACAGACCAUCUGCAGAGGUUCGAGGAUCUGAUUUAUGCUAUUAAAGUCAAAGGGGUUUCUGAAGACUACCUAUUAUGCAAGCUUUUCAGAUAUUUGCUUGCUGGAAAAGCUCUGCAUUGGCUCAAGCAGUUACAACCAGGAACUCUUAAAUCCUGGAGCGAAAUCAAGAAUGCAUUCUUAUGAAAUUUCUUUGAUGAGGCGCGUUGUAAUAACCCUCACGAGCAGAUAGAAUUUUGGUCGAGAAAAUUCUUUAAGAUCCGUUUGAAGCUUGAUCGAUCAGAAUUUAAAUAAAAAUCGACACGGUGAAUUAAUCUCUCGACGGGCUGUCUUUUGGUCGAAAAACCAUCUCUUGAUGGUUCUGGUCGAGUGUUAAUUAUUAUUGUUGAUUUUUGUUCAUGCUAGGCGAGUUUAUUCAGAGCAGGACGAGAUUCGAAUGAUGAAAAAUAUUUAGUCGAAACAGUCCGAAAAAUAUCGACAAAACUCUUAAAAUUAUUUCUGAACAGUCACAUGCCUUGCACCUUCUAGCCUACUUGCUUUCUCAGUAAUUAGGUCACAUGACAUGCACCUACUUAUUUACCUGCUUGCUCAUUAGAAGUCACAUGCUGGUCACAAGCUUUUUGCUUCAGCUGCUUGUCAGCUUUCUUCUUGUAAGGGAAAGGUGAGGUGCUUGUGCUGAAGCUGGUUGCCACAUGUUUCUCCAAACUACCACUUUGUGUAAAGAAAAAACCCUGAGCUGAAGCAACCCCAUAUGGUAUAAAACAUCUUCUUCUCUCCUCUGGACGUCCUGUUACUGCAAGAAAAACCAGAGAAAAUUCAGAGAGAAAGAGAGAAAGAAAAGAGAAAAUUCUGUGAGAAAAAUUAGUUGAAAAUUUCAGAAAAAAAUCAGGGAAGAGAAGUGAGUUUGGACGACCCUUUCUCACCAUCCUGUGACUUUAAUCAGUGUGUUCUGGUGUGGUUAAGAGCUGAAGGUUUGGUGUUCAAGAGUUUAGAAUCACCCAAGUUCUUUAGCCUUGGAUUUUAUCGGUAAGAACAUAUGGGUUUGAUGAGAUCAGUUUUGCUUGAGCUUCCGUUCUUGUUAGGUAACCAAAACGAUUUGGUCUGUUUCUGAUCUUGAACCCAUCAUGGGUAUCUUGUCCUGAUCAGGUUAGACGUGUGUUCAGCUUGAAGUUUAUAUCAACCAAGUUCAUCUUAAACCUUGAGGAAAUCGGUAAGCCAUAGCUACUAGUUCAGAGAAGUUUUGUUUGGAACAAGUGGACUGAUUUGUUAAGCUUCCUGUCCAGAUUAGUUUUUAAACCUGUAUGUGGAUUGAUCUUGGUUCAGUUAUGUGUCUUAGAUAUUUUUUUAAAGGCUUAUCUGAACUGAAUUAUCCUUCAACCGAACUGAACUGCUUUGAACUAAGCUGAGUAGAGUUUCUGUUGGAAUCAACCUGACUGAUCUUGUAUCCACACAUUCUGACUCAGGAGUGAAAUGGAGUGUUAUUAGUUGAGCUCGAGUCUAGUCUUUCCUAGCCAAUCUCAUGGAAUCAAAGGUGAGUCUAGAUAGAUGAUUGAUGAGUAGUGAAUGCAUAUUUCUUGAUUGAACGUACUGAUUGUAGAUGAUUGAUAGGCUUUGUCUCUUGAUCAAUAUUGAAUUGGUAAAGUGUUUACUUAGUGUAAACACUUAUUAAAUAUUUAUGAAUGAUCAUAGAGGUUUAUUCCAAACCUUAGUACUUGUUCUCAAGUACUAAUACAUAUGUAUAGUAUUAAAUAUAAUUAAGUAUAGAAGUAUUAAUCAUGUGAAGUCUUAUUAUAAAUCUGUCUUCCAAAAUAUUCCCGUAUGAACGAUGAUUACCGUGAAUUGGUCCUGCGAUAUGGAACAAGGUCAUGAAGACACGAUGAUGGGGUUGCACCCUGGAGGCCGUGUAACUGCAUGCAGCGUUAGAUGUUUAAUUUUUGAAUAUCUGAUGGCGAUGAUUGUGAUGCUAACUCGCUAGACUCGUUUAGCCUUUGUGGUUUCUCGGGUCUGGUAUAUAUAUAUAUAUAUAAAUAUGAUUAUGAAUGAUAUGAGAGACGGGAAUAGGAAGUGAAGUAUAUGAUUAGAUUCACAAUGAUGGAAGAAUAUUCCUUAUAUAUAAAUAUUCAGAUAUGGAAUAUAUUUCCACUGCAUACAAAUGAAGUUGAUUGCUUGAGAUAUUAUUAAUAUAUGUCGGAGUGCGGGACUAGGCUCACUGAGUAAACUAGUUACUCAUGACUCAUUUGUGAUGCAGGUAACCAAUAGGCGGGAUACCUUACUCUAGGACGGGAAGGAACAACAUUAGCCAGCGGUAGUUUUAUUAUCUUUGCAAAGUCACUUUGAUAUACCUUAUGUAUAAGAUUUGUUGAUCGAAAACCUCGAGGUUAAUUUAUAACAAAUUUUGUAAGAUGCUUUUGAAUGAUAUAUAAAGAGUAUUUUUAAAGUACGGGUUCCAUAUGAUAUUAGUCCUUGUCCGGUCGAACUAACUAUCGGGUAUUGCUUUUUCGGGUUGAAAAGCCUAGAGUGAUAUCUGAUAGGAGCGUUGGUGUUCUUUGGUUGUUGGUCUAAGGCGAUCAGAAGUAUUCUGAGAACCUUGGAUCAACCAUCGAGGAACAUCAACCGUGUCAUUUCCGGUCAACUACGAUCGGGGGUGUCACAAGCGUGCUGAAGACUUGAGGAGCAAGAUUGCCACAUUCACUCAGGAGCCUGCAGAAUCAUUCAGAGGCUCUUGGAUCAGAUUCAAGUCUUACCAGAGAGACUGUCCACACCAAGAUUCAAUGAAGUACAGCUACUCAGUACUUUCUACAGAGGCAUCGCGGUGCAGUACCAGAUGGCUCUUAAUGCUUCCAGCAAUGGAAACUUUAACACCAAGUAUCCAGAGGAGGCAGUCAAAGUGAUUGAAAACCUAGCAUCCAGCAACAUCACCAAGAACACUGAUUUUGAGAGGAAGAGAUCUGUCACCAUCCUUGGCAAUGAUCAGAUGGACUGGACAGUAUUCACAAGCUUCUCAAGAAGCAGGUCAACUUUGUUGAAGGUACAGAAGCUGUAGAGGGUAGAAUAGAAGAAGAAGAUGUAAACUACAUUGGUAGAGCUGGAUUCCAAGGAAACCAGGAUGGAAACAGAAACUCCUAUGGAAAUAUGAGUAACUUGAACCAAAACUCGCAGUACCAGAAACCCUACAACAACAGUUACAACAACAACAUGAAUUUUUGAAGUUCCUACUACCAGCAGCCACCGCCGCCUACUCAAGAAAGCAAGAUUGAAGAGAUGCUCGAUAGAGUUCUUGAGGCACAACAGCAAAUGACAGUAGACUUCAAUGGGAAGAUAUAUUCUGUCUACACCAACCUGAACACAAAGUUUGAGACUUUGAAAUCUCAUGUGAAGAAGAUGGAGAUAUAGGUUGUGGAGACAAGAGAUGCUAUUAGGAGGCAGGAAGCUUCAACAAGAGAAGUAGGGGAUGAUGUGAUGAAGCACCACGUGAAUGCCAUUAUUGAGGAUGACUUUUGGCAAGUGGUAAAGGAAGAGAAGCUGCAAGAAUGUGAUUUCGAGGUAGAAAGUUUGAUGAGUGUGGGAACCGAAAUUUGCACUGUCGAUUUCCGUUUAAAUAAGGAAACUAGGAAAAUCCUAAUUUCCCAGAGGACCCGGAUAUCUGCUAAUACCACACGUCAAGCAAUCAGAACACGAGAAUAACAACGAUAAAAAUAAGAAAUCGAAAAAAAAGAGCAAAGAAGAUCUUAUUCCGAAUUUGCGUAUGAGCGUUUACAACAAGGUAUAAGCCUGGUCUCGAGAGCUGUCGGCGAGAUUCCUAGUUCUAGCAACCUUAAGACAGCUAAACCUAAUUGAGUCGCAGCUCGAGAUAACAAAAAUGGAAAAUUGUCUAAAUUGCUCUAAGUGCUAAGUUCUCUCUGAAAAAAUCCUCCUUCACGCUCCUCGCCUAGGACUCCUUAUAUACUAGCUCCAAGGUCGGUUUACGCUUUUACUCUUCUGCCCUUAAGCCGUCAUAGCAUAAAAAUGGAGAUAUUCCAUUUUUUCCGAUCUUCACAAUUAUCUUCAAAACUUCCGUAUUUAUCCGCAGAAACUUGACAUUUAUCCUUCCUUGUGGACCAAGCGUAAACCGUGCUGUGGUUUACGGGCUUUUGGUUAAGAAAUCGCAGGAUGGAUCUCGAGUCGUGUUCUAGGUCCCUUUGGGCCGUCUUCCGACUCGAAGCGUUUACUACGAUUUAUUUCGAUAAGGAACGAGCUUUCCGCGGUGUUAAUCCGCAAAGUUUGAUCGAUAAUUUAGAAUAGCGGAAAAACUAGACUGAGCUUGCUACGGUCUUCGGGAGAUAGCAUUGAAGGUUUGACGAGAGUGCAUGGACUGGUGUCGUCUCGACGUUUCGGAAGAGCUCGGUCGAUACGCAGCGACCGAACUUUGGCUCGAGCCCGGUCGCUACGUAGCGAUCGAGCGGGACGAACGCUCGGUCGCUACGUAGUGACCGAGACCGAGCUUGGUCGCUACGUAGCGACCGAGCGUGGCGCGCCUAGUCGCUGCGUAACGACCUGUUUCGAGCUUUCGUCGGACGUCUCGUUCUUUCUUCCGCAAAGCUUUUUCGUAAGAAAGAAUCUAUUUAGAAAAGUAUUCAUCGGAGAAAUUCUUAUUUUCUUCCUCAGACGUUUUGAAUGUUAAAUUUGUCGCAACCGUUUUUGACCUCAAAACGUAGCGACCAAGCGGGACGAGCGCUCAAUCGCUGCGUAGCGACCGAGCGGGUUGGAUGCUCGGUCACUAUGUAGCGACCGAGCUUGGCUCGGUCACUAUGUAGCGACCGAGUUUGGCUCGGACUUGGUUGCUUCGUAGCGACCGGACAACGUGUAUGUGCGGUAGUUACGCAAUGACCGAGCUUGGUUCGUUUGCCUUGAGCCUUUAAAGAUACUUCUUCGUUUUUACGAAAAUUACAUUUUUCUUUUUACUAUCUUUUUCGGAAAUACGAUUUCCGAGGAUUUUUGGAUUUUAAUUCCGCCGUGACCGUUUUUUACCCCAACAAUGAGUUUCGGCGGGUCACAUUGACGUCGAUUGACACCAACCUUCGAGUAUCGAUCGACAUACACCAACCAAGAUCGAUCGAGAUGAUUACCGGAGCAUCUAUCGACAACACCUCCGGAUUCAACUGCAUCUUGCAAUGUCGUGAAGAUUCUAACUCACGAGGAGUUCGCAGCAAAACACCCACAUCCGCCCAGCCUUGACAAUGUCUGUAUCGAUCGACAUACCAACAUCAAUGUUGAUCGACCCUCAGAAGCUAAUAUCGAUCGACAACCUUCACCUCCUAUCGAUCGACGAGCCCCUAUCACCUACCAAGUGUAGAUGCCCAAGAUAGAUGUGGCACAACUAACGCACUUAGGCCCAAAUCUAAACCUUCAGAACAACCACCGGAGCCUGUCAGGACACCUUCAGAUGAUGGAGAUGAUCCUAUGGAAGAAGAUAGGGUUUCUACUGGAAGAACCCUAAGGAAAAGAAAGGAAAAAAUGGCGAAAAAUCUGAAGAGGGGGACUAAUGAAAAGGAAAGUUUCCAAAAAAGAGUCUUCAGGAUUCCUUUACAUAAGCCAUUCGAAGAAGCUUAUUACAGCCACAGAUUGUGGAUGUUUGAUAGACCAUAUAUUUUACCCAUUUUUAAUCAUGGUCUAUAAGUGUUUUAAAGUGUUUUAAAAUACAAUUACUAUGUUUUGGAGUCUAUUUAGAGAAUUUACAGGUUCAGGGACGUUUAGGAGAAAUAUGGUGAUUUAGGAGUCUUUUGGAGCCUUUGGAGGUGUAGAGUUGCACAGACGCGUCCAAUGUUUAGGUAUGGAUGGAGACCUUCCGACCGUUAGAUUGAGCCCAUAUUUUGACACAAGAUAGAGCUUUGAGUUAGCUUUCCACUGACACCGGUCUUAGGUCAAUCAGCAUUCUGUAGCAGAGGUUAUGCACGUUUUACUGAAGAGUGGUCAGUCUGCCUCGCGAGAGGAAGCUGCCGAGAAGAGGAAGCCACGUCGAUCGAUGCAGCACUCUGCACGUCGAUCGAUGGAGAUCCCAGAUCAUGGGCCUUGUAUAUUUUAUAACUGCGUGAAGCCCAGAAGUAACCACAAAUUACCAGAAUGUCCUUGGACGACCAGAAACCCUACUUAUGUCAUUUGUAAGCCAUUGUUGACGGCUACACUUUCUUUACACCAUUAUUCUUGUUUCAGGGUUGGAGAGAAGAUCAAUUCUCCUUCAGAGAUUGAUUGAAACUCCAUUGAUUUUAUUAUUGUUUUCUAUUCUAUUAUAUUAUUCAGACUAUGAUUUGUGUUUCUUCUAUCAUGUCUGAGUAAUUCAUCUUGUUAGGUUUAGGGAUUUCAUGAGCUUAAUGUCAAACUGAUAAUCAAUUAGGAUUGCUAGGUUAUAUAUAGAACUUCUACACCAGGGUGAUUUGUAAUACUAGGAUCAGGAAUCUUUUUAUUCAUAUGAAAGUGUCACUGAUUAUUUGAACCUAGAAUCAUAGAAAAAUUGAGAUGCACUAAAGUGCAGUCAAUUAACAGAACCCAAACCCUGCUGGAUUAGAUACUUAGGCGCAUAUGAGAAUUUGGUCUAAGAGUCUAGUUGAAAAUAAUCGAUUAGGUCGUUAACGCUUGUCUGAGAAAGUAUCAAUCGAUGCUCAGACCAUAGCAUCGAUCGACACUCACUUCUUGUUCGCAUGCGAAAGCUGGAACAAAGUCUUAGACAUCUGAUUAGUAAUUGCAUUGAGAGAUAGAUUACUUACUUAUUAAAAUCGAGUUCUAGAAUGAAUCUAUAAGCUAUUAGCAUCCUUGAAUUGUAGUUUUGAAUCUCUUGAUUGAUAAAUCUCUAGGUCUAGCUAUUUCUCCUUACUGUUUACAACCUCAAUCAAUCGAACAACUGUUUUGUUUACAUUGCUUUAUUUACUGUUUUAAUAUUGAUUACCUAGCUUAACCUUGAUUUCUAUAGUCUAUUGUGUGCCCCUGCUCUCUGGGGAUUAGAUCCCUAAGUACUACAAUCCAACCUCUUAUUUGAGAGAGUAAGAUCACUUAUUAGGGUAAUUUGAAUGAUAUCAAAUUUGGCGCCGUUGCCGGGGAGCAAGGAUUCACCAUUAGAGUUGAUUAAUAGGUUUAGUCUAGGUUUUAUUUACUGUUAUAGUUGCUUACUGAAAAUUUUUUCUUGUCUUUCAGGUACAUGCCUAUCAGUACCAGAAGCAGCAAGGAGAAAUUACUUUACGUCUCAGAUUCUACAAGAUUGGAGCGUUCAAUCCGCAAAGAAAGACGUUCCCCAUCGAUCGACAAUAACACUAAUUCGUCGAUCGACACUCGCCAACCACAGUCGACCGAGACACCGUCUUCAUCGGCCGAUACUCGCCCACCCCCAUCGACUGAAACAAGUCUUCUGUCGACCGACAUUUUCCACCCAACAUCGAUCGAUGCUUCACCUAAAACAUCGAUCGAUACUGAGCCGCGAGACAUGGUUGCGAAUAUAAUUCUUCUACGAGAUGAGAACGGAGACCUGCAUGACCACGAGGGUCAUCUAUGUAAUGCAGCAGGUCAGAAAGUAGAUGCACAUGGAGCUGUAAUCCCUGAACCAUCUACUGCUACUGAGGACGCUAAAGUUCUUCAACCGAGAACGAUGGCAGAAUUGAUCAGACCUAGUCAAAUCUAUACCAACAGGUCUGCAAUUCAACCUCCAGUAAUACAAGGUGUUGAUAUGAAAGCCAGAUACUUUUCUCAUGUGGCUCAGCACCCUUUUCAUGGUUUUCCUCAAGAAAACCCCUUCGACCAUAUUGAGACACUAGAGGAUUAUGUGUCUGGAAUACAUAAGAAUGAAGCAGCCACAGACUACAUCAUCUGCAAGGUGUUCAAGUAUUCUCUCUCUGGAAAAGAAAAAAUUUGGCUGAGGCACUUACCACCGGGGUCUCUCACUACCUAGAGAGAUGUCAGGACGGCGUUUCUAACUGAAUUCUUCAACGAAGGAAGGGCUGAUGAGAUAAGGGAUAAAAUUUGGACAUUCUUUCAGGAACCUACAGAAGCUUUCAGAAGCUCUUGGGAGAGGUUUAGGAGAUACCAAAGGGACUGUCCACAUCAUGGUUUUACAGAGAUUCAGCUGUUGAAGAGGUUCGUCAAGGGUAUUGAUGUACGAUAUCAUAUGAUGCUGGAUACUGCAAGCGAAGGAAACUUUGAGACAAGAACCCUAGAGGAAACUAAGAGACUGAUUGAGAACUUGGUAUCUAGCAACAGUGCCAAAAAUCUGGAUAUGCAUAGGAUAAAUUCAACUGUGAAGGAUGGCAACAAGAUCUUUGAGGCUGAGAUUGGUUCCAUACAUGGUCUCACUUGUGGAGCAAGCUAUAUGCCAGGAUGAAGAUCAGUGCGAUAUAGAGGAGAUGAAAUUUAUGCUAGAGAAGCUCUUGAAAGAACAGCAGGAGAUGACUAAAGAUUUGAAUCUGCAUUUGGAUUCUCUCUGCAAAGAGGUGAAUGAAAGAUUAGAAACCUUAGAUACCCAUGUCAAGAUGCUAUACACCCAAGCUUCUCAGACAGAAGAAGCUGUGAAGAAGCAAGAAGCACUUUUUCAAAAGAAAAGUACUGUUCAUCCGGGUACUGUUCAUCGAAGUACUGUUCAUUCGGGUAUUGUUCACCCGACAUCGAUCGAUACUGUUCAUCCAACAUCGAUCGACACUGUUCACCCAACGUCGAUCGAUACUGCUUAUCCCGCGUCGAUUGACACUGUUCAUCCCGCGUCGAAUGACACUGUUCACCCAGUUACUGUUUAUUGCGACACUAUUUACGCAGUUACUGUUCAUCGCGGUACUGUUCAUCACGAUACUGUUCACCUAGUUACUGUUCAUCCCGUGUCCAAAAACACUGUUGAUCAAGCCACUAAAGGACACCAGAGAGAUUCCUUCUUAGAUAAUGAAUUUGGGGAAAUAUCUGAGCAGGAGAAGCGGAAAGAAGAUGCUUUUCUAGUCGAAAGUUCUAUGUCUGUGGGAAGCUCGUACUGGUGUCGACCGACACCAACAUCUACACAUCGCUCGACAUCAUCGUCUGAGCGUCGACCGACACCAUCAGACAAGCAUCUAUCGACACCACUUUUUGGAUCAGACAAGACUGUCCAAAUUCAGAGCAACUCCGACUUCGCUGCACGACACCCACAUCCUCCCACCCUAGUUCGCAUCCGACCAAAUGACGUCGAUCGACAACAAGCUGAAAGAAUCGAUCGACAACAUCACGAGAGAAUCGACCGACAGGAACAUAUGAGCAUCGAUCGACAAGAGCAGCACAUAAUCGAUCGAUUUCCAUCCACGCCAUACCGAGUAGACUUGCCAAAUCUUGAUGCACACCGCUUGAAUGCCACUCAAAAUUCAUCUCAGACAUCAGUUUGCUUAGGGACAACAGAGCAGAUCAGUCAGCAAACUGAAGACGCAACAGAGAAAGAGCACUCAAUAUUAGCUGAAACCUCUCUCGUUGAGAUUGAUCAACACCAAAGGGAUGGAUAUGAACAUGUAAUGGAAAUGCAGGCAACGAAAGAAGGAGUUCAACGUGAGAAGAGAGUCAAAUCUAGGAAACCCUUUAUUCCCAAACACCUCAGGAGAGAAGUUAACAAAGUGGAACUUGAUGGAUUUCACAAGAGGGUGAAGAGGGUUCCUAAGGAUAUGUCUUUCGUAGAUGCAUACUAUAAGUAUAGACUUGGUAAUUUCUUCAGAGAGAGCAGAGAGACAUAUGAGGACAUUGAGCAACUAUUCAACAAGGUCUGCCGUAAGCCUAAGAGGACUCUGAAGAAGGAACAAGAUCCUGGAAAGUUUCUGAUUCCAUGCUCUAUACAAAACCAUGAUUUACCAAACGCCCUCUGCGAUACUGGAUCUGCAGUUAGCAUCAUGUCCAUAGACACUGCCGACCUAUUAGGUCUAAAGAUGGAACCUUCUCAAGAUAGUUUCAUUUUCGUGGAUAACUCCAAUGCAAACUCAGCAGGCAUGAUCAGGAAUGUUAAGGUGGAGAUAGGAAAUUGCACUAUUCCUAUGGAUUUUCAUGUUUGGAGAUUAAAUCAGGCAAGCCAUCUUCUCUUCUUUUUGGAAGAGCCUUCAUGGCUACAGUGGGAGCAGUUUGUGAUCUAAAGAAGAAUAUGAUGUGCUUGACUAACAUUGAUGAAGGAGUCUACUACGAUCCUGUGGACAAGACCAGAAGCAAGGACUUUAUCUCUUGCAUAGAGCUGUCUGACGAUGAAACACACACAGCUGAUUCAACUCGCGAGCCAGCAAAACCAGAAUCAGCAUCGAUCGAUAAUCAACCUUCGACAUCAGUCGACAAGCAGCCUUCAGAAUUGAUCGACACAAAACUUCCAGCAUCGGUCGACACCCUCCAUAUUUCAGAACAGGCCGUGACAGAAAAGUCUAAGUCUGGGGGAAGGACCAGGCAGAGGAAGAAGAAGAAGAGGAAAAAGAAUAUAGAUGCUGAUUUCCUGUCACUAGUCCCUUCACAAUUUCAGGAGGGAAGUCUUGCGUAUAGAGUGCGCUGCAGAGGAGGUCAUGAACCUUUUACCAAGGUUAGAGUGUUAUGUGAUUCAGAGAUGAAAGAUAAAGGGGAACUUUCAGCACGAGCUUUCAUCAACUGCAUCAACAAAAUGAGGAAGAGGGACACUGAGACUUGUCUUGGAGCAAGUUCACAUGCUAAUCCAGAAUAAAUCAGAUCUCCCGAAGUCAAGCUAAUGACUUAGAAUAAGCGCUGAGUGGGAGGCAACCCACUGUUAGGUUAUAGGAAAAGAUCUCAAGAAGAUGAGUUUGCACAAGAAUCGACAAGUUCUGCAUCAGCAUCGACCGACACUUAAUUGUGUUGAUCAAUACUCAAAUCAAUGGCAGGUAUACCCGCGAGCCUUGUUAAAUAUCGUCCUUAUGGUUUAUUUUCCCACCAAUCUUAGAUUGUAUAACACUAUUCAUAGUGUUGUUUAAAUUUGGGGGAGGUUCUACUAAUAUUAUGUUUGAGUUAUAUAUUUAGAAUAGGGACCCGAGUAGACGAUUGCCUUGAAUAUCGACCGAUUCGAGCAUGUCGAUAUCGAUCGAUAGUACAUCACCUGCAGCGACCGAUGGUAACUCUUUUCCAUCGAUCGACACUUAAUCUGGUCAGGUAUAUCGUUCUUACUUGUUGAAUUUUGUACUUCUGUUUCUUUUUAUUUUCACCUUACCACCGAUUGUGUUAUACUGAGGACAGUGUAAUUUAAGUCUGGGGGGAUUACUAACGUUUAUCUACCUUUAUGAAUCUUAUUUAAAAUAUUUUCAAAUUGUCUUUAUUGAGUCAAGAAAGGGAUAAUGAACUUAUUAGAUUCAUGCUUGUUAUCUAACCACUCUUUAGCACCAUUCUAGACUUACUGAUUGAAGAUAGUACUAAAGAUACUAAAGUGGAUCAACCUGUCAACUAUGUUCACACUUGCUGAGAUUGUUUGAAAGAACCGAAGCUGACCUCCAACCUAAUUUGACUUAACUGCUUGUCUUGGGGCUUGGUAUACACUGGAUCGGAUUCCUCCUUUAGGUCUGAAAGGUAAAAGUCUGAGUGAUUUCGGUUUCCUUAUCUCCUCUUUUUGGCAUCCUAAUAAAAUAAAAUAAAAGAUUGAGAUGAUUUUUUGCGGUUUAGAGGGGUAGGUACAUUACCGAUGACCCCAUUAUUCUACUCUAAUAGAAUGAUCACACAUUGUUGGAAGCGAGGGGUAUGUACAUUACCGAUGACCCCACUAUUCGCCUACACUUUGUCAAGAAAAAAAAAAGAAAAAAAAAUCAAAAAGAAGGUGAAUAAGAUGGACUGCAUCAGCAUCUUUGUUCAUUGGAAUUGAGAUAAAAAGGAUUCAGAGAAGGGAGAUAUAGAGUAAAAGAAACCAGAACAAGACUACAUGUUUACUCAGAUACCUGUUGGGGUAAGAGUCCAUGUGUCUUGUGAUCGAUACUCCCAAGGUAAAGCAUACACAUUUAUUUAUGUUAAGAAAUGAGGUUGGUAGAGGAGAAUGUCAGACAUGAUUUGCUA